rnacentral:lncRNA from 1 species
CUCAAUGCUCUAGUGAAUUCACCUCAGCCUUUAGGAAGAUGCAAGUCCUUGUAACAAACCAAAAUUCGAUUAGUGAAUUCUUUGUUGAGAGUUUGUGAAUGAUAGAGCAAGUUGGGGUUGAUUCUAUUAAAGCAUCCAACCCAAAAACAUAUUUAGGUAAAAUAUAUAUAGGCCUAAGAUCCUAGAUGGUUGGAAAUGAAAUUUUCUUAAAAAAUAAAAUAUUAAAUUUCCAAAAUUAAUUAAGAAAAUAAUUUUUGUUUAAAAAAUAAAAUAUCAACUUCUAUAAAUUAAUUAAGAAAUUCUUAAAAAAAAAAAUCUCAAAGUUGUCAAAAAUUAAUUAAAAUAUUUUAGCUCAAUUUUAAAAUUUCAUAUCCAACUCUACCUCAAUAAAAAAAAUAACUUGCCUUUAAUAAAUAUUUUUACACUUACUUGUAACAAUAUGGUUAAAUGAGUAGUAACAUUUAAUCUUCAAUGGAGUAAAAAAAUUCCUAUACUAGAACAAAAAAGAUUUCUUACUGGAACUAAAAUCAAAUUGACAACAUCUGACAAUUAUUAUAGACUUCAAUAUAUUUUUUGAAUUUAUUUUUAAAAUUAUUUUAUAAAUAUAUUCUAUUAAGUAAAAGAGCCCCAAUAAUUGCCACCUAUCUUAGCCAUCUCUUACCUAUAAUUGCAUACAAGGGCUCUGCUUGCGGACACCUAGCUAGCCUACACCCCAUGUUUUUUCUUUUUCUUUUUUUAUUUCCCAUGAAAGAAAUGUAUAGAAUUAUGGUUAUAUUUUAUUCUAUGGCAUGUACCAAAAGAUGGAAAGAGAUCAUCAGGAAAUUGACUUUCCUUUAAUAUUAUAGAAAAUGUGAGAGCAAAAUUUUUUAUUUGGCAUGUCUCAAAUGGUAUCACAUGUGCACGCUCAAAUCUCAUUUGUUUACAUUAAAGUCUCUUUUAUUUCUUGAUCCAAUUUAUGUAUAUUUUUAUUCAAUAAUCUAAAUUUGAUCACUCUAUGGCUUAGUACUUUCCUUCUAUCUUUAGAGGCUACAAUAUUUUCAAUAACUCAACUUCCAUUUUCUUUUCAUUGUCCUGUCUCAAGAUCCAUUUCAAUGAUAUUUUUUCUCUUGAAAAGAAAAUUAGUCUAUCAUUCAUCAAAUAAUUAUAAUUUUUAUAAUAGAUAAAAAUAUUAUUAAGAACACUUAAUUGCAAAAUAUUUUAAUAAGAAGUGAAAAGGUUAUAUCUAAUUUGUUUCUCUAUCUUAAAUUUAAAUAAAUCUUUAUUGAAUUUUAAAUAGAACUUAAUCUCGUUAAGAUUAAAUUGUUUAUUUCUAUUAAUAUUUAAAUAUUCUUAAACAUUAAAUUACUUGUUCUUAUUAAUGUGUUAAUAUUGUUAUGUGUUAAACAAAUAUUAUUCUAUCCUCAAAAUAAUUAUUUGUAUCUUCUUAAUUUUUAUAAAAAGAUAAAUCUAAGGUUAUUAUAAUAUUUUUAUGUUAUACAUCUUUACGAAGAAUUUUCAAAGUCUUUGACCUUUUUUGUAUCCUUGUCAUCUAUUUAUGCUGUCUUUGAUCAUUUUUUGGAGCAUUCAAAUAUAUGUAAAAUCCAGAUUAUUAAAUAAGAAUUUUGACCGUUCAAACAUAUAUAAAAUCUAGAUUAUUAAAUAAUGAUAAAAUAAAAAUACUUAGAACUAAGUGCAAUGUUGGUGGUAGGUUUUAUAAAAUAAAAAAAAAAGGAAAGAAUUUGAAUAUCUUAUGGUACGUUUAAAAGAAAAUAAAAAAUGUGGACAUUAAAGUGGAAUGUAAACACAAUUUUAAGUAAAGUGAGAUGAUGUUAUAGCUCCUUAAUUAAUAUGGACAAAUUUUAUGGUGUAAAAAUUACAACUCUUUUAUUUAUUAAGUGAGAAGAACGACACAAUGGUGGUGUGGCCUCCCACCAAAAACUAAAAAAUGUCAAAUUAAGCACAUGAUCUGCUUGGAAGUGGAGCACUUAACCUAAAUUAUUUGUUUACAUCUUUGUAAGUUUCUCCCAUAUAUUUGUAACUUAUUUCUAUAUAUUAUUGAAGGAAAAGAUUUUGGAUCAUGCAUGUAAUCGUUAGAGAGGGUUUCCAAUCAAGAUUUAAAUUUGGUUGUUGCAUCCUUAAUGUAAGAAGUUUAAAAAACCUCGAACUAAUCUAGGUCAUUGGAUCUUAACAAUAUAUAUAUAUAUAUAAAAGAUUUUUAAAUUGUUUAAAUAAGUAUAAUUAUUUGUAAAUAAGAGUUAAGUGUAUAAAAAAACAAAUGAGCAACUACUAUGAUUACUUUAGUACAAAAUUUUCACGCAAUGACUUGUAACUUUCAAGAUAAUUAAUUGAAGUUGUUGUAACAUCACAUCAAAUCUUAAUAAUUGUGUUUAUAUUUUACUUUAAUUUUCAUUUUCAUUUGGACCCAUCACUAGCAAGGAUGAAAAUUUUCAUAUAUAUCGGCAAAAUAUCUUGGAUAUAUCGUGUAUCGGGGUGUCAAUACAAAUUUUCACUGGCCCAAUUUUUCCAUUUUUAUCGUCGAUAUAUCGAUAAUACACUAAUACUUUUCACCAAUAUAUCAAGUUGCUGCUACUAGGCCUCAGUCAAAAGUGGUAAAAAAUCAAGUUGUUGCUGAGGGGAUUUGAACCUGGCAAUAACCACUAGAGCAAGUUGCUCUUUGAUAAAAGUUAUACACCAAAUUGUAUAUAUAAGAACAUUAAAAAUUAUUUUAUUAAAUAAAUUAAUUUUAAUUAUUUUAUUUUUGCAUUUGAUUUAAUUUAUUACCAAAAAUAUAAAAAUAUAAUUUUUAUAUUUUUUAUGUAAUCUAUAUAUUUAUCAAAUAUAAAAAAUAUAAAUAUUAAAAAAAUUAUACAUAUUUUAUUAUUUAUUUGAUAUAAUUGAAUACAUUUAAAUUAAAAUUGAACCUAAUUUUAAUAUUUUGAAAUUAAACAUAUUAUCAUAUUAUUGUUGUAAAAUAAUAUUGUGCAACUUAAUAAUAAAUGUAUGCUUAUAAAAUAUAUAUAUUUUUUAUCGAUGCAUACAAUAUUAUUAUCAAAUAUGAUAAAUUAUAUAUAUAUAUAUAUAUAUAUAUAUAUAUAUAUAUAUAUAUAUAUAUAUAUAUAAAUUUUGAACAAAAUAAAUUUAAAAUGUCUAUUAUACUUUUAAAUUCAUUUUUAUGAAGUUUUUCUUAUAUUUUUAGGAGUUUUGAUAAUUUUAAGUCUAUUGAUAUUUUUUUCUAAAAUGUCUGUCGAUAUAUCUUUGAUAUAUUCAUAAAAUCAAUAUAUUAAUAUAUCCGUAAUUACCGAUAUUUUCAUAAUUCAUCAACAGCACGUUGGAAUUGACUCAAACAUUAGGAUCCAAAAGUCACCAUUGAGACAUUGCAUUGAUACAACCUAGAGAAGCUUCCAAAUGGACUGCACAUGCUAACAUGUCUUGGAGGGUUGAAAAUCAAUGGUUGUCCAAAGUUGGUGUCAUUUCCAGAGUUGGGGUUCUUGCCCAUGCUUAGACAUCUUGUUAUUGUUAGUUGUAAAGGUCUACGAUGUCUACCCAAUUAGAUGAUGGGGAUGAAGGAUGGUAGUAUUAACAGUAGCAACAUGCGUCUCUUUGAAUACUUGGAGAUAGAUACGUGCCCAUCUCUCAUUGCUUUUCCAGACGUUGAGUUACCCACCACGCUUAAGGAACUCAAGAUAUGGAGGUGUGAAAAACUGGAGUCUCUACCGAGGGGAUGAUGCACCAUGAUUCAAACACCACCACCACCACCAGUUGUGGUCUUCAUGUCUUGGUCAUUAGGGUAUGCCCAUCUCUCACAUUCUUCCCCACAGACAAGUUUCCCUCCACCCUCAAGAAACUUUAUAUUAUGAAUUGUGCACAACUGGAGUCAAUUUUAGAGAAAAUGUUAUUACAAGGGAAAAUGGAGAGAAAAAUUGACAGAUUCUCUUUUCAUUGGUUGAAAAAAUGAGCUGUAUAGAGAGCACUAAAACAGAGUAGCAAAAAUGCCUUUUAUAAUAAAAGUCAUGCAUAAGGAGUUGUAGAGCUCUGUAGAGAAAAAACAACCUAACCAACUAUUGGUUAUAACAGAAAAAAUAAAAUAAAAAUAAAAAACUAAAACUAAUAUGCUAAAAUUCCCCCUCAAGAUGGAGAAUAUAGAUCAUGAAUUCCCAUCUUGCCUAAGAGACCAUGAAAUUGACUAGGAUGGAGAGCCUUAGUAAGAAUGUUAGCAAGUUGGUUUUAAGAGGUAACAUGUAGAGUCUUGAGAAUCCCAGCUUGAAUCUUCUCUUGAAUGAUAUGACAAUCAAUCUCAAUAUGUUUGGUGCGCUCAUGGUAGACUGGGUUUGCUACAAUGUGGAGAGCAACUUGGUUGUCAUAGUAAAGAACAGUUGGCCCAUGAUGGGCUAUCUUCAAUUCGUGAAGAAGAGACAAGAGCCACAGAAUCUCACAAGUAGUGUUGGCCAUGGAUCGGUACUUAGCUUUAAUAGAUGAGCGAGAGACAAUCGGUUGUUUCUUGGAUUUCCAAGAGAUAAGGAAGGUCCCAAGAAACAGACAAAAACCAGAAAUAGAACGACGAGUGUCAGGACAAGAGGCCCAAUCAGAAUCUGUGAAGGCUUUGAGUUGCACUUUGGAAUUUGAUGAAAAGAAAAGUCCUUUGCCUGGGGUUCGCUUGAUGUACUGUAAAAAAUGAGAAAAACAGCCUGAAAAUGUGGCUUGCGAGGGGUUACUAAGAAUUGGCUGAGACGAUUCACAGAAUAGCUCAGGUCAAGACGAGUAAUAGUAAGAUAUAACAGCUUACCAAUGAGUUGCCUAUAGCUGGUAGGAUCUUCAAUCAAGUCACCAUCAUCUUGAGAUAGUUUCAAAUUAGGAUCCAUGGGAAUGGUGGUAGGUUUACAACCUAAAUGUCCAGUGUCUGAGAGCAAUUCCAACGCAUACUUGCGUUGACAAAUAGAGAUACCAACAGUAGAUUGAGCCACUUCCAAGCCUAGAAAAUAUCUUAGUGGCCCCAAGUUCUUCAUCUUAAACUUGCAGUUGAGGGCAUGCUUUAAAGUAUCCACAACAAUUUGAUCAUUACUAGCAAUAAUGAUGUCAUCAACGUUGAUAAAAAGUGUUAAGAAAGAAGUAUCUUGAUGUUUUGUGAACAAGGUGUGAUCACUGGUUGAAUGAACAAAACCUUCUAGUAACAGAGCAUUAGAGAACUUAUGGAACCAUUGACGGGAGGCCUGCUUCAAACCAUAGAUAGACUUAUGCAGCUUGCACACAACAUUAGGAGGCAAAUGUUCCCCCUUAUGGCAAGUGUAUCCAGGGGGAAGACUCAUGUAAACUUCCUCUAUAAGGUCACCAUGAAGGAAUGCAUUAGUGACAUCAAGUUGAGUGAGAGACCAGCCAUGAAUUGCAGCUAAAGAAAGCAACAUUUUAAUAGUAACUAGCUUGGCAAUAGGAGAAAAGGUAUCAAGAUAAUCAAUACCUUCUUGUUGUGUAAAUCCCUUAGCCACAAGGCAUGCUUUGUAUCUAUCCAUAAUGCCAUCAACUCGAAACUUGACUUUGUACACCUAUUUACAACCAACCGCUUGUUUGCCAAUGGGAAGAGAGCAAAUGGACCAAGUGUCAUUGCUUUCCAAUGCCUGCAAUUCAAUAUUCAUAGCAUCAUGCCACACUUGAGACUCAAUGGCUUGAGAGAAUGAUGUUGGUUCGGUUUGAGAACUAAUGGCGAGAACAAAUUCACGGUAUGGCCUGGAAAGCUUGUGGUAACUCAAGCAAGAGGAAAUAGGAUAUAGAGAAGGCUUAGAAGAAACAUGUUCAGUGAGGUAAUAGUGAUAAUCAGACAAGUAAGCUGGUUUUGUGGUGACACGACGUGGACAUAAGGUUGUUUGAAUUGGGGCUGGUGAGAAAAUGCACUCUGGACUAUAGGAAGAAGACAUGUUGGGCUAACUGUAAGAAGGCUCGGAGAUGGAUUGAAUUGGCUUAGGAAGGACAUGAUCAUUAAACAAAUCAAUAACAUCGUUGCUCAUAGCAGAAUGAGCAAACGGAAAGAGUGAUUCAUGAAAAAUGACAUUCCGAUAAAUGUAGAUCUUAUUGCUUUCUAAGUCAAGUAAUUUGUAACCCUUAUAACCAAAAGGAUAGCCAAGAAAAAUAGAAGCUCAAGCAUGAGGGGCAAACUUUGUAUGUUGGUUAGAAAGCGUGGAAGCAUAACAUAGACACCCAAAAAUGCGAAGAUGGUUGUAAGUGGGUUUGUUGUUAUUCAACAGCUCAAAUGGGGUUUUAUUGGAUAGUAAUGGAGAGGGUGUAUGAUUGAUUAAAUAAACAGCUGUCAAAACACAAUCACCCCAAUAACAAAGAGGAACACAAGAUUGAAACAAUAACGCUUGUGCCACAUUAAGUAUGUGUUGAUGUUUACGCUCUAUAAUUGAGUUUUGUUCAAGUGUAGCAACACAAGAAUGAUAAGGAAUAACACCCUUGGUACAAAAAAAAUCAUGGAAAACUAAUUUAGGGGCAUUAUUGGAACAGACAGAUUUAAUUGCAAUGUUAUAUUGAGUAGAAAUCAAAUUGAAAAAUUCAGGAAAGAUAGUGAGAACAUCAGCUUUAGCACAAAGAAGAUAUACCCAAGUAGCAUGUGUGCAGUCAUCAACAAUAGUGAGGAAAUAUGUGUCCAAUUGGUGUACUAACAUUAAAUGGUCCCCAAAUGUCAAUGUGAACUAGAUCAAAAGGAUUAGUUGACAUAUUAUUAUGUGAAACAAAAGGUAAACGUUUUUGCUUGGCCAUAUGAAAAAUUUUACAGUGAGAAGACAAAUGGGAUAAAGAAUUGGGAAUGUGUAAUUCAUUGUGAAGAAUUUGAAUUUUUACAUGAGAUGGAUGUCCAAGGCGAAAAUGCCAAAUAUCACUUUUCGACAUUACAGAAUUUGUAAAAAUUGAAUUACAAAAUUCAUUCCCUGAUUCUAGAAAAUAUAGCUUCUUUCGUCUUCUACAUUUCCCAAUCGUCAAGCCCUGAGUGAGGUCCUGAAUGACACAUGAAUUUGAAAGGAAAUUAACACUACAAUUAUGGCUAAGAGUAAGAGCACUAAUGCCGAGAAGAUUAAAAGUGAACAUGGGGACAAACAAGACAUUAUCCAAGUUCAAAGUAUCAGACAACCUCACAAAACCUACACGAUUGAUUGCAAUAGCAUGACCAUUAAGAAGAGUGACUGUAGUAUUAUGAACCAGUCUAGAAUGAGAAAACAGAGAAACAUUGCAACAGACAUGGUGGGUGGCCCUUAUGUUAAUCACCUAAGCAUCAGAAGGAACAAAAAGAUGAAAAAAAAAUUGAGUAGAACAAUUGUUACCAUAGAUUUGAGAAAUUGAAGGUUUUGAUGUCGAUGGAGACUCAAGUGGGUCGAUAGUUUGCUGUUGAAGGUGUGUGCUAAGGUAGGCAAUGAGUUGUUGAACUUGAUUCGAUGAGAGAGAGACUAGUAGUGGGGAAGAUCCCACUGUAGCAGCGGCAGCAGAAGGGAAAUAAUGAAUGCUUUUCAAUGGUUCAGUAAAUGAGCUUGGUGAAGUAGAUUGGGAUUGAAGGGGGCUUGUCUGGGCCAUUUAUGUUUGGUCUUUCCCUUUGGGCUCAUAACCUGGUGAAAAUCCAUGCAAUUUAUAACACCUAUCUACUGUAUGCCAUGUGAGCCCACAAUGGGUGCAAAUUGGGUGUUCAUGUCUAGGCUUGUUGUGAGAUGAUGUAGUAGCUACAGAAGAAGCCAGAGAAGAGGCAUUGAACACCAUGGAAUCCGAUGGAGCAGAAGACCUAGAUCCAAUAAAUCAUUGGCGUUCUUCUUGAACAACAAGAUUGAAUACUUUCACCACAGGAGGGAGCAAAUCAAGCAUCAGAAUUUGGCCUCUUGUGCUAGCAUAAGAUUCGUUCAAACCCAUUAAAAAUUGCAUCGCAUACUCCUGUUAUUGAUAAUCCAUCCAAUCUUUCAUACCUCCACAAUGGCAAAUGGGAACUAGUUGAUAGUUUUUGAGUUCAUCCCAGAGAAUCUUCAAUAAAGUAUAAUAGGUAUUAACAUCGAGCGAGUCUUGUGAGAGACCAUGUAGUUGUUGCUUGAUUUGGAAAAUCCGUGGAGCAUUGCUAUGAUGGAAGCGUUCGUGCAGAUCUGCCCAAACAGCAUGGGCACUCUCGAGAUAGAGAAGAAUAUCAACUAUCUCUUUUGAGACAGUGUUAAGGAGCUAAGAUGUGACCAUGCUAUUGCAUCGGGGCCAGAUUCUGGCUGUAGGGUAGUCGGUCAUGGGUUGCGAAAGAGUGCCAUCCAUGAAUCCGAGCUUAUUCUUUACAUUGAGAGCCAUCAGCAUGGCCCAACUCCAUGUAUUAUAGCUUGAACCAGUGAGGAGAUGCGAAACGAGCACCAAGCCUGGAUGAUCACCGCUAUGUAAGAAAAAUGGGUUAUUAGUGUUCUCCAUGAGAGAUUGAUCUGAUUGUGUUGUCGUGCUACCAGAGGUAGAGGAUGUGAGGGGCUAAAUUCUAUUAUCAUUGUUAUGCUAACCACCACGAGCCAUUUCAGUGAGCGGUAAAGGUAAGAAGCUCUGAUACCAUAUUACAAAGGAAAAUGGAGAAAAAAAUUGACAGAUUUUUCUUUCAUUGAUUGAAAAAAUGAGCUGUACAGAGAGCCCCAAAAUAGAGUAGUAAAAAUGCCUUUUAUAAUAGAAGUCACGCAUAAGGAGCUGUAGAGCUCUGUAGAGAAAAAACAACUUAACCAACUAUUGGUUAUAACAAUAAAAAUAAAAAUAAAAAUAAAAAACUAAAACUAAUAUGCUAAAAGAUGUUUCACUCCAAUAAUAGUUUACUUGAAUUUUUUAGUAUUGGAGCUAUCCUUGUUUCAAAAUCAUACCAGGUUGCCUCUACAAACUCAAAGAAUUGGAUAUUAAUAAUUGUGGGAAUAUGGAGCUGCUACCUCAUCAACUGCAAAACCUCAUUACUCUUACAUCACUUACUAUCUCUUAUUGUGAGAAUAUCAAGACGCUCCUAUCCCGAUAGGGCCUUGCCACACUUACUGUUGGUGUGGGGAAGACCUAGAGGCGUUGUAGCUCCCUGAAGUACUCGCCCCUUCAAUUAAGAACGAUGCUUCCUUCCAUUCUCCUGCAAAAGAUGUCCGGACAAGUGGUCCGGAUACACCCUUCGAAGCUUUUGUUAGUUUGGCGGUCAAGCAUAUUGGUGUUCUUGGGCGUUUCUCAGGAAUGCUUACCUCUUUUUUAUUGAGUCAUUGGGGGCCUUUUAUAGUGUCCGAAGCCCCGUCACUUUGAAGAUGGAAAGACUCUUUGACUUUCACAGUCAUGAUAGUGCUCAGAGGGUGGUAAAGCCAUCAUUUUCCUGUAAACGGCUGACAGAGAUUGUUGGGAGAUGACUUGUCAUCCCACUUGUCUUUUCAUUCUACAGGUGGUGUAAGACAGGUCAUAGCAGGUCAUCUGAAAAGACUUGGGAAUGUCCUGUUGAGUAUGUUUUUGGAGAAAUGAGUAAUGAUUGCCCGUAAAAUAUGGUCAGGGGUCCUGUUUGGGAUGACAACUACUGGGUUCGGAUUGGUCGUCUAGACAGAGGGUAGGACGUGCCAUGUGUCCAUUGGAGGAGUGCCUUAUGGAUGUCCGGACAGAGGGUAGGACGUGCCAUGUGUUCGCUUAGGGGUGGUCCCCACAAUGCCCCCCUUUUAAACUGGUUAUUUUAUCAGGAUAGAAAAAGCAGGUUAAAACAAUCCAUUUAGCCUUUUUUUUUGGAAGUUGUGUGGCACGUAGCGCCUAAGAGGGGCAGUUAUGGAGAGCCGCUGUCCUUGGGAUGAUUACCAGGCAGCGUGUCGUUUCGAGUGUAGUGCGGUUGGGUGCCUGGUCGUUUGGAGUCCCUAAGGAUUUCAUCCCAUAAAUAGGGAAUUAAUCUCCCCCCCGGUAGUACUUUUUCUUCAUUUCUACUUCAUUCUGGCGUUAACUGGGCAUUGCUCCUAAGGCUUUACUCAACGGUGCUUUCCUCACAAUCUCACGACUGGUUCACUCAGGCGACUGUGACCUAGUUCGUCUUCUUCUUGCAAACACUUGUCAGGUAUGCUCCCUGUUUCUUCCUCCUCGUCUUCUACUUCCCGUUUUCUCGAUUUUCCUUGGUUUCUGGUGCCAGUUUGCGAUUAAGGGAUGGGGGUGAUGUUUGGGGGUUUUGGUGGGUUGGGAAAUGUCCUUGUUAGAUUUUGCAGAGGGAGGAUGCAUAGUGUCGUUCAAGGGCAUCACAUUCUGUUGGCGGCGUGCCUUGCUAACUUUGGUCAGGGUUGCUUCAAGGUUAUUUUGUGCUUCGAGGCUCUGUUGAGCCCAUUGAGUAUUUUUUUCGGCCUUUCGUAUACCUGAAAAUGGCUGUGAGUCGCUUCUUAGCUAGGGUUAGGAGUUGACUAGCGGAAUUGGGGUUCCUGACUUGGGGAGGUUAUCAACUCAGGCAUGUCACCUAGCUUAGGCAUUUUGGGGUGAUGCCUUCAGGGCGGUGGGGCCAGAUAAUUAUCCUCUAACUGUGGGCAUUGCGCCAUGCAGGUUUUUCUUGGGCCCACGCUCCAACAUGCCUGCGAAAAAGGAUAUUGCUUCAUCUAACGCGGUUGGGUCAAGUGAGAAGGGCGGUUCCGGACACCCCUAUCAGGGAAAAAACAUUGAGCUCCUCAAUGAGCGGGAGUUUCGCGACCGCUUUUGUCUUCCAAACAACGUCUCCGUUCAAUUAGUGGAUGGGGAUCCCAUGUCCACAGAGAAAGUCGAAUACAACGCCAUUUAUUUCACCAAGGAGCAGUUCAAUGUAGGGCUUUUCUUUCCUCUCCUGUCUCUUUUCAAAUAGUUCCUUUAUUACACCCAAAUUCCCUCAGCCUAUAUCUAUCCCAACAUCGUCCGAUGUUGAUAGGGUGCAGCAUCCUAAAUAUGAUUUUCCAGUUGGACCUCUCCCUGUUGGAGGUUCUCUUCAUUUAUACCCUCAAAAAGGGGAAAAAGGAUAUCUUUAGUAUGUUUGCCCACAUCUCGUCCCUUCAAUUAGCGAUGGGCCUUCCUAACUUGAACAAAGGGGAAACCAAGAGACAUGUGCUUAUCAAGGGCCCAUGGGUUGGCUUGAUGGAACAUCCGAAAAGGGAUUUCCGCCCCAACUGUUCGUUGAAGAUUCCAGGUAGGGGUGGCUUCGAGUAUCCGUUCCUUGUUGAUAUUUGAUGCUUGGCUUAAUUCCAUUAGAUUUCUAACCUUCUUUGUUUUGGCUGAUGCAGGCUCAAGUAAGAUGAGCUGCUUGGUCGAGUGGGUGGAGAAGGCUUCAUUAUUCGACCUGAACAAGCUAUUCGAAAUCAUUGCCAUUGAGAAAAACCAUCACACGCUACUUUCCUUCUAGAAUCUACUUGCGGUUAUUCGGGAACCUUAGUCGUACGUCCUCAACAUCCUUUCUAGGCGGUUACCGAAAGUCGUGGUAUUCGAGGAGCACUUUGUUUUGAAGGAUCUUCCGUUCUAUGAAAAAGCUCGUGAGGUGGACGCGAAGGCUCGCUAGAAGCGUCUUGAGCAGCAAAAGGGGAAAUUGAGGAAAGCUCCCGGUGAGAAAGGUUGUGGCUCAUCGUCUACGUCUUGUCCCCCAGCUAGGAAGAAGAAAAAGAAGACUAUUGCAAAAGCGAUCAAGGUUGCAACCCCGACUCCUGAAUCUCCGUCUACUUCUAUUGCUUCAGUGUCUAGUCGAUCAAUCAGCUCCGCCCAGGCAUCUGAUGGUGACUCUAACUCAUCGAGGCUUGACCCUAGCGACCCAGGACUCGCCUUUCUGAGCAUGAGCGGGAGUCUAUAGCUCUUAAAGUUAUAAACGAUCCGGAUGAGGAAGAUGAUAUGAAUGACUUAAGAGUCGGAUUUAAAGAGAGGCAUCGCAAACUCCUGUAUGAAGCGAUUGACAUGGUCCUCCCCCAACCAAAAAAGGCUUGCCCGAAGAGAACUCAGGAGGAGCAGACCAAGGGGGUUCCUCCAGCGAUCGUGCCCCAGCCGGAUGUAGCAAGACCUAGCAGCGCUCUAGUUGCGGAGAAAGAGGCUUAAGGGAAAGAGACAGGUCUAGCUACGGGGGAGGCCCCUGGUGAUGCUGCUCCCGCCAAGGGGGUCCCAGAUGAGAAGGAUAGUCCCGCUCCUAUAACUCCUCCAAGCUGGGACGAAAUGAUGGAGAUGUUGAAGCACGUGCCGUGCUUCAUGAACUCUGAAGUUCCAUCUACAAAAAUGUCAUACUUUUUCCCUUUUACCAAGCAGAUAUCUGUGAAUGUGGGCUGCGAACCCCCCUCUUUCGUCUCAGCCCGGCUCUCCUUUGGCACUCCUGAGUCUAUUGUGUUUCGCAUUCAACAACUGCAGGAAUGAACGGUGUCGGAGACUACAGAAGUGGUAAUCCCUUUUAUCUUGCCCCUCCUUUUCAAGUAAUGCAUACUCCACCGCUUGGUACAAACUUGGCUUUUAUUAUCUCUUCUAGUUGGUAGUCGGCAUCCGCAACAUGAUGUGACAGCGCGCGCAACUUUUCAAGCAACUGGAGGUGGUAGAGGCUAUGCGGGCCUUUAUCUCCCACCACCCGGGCGACAUCGAAGAGUUGCGCGCGAAGAUGGAGCAAGUAGAAGCUGACUUGGUUGCUGCCUAGAAGGCCGUUGUGGACGGAGCCGAGACGCUGAAGCUGGUUAAGGGGGAGAAGGGGGCAAUCCGGGCUGAGACAGACCGACUAAAUGAGAAAUGAGAGGCUAUGGAGGCCAAGUACAAAGGGGCGAAACAGGAAAACUUCCAAUUAAGGAGGGAGGUGGAUGAACUUUGGCCCAGUUUCGCGGCUCAGAAGAAAGAGGUGAAAGAGUUACAAGUAGGCUUGCUCACCCAGAAGAAAGAGCUGGAGGCUGGAUUUGCCGCUCAGAAAAAGAAGUUGGAAACGGAGUACCAAAAACAAAUGGACGAAAUGUACUUUUUCGGCUACCGCUACCGUAUGAAGAAAAAUAGCAUCAUGCACAACAUUCCUUCCCUCCCUUCUGAUGACAAAGACGAGAUACCCGGAGGUCCUCCGCGAUGAGAUGACUCAACUUUUGUGUAGUUCCUCCAUAUAACUUUUUCUUUGCCAUGAAUGGUCCAACUGAUUUGUAAAGACAAUUUUCACACUUAUUUAUGAAUGCAACGUUUCUUUACUCUUUUCUCGCCCAUUGUUUCUUUUUACUGAUAAUACUGCUUAAGGUUAGAUACAUUCCAUGGACGGAAUAAAGAGGUUCCAUCUAACUUCUGUAAAUGACAAGUGAUUCUUCCCCAUUGCAGUCAUGCCAUUUGAUUUUGGCUCAGACGGGUGUUAUCAACAAAAUUUAUAAAACCUAAAUCACCUCACACUAGGGUAGCAUAGCUAACAUAGUAUAGUGGCUCUAGGAUCGUACACAGGAAUGGGUUUUCAUCAUACAGUUGAUUUGAUUUUAGUGAAGGAAAUAAAAUGGUGUUUUUCCUUAUGAAAAUUAGCUUUAAAAGAAAAUGGAAUUGUGGUUGCAAAGAUUGAUUUUUAAGUUAAGCAAAAAUAAUAAGUGAAGUUAACUACAAAGAAAAGGUCUCUUGGAGCUUUAGGUCACUAAGAUCGGGUUCCUUAGGUAAAAGAGGAGAUUCCAGAUUUUCUCCUCGCGUUGGAGACAAUAACAUAAAUGAAGGUUAUCUCCCGAACCGGUUUUGUAUUUAGCAAUUAAGACUUGAUCCAAAGGGUUCACGAAAAAUGGUAAUUGCUUCCCAUUAAUGGCUUCAGACACUAAAGACCCUCACCUUGAACCACCUUCCAAUGGCUCGUAAAUGAUAACUAAUAGACAUCCAUGGAUCUAGAAAUAAGCAUCCAUAAAAUCCGAAAAGCUUACCAAGUAUUGGUCAUUCAAGGUGAUUUUAAGGGAUUUAAAACUAAACCUUGAAAUAAAAACCAUUAAUGGUUAACACCUACUUUCAUUUAAAGCAAGGACAAUUCCUACCUUUGCAUUCAGGUUCUUCACCUAGCUUCCAUCACUCCAAGAAACGUAAAACCUAGCCACUCAUCCCUUGAGAAAUCAUCCUCAGAGGUUGUUUGGUUAGAAAAAAGAGUGAAAACAAAAUGAGAAGGAAAUGUAGAGCAAAAACUCUGUAUAUUUCUUACUACGGGGAAUUUACAAGUGUUUAAUGAAAAACAUCCAUAUUUUUACCCUCUGUCUCUCUUUUUAUAUAUGAUGUUACCUAGAAAAUAUCUAAAAAGAUAUAAAAGAAAAUAUCUAAAAAGAAAUAAAAGAAAAUAUCUAGGUUGGUUACAAGGAGAACUUAGGAAAUUACACAAAAUAUCUGAAAAUAAAAAUCUAACAGAGUCGGUGCACAAGAAGAUUUCGCAUAACAUGUAAAAUUUGGCAUGGUGUACGAAAUUUCGCACAGCCAUGCAAAACUGCUUGUUGUUGGAUUUCUUCCUUCCAUCUUUGAUUUGCUUGGCAAAGGGCUAUGAAGUGCUCCAAAGCUUGGAUUCUUCAUGUAUUUGAGCUUCAACUUGCAUUGCCAUUGAUUUCACAAGAUUCUCCCUCUUCUUGGCUUGUUUCAAUGAUAAAAAAGCUACCAAAAACACCAAAACUUGCCAAAAACUGAUUAGUAACCCUUGUUAGGUUCUUUAAUGUGCCAAUUGAGUUAAAAGGUAUUAACUACUACUCAAAAGAGUUUAAAAUAGUUAGUUUCAAGCAAUAAAAAAGUACUUUUUGAGUAGUAAUCAAUAAGCCCCGCUUUCACCUGUUUUGGAGACAAUGUAGGGCCUUCCCAAUUCGCUUGGAACUUCCGAACCCCCUUUUCAACUGUGUUUUCGAAGACUCUUUUGAGGAUGAGUCUUCCAACCUUGAAGACACGAGGUUGUGCCUUACAAUUGUAAUGAGCAGCCGCCCUUUGUUGGUAGGUGGCCAUCCGGAUGGAUGCACUUUCCCUCAUUUCAUCCGCGUAGUGUAGGUUCCUUCCGAGUUAUUGGUCUUCAUUCCUCUGACCCUGUACUGCAGUCCGAACCAUGGGCAAACCUAUUUUCGUGGUGAUGAUUGCGUCCAUUCCGUAUGCUAGAGCGAAAGGAGUGUUUCCCAUUGGUCGUCCGGGCGUCGUUCGGUAGGUCCACAAGACGUCGGGCAGCUCCUCUACCCACUUUCCUUUGGUUCGGUCCAAUCUUUUCUUUAAUGCUGAUAGUAAGGUCUUGUUCGUUGCUUCUGCCUGCCCAUUGCUUUGGGGAUACCGUGGUGUGGAGUAUAAAUUUUGGAUUUUGAGUUCUGAACAAAAAUUUCGGAAGGCAAUACUAUCAAACUGCGCGCCGUUGUCGGCUAUGAUUGCUUGAGGGAUUCCAAACCGACAAAUGAUGUUCUUCCAAACGAAUUUCGUGACGUCUUUGUCUUUGAUGCUAGCAUACGCCUCCGCCUCUACCCAUUUAUUGAAAUAAUUUGUGGCAAUGAGUAGGAAUUUCUUCUAGGCAGCUGCAACGGGCAGAGACCCCAUUAUAUCCAUCUCCCAUUGCGUGAAUGGCCAAGGGCUUGUUAUUGGGUUCAACGUUUCGGAUGGCAUAUGCGGGAUGGGCGCGUGUCUUUGGCAUUUGUCACAUUUUUUGGCAUAAGCUUCCACGUCCUGCUUCAUAGUGGGCCUGUAGUACCUCUGCGAAUGGGCACGAUGUGCUAAAGAUCAUCCUCUUGAGUGGUUGCUGCAUACGCCUUCAUGUAAUUCUGCUAGCACAUAUUGGGCUUCCAAGUGUUCUAAGCAUCUGAGGUAGGGGCUUGCAAAAGAUCAUUUGUAAAGACAUGCCCCAAUAAGGGUGAAGCGGGCAGCUUGCACACGGAUCUUAUACGCAUGCUUGGAUUCCUUAAGUAGAACGCUUGUCCGAAGGUACUCCUUUAUGACACUCGUCCAUUCCUGGCUUUCUUCGAUAGCAUUGCAAGUGGGCGAUUGUGCGAUGGAGGGAUUAGCCUGCACAUGUAUGGACAACAAUAUGGCUUCUCUUAUGGGAAGUGAGAUGGCUAUUCCCUACCAGGGCAUCAGCCCGUAUGUUGUCCGUCCGGAGGACUUUUUUGAUUGUCCACUAGUCCAAUUGCUUCAAGGUGUCGCGCACUUUUGUCAGGUAUUAGGACAUGCGCUCGUCUUUGGCUUCGUAUUCCUUCCGUACAUGUCCCACGACGAGUUGAGAAUCAUUGUAGAUUCUGAGCUUAGAGACGGAUAGUGCGAGUACGAGGUCCAAUCUGGAUAGAAUGGCUUCAUACUUGGCUUUGUUGUUUGAUGCAUGGAAUCUGAGGCGGAUGACCUGCUUUAAUUGUUUUCCAAUUGGAGAUUGUAGCAAGAGUCCCACUCCGGAUCCUAACAACCGGGAGGCUCCGUCGACCCGUAAGGUCCACCAUCCAUCCUUGUCUGAUUUUUCGCCUCGAGCGGGCUGUUAGGGAAAUUCAACCACAAAGUCAGCCAUGACUUGCCCUUUCAUGGAAAGCCUAGGUUGGUAUUCAAUCCCAUACUCGCUCAACUCUAUGGCCCAUUGCAGCAUCCUUUCGGAUAGGUCCGGCUUGUGCAGGAUGUUUCGAAGGGGCUGGUCGAUAAGUACGACUACUGGGUGAGCUUGAAAAUACAGGCAGAGCUUCUGGGCGGUGCUUCGCAAGGCUAAGGUAGUCUGUUCUAUCUUUGAAUAUAUUGUUUCUGCAUCGACCAUCGCUCUACUGAUAUAAUAAAUAGGUUUUUGCUCUUUGCAAUGUGGAUAUCAAAACAAGACAACGCUAAUCGUCUAAUCCGAUACCGCUAAAUACAUGUACGACAGCUCGCCAGGCUGAAAGCUACUUAGGAUGGGUGGUUGUGUGAGGUAAUGUUUGAUUUUCUUGAACGCACUCUGGCAGUUAUCCGUCCAUCCAGUCGCGUUGGCUUUCUUCAGCACUAGGAAGAAAUGUCACAGUUUGUUUGUGAAUCGGGCUAUGAAACGUCCUAGUGUGACGAGCUUGCUGGUGAGACGCUGCAACUCCUUUUUGUUACUAGGGGUGGGUGUUUUCAUGAUCGCCUUAAUUUGAUCCGGGUUGACUUCUAUUCCUCUUUGGGUGACCACGAACCCCAUGAAUUUGCUUGCACUUACGCCGAAGGCGUAUUUGGACGGGUUAAGCUUCAUGUCGUACCUCAUCAGCAAGUGGAAGACUUCUUGCAGGUGGUAGGUAUGUUCUUCUCUAGUUUUGCUUUUGACCACUAUGUCAUCAAUGUAUACUUCCAUCGUGCGACCAAUCAAAGGCUUGAAGAUCUUUGUCAUCAGUCUUUGGUAGGUGGUGCUAGCAUUUUUGAGUCUGAGCGGCAUGACUCUAUAACAAUAAAGUCCAUGUGGCGUUAUAAAGUCAGUUUUUUCCUCAUCCGCUAGGGCCAUAAGGAUCUGAUGGUAUCCGGAUAAGGCACCUAGAAAAAAGAGCAUCCCAUGUCCGGUAGUGGAGUCUACUAUUUGGUUUAUCCGCGUCAACGGGAAGCUAUCUUUAGGGCAUGCAUUGUUGAGGUUGGUGUAAUCAAUGCACACUCGCCACCUUUCUUCCUUUUUGGGGACUACCACCACAUUUGCCAACCAUUCCGGGUACUCAACUUCCUUGAUGAAUCUGGAGUCCAAUAACUUAUGCACCUCACUCUGAAUGAUCUUUUGUCUAUCCGGGUGAAAUCGCUUGACUUUUUACCGGACAGGUCUUGAUGAGGGCAAGAAGUUAAGCCAGUGGAAGGCAACCGAUGGGUGGAAUCCGGGCAUAUCGAAGUAGGUCCAUGCGAAAAAUUCUUGGUUUUGUUGGAGCGUCUUCUCAAUGCUCCGAGUCUCGUUGGGUUUUAAGAGGGAACUAGCAUAAGUGAGACAAUCUUUUCUUUUUGAGACUUGGAUGGUUUGCAAGGGAUCUGCCAUCGGGAGAUCUUUAUCUGUUAAGUACUGUAAUUGCUAUUGGUCGGGCGCAUUCACUUGCUCUGGGGAGGACUCGCGAUCACUGCUGAACCCGGUCUCCCGUGCUAAUCUGAUAGCAUUGUCGGGCUACCAACUGGCUGCCAUAUAAAUCAAUCUGUUCGUCUUUGGUGAGAUAGCUCACCAUCUGAUGGUACGUGGAAGGAAAAGCCUUCAUGUAGUGCAACCAGGUGCACCCCAAAAUGGCAUUGAAGGGGGAUAAAUCUUCCACCACUGAGAACUGCACAUUGAACGUGACUGGGCCUACUUGGACUGGUAGACACGUCUCAAAGGGACAUUGUUGAGGCUCCAUUGAAUCCCGACAGAACCCGCCUCGGGUUCUCUAGGUUGGAGGGCACGAGUCUCAUUUGUUUGACUACUGAUACUUGCAAGAGGUCCGCCGAGCUGCUCGGAUCGACCAAAAUCUAUCUUACGUUGAAGUCUCCAAUCCCAAGAGACAGGAUAAGGGCAUCUCGGUGUGGUUGCAAUGUCCGUAUGGGGUUUACUGGAGAAAAAAUGAUUGUCUCAUCUAUUAGGUGGGCGUUCCCGCUGGUUAAUCCAAGUCGGAUGGAGUUAACACACUCGCGGACUGAAGCGGCCCGCAGCAGCCUUUGUCUCUUUUGCUUGGAGUCGUACUCCUCAUCCAGGGGCCCACCAUGAAUGUAGUUAAUCACAACCCUAGGGGCAAUCGGAGUUGAGGGGGCUCCGGAGGCUUGACUGCGGGAUGUCUCUCCUCCUAUGGCUCCUAAGCGGAUGUACUGUUUUAGGUGUCCUGCUCUUAUGAGCUUUUCCACCAAGUAAUGGAGACUACUACACUACUCCGUAGUAUGGUCAUGCUCUUUAUGAUAAGCACAUUUCCUGCUGUGAUCUCUUUUGACUAGGUCCGUUUUGAGCGGUUUGGGCCACCUAAAGUCGAACAGCUCGCGGAUCAUUGGGAGAAGCUUUUUGUAUGACACGAUAAAGGGUGUAAGCGGGGGCGGAUCUGGCUGACGUUGCUUACCUUGUUUAAGCCGAGUGGCCUUUGCUGGCUUGAAGGUUUGAACUUUCUUGCCGCGUCGUUCCUGGCCGGCUGUCCAGUAACCAGGAUUUGUUGGGUGGCUGCGCAUACAUCAUCUUCCAGCAUUGAGUAUUUGUUCACGCAUCGGAACAGGUCGUCCAUAGUUGUGGGAGGUUUUUUGGUGAGUGAUUUGAAGAACGGUGUGCCUAGACAUAUGCUCCGCUUAAAAAUUUGGAGGAUAGUGUCCAUGCUGGAGGAUUCUACUUGUAGUACAACUUGUCCAAAUCGCUUCACGAACUCCCUCAGGGAUCACUUUCCUACAUGUGAAUGUUUUCCAGGGUGCUAAUAUUCUAUUUAUGUCACGUGGAACACAGGUAUUGUCCCACAAAGGCUUCUGAUAGAUCUCGGAAGUUAUCAACAUAAUUCAUAGGGAGUCAAUGAAACCAUGAGAGGACCUGGCCUUGGAGGCUGGGAGGGAACACCUUGUACAACAGCGCGUCGUUCCCUAUGUCAAGAGUCAUGAGUUGUCGGUAGUGCAUGAUGUGAUCAAACGGAUCACUAGACCCGUCAUACGCGAAAAUUUUUGGCACGAGAAACCCUCUUGGGGGCUCGUAAUUGAUAAUAUGAGAGCUAAAAAGCGGGAAGAGCAUGUCGUCCAAUCGCCUACUGAUGGUGUGGACAUCUUUGCAAAUGUUGUUGGGGGGAUGACUUGUCGUCCCACUUGUCUUUUCACUCUACAGGCGGCCUAGGGCAGGUCAUAGCAGGUCGUCUGAAAAGACCUAGGAAUGUCUUAUCGAGUAUGCUUUUAAUGAAAUGAGUAAUGAUUGCCCGCGAAAUAUGGUCAGGGAUCCUAUUUGGGACAACAACUAUCGGGUUCGGACUGGUCGCCCGGACAGAGGGUAGGACGUGCCACGUGUUCGCUUAGGAGUGGUCCCUACACUUACCUCUCUUAAAAAACUCACCAUUGCUAGCAUAUUUCCACAAGUUUCAAAUGCUCAAAGACUAUCGCGUCUUUCUACAACCCUCACCUUUCUUUGCAUUAAAGAUUUCUAGAAUCCGAAAUCUCUGUCCUCCCUAGCUCUCCAAACCCUUACCUCACUUGAAGAGUUAUGGAUCUUAUGUUGCCCUAAGCUUUAGUUGUUUUGCCCAAGGGAAGGGCUGCUUGACACUCUUUCACUACUAUAUAUCAUAGACUGCCUACUUCUCAAACAAAGGUGCUCAAAGGGGAAAGGACAAGAUUAGCCCAACAUCGCCCACAUUCCCUAUGUGGAAAUGGAUAAUGAAAAUGUCUUUGAGCAAUAAUAAGAUGAGGGAUUGCAGAACAUAGAAGCAAACACCAUUCAACCCUCACCCAUCUUUUAUUUAAACAAGGUACACCUGUUCUUUCUUUUUCACUCCUUAAUACCGCAUUCAAUUUCUCAUAUACAUUAUAGCAGUUUCCUUAUGAUUACUUGUAAGUUUCUUACUGGAAUUUUUGUUGAAAAUUUGCCUAGGAAGUGACUUUUGAAAUGGCUUGUAGCUUGGUUUUCUCUUCAAUCUGCCAUAAUUCUAGGUAUCACUGUCUCUACCUUUCCAAUUCUAUUUAUAAAAUCUUGUCCAUAAUCUCCUUGGGGUACUCACUUUUCCUUUUCCUUUGUUCUUUUUAGUUCUCAAUGACCAUUGAAGUUGAAGAGGUGAUAUGUGAUACUUAUGACUAUAAAAAGGAUAAGAGAGAAUCCAUUUAUUCCAUUCAAGGACAGGUGAAACAUUUAGCAAUAGCCACUAGUUAGUAAUGUCUUAUUCUGAUUUUUAUUCCAUCAGUUGUACUAUUCAAUUGCAUUUUUAAAUAUAAUAUUCUGAUUUCCAGAAUAGUGUUCAGACUGACAUACAAAGGAGGCUAUAUUAGAAGCAAAUGUAGUUUAUUAAUAUUCAAUUGUUGUGGUAAUUAGAUGGCUUUAUCAAUUCCUUUGUGUAGCCAUGAUUUUUUUAGUUCAACUUAUUAGAUGUCAUCAUAACUACUAUACAGUGUCUUGUCAUCUUGUUAUCAAAUUUUUACAUUUAUGAUGCAGGUUCUCAAAGAGGAUGGAACUCCGAUUAUUAUAUCAAAGACUUCAAAGUAUGGAUGAAUGCAGCUAGUUCCGAUUGUCCCAUGUUGCUCUUUUUUUAUUUUAUUAUUUUUGAGUGUCAACAUAGGACAAAGAAUAACCCAGCAAGACUAUAGUGAGUGACCGUCAUCUAUAUAUUUUGUUUAUUUAUUUUUCUAUUUUAAUGACUAAUUUUCUUGAAUUUUCUUCUUGUCCACUGGAUAUUCAUUCCCAACAUGCAGUUCUUCCUCUUUCUCUCCUUAAUACCACUUUUUAUUUCCCAUACACAUGUUAUUUCAAUUUGUUGCCAUUUAGCUUGGCUACCUCUUAACAGUAAUAAUAAGUCUUACAGUUUUUAUGUACCAAAUUGUUUACAUUGAUGAUGCAAGUGUCAAAAGGAUGGGUUCAAAGUAUCAUAGGAGGUACAUGUGGUCUUUUUAUUGUGCUGACUUAUUAGAAUUUUCCUCCUAUAUCAAAGGCUCGUUGGCACUUUAUUACCAUUUUUUAGUAUGAUAAAAAGAGGAUAAAAUACAAUCUAGCAAAAUUGUGGUCGAUGACUUUCAUUUAUAUAGUUGAUUCUACAUAUGAUUGUGUUCUAAGGACUAUCUUUGUAAAAUUUUCUUCCUUUUAUUUAUGAUAGAUUCUACAGUGCUUUAUAAAGGUCCUCUGAAUCAAGAUUUCAUCUGCAUCUUUAAUAAAUAAGAACCUAUUUUCUUCCCCUCUUGGAGAAGUUGCUCAUAACACUAUAUGAUCUUUAUAUAUCCUUUGAAAGUUGAGAACCAUCCAAUGCAUGAAACUUGUCUUUCACAAGAAACCAAGUGGUCUUUUCUUUGUGACCGUGAUAGCCCAAAACUACCUAAUGGAAUUACAACUUGUAUUUGUUCUAAUGUAUCCAACUUGUUUCCAAAUUGUGAGCUACUAUCAUAUUUACAUACGCCUAGUAGUAUAGAUUUGAGCAAAAACAAAAUUAUUUUGCGUCCAAUUUCUAAAGUUUUUAAUUUGAUGAAACUAUAUGUCUUCUUUUGGAGUUUGUAGGUUUUAAAGGUGCAUGUCCUAGGUGCCAGAGUAUAAGUAUUUUUCUUCUUAUUGAAGGGAAUUUGGGUUUUACAUUUAGAGGCUCCAAGUCUAUAGUGAUUGUGGCAAAUGCCUGUUGCACUUGUUAUUUUUGUUUCUAUUGUUGAUGUUGAGGGUGUAGAAAGGGGAUAAACAAAAGCAUAACAAGAUCAUGGUGUGUUACGAUUUUUAUUUUACAAUUUUAUUGGUCUUUUUAGAUUCCUAUUUUUACUGAUUUUUUUUUUUCUAAAUUUUCUAUGUUUAUGACUUGAGGUGUUCCCUAAACACUUGCUACAGAGAGGAUUUUGGCACCAGAAUUAUCCUUGGACAUUGCUUAGUUCACUUGUCUUCCAUAGAUAUGAACCUAUUUUUUGUGCCAUUUUGGAGAAGCUACCAGUAAAACUGAAUAGUCACACAUCUCUUGAAAAGUUGAGAAUCACACAUUUCUUUGGGCUCAUUCUGAGGAUUGGUUUGUCAUCCAUGCUAUUAAGUCUUAUGCUCAGUUGUUGUGAUGGUUUGAAAUUACUCUCUGAUGAAACUAUGACCUAUAUAAAUAACUGCUUGCAUUUGUUUUACAUAGAUGAAUUGCUUGUCUUUUUGCAUUAUUUUGCAGAAAGGAUUUUAUGAGCACUACUAUGUUUUUUUUUCAUAUCCUUUUAUAUUGAUGCAUUUCAUAUUACUCCUUUUAUGUGGAUGCGCAAUGCUGAUCAACUCUCCUCCUUUUGGAUGUCUUUCUAACCAUUGUUAGGAUUCAUUAAAAAUUACCUUUAUCAAACCUACGGAAUUUUUCAAGUUAGUUAUAACUUGUACAAACCUUAUGUAACUCGAAAUGCUUUAUUUUUAAAACAGUCCAUGCCUAUUGGCAACUUACAUGUUUUUCACUACAUUUUUUUUCAACGAGGAAAUGAGGCAUUUUUCUUUAGUAGUAUAUUGUGAUUCACAAAGUAUAAACUCUUGCAGAUUGAAAGAAAGACAAUUUACAUAUCAUUCAACAGUAAUCAGUAAGCACUUUUAUAUGUUUAUAGCUUCUUCUUAUACGGUUUGUCUUUUAUGGCAUUUACUCUUUUGUUAUUCACAUAAAAAAAACACCUGAUUUACCUUUCAAAUAUAAAAUCCAGUUAUGCAGGAAGGCCAUAAAUUGAAUAUGAUAAGAUGGGAAAUGUGUUUCAUGACAACUUUGUGUUCUUGCAUUAUAAGGUUUAGUAAUUGUGUGUAGUUCUACAAUAAACAACAUUCUAUUGACUUUGGAUUUGGAAUUUAACUCUAAUGAGCAUUUACUUAUUUUUCAUACAUUUUUUAGGAAUCCUGUCAAUGAGAUUUUGCUUACAAAAAACUAGAGGUUUGUUAACUCUCCUAUAAUCAGAGACUAGUUCUCUUGCAUAAAUUUCAAGCAAAUUUAUAACCCUCUUCUUUGACAGUCUUUUAUAUUGGAAUUAAACAUCUUGGUGUCUUUGAAUUAUUUAAAUAUUGGAAGCCAAUUAAGGAGUCAUGCAAUGGCAUAUUGUGAAACUUGAUACACAUAAAAAUAAGAUCUAUUAUGUUAUUUUUCUCGCUAAAGAAUCAAAACAUAUGCUUUUGAUUUUGAAUGUUUCAGACUUCAUGUCUUCUCUUUCAUUUACGAUACUGUCGUUGGUGAACAGGGAAUGUUGUCAAGAAUUUUGGAGCUUGACCAUCUGGCCUUUUCCAAUUCCUUAGAGAUUGGUAAUAAUCCAACGAUCAAUUGUUUUCCCAAAGUGGCUUAUGCUAGCAUAAGAAGAUGUGAAAUUAUCAGUGACCAUUCAUUGUAAAGAAAUCUUGUUAUUAUGGCAGGAUAAUAGACAGUAAUACAGUCUCAAAAUUUUGGGACUUCGGCAUCAACACCUUUCUAAGACUCAGAUUUGUAAAUGGAAUGAUGCAAGACAUCAACACAUUCGUAGAAUUCUUUAAGAAUUCUGUAACCGAAUCAAGGUAAUUCUCAAUUCCCUUGUCUUUAUUAGAUGAAUAAUACUUGUUUAUAUAUACAAUUGAGAGUCCUGAAUUAGGAAGGUAUUAUCCCUAAGGAAACAAUCAAAUUAUGGUAUGUACAGAUAUAUACAGCUAACACUCCCCCUCAAGCUGGAGCAUAGAUGUUGAUCAUGCCCAGCUUGUUACAAAAGUACUCAACUCGAGUUCCAUUUAGAGCUUUUGUAAAAAUAUCCCCAAGUUGCUCUCCAGUCUUCACAUAGCCAGUAGAGACUAGAUUUUCCUCAAUCUUUUCACGAAUGAAGUGACAAUCGACCUCAAUGUGUUUGGUUCUUUCAUGAUAGACUGGGUUCGCAGCAAUAUGAAGAGCGGCUUGAUUGUCACACCAAAGCUUUGCUGGCAUUGUGCACUUCAUUCCCACUUCACAUAAGAGUUGAUGUAUCCAUAUGAUUUCACAAGUAGCCUGUGCCAUGGCCCUGUACUCAGAUUCUGCACUCGAACGGGAUACAACACUCUGCUUCUUACUUUUCCAAGCCACUAGAUUCCCGCCAAAGAAUACACAAUAACCUGUAGUGGAUCUUCUAUCAAACUUAGAACCUGCCCAAUCCGCAUCAGAAAAACACUCAAUGCGAGUGUGUCCCUGACUACUAUAUAGUAUGCCUAGACCAGGAGCCUUCUUUAGGUAGCACAAAAUCUGCUCUAAAGCCGCCCAAUGCUUUAUUGUAGGCGCAGAUGUGAACUGACUAACAACAUUUACUGCAUAUGCAAUAUCUGGUCGCGUCACGGUGAGAUAAUUCAGCUUCCCAACCACUCUCCGAUACCUUUCAGGGUUGUAGAAGGGAUCUCCAUCAUCUGGCAUAAGUUGUACAUUAGGAACCAUCGGGGUAGUACAUGGCUUUGCUUCUAUCUUACCGGUCUCUUUAAGCAGAUCAAGCACAUACUUCCUUUGUGAUAAGAACAUCCCUUUCUUGCUCCUUGAUACUUCUAUUCCCAGGAAAUACUUCAGUUCACCCAAGUCCUUUGUAUGAAACUUGGAAUGCAUGAAUGUCUUAAGAUCAGAGAUUCCUGCAUGAUCAUUUCCUGUAAUAACUAUAUCAUCGACAUAGACACAGAGUAUGAUACCAGCAGCUGAUUUCUNNNNNNNNNNNNNNNNNNNNNNNNNNNNNNNNNNNNNNNNNNNNNNNNNNNNNNNNNNNNNNNNNNNNNNNNNNNNNNNNNNNNNNNNNNNNNNNNNNNNNNNNNNNNNNNNNNNNNNNNNNNNNNNNNNNNNNNNNNNNNNNNNNNNNNNNNNNNNNNNNNNNNNNNNNNNNNNNNNNNNNNNNNNNNNNNNNNNNNNNNNNNNNNNNNNNNNNNNNNNNNNNNNNNNNNNNNNNNNNNNNNNNNNNNNNNNNNNNNNNNNNNNNNNNNNNNNNNNNNNNNNNNNNNNNNNNNNNNNNNNNNNNNNNNNNNNNNNNNNNNNNNNNNNNNNNNNNNNNNNNNNNNNNNNNNNNNNNNNNNNNNNNNNNNNNNNNNNNNNNNNNNNNNNNNNNNNNNNNNNNNNNNNNNNNNNNNNNNNNNNNNNNNNNNNNNNNNNNNNNNNNNNNNNNNNNNNNNNNNNNNNNNNNNNNNNNNNNNNNNNNNNNNNNNNNNNNNNNNNNNNNNNNNNNNNNNNNNNNNNNNNNNNNNNNNNNNNNNNNNNNNNNNNNNNNNNNNNNNNNNNNNNNNNNNNNNNNNNNNNNNNNNNNNNNNNNNNNNNNNNNNNNNNNNNNNNNNNNNNNNNNNNNNNNNNNNNNNNNNNNNNNNNNNNNNNNNNNNNNNNNNNNNNNNNNNNNNNNNNNNNNNNNNNNNNNNNNNNNNNNNNNNNNNNNNNNNNNNNNNNNNNNNNNNNNNNNNNNNNNNNNNNNNNNNNNNNNNNNNNNNNNNNNNNNNNNNNNNNNNNNNNNNNNNNNNNNNNNNNNNNNNNNNNNNNNNNNNNNNNNNNNNNNNNNNNNNNNNNNNNNNNNNNNNNNNNNNNNNNNNNNNNNNNNNNNNNNNNNNNNNNNNNNNNNNNNNNNNNNNNNNNNNNNNNNNNNNNNNNNNNNNNNNNNNNNNNNNNNNNNNNNNNNNNNNNNNNNNNNNNNNNNNNNNNNNNNNNNNNNNNNNNNNNNNNNNNNNNNNNNNNNNNNNNNNNNNNNNNNNNNNNNNNNNNNNNNNNNNNNNNNNNNNNNNNNNNNNNNNNNNNNNNNNNNNNNNNNNNNNNNNNNNNNNNNNNNNNNNNNNNNNNNNNNNNNNNNNNNNNNNNNNNNNNNNNNNNNNNNNNNNNNNNNNNNNNNNNNNNNNNNNNNNNNNNNNNNNNNNNNNNNNNNNNNNNNNNNNNNNNNNNNNNNNNNNNNNNNNNNNNNNNNNNNNNNNNNNNNNNNNNNNNNNNNNNNNNNNNNNNNNNNNNNNNNNNNNNNNNNNNNNNNNNNNNNNNNNNNNNNNNNNNNNNNNNNNNNNNNNNNNNNNNNNNNNNNNNNNNNNNNNNNNNNNNNNNNNNNNNNNNNNNNNNNNNNNNNNNNNNNNNNNNNNNNNNNNNNNNNNNNNNNNNNNNNNNNNNNNNNNNNNNNNNNNNNNNNNNNNNNNNNNNNNNNNNNNNNNNNNNNNNNNNNNNNNNNNNNNNNNNNNNNNNNNNNNNNNNNNNNNNNNNNNNNNNNNNNNNNNNNNNNNNNNNNNNNNNNNNNNNNNNNNNNNNNNNNNNNNNNNNNNNNNNNNNNNNNNNNNNNNNNNNNNNNNNNNNNNNNNNNNNNNNNNNNNNNNNNNNNNNNNNNNNNNNNNNNNNNNNNNNNNNNNNNNNNNNNNNNNNNNNNNNNNNNNNNNNNNNNNNNNNNNNNNNNNNNNNNNNNNNNNNNNNNNNNNNNNNNNNNNNNNNNNNNNNNNNNNNNNNNNNNNNNNNNNNNNNNNNNNNNNNNNNNNNNNNNNNNNNNNNNNNNNNNNNNNNNNNNNNNNNNNNNNNNNNNNNNNNNNNNNNNNNNNNNNNNNNNNNNNNNNNNNNNNNNNNNNNNNNNNNNNNNNNNNNNNNNNNNNNNNNNNNNNNNNNNNNNNNNNNNNNNNNNNNNNNNNNNNNNNNNNNNNNNNNNNNNNNNNNNNNNNNNNNNNNNNNNNNNNNNNNNNNNNNNNNNNNNNNNNNNNNNNNNNNNNNNNNNNNNNNNNNNNNNNNNNNNNNNNNNNNNNNNNNNNNNNNNNNNNNNNNNNNNNNNNNNNNNNNNNNNNNNNNNNNNNNNNNNNNNNNNNNNNNNNNNNNNNNNNNNNNNNNNNNNNNNNNNNNNNNNNNNNNNNNNNNNNNNNNNNNNNNNNNNNNNNNNNNNNNNNNNNNNNNNNNNNNNNNNNNNNNNNNNNNNNNNNNNNNNNNNNNNNNNNNNNNNNNNNNNNNNNNNNNNNNNNNNNNNNNNNNNNNNNNNNNNNNNNNNNNNNNNNNNNNNNNNNNNNNNNNNNNNNNNNNNNNNNNNNNNNNNNNNNNNNNNNNNNNNNNNNNNNNNNNNNNNNNNNNNNNNNNNNNNNNNNNNNNNNNNNNNNNNNNNNNNNNNNNNNNNNNNNNNNNNNNNNNNNNNNNNNNNNNNNNNNNNNNNNNNNNNNNNNNNNNNNNNNNNNNNNNNNNNNNNNNNNNNNNNNNNNNNNNNNNNNNNNNNNNNNNNNNNNNNNNNNNNNNNNNNNNNNNNNNNNNNNNNNNNNNNNNNNNNNNNNNNNNNNNNNNNNNNNNNNNNNNNNNNNNNNNNNNNNNNNNNNNNNNNNNNNNNNNNNNNNNNNNNNNNNNNNNNNNNNNNNNNNNNNNNNNNNNNNNNNNNNNNNNNNNNNNNNNNNNNNNNNNNNNNNNNNNNNNNNNNNNNNNNNNNNNNNNNNNNNNNNNNNNNNNNNNNNNNNNNNNNNNNNNNNNNNNNNNNNNNNNNNNNNNNNNNNNNNNNNNNNNNNNNNNNNNNNNNNNNNNNNNNNNNNNNNNNNNNNNNNNNNNNNNNNNNNNNNNNNNNNNNNNNNNNNNNNNNNNNNNNNNNNNNNNNNNNNNNNNNNNNNNNNNNNNNNNNNNNNNNNNNNNNNNNNNNNNNNNNNNNNNNNNNNNNNNNNNNNNNNNNNNNNNNNNNNNNNNNNNNNNNNNNNNNNNNNNNNNNNNNNNNNNNNNNNNNNNNNNNNNNNNNNNNNNNNNNNNNNNNNNNNNNNNNNNNNNNNNNNNNNNNNNNNNNNNNNNNNNNNNNNNNNNNNNNNNNNNNNNNNNNNNNNNNNNNNNNNNNNNNNNNNNNNNNNNNNNNNNNNNNNNNNNNNNNNNNNNNNNNNNNNNNNNNNNNNNNNNNNNNNNNNNNNNNNNNNNNNNNNNNNNNNNNNNNNNNNNNNNNNNNNNNNNNNNNNNNNNNNNNNNNNNNNNNNNNNNNNNNNNNNNNNNNNNNNNNNNNNNNNNNNNNNNNNNNNNNNNNNNNNNNNNNNNNNNNNNNNNNNNNNNNNNNNNNNNNNNNNNNNNNNNNNNNNNNNNNNNNNNNNNNNNNNNNNNNNNNNNNNNNNNNNNNNNNNNNNNNNNNNNNNNNNNNNNNNNNNNNNNNNNNNNNNNNNNNNNNNNNNNNNNNNNNNNNNNNNNNNNNNNNNNNNNNNNNNNNNNNNNNNNNNNNNNNNNNNNNNNNNNNNNNNNNNNNNNNNNNNNNNNNNNNNNNNNNNNNNNNNNNNNNNNNNNNNNNNNNNNNNNNNNNNNNNNNNNNNNNNNNNNNNNNNNNNNNNNNNNNNNNNNNNNNNNNNNNNNNNNNNNNNNNNNNNNNNNNNNNNNNNNNNNNNNNNNNNNNNNNNNNNNNNNNNNNNNNNNNNNNNNNNNNNNNNNNNNNNNNNNNNNNNNNNNNNNNNNNNNNNNNNNNNNNNNNNNNNNNNNNNNNNNNNNNNNNNNNNNNNNNNNNNNNNNNNNNNNNNNNNNNNNNNNNNNNNNNNNNNNNNNNNNNNNNNNNNNNNNNNNNNNNNNNNNNNNNNNNNNNNNNNNNNNNNNNNNNNNNNNNNNNNNNNNNNNNNNNNNNNNNNNNNNNNNNNNNNNNNNNNNNNNNNNNNNNNNNNNNNNNNNNNNNNNNNNNNNNNNNNNNNNNNNNNNNNNNNNNNNNNNNNNNNNNNNNNNNNNNNNNNNNNNNNNNNNNNNNNNNNNNNNNNNNNNNNNNNNNNNNNNNNNNNNNNNNNNNNNNNNNNNNNNNNNNNNNNNNNNNNNNNNNNNNNNNNNNNNNNNNNNNNNNNNNNNNNNNNNNNNNNNNNNNNNNNNNNNNNNNNNNNNNNNNNNNNNNNNNNNNNNNNNNNNNNNNNNNNNNNNNNNNNNNNNNNNNNNNNNNNNNNNNNNNNNNNNNNNNNNNNNNNNNNNNNNNNNNNNNNNNNNNNNNNNNNNNNNNNNNNNNNNNNNNNNNNNNNNNNNNNNNNNNNNNNNNNNNNNNNNNNNNNNNNNNNNNNNNNNNNNNNNNNNNNNNNNNNNNNNNNNNNNNNNNNNNNNNNNNNNNNNNNNNNNNNNNNNNNNNNNNNNNNNNNNNNNNNNNNNNNNNNNNNNNNNNNNNNNNNNNNNNNNNNNNNNNNNNNNNNNNNNNNNNNNNNNNNNNNNNNNNNNNNNNNNNNNNNNNNNNNNNNNNNNNNNNNNNNNNNNNNNNNNNNNNNNNNNNNNNNNNNNNNNNNNNNNNNNNNNNNNNNNNNNNNNNNNNNNNNNNNNNNNNNNNNNNNNNNNNNNNNNNNNNNNNNNNNNNNNNNNNNNNNNNNNNNNNNNNNNNNNNNNNNNNNNNNNNNNNNNNNNNNNNNNNNNNNNNNNNNNNNNNNNNNNNNNNNNNNNNNNNNNNNNNNNNNNNNNNNNNNNNNNNNNNNNNNNNNNNNNNNNNNNNNNNNNNNNNNNNNNNNNNNNNNNNNNNNNNNNNNNNNNNNNNNNNNNNNNNNNNNNNNNNNNNNNNNNNNNNNNNNNNNNNNNNNNNNNNNNNNNNNNNNNNNNNNNNNNNNNNNNNNNNNNNNNNNNNNNNNNNNNNNNNNNNNNNNNNNNNNNNNNNNNNNNNNNNNNNNNNNNNNNNNNNNNNNNNNNNNNNNNNNNNNNNNNNNNNNNNNNNNNNNNNNNNNNNNNNNNNNNNNNNNNNNNNNNNNNNNNNNNNNNNNNNNNNNNNNNNNNNNNNNNNNNNNNNNNNNNNNNNNNNNNNNNNNNNNNNNNNNNNNNNNNNNNNNNNNNNNNNNNNNNNNNNNNNNNNNNNNNNNNNNNNNNNNNNNNNNNNNNNNNNNNNNNNNNNNNNNNNNNNNNNNNNNNNNNNNNNNNNNNNNNNNNNNNNNNNNNNNNNNNNNNNNNNNNNNNNNNNNNNNNNNNNNNNNNNNNNNNNNNNNNNNNNNNNNNNNNNNNNNNNNNNNNNNNNNNNNNNNNNNNNNNNNNNNNNNNNNNNNNNNNNNNNNNNNNNNNNNNNNNNNNNNNNNNNNNNNNNNNNNNNNNNNNNNNNNNNNNNNNNNNNNNNNNNNNNNNNNNNNNNNNNNNNNNNNNNNNNNNNNNNNNNNNNNNNNNNNNNNNNNNNNNNNNNNNNNNNNNNNNNNNNNNNNNNNNNNNNNNNNNNNNNNNNNNNNNNNNNNNNNNNNNNNNNNNNNNNNNNNNNNNNNNNNNNNNNNNNNNNNNNNNNNNNNNNNNNNNNNNNNNNNNNNNNNNNNNNNNNNNNNNNNNNNNNNNNNNNNNNNNNNNNNNNNNNNNNNNNNNNNNNNNNNNNNNNNNNNNNNNNNNNNNNNNNNNNNNNNNNNNNNNNNNNNNNNNNNNACUCAGCAGACCAACGAUAUCACUAUUAAUAGAGUUUUUCAUCUGCAGAAAUAACCGUGCAUCAUCUUGCAUCCAAAGUUUUCUAGUGUGAUCAUUAGGAGGUUCCUCAGUCAAGUGGUCAUCUUUAGCAACACUUCUCAAAUAAAUUUUGAUAGUCUUGCUCCAUUCAAUAUAAUUAGACCCAUUUAAUUUGUGUUCAGUUAUUUUUGACACAAUAGGCACUAUAUCAGCAACAGAAUUCUUACUCUCUUCCAUGACAAUAAAAUUUAAUCUUCAAAGCAAUCAGCCAGACCAGAAAUUGCAAUUUACCACUCCAAGAAGAAAAAAACAAAUACCUCUCUUACAAGGUGACAAAAGGGUAAAAGGGUCAAAAGCGUGCGUCAAACCCUUGACUCCCUCUCUUUCUCACCCUGAAAGUCGUGAGUCGUGGCGACCAAGGCGGGCGAAGAAACUCAGAUCGGUCCGGCAGCACGAGCCGGAGACAGAGCAGGGCUGCUGACAAACGUGGGUCGUGUGUCGGGCCCGAGAAGAAUGGAGGCCGGGGCUUUCAAUGAUCUCGGACGACGCCGACUGGUUGAUUUCUGGCGUGGAUUUGGGCGCAAACACGGUGCUGCCGAUGAGGAAAGGCGUCGUGCUGAGUUUUCGGUGGGGGGCUUAGGGUUCCGGCCGAGGUGAAGACCGCGUUGACGGAGAACGGGGCGAAGAGAAGGCGUGAGAGGGUGGCGGGAUCUGAGAAGAAGGCGACAGCGAUUCCACAGUCGUCGAUGAAUCUUUGCGAUCCCUCGACAGUUGAUCGAACACCGGAUGAGAAACGUCGGAAAGUCAGAUCGAGAGAUGUGAAACGUCGGGACGUCAAAUCGGUGAAGAAACGGCGGCCUCAAGCAAUCCCACGCUCCGGAAACGAGAAUGCGCUCCUCCCUGGGUCGGCGGUGACGCAAUCCAGACCAAACACGUAACAGGUUACUGUUCCAGAUUGUUAGGAACAAAACCCAAAACCCAGAAAAUUCCCUUGAACCAAACGUGGCUCUGAUACCAUGUAACCGAAUCAAGGUAAUUCUCAAUUCCCUUGUCUUUAUUAGAUGAAUAAUACUUGUUUAUAUAUACAAUUGAGAGUCCUGAAUUAGGAAGGUAUUAUCCCUAAGGAAACAAUCAAAUUAUGGUAUGUACAGAUAUAUACAGCUAACAAAUUCUAAAUGUGAUCUUGGUAUCUUAAUGAUAGGCCAACUUUCUUCAAUGUUGCUAAAAAUUGCAGUCCAUAUAUACUACAUGGGAAUCCACCCAUGGACAAGAAAUGUAUGUUGCUCUAUCUUCACCUCUCAUUGUCUCACACCCUAUUGCCUCAAGUUGCAUUACCUGUCAUAAUUAAACACCUCUUUUAUCAUUGUGACAAAACAAGUUUUGCCAAAACGAUAUGAGAUUCCCUUUGAUUUCAAGUUAUGCAAGAUUUAUAAGAGCUCAAUUAUUCUGAAAACAUGAUUCAUAAAUACUACCCUAACAUUCAGUUCAUGAAUACCAUGUACCAGAAGAAGGCACUAAGAAAUUUAUGUCAUUUACUUUCAGGAUUCUAUCUUCAACUCUAUUUCAUGCUCAAUUGUUUUAUUAACUAUAGUUGCUUUGAAUGAACAUGUCAAAGUACAAGUACUAAACUAGUUCAUUUCCAGUCAAAUUACUAUUCCUGAUUCAUAGAGUAUAAACCCUUGCAAAUUGAAAUAAAGAAAAUUUACAUAUCAUUCAAUGGUCAUCUGUAAGCACUCUAUGUGUCUACAUCUUCCUCAUUUGGAUUUGGAAUUUAACUUCUGAUAAGUGUUUACUUGUUUUUAAUUUGUUUUUUAGGAAUCCAGUUAAUGAGAUUUUACCAACCAAAAACAAGGGUUUGUUAGCCCUCCUACCCUCAGGCUGGUUCUCUUGCAUAUGCUUGAAGAAUAUUGGAAGCCAAUUAAUAAGUCAUUGCAGUUUCAUAGUCUUAUAAGAAAUCUUGUUAUCGUGACAGGAAAAUAGACUGCAACAUAGUCUUAUUUCCCUUCAUGAUUUAGACAUUGUGAAUAUCAAAAACCUGUUCCCUGGUAAUAGAAGAAGAAAAUCAGCCAAAGAACAACAACAAAAUGUUUUGGCACCUUGUGGACUUGAAUUGAUGGUAUUCAGGUGGCAUAAAUAUACAAAAAUACACUUAACAAACUACUAAUCAGCAGGCCAAGAUUCUACUUCCAAGAGACAGGGUUGUCAUCCAUGUCAAGAAGGCUCGAACUUUAUUGUUGUGGGACUUUGGCAUCAACAAAUCUUUGGAAUUCUUUCAGAUUUCUAAAUGGAAUGGUUCAAGUCAUCAACACAUUCCCAUAAUUCUUUUGUAAAUGUCAUCAUCAUGGCCAGCUUUCUUUAGUUCAUAUGUACUAGAUGGACAAGAACCACAACACUUGUAUUAGAAACAUGUCUGUUGCCUGGAUUUGCAUUACCUGCCAUAAUUAAGAACCUUUUUAUUAUUAUAGUAGAGUGUUUCAAAGUCACCCAUACCUAGUCUAUCUCCAUGUCUCUCAAACAGUUCGGCCCAUUGGUAGCAAAAGAAGAGCAACUUGAAUAGUUGGUCAUUUCCUUUUUAGGAAUUAAUUGUACCGCAUUCCUAUACAUAAUAUGUAUAUUGUGAAGAAGAUUAUUUGACUUUACCCUUUCUCUUCUUUGUUUUUUUCAAUCUAAAUUGGAGUGGUGUGUGACUGUGUCACUAUUGCCAGAUUUAAAUGUUAAUGUCAUAGAAUGCAUUAAUAGUUUUCUAUUAGAAUAAUAGAAUCCAAUUCGACUAGAUACUAGACAUAAGUAAGCGUAGAAUAUAGAGCAAAGGAUAAAUGAAAUGAGGGAAACAAAUGAUUCUAAGAAGGGUUAUUUGUCUUCCUAGUCUUCCAUACAAGAAAGGAAUUUUCUACGUCCUUUUCUUGUGUCAAAAUAAUAAUGAUCCUCAACACCUUCGUCAAAAAUUCCUAUUCUUAGCUUAGAUUUUUUUCUAGGUUUAUCAUAAUUUUAUAUUUAUUACGUAUAAGAAGUAAUGGACAAAAAAAAAAAAGAGAAAUUUAUUGAACAAAUAGAACUUCUUCAAUAAAAUUAUAAAAAAAAUAUUUCAACUUUGAUUAGAUACUAAAAUAAAUAGAGUAAGAAUCUAUUAGUAUAGAAAGGAUAUUAUACUAUGUCAUCCAUAAAAUCGAGUGAUUCCUUAUUUCUUCUAACUUUGAAAGGAUUGAUAGAUACUAUCGAGGAGCAAAUGUUUUGAAUCAAUCAAUCAAGUUCGUUUUUCAAAAACAUCAUCAGAAAAAAAAAAUGAAAUGGAGUUUUUUUAAACAUCGUAAAAGAAGAUUUGUUUUUUCUGGCAUUUAUACGAAUAAAAUCUUAUGAUUAUUAAGAACUCAAUGGGACCUUCCCUCUCGAAUCAGAGCCAAAGAGGGCGUGGGUCCCAUUGAGUUCUUACGUUUUCAUGUCGACAACUCAAUUCAUCCAAUUACUACAUGGAACCAUAAAAGAAAAAGCCUAUUAAACCAAUCACAGGAAUACCAGUUACAGUACCUACUAGCCAAAGAGGAAUCCUUCCAGUAGUAUCGGCCAUUUACCCUACUUUCCUCCACAUUUCAUCAAGUGGUCAUACUAAAGACAUAAAUAGUCAUGGAUAAUUAUGAAAUGAGAUCCUUUCGAAUAAGAUAAGAGAAUUCUUACUAUUAUUAUUUAUUUUAUUAGUCUCUUUCGUUCUCUUAAUUCUUAAUUGAAAAAAUAAUUGGAAAAUAAAACAACAAGUACAAAAAUGAGUAAUAACCCCCAAUAAAGAAUGGUACGAUUCAAUUCAACAUUUUGUUCAUUUGGGUUUGAUUGUGUCAUAGCUUUAUAAUUUGGAUUAGGUUUAUUGUUCGAUGAACUGCAUUGUUGAUAUUGACCCUAAAAAAGAAAUGGUAGGUACAGCUAGUCCGUGAACAACCAAUCAUCGCACUAUAAAAAUUGGAUAGGUUUGAUCUAUGGUCAUUAGGGCCUCCUAAAAAGAUCUACUAAAUUCAUCAAAUUGUUCCAAAGGACCAAAACGACCGGUUAUUAAUGGAAUUCCUUGUUGGCUCUCUAUAAAAUGCUCGUCUGGCUGAGGACUUCCAAACACAUCGUAAGCUAAACCCAUGCUGACAAAUAAACAACCCGCAAUGAAUAGGGAAGGUAUAGUAAUGCUAUGAAUGACCCGGUAUCUAAUACUGGUAAUAAUACGGACUACCCAUUUCAAUUGUUGUGCUUUCUUAAAUUGCAUACCUAUACAAGGGUUCAAGUUUCGAUCGAUAUUUGCGGAGUUGAUCAUCCCUCUCGAAAACGAAGAUUUGAAGUGGUCUAUAAUUUACUGAGUACUCCGUAUAACUCACGCAUUUGUGUACAACCAAACAGACGAAGUAACACGAAUAUCUUUGGUAGUAAGUCCAUUUCCAUCAACCGGCCGGUGGGAGCGAGAAGUUUGGGAUAUGUUUGGUGUUUCUUCCAUCAAUCAUUCGAAUCUACACCGUAUAUCAAUAGAUUAUGGUUUCGAGGGUCAUCCAUUACGAAAAGACCUUCCUCUGAGUGGAUAUGUGGAAGUACACUAUGAUGAUCCAAAGAAACGUGUGGUUUCUGAACCCAUUGAGAUGACCUAAGAAUUUCGCUAUUUCGAUUAUGCUAUUCCUUGGGAACAGUGUAGCAACGAAUAAUUAAGAAUUUAAAUAGGUCCAGUUCAGGGGACAAAGAAAUAGGAAAUGUUAUUUGCUUCGUUAGAAUAAGUUCUAUGAAAUGAAAGAGUUUCACGGGAAUUGUCUUGAUCGUCGGAUAUCAUUAAGAUAUAGUUAUCGAACGAUUUCCUGCAAUUCUUCCCAGUAUGGAAUGAGUAAAGAAUCAAGUUGUAAGUCUCGAUCUAUACGAAAUGCACUGGGUUUUUUUGUCUUUCUUUAGGUUUCAUUGAUAGCAGAAGAGCCUUGCCUUACUCUAUAGGGGCACUAGCGCUUUACUUUAUAUUAAAAGUAAAGGGGCCUGAAAAAACGUAAUAGGCUGCUACUCUAGGCUUGCUUCACUUCUUCAAGCUCUACCCCUUAUUUCAAACUAAAGCACUAACACACCUUCUAUUAUUUAGUAAAGCAACCUUUAAUGCUAGGCGCUCCCUUUUUUUUUCUAGAUGGAAGCUAGCGACAGGGUUAUAGAACAUGCAAAGCGAUAGAUUCUAUGAGACUCUUCCUGAAUGGGAACCCGUGAAGGAAAAUUGCGAAGCUUCGCCGCCAUCGGAGAACCCUCAACCAUCAACCUCUCCAAAGAAAGGGCAACUCUUAAGAUCUACGACCACCCUCUCCUCUUCUUCAAAAAGCGACGAAGGUAUCCAAAAUCAGAUGACAAAUCCGAUCGACGGUCCUAGUCAACAGCAUAAGGACUUUCUUCAAAGCGAAGGAGAGGAAUGUGCUUCCAGACAUGCCAAGCUCCACAUAUUCUUGUACAGUCAAAGGACGAUCGAUUUCGUAAAAGAUGAGAUCAAUAAAUAGAAAUUCACUGAAAAUGGAUAUUUGUGAGAUCGUCAAUAUUGUACCGAGGAUGUCUUUAGAGUAUACUCAAUCAAUAUAACUAUCCUUCUUCUACCAUAGCAACACAAUUUCAAAAACUACAGCAUUUGAAUAGCUUGUAUUCAGGUGGACAAGAACUACAACACUUCUCUCAGAAACAUGUAUGUUCUUUCUUCAACUCUUACUCUAUUGCCUGGAGUUGCAAUACCUUCCAUGAUUAGUCAUCUCUUAUUUAUUCUCAUGGAGAAACAGGUUUUGGUGUAUGCAGAGACAAUAUACAAUUGUCGCACCUCUUGAUUUUUAAUCGUGUCAGACAUCUGGAAUUGUCAAGCUGAUUUAUGGCUAACCUUGCAAGGACAUCUAGUGCAAGAGAUUCAGAAUUAUACCUAUCUAAUCCAUCUCCAUUUCUUUAGAACAACUAGAUACUAUGGCCGAAAUCUCACGUAAGGUGUCAGGUUCAUGUUGGGGUUCAUUCACGAGAUUAAAAUGAAUAUAGCAAGGGAUGUUCUUGAUCUACCACCACCCAUGUUGUCAAGUUGUUCAAUGCCACUACAAGAAAAAAGGUCAUUAUUGACAUAUAUCAUCUUGACUUAAGAUAAUAUAUGUGAAGAUUGUCUAUUUAAAUGAACAAUUAUGACAUAUACAAUUUAGUUUAAAUCAACAAUGACAUAUAUAAUAGUUAUUGCAUUUUUCCAUGACUUAUGAUGAUGCAACCAUGACAAAUAAUUUAUAAGUCAAUCUAUAAUUAAUAUGUUCAUAUGUCAAGGUACCAAAAUGAAAGCAAUAAUGACAUAUAUAUUAUUUGCUAAAUUUUUCUUGGUUUAAUGAUAUGCAAUCUUGACUAAAAAUUCAUUAGUCAAAGUAUAGUUAAUCUUUUCUAUCUAAAUAAAAGUAAUAAUGACAUACAUGCAUUUGCUAAAUUUUUAUAUGGUUUAUAAUGACACAACCUUAAUAGAAAUUUAUAAGUUAAUAAAUAUUUAAUAAAUUAAUAUUUUAAGAUUAGAAUAUUUGGUACUGUCACUUUAUCAUAUAUUUUGUAAGUGAAAAUAAGCCUAUUUUAUUUUAAUUUAUUAAGGCUGAGUUAUUGAAAAACAAAAUCCUAAUUUAAGGAAAUUUUAUCAAAUUUUGGUAGUUUUUACAAGCAUAUUCAUUAUUAUUUUGAAUAGAAAUUUGUGAUUAAAAAGGAUAAGAUAAUGUUUCCAUUUAAAAAAGAAUAUCAAUAUAUUGAAAACUAUUCCUAUAAUCUUAUUUUAAUAUUUUGGAUAAGGCACUAAGUUAUGUCUCUAUAUUUCUAAUUGUUGGAAUUAAAAUAUAUUGCCACUAACUUGGGUCGAGGUCUCACAAGUAUUAGGUAAUUAAAUUAUUAUUUGUGUUUAAUUAGACAUUAAAUCUACUAAGAAUAACUUAAUUAGUAUUUAGGUAUUAUAACUAAUUGUAGACCACAAAAUCAAUCCAUAGACACAUUUCUUUUAAAAUAUUUUAAGCCCAUUUUAUUUAGUUUGGGCCCAUUACAUUUAUGCUUUUGCCUGAUGAUUUGUGCCCAAUUGGUGUCUCAGCUGAUUUGUGUCCAGUUGGUGCUCCUUGAUUGAGGGAGUAAUCAACAAAAUUUAUAACCUAUUACACCAUGAACUAGGGUAGCAAAGACAAAGCUACUAUAACAUAGUGGCUCUAGGAUCGUUCACUGGGAUGGGUUUUCACUUUGCAAAUGAUAUUAAUUCAAAGCUGAAUUGGUGCCUUUUCAUUUCAAGGUUAGCUUUAAAAGAAAACAUAAAGAUGUUUGAAUGAAAAAAAAAGGUUUGGUUUUAAACUAACCAAAAAUAGUAACUGAUUUUACUUACAAAGAAAAGUGUUUCUUGGAGUUUAGAUCACUAGGCUCAGGUUCAUCAUACAAAAAGGAGAGUUCUGGUCACUUGUUUCUUUUCCUCGCAUUAGAGAAUUAACAUAUAGUUAAUUCUCUAACCGGUGUGGUACAGAUGCUUCCCCUUAAUGGGUUCAAACAAUAAAUCCCUCUCACUGAUGCACCUUGUAAUGGCUCGUGCCUCUCACCUAGCAUUUGCCAUUUAAGGUGAUCUUUAACCUUGGAUUACCCGUCAAAAGCUCGCAAGAGAUAACUAAUGGAUGUCUCCUUGGAGUCCAAAAGCUUACCAAGUGUUGGCAAUUCUAGAAAAUCCUACCUUCAAGUCACCUCCCAGAGGCUCGCAAGGGGUAAACUAGUGAAUCUCCAUGGACGGAGAUCACUUGCCUUACCAAGUGUUGGCCCAGGUGAUUUAAAGGCGUUUUAAGUUAACUAAAAAGAUAAAAACCAUUAACGGGUUACACUUUCUCUUCAUUAAAAACUAAAACAACAAAACUUCCAAUUUUUGCAUGAGAAAACUUACCCGGCUUUCUUCACUCCAAGAGACGAAGAGCCUAGCCUCUCAUCCUCUAAGGAAAAAUCCUCAGAGUUUGAUUGGCUAGAAAGAAAACUAACGAGAAAACAAAAAUAUCAAAAAGAAAUAGAGCAAGUGCUCUGUUCGUCGAUUACAUAUAUGAUAUAUCUAUAUUUUACAAUGGAUGCAAGGGAAUAUAUAUAGAGAAGUUUUUCCAACCUUCCUAGCUAAGAAAUCUUAUGGUUGGUGGAUUACAAGGAGAAGAAUGGAAAUUUAUACAAAAAUAUCUGAAGAAAAGAUCUAAAAGAGUCGGUGCACAAAUAUCCCAGUUCGCAUGUAGAUUUCGCACGUUGCAUGGUGACUUGCGAAAAUCUCGCAAGUUGAUUUCGCAACUUGGAAUCCAUUUUCGCACGUUGAGCUCCAAGUUCGCAAGUUGCAAAAUCACUUUCGCAAGUUGGGCUUCUCUAUGACUGUGCGGCUGUAUUCCAUUUCCAUUUCGCAAGGUAGGCUUUAAUUUCGCACGUUGGAGUUCCAAAUUCGCAAGAUGCGAAUUUGUCCUUUAGAUGGAUGCAGUUGUCUUGUGAAGGCCAUAUCUUCCUCAUUUCAGCUUCAAUUCGUACACCGUUUGAAGCGUUGGAUUCUUGACUUCCUGAGCUUUGAAAUGGUAUAUAGCAUGUAGAAAAUGGACUUUGGUUAGUGCUCCAAAAGUGCGAAAGAAGACUGCAGCUGCUGUCCUCUAUUUUCUUCACUCUGUUUUUCCUCUCUCCGUUGUUCUUUCCUUGCAUACUUUGAACGACUUUGGAAAAGGGCUAUGGAGCUCCAGAGCUUGGUUCUUCAUUAAUUUGAGCUUCCAAAAUCUUUGUCAUGAACUAUAUACAGCUCUCCUUCAUUCUUGGAUUGCUUUGGUGUAGCUAAAAGCUAUCAAAAACACCAAAACUUAACACAAUUUGAUUAGAAACGAUUGCAAGGGUCCUUAACAUGUCAAUUGAGUUAAAAGGUAAUAAUUACUACUCAAAAGUGUUUAAAAGAGUUAAUUACAAGCUAUCAAAUAAAACACUUUUUGAGUAGUAAUCACCUGAGCCAUAAAAAAAGCUUGAUAAAUAAGUUUUUUGUUUUUCCUUUCUAUUCCAUUUCCUUCCACUUACAGCCGCCCCAUCUUCCCCAUCUUCCUUUUUCUCUUCUUUUCCUAUUUUUUUUCUUCUUUCUUCUUUCUUUUUUCAUCCUCUCAUCCUCAUAUUCAUGGUAGCCUCUACGCCACCACCUCCAUCUCCUGUGUUGUUACCAUCCAUGAGUCCCACACCCACCAUGCCACCAUCUUUAUAUUCCCCCAUGGCUAUUGUUCCCAUGUUCACUACGACUCAAACGUGCUUCCCGAUGUUUCGCCAUAACCCCGAUGUGAUUCUUGAUGUUCCAUCACCAUCAUAGCCACCAUUGUUGCAGCCCACAGCCUUGGUACCUCCUGCACUACCCAUUGAAUUUUGUUGGACUGACAUCAACACCACCAUCUCCAUGGUUGGGACUUCGUUCUUCAUCUUAGGGCUUCAAGAGACGUAGGUAAGUUUCCUUGGAUCUCUACAAUACUUGUUGAGGUAGUUUUAAUUUAAUUUUUAUAUGGGCUUGGGUCUCAUUUUCUUUAUGAUUGGGCUUCAAAUAUUUGGUGCAUGGGUUUGAUGUUAUAAUAUUUUAUUACUUGGGCCUUGUGUUUCAUUUGGUUGAGCCCAAUAAUAAGAGUAUCAGGCACACAUAAGCAGGUUGGUUCUUUGAGAGCCUUGGAGUUUUGUUGAACCUUAGGAUUGUUGAGGUCAUGCUUCACCAUUGAUUGGGCUUCAAGCAAGAGAUAAGUAUGGAUGAGGCUUCAUCCUGGAGGAUAUGUGAGUUUGAAUAUCCACCGUGUUUUACAUUGAAUCUAGAAUCACAAAAUCAAUUCAAUUACAAUUGAUGAUAUUAAAGGUCAAUAGGUGUAUUUAUUUUAUUUUUGUGAUAUUGAAGGUUAGUAUAUUUACUGUCCUAUGAAAAAAUCUUUUAAUUUUUUGGUAUUUGUUACUUAAUUUUGUGUUUAUUCUACUAGGUAUCUAAGAAAUACAUCAAGAAGAAGACAAUGAUGCAGAAACAAAGAUCACCUCUUAUGAAGAUAAUGUUGUACUUUUCAAUUUAAUUUUGUAUAUUAUUUUAAUUGAAUGUUUUUAGCUAGGUUUUGUUUGUAUAUAGAAAAUAGAGAGGUACUUGAAAAACACUUAUGGAAUUGUUGUUCUUAAUAUUUAAUGUAUAUGUAAUGAUUUUUUUUCUUAAAUAGUAAUUUAUUUAAAUUAUUUUCGGGACUUGAUUGUGAUUAGCAUAAUUAAAAAUACACCAAAUUUAAUUUUGAGAUAGGUUUCAUAUGGUAUAUAACAUGUUCAUUUUCCAUUAAAAAAUAAAAAUUAUAAGAAAAUAAUAUUAAAUUUUUCAUAAGUUAUAUUGACAUAUGGCUCAUGCCCAAUAUUGACAUGUGCAGUGGCAACUAUGACAUAUGUGAUACCAAACAUUGACAUAUAUAAAACAAUUAUGAUAUAUAUAAAAUCUAACCUUGACAUAUAUAUUUAGAAAUCUUGACAUAUGUGGGAUUAAUCAUGACAUAUAUGACGUCUGACCUUGACACUUGUUGGAGUAACCUUAACAAAAGAGUAAGUUAACCUUGACAUAAGAUCAAGUAAUCUUGUCAUUUGUUAAAUUCAACAUUGACAGAAGUAAAAGAAACAUUGAUAGAUAUCAUACUAUUAAGAUUUCAUCAUUAGUAGAAAUAGAGAAAUCUUGACAUAUGUAUAUGUCAAGCUAGCUUUAAAAUUUUCUUGACACUAGCAUAGAUGACAUAUACAAAUAGUAACCUAUCUUGAUAGAUAUAUCUUAUCUUAACGGCAAAAAACUGUCAACAAUGGCCUUUUUUCUUGUAGUGUGCUCUCGUGUUGACCAUGGCCACAGUCACAGUUGUGUGUCCUUUCCCGAAAGAAAUAGUCAUUUUGAAACUUUUAUCAACAACAGAACUUUCAUGUAUCUACUUUCAGGUACCCACAAAAAAUUGAGUCCAACUUAGCAUCCAAUAAAGAAAAAGUAAUAAUCUAAACAAGGGAACAAGUGUUUUCCUUACUCUUUUUCAGUAGAAACCUAGUUUAUUUCCAAUAAAUUGAAGAAGAAACUAAUUCUAAACAUGGAAGACAAGUACUUGAUUUCUGUUUAACUAGUGGAAUAUUCGAACGUAUUUACAGCUUUAGCAUUAGAAAAUUUUAACAAAAUCACUAAUUAACCCCCAAACCCCCACCCACCACAGAGAUAUGUUACAAAGAUUCCUCUACUCUACAUUGCAGCAAAGUGUAAGGGGUUUUGUCCUUUCUUCAUCGUAAAAUGAAACAACCCUUUUCAAUAAAAGAAUAAGAGAAAUUGAGAGUUAAGACCAUUUUCUUUCAUUGUACUAUCGAUUCCUCUGCUUCUUCCUCUCUUAGUUAAGCCAAAUAGUCUGUGGUUUCUCCGUUUUUUCUUCACUCCACAUCAAAAAGUAGCAUCUUAGGUUCUCCCAUCUCUCUAUCCCUUGUCAAAACACAUAAUUUAAUGUAUUGAUGUCUUGGAUUCCUCCUAGUUAAAAGGAAGCUUGAAAUAUCUCCACUGCUUCUAUGUUUCUUUGAGUCAAGGGAUAGAGUCUUGUUUUUCUUUCUUUGUUUAUUUGAGAUGCUAGAAGAGGUGUGUAUAGAACUAAUGUGAUGUCAGAGAGGUAUGUAGUAUCUGAAUUCCCUUUAGUCAUGCAAAGUAGCCUUAGAGAUUUUUGGAGGCUUGGGUAUUACAGUAUAUUAAGAUAUUCAAAAUGCAUUAUUACACAUCUUCUUGACUUCCGACAACUCAACUUGUUUUUCACAAUCAUAAAUAUGGAGGUAUUUAAUUAUGGCAGGUGAUAUGCCUCUCAGAAAUUGAUGUGAAAAGGUGGAGAUUAAGGGAUGUGCACUUGGUUUUGCGAAUCAAACAACCCUCAUUUAGUAUAAACCACAAAUUUUGGCAACUCAUGAUCCAUAAUUUUGAGCAUGGGAGGAAGCAGGCCUGUUGGAAAGAUAGGAGGAGACAGUUAAAAGCAUGCGAGAAUUCCAUGGAUGAGUUGCUCUUAUGAAUUAUUCAGAAUCCAUGAGAAACUUCAAAGCUUUUUCUUCUUUUUUUUAUCUUUUUUUUUUUCCUUUACAUAGUUAAUCAUCUUGUUUGAUGUUUGCCCUAUAGUUGGUCUACUGAUGGUAGGCUUCCUUUGGGUGGAAGUAAGGACUCUACACUAAAGGUAAAUUGUGGGAACUAUGUCUUUUUGUGGUAUUGAUGGGGUUAUCAUAUAGUUUUUUUUUUUUUUUUGAUAAGUUAAGGGGAAUAUGGGGUUAUCAUAUAGUUGAUUGAUUCUAUGGCUUCCUUAUAGCUUUUCAAGGCUCUAAAAAAAGAAAAGAACAAAGGUAGACCUAGGAAAAAUAUUCUUCCUGAUUUCAGUUACUCUUUCUAUAUGAACUCUUUAUUUUGGUAAAUUACAGUUAGAGAUGAUCAUAUAGUUGAACUAGGUUUGCUUCCUCUCCUUUCCCUUUCCUUCCCCUUGAGGAAAUUUUUUAUCAUUGCUUAGUUUUGACUACUCUGUUUCUUUUGAUCAUUGUGGAAUAGCAUCAUUAUAAGAUGUACAAGAAACAUGUUGUGGUGCAUUAUUCCUUUCUCUACCACCCAAAAUCUACUUUCCACAAUCAUAAAUAUCGAAGUGUUUAAGCAUUAGGUAAGACAUCUCUUGAUAAUGAUGUGAGAGAUAUAGACAAGUAAUGUUACUAAAUAACAAGAAUAUGUAUAUAAAAAAAAAAUAACAGAAUAAGAAUACACAUAUUUAUGUGGAAAACCUUAGACUGGAAAAACCACGGGUAGAGGAGAAAAAAAUUCAUUAUAUUAAAAAAUUGAUACAAAAGGGGAGAGAUGCGAGCGACUACUUUAUAAGCAUAGACAACAUAGCCCUAAUAUUAUACAUAAUUGCAAAUAUAUAUAUAUAGUGUGUGUGUGUGUGUGUGUAUGCGUGUGUGUGUGUGUGUGUGUAGGAGAGUAAUAAACAUCAUAACCCUAAAUUCUAUUGGCCCGAUCCCUCCGCUACCACCACAGACUCUCCAAAAAUCUCACAAAUUUUUCUUCACCACAUAUGUCGUAUCACGAGCUUUUUGGGUAAGACUAAAUAGAAUUCGAGUUACCAAACUCUAACAAACAACAUACCAGUAUUCACAAGAAGUGAUGUUCUGCUUUUUCACUUUACAACAUUCAUUUAGUUUGAACUUUAGAUUCAAGCAACUCAAAAUCUCCGCCUUCAUUAGGAUUGUAGGAAGCUAGCUUCUUGGAAAGACAUGAAAAUGGGGCAUUUAGAAAUAUGGAAGAAUCCCAAAGGCCAGUUGCUACUUUUGAAUCAUUCCAAUCAAUAACAACUCCAAAGAUAUAUACAAAUUUGUUCUGGGAAAGAGAUGUUUCCUGGGCAUGUAACCAUCUCUUUAAUAGACUCAGGGUUGUGCACCCUCUUAGUGAUUUCUUAUAUAUUGUAGUGAACCUAUCACACCCCAAACCCACUCCAAGGGCAUUACGGUCAUUUCACACGUCAAGCCCAAAGGUUCAAAGUAGAAACGAUACAAACAGUCGUAUUGUAACUGAAAAUUUACCAAUUACCAAAUUCCUAUUCAGAGUAGUAGGACAAAAUUCUAAAAUUUCUAAGUAUCAACUUAAAAAAAAAAAAAAAAAAAAAACUAAUAUAUCAACCAAAGUUUUAUUGUCCAAAUAACUCCAAACUCAAAAUAAUUCAAACGAGAAUUAAAUUUUAACAUUUAAACAAUGUCCAAAAUAAAAAGAGUUUAAACAAAUAUCCUAUUAAAGCCAAAUUUCCCUCCUAACGAUCACUCAUCGCUCGAACUGAGGUUACAUGAAAGAUUAUCAACAAAGGGGGAUGAGCUCAAAGCCCAAUAAGAAAUAUUAAUACAGUUUCAUGGAUCAAACAUUUUCAAUCAUCCUUGCAAAUAGGAAAUAUAACAUAUACUUAUUUCAUAAAAAACUUUUGAGUUCAAAAUGCUAAUACAUUCAAACUUUUCAACAAAACUUUCUCAUAUUCAUUUCAAAACCAAAUUAAAUACAUUCAAAAUAUCUUUACUCAGGUUAUCAAAUGACAAAUAGUGCCCAAUUAGGUGGGACUUCACAAUUGAGCAACUAGUUUCAAAUUUUUUCCAUUUAAGGUGAACAAAACCAAAUGUCAACAAUUAUAACUUGUUGACUAGGGUCAUAUAAUCUAAAGUCAAACACUUUAUUUCAUUAAUUCAAACUUACAAAACAAAACAUCGUAUCUCUUCAAUUUUUCAUUUUUCAUAAACAAAUAAAAUGCUCAAAUAUACUUUUCAUACAAAACAUAUAUUUGAUCCACGCGUAAAGAUAAAAAUAAUAUUUUUACACAUUUCAAAAUACAAUAUAAAAAGAAAAUUAUUUUCUUUUACAAAAAUCUGCAUUAAUUUCCCUCACCUCAAAUAAGUACUCAAAAACCUUGAAGUAUUUAACCCCGAAGAAUUUCGUCUCAAAGAAUCUAUUUCAAACCUAACAAAAACAAAAAGACAACUAUUACUAUUAACUAUUUAUCUAAAUUUAUAGGUUUGGGAACCCUAAUAAUUUUCUAUAUUAUGUCACCUAUUAUUUUUAGUAGGAAUUUUCUUAACUAAGUCGACAUACUUUUACAAGCUCUUCUUAAGCUUUGAGUGGUUCAUAGUUUUUCCUGUAUUUAGUUUUACAUAAUUUUGGUGAAAAGUGCAUGAGGAAGAACCAUAUAAAACCACAACUCACUUUUGGAUGCUGAAUCUACAAAAUAUAAAUUGAAAAAAAUAACGUAUUAGGAUAGGAUAAAUAAUAAUUUAGAAAACAACUCCACAAAUGAAAUAUUAAGUAAAUGCAAAUUUAAUAUUUUAAAAGCUUAAUAAACUCAAUUAAAGAUAUAACCACAUGAUAUACAAACUUGGGGAAACUUAUGACUACCACUAAUUUCAGAUGUCUAAAAUUUAUAUAUAUCUUAGACAACAUUUUGAUAUGUAAACUAAUACGUAAAUUUUUUUAAUUUUAAAAAGAAAAUUUGGCAGCCAAGCUAGAAAUUUAGCAUAUUCAUAUAAUAUAAAGAAAAAUAAAUUAACUAGAUGCCUUAAUGCAUUGCUCUAUCACACUAUUUAAUAGGAUUUAGAUACUACAUAUUCAAUGUUGUCUAAAAAGUCAACAUAAAUAAUAUAAGAGGGAAAUAACAUUUUGCCUUACACAAUUAAUCCUACUAAAAGUUUGUUUUGUUAAGUCACUCAUCUAAUACCAUAUUUCAAGAUGAAUUAUUUGAGCUAAUUUUCUCAAGGAAAUAAUUACUUUGGUGAUAGCUACAUAUUAGCUUAUUUUUAUGAUAUGAUGUAUCAAUUAAUAAUUGUCUUCAUUCACCAAGAUAUUGACAACGAUUUCAAUAUAUUGGUCGAUAUUAUCCAUGUUUAUUUUAUUGAAUGUCAAAUCAAUACCUUAUAAACUAAACAACAAAACAAUUAAUAAGUGUAAAAAGAAUUGAUAUUGGGAAAUCCAAGCCUAGGAAGUUUAAGGGGAAGUGAAGUAAAAUAGCCUUGACAAAGAAAAAAAUUCAAAGAAAUUGGUAUAAUAUAGCCAUGUCCCUCUACUUAGAUUUUCAAGACCUAGAAAUAUGGUUAGCUCCUGUAAAAAUUUUCAUUUCCAUGCUCUUUUAUAACACUUUCCCUUCGAUGUGACUAUUUCAAUAUCCUUUAUUUUAAAAAAAUAUUUUUACUUAAUAAGUGAAAAGAAUGGGGUAUUGUCUGUUUUACUUUGCUUAGUUCAAUGUUCAUUCCCAAGAAGUGCUUAUUCUUUAUACUCAAUAUCCUCACUAUGAAUUAGUUCUACUCCAGAAAUUACUUAAUGGUUGUAAUAUUUCAGGCGCACUUCUACCUAUCACUUUUAGCAAAUGUGAUUUGCUAGAGUAAUGUACUUAAAAGCCUACUGCAUCACUCAAGAAGAAUACCCAAACAAACCAACAUAGUCAUAAGGCACCAUAACAAGACAUACAGUAAUUAGUAACUUCGAUGAAAGAGAGGUUUUGUCUUUAUUUUAGUAACUUUGGCAUAGUUGAUGUUUGAAAAUGCUGAGGGAAUGCAUCCCUUCUGGCAGUGAUUUCAAUUGGGGGCAUUCAGAAAUCUAGCCUUUCCCUAAUAUCCUUCAUUCUAUGAUUCAUCCAGACCAAAAAAGCACCCAGCAUGUCUGUCUUUCUCCACAAGUCCUCCGUUGCUAAGUCAUCAACAUACUAUAAAACAUCUUUAAGCUUCUGUACCCAAGUUGUUACUGUUGCUCCUCUUCAGCAUCAGCAAGUACAAAUUUGAAAGAGGACAGUGUGUCCUUAUGCUUCAUAAACUCCUCUUGAACCAUACAUCUCUACAAAAACAAAAUACCCUAACCUCAUCAAAAGAUUGUCAACAAUAUUACUGAAUGAAAUUUGUUCAGCCAUCUUUCAAAGGUCUAAGGGAAAAUGAAAGGAGUUUUAGCAACAGAAAAAAAUGAGAAAAGCCAAGUGAGGACUGAAGGGUCUGAAUAAACUUGGGUGUGUUUGCUCUGUUCAAUUCAAGUGGGAUUAAUUACUUGACCCUCAUGAUUGACCUACCUACCAUAUUUUUCAUUUUUUUUUCUUAUUAAAAUUUUCAGACAAAUAAAAUUACUUGAAAAUUACUGGAUAUUACUUAUUAUUUAAAAAUUAAAAUAAAAAUUGCUAACCUUCUUGUAAUAUAAUUAGUAAACAUAUUUUCGUUUUAUAAGUUAUAAUCAAACCGGUUUAUAUAUCCUAUUUUUAAAAAUAACAAAGACAGAAAAUUGUCUGAAAAUGUGAAUCUCAAUAAUGAACUACACCUAGAGGGGGGUGAAUAGGUGUUGUAGAACAAUUUAAAAAAUCCUUCCAACAAAAAUUACCUAACCUUAGACUAUCUUAAUGUCAAGAAUUUUUUCUUCUAAUAACUUUUCAACAAAGCAAAACAUCCACAAGCAAUAAUGUAUGCAUCAACACUCUCCCAACAAUUUAUAAGUGCAAAACACAUGCAAAUGCUUCAACACUUCUCAAAAAUAAAUCAAAAUAUAGAGUGAGAGAAAGAGACAAUGAACACCGGAUUUUUAACGUGGAAAUCCUCCGAAGAGAUCAAAAACCACGGGCCUAUCACCGAUUGAAAACUCCACUAUGAAGAAUAAAAACUGAGUACAAGGUUUUACCUAGCUCAAGCCAACCAAUCCUUCCCGGAAUACUUGACUAGUACCUUCAUUUUCAGCUUCCCCUUUUGGAGCAUACUUGGAGUCCGCACCAAGCUCAAUCUCGGCCUCUUCUUGAAUCCACACAAGAAGAAAAUGGGUUUUUGCACAACCCAAAUAGAAUGAGAGAUUUAGAUGUGAAUGAAAGAAUGAAUCAACCCAUUUAUUGCUCAAGAAAAUCCAUUGAAAACUAGUUUUGAAAACAUUAAGAGAAGUGGAUUUUCUUUGCAAUCAAAAACCCCAACUUAGGAAAGCAAAAAUGAGAAAUGAAGAACACUUGGAGUGUGGCUGCUCUAACCCAUUUUCUGCAGUCUCUCAUUUUAGAAAAUGAGAGAAGAUUGGUUUUUAAAGUGUAAAAAGAAACCCUUAAUCUAAUGGCUGAGAUUUGAUCAAAAAAACAUUAGUUGGAUAGAUCCACCCCUACACUUGGAUCGAUCCAGAAACAGAGGAAUGAAAGCCUUGCACCAAAAACCAUUUUUCCCAACUUUCUAACACAUUUAAAGAUUAAAAACCGGGUUGAUUCACACCCAAUCACUCCACACUCGACUACAUACCUCGGCCUCUUAGCAAAGUCUUAGUCUUCAAAGUCAAGUAGUCCGAAUAGGAAUAGGAAAGCCGAGUUAGGGGACACUUAGGAAUUUUGUCUGGAAUUGCCAACCUAGCUAAACACUCACAUUGUCCAUUGAGCACCUAAAUAUUUUAAACUCAUUAUAAUAAAAAAAAAUGUCCAAAAUAUUUAUUAAAAAAACUAAUUUAAUUUUAUAAUCAUUUUUCAACCCAUAAAUUAUCAAAAAAUAAACUAAAAUCUUUAUCAAGGUUUUUCUAAGUAGAAUUUAAAAAAUGAGAAAUUAAUAUUUUGAACUCCUUAAAAUCAUUAAAUUAAAAUUUUAAAAAAUAAAAUCUGUUUGAUUGUAUUAGAAUCGACAAUAGAAAUGCAAACAUGAGUUUAUAGCUCUUAACAUAUUAGAUUAUGAAACUAAAUGUAUUUUAGAUAGUGGAGUUAGUUCAUACAACAGAAAGGAUGAGGUAUCCAAGAUGUCAAAUAAGGUUGGGGUUGAAGGAAGUGAAGGGAAAUUACCAUAGAUGUGAAAUAAAAAAGGUUGUGAUCCCAUAAGACAUCACUUGACAAUAUCCAAGAAAAUGAAUGACAAAAUAUCAGAAUAUCAACAAGCAGAUUGCAUACUUUAUAUCAAGGUACUUAAUUGUUAUGAUGCAAGCAUUUGAAAUUUUUUUGGUGCAAGAGCUCAAACAUUUCCUAAUAGAUCAUACCGGUGGGUUGAUGCUAGAGAUGUUGUCAAUGCACACAUUCAAGCAUAUGAGAUCCCAAAGCCAGUGGAAGAUAAUGCUUAGUAGAGAGGGAUUUACACUAUUCCGAGACACUGAAGAUUUUGCACAAGCUCUACCCUAAUUUACCCCUGCCCAAAAAGUAAGUUUCUAUUAGUUAUUGGUAGUAUUCGUUUGUGACAUCAUUAGAGUACUUGCCAUUUAAUCUUCUUUUUUUAAUCGUUUGUAAUAUUGUUUGUUGUAAUAGUAGAAUGAUUGUUUCUAUCCAUUAGAUGUAAAUAUGGUGAGACAAACCAUAUUUAAAACCCUACAUGCCUCGUAUUAAUAAUUUAUUUUUUCUCUUUGUAUUAAUGCAUCAAUAAAUGGUAUUGAAGAAAUUACUUUUACAACAAAGGUUACAAGAUUAUAAGUAGGAUCACUUUGAUACAAUGAUGGGAUAAAAGAAAUAGAUGGGUUUAUUGAAUGCAAACCUCCAUACAUAAAUGAUAGAGACUUAACUUGUUCAAUAUAAGUUCCUUGAUGUAAAAUAUCAAUUUUUUUCCAAAGUCUUUAUGGCUAUUGGCCUUUCCAUGGAAUACCAAAGAAAAAAAAAAAAGAAAAACCCUCCUUACCUGAGCAUUCAUUUGAACCUUGUUUCGAAGAAAAAAGUUUUAUUAAUCCAAACCCUUUUGAUUUAUAUAUGACAUGGGACUAUGAAGAGUUUUAAAACAACUCAAAGAUAACAAUAAAAAUUGAGGUUAAAUAGUGAAAACUACAUUAGAUUCCAAUAAUAGUUUUAUGAUAUAAUGUUUCAUUGGCAGGUUUCAUAAAAAAAUGAAGUAUUCUAUGAAUACGACUUUCGAUGCCAAAUUUUGAAUUUUCUAAUUCCUUAGUUUAGUGGUGGGUCUCGUAAAAAUUGAAAGUUGUGGAAAAGUAGAAUAUGGACACAAUUUUUUACUUAAUGAGUAGAUUUUACAACACCUUCAAGUAAUUACCCUGAAAAUGAUAGGUCAUUGCAUUGAAAAUGUAUUAAAUUUAAUUGAGAGAUUAUUUAUAAAAAUAUCAUCAUUUUUUAAAAGAAUAAUAUGAUCUUACCAUCGUCUCCAGUUGGAAAGCAAUUUAUGGUGGUGCUAGAUUUUUCUUAAUAUAUUCUUGUUCCUUUUUCUUUUACUUUUUUUUUUCUUUUUUUGGUGCAUAUUGUAAGGUUUCAAGUUCCUUUAGAAAUAUGAACAAUGAUGAAUGAAGAGUUAGAAAUUUUGGAACAUUAAGUACAUAGUUAAAGCCAUGUUUAGAUAGUUGAAAUUCCUUUAAAAAAAAAUACAAAAAAGAAAAAAUGAAAGAAGUUCAAAUUUUAUUUGAUUAUCUUAAAAAUAUCAAAGAAAUUACAAAUAAUGAAAAUUGUUUAGAUUUUAUGUACUUUCUAAUAUUUACUCUUUAUAGACAAAAAAACAAAUAAAUUUUUUUUAGGUUCUGAAAAUCAUUAAACUUAAGCUUAAUAUUUAUUUUUCUUGAUUUUUAGUGUCUUUCUUAAUUUUCCUUUAUAAUGUUUCCCACUUAAUCCAAAACUUUCUAAGGUCUAAAUUUCACGGCGUUUCAUCUUCUUUUUAAUUAAGAAGUUUUGAAUUUUUCAAUUCAAAUUCCAAAAUAGGGUAAUAAAACUUUAAAAUUAAUAUAACAUCUUAGACGAAUUUGGUUGAUUUGGUAAUCAACUCGAACCAAACUUGAAUUAAGAAACAUUCAACCCUAACUAACCAGAUAUAGCCUCAAAUAUGAGGUGUUUAAUUCAAACUCAACUUAUUUCUAUAUAUUAAAGUUAGGCUUAAAUUGACUCAGGUAUACUCGUAGUUGAGUUGUUUAAGUUGUAUGAUCAAAGCUAAGUUUUGUAAGAUUGAAUUAGGGUGAACUCGUUCAUAAUGUUUUUUUUUUUUUUUAACUUCUUUUAUAUCAUAAUUUAAAUAGAAAAUAGGACAACAUUUAAACAUUAUUAAAAAAAAUGAGAAUGAAUUUAUGUAUCUUUCUAACAAAAAUGAAAUAAUAUAAUUAAAAUUUAAUAUUUUUCUUUAAAUACUAAAAAACAUAAAAUAGAUAUUAUUAUAUAAAAUAAAAUAAAUUACAAAUAUUAUAAAAAUAUAAAAUUAGGUUAUAUAUGUAUGUAUGUAUAAAAUAGUAGUGUGACUGAGUGUUUGCUACUUGUAAAAAGUAUUUUUGCUCUUUUUUUAAUUGAAAUUAAUAAAAAGAAAAAGAAAUAAAAUGUUUUCAAAAAUAUUAAAUGCAUAACUAAAAUUAUGCUAAUGAAGUUUUUUGUUCUUUGUAAUUUAAAGUUGUCUCAUUCAUAUUUUAAGGUAAACUAAUAGAACAUUAAACUCCCAAUAUUUUAUCCAUCUAGAAUUUAUCACCAUUUUAUUUUAUAUCAUAUCAUAAUUAUAUUAAUUAGUGCCUUCAAGAAAAAAAAAAUUAUUUAUAUGUUAGACAACAUGGAAAAGAUAUAUUUUUUUAAUGCUUAUUAAUAAUUUUUAUUUCAAAUUUUAAAACAUGAACAUAUAAAUUUUAACAAUUAUGAAAUAUUAGUCUAAAUAUCUUUUAAUAUUUGGUUAUGUUUGCAAAGUGUUUUUAAUAAGAAUUAUGAAAAAAAAUUUUGAGAGUAAUUUAUGAAAAUAUUUUUUUAAAAAAAAUAUGUUUUAAAAAUAACUUUAUCUUAUAUAUAGUUGUGGACCCCGCAUUUCGGCUUAUGAGUUUUCUACUCGAUGGCAAGCUCGAUUUUAAUUUGAAAAAUGAUUUUUAUUGAUUAAGAAAAUGACUUGGAGUCGCCACUUAUUUUUGUUUUAUUUUUAAAAGGAUAAACAAAAUAAGAAAGAAAACCCUAAGUGCGACUCCUUAUUUUGGAAAAGGUGAUCUACGAAAAACUGGAUCAGACUCGGGGGUCAGGUUGCUUAUCGAGAAGGUACGGUAAAGACCGUAGCACCCCUCUAAGUCCCUAAAGUCGGGUCUCUACUAAUAAAAUGAAGCUGACAUGGCAAUCAAUAGGAAAAUCAAUGGAUACUCAAAUCGAUUAGGUGCAUAUGGGAAUCGAAACAUGCAAUAAAGAAUGACCAGAAUAGGAGUGGAUGCGUACCUGGACCACGAACGAAUAAUGCGCUAUCAUAGAAAUAGAGUCAGUGCACAAUAUAGAGCCCGAAACACAUCACAUGCAUCACUAAGCAGGGAUUAAAAUUGGUAGAAGGAAAACUCGAUUUUUGAAAUUCAUUUGAGAAUCGAAAUCUUAGCGAUCAUUUGAAAAUUGGAGUUUUGGAGAUUAUUUGAAAAUUGAAUUCUUAGGAAUUGAAUGUAAGAAUGAGAAUUUUAGAAAUUAAAUUUGAAAGAAAAUUGGGAUUUUGAGGAAUUAUUUAAAAGUUCGGGAUUUUUUUAAGAGAAAUUGAGUUUACGAAAAUUGGGACUUUGGGAGUUGAAUUUUGAAAGGGAUCAGAGUUGUGAGUUAUUUGAGAAGUAGAAAUUAUGAAAGUUGAUUUAUAAAAAUUGGAAAUCUUGAAAAUCAUUUGAAGGCGGACCUUUUAGAAACGAAUGAAUAAAAUGAUAACAAUAAUAGUGAUAACAAUAAGUGAGUAACCGGAUAAAUACGAUAAUUGGAAUAUUGAGAAGUGAAAAUUAAGUUCGGAGAUAGGACAAUUGGAAUUUCGGAUGACUAAAUUUAGAAAUCGGAAUUUUGAAGAAUUAGACUUUAAUGGUUGAGAUCUUUAAGAGGAAUAAAUAGGUAAGUAUAGAAUAAUGUAUCUAAUUAACGGAAGCAAAAUUUUAAACGAAUAGAAAAUAAAUAGUGGAAUUUUUAAGAUUGAAAAUCAAAUUAGGACGUUGGAUUUUUGAAGAAUUGAACUUUAAAUAAAUAGAUAAGUGGGGGAUAAUAAUUCUAAUUGAUGAAAAUAAGAUAUAGAAGAAUAGUUGAAGAAUUAAUUAAAUUAAGACAUGAGAUUUUUGACGGAUUAGACUAGAUAAAUAUGGGAUAAUGGUUCUAUUUAACGAAAAUAAGAUUUAAACGAAUAUUUGAAGAAUUAAAUUAAGACAUGAGAUUUUUGAAGGAUUAGACUAGAUAAAUAUGGGAUAAUGAUUCUAUUUAAUGAAAAUAAGAUUUAAACGAAUAUUUGAAAGAUUGAAUUAAAACAGGGGAUUUUUGAAGGAUUAGACUUUAAAUAACUAGGUAAGUAUGAGAUUAUAAUUCCAACUGAUGAAAAUAAGAUCUAAACGAGUCAUUGAAAAAUUAAAUUAAGACAUUGGAUUUUUAAAGGAUUUAGACUUCCAAUAACUAGAUAUAUACGGGAUAAUGAUUCUAUUUGAUGAAAAUAAGAUUUAAACGAACUAUGGAAAAAUUAAAUCGAGACAUGAGAUUUUUGAAGGAUUUAGACUUUAAAUAACUAGAUUUAUAUGAGAUAAUGAUUCUAUUUGAUGAAAGUAAAAUUUAAAUGAACUAUUGAAAAAUUAAAUUGAGACAUGGGAUUUUUGAAGGACUUAGACUUUAAAUAACUAGGUAAGUAUGAGAUUAUAAUUCCAAUUGAUGAAAAUAAGAUCUAAGCGAGUCAUUGAAAAAUUAAAUUAAGACAUUGGAUUUUUUGAAGGAUUUAGACUUUAAAUAACUAUAUAUAUAUGGGAUAAUGAUUCUAUAAGAUUUAAACGAACUAUUGAAAAAUUAAACUAAGACAGGGGAUUUUUGAAGGACUUAGACUUUAAAUAACUAGGUAAGUAUGGGAUAAUGAUUCUAUUUGAUGAAAAUAAGAUUUAAAUGAACUAUUGAAAAAUUAAAUUAAGACAUGAGAUUUUUGAAGGACUUAGACUUUAAAUAACUAGGUAAGUAUGGGAUUAUAAUUCCAAAUGAUGAAAAUAAGAUCUAAGCGAGUCAUUGAAAAAUUAAAUUAAGACAUUGGAUUUUUGAAGGAUUUGGCUUUGAAUAAAUUAAUAAGUAUGGGAUUAUAACACUAAUUAACGAGAAUAAUAUUUAGGCGAAUAAAGAUGAAUAGUAGAAUUUUUGGGAUUGGAAAUUUAAUUCAGAAGUUGGAUUUUUGAAGAACUGGACCUUAUAUAAAUAAAUAGAUAUGGAAUAAGGAUUCUAAUUAACAAAAAUAAAAUCUAGACGGAUAAUGGAAUUUCUAGGAUUGAAAAAUUAAAUUAGGACAUGAGAUUUUUGAAAGAUUAGAAUUUAACUUUAAUAAAUGAGAUUUUUAAAAGAUGAUAAAUAGAUACAUGCGAAAUAAUAAUAAUAAUAAUAAUAAUUGUCAAACAUGAUAUUUAAACGAAUGAAAUUGAAUAGUGUAAAUUUCGAGAUUGAAAAUUGAAUUUGGGAUGUUGGAUUUUUGAAGAAUUAGAAUUAGUUUUUAACGAAUGAGAUUUUAAAAGAUGAUAAACAAAUACAUACGAAAUAAUAAUAAUAAUUAACAAUCAUAAUGUUUAAGCUAAUGAAAUUGAAUUGUAUAAAUUUCGAGAUAAAAACAUAAUUAACAAUAAUAAUUUUUCUUUAAGUUGUCUUUAAGUUUGAGUUAACUAAAUUGGUAAAAAUGAAAUAAGAAAAAAAUAAAAAUGAAUGAAUGACUUAAUAAAUUACUAAAUUAGAGGUUUUAAAAAAAAAAAACUUGUUUAGAAAUGAAAUAGCCAAAUGGGCUAUCUUGAAAUGGGUAUGGCCCAUGAGAGGGAUUAGUUUGAGGAGCAAUGAGGCUCCCCAUCAAUAUGCUUGGGCUGGGCUCCAAACUCAAGCCCAUAUUUGAUACUAUGGGCAAGCCCAAUGGGCUAACUUGAUCACAAACUUGGGCUUGGUGCUCCAACACAAGCCCAAAGCACCCACCUUUUCAACACAGCCCAUUCAUUUAAGAGAAUAUUGCCCUCCAUCAACACGCCUAGGCUGGGCUUCUUCUCAAGUCUAAUGUCCAUCAUGGACAAGCCCAAGCCCAUCACCAACACAAACUCCAUCACAGCCCAAGGCAUCCCUCUCCAUCUGGGCAACUCCUUCAGGCGAGGCCUCCACCAGCAGCGACGUAAAAGAGAGGGGAAGGGGUGGUGGCUUCGAGGGCGGCGCUGAGACGGUGGAGAUAUAUGGCUUUCGAAGCCACGACACCAGCAAGUGGAUGUCUUCGCCGAUGGCGCCGUCGACCACGCCGCGGAAGCAGUCGAAGAGGACGGCGCGCGGGCCGCCGUCGACGGCCUAGAGAGAGGCGCUCCGAACUGAAGCAGCAGCGCCGAACUCCAAAGGCGGCUCUGGCGAGGUUCGUGGGGAACGAAAGGCUUGCUUGGCUGCUGCCCGUUCCCCAGCCACUGAAGAGGGCUCGCGCGCAUAGAGGUCUGAGUGAUGGUGGGUACGCGGAUAUAGAGAGAAAAGGUGGUGAGGGGUGGGAUUUGCAUGAAGAUGGGUAUGGAAAGAUGGGUGUUUACGUGGAUGUUGCAGGGUUGGGAUGGAGUGACGAAAACUUUGUGUGGCCAUGCACGGCCAUGCAAGCAUGGGGGAAAUGAGCUUGACGAGUAUUGGAGUAUGGGUAUGAAGAUGGGUGUGGGGAAGUGAAGGCGGCCAUGCAUGCAUGCUUCCUAUGCGUGAGUGAGAAAUGAAACUAGGCGGGUGGGGAGUGGAUGAUGGAGGGUGGCGAGUGGUGGAAUGACCAUGGAGAUGAUAUGGUGCAUGAUGGAUGGGUUUGGUGAGAGAAACGGGUAUUUGAAAGGUGGGUAGGAUGGGAGAUAAAUUGAUGGGAAACGGGUACUGAGGGAGCUAGUAAGAGAAUGGUGGUGAGGGGUGGCGGAGAGUGGAGGAAAUGAAGGUGGCAAAGUAUUGAUGAUGGGUAUGGUGGAGGGACUGCAAAUACCUCAUAUGAAAUCUCAAAACAGAGCCAAGAAGACAUAGAAAUCAAGCACAAAAUAGGUGUGAUCAAACUCAGAUGUUAAAAGCAAUACGUAAGGAUCUCCUAUACUCACAUUCGGACACCAGAAUAGGAUCUCACAAUACCCAAAAAAAAAACGACAGAAUGGCGUGAACACGAAAGCAUCAACAGCAUAUGGAAAUGAUACCUGUGACAACCUCCUUCAAGAUGUCUCACCGGCGUGUUUCCUCCUAUCUCUGACUAGCUCUCUCUCGUUUUCCCCUCCGAGCUCCUCCCAAGAAAAAUCACCAGUCUCUCCUUUUCCCCUUUUCUUUCCUCCUUCUCCCCCCUGUUUUCUUAUUUCUUCCUUGGCAAGCCAUUACUUGCCCUGCUGUUCACCCAUCAGCAAGCAUGGCCGGCCAUCACCCCCUUGCAGCCGUACGUCUCAUGCAUCCGGGAUCCAUGCCUCCCGUGGGGUCCCCUACCCCUUCUAAAAAUAUCAUGAAAAGUCAAGAAAUAACAACUCCCCGGGCCCUCACCACCAAAAGGGGUACUUCUCUAUUUAAAAUAACUCUAUGAAAACAAAUGGAAAUAAUUAAAAGAUUUAUUUUAAAACACUUUAUUUUUUUAUUUUUAUGAAUAGAAAACUAUUCUUUUUUUGUCAAAUAUGUCUUCUUGUUUUUGUUUUUCUAAAAAACAAAAAACUGCUUUAAAAAAUAAUUAGCAACCAUGCUUGAACCCAAAGCCCGAAGCUCCUGUGGGGCUGGUUUUGGGCCUUUUAGGUUUGGGAAAAACAGUCGGGCCUGGCUGAGCACAAAUUCUUCUCUUUUAAGUCCAAAAAGCCCGUCUGAAGCCCAAACUUUUGGGUUGGGCCGGGAAGCUCCUGGCUUAACACAAAUUCUUCUCUUUUAAGUCCAAAAAUCCAGUCUGAAGCCCAAAAUUUCGGGUUGGUCCGGGCGGGCGGGGGGCGGAUAUGAAAUAUAAGAAAAUAGAAUAUAAUUAUUAUUACGAUAGUGGAAUCUGAGAAAAGGUGGUGAGUGUACUACAAUUUUGAUCUUUUGCAGCAGAGAGUGAGAAAUGAGCGGGCAAGGCAAGGUGGUGUGCGUGACCGGAGCUUCUGGGUACAUAGCCUCAUGGCUGGUGAAGCUCCUGCUCCAAUGCGGCUACACCGUCAAAGCCACAGUUCGAGACCCAAGGCAGAUCUCUUCCCAAUUACAAAACUUCUCAUUCCCGACCCCACUUGCUAUUGUCCCCAAUUUUCUUCUUUCUUUAUUGUUUCAGUACUUUUCAAGCAUAAUGUUAGUUUUAUGCAUGUGGGUGGGCCGUUAUUUAGCAGUUUGAAACUUAGAUUGAGUGGUAUUUUGAUGGGUCUUUGUCCUUUUUCCUUUUUCAGAAGUUUAAUCUAUGAUUGAAAGUCAAUAUUCAGUACUCGGGUCUUUGUGUUGUCCUAAUUUUCUUGGAAUUAUACUCUCUACAUGGUUCUACAGGGCAAAUUGAUCGAGUUUAUGCUAUUAAAAAUGAUUUCAGAUACUUUCAGAAUCAAUCCAUCUCAGAUUCUGCAUGUGUUCCUUCUUAAUUACUACUAUUCUUGUAAAAAAAUUUGCAUUUAAUUUACAAGACACUGGGGGGGUCUAAAAAAGAAAAGCAAAGGGAAAGAAAGAUUUUCCUUCAGCCAUACCAAAUUGUUUUGGAACCAAAAACUCUAAAUAUGGGCCUGUGUUCUUUUUGGAAACCUAUUCUUGAAAAUAAUUUCAGAGAAACGAAGAAAAUCUACAAAUUUUUGUACAAUUAUUUGGCUUUAUUGCAAGCUUUUGUUGUUAUACAAACAAGACAAGAGGACAGUUUAGGUCUUCAUUUUGUUUCUUUGCUGUUCUUCGGUUUCCUCUUCAAUGCCUUUAGCUCUAUCUAUUGUUAGUAUUUCAACAAAUUGUACAUCACAACUGAAGUUUCUUGCACUUUGAAAAUCCAAUCAUCUUGCAUAAAUGAUCCAAAAGCUUGCAAUUGCAGUUGAGAAAAUGACUACUCUACAUGCCCCAUCCAUUUUACUUCAAUCCCCAUUCUUUUAAGAAGAGCAUAGUUGAACUUCUUAAUAUUCUAGUCAUGCGACUCAUGCUUCCACUGUAUACUCCUUAUGUACUAGGGUUUCCCCAUUUGGGGUUGUUUUUUUCUAUCACAUAAUACAUGUUCUUACCAAAAUAAAGUUUUUGUAAGCUUUCAUUCUUCUUAUUUCCAUUUAACAUGCAAGUUGUGCUUAUAUAUGCCACAGAUGAUCCAAAGAAGACAGAACACUUGCUUGCACUUGAAGGUGCUAAAGAAAGGCUUCAUUUGUUUAAAGCAAACUUACUUGAAGAAGGAUCCUUUGAUUCUGUGGUUGAUGGAUGUGAUGGAGUAUUUCAUACAGCAUCCCCAGUUGUGAUGAUAGUUGACGAUCCCCAGGUUUAUCCUAUAUUGGUUCCAUUCGGAUACUGUAAAAUUUAGCAUUGUCUAUAUUCUUUUUCAAUCAGUUACUGAUCUUGAAAUUAGUAACUAAUCAUGAAUUGUUAAUUUGCAUGAUUCUUCUUUCUGUAUGUGGUUUCUUCAACUGAUCCAAUGGUAGUGAUUGCUGAUUUCACUAAACCAAUACAAUGGUGGAAAAGAGAGACUGAUAUUGGAUUUUUUAUAUUCUGCUUAUGUGCAAAAAUAUUGAAUAGCUUUUUUUUUUUUUUUUUUCUUUCUUUCUUUCUUUCAUUCUCCCCCCUAAUCCUUCCUUUUCUCCACUUGUUAUGUUUGUUCAAAAGAAGAUAAAGGCCCUUUGUCUUGCAUCAAUUAGAACCAAAAACCCUGUGAAUAUUUAUUUAGGAAUGUAUAACUUCCUUGACAGCAGCAUGGGAAUGCUCACACCGUAACAAGGCUAUUCCAUGGAAAUUUAUGGUGGCUGAUCCAAACACUCCUUGUGCUUUUUUUGUUUUGAUAGGCAAAAGGGCAGAAGACGUGUUAAAGAGCCAAAAAAAAGGCUACACCAAGUACAUAGGAAAUACGCAUGUGCGCACCAAAGAAAAAACACAAAACCCUCUUCUUAAUGGCAACCUAACCAAUCGAUAAAAUCAAUCAUAUACAAGGACUCUUGCCCUAGACCCCCUUUGGUCCAUUCUAAAAAGUUACAAAGAAAAGAGAAUUUUAGCUCUUGAUAUGAAAGCUCAAUAUUAUCAAAAGCCUUUCUAUUCCUCUCUUUUCAAAUAGUCCAAAACAAACAAAGAAGUGCAACAUUCCACACCUUUUUUUUCCUGUCCCCAACAGAUCAGCUAUGCCAACUAAGAAGCGUUGCUUGGACUGAGGUAUGCAACACCCAAACCACUACAAACAAGGAAAAAACUAAUUGCCAUAACAAACUAGCCUUAGAACAAUGAAGAAGGAUGUGAUUGAAAGAUUCCUUCUCGUCUUUACAUAAAAAGUGUUUGUUUACCAAAGUCCAACCUCUCCUCUUCAAAUUGUCCAUAGUUAGAAUCCCCUUCCAAGUUGCUUCCCAAAACAAAAAAAAAACUCACUUUUAUUGGAGCCUAAGAAUUCCAAAUAAGCCUUGUCGGGAAAGAAUCUGAACCCCUUUGAACCAUCCCAUCUUAGAAAGAUUUAACUAAAAAUUGGUGGGCCUCCCUUUGUAGCCAUCCACACCACCUUGUCAUCCAUCUCCCUACUCAUUGAUUUGCCAUGUAAACGCAAAAGGAGUGCUUCAGCAUAACCUAACUCUUAAUCUUGGAAAUUCCUUACAAAACAAGGGUUCCAACACCCCUCAAAAUUAGUAUGCUUCCAAACAUCACAUACCCAAGCCUCCUUUGAAGUGGCUAUAGCAAACAAAGAGGGGAAAGAGGUACUCAAAGGGGUGCCCCCACACCAAAUGUCAUUCCAAAACCUUAUCCUUCUUCCAUUGCCCAAAUCAUAGGAAAUCUUGCGUUUGAAAGAAUCCCAUCAUUUCCUUAUAGCCUUCCACAAUUCUAUGCCAUAACCCUUCCUUAUCUCCAAAGAGCACCAACCUGCUUCUUCUACCCCAUACUUACCAAUGAUUUCUUUCUUCCACAAGGGCUCCCCUUUUGACAUGAACCUUCAACUCCAUUUGCCUAAGAGAGCCUUGUUCAAAAUAGAAAGAUUUUGAAUGCCUAACCCUCCCUCAUUUCGCUUUUGGCUUACAAACUUGUGCCAACUCACUAAGUGAGGCUUAUUUUCAAGAAAACCCCCCUCCCCAAAGAAAGUCCUUUUGAAUUUUUCCAAUUUACAACAGACCAUUCUUGAAAUAACAAAAAUGGACAUGAAAUAAAUGGGUAGGCUAGACAAGGUACUUUCGAUGAGAGUUAAACAACCCCCCCUUGGACAAGCUUUGUUUCUUCCACCUUGUGAGCUUUCUUUCCAUCCGCUCUUCCGCCAAAGUCCCUCAUUGUUGUUGAUUUAAAGGUAGCACCCAAAGGAAGCCCAAGAUACUUGGAAGGUAACAACCCCACUUUACACCCCAAAAUAUCCACCAACUCCUCCAUUAUUGGAACCCUUCAACUAAGAUUAGCUCACUUUUUUCAAGGUUGAUCUUAAGCCCAGAAAUUGCUUCAAACCACAUCAAGACCCAAUGAAGAUGCAAUAGUUGGUCCUUAGAAGCCUCGUAAAAAAUCAAUGUGUCAUCUGCAAACAAAAGAUGAGACACCUCCACUCCCUUGCCACUUCUACUUCCCACCUUAAAUCCCCCCCCACCCAAACAAACAAAAAAUCCUUGUUCUUAUCUUCAAGAGUAGAGAGUUAUAGCAUUUUAACUUACAACCACUGCCUCAAGGUGACUAAAGAUGCAUUCCACAAAAUGUUAGACAAGUUGCUUAUCAUUUUCUCCUGACCCCGAAUGCUAUAGGUAUAAGAAAUAGGUAAAUGUGCUUACUAAUAGUGGAUGCAUUCCACAAAAUGCUAGAGAAGUGGUUGUUUCCUUCUCUCUAUCUCUUUCCUUACCUCCUUACUCACCUCCCUCACCUUCCCAAAUUCUCUUUUCCUUUAUUUUCUCAAACAGCUCAGUUACUCCCCAUGAUUAUUAUUAUUAUUUUUUUAAAUGGGAAUGCUUCACAAGAUUCAUAUAUUACCUCCUUGCUAAUUUUAGUUAGUUAGGCACUGCCCCUUAAAAACUCAAAUAAUUCUACAUGAUUAUACCUUUGAUGUAGUUAUGAAUACAAGGAUCAUCCAUAACUCCUCCAAUUGCAUGACAUAUUUGUUGUGUUUCUGAUUCUAAACUAGCACUGUCAUAACAUGAUCAGCAAAAAAAUAAAAAUAAAAAUAAAAGUUACUUCCAGAAUUUGAUGGAUGAACCUUAUGGCUAUGUUUGGUUCCUACAAAAUUUGAGGCAAAAUGCUAGGGAAAGAAAAUAGAAAGGAAAAGUAGAAAGAAAGAAAAAUUGAAGGAAAAUUAAAAAUAGAUUUAAAGUCAAUAAAUUAUUUUUAUAUGUUACUUCAAACUUAUUUCACUUAUUUUAACUAUUGAAUAUAAAGAUUAAAUAAUUUGAAAAUUUAUAAGUUUCUAAUUAGUUUUAAUUAUAUUUGACUUUUUUUGGUAUUUUCUAUAGAACAAUCAAACAUGAGAAAAUCAUUUUCCUUAGUGUUUUUUUUUUAGUACUUUUCAAGAAUCAAACAUAAUCUAUUGAGUUUGUCUAUGAUGAUUUUGUUUAGCCUCAUUCACCAACCAAUUGGUUUGUGGUGUACUGCUAUACUUCUUUUCCAAUUUUAUUUUAUUUUUUUGGUUCAUUUUAUGUUUAAAGAGGUUUUAUUUGAUUUUAUUUUAUUUUUUUAUCAUAAUUCAUGUGUAACCACAAUUCCUUUGUCACCAUCACCAUGUGACUCCAUAUAGUGGUUGGGAGAGUUAGAUCCUGGAACAGUUAUGGAAUAACUCCAUCAAUGUUGUGCAUCUUUCUUUGAAAUGUAGGAAAGUGGCUUUUUUAUUUUUUUAUUUUUUGAAUAUCUCCUUCUCAUAAAUAGGUAUGGUACGCCCAACAACAUUUUAUUUUAUCAAAAUUCUUUGAUAACAUAGCUUAUCAAUAUGAUGAAAGGAUCAUAAUGUGUCUCAUCAACCUGAUUUCAUAUUGCACAAUGGAGCCUAGAUUUUGAAGUUCUCUCAGUUACGAAGGGAAAUCUUGUGUUGAUGUAAUGGCAGAUAUUGAUUUCUGUAGUUGGGAUUCUUCAAGGGUUUGGGAGGUGGGAGGAGUUCUAGAGGGAGAGCACUGUGCAGAGAGACCAACUUAGCUGGCUAAUGGAUUAUUCGGCUUCAGAGAAAUGAUUGGAUACUUGAGAACAUGAGAAAAUCUUUCACUGACUUGUGUGCUAAUGUAUAUUAUCUCACAACUCUUUGAAUACCUGUCACUGUAGAGUUCUUUAGGUUCCCUUUAAUGCAUAUACAUUCAUUUUUGGAUCGGAGAUCAAUAUGCCUUUCCCGUCGGAGAGUGCUUUUGUGCUGGAGGAGGCACUGCCUGUGCUAUUUCUAGACUCCUGACUGUGGCCAGUCCACUCUUCACUUUUUUCAGUUUCUGGACACAACAUGUUAUACAAUUAACAUAACAGCCUCUAUGUGAUCGAAUUCAGCUCCACCUCAAUCAUUGGAAUUAGCAGCAUGCCAACAAUCACAGUGUGGGCACCAGUUUUUAGUUAUUCACCUGCCUUGCUUUUCUGGUGAAGUCAGGCAGCAUCUUUUCAUUUCAGAAUGCAGCAUGCUGUUGUUUGUGACUUUUUGGCCAUCAGAGCAAUUGUGGAUGGCCCUUCAAUCGACAAAACUUUAUAGAUGUGUGUUUGUGCCAAAUCAAGGCUCAAGUUAUGAAUGAAAAUAUGAAAAUGAAAAGAGAAACAAAGCAGAAAUUCAUUUUACUAUGUCUCUGUUCUUUCCAUGAGGGAUUAGGCUUAUUCCUCUUUGGAAGACUCAGAAUCUCCUUUCGGUUUUUCAAUGGCUCCUUUCUCCUAUGACCUGUUCAAGAAUGCUGCUUUAUUGUGGACCUUCUAUGCCUUUAUUGAAAAAGAAAAAGUGAUAAGAUAUUUCAACCAGUUGAAAAUAGAGGACCCUGAGGCCUGAGAUAGACUGAUGCUAGAUAGAAAAUACAUAUGUAUGGAUAUUCAAACUUAUCUAGAAGAAAUAGAAGCAAAUGAUACAUGAUAAGUUAGUGUCAAAAGGUCAACUAAAGUCUUCGACUAGAUAGUCUACUUAGAUGUCAAAAAUGUAGUGGGCUCUUUAGCCUCAUGGUAGCCUAAAGCUCAAGUUUGGUUGAUGUUACCUAGCAAACUCGAGACAGAUGGAAAUUUCCAGCCUUUUACAGGUCCAUAGAUGUGUGAUUAUUAGGGCUUUUUAAUGUCAUUUGUGAUGGGGUUUGCUAUUGAUGUGAUGCAGAGGUCCUGAAACUAUUAGAAGGGAUGUAAAUCUGGUGAAAGAGUUGGAUGUUUAUGAUCUUAUGGGGAAGGAGAAUUGAGCAAUGGUUCUCUCUUGCAUGUCACUGGGUCAAAAAGGGUCAGGGAGAUAAAACCACCACUUGUGGAGGAUUGUGGAUCUUUUUAGAGACAUUGGCUGAUCAUUUCUUGAAAGUCUAGAUCGAGAAAUCAAGAAGAUGAGAGGCUGAUUAAGAGAGAAGUCAUGUCCUAUGCCAACUUUGUUUGAGUGAGCCAUAUCAUAUACUUCUACCUGGGGUUAAUCUUUAAGGCUGGAGGGUUCCUUGUCUCUUCAUUUUUUUCCCUUUAUUUUUUUUCCCCUUAUUGAAUCAUGUUCUUGUACAUCUACUUGUUUGAAGGAUUUCUCAUCCUUCCUUGUAAAUAACUGUUUGCAUAAUAUUAUCACACAAAAACAUAGAUCAUAGACAAGCUGAGAAUUUCUUUAGGAUCCAUAAUGUGAUCUUAUGUUUGCUUCUAUACAUAAUUAUUAGCUUUUAAUUAGCUUAUCUUCAUUGGACUACUUAUGUGGAGAUUUGUUUUAUCUGUUUCUCCGUGUUUCAGGCACAACUAAUUGACCCAGCACUAGAAGGAACAAUGAGCGUUCUAGGAUCUUGUGCAAAAGUUCCAUCUGUCAAAAGAGUAGUUGUAACAUCAUCUAUGGCUUCAGUUGCAUUCAAUGGGAAACCUCUAGCUCCUGAUGUGCUAGUUGAUGAGAGUUGGUUUUCAGAUCCAGUUUUCUGUGAGAAAUCAAAGGUUGCUUAAAUGAGAUGAUUUCCCAUCACAUGCUAUCUCUUUUGCAUGAUCUUGUUUGUGGCUUUACAAAAUGUUUUCUUUCCAUGGCUCUUCACUUCUUUUACCCUGCAGAAGUAGCUGCCAAUUUGUCAUGCCCUCUUGUUUUUACACUUCUGCUAGCCAGCUUAGGGUUAAAUAACACGAUGGGAAUGGGAGGAUUAUCCCUUUAUUUUGCUAAGCCUGCCAUUAGAUUAAAUAAUCCUUCCAUGUAUGUCUAAUAUUUCACUAAUAUGGUGUUGGUAGCUGUCUGAUCCAUUAAGUCUCAUUCCUCAAACAAGAAAUUAAAUGAGAACUCUAAUUUGGAUAUUAUAUGAUUGAAAUGAAUGUUAAUCUCUGAUUGUCUUACUGUCCAUUAAGCAUGAUGGGCUCAGAAACAUGGGUUGACAAAACUCACAUUAGUUUUAAUGUGAGUGUGUAUGCCUGCACAGCCUCCUAUAGAUUUUUCUUGGGUUCAUAAGUUCAUUGCUUGUUCUCUAUGUUCCAUUAUCUACUAGAAAUGCUUCUCACUAUAUAUUUUCAANNNNNNNNNNNNNNNNNNNNNNNNNNNNNNNNNNNNNNNNNNNNNNNNNNNNNNNNNNNNNNNNNNNNNNNNNNNNNNNNNNNNNNNNNNNNNNNNNNNNGGGGUUUUGAUUGGGCCUCUCUUACAGCCUACUCUUAAUCUAAGUGUGGAGGAAGUUCUGAAGCUACUAAAAGGUACUCUUCAACAAUUGAUGAGAAUCUCUUUUUUAUGUUUAUCUUUCUGCUCCAGUAGCAAUACAUGCUUCACUUCAAUAUUGAGUCAACUCUAUCCAACAGCCCUGCAAAUGGAAACUCAGAAGUUUAAAUCGAAACUUAUCAAUAAACCGUCACAAGACUUCCACAGUUCCACAUAAAAGGACUACAUAUGCAUUUUGAUAUAUGCUGACUAAUCUCCUAACAUUAAAAAAUUGUUCUCUCCUCUGGUCAUUAUAGUUAUAUCACCAAGAUACUCAUUUGGGAGAUUUGCAUAUGAGAUUAGAUGAAGAUAUAUUUCGUUUUGGCCUCCUAAGCCAGACUGGUUUGGAAGGACCCCUGGACUGUGAAAGGACUGAAAGCAUGGGUAUGCAAUUACUAUCUUGAACUUGACGUAUAUUUGCAUGCAAGUUCAAUCCAAGGGCAAGAACUUCUUAAAUAAUCCAUUAAUCCUUUUGAUCCAACCCAUCUAAAGUGGGGGUUCCCCGCAUCCAACUCCAUUGCAAAUGAGUUGUUCAUGUGCAACUCACUUGAUCAGUAUUUUUAAAAACUUCUACCAACUUUUUUGGACUAUUUUGCAGAUCUUAACAUUCUUUAAACAUUUAGAAUCAUUUCUAGUGGCUUUAUAGGGAAAUAUCAUGUUACUUUAUUGACAACUCUUACAAGAAUCAAUACUUCCAUAACUGUAUAGCCAAUAUGGUUUGUUUACUUACUAACCAACCUCUUCUGCCUCCAACUGACCUCCCCUGUAUCUUGCUUCAAUUAUGAGGGUGUUGCCAUUAGGUUGAGCAUUGGACAUAUGAUAAACCUGUGCCUUGAUGGCUGUACUCUGAUUCAUGGAUCCAGACCAUUGUCAUUGGGAUUAGACUUGUUGGUAGUUGCUUUAGUUCAAUGCUUGCAAUAACCAAAGUAAUUUGUCAUGCUGCUUUAGAACCAUUGGAUCUUUCAUAUGAAAUAAGAAAGGUAUUUUGUACAAAAUAAUGUUUUCAUGUGUAAUUUCCAACAUUACAUAAAGCGAUAAAUAGAAGUGUAUUUGCUAAGUGUGAUUGCAUCAUUAUCUAAGCAUUUCCGUUUGAGACAAACAGUCUAAGACGAAAAUGUGUGCUUCAAAAAUUUCAAAACAUUAAAAAUCAGUAAUGCAGAUAAGGGCAUUUAUAUGUACACAUAUUGAUCAGAAAAUAAACUCCAUCCUAUAGCAACCUAAAAACUCAAAAGAAAGAAGUAUAAUUUCCGAUAUGCAAGAUUUUGAUCAAUUAAAGUCCAAAGCAUUUUAUGUUCAUACAAAUGAGAAGACAGAAUGGCAGCUGACUUUGAGGAUUGAAAGAAAAAUGAAUUGAUGCUACUUCUCAAUGCUAAUGCCAUUAAUUUGUUGCUGCUUUUUGUUGCCAUGUCGAGCCUGUCCAUCAGAUAAGGUUUGAAUCGCUUCUAUUAUUCUUGUUUAAGACAAUCCCUUCUUUUUUUCCUUUUUUUUUUCUUUACAUAGUCAAUCAUCUUGUUUCAUGUUUGCCUUAUAGUUGGUCUGCUGAUGGUAGGCUUCUUUUGAGUGGAAGCAAGGACUCUAUACUGAAGGUAAAUUGUGGGAACUAUGUCUUUUUGUGGUAUAGAUGGGGUUAUCAUAUAGUUGAAUGAUUCUAUUGCUUCCUCAUAGCUUUUCAAGGCACUAAAAAAGAAAAAAACAAAGGUAGAACUAGGAAUAAUAUUUCGUCCUGAUUUCAGGCAUACUAUUUCCUUAUGAAGUCUUAUUUUGGUAAAUUACAGUUAGAUAUAAUCACAUGGCAACAUUUUUUCUUCCAAGUUUAAAUAGUAAUUCAGGAGAGUGUAUUAUGAAAAUAUACUAAAAUAAAAAAAUCCUAUGAAUGCAUUCUACUUUGGAUAUUUCUUAUGAAUCUUCCCCUGCACUCCUGACCACCACAGACACUCCCAUCACACCAAGCCUUGUAGUUGUUCUAAAUUGUUGCAAAUAUGUUAGAAACCAAUUACUAAUAUUAAGGACGGUCAUGUCUACUAAUUUUGGGCUAGAAUUUUUAGAGCAGGUGAGAAAUUAUGGUUGCAGUAGGGAAUGUGAGUGCUUCUAUUUUGCCAAAGUGGCUUUCCUUAUUCAUGUUAACAUCAACAACAUAGCAAUGAACUCGAUUUAAUAUUGUUUAUCAUAUAGGCUUGAGAUAUCCGGACACAAAAGUUAAAACAAGAUCUUCCAAGCUAUGAAGAUGAGGUAUUUUCCUCCUCUUAAGUACUAGUUAAUAUUCUUCUUUUGACAUUGUACUUGGUUUAAUUAAUGUUUUCCUUCUUUUCGUAUUCUGGAAAGGUUUUUGCUGUUGAUUGGAGUCCAGAUGGUGAGAAGGUAGCCUAUGGUGGUAGGGACAGAGUACUUAAUUUAUGGAUGGGUUGAUGGCUAAAGGAGGAAGAGAUGUAUGAAAUGAAGAUUGACAUGAUUCUUCCACAACAUGAUGGACUUGGCAAACACUCAAUUUUUGCCUAUAGUUGAUAGUCUACCACAUGUAACUUAAAGGUUGUGCACUAAGUUCUGAUGUUAUGAAGGAUCGAGGGUGGUUUGUGCACUAAGCUUUUCUAAAAUAUUUUUCUUUAUUGAGCUGUAAUGAUUGUAUUAUUUGGAUUUAAUUGUAUUCAUUAGGUUUGCAGAUCACGAUAUGAUUAUUUUCCUCUUUGAUCAUGUAAAGUUGGGAAACAGUUAUGGGUUACUGUAAUAGCAUGGUAUAUUGAUGCACACAGUUUGUGGCAUGACAGUUUGAUGAAAUUGCAGAAGUGUAGCACUCAUGGGCAUAUCAUGUGAACCUUAUUCAAUGUGGCAUUGACAAUUAGUUUAAAUUUACAUGGGUGUAAUGUCGCACCAGUAUCCUCUGAUGAUAUGCCCAUGUUAUAUUGUGGCAGGGUUCUUCUUCAGUUGCCAAAUACCACUGGAGCUUAGGUGAGGUCUUGGUGAUGUAGGAAAGCCAUGGAUUCUGGAAUCUUUACAUGAAAAUAUACAUGAGAUAUAUUGGAAGAAAGGGCAGGCCAUCUAAGAAGAAACACAUCUUAAAGUAUACCAUCAAUCAUGAGUUGUUUGAGAGUCAGGAGUCUUUGAAGGCCUCACUCAGAUAAGGGACGUCUUUGACAUUUCUCACUCUUCAAUCUCAGGAAGGUACAUCAUCAACUAGAACCUUAGGAAUGUGAGUCAUCAUGGGACAACUUGUUUAUGUUCUGUAUUCUUUUCUUACCAGAGGGGAUUGAAAGAUAUGUAGUUGCAAGGACAAAAGAUGUAGCCAAUAAUGAGAGCAUUGAACAAUCCUUCUUUAAUGCAUACCACAAAUUUUAGUAACUCGUGAUCUCCACAAUUUAGAGCACAAGGAAGCUGGCCUUUGGAAAGAUGUGACAUGACAUUUAGAAAUGGGUAAAAAUUCCAGAGAUCAUUCCAAUCAUUAAGGAAUCCAAAGCCUUAUAAUUUGAAUAGGGCAUUUACUUGGCAUGGAUAACGCACCUAUCUUAGGACAAAUACCACAUGUUGAGCACCAAUUCAAUUAUCAACUCUCUAUGAAACUGGAGAUACAAGGUACUAAUGUUAGUAAAAAUUAGCUGGCAGCUCUUCUUCUUAUACUAGUAUUAGGGGCAAAGCCUUGCGAAAACCCUCAAUCAACAAAUUACCAAGGACAUGAGAUCAUGUUGUAAUCUUAUCUCCAAUCUCCAGUUGCAAAUAGAUUAUUUCUUUCAAUUAACAAUCUUUAAUGCUUUCACUUCUAUCAUAGGAUAUGAAAUUUGGAAAAACAAGUAAGCUUUAUAAUAUUAGGAAUAUGCAAGGAAUUGAUGAAGGUCAUGAAUCUACUUAAAAUUAAAAAUUAAAAAAUAAAAACAAAGAUUUUUUCACCUAUGAAUAUCGUAACCAGCUUCCAAAAAGCAUUAGGUAAGGCAAUAACCAAAUGUUCCUCAGGUAUUAAAGUUAAAGUUCAAAGUUACCAAGAGUGCAUUUUUUGACCCAUGCAUAAAAUAAAAAGAAAAUAAGAACACAUACCAUAUAACUCACAAUUGUGUCAAGUAUGAGUUCAGUUUAUGUUCAUGCACAAUUGCAUUAAGUAUUUGAAAGCUAAAUAAGGCUAUGCGCAAUUCAAAGAAUAACAUACAAUGCUCACAACUUAUCAUAGAAUGAGAACUCAAUUGUCUUUCUUCCAGUCAUAAGAGUUUGUGCUCUUUGAGCCUCUGACUUGCACAACUCAAGAUAGCAGAACAUGCCAAAAAGUCUCCUUCACCUUAAACAUUAUUCAAAUAUGCAAUAUAAAUCUUGAUAAGAAAAUUUUCUACAAAUAUAACAUGUUGCAAACAAAUAACAAUAUGUUAGUUUAAAAUUGAAGAGCAUUUUAAACUAAACAAAAUAAAAAAAAAAUUUAAUGUUUAUCACUCACCUAAAAACUUGUAUGUUGGAUAAAAUUCAUGCUAAUGAAUCCUGACAAUUGUUUGCAAUCAAAAUUUAGUAAUAACUUAUAAACCAAAAAAAAAAGAGGAAAUUACAAAAUUCUUUAGCAAUUUUCCAUGAAAAAUACAUUGUACAUUGAUUGAGAAGUGAAUAUCUAAUUUGAAAGACACUAAAAACUAGAUGUUAUCUUGAGUUCUCCAUGUAUCAAAAUAGAUGCAAGUUGCUAUUCGAGCCACCACAAUCACGGAGUACGAGACUUCUCAGCAUGGAAGGCAUACCAGAUUUCAAACAAGGUUCUUAACUUUCCAAGAGACAUAAGAACAUGGUGUGUUGUAUAAACUGUAGAAUAAAUAAAUGGAAGUUAGAUACACAUGCACUUGCUACUUAUUUUUUUUAAUCAUCUAUGAAAUAAAUAAAGAGGUGUUACUUGUAUUCAAUCCAAACUUGUGGUCUCCAAUGUAAAAUCCAAAUCUCAUUUUGUCAACACAAUAAGAGCAUUAAACAUACAACAAAUUGAAUCCUUCCUUUUGACAAUGUGAAAACCUGAAAGAAAUGACUCGGGAUCAUAAACAAUUAUACGAUAAAGAAAAUUUUCAUUAUUCUUUCUAAAAGAAAAAUAUGUUAUUUCCUUGAUUACGGAAGAUAGAUAUUUUGACAUAAAGUGCACUUAUUAAGGUAAACUUUGUGCAUUAUACAUUGAAAUUAGAAAAUUGUAUUUAAAUCCAGUUAGAAAGGUACCAUAAAAGAUGCAUAAUUGAAAUGAAGGCAUCCAUGCCAAUUUGUAACUGUUGUCAAAUAACACCUUCCCUUGACAUUUUAUGUCCCAUGCCUGCAUGUCAAAUCUCCAACUAAGACUACUCAAAGAGCACCUAAAAGAAAAUUACCAAGAUUUCAUCACAUGCAGAACUCGAGAUGCUAACAUUGAACCAUGGGAGGGAUCAACAAGAAACAAAAUACUUACCCAUAAGUUUGUAAUUUGUUGUACUCAAAACCCGCUUCCUAGUCAAACUUUCAACACAACUCCAUGGAGACUUUCACAAAUAGUUAAGCCACUAGUAGAAAAUAACAUCAAUAUGAGAAAUUGACAAGGUACUGUGCAAAUAAAAGAGUAUAAAUGUGUGUUGAGAAUAAGAGUUACCUUAAUUAAUGUAAGGAUAGGAUAUGGUUGAAUUGGCUCUGCACCUAUUUUUGCAAUUUGAAUUUAUUACGGUUCAAAAAUGAGUUUAUGAUCUAUCCUCACUUUAGGGAAAGUGGGCAAUCUUCUUGAAACAUCUUUGAUUUAGAGAUUCGAUAAAACUUAAAAGGCAACCUUUCACUUGGAAAAGAGGGCUAGAAUAGGGCACCCCUCAAUCUCUACAAGUUAAAGAGAUGAAGUUUUGAAGACCAAGGAAGGGGGCUAGGGAUUCUGGAUUUGACAAUAUUUUCAUUGAAAUAUCAAUGAGAGUUGUAGCAAGAAAUACUGUAAAAAAGAAAGGAUGUGAAAGGUGGAAAUUCCACGAUUUCCAAUGAUUCAAGAAGAUAAUUCCUAUGGCUAUUGUUGUCAUUGUGCAUCAUUCAACUAGCUAUAGACUACAUAAUUGAACAAUCAUGAACACAUAGAUGCUCAAAUAAGGUAUGUAGUUCAUUGAGUGGAAAAGCAAAUGAGACUUGGACAUCUCAAGAUUUCUAGGAAUCAAGACAGAUACAAGUUGUUGUUGUUUCCUAUUAUAAUUCAUCUAGAUUGCAAUCAACAAGCACUAACUCCAUUCACUGCAUGUUUUGAGUCUUCAACAUAAAACCCAAAUUCCAUUCUAUCAACCAAAAAAAAAAAAAAAAAUCCUAAUAACUCCUCUAGAAACCAUUUUUUGUCUCAUAUUAUAAGAUGUAGGAUGUAACUCACUUCCAUCAUUGAGAAUGAAUUGAUAAAACUUUGCAAUACUAGUAUAUUCAGCUUCAUUAUAAUGACCUCAUUAGAACUAGAAUAAGUGAAGUGAUAAUGUUAUCUAAUUAGUAAACCAAACCAAGUUAAUAAACUAGAACUUCCUCUAGUAUAGCCUCUACGUAAAAGAAAUUUAAAGGUCUUGAUACAUUAGAUAUUGAAAUUGUUGGAUUAAAAUCUUAUUUAUUGCACCUGGCAAGAUAGAAGUAAUAAUGCUAAUUUCGAAUUAUGACAGAUUAUAGAGAAAAUUAGACAUUGAGAAAAUACCAAGCCAAAAGCCAUGUCAAGAUCUGCUUUCUAGUUAAAAAUUUUAGCAAAAAAUUAAGUCCAAUUAAAAAAAAUUGCAGUAGUAGGUAAAAGAAAUUGAAAGUGAUGUUGAGGAGAGAAAGAGGAAUAAUGAUGUUGGGAAUGAGAUGUAAUACCUGUUUUAUUGCUCAGAGAUGGAUUAGUCAUAUAUUUCUUGACUAACCUUAUAAAUUAGUAGAAUUUAACAAGUUACAAAUAGUUCCCCCACCUAAUCUUUUAAAUUAAUCUUGAUGUUGACAAGCAAUUUGCCAACCAUAAUUAUAAAAAGACAAAUAAAUCGAGUUGAUUUACUAGAUUGCAAGUGGGUGCCCUUACCUAAUCUUUUAAAUUAAUCUUGAUGUUCACAAGCACUUUGACAACCAUAAUUAUAAAAAGACAAAUAAGUCAAGCUGAUUUUACUAAAUUGAGAUUAAUAAAUUGCAAGUGGGUGCCCUUUACCUAAUCUUUUAAUUUAAUCUUCAUAUUGAUAAGAACCAAAUCGGCCAUAAUUAUAAAAAUAAGAAGACGACAAGCUAUGAUUACUUUUAUUAACUAAAAUUUAAUAAAUCACAAUUUCUCUUACCUAACCUUUAGAUUAAUCUUGAUAACUUUGCAAUAUAAUUAUAAAAAGAGAAAGACGACAAACUAAUUUAAUUGGCUAAUUUUAUUAACUUAGGUUUAAUAAAUUAAAAUUAGGUUGAUCUCUUACCAAUCUGUGGACCCCGUAUUUCGGCUCAUGCGUUUCCCACUCAAUGGCGAGCUUGAUUUUUAUUUUGAAAAAUGAUUUUAUUGAUUAAGAACAUGACUUGGAGUCGCCACUUAUUUUUGUUUUAUUUUUAAAAGGGUAAACAAAAUAAGACAGAAAACCCUAGGUGUGACUCCUUGUUUUGGAAAAGGUUGGUCUGCGAAAAAUCGGAUCGGGUUUCGGGGGUCAGGUUACUUAUUGGGAAGGUACGAUGGAGAUCGUAGCACCCCUCUAAAUCCCUAGAAACGGGUCUCUACUAAUAAAAUGAAGCAAUCAUGGCAAUCGAUUAAUCGAGCAUGGAUACCAAAUGAAUGUCACUCAAAACAAAAUAACUGAAUGAACGAGAGAGGCAAAGAAUGUACCUAAGUGAUGAACCGGUUUACUUCAAGGGAAACAAGGGUUAGUGAACCAAUAUAAGAUGAAUAUAUGCGUAUCACAAAGCAGAAUAAAUCAAUCACGCAUGACAAUUGGAUGAAUCAAUCCAUUAAUCAAUCAUAAAUCACAUGUGUAGGGCCCCCACCAAAGCCCGGUUUUUGACAGACCACAUUUUCCAAAAUAAGGAGUCACACUUAGGAUUUUCUUUCUUAUUUUGUUUACCCUUUAAAAAAUAAAACAAAAAUAAGUGGUGACUCCAAGUCAUUUUCUAAUAAAUAAAUCAUUUUUCAAAUAAAAUCGAGCUUGCCAUUGAGUGGAAAACGCAUGAGCCGAAAUGUGGGGUCCACACUAUCCUUUUUAAUUUAAUCUUAAGAUCAAUAAGAAUCAUACAGACCAUAAUCAUAAGAAGAGCCAAAACAAAAGUCGAUUUGAUAUUUAAUUAGUUAAUUUUAUUAACUAUAAGAUAUAAAAAAUUGUUAAGAGGUGUCUUAAAUUCCAAAUUAGAAUAUACCAUUUUUUUGUGAAACAAAUAUUACAUAGAAUAUUUCCAAAGUUUAUAUGUGAUUGUAAUUAAAUUCAAGCUAGUACAAAUAUAUUUAUAAAUAUUUUAGGACCUGAAGAGAAAAAAUUAUGGAAGAUAUGAAAAAGAGAUGUGAUCAAGAGCAAGAGACAUUGGUAGAACAAGAGGGUUCACUAGGGAAGGGUGUAGAUGUGAAGAAGAAUGAGAAACACUUAGUGGAGCAAAAUGAUUCUUGGUUUAUGAUAGAGAUACAAAGAGCAGGAAAAAUGAGAUGUUUGGGCCUUAGUAGUUGUCUAACCGUUAUAUGUGGUUUUCUUUAUUCAUGUGUUCUUCCUUUAAUCUUUUUGAAUUGAGGUUUCCAUUUUUCUUUUGUUCCUAGGAUUUUUUCAUGUUAUCAAUUAUGCCCAUUUCCAAUUUCAUUAGAAACUUGUGUUCUACAAUUUGGGAAAUGAAAAUAAUUAUUUUUCUAUAAUUUUUGUAUAAUUUUGUUAGUUAAUAAAAAGUAGAAUAUAGAUAAUAUUAGCCAUCAAAUAGAAAAAUAAAUAUGACAAUUAAUGUGUUUUCACAUCAUAUUUGUACUUAGAUGGUUUUGCUUGUAUGAAGUAAUUUAAUGCAACUAUGAAGAUUUAUAUGAAAUAAACUUUAUAUAAUUUUAGAUUUAAUAAUCGAUUAAUUUUUAUUUGAAGAUACAAAAACAUAAAAUAAAAGUCUUGUUCAAAAACUAUUAUUGAAAACAACAUGAAAAAUGAGGUUUUUUCACUUAGAAAUAUACAUUUGACAAACUUUUGAUAUAAAACAAUUUAUUUUUAGAAUUUAUUCUUCAAAUAAGUUAUUUUUCAGAACAAAAUUGAUUUUUUUUUUAAUUUUUUCACAAUAAUUUAAAUAAAAAUUGAAGAUAUAGAUAAUAUAUAUUUUGGAAAAUUUUGUAUCGUAUUUAAGUGUACAAUUCCUUUGGAAAGAAUAAAUCGAAAUGGGUAAUUGCAAUUUUCAAAAAUUGUUUUGAAGAAUUAUUUUCACAAAUGUUAUCAAAUGAGCUCAAAACUUUCUACAUCAUUUAUAUUAAUCUUGAGUUCAAUAAAAAUCUUUCCACAAUUGAAAAGAGAAAAAAAAAAAGUUAAUUAGUUGGUUAAUUUUUACAAUCCUAAAAAAGAAAAUUAUAAAAAAUAAUAAUAUUUAAAAAAAUUUAAAAAAAAAAUUCACUAGCUAAAAUAAAAAUUCACUAUCAAAAUAAAAGAUUAUCUAUUAUUUUUCUAUUUUUGACUUAUAAUCAAGAAUGUUCAUAUAAUUUCUUUUACAAUAACAUACUAAAGUAGAAAGAUAUUAAAAUGGAAAAAGAAAAUGAUUAACAAUAAAAUUCAUAAAAAGAAAUGAAAAUUAAGAAGAUUUUAAUCCACUUGAAAUUUAUUUCAACGAAAUAGUAUUGCAUUUAAAUUAUUGAAGGUCAUACCAAUUUAUUUUCUUCCUUUUUUAAUACUUAAUUUUGUUAUCAAACGGUGAAAAAAUUACUAAUCAAGGAAAAUGAGAAAAGAAAAUAUUUUUCUUGAAAGUUGAUGAAUUUGUUAAGAAAUGAAAACAAAAGGUCUUUUAUGGGAUACUUUAUUAAAUUAAAUUAAAAACUUAAUUUAAAUCAUUAAAUAAAUUAAGUAUGUUUAGUAAAAUAACAUAAUGGUAUGAUUUAAAAUAAAUAAAAAACUUUAAAUGAUAAAUAAAAAUAAUUAACUUAUUCUUAAAUUCAUAUUUUUAUUUUACCUUUUUAUCCUAAUUUUCCAUAAUUACCUUCACAAUUUCCUUUACUAUUCCACGAUCUUUACUUUUACACGAUCUCCUUUACCCUAGUUAUAAUUUAUGAGGAUAAAUAUGUCAAUUUGAUCAUUUAUAAUUAAUCAUAAGUUAGUUUUGUAAAACAAUCUUCAUACUUAAAAUAAAAAUUAAGUAAUAAGUUUUAAGUUAAUAAUUUAACUAAAAGUCAACUUAAAUAAUUAAGUAAUUAGUAUUAAGUUUUAUCAAUUUGGGUGACCAAUUUUUAUUGAAAAUAAAAAACCAAACAAAAGCUGAUCAAUACAAAAGAAAAAAAAAUGAAUGGUAUGAAGUAGACAUUUUGUCUUUAUGAGAUUAUUGAUGGAAGUGUAAUAGACUAUAAACAAGUCUAUGAGAAUCAAUUCCAAUGAGUCCUAAAACACAUCUAUGAGAAAUAAAAUAAAACCAUGACAUAAAGAAAUGAUAUUUAAGUGUUAAUAAAUAGGAAUCGGAUACAUAUAAAUAAAAUUUAGAUUGAUUAUAAAUGAAAUUAUUUUUAUUAUGUGGUUGUUUUUAAUGGACCACCAAUUUUUAUUUUUAUUUAUUUUUUUAUAUUCCAUAGAAAAAUUACUUUCCAAUACCAUAGAAUCACCCUAAUUUCAAAUUGAGAUUUACUAUCUUAAAUUUUAAAUUUUUAAGGGCAUGAACUAAAUCUAUAUUUUUUGUUAAGAAUUUCUAUUCUUUAUAUGGAAGUUUUUAUCAAUUUUUAUUUUUAAAAACAAAAAAUAAGUACUUAGAGUACCUUUGACAAUAAUUUUAAGAAGUCUUUCUAAUAUUUUAAAUACUUGAAGAAUAAAAAAUUUUAUUUAUUGAAACAAUUGAAAAAUGCACUUUUAGUAUGUAAUGAUAUUAAUUUCUUCGAAGAGAGAGAUUUACAUUUAAGAUAAAAAUAAAUAAAUAAAACAAUACAAGGAUAAAAAAUUAUUUUUAAAAAAAACUUUUAACUUCUUGUACUUUAUCAUUACACACUUUUUUCAUUAGAUGCUUUAAAUAAUUUUUAUGAAAUAAAAUUAUAAUUAUAUUGAUGGAGGGCUAAUUAACUUUGCUUUAGGUGAGAAAGAUAGAGAUAACAUUGAAGUGGGUCCACAUCUAAAACAAAAAUGAAAUAAAAAGUAAAGAUGAAGAUAAGGUUGAGGUGGGUUCACAACUAAAAAAAGUAUGAGAUGAAUUGACCAAAGCUUAUGCCUUCUUCCAAAUAGUAAAAGCAAAGCCCAAUAGUAUAAAGUGAUGACACUAGUCCUAUUCAAGGCCCCACUUGCAUAAUUGCUACAUCUUUUGACUUGAUUUUAGUUCAAUUUCACUAAAAUGAAAUCAUUUAUUUGAGCCCAAAAAUUCAAAUCCAAAUCCAACCCACUUAUUUAUAUACAUUAUUGGCAUGGAAUCAGAAGAGUUAUAAAGUAAGAAAAUUUGAUCAUAUGAUAAAUAGUAAUUUUUCAAAGUUGGAGCCAAUCCAAUACCCAAUGGGUAUAAAAGAAAAAUGAAAGAUGUGGAAAUUAUAGUGGAAUCUUGAAACAAAAUUUUGAGGUUUAAAGUGAUGUGACAACCGUUUCCAAGUAAUUGCCUAAGAAUGUGAGAUGUCAUUGAAAAUUGAUAUUAAAUCUCAUUGGGUAACUAUAAGAAUUGCUUUACAUAAAGACAAGUAAUAAAUAUAUCCUGUUUUUUCAAAAAGUUUAUGACCCUAAGUGAAUAAAAUGGUGAAUAAAACUUUUAGAGUAGGAUGAAUGCAUUUCACGUGAGUCAUGUCCUAGAUAUAUUUUUAGAAUUUUCUAGUAGGAUGUCGAGGAAAACUCUAUGAUGAGUGCUUUCUUUCUAGUUAAGGUAGGUCCAAUUUGGUGCAAUUCGCCAACAUAAUUCAAACCCAACUUAUGUUUUAGGGAUUUGAAUUGAGUAAAAUCAUAUUUAAAUUAAAUUAAUCAUAUGAAUCUACAUAACCCAUUUAAUAAAUAGAUUAUUUUUAGGUCAAUCUGGAUAACUCACAUUUGACUCAAAUUAACUUAUUUAAUAAUGGUAUUGGUUAACCUAAUAAUAACUUUAACUUAUUGAACUCAUAUUUGACUCAUGUAAAUUUUUUUUCUUCAAUAAGUAUGUCAUAAUUGGGUCAUAAACAUGUCAUAUUAGAAUAUUAACCAUAUUAUUUCAUUCAACAUUUAACUUGACUUGAUUAUGAAAUAACAUCUUAUUAUUAAAUCGGUUAAACCUGUUAUAAUGUAUCACCUAGAUAAUAAUUAUAUUGUGUUUGAGUUUAUGUUUUAAAUUUUUAUUAUUAUUCAUGUCAUGUUUGGGUUGAGUUAUUUAGUGGAGGAUCUAACCUUUGAUAUAACACAAACACAACCCACUAACAUAAAUUGUCAUCCUCACUUCUACUAAUAAGUGAUUUGUUUCUUACAAUUAAGAAAAUUGAGAAGAUAUAAUUUUUUUUAUAAAUCUUAAAUGCAUGAUUAAAGUUAAUUAUAACUUUUAAAAGUUUUCUAAUUCAUAUUCCAUCCAAACUAACAAAAUAUUAGAAAUCUUCAAUGGUUUUGUCUACAAUAAUUGUGUUGUGCUAAAUUAUCCCCUUCUCUACUAACCAAAACAUGUUCUUUCACAAUCAAAUAUCAACAUGUUUAAGCAGCCGGUGAGGCAUCUCUUGACAAUGAGGUGAGAGGUAGAAACAAGAAACAUACCUGUAUUCAAGAAAAGUGUUGUUUCUUCAUUUGCAUUAGACAACAUUCAUUUAGUCUAAACUUGAAGGUGGAUUGCUAGAAUCUAAGCUCUUGGAAAGACAUAAGAGAACUACAUUUAGAAAUAUGAAAGAAGCCUAGAGACUUGUUGCUACUUGUGAAUCACUGUAAUCAGAAACAAUUCCAGAUAAUCCUGCAAUUUUGGCCCUUUGAUUUGCUCUGUUGCAUUUUUCCAAGAACAAUUCUAAAAUGUUUUUCUUUAUUGAGCUAUAAUGAUUUUAUUAUUAGGAUUUAAUUAUAUUCAUUAGGUUUGCAAAUCACAAAAAUGGUGUCGUGCCUAUGAAUAUUUUUCUCUUUGAUCAUGUAAAGUUGGGAAGCAAUUAUGAAAUACUAUGAUAGCACAAUAUAUUGAUCCACACAGUUUGUGGCAUGACAGUUUAAUGAAAUUAUAGAAGUGUAGCACUCAUGGGUAUGUCAUGUGAACCGUUUUCAAUGGGGCUACUUGUUUAAAUUUACAUGGGUGAAUUGUCACACCAAUAUCCUUUGAUGAACCUUGGGUUUUUUUUUUCUGUUUCUUCCUCUCUUGGUCAAGACAAACAAUUUGUCUUCAUAAGGACUUCGUGUUACCAAUAAGCAGCAUCUUGUGUUCUCCUUCUCUCCAUCCCUUGUCAAGACACAUCAAUCUGAUGCAUCUUUGCAUUGGGUUGCUUCCUCUCCUUUCCCUUUCCUUCCUCCUUGAGGCAAAAUCGCAUCAUUGCUUAGUUUUGACUAUGUUUAUUUUGAUCAUUGUGAGAGAGCAUCAUUGUAAGAUGAACAAGAAACGUGUUGUGGUGCAUUAUUCCCUCCUCUACCACCUAAAAUCUAUUUUACACGAUCAUAAGGACCAAGGUGUUUUAAACAUCAGGUAAGAAUUUGUUGACAAUGAUAUGAGAGAUAGAGACAAGCAACAUACCAGUAUUCAAAAGACGUGAUGUUCUUCUUUUGAAUUUGACAACAUUCAUUUAAUCUAAACUCCACAUUUGGGCAACUCAGAAUCUCCACCUUCAUUAGGAUUGCAGGAAGCUGGCUUCUUGGAAAGACAUGGAAAUGGGGCAUCUAGAAAUCCAAAAGAAUUCUAAAGGCUUGUUACUACUUUUGAAUCAUUCCAAUUAAUAACAACUCUAAAAGAUAUAAACAAAUCUGUCCCUGGGAAAGAGACGUGUCAUGUGCAUAUGCAACUAUCUCUCUAAUAGACUUAGGGUUGUGCACCCUCAUGGUAGUUUCUUAUAUAUUGCACCAUAUGAGUUAAAGAUAUUCAACUACCAAUAUCACUACACCUUAAUGAACUAGGAGUUAUGCUGAAAGUGAAGUUGACAACCCAUCAUCGAAAGAAUCCUAUAGGAAUACACCAAAAUGAAAAUCUUAUUAACAUAAAUGAAUUCAUCCAGUUAAAAGAUAAAGUUGCUUGAAAAAUUGAAUUGGGAGAGAUAGAAAUAUUAAUGCUUUCAUAGGAUUGUGGAAGGGGUCAACAAGUGGAACAAACAUUGAAUAGUAAAUGUAAAUCCAUAAAGCUUGUAACUAUUGUCAAAAGUUGCUCCCUAGUGAAGUUUUUUCACAAUAAAGGUAAGUGCAAAAUUCACCUAAUAGCUCCACUUGUAGAAAAUUUCAAUGGUGUGAAACUAGGAUAUGGUGAACUCGCUUCCGCUAUUGCAGUGAACCAUUAUGGAUCAAAAAUGAAUCUCACCAUUGGUUUUCACAUAGGAGAUGUGGGCUAUCUUUGGCCCAUAUCUCAAUAUUGGAUUUAGGAGUUCUGUUUCUCAUAUAUGGUUCCACUUGCAAAAUACAAAUGGAGCUUAGCUGAUGAUAACAAAUUUAGAAAAAUGCAAGAAUUCCAUAGACAUGUUUUAUGCUAUCAUGAAUCAUUCCAAUCAGUAAGGAAUCGAAGUGCUAUAAUUUUGAAUUGUCUUAAGGAACAAACCCCAAUUCCAUCUUGUGAAAGUAAACUAUCUUGAGCACCAACUCAAUUAUGAGUUCUUUAGGAGACUUGAGACACCAAUUCAAUCAAAGAUGCUAGUUGUUUCUGAGGUAGAUUGUCUUCCUCCAUUAAUACUAGGGAAAAUGCUUUUGAAGACCAUUCAUCUGCUAAUUACAAAGGGAAAUGAGAUUAUGUGAUCUGGGAAGAGAAUUAAGCUUCAAAAUAUUGCCAAUAUGCAACCAACAAUUUCUAAUUCUAUCACUUCUAUUCUAGCAUGUGAUUUGUGAAGAGAAUUAAGCUUUGAAAUGUUUCCAAUAUGCAACAAAUUGAGAGAGGCCAAGUGGGCAACCACCAUAGCUAGUUCACAAACAAAACAUGUUUCCCACAAUCAUAAAUACCAAGGUGUUUAAGCAUGAGGUAUGGCAUCUCUUGACAAUGAUGUGAGAGAGAGACAAACAACAUACCAGUGUUCAAGAGAAGUAGUAUUCUUCUUUUCCAUUCGACAACAUUCAUCUAUUCUACAUCCCAAAUUUUUAGCAACUUAAGAUCUCCACCUUCAUUAGGAUUGCAGGAAGCUAGCCUCUUGAAGACACGAGAGAACAUUUAGAAAUCUAAAAGAAUUCCAAAGACUUUCUGUUGCUUGAAUUGUGAAUCAUUCCAAUCAUAAAUACCAAAGUAUUCUAAGAUCAGGUAAGACAUCUCUUGAUAUUGAUGUGAGAGAUAAAGACAAGAAACAUACCAAUAUUCAAGAGAAAUAGUAUUCUUCUUUUGCAUUUGACAACAAUCAUCUACUCUAAACCCCAAAUUUUAGCAACUUAGGAUCUCCACUUUCAUUAGGAUUGCACGAAGCUGACCUUUUGGAAACACAUGAGAGGACAUUUAGAAAUCUAAAAGAAUUCCAGAGACUUGCUAUUGCUUGAAUUGUGAAUCAUUCCAAUCAUAAAUACCAAGGUGUUUCAAGAUCAAGUAAGACAUUUCUUAGCUAUGAUAUGAGAGAUAGAGACAAGCAACAUACCAGCAUUCAAGAGAAGUAGUAUUCUUCUUUUGCAUUCAACAACAUUCAUCUACUCUACACCCCAAAUUUUAGCAACUCAGAAUCUCCACCUUCAUUAGGAUUGCAGGAUGCUGGCCUUUUGGAAACACAUGAGAGGACAUUUAGAAAUCUGAAAGAAUUCUAGAGACUUGUUGUUGCUUGAAUUGUGAAUCAUUCCAAUCAUAAAUACCAAGGUGUUUCAGGAUCAGGUAAGGUAUCAAUUGGCAAUGAUGUGAAAGAUAGAGACAAGUGACAUACCAUUAUUCAAGAGAAGUAGUAUUCUUCUUUUGCAUUCGACAACAUUCAUCUACUCUACACCCUAAAUUUUAGCAACUCAGGAUCUCCACCUUCAUUAGGAUUGUAGGAAGCUGGCCUCUUGGAAACACGUGAGAGGACAUUUAGAAAUUUGAAAGAAUUCCAGAGACUUGUUGUUGCUUGAAUUGUGAAUCAUUCCAAUCAGUAACAACCCCAAAGCCCUAUAUACAAUUUUGAACUGUCAACCUUCUUACAUUGAAUGAAAAACCUAUCCCUAGGAAAAAGGUGUCUUGGGCAUACAACCAUCAAUUAUUAUCUCUCGAAGAGGCUUAAAGUAGUGCACCCUCUUGGUAGCUUCUAAUUCAUUACAUCAUAUAACUUCCAGAUAUCCAAUUGACAUGUCACUACACCUAAAUGAAGUAGAAAACAUGGUGAAUAGGAAGUUAGACAACCUUUCACAAAAAGAAUCCUGCAACAAGAAUACACCAAGCAGAACUUCUUGUUAACAUAAAUGAAUUCACUCAGUUAAAUUAUUGUGUUAAAAUUUAAAUUGGGAGAAAUAAAAAUACUAAUGCUUACAUGGGACUAUGGGAUGACCAACAAGAGGAACAUACUAUGAAUAGAAAAUGUGAAGCCAUAAAGCUUGUAAUUGUUGUUAGAUGCUGCUUCCUAGUCAAGUUUUCAACAAAAAGGUUGAGUGUAGGGGUUCUCUAGUAGUUGAACUUGUAGAAAAUUUUAACAGUAUGAUAAUUUAUACUUGUAACAAGAAGAUAAAAUGUAAGAAUUAUGUGUUGGGAAUAGAUGAAACUUACUAAAUAUAUGGAUAGGAUAGGGUGAACCCUCUUUGCUUCCAUUUUUGGAAUCCAAAUUAUUAUGGAUCAAAGUUGGAUUUCUCCAUCUAUUAAAUACAACUAGAGCUUAGGUGAGGUUUUGGUGAUAUAGGAAAUUCAUGGAUUCUGGAAUCUUUACAUGGAAAUAUACAUGAGUGAUUCAUUGGAAGAAAGGGCAAGCCUUAGUCAUAUGAGAAGAAACAAAUCUUAAAUAUACUAUCAAUCUUGAGUUGUUUGAGAGUGGUGAGUCUGUGAAGGCCUCCCUCAGAUAAGGGAUGUCUUUGACAUUUCUCCUUCUUCAAUCUCAAGAAGGUACACCAUCAACUAGAAAAUUAGGAAUGUGAGUCAUCAUGAACAACUUGUUUAUGUUCUUUAUUCUUUUCUCACUAAAGGGGAUUAAAAGAUAUGUAGUUGCAAGGACAAGAGAUGUAGCCAGUAGUGAGAGCAUCAAACAAUCCUUCUCUAAUGCAGACCAUAAAUUUUAGCAACUCGUGAUCUCCACAAUUUAGAGCAUUGAAGGAAUUUUCCUUGUUGGAAAGAUGUGACAUGACAUUUAGAAAUAUGCAAGAAUUCCGGAGUUCAUUCCAAUCAUUAAGGAAUCCAAAGCCCUAUAAUUUAAAUAGGGCAUCCCCUCGGCAUGGAUAACACACCUAUCUUGGAAAAAAGACUGGGCACCAAUUCAAUGAUUAACUCUCUAUGAAACUUGAGAUACAAGGUACUAAUGUUAGUUGCUUCCGUGGUAGUUCUUUUACUGGUAUUGGGGUAAAGCCUUUUGAAAACCCUCAAUCUACAAAUUACCAAGGACAUGAGAUCAUGUUGUAAUGUCAUCUCCAAUCUCUAGCUACAAACAAAUUAUUUCUUUCAAUUAACAAUCUUUAAUGCAUUCACUUCUAUCAUACGAUAAGCAAUUUUGGAAAACAAGUAAGCUUUAUAAUAUUAGGAAUAUGCAAGGAAUUGAUAAAGGCCAUGAAUCUGCUUUCAAAAAAUAAAUUAUAAAAACAAAGAUUUUUUCACCCAUGAAUAUUGUAAUCAGCUUCCAAAAAACAUUAGGUAUUGCAAUAACCAAAUGUUCCUCAGGUUACCAAGAAUGUUUUUUUUUCACCCAUGCAUAAAAUAAAAAGAAAAUAAGAAAGCAUACCAUACAACUCACAAAUUUGUCAAGUAUGAGUUCGAUUCGUGACCAUGCACAAUUGCAUUAAGUAUUUGAAAGCCAAAUAAGGCUAUUUGCAAUUCAAAUAAUACCAUACAACUCACAACAGAAUCCUCAUAGCUCACCAUAGAAUGAGAAUUCAAUUGUCUUUCCUCUAGUCAUAAGAGUUUGUGCUCUUCGAGCCUUUGACUUGCACAACUCAAGAAAGCAAGACAUGCCAAAAGACUCCUUCACCUCAAACAUUAUUCAAAUCCAUAGUAUAAAUCUAGAUAAGAUAAUUUUCUACAAAUAUAACAUGUUGCAAACAAAUAACAGUAUGUUGGUUUAAAAUUGAAGAGCAUUUCAAACCAAACAAAAUAGAAAAAAUUUCAGUGUAUAUCACUCACCUAAAAGCUUGUAUGUUGGAUAAAAUUCUUGCUAAUGAAUCUUGACAAUUAUUUGCAAUCAAAAUUUAGUAAUGAUUUAUAAACAAAAAAAAAAAAUUACAAAUUUUUUUAGCAAUGUUCCAUGAAAAACACAUUGCAUAUUGAUUGAGAAAUUAAUAUGAAAUCCACUAAUUUGAAAGGCACUAAAAACCAGAUGUUGUCUUGAGUUCUCCACGUAUCAAAAUAGAUGCAAGUUUCUAUUCAAGCCACCACAAUCACGAAGCACGAGACUUCUUUGCAUGGAAAGCACACUAUAUUUUAAACAAGGUUCUUAACUUUCCAAGAGACAUAAGAACAUGGUGUGUUGUAGAAACUGUACAAUAAAUAAAUGGAAGUUAUGCACUUGCUACUUAGUUUUUUAAUCAUGUGUGAAAUAAAUAAAGAGGUGUUACUUGCAUUUAGGCCAAACUUGUAGUCUCCAAUGUGAAAUCCAAAUCUCAUUUUGUCAACAGAAUAAGAGCAUUAAACAUAUAGCAAAUUGAAUCCUUCCUUUUGAAAAUUUGAAAACCUUAAAGGAAUGACUUGAGAUCAUAAAUAACUAUACGGUAAAGAAAAUUUUCAUCAUUCAUUCUAAAAGGAAAAUUUGUCAUUUCCUUGAUUACAGAAGAUUGAUAUUUUAACAUAAAGUGUACUUAUUAAGGUAAAAUUUGUGCAUUAUAUAUUGAAUUAGAAAAUUGUAUUUAAAUCCGGUUAGAAGGGUAUCACAAAAGAUGCUUAAUUGAAAUGAAGGCAUCCAUGCCAAUUUGAAACUAUCGUCAAAUAACACCCUCCCUUGUCAUUUUACGUCCCAUGCUUGCUUGUCAAAUCUCUAACUAAGACUGCUCAAAGAGCACCUAAAGAAAAUUACGAAGAUUUCAUUACAGGUAGAACUUAAGAUGCUUACAUUGACCAUGGGAGAGAUCGAUAAGAAACAAAAUACUCACCUAUAAGUUUGUAACUAUUGUACUCAAAACUUGCUUCCUAGUCAAACUUUCAACAUAACUCCAUGGAGACUUCCAUAAAUUGUUGAGCCACUGGUAAAACACAACAUCAAUAUGAGAAAUUUACAAGGCUAUGUAGAUAAAAGAGUAAGAAAUGUGUAUUGAGAAUAAGAGUUACCUUAAUGAAUGUAAGGAUAGGAUAGGGUUGAAUUGGCUCUACACCCAUUUUUGCAAUUUGAAUUUAUUAUGGUUCAAAAAUGAGUUUAUGACGUAUCCUCAUUUUAGGGGAAGCGGGCAAUCUAGGGUCAAUCUCUAUCAUUCUCCUUGAAACAUCUUUGAUUUCAAAGUUUGAUAAAACAUAGAAGACAUCCUUUCACUUGACAAGGAGGACUAGAACAAGGCAUCCCUCAAUCUCUACAAGUUAAAGAAAUGAAGUUUUGAAGACCAAGGGAGGGGGCUAGGAUUCCAGAUUUGACAUUAUUUUCAUUGAAAGAUCAAAGAGAGUUGUAGCAAGAAAUCCUGUCAAAAGGAAAUUGCAUUUAACAAUAUACAAUAUAAAAUGAAUGAACUGAGUUUUUAGAGAGGUGAAUAUUUGGAGGCUCCACAAAGAUAAGGGAUUUUAAUACCCUUGCAAGUGUAUUCUUGAAAUUGUUUCCUCAAAGGAAACUUGAACCUGGACAAUGUGCAACACAAAGCUAUUAAAGAGAUGUGAGACUCUAAAUUUGAUGAGGUAGGACUUGAGAUUCGCAUUUUCUUUAGUGAGGAAUUCUGAGGUUGUAGACACACUAGUACUUUCCAGAUUUAGAUACUUCUCUUCAACUAUUUGUAUAACGUACAUCUUCUUUGACAUUGCUACUCCAACAGGAUGUCCAAUAGGAUGUGCAACCUAUUUGGGCAUACUACAUGUACAACAAAAAAUUUCAUUAAAACAAAAAACUUUUACUAAAACAAAAAUAUGAAGUUAAUGUCUAAGAAGAUAAGAUUUAUAUAUAGUGAAUUAUCAUGAUUGAUUUUAGCACAAAGGGAAUGACACCAAAAGUUUUAAGAAUAUCACCACCACAAGUACCUAAUUUGCAUCAUUAAAAAUUCCACAAGGAUUUGAUGGUUAGGCAAUAAAAUAAUUCUAGUAAAUGAGUUAAAAUCAGUUGAGCUAAGAAAGAUUAAAUCCAAAUAAGCAUCAAUCAUUAAAGAAUUAACCAACUACGAAAGACUUCAAAUGACUUUUUUUCUGUAAUUUCUGUUCCUAAUUGGCCCCAUUUGCUUGUACCAAAAUAUUAUUAAUUUGCUUUAAAGGAAAUGGGUGACUCAUAUCUCUGAAAGAAUGUGAGAGGUGGAAAUCCCUCGAUCUCUAGUGAUUCAAGAGGAUAAUUCCUAUGGCUAUUGUUGCCAUCAUACAUCAUUCAGCUAGCUAUAGACCACAAAAUUGAACAAUCAUGAAUAUGUAGAUGCUUAAAUAUGGUAUGUACUUUAUCUAGUGGAAAAGCUUAUGAGACUUGGACAUCUCAAGAUUUCCACAAAUUGAGACAGAUACAAGUUGUUGCUUCCUAUUAUAAUUUAUUUGGAUUGCAAUCAUCAAGCACUAACUCCAUUCACUGCAUGUUUUGAGCCUUCAACAUAAAACCCAAAUUCCAUUCUAUCAGCCAAAAAAAAAAAAUCACUACUAACUCCUCUGGAAACCAUUUUAUGUUGCUAAGAUUAUAAAAUGUAGGAUUUAACUUACUUCCAUCAUUGAAAAUGAAUUGAUAUAACUUUACAAUACUAGUAUAUUCAGCUUUUGACAUGGCUGAAAUUGAUCCUGGAAUAAAAAAUCACAUACACAAGUAGAUAUUUAACAGAAGAGGAUCCAAAAUCUCUUCAAUUGAUUAAUGUAUAAAUGAAUUAUUCAAAAUUUUUUGAGAUAAUUAUGGGGAGAUGAACCUUGUAUCUCUAAGUUUCUUAUUCUUCUUAAACAGAGCAAUGAGCAUCAAGUGUUGAGCACCUAGGAAUCUCCCUUCCUCCACAGGCAAAGUCUGAACAAUCUAUCCUUUCUUCAUAUUCCACUUCCUUGCAAAAGUCAAAACAUGAAGAAAAUAUCAUCAAAAUUGAGACAAAAAUAAGUGCAUCAACUAUCUCAAGAAGAGAUUUAUGCCUAUUGCUUACCUUUUGAAGAAGGCCACUUGAUUAGAGCACAUUUUACAUGGACGCCCAAUCACUGCAAGCUGCUGAACCAAAGGAGAGUUCAAACAUCUAAAAAAUUUGAAAAACUCAAGUAUCAUAAAAUACUUCAUAUGAAUUCUAAAUGAUCUCAUAUCUAAAAAACAUUGGCAUAAAAUUAUUGUUGUUUACCUUACAUGUUUCUUCCAUGGUCAUAAUCGAAACUUUGUUUAUCAUAAGAAAUCUUCUAUGCUCAUCUUGAUAACUUACAAUGAACACUGAAAUGAAAAGAAAAAAAAACACAAAAAAUGAUGAUUAGUUUGGUUUGAUAAAUUUAGCACACAUAAUUUCCUUUUUCUUGCAUGAGAAAGGAAAGAGUAAUAUAUAUAUAUAUAUAUAUAUAUAUAUAUAUGAAUUUAAUAAUUUUUUAAAAUUAGUAAUUAUAAAACUAUUUUGGUUCUCAAAAAAUUUAUGGGAAAGUAGGGAAAAAAAUUAUGAACUUUUUCUCUUGUUUGAUUAUUUAUCGAAAAAUUGAGGGAAAAACAAAAAUCUAUGAGAAAUUUAUUUAACACUUUUGAGGAACCAAAAAUGUUUUAGAUGUUGUCAAAUCGGUAAUUUAAAUGUGUUUAAUUCCAAUUAUUUGAGUUUAAUCAAACACAUGAAAUUGUGAAUAAAAUUAUUUAAAAGCAUUGAAAUUCAAGUCAUUAAAGUUGUCCAUAAAAUUUGGUUUAUUGAAACAAGAAAAAAACAAAGCAAUUUGAAUAACUUGCUAAUAAAGCAACUAACUAGAAUAUGCCCUAGAGUUGUUCAGUGCCCUCUAUAUAAGAAAUAAACAGAGAACACAAAAAAAAAAAAAACCCAGAAAAAAAGCAAACAAAAAACAGAGAACACUUCUUACGUUAUUUUUUCUUAAUUUUUCAACAGUUAUAAAUGAUUCAUUUCAUUUUUGCAAACUGCCAAAUCAAAAUAGAGCAUGAAAAUGUGUUCAAUAUUUGUGUCACCGUUUUUCCGGUAAAUGACCUCAUUGGAACUACAAUAAGUGAAGUGAUCAUGUCAUCUAAUUAGUAAACCAAACCAAGUCAAUAAACUAGAACUUCCUCUAGUAUAGCCUCUGUGUAAAAGAUAUUUAAAGGUCUUGAUACAUUAGAUAUUGAAUUUGUUGGACCUGGCAAGGUAGAAGUAGUAAUGCUCAUUUUUAUUGUGACAGAUUAUAGAGAAAAUUAGACACUGAGAAAAUACCAAGCCAGGAGCCAUGUCAAGAGCUGCUUUCUUGUUAAAAAUUAAGUCCAAUUAGAAAAUUAUAGUAGCGCGUAAGAGAAAUUGAAAGUGGUGUUGAGAAGAGAAAGAGGAAGAGUGAUGUGUUGGGAAUGAGAUGUAAUACCUUAUUUAUUACUCAGAUGGAUUAGUCAUCUAUCACCACUAGGGGUCUCCAACGGGCGGGCCGGGCCGUAAAUAGGAGGCCCGCGGCCCAGCUCGGGCCGGGCCUAUGGGCCCGUUGACUGGUCAACAGGCCGGGCCGGGCCGGGCCAGGGAAAAAUCUUCGGCCCGCGGCCCGGCCUAUGAGCCCGCGGGCUGGGCGGGCUGGGCUGCGGGCCGGGCUGGCGGGCGGGCUGGCGGGCCGGGCUGGGGGCGGGCUGGCGGGCCAAGCCUUGGGCUUUUUUAAAUAAGCCAAAAGGCUUUAGAAAUGAAUGGAGAGGGGGGGAUUCGAACCCCUCCCCUCAUGGUUCAAAGUAAAGGCUCUAACCAACUGAGCCACAUUACUUUUGUGUUUAAUGUUAGAGUUAGUUAUAUAUAUAUAUAACAUAAAGUAUAUUAUUUUUUAAAAAAAAAUUAAAGGCUCCAACGGUCAUGUGACCGUUGGAGCUCCAACAGUCCAACCCAUGCUCCUAGCUGCCAUGUGACCGUUGGGCAACGGUCACAUGGCCAAUUUUUUUUUUUUUUUUUUUUUAAAAAAAACCUUCCUAUAAAUACAUCUUCUCCCUUUUCAUUUUUUCAUCAAAUUCUCUCUAUUUCUCUCUCUAUUUCUCUCACAUUCUACAAUAUUUCAAUUUUUUUUAUUUUUCCCUCAAAUUAUACAAUAUUGUUGGUGGUGCAAAACAAGCAUUGGUGGCUCCAAGAGUUCAAAUUUGCUAGGAAUUUCUGCAUCGGUUCUCUAAUUGAGUAACAUACUUCACCUCUACUACUUUAUUUUUUUGUUACAUUUUUUUUUAUAUUUAUUACUUUAUUAUUUUUGGCAUAAUAUUUUAUCAAUAAUUAUAAUAUGACAACAAGUGCUUCUUCAUCUAGUCCAUGUGAUGAAAUAUCAUCAAACAAAAAAUUUACUUCAAAUAUAUGGAAUUUUUUUGAUAGAGUAGAAAUAAUUUUAGAAAAUAAUAAAAAAGAAAUAAAAGCAAAAUGUAAAAUUUGUAAUAAAUUUCUUACUGGUGGCUCAAAUGCAGGCACAAGUCAUUUAAAAAGACAUCACGAAAAUUGUAAAACUAAAAAUAAUGUAGAUAUUAGAAAUUAUAUGCAAUUAGGUAAAAAUGAAAGUGGAAAUUUAAAAACAUUUUCUUAUGAUGAAUCUAACUGUCGUGAAGAAAUGAUUGAUUAUAUAAUAAGAGCAGAACAACCUUUCAACAUGAUGGAAACUCAUGAUUUUGUAGGAACAAUUCAACGAGGUAUUAAUCCUCAAUUUAAAGGUUGGUCUGGAAAUACAGUUAAAAGAGAUAUUAUGAAAAAAUUUUAUACACAAAAAGAAAUUUUAAAAAUUUUUUUUGCAAAUUUUGAAGGAAAUAUUUGUUUAACAUCUGAUAUUUGGACAUCUUUAACUCACACUGGUUUUUUAUGUAUAACUGCUCAUUACAUUGAUAAUGAAUGGAAAUUAAAUAAAAGAAUAAUUUCAUUUAAAUUAAUAAAUGCUCCACAUAGUGGUAAAAAUAUAGCAGCUUUAAUAAAUGAAGAAAUUAUAAAUUUAGGCCUUCGUGAUAAAAUAUUGACAGUAACAUUAGAUAAUGCUGCUAAUAAUGAUGCAGGAAUAAAUAGACUAAAACUAUAUUGGCAAGUAAAAGAUGAUCAUGCUAAAAUAUUUCAUGUGCGUUGUUGUGCACAUAUUUUAAAUUUAAUUGUAAAGGAUGGAUUAAAAAAUGUUGAUGAUACAUUGGAAAAAAUUAGAGGCAUUGCAUAUAGUAUUAAUAGUUCUCAAGCAAAACAUGAAUUAUUUUUUGAUUGUUGCAAAAUGUUAAAUAUGAAAAGAAAAAAUAUAAAUUUGGAUAUGGCCAUUAGAUGGAAUUCCACAUAUAAACUUUUACAAAAUAUUACAAAAUAUAGAAAAGUAGUCGAAUUAUAUGAAAUACAAUUACUUAACAAUGAUUGUGAUGCAGAUAUUGAUGCAUUAAGUGAUUAUGAUUGGCAUGUUGCGGAUCUUUUAAGAGAUCUUUUUGAAAUUUUUGAUACUUCAACAAACAUUUUUUGUGGUGUAUAUUAUCCAACUUCAAAUCGAGUUAUUAUGCAAAUAACUAAUAUUUUUAUUGUACUUCAAAAAUAUUUAAGUUUUGAAAUAUUUAAUGAUACAAUAUUUGCAAUGAUAGAAAAAUUUAGAAAAUAUUGGGGAGAAAUACCUUUAAUUUUUUAUAUUGCUUUAAUUGUGGACCCUAGAUUGAAAUUUGAAGCUUUGGAUGAAUGGUUAACAAUUAUUUAUUUUAAUGACCAAAUAAAAAUUGAAGAAAUUAAAAAUGAAAUAAAUUCAUUAUUAUAUAAUUUAUAUAACUAUUAUAAAGAAAAAUAUGGUAAUGAUAUUAAUACUAAUAAAUUACCACCUACAUCUACAAACUCCUCAUCUUUUUAUAAAGGAGCUCUAGAAAUGUUGAAAAGUCGAAAAAAGACAACAAAUAGUUCUCCAAAUAAUACAUCUGAUUUAGAUAAAUAUCUUAAUACUGAUAUAAUUCCAUUUGAAGAUUUUGAUAUUUUAAUAUGGUGGAAAUCACAUCAACACAAAUAUCCUGUGCUUUCUAUAAUUGCUCGUGAUGUACUAACAGUUCCUGUGAGUACAGUUGCAUCAGAAGCUGCUUUUAGUGCAGGUGGAAGAGUUAUUAGUAAAAAACGAUGCAACUUAGCGCCAGACGUUAUUGAAGCAGGGAUAUGUGUAAAAGAUUGGGAAAUUGCAGAAAAAAGGAUGUACGAUUCCAUUCGAGAAACAGAGAUGCUUGUCGAUAUGGAAUCUUUAAAACUAUCAAGAUCUUCAUGGAUGCAUGAUAAUUCGCCAUCACCGCCAGAAAAUAAUGACUAAAUGUAUAUUAUAUUUUUAUUUUUAUUUUUUGUGGUUGAAAAAUACAAAUGAUUGACAAAUAAAUAGGUGCCAACCUAGUUGGGAUGUAUUUAUUUUGUAGUGAUGUAAAAUUUUCCCACAUUUUUAAAUGUAAUUAUACAUUCAAUGAAUAAAAUUUUGAAAUGAAUAUUUUUUUUAAUACUUUUUAUUUUUGUAGUUUUUUUUUUUAAAUGGGCGGGCCUAAGGGCGGGCCUACGGGCCGGGCCUACGGGCCGGGCCUACGGGCCGGGCCGGGCCUAAUUUUAGGCCCGCGGCCCGGCCCGCCCAUAAACGGGCUCGGGCCGGGCCGGGCCUAAAGCGGGCCGCGGGCCGCGGGCUUUUUGGAGACCCCUAAUCACCACACAGGGGAUGUGAGCAAUCUUGGGCCAAUCAUCUCCUUCCUCCUUCGAGUACCUUUGUGUUAGAUGUGGGCAACGCCACGCAUGCAGUCGAGAAAGGGUGUCAGGCAAUAGUCCUUCCCUUGGCAAAAUCGACCGGAGCUUAGGGCAACUUUCGAUUCCUAGUUGUUCAAGAGAGGUGAGGGUUUGGAGAGACAGGGAGGCUAGGGAUUCCAGAUUCUGGAAUUCUGAAAGGGAAAGGAAGGUGAUAAUUGUAGGAAAAGGAAUCGAGUGGGGGUCAUCCGAAAAGGAAGUUGCAUCUGGAAACAUGCCUCUAAUCCAGAGGUGUUUAAGAGAGGUGAGUCUGGAAAGGCCCCAUUGGGAUAGGGGGGUCUUGAUAUUCUUGCAGUUAGAGAUCUCGAGCCGUGUAAGACGGGUGAGCUUUUUUAUCUGAGGAAGCAACAAUUCCAGAUUUUCAAAAUCUGCAAUACGUAGAUUUGUGAGGGUGUUGAGGCAAUCUGGUAGGGUUUUGAGAUUAGGAUACCUCCAGAGGGUUAAAGAUUGAAGUGAAUUAUUAGUAGAGUGAAACAUCUCCUCUGAAAUUGACUCGAGGUGUUCACAAUCCCAAAUGUCAAGUCCCUCAAGGGUGGAGGGAAACUUGCCUCUUGGGAAGGAUGUGAGAGAUGAACAAUGACAGAUAGCCAGGCUUUGAAGAGCAGCAGCAUAUGUGGAAUCGUAGUGCAUUAUUCCCUCUGGUAGAGACUCCAGCUUUUCACAAUCACUUAUGUAGAGUGCCUUGAGAGUGAUGGGUAACCUACCUCUCGGAAAACCAAUCAAAGAGGGACACAUAUUUAGACUUAAGUAUUCAAGGGCACACAUGUCCAUGGUGCUGGUGGUGGCGAUGGAAUUGCAGUGCAUCAUUCCUUCUGGAAGAGACUUGAGAUUUUGACAAUCACGUAUGGUUAGUUUCUUAAGGGUGGUGGGUAAUUGCCCUUUUGGAAAGCAAAUGAGAGAUGGACACUUCCAUAUCCUUAAGCAUUCAAGGAGACACAAGUUGUUGUCAGUACUACCGUUCCUCAUCUUCAACAUCAUGCCAUCAGGUAGACGCUUUAGACCUUUACAAUUAUUAAGAAAAAGAUUUCUCAGCAUUGGUGGGAAACCUACAUCUGGAAAGAAGAUUGUCAAUUCUUCAAGGCAUGUUAGACUCUGCCAUCCAUUUGGAAGCCUCUCUAGUUUAUCACGUUUAAUUAUUUCCAAAGACUGAAGAUUGCAUCCCAAGGAUACAAGUUGAUCACAAUCUCUAAUCUCAAGAGAAAGAGAGUUUUUUGAUCCAAAACCAUCCUCCCACAAAUAUUCGAGUUCUUCACAUUCUGAUACUUCCAAAACCCGAAGCCCUUGCAAAAAUUGCACAAGUCCUUCAUGCAAUUUUACAAGCCUUGAAAUCCUAGAAAUUGUUAACCUGGUGAGUGAGGUGAGGUCAUUUCCACUUCUCAAGACCGCCUCAUUACAUCCUCUUACUUGCAAUUCCCUCAGCAGUGGAAGUCUUGAAAGUGGAGACUCCAAUUUUGGACAAAAGUGAACAGAGAGCUUUGUAAGAGAAGGUAGGUAAGUGGGUAGUUUCAUAAUCAAUUUGGGGCAAUACUUAAUUAUAAGCUCAUGGAGACAAGGGAAUAAUGACUCUGUUGAGGAAGACCAGUCCUCCCAGUGCUCCCAUUCUGACAUGCUCUCAAAAUGUAGAGACUCUAGUGAUGGGAAAAACUUACCUGCAGAAACACGAGUCUCUCCAUAAAACUCUGCACCCACUUUUUUUACUCCAACCAUUCCUUGGAUCCUCAACUGUUUGAGCGAUGGCAACUGCCCCAAGCAUGGUAAAGACGUGCACUUUCUGCAAUCUAUGAGACUUAGAUCCACCAUCUUAGAGAACAAGGCAUCCCCUAUCCAACGUGGGAAUUUUGGACCACCAUACAACUGAAUGCAGAGUUUGUUCAGAUUCAAACAACGUUGUAGAGAGUCAAGGACAUCCAUUUGAUUCCUUUCAUUCCCUGAACCAUCCAACUCAGAACUCCACUGCAUUAUCAAGCUUUCAAGGUUACGCUUUAAUUUUAAAUCGGCAUCCCUUGCAUCUUGAAUAUUCACCACAUUUUCCAAUUUCGAAAUGCAAAGUUCUCCUCGCAGAUGUGACACGUCCUUCAACUCUUUGAUUGUCAAACCUUUGUUUUUGUCCACAAUGAAAUUAGACAAUAUCCGCAAAUCUUUUAGUUUGUCAAUUCGUAUAGGCAUUUCUUGUAAUUUUAUUGCACCGGCAACAUCAAGAUGUCGAAGAUUGAUUAGGUUAUCGAUGCUAAUAGGCAACCUGAUAAGCUCUUUACAACAUGAUAAUUUCAAUGUCUGAAGGUAAAAAAGAUUACCAAUUGAAUCGGGUAACCAUUUUAUACUAAUGUAGGAUAAAUUAAGGUAUCUCAAAUGUUUCAACUUACCAAAUGAAUCCGGUAUCUCACUUAUCAUGUAAUUAGUCAAUGAGAGCACCCUUAAGUGCCCUAACCUUGGUAUCAAUUCUUCAAGCACCUUAUUACUUAUGAAGUGAUCAAGCCAUGUUGGUUGUUCAUCAAUCGGGAAAGCUAUGAAUGUGCGCAAGUGCUCCUUUUCAUGAAACCUUUCAAAAUUUUUAAAGAUAUCAUAAUGAUGAUGGAUGAAUGAUGAAUGACGAGCAUUUUUCAAAAAUGGGGCAUUGCAAAUCAUUCCACAACUCAUCAUCCAAAUGCAAGCAUGUGUCUCCAGCAAUAGAAUUAGCUAGACCGUUAAUAAGAUCAUGCAUAAUGAAUCAUGAUUUAUUGCUGCUCGACGAUUGGAAAAAUGACCUUGACAAUAGUUCACAAAAAUAAUCAUCACCAAGAUCUUCCAUUUUCUCAUCCUCAUUUGAUUGUUGAAUUAACCCCUCCGCCAUCCACAAGAGGAUUAGCUCUUCCUUCUUAAACUCGUAAUCUUGGGGAAAUAAUGCGCAAUAAGCGAAACACCUUUUUAAAGUGUAUUUCGAAUUUAAAUUAUUGCAAGUGUAUUUGCUUGACUAACCUUUUGAAUUACUCAAAUUUAACAAGUUGCAAAUAGGUCCCUUAGCUAAUCUUUUAAAUUAAUCUUGAUGUUGACAAGAAUCUUGCCGACCAUAAUUAUAAAAAGAGAAAUAAUUGAAGCUAAGUUGACCUAAUCUAGUUUAAUAAAUUGCAAGUCGGUGCCCUUACCUAAUCUUUUAAUUUAAUCUUCAUAUUGAUAAGAAUGAAGCCGACAAUAAUUAUAAAAACAAAAAGACGACAAGUUAAUUCUAUUGACUAAUUUUAUUAACUCAAAUUUAAUUAAUUACAAGUAAGUUUUCUUAAGUCUUAACUAACGUUUAAAUUAAUCUUGAUAUAUAUAAGAACCUUGCCAACUGUAAUCAUAAAAAAGAAAAGGCCGACAAACUAAUUUAAUUGACUAAUUUUAUUAACUUGAGUUUAAUAAAUUGCAAGUAGGUUAAUCUCUUACCUAACCUUUUAAAUUAAUCUUGAGAUCAAUAAAAAUUAUAAAGAUCAUAAUUAUAAGGAGGAGAAAAAGGCAAACUAGUUUGAUAUUUUUAAGGGCUUAAGCUAAAUUUAUACCUUUUAUACAAGAGUUCCUAUUUUUAUAUAAACGUUUUUAUCACUUUUUGUUUUUAAAAACAAAAAAUGAGAAGUAUAUCUAAACAAAUACUUAAUAUUGAAUGGUAUAAACUCCUACUCAUUUAAAUGAAAUAAAGAGAUAUUUUCAUUUAAGAUAAAAAAAAAUGUAAGGAUAAAAAAUUAAAAAACUUUUUAACUUCUUGUACUUUAUUAUUACAUUUUUUUCAUUAGAUGCUUUAAAUAUUUUUUAUCAAAUAAAAUUAUAAUGCUAUUGGUCGAGGGCUAAUUAACUUUGUUUAAGCGAGAAAGAUAUAGUUAAGAUUGGGGUCGAUCCACAACUAAAAGAAGAAUGAAAUAAAAAGUAGGAGAUGAAUUGAUCAAACCAAUGUCCCAAAAAUAGUCCUAUGCAUGGCUCUACUUGAAUAUCUAUGAUUAUGAUUAUUAUUAUUAUUAAACUAAUCUUAACUUUAAGUUAAAGAUAAUUUAAAAAUAUAUAUAACUUCAAAAAUUAUUUUCAAAUCUAGAGAGUUAUUUUGAACUAGCAAUUAAAAGAUACUUCUUCAAAAUCAUUUUUUCUUAUUAUACAUUUUAUCAUCGAGAACCGUUUCAAACCAUCUUUUUGGUUUGCUUUCACAAAAAUGGUUUUUUCCCCCUCCAAAAGAGCUAUCAAUGGAAGCGUUAUAGGCUAAAACCGUAUUUAUGAUAAUCAAUUCCAAUGGAUCCUAUAAGUUAUGCCAUUUUUAUGAAGUUUUUCUUUGGUUUUUAAUCUUUGUAUUAAUGCAUCAAUAAAUGUUUUAUUAAAGAAAUUACUAGUAUAAUAAAUGAUACAAGAUUGUACGUGGGUUCAUGUUGAUAGGACAAUGAGAUAAAAAAAUAUAAGGUGAAUACAAAUCUCCAUGCAUAAAUGAAGCAAUUAGCUUGUUCAAUAUAUUUAGCUUGAUGUAAAAUUUCCUUUUUAUUUUCCAAAUUCUUUAUAACAAUUGGCUUUCCCUCGUAGUACAAAAAAAAUAAAAAUCCUCCUUGCAUUAAUUUUUCUCCUAAAACAAUUUUUUUUAAAAAAAAUUAACUUUUCAAAAAUUAAAAGCUAUUAAAAACAUCUGCCUAUAAUAACCUAUAAGUAAAAGUUCCUUCAACUAGCCUAUUACUUUUUUGAGAGUUCAUAUGAAUUAUGUAUGGCCCACAGUUGGACUUUGAAGAGUUUCAAAGCAAUUUAGUUAAAAGAUAACAAAAAAAAAAAAAAUGAUAUGACAAAUAGUGAAAAUCACUUUGGAUUCCAAUAAUAUUUUCUAUCAAUAUAAUAUCUCAAUACAAUGUCUCCUUGGUAGGUUUAGUAUGAAAAUGAAUUAUUUUAUGAAUAUGACUUUGGAUUCCAAAUUUUGAACUUUCUAAUGCCUUAACAUAGUGGUAGGUGUCACACCCCUGAAGGUCACACCAAAUUUUUCACAAGUGCGCGGUGCUAAGGACCCUUCCUUAGCCAACCUUCCUUCCCAGCGUUUAGAAAAACAGAGUAAAAGCACAACAACAGUAAAUCAAUAGGGACACAAACGUUUACAAGAAACCUUUCCCAACUUGUAUUAAUUCACUCUACAAGACAAAAUUGUUCCUCUGAACCAGAGUACAAUGCUCACACCCAAGCAUUACGACAAGAACCCUUUUCCCCAAAUUCUCUCUCUCUCCGUUUCAAGGCUCUAGGAGCCCUUUUAAAAGACUUAAGCUGCACUUACAAAUUUGAAUUUCCAAAUUCAAAUGUUGGAGCCAAUAUGGUGGUUAUGCAACUAGCCAGAAUCACCCAUAACUGCCUUGCAUAACCACCCACCACCCAGAUAGUGGCCUGCACAUGCCACCCACUUGCACCAGCCAUCAGCCCUCAGCCAACUACAAGUCAAAUGACAGCUUGACUUAGUCACUUGCUGUCUGAGCUAGCUGCCACUAGCUAGCUACACUGCCAUCUUCUCAAGCCCUGCUCGCUAAGCUGCUGGAGAGUCCCCCUAACAAGCUGUCUCCUUCCCCGCAAGGUGCCUCUUGUGACUGGGUGCCCAUCAGCAUGUCUUUGAUCAAGGCCUUCUAAGCCAGGCAGUGUGCACCAACCAGCUGACCAAGCGUCUGGUGCAUCAGUGUGCCUUCCCCACACUAAUGUGUGAGCCCAUGCCAUGUCUAAGUGCCCAUGGCUUGGGCUUGUUGCUUGCUUCCCUUGUCAGAUCCAGCUUCAUAGCAACGAGCCAUGGCAUUGCGCCCAUGGCUAAUCCCUCUUAGUGCACAGGGCAUUGUGCCCCGGUGCUGUGCGUAGACAUCAUGGUGCGAGUCAGCUAUUGCUUGGUGCCCCAUCAGACCAUGGCAUUGUGCCCAUGGUUUCAUCAGCUGGCUCACCGCACAAGUCUUAGGCACUCUCGUGCUUGCGCGGGAAGGAGGUAGGCCGCACCAAGCCCCAUGCCGUUGUGGCCAUGGGGUACACACCACACAUGUCGUGGAGCCCAUGUGUGCAUGCUCAAGUCGCAUCCGUGUGUCCUAGGCACGCCCAAGGCCGUGCCAUGGUGUCCCCUUGGUGCAGUCAAGGCUUUCCUUGGUGCUCUCUCCUUUGAGUCACCUAACCCCCCCCCCUUAAAGAGCAAUACGGGUCGUUUUCAUUGUUUCUGGAGGAGACAUUAAUAUGCCUGAGGAGACAUAAUGGAAUAAUAAAUAAUUAUAAAUUAAAAUUCCAAAAGUCUCUCAGCCUUCAUCUGCACCACCUAAGUCAGGUGCGCACACGAUGCCCAUCUGGUGCGCACGCGAUGCAUGUCUGGCUCGCCCGUAGUGCGCGCACGGUGCCCAUCUGGCCUGUUCACAAUGUGCGCACGGUGCGCGUCUGGCUCGCCCGUGGUGCGCGCGCGGUGCACGUUUGGCUCGCCCACGGUGUGCACGUGGUGUGUAUUUGGCUCACCCGUAACCUCUCACAUAGCCCCUAGAGUUUGAACCACCAAACCUCUAGGAUUUCCUUGCUUUCAGCCUAGGCUCUCAUGGGUACAAGGCCUAUCCAUGAGGCCUUUUCCUCCAUGGUUAAGUCAAGAGGCUAAGGGGCUGACAGUAGGCCUUAUAGAAAAUGAAACUUGGGAAAAAGUAUAGUAUGGACAUAAUUUUUGACUUAGGAGGUGAUGUUACAACACCUUCAAUUAAUUACCUUGAAAAUGAUAUGUUAUUGUAUUGAAAAUGAUAUUAAAUUUAAUGAAGACAUAUCUAAUAAAAAUAACACCCGUUUUUUAAAACAAUAUUAUGAUCUUACUAUUGUGUCAUGUUGGAUCAUAAAAAUAUCACCCAUUUUUUAAAACAAUAUUAUGAUGUUACUAUUGUGUCAUGUUGGAUCUCAUUUGGAAAACAAUUUAAUUAUGUUGUGUCAUAAUUUUUUUAAAAUUUAUUCCAUUUUUCUUUUAAUUUUUGAAGCAUGCAAUUGGAGUUGGUCUAAACUUUGAAUAGUUGGAGCCAAUUUCAAUGCCUUAGUGGGUCUAAAAGAAAAAAAGAAAAGAUUGGAAAAUUGAAGUGGAAUAUGGAGACAAAAUUUUAAAGGCUUGAAGUGAUGUUACAGCUUUCCAAGUAAUUACCUUGAAUGUGAGAUGUCAUUAUAUUGAAAAUUCAUAUUAAAUCUCAUGAGGUAACUAUAGGAAUUGCCAUACAUAGAGACAAAUAAUAAAUAUAUCUCACUUUUUCAAAAUGUUUGUGAUCCUAAUUAUACAUUGCCUUUAUAGUGGGAUGAAUGCAUCUUCACUUAAAGUCUUAUUCUAAACAUAUUUUUAGAAUUUUCUAGGAAUAUGUAAAGAAAACUUUAUGAUAAGUAAUUUCUAUCUAAGACGGGUAAAGUCUAAUAUGAUUUGUUCACACCAUUCAAAUCCAACACAUUUUUUUAUAAAUUUGAAAUGAGUAUAAUUGUAUUUGAAUAAAAAUAAAUUGUUUUUAGGUCAACUUUCAUAACAAACAUUUAACUCAAAUUGACUUAUUUAAUAAUAUUAAUCUUAAUUAUAACUUUAACUUAUUUAACUCAUAUUUGACUCAUUUAAAAUUUGAUUUUCAAUAGUGACAUCAUAAUUGAGUUAUAAACAUGUCAGUUUAGGACACUAACCAUAUAAGAUCAUACAAUGUUAAACUCAAUUUGACUAUUAAAUAACAUCUAAUUAUUAUAAGAGUUAAAUAGGUUACAAUGUAUUACUUGGUUAAUAAUUAGAUUGUGUUUGAGUUUGUAUUUUUAAUUAUAAUUUAGUUGAGUGUUUGAUCUACGUUACCAACAUGAAUUAUCACUCAUAUUUCUAUUGCAAAACCAAAGAUGGGAUAAUUCUUAGUUUUGAUGAUAAUAAAAGAAGGUUCGACUAAAGUUUCAUCUUGAGUGUGACUAGGCAAGAUGAUUUUUAAAGUAACAAUUACAAAGAUAAACCAAAACAAAAGAAAAAAAAGAAAGAAAAGGAAGACCUCAAAGAGAAGAGACUUCAAAAAUUUUUAUAAGAUCUCUUUGUAAGGUUGUUGGUGCACUAGAAUUUACAUGCAUUUUAUUCAAGCAUCAAAGAUCAUCCUUGUGCGAUUUUGUUUUAAAUUUUUUUAUAAUUAGAUGAUUUCAUGUUUUUAAUUAAAACCUUAUGCCAAAUUUUUUUCUAAACUUUUUAAAAGGGUUGCAUGAGUUGCUAGAGGUUUGAAACCUAAAACCUGAGUAUUUGAGUACUUAAUAGUGCAACCGGUCAAAAGUCCAGGGAAUUGAUUAAAUCAUUUAGGUUCAAUCAAUUGAGGGGUGUUUUUACACACGCUUUCUCUCUUUCUUGGUCAAGACUUUGCCUUUCAUGGUCAAAGUCUUGAACCCUAACGAACACUUACUAAAAGUAUUAAUUGCUAAUGAUUUUAGCAUUAAUUGCUAACGGUUAGUGAAUCAGUCAAAUCGGAACUUGACUGGUUGACCCCCUAAAUGUGCCUAACAACAAGUUUAGCCUUUCUACUUCUACAUAAAGGUUCCAAUCUUCAUUGUUGGUAAGUCUAACAUUCCCAAGUCUUUUAUGAACAGUAUUUGAGCCUUGGUGGAGUGUUUUUUAGCACACCUUGUUUCAAAACUUGCAUAUCAUUAGUUCACCAUUAAUCUUAAUUUAUCUUGUAUCAUUUGAGCUUAAAUUUGUACUAGGAAUGUGUGAGAUUAUCUUUCCUAUCAUUUUGUGUAAACCUUUGUAAGGGGAGAUUAAGUGUGGGGUAUUACUUAAAGGAAAAUUUAAGCAUGAGGUAUCACUUAGUGUUUGUCAAGUGUGGGGUAUCACUUAGGAAAUUCAAGAGUGAGGUAUUUUUUGAAAAAUUUGUAAGUGUCCAUUGGAGUCAGUUAAUCUAAUAGUAUGAUUAGAAACUUUAGAUUAGUAGAACCUCAAGUUUAGGAUUGAAGUUAUAGGAGAGUGAACAUAGAACGAGUUGCACCAAACCACAAUAAAAAUAUUGUGUUUGUAUUCUCUCUUCCCUAAUCUUUUUAAUUUGUAUGAAAUUACUUUUCAUUGUAUUUAUUGUAUAUUUGCAUAUAAUUGUCUUUUGUAUUCAUGUAGUUUAAGUUUGCAAAAAGAAACCAUCACCCUAUUUAUCCUCCCUCCCCCUCCCCUUCCCCUUCCCCCCGAGGGUGACUACCUUAGGUUAAUUUAGCAAAAAUCAUAACAUUUACAAAUAUAUUAUUUGCUUAUUAUAGUUAAGAAAAAUGCCAAGAAAAUUUAUCAAAAAUCAUAACAUUUACAAAUAUAUUAUUUGCUUAUUGUAGUUAAGAAAAAUGCCAAGAAAUUUCAUUGAUAAAAAUUUCCAUGAUAAAUUCUAAAAACCACUUUAAUUCCAAUUAUCUUUUUCCCAAUGCAAUGUCUCAAUGAUUCUAGGAUGAAAAGGAAUUUUUUCAUGUCAAUAUGACUUUGGAUCCCAAAUUUUAAGGCAAUUUCAAUGCCCUAGUGGUGGGUCUAGAAGAAAAUAAAAAAUGUGGAAAUUAAAGUGGAAUAUAGACACAAUUUUUUACUAAUUGUAAGAUGAUGUUACAAUACCUUAUGUAGUUACUAUGAAAGUGACUUUGGAUUCCAAAUUUUGAGCCAAUUUCAAUGCCACAAUGAUGGGUCUAGAAGAAAACAAAAAAUAUGAAAAUUAAAGUAGAAUAUAGACACAAUUUUUUACUUGUUAAGUAAUGUUACAAUGCCUUAUGUAAUUAUUUUGAAAGUGAGAUAUCAUUGAAUUGAGAAUUGAUAUUAAAUUUGACCAACUAUCAUAAGGAUUUGCUUUCAAAAGAGAGAUAAGUAAUAAAUAUCUCUUAUUUUUUGGAAAAAAAAAAAUUAUCAUACUAUUAAUGUGUUUAAUUUUAUUUUUUUUAAAUAGAGAUUGUUAUAUUUUUUUGUAAAAAUAAGUUUCCUUAUAAAAUAAGAAAAAGUGGUAGAAGUAUUUCUAUAAAUAUUUUAUUAAGAGAAAAAGCUAUAACAUGAAGAAAAACAUGUAUAGUUUAUAUUUAAAAGAUAGUGAUAUGGGAAAGAGUGGGAAACAUUUCUUGGAAUGGGGACAUAUGAUUCAAGUAUAGAUACAAAGAACAAGGAAAUAUAAGAUGUUUUAAAUUAAUUAAUUAUAUCUUCUUUUUUUAAUCUUUUGUAGUAUUGUAUAUAGUAAUAGAAGAUGAGUUAUCAAAUGCGAACUUUCAUGUAUAUAUGAUGCAAUUAACUUGUUCAAUAUAAGCACCUUGAUGUAAAAUCUCAUUUUUGUUUUCUAAAGUCUUUAUGACUAUUGGUUUUUCUUUUGAGUGCCAAUAAAUAAAAGAAAAAACCCUUCUUUUUUGUUUGAAGAAAAAAUCUUUAUUAAUCCAAACCCUAUCAACUUAUAUAUGACCUAUUGCAGGAUAAUGAAGUUUUUUAAAGUAAUUUUAAAGACAAAAAAGAAAAUUUGAUAUGAUAAAUGAUUAAAACCACUUUAGAUUCCAAUAGUAUUUUCUAUCAUAUAACGUCUCAGUGAAAUGUUUCAUAACAAAAUGAAUUAUUCUAUGAAUAUGACUUUGGAUUCCAAAUUUUGAACUUUCUAAUGCCUUAACUUAGUAGUGAGUCUCAUAGAAAAUGAAAGUUAUGGAAAAGUAGAAUGUGGACUCAAUUUUUGACUUAUAAAACUGAUGUUACAACACCUUCAAGUAAUUACCUUAAAAAUGAUAUGUCAUUGCAUUGAAAAUGAUAUUAAAUUUAAUGGAGAGAUAAUUUAUAAAAAAUAUCACUAAUUUUUUUAAAAAGAAUAAUGUGAUCUUACUAUCGUGUUAGGUUGGAAAAAAAUUUAUGUUGGAGUUAAUUUUUUUUUAUUUGUAUUUCUUUUUAUUUAUUUAUUUAUUUUGCAUAUUGUAAGGUCUCAAACUCGUUUAGAAAUAUGAACACUGAUGAAGAGUUAGAAAUUUAAAAACAUUAAAGGUAUGGUUAAAGUUAUUUUUAGAUAGUUGAAAUUGCAACCAAAAAAACAAGAAAAUGAAAGAAGUUCAAAUUUUAUUUGAUUAUCUUAAAAAUAUGAAAGAAAUUACAUAUAAUGAAAAUUGUUUAGAGUUUUAUAUACUUUUAAUAUUUACUCUUUACAGAAAAGAAAAAAGGCAAAUAAAUUUUUAUGAACUUAUGGAAAAUAUUAAACUUCAGCUUAAUUUUUUUGUUUUUCUUGAUUUUUCUUUCCUUUGUGAUCUUUCCCACUUUAUCCAAACUUUCCAUAGUCUAAACUUUAUACAUGUUUUCUCUUCUUUUUAAUUAAAAAUUUUUAAAUUUUCCAAUUAAAAUUCCAAGAUAGGCUAAUAAAAACUUAAAACUAAUAUUACAUUUUAAACGAACUGGAUCGAUUUGGUAGCCAAUUCGAACCCAAUCAAAUUUAGCCUCUAAUGUGAGGUAUUUGACCCAAACUUAGCUCAAACUCAUUUUUACCGACUAAAGUUAGGCUUAAAUUGACUCAUAGUACUUUUAGUUGAGUUGAUUAGGUUGUAUGAUCAUAACUAGGUUUGGUAAGGUUGAGUUAGUUUGAACCUAUUCAUAAAUGUUUUUUUUUUCUCUUUUAUAUUUAUUUUAUAUCAUAAUUUUAAAAAUUAAAUUGGAUAACUUUUAAACAUGAUAACAAAAAUAAAUAAAUUUAUGUAUAUGUCUAACAAAAAUGAAAUAAUAUAAUUAAAAUUCAACAUUUUUUAAAAAAAACUAAAAAAAAAAACACAAAAUAGGUAUUAUUAUAUAAAAUAAUAUAAAUUAUAAAUAUAUAAAAUUAGGUUUGGGCUAGCUUAGGUUAUCCAAACCUUAGCCUAAGUAGUUUCUCGAGUGUUUGCCACUUGUAAAAGUUUUUGGUAAAUUUUUAUUAAAAUUAAUUUUAAAAAAAGAAAUAAAAUGUUUUUAAAAAAUAUUAAAUGCAUAAUUAAAAUUAUGCUAAUGAAACAAAGGGAAGCAAACAAGAUAAAAAAUUUUCUCUCAAAAGGUGUAGUGUAAUGACUUCAAAUUUUAAGUUUUGAUGGUCAAUCUGCCUUCAAUUAUAAGGAUAAGAAGCUUGUAGAGAACAAAAAAUAUAUAGCAAGUGGAUAUAUAUAGAUAUAACAAAAAAUAAUAUAUAUAUAUAUAUAUAUGCAUGAUUGGAGCCAAAAUAUGUGCUCUAAUGGCACAUAUUCGAUAUGAUUUGUGCACCAAAGGACAUUCAAAUCACCCAACUUGACCUAAAUCAAUGCUAAGGCCCUAGCCAUGGGUUUAAUCUAUACUUUGGAGAUUUAUCUCAGGUUCAAGGGAAGAAAAUUGUGCAAAUUGAAUGACUUUAGAUUUUGAAAGAUCAAGAAAGGGCUAAAUGAGGAAAUAAGUGAGUCAAGACUCAUUGAACGUAAAGAAAGGCAAAACAAGGAUAUCAUGAGGUUGGAGGAUUAUAAAUGACCAUUAUGGAGUAAGAAAGAAGGCAAGAAAGCAUGGGGAAUGAGGCAUGAAGCAAGAUUUAGCUGCAUGGAAAUUUAGAACUCAAAAAUCUGAUGGCAUUAUAUACUCUGACUUUGAGGACAAAUUUGGAGCACUUUCUGGAGUCCAUUAUAUACAUACUAUAUAUCGUUUCGAAUCUCGGGAAGUCAGGAGUCCAACACUUCAAACGGUUUGCAAAUCGGAGCUGAAAUGAAGAAGUUAUGUCCAUUUGAAGACAACUGCACCAAGCUGGAGGGUCAUUUCGAAAUGAUUUCGAAAUUCAACUUAUGAUUUCGAAAUUCAACUUAUGAAUUCGAAAUCCACUUCGAAAUGACACCAAUUUCGAAUUCACCCACUGCCACUUUGAUGUUCCGCCUCCUCUACCCCGAGAAUUGCAUCUAUUCAACUUAUGAAUUCGAAAUCCACUUCGAAAUGACACCAAUUUCGAAUUCACCCACUGCCACUUUGAUGUUCCGCCUCCUCUACCUCGGGAAUUGCAUCUAAAGCACUCCAUCCGCUCUAGGUGGACCCCACACGACUAGAAAUCACCAUUUUAUUAUUUUUAAUCAUUUUUAGGAAAUUAUUUUUGUAAUAAGUGGCCAAUGAGAGUGUGCCACAUGUUAGGUAAGUGAGGAUAUUAUAUAAACUCUCUCAAUUCUAGGUUUUAGGGAUCUUGGAUCUUGGAUCUUGGAUUUUUUUUCUAGAGAGUUUGACAUUGAAGGUGGAAGAAGACGAGAACUUUGGUUUGUUUUCUUUUUCUUCUUUAUUGAAUAUAUUGUUUUUAGUUUCUUUUGAUUCAAAUUAUGAAUUUUUACCCUAUUAUGGAUUGUGAAUGUGACAUCACCCCCAUGAGAGGCUAAGAGCCAACUUGGGGCUUGAAGCAUGAAAACCUAAGGGUUAGGAAACCUAUAGGGACAAUGGGUAAAUUACUAUAACAAUGAGAUUAAUUAUUGGUUGGGUGACAAUUUAUUAUAUUUUUUUAUCCUAUCCUUGUGAGUUCAUUUAGGGAAUGAUACGAUAGGUUAUUACUUGAUACUAGUGAUUCUUGGUAAUUCUUGAUCAUUAGUUAUCCUCGUUUUCCCUACCGUUAUUUGCCCCUAAACAAAGCUAUAAGGAGUAGGAAGGGUUAAAAAGCCAAAUCUUAAAGUGAUAAUCAAUCUCAUUCAUUUGAUGGUUUUAGGAAUCUGUUUGAAAAAGGAAAAAUUAGGUUUCGGAUGCAAUUUUGAGUUAUAAAACCCAACUUGAUCGCGAGUGGCCAAGGAUCCCAAAACCCUAAGAUCAUAUUACUUAAAAUACCCUUGUUUUCUAUAAUUUCUAUACCCUAGGUUGGAUUGUGGAAAACCCCAAACUUGAAUCAAUUGAAUUUAAAAUCAAUAUUCAUUUUCUCUUAUUAAUCCAAUUUCUUUUACUUAGUUUCAUAUUAUUCACAUAUUGUUUUUCACUUAAGGAUUUAAACAAAAACAAUUCAUUUAUCUAGUAUUGACAAUUUUCAUAAGCCAGUCCUUGAGAACGAUACCCGGAAUACUACAAAAGCCGUAGUGACUCUUUCUCUAAUUUUUCUUGACCAGAGUUACUACGUAAAAAGGCUAAGUAUUUUGGUACAAUAGAGAAAUUUCGGUCAAUGCAUCAUACUUUUGUCACAAGCAAACCCACUAGUAAACCUUUAUCAUCUUAUUAUAUAACAAGUGGGUAUACCUAGAUAAAAUAAAAAUAGGUCUUUGUUUAUUAAAUUCAAAAGUUUAUGAUCAUCACUUAACAUUUAACAAAGUGGUACAAAUGAUGGUAAAAAUAGUAGUAUAAUCAAUAUUUUCCUAUAUUGAAUAUUAUAAUUGAUGUUUUUUUUUUUUUUUUUUAUCAAGAAGCAAUUUUAGAGAUAGGUUUUUAUCAAGUAACAAUCUUCAAUGUUUUUUGUCUAUAUUAAUUUACCAUCAUGAUCUCUAAUAUUGUACCAUUGAAUGCAAUUGCAAAACAUCUAUGUAAUUGUUAGUAAAUUUUUUUUCAUGCUCAUUAUACAAUAUUUGUUUUAAUUUUCAAGUUGCAAUUAUAGUCUAAAGGUUGAGGUUCCUAGAUAGUUAUAGCUUUGAUGAGAAGUCUAAUCAUGUUGUUGUUGUUCAUGUCACUUUAAUUAGACCAAGUUCAAUGAUACUUUAGACCAUAUUUAAGGAUCCUUUUCAAAUAUCUAUCUAACUUUUGAUAUGCAAUUUGAAAAGAGGAUGGAGAGAGGAUGGUUGUUCUCCAUAAUCCAUUAAUAAAUAAAUAAAAAUAAUUAUAUUUAGAAGGAAAAUAAAAAAUUAUUAAGAUCAUUAGCAAGUAAUUUUGGUAAAACUUGAUAUUUAACUAGGUAAGAUGACUUUAAGUUAAAUUAAUUGUAUUUAAGUCAUUAAGUCAUAGUUAUUAAUACGAUUUCUCAAAAUCAUUUUUAAAUUUAUUAUUUUAUCAAUCAUACUUGAUAUACUUAAUAACUUAAAAUUAAGUCAUUAAAUUGAUUUAUCAUCACCCUCUAAAGUCUUUUCAAUUUUGUACAUUUAUUUGAUACAUAUUUAAUCAUAAACAAUCAAAAAAGUGCUAUCUCAAAAUUUUUAAUUCAAACUCCUUCAAAGUUAUUCAUGACUAAAAUUCAUUAAUUAAUUUACAUUACAAGCUUUGAAAGAAACUUGUUUUAAAACAUAAAAUUGAUAGAGAUAGUACAUAUUUUAAACUUUUAAUUAAAAUAAAAAGCUCAUAACAAAAUAAUUUGAUGGAUGUUUUAGUAUUUGAAAAGAUUAUGAGGUCGGUGUGGACUUACUCUUGGCAUGCGUACUUCCACAAAUCAGAAAGAACAACCUCUCCAACAACUUCCAUGGUGAUCAGUUUGCAGAGAGAGAAUUGUAGCUAUAAACCAAAGCACUGUGAAAAUAAAUUGGGGAAGCAGAAAGAAGCGUGGGUUGUUGGGUGAUGGCUUAAAUAUUAGAAAGCUUAGAGAAAGAGAAAGUUGGAAGUUGGACUAGUCUUUUGUUUCCAUACCCUUAAAUCCAAUAUGCUGAGUAGGCCAUGUGCUCCACACCCCGUCUAUUGUGGUGUGACUGGUGUCACAUUCAAAUAAACAAAUCGAAAUCUCUACUACAACAUCAUAUUUUAAUGGAUUUAGUAUAACCGAGUGAAGGCAAUUUAUUAAAUUAUUGGAAAUUGUUAAAAUUAUAUAUUUAAUGGAACACUGUUUUUGGAAUUUGAGACUCCCAGACUGCCCAUGUGCAUCCCAUUGUUCGUGUUCUUAGUUUUUUCAUUUUAGUACUUCUAAAAAUUCUCAAAAUUUCAUCAGGCACAUUUUUCAAGCUUACGAUUCUCAUGGCAAUGAUGUAAGUAAAUUAAAGAUUUUACUAAUUUGAACGCAAUUUGAUAAAAAUAAAUAAAUAAAAAUGAAGAUUAUGUAAAAAGGCUUCAAAGAGUUUUAAAGAUUUUUUAAAAUUUUUUUUUAUUUAUUUCUUAAAGAUAAAAGUACUUUCUUCAUUGUAAGACUUAAUAUUUACUUUUUCCAAUUAAAAAAAUAAAUUUAUUUUGAAAAGACAAAUCUAGUUUUUAUAUUGAAUUCAUCUUUUCAAAAAAAAAGUUUUCCAGUGAACUCACUUUAGUAUAAAUUAGGGAAAAGUAUAGUUCUAUUCGGUUCAUAAAAUAAAAAACCCGAUAUUAUGAUAAUUUAAGAAAUAUUUUUGGAAAAAUGCUAUUUCAAUUUUUUUGAACGGUUUUACUUGAAUGGAAAGUCUGAUGCUACAUAUGAUAUUAUGUCAUUGAAAUGAAACUUAUACCAUGUAAUAACUUUUAAUUAACAAUAAUUUAAAUUAAAACCGUAAAUAUUUAAUUUUUUGUUGAUUUAAAUAAAUGUUAUUUAUUUAUUUAUUUAUUUGUAACACAAGUUUUGAAGUUUUAAGACUGACCAUGCAUGUGCAUACCACUGUUUAUUUAUUCACUUUAAAACUUUAGGUGCAUUUUUUAAGCUUAAAUUCACAUGCUAUCACAUUAUCCUAAAUAUGCUUGUACCAUCUAUAAUGUAUCUGGAAUAAGGUGCAUGGGGAUCACGUAGAGCCGGCUGGACUGGACAUAAGUUUUGGAGUUUUAAACUUCCAAUGGCCAAUUAUGUUUUAAUUUUCAUAAUAUAUUAUUAUAUUUUCUUUAUUUGAAUGGAAAAUGGUUUGCUUUGAAAAAACAAGUUUAAUAUAAAAAAAAAUUAAAUUUAUAUUUUACAUUAAAUUAUAAAUUGCAUGUAAAAUGAAUUUAUAAAUUUUCAUAAUAUAUUAUUACGUUUUCUUUAUUUUAAUUUAACGUAAAGUAUAAAUUAGUAUUUUCAAAAGAAAAGUUGAAUGUAAAAGUAAUAAACUAAAACACAAAGACAGAUAUUAAAUUUAUAUUUUCAAAGACAAAUUACUUCUAAAAGCACGGACUUGAUUUUUUUGUGCAAUGUAAAAAGAAUUUUUUAUUUUUUUAUAUAUCAAACUUAUGUUUUAAAAAGACGAGUUAGUAUUUAUUUUGAAUUUGUUUUUCGUAAAAGGUUUCCCAUGUGUACUUCAUAUGAUUUUAUUUUGUUGAUAGGAGAUUUAUAUCAUGUAACAACUUUUAAUCGGUCACAAUUUAAAUUAAUUAUAAAUACCCAAUUCCUUUAUUAUUUCAUAAUUAACUAUAGGUUAUAAUGUGAAAUAAUAUCACACUACAUAAAUAUUAUUAUUAUUUUGCAAAAUUGGAUUAGCACAACUAUUCCCAAUUAGAGUGUCACAUGGCUUCUUUUUUUUAUAUUUAAUUAUUUUUUUAAAUAAUUGCUUUAAUUAGUCAUGGAUUAAAUUAGAGGUGUAAUUUGGACAUAUUCAACUCAACUCAACUCAAUCCAAUUUUGAACUAAGUUAGGUAGUCUUGUUUUUUCAUAAAACAUUAUAAGCUAUUUUUCAAUCCUACAAGAUUUUUUGAGAGUAUUUUCUAAAUUUUAUCAAAUACAAUUUUUUUGUAAAAACAUUUAUUAAGUUAAAAACGCUUCUUAAAAUCACUAUUAAAUGACCAUUAUAUGAUAUUGAGAGAUGAAUAAUUUAUUAUAUUAAAAAUUACUUUCCCAAUUGAACAAAAGGUGUGGCGUUUCUUUAAAAACACUUUUGUAAGUAAUAUUUUUUUUAGCACAUUCUCAAUUAUUUUUAGACCCAAAAUAUGUUUUUUUUAAAAUGUUUUAUAAAAAAAAAAUCUUAAAAUACCUUUAUUUAAAAAUUUAAAAAAAAUCUAUUUUCAAAAAACUACAUUUUAUUUUGUUUGAUAUGGUGAGGAGGAGCAUUAAUCUAUGGCUCCCGAGACUGGGCAUGUGAUGCUGUGCAUGCCAUUGUUGGCUUAUGUAUUUCCGGAAUAUUUAGUUUUGAAAAGUACUGAGAAAAAAAAUAAUAAGAAAAUGGUUGGUAUUCAGAUGGCAAAAAUACACACAAAUACACUGAACAAGUUAAUAACAGGCGGGCUGAGAUUCUAUUGCCAAGAGACAGGUUUGUCAUCCAUGUCAAGAAGUCUCACACUUCAAAAUUGUGGGACUUUGGCAUCAACACAUUUCUGGAAUUGUUUCAGGCUUCUAAAUGGAACGAUUCAGGCACCUUCCCAGAAUUCUUUUAAGAUUUCUAAAUGCCAUCCUGGCGUCUUAGUUGGAGGCCUGCUUUCUUCAAUGCUAAAAGAGGGGGUGAUAAGUUGCUAAAAAUUGCAGUCCCUGUGUACUAGAUGGGCAUUCACCCAUGGACAAGAUCUGCAGAACUUAUAAUAGAAACAUGUAUGUUGCUCUAUCAUCUUCGCCUCCUAUUUAUUCUAGUGAAGAAACAGGUUCCGAAAAAAUAAAAAGUGUUCUUCUUACUCUUUUUUAGUAGAAAAUUAGUUCAUUUCCAGUCCAUUGAAGAAAAAAUAAAUUCUGAACCCAGAAGCCAGGUACUUAAAUUUCUGUUUAACUAGGGGAACAUUGGAAACUUACUUACAGCUUUAGCAUAAGAACAUACAAGAUUCUGAUCAACAUACACUGCACGGUAUUAUGUUGGUCCAGUUCCUCUACUCUGCAUUGCAACAAAGUGUAAGGGGUUUCGUAUUUUCUUCAUCUUCAAAUAAAACAAUCCUUCUCAAUAAAAGAAUAAGAGAAAUUGAGAGCUAAGACCAUUUUCUUUCAUUGUACCUCUGUUUCCUCUGCUCCUUGCUCUCUUGGUCAGGCCAAAUGGUGUGUGGUUUGUCCAUUUCUUCUUGACCCCACAUCAAAAAGCAGCAUCCUGGGCUCUCCCAUCUCUCUAUCCCCUUAUCAAGACAGAAUUUGAUGCACUGCUGUCUUGGAUUCUUCCUAGUCAAAAGGAAGCUUGAAAUAUCUCCACUGCUUCUCUGUUUCUUUGAGUCAAAGGACAGUCUGGUUUUAUCUGUUUCUUCUCAUCAUUUUCAAAAUGCAUCACUGUGAGAUCCACUAACCCAAUACCUGUUUUUCAAAUAAUCAAAAUCAUAAACACCAAGAUGUUUACACAUUCAGGUAACACGUCUCUUGACAAUGCAGGUGUGUUUACGUACACACCUGCAUUCAAAGGAAGUACCAUUGUUCUUGUGCAUUUGACAACAUUCAUUUAGUUAACUCCAAAUUUUAGCAAUCCAGAAUCUGUAACUUCUGCAAAAGUUACCUAGUUGUUCAGGGAACAUGCCCCAUCCAAACUAUCUGUAUUUGGGCUUCAUGGUUGUUUUUGGCUUUGCUUUUCUUUUUCUUGUGGUUGUUACUCCUCUUAAAAGGACUAUUGAUUCAUGAUUCAAUGGAUUAUUUGUUGUUUCUGAUAAAAAUAAAUAAAUAAACUAAAAAAAAAAAGAAAAAGAAAAAAAAAAAGAUUUGAUGAAAAUUUUUGGAGUAGCCAUUCAUCAAAUUGCCAUGAGCUUCUCUCCUUAUUUACAUAGUAUAUCACUAUUGCAGAGUCUCCUACUAGAAGGUUAGGUAAACCCUCAUCUUUAGCAAGCUUUAGUCCUACCAUCAACACUAAAAUCUCUGCUUCAAUGGCUAGACCCACUCUAGCAUUCUUAGGGAAUGCUUUCACUUAUGCCCUUUUAUGAUUUAUAAGUGUUCCUCCAAUUCCCAAUUGUCCUGGGUUGUCCAAGGAGCAUACAUCAAAAUUUAACCUGUUGCAUGGGUUGUUCUCUAUGCAUGGUAAAGAGACCCUUAAAUUUUGAACCUAUCCAAUUGCAUCGAUUUCUUCCUUCAAACUCAAGUUGAGCCUUUAAAUUUUUUGCUUGCUGUCAGAUUGACAUGAUUCUUCCACAACAUGAUGGACCUGGCAGACACUCAGCUUCUGCCUACAGUUGCAGUCUACCUUAUGUGUAACUUAAAGGUUGAGCACCAAGUGCUGAUGUUAUGAGGGAUCAAGGGUGGCUUGUGGAGCAGUCCCCUUUUCAGAGUAUUGCCAACAUUCUAUCAAUUGGUUCGGGUGUUCUGUAACUUUGGGACACCUAUAGUAUCUAGAUAAUCCUGCAAUUCUGGAGAAAACCCUUCUGAUUUGCUCUGUACCCACUAGUCGAGAAUAGUAAAAAGAUUCAGCUGUAAUAAUUUUAUUACUUAGAUUGAAUCUUAAUCAUUAGGUUAGAAGAUCAGGAAAAAGUGUCGUGGUUUUGAAUGUUUGUCUCUUUAAUAAUUGCAGUGUGUAUUGAUCCACAAAGUUUGCAGGAUGACAGCAUGACAGUGGGUAUAUAUGUCAUAUGAAAAAAUUUAAAUAGAGCGACUUGUUUGACUUUACAUAGUUUGCUUGCUUCGGUUGUCUACCUUUAGGUAAUAUCACACCAGUAUCUUUUGAUGGUUGGAAUAUCCUUGCACAUAUGUUACCAUUUUCUUUUCUUCAACAUUGUUUUCUUUGUUUCUUCCUUUCUUGGUCAAGCUAAAUAAUCUAGUGAUUCUUCUUUUGUUCUUCAUCCCAUCAAGAGGCAGCAUCUCAUGCAUCUUUACCUUGGGUUCCUCCCUUUCCUUCCAGCCUAUGGAAAAAUAAUAUCAUUGCUUAGUUUGGACUUCUCUGUUUUAUUUUUUUUUAUCAUUUUGAAAGGCAUCAUGGGAAGAUGUACAAAAAAUGUGUUGUGCUGAAUUAUCCCCUUCUCUACUAACCAAAACAUGUUCUUUCACAAUCAAAUAUCAACGUGUUUAAGCAGCCAAUAAGGCAUAUCUUGACAAUGAGGUGAGAGGUAGAAACAAGAAACAUACUCGUAUUCAAGGGAAGUGUUGUUUCUUCAUUUGCAUUAGACAACAUUCAUUUAGUCUCAACUUGAAAGUGGAUUGCUAGAAUCUAAGCUCUUGCAAAGACACAAAAGUACAUUUAGAAAUCCAAAAGAAGCCUAGAGACCAGUUGCUGUCGGGCUUUGUGGAGCCUAGUUUUGUUUGAUCCGGUUUGAUGACCCGACCCGAAUAAUAUUACAUAGUUUUUUAAUGGGAGAUUUAUUGAGGCUUGUCCAUGGAGUGAAGGCUUGGGCUUUUUUAGGCCCGUUUAGCCCAUUGUGGAACCGCCCUUUGUAAUUAGGUUUUUUUUUUGUGUGGUGUGGUUGUUGUGUUAUAAAGAGAACAUAUUGUAGCCGAAAAAAGUACUUUGUAUUCUUCCCUGAUAAUAGUGAUAUCCCUGCAACUCCGUUGAUAUAGGCAAAUUGCCGAACCACAUAAAUACUGUCUUGUACGUGUGAUUGUUUUUUUUUUUUUUUUUUGCGUGUGUUUUCUCUAUUUUUUGUUUCUCACAGGUUGGGAAUUCAGCUUAAUUCCCUUCAACCGGUAUCAAAGCCUAGGGUUAGGUUUGAGUGGGAGCAAUGACAAAGGAAGCAGGAAAGGCGUUUGGAAUAGAAAAGUUUGAUGGCACAAACUUUGUGUAUUGGAGGAUGCAGAUUGAAGAUUAUCUUUAUGGGAGGAAAUUGCAUCUGCCUCUUUUGGGGACAAAACCUGAGAGUAUGAAGGCUGAGGAAUGGGCGCUUCUUAACAUACAGGUUCUAGGAGUUAUUAAGUUAACUCUGUCUAGGUUUGUUGCACACAAUGUUGUAAAGGAAAAGACCACAAUAGAUCUGAUGAAGGCUUUGUCCGGUAUGUAUGAAAAGCUAUCCGCAAACAAUAAGGUGCAUCUGAUAAAGAAAUUGUUCAAUUUGAAGGUGGCAGAGAAUGCAUCAGUAGCACAACAUCUGAAUGAAUUUAAUACAAUCACAAAUCAAUUUUCGUAUGUAGAAAUUGAUUUUGAUGAUGAGAUUCGUACUCUGAUCGUCUUGGCUUCUUUGCCAAUCAGUUGGGAGACAAUGAGGAUGGCAGUAAGCAAUUCUACGGGAAAGGAAAAGCUCAAGUACAAUGAUAUACGAGAUUUAAUUCUGGCUGAGGAGAUUCGCCGAAGAGAUGCAAGCGAAACCUUAAGAUCUGGUUCUGCCCUAAACCUUGAGACAAGAGGCAGAGGUGAUAACAGAAAUUCAAACCGGGGUAGAUCAAAAUUCAGAAAUUCUAAUCGAAAUAGAAGCAAAUCUAGAUUAGGCCAACAAGUACAAUGUUGGAACUGUGGGAAAAUAGGUCACUUUAGAAGGCAAUGCAAAAGUCCUAAGAAGAAGAAUGAAGAUGAUUCUAUUAAUGCUGUAACAGAAGAGGUACAGGAUGCAUUACUUCUUUUAGUAGACAGUCCACUUGAUGAUUGGGUUUUGGAUUCAAAAGCUUCAUAUCAUACCACUCCACAUUGAGAAAUCAUAUAGAAUUAUGCUGCAGGUGAUUUUGGUAAGGUGUAUUUGGCUUAUGGUUCAACCUUGGAUGUUGUGGGUCUGGGAGACAUCCGGAUAUUGUUGCCCAAUGGGUUUGUUUGGUUACUGGAGAAGGUUCGACAUAUUCCUAACCUAAGAAGGAAUUUGAUUUUUGUUGAGCAACUUGAUGAUGAAGGACAUGCAAUACUAUUUGUUGGUGGUACUUGGAAGGUUACAAAGGGAGCUAUGGUAUUGGCUCAUGGAAAGAAGACCGGUACUCUGUAUAUGAUCUCAUGUCCAAGAGACACAAUUGCAGUUGCUAAUGCAAGUACUGAUACAAGCCUAUGGCACAGCAGACUUGGUCACAUGAGUGAGAAAGGGAUGAAGAUGUUGUUGUCAAAAGGAAAACUACCAGAAUUGAAAUCCAUUGAUUUUGACAUGUGUGAAAGUUGCAUCUUAGGAAAGCAAAAAAUUGUGAGCUUCUUGAAAACUGACAGGACACCGAAGGCUAAAAAAUUGUAACUAGUACACACUGAUUUGUGGGGGCCUUCUCCGGUUGCAUCCCUUGGAGGUUCAAGGUACUAUAUCACUUUUAUUGAUGACUCAGCAAAAAGGUAUGGGUUUAUUUUCUGAAAAAUAAAUCUGAUGUAUUUGAAACUUUUAAGAAGUGGAAGGUCAUGGUUAAGAUAGAAACAGGUUUGAAAGUAAAAUGUUUGAGGUCAGAUAAUGGAGGAGAGUACAUAGAUAGAGGGUUCAGUGAGUAUUGUGCUGCACAGGGAAUUAGGAUGGAGAAGACCAUUCCUGGGACACCACAGCAGAAUGGUAUGGCUGAGCGCAUGAACAGAACUCUCAAUGAACGUGCUAGAAGUAUGAGGUUGCAUGUUGGACUACCAAAAACUUUUUGGGCUAAUGCUGUUAGUACUGCAGCUUACCUGAUAAACUGAGGACCAUCAGUUCCCAUGGAGUUCAGACUUCCUGAGGAGGUUUGGAGCGGUAAAGAGGUAAAGUUUUCACAUUUAAAAGUUUUUGGUUAUGUUUCUUAUGUUCAUAUUGAUUCUGAUGCUCGUAGUAAACUUGAUGCAAGGCUAUAGGUUUUGGGAUGAACAAAACAGGAAAAUCAUCAGAAGUAGAAAUGUAAUAUUUAAUGAACAGGUUAUGUAUAAGGACAGGUCAACUGUAGUGUCAGAUGUUAUAGAGAUAGAUCAAAAGAAAUCUGAGUUUGUCAACUUAGAUGAAUUGACUGAAAGUACUGUCCAAAAAGGGGGUGAAGAAGAUAAGGAGAAUGUAAAUUCACAAGUAGAUCUGAGUACACCUGUAGCUGAAGUUCACAGAUCUUCCAGGAACAUUACACCUCCACAGCGUUAUUCACCUAUUUUAAAUUAUCUCCUGUUGACUGAUGGUGGUGAGCCAGAGUGUUAUGAUGAAACCUUGCAAGAUGAGAAUUCAAGCAAGUGGGAUUUAGCCAUGAAGAAUGAGAUGGAUUUCUUGUUGGGGAAUCAGACAUGGGAACUGACUGAAUUGCCAGUAGGAAAGAAGGCUUUGCACAACAAGUGGGUAUACAAAAUAAAGAAUGAGCAUGAUGGUAGCAAAUGUUACAAGGCCAGAUUAGUUGUUAAAGGGUUCCAGCAGAAGGAGGGCAUUGACUACACAGAGAUAUUUUCUCCAGUUGUGAAGAUGUCAACAAUCAGACUUGUACUGGGAAUGGUGGCUGCAAAAAACUUACAUCUUGAGCAGUUAGAUAUGAAGACAACAUUCCUUCAUGGUGACUUGGAGGAAGACCUUUACAUGAUUAAGCUAGAAGAGUUCAUUGUUCAAGGACAAGAGAAUCUAGUCUACAAACUAAAAAAGAGCUUGUAUGGCCUUAAACAAGCUCCUAGACAGUGGUACAAGAAGUUUGUCAGUUUUAUGCAUAGAAUUGGGUUCAAGAGAUGUGAAGCUGAUCACUAUUGUUAUGUUAAGUCUUUUGACAAUUCUUACAUCAUAUUACUGUUGUAUAUGGAUGAUAUGCUUAUUGCAGGGUCUGACAUUGAGAAGAUUAAUAAUCUGAAGAAGCAAUUGUCCAAAUAGUUUGCAAUGAAGGAUUUGGGAGUUGUAAAGCAAAUCCUUGGUAUGAGAAUCAUUAGAGACAAGGCUAAUGGUACAUUGGAGCUUUCACAGUCAGAGUAUGUGAAGAAAGUUCUCAGCAGGUUCAACAUGAAUGAAGCUAAACCAGUGAGCACACCCUUGGGUAGUCAUUUCAAACUAAGCAAAGAACAGUCACGGAAGACAGAAGAAGAAAGUGACCAUAUGAGCAAGGUGCCCUAUGCCUCAGCUAUUGGUAGCUUGAUGUAUGCUAUGGUGUGUACAAGGCCAGACAUUGCACAUGCAGUGGGAGUUGUGAGCAUAUUCAUGAGUAGGCCUGGAAAGCAGCAUUAGAAGGCAGUCAAGUGGAUUAUAAGAUAUCUGAAGGGUUCAUUAGAUAUAUGUUUUGCUUCACAGGUGCAAGUUUGAAACUGCAGGGUUAUGUGGAUGCUGAUUUUGCUGGUGAUAUCGAUAGUAGAAAGAGCACUACUGGGUUUGUUUUUACUCUAGGUGGUUCAACUAUAUCAUGGGUUUUAAAUCUAUAGAAGAUUGUUACUUUGUCUACUAUAGAAGCGGAGUAUGUUGCAACAAUUGAAGCUGGAAAUGAGAUGAUUUGGCUACAUAGUUUCUUAGAUGAAUUGGGUAAGAAGCAGGAGAUGGGCAUUCUACACAGUGACAGUCAUAGUGCAAUUUUUCUUGCCAAAAAUUCGGCUUUUCAUUCAAAGUUAAAGCAUAUACAAACAAAAUACCACUUUAUCUGUUACCUUGUUGAAGAUAAACUAGUAAUACGUAAGAAGAUUUUUGGAUCUAAGAACCCAACAAACAUGUUGACUAAGGGUGUCACUAUUGAGAAGUUGAAGCUGUGUGCAGCUUCAAUCAGUCUUCUAGCUUGAGGACGGGAGGAUGAAUUGCAGGGAUGAGGGAUUGUUUCUUGGAGGAUAGCGAUUUGAUGUUGGUGAUUGAACUAGUCUCCAAGUGGGAGAUUUGUCAAGUUUUGUGGAGCCUAGUUUUGUUUGAUCCGAUUUGACGACCCAACUCGAAUAAUAUUGCGUGGUUUUUUAAUGUGAGAUUUACUGAGGCUUGUCCAUGGAGCGAAGGCUUGGGCUUUUUGGGGCCCAUUUAGCCCAUUGUGGAACCGCCCUUUGUAAUUAGGGUUUUUUUUUUGUGGUGUGGUUGUCGUGUUAUAGAGAGAAAAUAUUGUAGCCAUCAGAAGUACUCUGUAUUAUUCCCUGAUAAUAGUGAUAUCCCUGCAACUCCGUGGAUGUAGGCAAAUUGUCGAACCACGUAAAUACUGUCUUGUGCAUGUGAUUGUUUUUCUUUUUUUUUUAUGUUUUCUCUAUUUUUUGUUUCUCACAGGUUGGGAAUUCGGCUUAAUUCCCUUUAGUUGCUACUUGUGAAUCACUGUAAUCAGAAACAAUUCCAGAUAAUCCUGCAAUUCUAAACCUUUGAUUUGCUUUGUUCCAUUUUGCCAAGAACGGUUCUAAAACAUUUUUCUUUAUUGAGUUGUUAUGAUUUUAUUAUUUGGAUUUAAUUGUAUUCAUUAGGUUUGUAAAUCACAAAAAUGGUGUCGUGCUUAUGAAUAUCUUCCUCUUUGAUCAUGUAAAAUUGGGAAGCAGUUAUGGAUUACUAUUAUGAUAGCACAAUGUAUUGAUCCACAGUUUGUGGCAUGACAGUUUAAGGAAAUUACAGAAGUGUAGCAUUGAUGGGUAUGUCAUGUGAACAUUUUUCAAUGAAGCUACUUGUCUAAAUUUACAUGGGUGAAUUGUCACACUAAUAUCCUUUGAUGAACCUUGGGUUCUUUUUUCUGUUUCUUCCUCUCUUGGUCAAGCCAAACAAUUUGUCUUCAUGAGGACUUCAUGUUACCAAUAAGCAGCAUCUUGUGUUCUCCUUCUUUUCAUCCCCCUGUCAAGACACAGCAAUUUGAUGCAUCUUUGCAUUGGGUUGCUUCCUUUCCGCUCCCUCUCCUUCCUCCUUGAGGCAAAACCAUAUCAUUGUUUAGUUUUGACUAUGUUCUUUUUAUCAUUUAUGAGAAAUAAAAUAAAAUCAUGACAUAAAGAAAUUAUAUUUAAGUGUUAAUAAAUGAGAAUCGGAUACAUAUAAAUAAAAUUUAGAUUAAUUAUAAAUGAAACUAUUUUUAUUAUGUGGUUGUUUUUAAUGGACCACCAAUUUUUAUUUAUUUUAUUAUAUAUAUAUAUUCCAUAGAAAAAUUACUUUCUAAUACCAUAGAAUCACCCUAAUUUCAAAUUGGGAUUUACUAUCUUAAAUUUUAAAUUUUUUAAAAAUAAUUUUUAAGGACAUGAACUAAAUUUAUAUUUUUUGUUAAGAAUUUCUAUUCUUUAUAUGAAAGUUUUUAUCAAUUUUUGUUUUUAAAAACAAAAAAUAAGUACUUAGAGUGCGUUUGACAAUGAUUUUAAGAAGUAUUUCUAAUAUUUUAAAUACUUAAAAAAUAAAAAAAUUUAUACAUUGAAACAAUUGCAAAAUGCACUUUUAGUAUGUAAUGAUAUUAAUUUCUUCGAAGAGAGAGAUUUACAUUUAAGAUAAAAAUAAAUAAAUAAAACAAUACAAGGAUAAAAAAUCAUUUUUAAAAAAAACUUUUAACUUCUUGUACUUUAUCAUUACACACUUUUUUCAUUAGAUGCUUUAAAUAAUUUUUAUGAAAUAAAAUUAUAAUUAUAUUGAUGGAGGGCUAAUUAACUUUGCUUUGGGUGAGAAAGAUAGAGAUAAGAUUGAAGUGGGUCCACAUCUAAAACAAAAAUGAAAUAAAAAGUAAAGAUGAAGAUAAGGUUGAGGUGGGUUCACAACUAAAAAAAGAAUGAAAUAAAAAGUAUGAGAUGAAUUGACCAAAGCUUAUGCCUUCUUCCAAAUAGUAAAAGCAAAGCCCAAUAGUAUAAAGUGAUGACACUAGUCCUAUUCAAGGCCCCACUUGCAUAAUUGCUACAUCUUUUGAUUUGAUUUUUGUUCAAUUUCACUAAAAUGAAAUCAUUUAUUUGAGCCCAAAAAUUCAAAUCCAAAUCCAAUCCACUUAUUUAUAUACAUUAUUGGCAUGGAAUGAGAAAAGUUAUAAAGUGAGAAAAUUUGAUCAUAUGAUAAAUAGUAAUUUUUCAAAGUUGGAACCAAUCCAAUGCCCAAUGGGCAUAAAAGACAAAGGAAAGAUGUGGAAAUUAUAGUGGAAUCUUGAAACAAAUUUUUGAGGUUUGAGGUGAUGUGACAAUCGUUUCAAGAAAUUGCCUAAGAAUGUGAGAUGUUAUUGCAUUGAAAAUUGAUAUUAAAUCUAAUUGGGUAACUAUAAGAAUUGCUUUACAUAAAGACAAGUAAUAAAUAUAUCCUGUUUUUUUCAAAAAGUUUAUGACCCUAAGUGAAUAAAAUGGUGAAUAAAACUUUUAGAGUAGGAUGAAUGCAUUUCACGUGAGUCAUGUCCUAGAUAUAUAUUUAGAAUUUUCUAGCAGGAUGUCAAGGAAAACUCUAUGAUGAGUGUUUUGUUUCUAGUUAAGGUAGGUCCAAUUUGGUGCAAUUCGCCAACAUAAUUUAAACCCAACAUAUGUUUUAGGGAUUUGAAUCGAGUAAAAUCAUAUUUAAAUUAAAUUAAUCAUAUGAAUCUACAUAACCCGUUUAAUAAAUAGAUUAUUUUUAGGUCAAUCUGGAUAACUCACAUUUGACUCAAAUUAACUUAUUUAAUAAUGGUAUUGAUUAACCUAAUAAUAACUUUAACUUAUUGAACUCAUAUUUGACUCAUGUAAAAUUCGUUUUUCAAUAAGUAUAUCAUAAUUAGGUCAUAAACAUGUCAUAUUAGAAUAUUAACCAUAUUAUUUCAUUCAACAUUUAACUUGACUUGAUUAUGAAAUAACGUCUUCUUAUUAAAUCGGUUAAACCGGUUAUAAUGUAUCACCUAGAUAAUAAUUAUAUUGUGUUUGAGUUUAUGCUUUAAAUUUUGAUUAUUAUUCAUGUCAUGUUUAUGUUGAGUUAUUUAGUGGAGGAUCUAACCUUAGAUAUAACACAAACGCAACCCACUAACAUAAAUUGUCAUCCUCACUUCUACUAAUAAGUAAUUUGUUUAUUACAAUUAAGAAAAUUGAGAAGAUAUAAUUUUUUUAAAAUUUUUAAAUGCAUGAUUAAAGUUAAUUAUAAGUUUUAAAAGUUUUAUAAUUCAUAGUCCAUCCAAACUAACAAAAUAUUAGAAAUCUUCAAUGGUUUUGUCUACAAUAAAUGUGUUGUGCUAAAUUAUCCCCUUCUUUACUAACCAAAACAUGUUCUUUCACAAUCAAAUAUCAACGUGUUUAAGCAGCCGGUGAAGCAUCUCUUGACAAUGAGGUGAGAGGUAGAAACAAGAAACAUACAUGUAUUCAAGAGAAGUGUUGUUUCUUCUUUUGCAUUAGAAAACAUUCAUUUAGUCUAAACUUGAAGGUGGAUUGCUAGAAUAUGAGCUCUUGGAAAGACAUAAGAGAAGGACAUUUAGGAAUCUGAAAGAAGCCUAGAGACCUGUUGCUACUUGUGAAUCACUGUAAUUAGAAACAAUUCCAGAUAAUCCUGCAAUUCUGGACCUUUGAUUUGCUUUGUUCCAUUUUGCCAAGAACAGUUCUAAAAUGCUUUUCUUUAUUGAGCUAUAAUGAUUUUAUUAUUAGGAUUUAAUUGUAUUCAUUAGGUUUGCAAAUCACAAAAAUGGUGUCGUGCCUAUGAAUAUUUUCCUCUUCGAUCAUGUAAUGUUGGGAAGCAAUUAUGGAAUACUAUGAUAGCACAAUAUAUUGAUCCACAUAGUUUGUGGCGUGACAGUUUAAUGAAAUUACAAAAGUGCAUGUAGCACUCAUGGGUAUGUCAUGUGAACCUUUUUCAAUAGAGCUACUUGUUUAAAUUUAUAUGGGUGAAUUGUCACACCAAUGUCCUCUUAUGAACCUUAGGUUCAUUUUUCUGUUUCUUUCUCUCUUGGUUAAGACAAACAAUUUGUCUUCAUAAGGACUUCGUGUUACCAAUAAGCAGCAUCUUGUAUUCUCCUUCUCUUCAUCCCCUUAUCAAGACACAGCAAUCUGAUGCAUCUUUGCAUUGGGUUGCUUCCUCUCCUCUCCCUUUCCUUCCUCCUUGAGGCAAAAUCGCAUCAUUGCUUAGUUUUGACUAUGUUUCUUUUUAUCAUUAUGAGAGAGCAUCAUUGUAAGAUGUACAAGAAACGUGUUGUGGUGCAUUAUCCCCUCCUCUACCACCUAAAAUCUAUUUUACACGAUCAUAAGGACCAAGGUGUUUUAAACAUUAGGUAAGGCAUUUGUUGACAAUGAUGUGAGAGAUAGAUACAAGCAACAUGCCAAUAUUCAAAAGACGUGAUGUUCUUCUUUUGCAUUUGACAACAUUCAUUUAGUCUGAACUCCACAUUUAGGCAACUCAGAAUCUCCACCUUCAUUAGGAUUGCAAGAAGUUGGCUUUUUGGGAAGACAUGGAAAGAGAGCAUCUAGAAAUCUGAAAAAAUUACAACGACCUAUUGCUACUUUUGAAUCAUUCCAAUUAAUAACAACUCCAAAAAAUAUAUACAAAUAUGUCCCUGGGAAAGAGAUGUGUCUUGUGCAUAUGCAACCAUCUCUCUAAUAGACUUAGGGUUGUGCACCCUCAUGGUAGUUUCUUAUAUAUUGCACCAUAUGAAUUGUAGAUAUCCAACUACCAAUAUCACUACACCUGAAUGAACUAGAAGCUAAAGUGAAGUUGACAACCCAUCAUCGAAAGAAUCCUGUAGGAAUACACCAAAAUGAAAAUUUUAUUAACAUAAAUGAAUUCAUCCAAUUAAAGGGUAAAGUUGCCUAAAAAAUUGAAUUGGGAGAGAUAGAAAUAUUGAUGCUUUCAUAGGACUGUGAAAGGGACCAACAAGUGGAACAAACAUUGAAUAGUAAAUGUAAAGCCAUAAAGCUUGUAACUAGUGUCAAAAGCUGCUCCCUAGUGAAGUUUUUUAACAAUGAAGGUAAGUGGAAAAUUCACCUAAUAGCUCUACUUGUAGAAAAUUGCAAUGGUGUGAAACUAGGAUAUGGUGAACUCGUUUCCACUAUUGCAAUGAACCAUUAUGGAUCAAAAAUGAAUCUCACCAUCGGUUUUCACAUAGGAGAUGUGGGCUAUCUUUGGCCCAUAUCUCAAUAUUGGAUUUAGGAGUUAUGUCUCUCAUAUAUGGUUCCACUUGCAAAAUACAAAUGGAGCUUAGCUAAUGACAACACAUUUAGAAAAAUGCAAGAAUUCCAUAGACAUGUUUUGUGCUAUCAUGAAUCAUUCCAAUCAGUACGGAAUCGAAGUGCUAUAAUUUUGAAUUGUCUUAGGGAACAAAUCCUAAUUCAAUCUUGCGGAAGUAAACCAUCUUGAGCACCAACUCAAUUCUGAGUUCUUUAGGAUACUUGAGACACCAAUUCAAUCAAAGAUGCUAGUCGUUUUUGAGGUAAAUUGUCUUCCUCCAUUGAUACUAGGGAAAAUGCUUUUGAAAACCAUUCAUCUGCAAGUUACAAAGGGAAAUGAGAUUAUGUGAUUUGGGAAGAGAAUUAAGCUUUGGAAGAGAAUUAAGCUUCGGAAUAUUGCCAAUAUGCAACCGAUAAUUUCUAAUUCUAUCACUUUUAUUCUAACAUGUGAUUUGGAAAGAGAAUUAAGCUUCGAAAUAUUUCCAAAAUGCAAGGAAUUGAGGAGGCCAAGUGGGCAACCACCAUAGCUAGUUCGCAAACAAAUGAUAGCAUUGGAAGUGGAACACAACACAUAAACUUCAAAAACAAAACAUGUUUCUCACGAUCAUAAAUACCAAGAUGUUUAAGCAUGAGGUAAGUCAUCUCUUGACAAUGAUGUGAGAGAGACACAAACAACAUACCAGUAUUCAAGAGAAGUAGCAUUCUUCUUUUGCAUUCGACAACAUUCAUUUAUUUUACAUCCCAAAUUUUAGCAACUCGGGAUUUCCACCUUCUUUAGGAUUGUAAGAAGUUGGCCUCUUGAAAACACAUGAGAGGGCAUUUAGAAAUCUGAAAGAAUUCCAGAGACUUUCUAUUGCUUGAAUUGUGAAUCAUUCCAAUCAUAAAUACCAAGGUUCUAAGAUCAAGUAAGGCAUCUCUUAAUAAUGAUGUGAGAGAUAAAGACAAGCAGUACACCAGUAUUCAAGAGAAGUAGUAUUCUUCUUUUGCAUUCGACAACAAUCAUCUACUCUACACCCCAAAUUUUAGCAACUUAGGAUCUCCACUUUCAUUAGGAUUGUAGAAAGUUGGCCUCUUGGAAACACAUGAGAGGAUAUUUAGAAAUCUAAAAGAAUUCCAAAGACUUGUUAUUGCUUGAAUUGUGAAUCAUUCCAAUCAUAAAUACCAAAGUGUUCCAAGAUCAGGUAAGACAUCUCUUGGCAAUGAUGUGAGAGAUAGAGACAGGGAGCAUACCAGUAUUCAAGAGAAGUAGUAUUCUUCUUUUGCAUUCGACAACAGUCAUCUACUCUACACCCCAAAUUUUAGCAACUCAAGAUCUCCACCUUCAUUAGGAUUGCAGGAAGCUGACCUCUUGGAAACAUAUGAGAGGAUAUUUAGAAAUCUGAAAGAAUUCCAGACACUUGUUGCUUGAAUUGUGAAUCAUUCCAAUCAUAAAUACCAUGGUGUUUCAAGAUUAGGUAAGGCAUUUCUUGGCAAUGAUGUGAAAGAUAGAGACAAGCAGCAUACUAGCAUUUAAGAGAAGUAGUAUUCUUCUUUUGCAUUCAACAACAUUCAUCUACUCUACACCCCAAAUUUUAGCAACUCAAGAUCUCCACCUUCAUUAGGAUUAUAGGAAGCUAGCCUCUUGGAGACACGUGAGAGGACAUUUAGAAAUUUGAAAGAAUUCUAGAGACUUGUUAUUGCUUGAAUGUGAAUUAUUCCAAUCAGUAACAACCCCAAAGCCCUAUAUACAAUUUUGAACUGUCAACCUUCUUACAUUGAAUGAAAAACUUGUCCCUAGGAAAAAGGUGUCUUGGGCAUACAACCAUCAAUUAUUAGCUCUCAAAGAGGCUUAAAGUUGUGCACCCUCUUGGUAGCUUCUAAUUCAUUACAUCAUAUAACUUCCAGAUAUCCAAUUGGCAUGUCACUACACCUGAAUGAAGUAGAAAACAUGGUGAAUAGGAAGUUAGACAACCUUUCACAAAAAGAAUCCUACAAGAAUACACCAAGCAGAACUUCUUGUUAACAUAAAUGAAUUCACUUAGUUAAAUUAUUGCGUUAAAAUUUAAAUUGGAGAAAUAAAAAUACUAAUGCUUGAGAAUAAGUAUUGAGAAUAAGAGUUACCUUAAUGAAUGUAAGGAUAGGAUAGGGUUGAAUUGGCUCUGCACCCAUUUUUGCAAUUUGAAUUUAUUAUGGUUCAAAAAUGAGUUUAUGAUAUAUCCUCAAUUUAGGGGAAGCGAGCAAUCUGGGGCCAAUCUCUAUCAUUCUCCUUGAAACAUCUUUGAUUUCAAAGUUUGAUAAAACUUAGAAGACAACCUUUCACUUGGCAAGGAGGACUAGAACAAGGCAUCCCUCAAUCUCUACAAGUUAAAGAAAUGAAGUUUUGAAGACCAAGGGAGGAGGCUAGGUUUCCAUAUUUGACAAUAUUUUCAUUGAAAGAUUAAUGAGAGUUGUAGCAAGAAAUCCUGUCAAAAGGAAAUUGCCUUUAACAAUGUACAAUAUAAAAUGAAUGAACUAAGUUUUUAGAGAAGUGAAUCUUUGGAGGCUCCACAAAAAUAAGGGGUUUUAAUACUCUUGCAAGUGUAUUCAUGAAAUUGUUUCCUCAAAGGACUCCUGAACCUAGACAAUGUACAACACAAAGCUGUUAAAGAGAUGUGAGACUCUAAAUCUGAUGAGGUAGGACUUGAGAUCCACAUUUUCUUAAGUGAAGAAUUCUGAUGUUGUAAACACACUAGUAGUUUCUAGAUUUAGAUACUUCUCUUCAAAUAUUUGUAUAAUGUACAUCUUCUUUGACAUUGCUGCUCCAAUAGGAUGUCCAAUAGGAUGUGCAACCUAUUUGGGCAUACUACAUGUACAACAAAAAAUUUCAUUAAAACAAAAAACUUUUACUAAAACAAAAAUAUGAAGUUAAUGUCUAAGAAGAUAAGAUUUAUAUAUAGUGAAUGAGCAUGUUUGAUUUUAGCACAAAGGGAAAGACGCCAAAAUUUUUAAGAAUAUCAUCACCACAAGUACCUAAUUUGCAUCAUUAAAAAUUCCACAAGGAUUUGAUGGCUAGGCAAUAAAAUAAUUCUAGUAAAUGAGUUAAAAUCAGCUAAGCUAAGAAAGAUUAAAUCCAAAUAAGCAUCAAUCAUUAAAGAAUUAGCCAACUACGAAAGACUUCAAAUGACAUUUUCUCUGUAAUUUCUGUUCCUAAUUAGCCUCAUGUGAUUGUACCAAAAUAUUAUUAAUUUUCUUUAAAGGAAGUGGGUGACUCAUAUCUUUGAAAGGGUGUGAGAAGUGGAAAUCCCUCGAUCCCUAGUGAUUCAAGAGGAUAAUUCCUAUGGCUAUUGUUGUCAUCAUACAUCAUUCAGCUAGCUAUAGACCACAAAAUUGAACAAUCAUGAAUAUGUAGAUGCUUAAAUAUGGUAUGUACUUUAUCUAGUGGAAAAGCUUAUGAGACUUGGACAUCUCGAGAUUUCUAGGAAUUAAAACAGAUACAAGUUGUUGCUUCUUGUUAUAAUUUAUCUGGAUUGCAAUCAUCAAGCACUAACUCCAUUCACUACAUGUUUUGAGCCUUCAACAUAAAUUCCAUUCUUUCAGCCAAAAAAAAAAUCAUUAAUAACUCAUCUGAAAACCAUUUUAUGUUGCUCAAAUUAUAAAAUGUAGGAUGUAACUGACUUCCAUCAUUGAAAAUGAAUUGAUAUAACUUUACAAUACUAGUAUAUUCAGCUUUUGAAAUGGUUGAAACUGAUCCUGGAAUCAAAAAUCACAUACACAAGUAGAUAUUUAACAAAAGAGAAUCCAAAAUCUCUUCAAUUGAUUAAUGUAUAAAUGAAUUAAUCAAAAUUUUUAGAGAUAAUUAUGGGGAGAUGAACCUUGUACCUUUCAGUUUCUUAUUCUUCUUGAACAGAGCAAUGUGCAUCAAGUGUUGAGCACCUAGGAAUCUCCCUUCCUCCACAGGCAAAAUCUGAACAAUGUAUCCUUUCUUCAUAUUCCACUUCCUUGCAAAAUUCAAAACAUGAAGAAAAUAUCAUCAAAAUUAAGACAAAAAUAAGUGCAUCAACUAUCUCAAGAAGAGAUAUAUGCCUACUGCGUACCUUUUGAAGAAGUCCACUUGGUUAGAGCACAUUUUACAUGGACGCCCAAUCACUAUAAGCAAUUGAACCAAAGGAGAGUUCAAACAUCUACAAAAUUUGACGAACUCAAGUAUCAUAAAAUACUUCAUAUGAAUUCUAAAUGAUCUCAUAUCUAAAAAACAUUGGCAUAAAAUUAUUGUUUUUUACCUUACAUGUUUCUUCCAUGGUCAUAAUCAAAACUUUGUUUAUCAUAAGAAAUCUUCUAUGCUCAUCUUGAUUACUUACAAUGAACACUGAAAUGAAAAGAAAAAAAACCACAAAAAAUGAUGAUUAGUUUGGUUUGAUAAAUUUAGCACGCAUAAUUUCCUUUUUCUUGCAUGAGAAAAGAAAGAGUAAAUAUAUAUAUAUAUAUAUAUAUAUAUAUAUAUAUAUGAAUUUAAUAAUUUUUUAAAUUAGCAAUUAUAAAACUAUUUUGGUUCUCAUAAAAUUUAUGAGAAAGUAGAGAAAAAAAAUUGUAAACUUUUUCUCUUGUUUGAUUGUUUAUCGAAAAAUUGAGGGAAAAACAAAAAUCUAUGAGAAAUUUAUUUAACACUUCUGAGGAACCAAAAAUGUUUUAGAUGUUGUCAAAUUGAUAAUUUAAACGUGUUUAAUUCCAAUUAAAUGAGUUUAGUAAAACACAUGAAAUUGUGAAUAAAAUUAUUUAAAAGCAUUGAAAUUCAAGUCAUUAAAGUUGUCCAUAAAAUUUGGUAUAUUGAAGCAAGAAAAAAACAAAGCAAUUUGAAUGACUUGCUAAUAAAGCAACUAACUAGAAUAUGCCCUAGAGUUGUUCAGUGCCCUCUAUAUAAGAAAUAAAUAGAGAACACAAAAAAAAAACCAAGAAAAAAAAACAAUCAAACGAAAAACAGAGAACACUUCUUACGUUAUUUUUUCUUAAUUUUUCUGAUUUAUAUACAUUUUUGUUGGUUUUCUUUUGACCAUAAAAGGUUCGAGCAUUGGCAUUGUCAUGUGUAAAUUAUUGUGGCUACAAACUUCAUUCGUAUCCAAUUGCACACCUAUCCAAACUCUUGAUGAUGAAGGUAUGAUUGCAUUUACUAGCAUUAAAUUGCUAAAAUUUGUCAUCCAAAGUUCCAAUUUCUUUUGAACCUUGAAGACUUCAUUUGCAUUCUUGUAGGAAUUAGACGUGGAAUCAUUUUGCAAUGCUUGUGGUCUUGAGACCAGCAGUGAUGAAUGGGGAAAUAAGUUCUUAUCAACCAAGCAAACAAACUUCCAUUAUCCCAAGAAAGUCUUUCCAAGCUACUCUUAUGGGUUUGGAACACUUUUAGAGGUAACAAUCAAUUGGAACUAGUUACUCUUUCAAACUUCUUAUUGUACAAAUAUAGCCUGCAUGUGCAACCAUUUUUUAUCCCAUAAUUUCAAAAAUUUAUGACACCUUCUAGUGGUUAGUUUUUCUGGGAAUGGAGUAAAGCAAUCUAUUCACUCCGAGAAAUUAUCGUAAGAAGAAUAGUAGAUAACCUCGCAAGACCAAAUUUAUGUGUGUGCAUGGAGGUGCAUGUUUUCUGCAUCCCAAUCAUGCAGCGUUGUGUCAAAUGGAACAAUAGCAGGUGAUGAUAAGUGGUAUUUCUAAAAUCUUCUAAGAGUAUUCCAUAUAUUGUAAUAUUGUUUUCUCAAAAUUGUCUUUGAGUCUUAUGUGUAAAUAUUAGAGUUGACCUCUUGUAAGCUAUCAACUGAUGUUGUAACUUAACUUGAAAGGGAAAUUCUAUAAAUUUAGCCUUGGUUUGGCUCUUGGAAAGCAAAGAAAAAUUAGGUUAAUAGUGAGUUGAUUUCUUCCCUUCCCAUGGAUGUAAGCACAUUCUUAAAUUAUGUUAAUUAUGUUUUGGUUUAUUUUGUUGUUUUCUUGUUUAUUGUUCAAUUGUCUCCGCAUAACAAGUGGUAUCAAAGUUGUUUCCAACACAAUAGAUGAUUCCUAUGCUAACACAAUGUUUGAGGCUAAAUGUAAGAUGGUAAAAGUUUCUAGAAUAUUUCUGUAUGACAACUGCCAAUAAAGGAUGUACUUAACAGGAAAUUCGUAAGGUGUUACAUGGCAAGUUGAACAAGACCAAUAGCCAAAGAUAUCUGAAAUAUUUGGGGCCAUUGAUCCAACAAUAGCAGAGAAUAACACAAGAAGAGACCCUCUAAUCACCAUUUUUGCUUUUGAUUCUUCUCUACAAAGCAUCAUCUCCUUUAUACAAAAAGACAACCCAUGGCUAAGCCCACAUUAUUCUCUACAUAUCCCAAAAAAACCCUCUAACCCAUGGCAUGGCGCACUUUUUGGGGGUAUUUUUGCUACUAAAUUUGUGGUAGUCUCUCAAAUACCUAAACUAUCCUCCAGAUAUUAAGGUAUGGCCUACUCUUUGAGGUGGUAUUAAGGUAUGGCCUAAAUUUGUUAAGAGAGGUUUUGGUGUGGAAACUAGAGGGCUUUACACACGUUGCAUGUAUUUUCUUUUGCAUGCAUUACACGUAGAUCGGAGUUUAUGCAGUUACUCACUUUUUGUGAGUCCAAUAGUACUGUAGUGCCACGUCACCAUAUGAUGGGCUCUUUAGUCUUUUCAAACCCAAAAAAAAAAACUAAUACUAAAAGGACUGCUAACUAGCUAUGUGGAGGUGAACCUCUAUAGCUAGCUUCUUAGAGGGACCAUGAUCACUUAGGCCAAGAAAGUUUGAGGUGAUAAUAGGUUUGUGAUGCCCUUAGAUGUUUUAGACACAUGUGUGUUACACUAAUGUAUGCAACGAGUCUAUAACCUUGAUUGACAGGUCCGGGUAAUCUUUGAAAUUCCACUGUGAUAGGAAGGUUCCAUGUGAACAACAGUUGCACAUGGGUUAGUCAAUCUUAAGAGACGGGGGAAGCCCGUUUAAUAGCACACAAUGUGCAAGCUUUGAAAGGCAAUCAGGUUAACAUUUUUUAAUUGGGACAUGAUAGCGAACAACAACAUUAGGUAGUUUGGAGAUGUCGUCAUAUUAAUUGUUAUCAAUAUUUUUAUUUAUUCAAUAGAAAUUGAGGAUUAAAAAAAUACCACAAAAAUUAGAAAAAACAAAAUUAAUUACAUGGCUUACAUUUCAAAUAUUUAAUAAAAUAUUGUUUGAAAAUUGAAUAUCAUACAUUAUUAAAUGGCUGGAUUCUCUUCUUUAUUUUUUUAAUUGUCUCAUCCUAUUAAAUUACUCAUCUAAUAUUAAUUUAUUUUAAAGGUAAAAUUAAUUAUUUUGUAAAAAAAACUUUUAAUUGACCAGAGUUUGUGCCAUGCAUCUAAUAUAUACUUAAAUACUUUUCCAUGCUAUAAUCCUCCAACAAAGGAAUGAAAUCAAAACUUAAAAAUCAUUUAUAUAUAUAGAUAUAUGUUAUUAAGUUUAGGUAGUGAAGCAAUUAUUGUGAAUAUAAAAUUAAUGCCAAAAAUUUUGAUUGUUCUUUCACGUUCUCCACAACCAAACAAAGGAUAUAAGAAAAAUCAAGAAAGAAAUUUAGGGUAGUUUGAUUUUUUGUUCUCAUCUUGUCGUGAAGUUAAUAGAGGAAUGCUUGGGUUAGUGCUUGACAGUUAGGUGACACUAGGGUAUAAUGAUUCUUCCAAUCAAGUAAAUAUUAUCCGCUUUAAUUUCAAUGGAUCAUCAUCACUUUAAAUUGCAUCCACAUGGUUAAGAGCAACUCAUAUGUGUAUAAUAUCAUGAAUUUCUUCUUAUUCAAUAUGGAAUAUCAAAUUAGGUAUCUUUCAAUUUUAGGUAUUGUAUAAGUGUUUCAAUUCAAAUGACUUGGCUUAAUGUAUACUCAAAGCCUUUACAAAGGAACGUACAUGUAAUAAAGUGAAAAUUAAACCUUGUCGCCCGUCUAUCUCUAGUAUGAAACACAACUCCAUUAGCGCUUAAACAUCUGCAAAAAAAGAUAUACACCUUUGUUACAUUAAUUAAAAUAAAUGAUAGAAAAACAGACUCCAUAUAUCCAUGUACAAUAUUUGAUUAGAUUUGUUAUAUAUAUAAAGAGAGAGAGAGAGAGAAAAAGAAAAAAAAACUGCUUAGAUUAAGGAUCUCAUUAAUUAAUACCUAGAAAAUAUAAAAUAAUAAAAAAAGAUUAGAAGGUGUGAAUUAUAAGAUAAGACUACAUUUUUGAAUUAGAUUCAUCGAAAGAUGGCAUAUUGUAUGAACAUUUUUACUCUAUAUAUAAAAACUUAUAUUAUGGUUGAGAUGUAUUAAUUUGUCAUAUUUUUGGACAAUUCAAGUAAUGAGUAAUUACACUAAAUUAAAUUAUUGACCUUAUUAAUUGAUACCUCAACAGUAUAAAAUAGUAAGAAAUGAAUAAUACAAACUUCAUCGAAAUAUUUUUAUAGACAUAUUGCGUAAAUAUUCUUAUUUAAUAAAAUUUUAUAUGUCAUUAAAUAAAUAGAGAAUUUUAACAUUAAUUGCAAUGCUAAGUAGAGGAGAUCUCAUAUUUAAGCUGAUGAUUAAGGCUUAUUUGAUAAAACUUAAUAUUUAUUACUUAAUAACUUAAGUUGACUUUAAGUUAAAUUAUAUUUAAGUUACUCAAAAUUUAUUAUUUAAUAUUUACUUUAAGUAUUAAAGUUAUUUGAUAAAAUUAAUUUAAAAAUCAUUUUAAAUUAUCAAAUUGUCAUAUUUAUCUUCGUUAAUUUGAUAACUAGAUGCAGAUAAAUGAAACAAAAUAAAAUUGAGAUUAAGAAUAAAUUAAUUACUUUGAUUUAACACUUAAAAUUAAAAGUAACUUUAAGAUAUAAUAUUAAGUUAUUUUAUCAAAUAUAUUUAAUCUAUUUAAUAAUUAAAUUAAGUUAUUAAGUUAAUGAAUGAUUACCAAACACCCUAUAAGACCCAAAAAAUCGAAUGAGUUUUAAUAGUAUUCAGGAUGGACAUGACUAGGUGGCGGUUCAAUGCUGAUUAAUCAUAAUUCAAUCAAGGCAAAAUAUGUAACAAAUACAAGUCAAACUGCACCAUCCAAAUGGGCGCCAAGAAGUUACAUUUGACAAAUGCCAUUAAACCUCUACAGCUAGCAAUUAUUUUGAUCACAGAAAAAAUGGCAAAAAAGUGUGUCGUACUUCAUCUUGAAGCCCAUUAACUUCAUCUUAAUUUGAUCCAAAUUGCAGAAACAUGCAAAACUCCAUGAAUCUAUGGUGCUAUGGUGGCCUACAUUCAUAUAACUGGGGACACUUUGGUUUACACCACAAUGACCCCAAACAGGGUUUGUAGAGGCUUUAUCAAGAUCACUAGCUUUAAAAGACUAAGGAAAGAAAGAUGUUCUCAAUGAAAACUUGGAGUCAAAUUGCAGAUAAAGACCUAAAACUCCCACUCAAUGUGUUUUAGGAAUUGUUGUUUCAUGGGGAUAAGCUGCUUGGUUUGUACAUGUCUCCUUGGUGAUACUUAGAGAUUGGCAAAGUAUAUUCUCCUUUGUGAUCUGGUUUGUAUAUGGGCAGAUGAAUGUUCAUGCCAGGUUCAUAUAUGUUUCUGAUAUAUAUCACCCUGGAAGGAUCUAGAUCAAGGGGAUGAGUUUGAAAAGCUUGAGUAGGUUUAAGAUGUUCCCAGAAUUGGUGAGCAUGAUAUAUAUCAACAUGAUAUUGCAGAAGACAACAGAGCUUCUGAAAUAUAUCAGGUUCAAUAGUAGGAAAUCUUAUCAGCUGUCACUUAUUGUAAUCCUAUGCUCUCAAUAUUCAUUUGUUGAAGAAGAAGAAAAAAUUGCUGUCACACUAUUCAAUUACCGGAGAAUGUUCAAUUAUAGAAGAAAAUAAUAUUCACUAGACUCUUUCAACUUAAUCAACAUGCAGAGAAAAGCCGUCGGGUGGCCAAUUAUUCACAUACCAACUUACAUACAUCGUCUCUCUACCUCUACUUGUUACUCAUUAGCCAAGCUUAUAGUAAUAUAAGCUUGGGUUCAUCUCUCCAUGUCUCUGAUGACAACUCCACAUGGGGUUCGCCUUCUGGUGAUUUUGCAUUUGGAUUCUGACCCUCUCCAAGUGAAAAGGAUCAAUAUCCUUCUUGCUAUCUGGACUGCAAAUGGAAGUUAACUGGUGCCAAGAGGAUCAAAAGUUGAGCUUACUACCAAUGGACAACUUGUUCUCCAGAGGCUAAGAGAUGAAGACAAAGACUGGUAAUGUGAGCAGCGAAGCAGUGCAUGGUGCCAUGCUUGGACAUGGAAAUUGUAUACCAGUAUAUGGGAGAGCUUCAAGCACCCAACUAAUACCAUAUUGCCAACCCAGGGAUUGGUGUUGGAGCCUCCUGUGCAGUUGCUAUUUUUGAGGACCUGAGGUUUGCAAAUGGAACUGGAAGCUGUUGGAGGAAAAGACUACCUCUUUCAAAUGGGAGGUUGGAUCAAACUGAUGUUUCCAGAAGUGCUCUAAUCAAGAAGUCCAGUGAACUAACGUCAGGCAGAGGCAACCAAAAUAAAGCAAUUCUAAUACUCUCAGUCCUCUUAGGCCCCUCUGCGUUUUUCUUCUUCGUUUCUCUGGCUGCAAUUUCUCUAGUUUUCUACCACUUGAACCUCAAAAAUCUGCAGCUUUAUCACAGAAUCCUGAGUACAAGCGAUGGUAGAAGCCUUUGACACUGUCUAUAAAGGGAUAUUACCAUCAGGUUCUGGAAAUUCUGUUGCUGAAAAGAAGUUGGAGAAGGUGGUGGGAGAAGAUGAGAAAGAAUUCAAAGCAGAAGUGAAUGUGAUAGGCCAAACUCACCAUAAGAAUCAAGGACAGUUGCUGCGUUACUGUCAUGAGGGUGAACACUGACUACUGGUGUUUUUUUUUAUUUUAUUUUUUUAUGCACAAUGGCUCUUUAUCAAGCUUCCUUUCUGGAGGCGCCCAAGGACUUGUGUACCUACAUGAAGAAUGCAGUAAACAGAUCAUCCAUUGUGACAUAAAGCCCUCAGAACAUAACUCUUAGAUGAUUCUUCUACAGCCAAAGUUGCAAACUCGGACUGGGAAAGCUUCUGAUAAUCAACCAGACUAGAACACUCACAGGCAUCAGAGGGACUAUGGGGUAUAUUCAGACAACUCGAGCAGCCUAUGUCUCUUAUAAUAACACGUUAUGAAGCAUCAGCUCAAUGCCAAGGUUCAAUCUGCAAAGCAAGGGAUUCAUCAAUGUUUCCUUCAAACUAAAUAACAAGGAACAGAAAUGGAUCAUUCUGCAUUUUCAGUGGUGUUUGUUAUAGCAUUUAUACAAGAACUCUAGGGGUUUCUAUGUAUAACUUCAUUCCUAUUUUGUCAGUGAAUAUGGUGAUGGUGUUAUAUUAUAAAUCAUAGUGAACUGGUGGAAUUUGAUCAUUUGGCCAACUUUAUCCAAAACUGUUUCACGGUUGAGGGGAUUGUUGACUUUGCCCUGGGCGAAACAGCAAUUUCUUAAGAAGCUGGGUAACGAAGAGUACCAUAAUUUGGACUGGUUUCAAUGGAAACUCUCCUGUUUUUGUGCAUGGUAUCUUCAGCUUCAGCUUUUCCUAUGCUUUUGACUAUCCUGAAACUGAUCCAAAUCUCUUCAAUUGAUUAAAUGUAUAAAUGAAUCCUAUUCAUUGUUUGGAGUAACAACCAAAUUCUGGAAGACUGGGAAAGUUUCAACACUGGAGAGAAAACAAAAUGACAAGACCAUAAAUUCUGGAAGAGGGCUUUGCUUUCUAAUCAUUACCAUAAUUUUAGAGCUCAACCCGGGUGAGUAAAUUAUAUUUCAGAAUGUUCAGAAGAUAAUUCUGAAGUGAUGAACCUUCUACUCACAGUUUCUUGUUCUUCUUGAACAGAGCAAUGAACAUCAAUAGUUCAGCACCCAGGAAUCUCCCCUUCCUUCAAUUCCUUUACUGGGAAAACUCUGCCAAAAUCAUAACAAUCUGUCCUCUUCCUUGGAGGAAAAGUCACCUUCCCAAUCAAGAAAAUCAUCAGGAUUAAUUUGAGCAAAACAUCAGAGUAUACAUCAAGAAAGCCUUGAUCAAAAUCAAAAUACAUCAAGAGCUGCCAUUUUCUUCUAUUUCCUCUUCCCUGAAUGGAAUGCCUUUUGGACUGAGGUGAUCAAUGGUAACAGUCUAACACACUCCUUAAGCUCUGAUUGAGGUCAACGGGGAUUGGCACAUUUAAUGACUUUUGAAAUCAUAGCUGUGUGAAGGGAGGCAAACAUGAAUCUCAGGAUAAUCAACAAGUCAACAACUAUCAAUCAGCAAGGAAAAGGAAAUACCUUUGGAUAUUUACAAAUCAAAAAUUUGAGAGAGUCCAGCUUCUCUGUACAGAAAGGCUUGAGCUUAUUCCAUGGCCAGGCUUUAGAUGGUUCUGAAUUACGGAUGAGAGGGUUGAGUUUUCUUUUAUUCUGCAACAAGAUUAAAAACAUCAAUGAAACACUAAAAGUUUAUAUAUAGAAGCCCUUUAAAGAUAAGAACUGGUAAGAAAGCUCACCCAUGGUCUAGUAAAACAACAUCUGUUAGAUAAGUAACCGCCAUUCGAUUGUCCAGCUAAUGCAUUUAGAUCUAAGAUAAGAUAUGGAAAAAUAGUCAAAAAUAGCUGAAGACAGUCCAAAAACUCAUUUGACUAAUAAUUUUCUAAAAGCAGUAACAUAAAACCUGGAUGAAGAAUCCACCCCUCUACCUGACACCACUUCAAUACCAAAUAAAAUGUUACGAUGACCAUUUAUGGUCUUAAGAGACAGUGGAUGUUGUUUGGGCUCAAGACCUAAGACAAGCCAAAAAACAAGAAGAAAACAUCAAAAUUGGCACAGAAACAAGUACAUCAACUAUCUAAUAAAGAGAUUUAUGCAUGUAACAAAUGCAAAUGAAAUAUGAAACAAGAUUUUCAUGGAUUAAACAAAAAUAGAUGGCAAAAUAGAAGGAUAAGGUCACAGACAGGACAAUAUUAAAAGAAAUGAUUAUUUGUCCCACCUGAAAAUCAAGGCAUUCAGAACAGUACACAUUUGUAAGUAGUCCAUGGAAACCAGGGAACAUAUGCAGAUGUUGUAUUCUAUUGCAUAAGGCAAACACUCAAUACUUACAAGCAUAACCAUGCCCAGAAAGCCAUGAAUCCCUUUUAGUUUUGCUUUUUUACCUAUUCCCAUCUCUUAUGGCCAGAAGUGCCCAGGAUGAUAUAACAUCACCAAAUAAGUUAGAAACCAGCCCAUCCAGCAGGUUGAGUAGCCAGCUUGCCCUCAAUCUUCUUUGAGUCAACAAACAGCUGGGCAUUAUUGCCUCCAAUGGAGGGUCUGGAAAUAUUAGAGCUGGCACCAGGGGUGGCUGUAAAACUCUCUGUUCCAAAACCCCAAGUUUCAGGGCCAGAAGUUGCUUCUGUGGCUGGUUUGUUGUGAUGGCCAUUUCGGGUCCUAACAGACUUGCUAUUGUUGUCUGGGCACCUACCUCAGAGAAAGCCUGCCAUGGAUUAGAGUCCUGACAUGGCUGAAACUGAUCCUGAAAUUAAAGUGCACAUACACAAGUAGAUAUUUAACAGAAGAGUAUCCAAAUCUCUUCAAUUGAUUAAUGUGCAAAAGAAUUAAUCAAAAUUUUUAGAGAUAAUUAUAGGGAGAUGAACCUUGUACCUCUCAGUUUCUUAUUCUUCUUGAACAGAGCAAUGAGCAUCAAGUGUUGAGCACCCAGCAAUCUCCCUUCCUCUACAGGCAAAAUCUGAACAAUCUAUCCUUUCUUCAUAUUCCACUUCCUUGCAAAAGUCAAAACAUGAAGAAAAUAUCAUCAAAAUUGAGACAAAAAGAAGUGCAUCAACUAUCUCAAGAAGAGAUUUAUGCCUAUUGCUUACCUUUUGAAGAAAUCCACUUGGUUAGAGCACAUUUUACAUGGACGCCCAAUCAGUGCAAGUUGCUGAACCAAAGGAGAGUUCAAACAUCUAGGCUCAUCUUGAUUAUUGUAAUGAACACUGAAAUGAAAAAAAAAAAUGAAUUUAAUAAUUUUUAAAAAUGAGCAAUUAUAAAACUAUUUUGGUUCUCAUAAAAUUUACGGGAAAGUAAAGAAAAAAAAAUUGUAAACUUUUUUGUUUUUGUUUGAUUGUUUAUGGGAAAUUUGAGGGGAAAAAAAAUCUAUGAGGAAUUUAUUUAACACUUCUUAGGAACCAAAAAUGUUUUAGUUGUUAUCAAAUCGAUAAUUUAAACAUGUUUAAUUCCAAUUAAAUGAGUUUAAUCAAACACAUGAAAUUGUAAAUAAAAUUAUUUAAAAGCAUUGAAAUUCAAGUCAUUAAAGUUGUCCAUAAAAUUUGGUAUAUUAAAGCAAGAAAAAAACAAAGCAAUUUGAAUGACUUGCUAAUAAAGCACCUAACUAGAAUAAAUAAAGCAGCUAACUAUAUAAGAAAUUAUAAAAUAAAAAUAAAAAAUAAAAAAUAAAAUUGCCAAAAAAAAAACAAACAAAAUAUCCAUGGUUCUUACGUUAUUUUUUUCUUAAUUUUUAAAUAGUUAUAAAUGGUUCAUUUAAUUUUUGCAAACUACGAAAUCAAAAUAGAGCAUGAAAAUGUGUUCAACAUUUGUUUCAAGCUUGAAGCUUCAAGAAAAAAGAAAAUCUUAAAUCAAAUAAACAGAAAGAAAAGUUCAAGCGCAAAAGAAUUACCUAACUGUGUAUUGGCGGAGUGGCACUUUGAUUAAAAUAGCACUUCAUUGAUCACUAUUUUAGGAAUGAGAUCUAUAUAACGCCAUUCUUCCCCUUUCUCAAAUUGACACCGUUUUUCCAGUAAAUGACCUCAUUAGAACUACAAUAAGUGAAGUGAUAAUGUCAUCUAAUUAGUAAACCAAACCAAGUCAAUAAACUAGAACUUCCUCUAGUAUAAAGGUCUUGAUACAUUAGAUAUUGAAUUUGUUGGACCUGGCAAGGUAGAAGUAGUAAUGCUCAUUUUUUAUUGUGACAGAUUAUAGAGAAAAUUAGACACUGGGAAAAUACCAAGCCAGGAGCCAUGUCAAGAGCUGCUUUCUUGUUAAAAAUUAAGUCCAAUUAGAAAAUUACAGUAGCGCGUAAGAGAAAUUGAAAGUGGUGUUGAGAAGAGAAAGAGGAAGAAUGAUGUGUUGGGAAUGAGAUGUAAUACCUUAUUUAUUAAUACACAGGGGAUGUGGGCAAUCUUGGGCCAAUCAUCUCCUUCCUCCUUCGAGUACCUUUGUGUUAGAUGUGGGCAAUCCCGCACAUACACUCGUGAAAGGGUGUCAGGCAAUAGUCCUUCCGUUGGCAAAAUCGAUCGGAGCUUAGGGCAACUGUAGAUUUCUAGCUCUUCAAGAGAGGUGAGGGUUUGGAGAGACAGGGAGGCUAGGGAUUCCAGAUUCUGGAAUUCUGAAAGGGUAAGGGAGGAGAGAGUUGUAGGAAAAAUAAUCGAGUGGGGGUCAUCCGAAAAGGAAGUUGCAUCUGGAAACAUGCCACCAAUCCAGAGGAGUUUAAGAGAGGUGAGUCUGGAAAGGCCCCAUUGGGAUAGGGGGGUCUUGAUAUUCUCAAAGUGAGAGAUCUCGAGUGAUGUAAGAUGAGUGAGGGUGUUGAGGCAAUCUGGUAGGGUUUUGAGAUUAGGAUACCUCUCGAUGGUUAAAGAUUGAAGUGAAUUAUUAGUAGAGUGAAACAUCUCCUCUGAAAUUGACUCGAGGUGUUCACAAUCCUCAAUGUGAAGUUGCUCAAGGGUGGAUGGAAACUUGCCUCUUGGGAAGGAUGUGAGAGAUGGACAUUUACGGAUUUCCAAGGCUUGGAGAGCAGCAGCAUAUGUGGAAUCGUAGUGCAUUAUUCCCUCUGGUAGAGACUCUAGCCUUCUACAAUCAAUUAUACUGAGCCUCUUGAGAGUGGCGGGUAACCCACCUUUCGGUAAUCCAAUAAGAGAAUGACACCUAUCUAUCAAUAAGUCUUCAAGGGCACACAUGCCCAUCAUUCCUUCUGGAAGAGACUUGAGAUUUUCACAAAACUCUAUCUGUAGUCUCUUAAGGGUGGUGGGUAAUUGCCCUUUUGGAAAGCAAAUGAGAGAUGGACACCUGGAUAUCACUAGCUCUUCAAGGAGACACAAGUUGUUGCUGUCAGUACUGUCGUUCCUCAUCUUCAACAUCAUGCCAUCAGGUAGACUCUUUAGACCUUGACAAUUCUCAAGAUCAAGAUUUCUCAGCAUUGGUGGGAAACCUACAUCUGGAAAUGACGCUAGCUUUGGACAAUUGCUGAUUGUCAAUUCUUCAAGGCAUGUUAGACUCUGCCAUCCAUUUGGAAGCCUCUCUAGUUUAGCACAUCUAUCUAUUUCCAAAGACUGAAGAUUGCAUCCCAAGGAUACAAGUUGGUCACAAUCUCUAAUCUCAAGAGAAUGAGAGUUUUCCGAUCCAAAACCAUCCUCCCACAAAUAUACGAGUUCUUCGCAUGCCCAUACUUUCAAAACCCGAAGCCCUUGCAAAAAUUGCACAAAUCCUUCAUGCAAUUUGAUAAGCCCUGAAAUCCUAGAAAUUGUUAACUCGGUGAGUGAGGUGAGGUCAUUUCCACUGCUCAAGACCGCCUCAUUACAUCUUAUUACUUGUAAUUCCUUCAGCAGUGGAAGUCUUGAACGUGGAGACUCCAAUUUUGGACAAAAGACAACAGAGAGCUUUGUAAGAGAAGGUAGGUAAGUGGGUAGUUUCAUAAUCAAUUUGCGGCAACCCUGAAUUGUAAGCUCAUGGAGACAAGGGAAUAAUGACUCUGUUGAGGAAGACCAAUCCUCCCAGUGCUCCCAUUCUGACAUGCUAUAAAAAUGUAGAGACUCUAGUGAUGGGAAAAACUUACCUGCAGAAACACGAGUCUCUCCAUAAAACUCUGCACCCACUUUUUUUACUACAUCCAUUCCUUGGAUCCUCAACUGUUUGAGCGAUGGCAACUGCCCCAAGCAUGGUAAAGACGUGCACUUUCUGCAAUCUAUGAGACGUAGAUCCACCAUCUUAGAGAACAAGGCACCCCCUAUCCAACGUGGGAAUUCUGGACCACCAUACAACUGAAUGCAGAGUUUGUUCAGAUUCGAACAUGGUUGUAGAGAGUCAAGGACAUCCAUUUGAUUCCUUUCAUUCCCUGAACCAUCCAACUCAGAACUCCACUGCAUUAUCAAGCUUUCAAGGUUACGCUUCGAACAUGGUUGUAGAGAGUCAAGGACAUCCAUUUGAUUCCUUUCAUUCCCUGAACCAUCCAACUCAGAACUCCACUGCAUUAUCAAGCUUUCAAGGUUACGCUUCGAUUUUAAAUCGGCAUCCCUUGCAUCUUGAAUAUUCACCACAUUUUCCAAUUUCGAAAUGCAAAGUUCUCCUCGCAGAUGUGACAUGUCCUUCAACUCCUUGAUUGUCAAACCGUUGUUUUUGUCCACAAUGAAAUUAGACAAUAUCCGCAAAUCUUUUAGUUUGCCCAUUCCUAUAGGCAUUUCUUGUAAUUUUAUUGCACCAGCAACGUCAAGAUGUCGAAGAUUGAUUAGGUUACCGAUGGUAAUAGGCAACUUGAUAAGCUCUUUACAACAUGAUAAUUUCAAUGUCUGAAGGUAAAAAAGAUUACCAAUUGAAUCGGGUAACCAUUUUAUACUGGUGUGGGACAAAUUAAGGUAUCUCAAAUGUUUCAACUUACCAAAUGAAUCUGGUAUCUCACUUAUCUUGUAAUAAGCCAAUGAGAGCACCCUUAAGUGCCCUAACCUUGGUAUCAAUUCUUCAAGCACCUUAUCACUUAUGAAGGAAUGAAGUCCACUAGUUAAUUCAUCAAUCGGCAAAGCUAUGAACGUGCGCAAGCGCUCUUUCUUAUGAAACGUUUCAAAAUUUUUAAAGAUAUCAUAGCGAUGACGGAUGAAUGAUGAAUGACGAGUAUUUUCAGGAACGGAGCGUUGCAAAUCAUCCAAAUGCAAGCAUGUGUCUCCAGCAAUAGAUUUAGCUAGAUCGUUGAUAAGGUCAUGCAUAACGAAUCGUGAUUUAUUGCUAUUGGACGAUUGGAAAAAUGACCUUGACAAUAGUUCACAAAAAUAAUCAUCACCAAGAUCUUCCAUUUUCUCAUCCUCAUUUGAUUGUUGAAUUAACCCCUCCGCCAUCCACAAGAGGAUUAGCUCUUCCUUCUUAAACUCAUAAUCUUGGGGAAAUAAUGCGCAAUAAGUGAAACACCUUUUUAAAUGUGAAGGGAGAUGAUUGUAGCUCAAUCUCAAGGCAGGGAUGAUGUCACAUUCCUUGUCUGUGAAAUCCCAUACUUUGCUGUACAAUACUCUUUCCCAUUCACACUCACGUAGUUUUUUAGAGCGCAAAAGGCCACCAAGGGCUCUUGCCGCUAAGGGCGAACCUCCACACUUCUCUACAAUUCUCCUGCCAAUUGAUUCCAAAUUUGGGUGCUCAUCGAUAUUCAUAUGUUCAAAAGCAUGUGUUUGAAAUAUCUUCAAACAAUCAUCAUAAGGUAACUGUUUGAGCUCAUGUAAGAUCUUGUGGCCUCUCAUCAUGUUUGCAACAUUAUUAUUGCGAGUUGUGACUAGAAUUUUGCUUCCCUGUGCUCCCACCCAGAAAGGGGAGCAUAGCCUGUCCAACUCAUCGUAAUCAUCAUUCCAUAAAUCAUCCAAAACUAUCAGAAAUUUUUUUCCCUUCAAUUCCUUCCUCAAAUUUUCUUGAAUUUCAUGCAAGUCUUGUGAAUUACUGCUUUGAGAAUUAGUCACCAAGUUGAGAAUUGUCUCUGUUAUUUUCUUUGCAUCGAACUGAACUGAGACAGUAACCCAAGCUUUUUUAUCAAAAUGCUUGGUUAUGGUCUUAUCGUCAUAGUACACCAGUUUUGCCAGUGUGGUCUUGCCCAUCCCACCCAUGGCCACAAUGGAAACUACAGAAAAAUUGGUUUUAGUGGGUUCAUUCCUAAGCAGCAUACCAAUUAUAAUCUCUUUUUCUGUCCCCCUGCCAUAGACCUGAGGUUCAUAGACAGUGAAUGGCCUUCCACAAGCAGAGUUGGUUAUCGCAGCCACCUUUUCUAGACGAAGCUCAGAUUUUUGAGCCGAAAUAUCUCGUAAGCGGCGAGUGAUUUCCCACACCUUGGACCUCAUGUUAACAUUAGGAUUGAAAAUGCGAAGACAAGUGGAGAUGAGCUUGCGUACCUUGCUCGGCCUGCCUUGAUGAUCAGCUUCUUUGGCCGUGAGCUCCCGUUGCAAAGCUUCGUAGGCGAACUCAUCCAAGAUGUCCUCCAUAUCAUAAGCCAAAUCUUUCAGAUUGCCCAGCCACUCUUUCACAGGGCGAUCCGUGAUCUGCUUGUCCUCCGCGUCAUUAAGCUCUUCACGAAUAUCCGACAAUUCUCUCUCCCAUUUCUUGAGAUCAGAGUACACCUGUUGGCGUGCAAAGUCGAGCAAAUCAGUGGAGGCCAACUUGUCAAACAAGAGGCCGAUGGCAGCAGAAAGAAGAGCGUCUCCCACAGCCUCCAUGGUUGGUUUGUACUUUGUUUGGAGAGAGAGAGAGAGAGAGCAAAUCAAGCCGUGGGUAAAAAAGUGAAGCAGAAAGAAGGGAGUCUGCUCUGUGAAGGCUUUAAAUAUUAGAAACUCAUAAAACAUUUGUUUUAUGAAUUUAUUAUAUGCACCCAUUUUCAUUUUAAUUAUUUUGAGAUGAGUCCUAUUCCUCCCGUUGAGAGAGAGAGAGAGAGAGAGAGAGAGAGAGAGAGAGAGAGAGUUAUUGCUGUGAGCCGGCAUGCAACAACCUUACAGUGUAGCAAUUGUUCAAUUUUGACAGUGAAGGAGAGAGAGAGAGAGAAUUAUUGCUGUGAGAUGGCAUGCAACAACUUUAAAGCGUAGCAAUUAUUGAAUUUUGACCGAAAGAGAGAGAGAAAAUUAUUGUUGUGGGAUGGCAUGCAACAUCUUUAAAGUGUAGCAGUUAUUGAAUUUUGACCAAUUAUGUUAAUGGGUUAUAUCCUCAUCCCAAGUUCCCAACCCAUCUUGAUUACUUCAAAAAAAAUUUAUUCCGUCCCAAACCUGUACUAGAGUAGAACGGGGUCGGAAUUUUUUUAGAAGUUAUAGUCAUCCUAUCUUAUUUACUAUUUUCUGUUAUUUUUAUUAUUUUAAAAUUUUGUUUUUAUUAAAAUAAAUGUAAUUUAUGAGUAAAUAAAUUAUUUUUCAUAAAUUUUAUAUCCUACCUUGAUAAAAAAUAAAUUUACAACUUCAAUUUAAAUAUGUUUAAAGAAGAGAAAUGGAAAAAAAUAAAUUAUAUUUACUUAAUUUUAUUUAUAAAUGAGAUGGAUUGAGAUAAUAGUUAGAGUUUGUUUGAUAAUUAUUCUAAAGAAUGUUUUUAGUUUAAAAAAUAAAUAAAUUAAGGGUAUGUUUGAUAAUUAUUUUCAAAAAUAAUUUUUGAGAAUAGUUGUUUUCUAAUAUUUUAUAGAAUAAAAGUCUGUUUAAAAAUCUAAAAUAUUUUUUAUUAAUUUUUAAUAUUUUAAAAAUAAUUUUUAUAUAUGAUAUUUUAUUUUUAAUUAUUUUAUAAAUAAAUUACAUUUAAGUAUAAAUAAAUAAAAAUUAAAUACAUAUAAAUUAAAUUUAGGUUAAUAUUAUGUGGUUGUUUUUAGUGGACCACCAACUAUUUUUAUAUUCCAUAGAGAACUUACUUUCAACACCAUAGAAUCACCCUAAUUUUAAAUUGAGAUAUAUUAUCUUAAAUUUUAAAUUUUUUAGGGCAUGAACUAAAUCUAUAUUUUUUCUUAAGAAUUUCUAUUUUUUUUAUAUGGAAGUUUUUACCAAUUUUUGUUUUUAAAAACAAAAAAAUAAGUACUUAAAGUGUUUUUUAUAGUGAUUUUAAAAAAUAUUUUUAAUUUUUUUAAUAUUUAAAAAAUAAAAAUUUUAGAGAUUAAAAAAAUUAAAAAUAAUUUUUAAAAUCAUUGUAAAGCCCACUAUGAUAUUAAUUUCUUCUCAUUAUAUCCUUUCAUUAGAUGCUUUACAUGGUUUUUAAUAAAUAAAAUUAUAAUUAUAUUGAUGGAGGCCAAUUAUCUUUGCUUUAGGUGAGAAAGUAGAGAUAAGAUUGAAAUGGGCCCACAUAUAAAACAAGAAUGAAAUCAAAAGUAAAGAUGGAGAUAAGAUUGAGGUGGGUGGACCAAAUAAAAAGUAGGAUAUGAAUUGACAAAAGCUUCUACACUCUUCCCAAAAAGUAAAAGCAAAGCCUAUUAGCGUGUAAAGUGAUGAAAUUAGUCCUAUUCAAGGCCCUACUUGCAUAUUUGAUAUUUCUAUGAAUUUUUAUUUAUUUAUUUUAUUAAACUAGUCUAAUACGAAGACUUUUAAGUUAAAAUUAAUUUUUAAAAAUGAUAUUUAUUCAUUUAUUUAAUAUGAUAUUGUACACAUAUUAUUAGAAUUUUCUAAUAUGAUGCCAAGGACACUUAUGAUAAGUGUUUUUUUAUUUGAUUUAGGCAAAUACAACUUGAUAUGAUUUUUCAAUGACUCGAAUUCAACUUUUUUUCUUUUUUAGGGAUUUGAAUUAAUUAUAAUCAAUUUUAAAUCAAAGUUGCAUCAAUCUAUUAUAUAUCUAGUUUAAAGUCAAUGUACAUAACACAUAUUUAAUUUGAAUUGACUUAUUUAAUGAUGAUACCGAUAAACCUAAUGAUAACUCUAACUUAUUUAACUCAUAUUUGACAUAAUUAAUUUUUUUUCUAAUAAGUAUAUCAUAAUUAAGUCAUAAACAACAUAUUCAAUUAGAAUAGUAGCCACAUAUUAUGUCAUUCAACAUUUAACCCGAUUUGAUUAUUAAACAACAUCUAAUUAUUAAAUAGGUUAUAAUAUAUUACUUUGUUGAUAAUUACAUUGUGUUUGAGUUUAUGUUUUUAACCUUGAUUGUUAUUCACGUUAUAUUUGGAUUGAGAUAUUUAGUUGAGUAUUUAAACUUUAAUGUGACAUAAAUACAAUCCAUCUAUUGAGAUAUUAGAAAAGUAAUUUUGAUCAAAAUUAAUAUUUAAUGACUUUAAGUAAAUUUUAAAUUAAAUUAUAUCAAAUUAUUAACUUGAUUUAUUAAAAUUAUUGUUGAUUUUAUAUUAUAAUAUUAAAUUAUUUUAUCAAAGAUACUGAAUAUUCUUAAGAAAUUAAAUUUGAUUUAUCAACAUCCUCUAAUGUCUUCUCAAUUUUUAAUAUUUAUUUGAUACACAUUUAAUAAGAAACAAGUCAAAAAAUUUCAAUACAAGCAAGAGUUGAAAGAAAGCGGAAAGAAGAGCCUCUAGCUUCCAUGAGAGAGAGAGAGAGAGAGAGAGAGAAUUAUUGCUGAGAGAUGGCAUGCAACAACUUUAAACUGUAGCAAUUAUUCAAUUAUGAGAGAGAGAGAGAGAGAGAGAGAGAGAGAGAAGAACUUUACAGUGUAGCAAUUCUGAGAGAGGGAGAGAGAACAACUUUACAGUCUAGCAAUUAUGAGAGUGAGGGAGCGAGAGUUAUUGCUGUGGGAUGGGAUGCACCAACUUUAAACUGGAGCAAUUAUUCAAUUUUGAAGUGUAGCAAUUAUUGAAUUUUUGACCGAGAGAGAGAGAGAAAAUUAUUGUUGUGGGUGGCAUGCAACAUCUUUGAAGUGUAACAGUUUACAGUGCAGCAAUUGUUCAAUUUUGACAGUGAGGGAGAGAGAGAGAGAGAGAGAGAGAGAGAGAGUUAUUGCUGUGAGCUGGCAUGCAACAACUUUAAACUGUAGCAAUUUUGACCAAUUAUGUUAAUGGGGUUAUAUCCUCAUCCAAAGUUCCCAACCCAUCUUCGUUACUUCAACAAAUUUUUAUCCCGUUCUAGAGUAGAACGGGGUCGGAAUUUUUUUAGAAGUUAUAGUCAUCCUCUCUUAUUUAUGAGUAAAUAAAUUAUUUUUCAUAAAUUUUACAUCCUAUCUUGAUAAAAAGUAAAUUCGCAACUUCAAUUUAAAUACGUUUAAAGAGGAAAAAUGGAAAAAGAUAUUAAAUUAUUUUUACUUAAUUUUAUUUAUAAAUGAGAUGGAUUGAGAUAAUACUUCAAAUUUGUUUGACAAUUAUUUUAAAAAAUAUUUUUGAAAAAAAUAAAUUAAGGAUAUGUAUGGUAACUAUUUUCAAAAAUAGUUUUUGAGAAUAGUUGUUUUUUAAUAUUUUGUAUAAUAAAAGUUUAUUUGAAAACCUAAAAUAUUUUUGACCAAUUUUUAAUAUUUUUAAAUAUAUUUUAAAAAUAAUUUUUAUAUCUAAUAUUUUAUUUUUAAUCAUUCUAUGUUUAUAUAUAUUAUUUUUAAAAACAAUCAUUAAAAAAUAAAUAAAUAAAGUAAAAAAACAACUAAAAUAUGUUAUUUAAAAGUACCCUGUUUUUUGUUCUUAAUAAUAGAAAAUGGAAAACAAUUUUUUAUUAUCAAAUGUGUUUUCUUGAUUUUUUAUUCAGAGGAACAAAAAACUAUUCUUGAAAAUAGUUGCUAAACAAGCAUAAGGUGUUAGACAAAAUUUUAAAAAAAACUUCUCCAAAUCUAAAAAAUCAUUUAUACUAUUUUUUUUAGAAAAUCACUUAUAGUGUUUUCUAAAAAAUUAUUUGAUAGAUAAUUUUCUUAAAAACACUUCAAGUAAAAAUACCGUCAAACACAUUAUUAAUAUUAUUUAAUCCAACCUUGGAGUUAAAAAAUGAUUUAUCAAAUCCAACCUCGAUCGGUUUAAACUCUCCCAAACCCAUUCCCAUUUGUAAUAUCUGGUUUUGAAAAAUAAAAAUAAAAACAUAAUUAUGGACCCCGCAUUUCGACUCAUGCAUUUUCCACUCGAUGGCGAGCUCGAUUUUUGUUUAAAAAAUGAUUCUAUUGUUUGAAAAAAUGACUUGGAGUCGCCACUUAUUUUUGUUUUAUUUUUUUUAAAAAGGGUAAACAAAAUAAGAAAGAAAACCCUAAGUGUGACUCCUCAUUUUGGAAAAGGUAAUCUACGAAAGACCGGAUCGGACUUGGGGGUCAGAUUACUUACCAGGAAGGUACGGUAAAGACCAUAGCACCCCUCUAAGUCCCUAAAGUCGGGUCUGUACUAAUAAAAUGAAGCUGACAUGUCAAUCAGUAGGAAAAUCAAUGGAUACUCAAAUUAAUCAUGCACAUAUGAGAAUCAAAACACUCAAUAAAGAAUGAUCGAAGUGGGAAUGGACAUACCUUGGCAUCAAACGAUCAAUGCGCUAUCAAGAGAGCGGGUUAGUGCAUAAUUAAGAAAUAAUCUCAUGCAUGUCAGAGACUAGGAUGUAUGAUAAUCCAAUCAAACAAUCAAUCAAUCAAUCAUAAAGUCACCCAUGUUAGGCCCCCACCAAAACAUGUUUAUUUAGUAUGACUUAAUGUCACAGAUUCCAUUAUUCUGGAAUUAUGAAAAAUUUAUUCAUGCUUAUUGAAAUCAAGAGGAGCAGAAGAUCGUUUGAAAACCAGAACGGAAUUAAAACUAUUCGAGAGAAAACUGGAUUUUUGGAAAUUUAUUUGAAAAAUUGGAAUCUCGAAGAUUACUGGAAAAUUGAAAUUUUAGAGUUUAUUUGAAGAUCAGACUUUUAGAGAUUAAAUGUGAGAAUGUGAAUUUUAGAAAUUAAAUUUGAACGAGAUUGGAAUUUUGAAAAUAAUUUGAGAGUUUGGGAUUUUAAACGAGUGGGUAAGUGGAUGAGUGAAUAAGUAAAGGAAUGAAAUAAUAACAAUGGUGAAAUAAUAAAGAUUAGGUAAAUAAUUACAAAAGAUGGAAUUUUAGAGAUUGAGGAUGUGAAUUUAAAGAUUGAAAACUUAAGAAUUUAUUUAGAGAUGAGAUCUUUGGUAUGUGAAUAACUAAAUAGGUAAAUGAAUGGGAUAACGUUAAUAACGAGAAUAAUCAUUAAACGACGGUAUACGAACAGUGAAGCUUUUGAGAUUGGAAAUUAGAUUUGGAAGUCGGGUUCUGAAGAAUUAAACUUUAGCGAUUAUAAUAAAUAAAUAAAUAUGGAAUAAUAAUGCUAAUUAACAAAAAUAAUACUUAAACGAAUAAUAAAAAAAUGCGCAGUGGGAUUUUUUAUAUUGAAAAUUAAAUUAGGAAGUUGGAUUCUUGAAAAAUUGGACUUUGAAUAAAUAAAUAAAUAUAGGAUGAUAAUUCUGUUUAAGGAAAAUAACAUUUAAACGAAUAAAAAAGAAUAGUGAAAUUUUUAGGGUUGAAAAUUAAGUUCAAUGAUUGAGAUUUUUUAAAAGAGAUAAACAAGUAUAGAGUUUUUAAUUGACGAAAAUAACAUUUAGACGAAUAAUGGAAUUUUUAGGAUUGAAAAAUUAAGUUAGGCCAUUGGAUUUUUUAAUGAUUAGACUUUGAAUGAAUAAAUAAAUAUGAGACAAUAAUUCUAAUUAACAAAAGUGUCAUUUAGGAGGAUAGUGGAAUUUUUAGGACUUGAAAAAUGAAAUUAGGGCAUUGGAUUUUUGAAGGAUUGGAUUUUAAAUAAAUAAACUAAUAUAGGAUAAUAAUACUAACUAACGAAAAUAACAUUUAAAAGAAGAAAAAAGAAUAGUGGAAUUUUUAUGAUUGAAAAUUAAAUUAGGACAUCGGAUUUUUGAAGGGUUGGAUUUUAAAUAAAUAAAUAAAUAUGGGAUACUAAUUCUAAUUAAAGAAAAUAACAUUUAGACGAAUAGUGAAACUUUUAGGAUUGAAAGUUAAAUUAUGACAUUGGAUUUUUAAUAAAUAAACUAAUAUAGGAUAAUAAUAUUAAUUAAUGAAAAUAACACUUAAACGAAUAAAAAAAGAAUAGUGGAAUUUUUAGGGUUGAAAAUUAAGUUAGGACAUCGGAUUUCUGAAGGGUUGGAUUUUAAAUAAGUAUAUAAAUAUGGGAUACUAAUUCGAAUUAAAGAAAAUAACAUUUAGACGAAUAGUAGAAUUUUUAGAAUUGAAAAAUUAAAUUAAAAUAUGGAAUUUUUGAAGGAUUAGACUUUAAAUAACUAGAUAAAUAUGGGAUUAUAAUUCUAAUUGAUGAAAAUAAGAUUUAGAUGAAUUGUAGAAUUUUUAGGAUUGAAAGAUUAAAUUAAAACAUGGAAUUUUUUAAGGAUUAGACUUUAAAUAACUAGAUAAAAACGAGAUUAUAAUUCUAAUUGAUGAAAAUAAGAUUUAAACGAAUUAUUAAAAAAAUUAAAUUAAGGCAUGAAGGUAAAUAUGGGAGGAUAAUUCUAAUUGAUGAAAAUAAGAUUUAAACGAAUUGUGAAAUUUUUAGAAUUGUAAAAUUAAAUUAAAACAUGGAAUUUUUGAAGGAUUAGACUUUAAAUAACUAGAUAAAUACGAGAUUAUAAUUCUAAUUGAUGAAAAUAAGAUUUAGAUGAAUUGUAAAAUUUUUAAGAUUGAAAGAUUAAAUUAAAACAUGAAAUUUUUGAAGGAUUAGACUUCAAAUAACUAGAUAAAUACGAGAUUAUAAUUCUAAUGGAUGAAAAUAAGAUUUAGAUGAAUUGUAGUAUUUUUAGGAUUGAAGGAUUAAAUUAAGACAUAGGAUUUUUGAAAAAUUACUUAAGGACCUUUGUUUUGAAAAUAGAAUGUAAAGUUUAGAAUGUAGUAAAUUUAUCGAGACCAACAUAAGUUAAUUUAUACAAAAAUUUUAUUUAUAUGGUGAUUAGACAUAACUAAAGAAGGGAGAGAUAAGAUAUGAAUUAUUUUAAAUUUUGAAAAGGAUAUUCAACAUGAAUAAUUUGUCUUUUAAUUGCCUUUAAGUUGAGUUAACUAAAUUGGUAAAAAUGAAAUAAGAUAAAAAAAAUAAAAAAUGGAUGAACAAAUUAAUAAAUUAAUAAAAAAUGGAUCUACUCAAAAGAUUUUUAUUAUUAAUAAAUUAAUAAAUUAAUAAACUUUGAAAGAAAUUAGAAUUGAAAAUUAUUUGAGAAGUAGAAACUAUGAAAAUUAAAUAAUAAAAAUUGGAAAUCUUGGAAAUCAUUCGAAGGAUAAAUGAAUAAAAUGAUAAUAAUAAUGAUAAUAAUAAGUAAGUAAUGAAAUAAAUGCGAGAAUUGGAAUAUUGGAAACUGAAAAUUAAGUUCAAAAAUUGGAAAAUUAGAAUUUCAGAAAAUUAAAUUUGAAAAUCGGAAUUUUGAAUAAUUAUUUAAAGACAGAAUAUUUUAAAUAAAUGAAUAAUUGAAUAAAUAAAUGAAUGGAAUAACGAAAAUAAUAACGAUUGGAUAAAUAAUUACGAAGAUGAGAAUUUUGAAAAUUGGAAAUUGAACUUAGGGAUUGAAAAUUUAAAGAAUUAUUUAGGGAUGAAAUUUUAAAUAAAUGAACAAGUGAAUGAAUAAAUGAAUAGAAUAACGAAAAUAAUAAAGGGGAUAAAUAAGUGUGAAAAGUAGAAUUUUAGAAAUUGGAAAUUGAAUUUAGGGAUUGGAAAUUUAAAGAAUUAUUUAAGGAUGAAAUUUUAAAUAAAUGAAUAAGUGAAUAAAUAAAUGAAUAGAAUAUUAAUAAUGAUGAAAUAACAUAGAUUAGGUAAAUAAUUGCGAAAAAUAGAAUUUUAGAGAUUGAAGAUUGAAUUUAGAGAUUGAAAAUUUGAGAAAUUAUUUAAAGAUGAGAUUUUAAAUAUAUGAAUAAGUGAAUAAAUAAAUGAAUGAGAUAAAAAUAAUAACAACAAAAAUAAUCAUUAAAUAACUGAAUGUGAAUAGUGGAAUUUUUAAGAUUGGAAAUUACAUUUGGAAAAAGGAAUUUUGAAAAAUUGAACUUUAAUGAUUGGAAUUUUUAAAAUAAAUAAAUAAAUGAAAUAGUAAUAAUAACAAUGAAAGUAAUAUUUAAACGAAUGAACGUAAAUAGUAGAAUUUUUGGAAAUUUGAAAAAUUGUUUAAAGAUAGAAUUUUUAGUUAAAAUAAAUAAACAAAUAAAUGGAAUAAUGAUAAUAAUAACGAAAAUAAUACUUAAAUGAAUGAACGUGAAUAGUGGAAUUUUCGAAAUUGGAAAUUAAAUUUGGAAGACAGAAUUUUGAAAAAUUGUUUAAAGAUGGAAUUUUUAAAAUAAAUAAAUAAAUGGAAUAAUAGUAAUAACGAGAAUUGAAUUUAGAAAUUGGAAAAUUGAAGAAUUAUUUAGAGAUGGAAUGUUGGGAAAUUAAAUUUCGAAAGUUGAAAAUCCGAAAAAUUAUUUUAAGGAUGGAAUGUCGGAAAAUUAAAAUUUGAAAACUGGAAACCGAAAAAUUAUUUUGAGGAUGGAAUGUCGGAAAAUUAAAUUUCAAAAACUGGAAACCCGAAAAAUUAAUUUUAAGGAUGAAAUGUCGGAAAAUUAAAUUUCGAAAACUGGAAACCCAAAAAGUUAUUUUGAGGAGGGAAUGUCGGAAAUUAAAUUUCGAAAAUUGGAAACCCGAAAAAUUAAUUUUAAGGAUGGAAUGUCGGAAAAUUAAAUUUCAAAAAUUGGAAACCUGAAAAAUUAUUUUAAGGAUGGAAUGUUGGAAAAUUAAAUUUCGAAAAUUGGAAACCCAAAAAAUUAUUUUGAGGAUGGAAUAUCGGAAAAUUAAAUUUCAAAAGUUGGAAACAAGAAAAAUUAUUUUAAGGAUGGAAUGUCGGAAAAUUAAAUUUCGAAAACUGGAAACCCGAAAAAUUAACUUUAAGGAUGAAAUAUCGAAAAAUUAAAUUUUGAAAACUAGAAACCCGAAAAGUUAUUUUGAGGAUGGAAUGUUGAAAAAUUAAAUUUCGAAAAUUGGAAACCCGAAAAAUUAAUUUUAAGGAUAGAAUGUCGAAAAAUUAAAUUUCGGAAAUUGGAAUCUUAAAAAAAAAGUGUUUUGAUAUCAAAAUGUGAAGAAAUAGUAAAAAGAAUUAUGGAUUGUGGUGAUCAUCAUGUGCACGUCUCCGGUAUAAUGGCUAUAAACCCAUUUUAUAUAUUCUUUUCCACCACCACCACCACCAUAACCAUUAAGAGCCAUGCAUGGAUAUCUAUCACUCCCACCACAAACCCAUUUUUAUUUUGCAUAUUCACCAUGACUUCCAGCUCAUAACCCAGCCGGCGCUGUAGAGACUUCUCAUUGCUCUGCCCGUUUGUUUCAUUUCCAUUGGUAAUACUUGAGUUUUCAUGCGCUGAAGGCUUGUGAGUUUCUAGCAACUCUUUUAGCCUCUUGGCGGCCAUAGUGGCUGAACCCGUGUGCGUACGAGCUCGGGAUAGAAUGGAUGAUGGGAAAACUGUGUGAGGGUUGCAUCCUCUAUCCUUACCAUGGCAUGCAGAGGCCGCCGAGUAUGGAAGGCACCAAGGUAGGCAGCAAGCAUGUGCGGGCUGCACAUUACAUGAGAAGGAACGGGAAGAAAUUCAAGUGAAUGAAGCAGUGAGAGUGACAGACUUGAAGGUCGAGCCAAAAAUGGGUAUUAGUGAGAAAAAUGAGUGAUGAGUAAGGGGUGUGAGAGAAAUUAGUUGGAUGGUAUGACGAAAGAUUUAAAGAGGAUGGUGAGAUGAAGGCAUGAGCUUGGUGGAUGGGUAAUGAUGCAUGGUGAGAGAAGUAGUUGUGACGGGUAUUGAAAAAUGGAAGUGGUGAGCAUGGACGGUGAUAGAUGUAGUUGGGGGGAUGGUUUGGCUUGAGAAAAUGGGCAGAAUAUGAAGGCGUUUGGCUUGGGAUUGGAAUUCGAUGGAGAAUGGAUUUUAUGGGAAAGGUUUGGGAAGGAUGCUAAUGGGUCGUGUACAUGAACUGCAGUCACGUGGGAGGAUAUGGAAUAGGCAAAUGUUAGGAACAGGGGAAGACCAGAAAAACAGAGCACAAGGGAUAGGAACAAAAUAAUCCCAUACAAGCCGCGUUUCAUAUCCGGAUCAAUGGGCUUAGGUGAGGGUGAGCGCAAUCAAACGAGUAUCAAAUGGAAGACAAAACAUGAUUGCAUGUAUUUUCAUGAGGAAGCUUAAACAGGACCAAGUUAACAUUCAACAAAAACCAAAUAAAUGAGGAACAUGAACAUGCUAUAAUUCCACAAAACCAACCUGAAGGUCAGCCAAAAUAUACCUGUAGCACUUGAUGUCUAUUCCCAAUCAACAAAUAGCACUCAACAAUCAGCAGAGAAAAGAAAAGAAAAGCAUGCCAGUUGGAAUGAGUUAGAAACCCAUAAUAAUCAUACCUGAAAAACAAUCCUCCCCAAGAAGCCGUGUCGGAUUUCUAGCUGUUCCACUAGUUCCCUCUUUUUCCCUCUAGCUGCCUUUUCCUCAAGUCACCUCAAAAUCACAACCCUCAAGCAACCUGCAACCCUUUCCUUUUUCAGAUUCUUCUUUUCUUUUCACUCUCAGCACCUACUAUAUCCUUCUUCCAUCGGCUUCCUCUGUUUCUCUCGAACAGCUCUAAGGAAAAAAAAAACUCCUCCCUCUUCCUUAGCUUCCCCUCCAAGCUAUACUCUAAAUAUCUCUUCUCUGUUUCCAUCUUCUCCCGCAAGCCACCACCUGCUCCACUGUGCACCAUUCCGCCAAUGCGUCACCCUCCAAACCACCACCAUGGGCGAGCCAUGCAGCUGGUUCUCAGCAUAAGGAGGUCCCCCUCCAAAAAUGCAAGGAAAAGAAAAGAAAACAACUCUGCUCGAGCCCUCACCACACGUCCCAUGCUUCUCGUGUGUCUCCAGAAAGAGGUCCCUCCCCCCUACUUCAAAAAAAUGAAAGAAUUCCACUCUCCCGAGUGGUCCUAAAAUAAAAGAAAAGCUAUCCAUUUUUUUGAGGGGUCUACAACUUUAUUAUUACAUUUUAUUUUUUGUUUGAUGCUUUAAAUAAUUUUUAUUAAAUAAAAUUAUAAUUAUAUUGGUGGAGGGCUAAUUAACUUUGUUUUUAAGCGAGAAAGACAGUGAUAAGGUUGAAGUGGGUUUAAAAAAAUGAAAUAAAAGAAUGAAAAAAAGAAAAAGAAAAAGAAGAUAGAGAUAAGAUUGAGGUGAGUCCGUAAUUAAAAAAAAAAUGAAGAGUAGGAGAAAAAGUGACAAAAGCUUUUGCUUUCUUCCAAAAAAGUAAAAACAAAGGUUAAUGACAUCAUGUUAUCAAACUCUAUACAAGACCCUACUUGAAUAUUUCUAUGAUAAAAUGAAAUCAUUUUUUUGAACCCAAAAAUCCAAAUCCAACUCAUUUAUCUAUAUACUUUAUUGGCAUGGAAUGGGAAAAGUUAUAAAGUGAAAGAAAAUUUGAUCAUAUGAGAGAUUUUCCAAAGUUGGAGCCAAUUCAAUGCUUAGUGGGUAUAACAAAAAAAAAAUGUGGAAAUUAAAGUGAAACAGCCAAAUUUUUAAGGUUUGAGGGGAUGUCACUGCACCUUCCAAAUAACUGUCUAAGAAUGUGAGAUGUCAUUGCAUUGAAAAUUGAUAUUAAAUCUCAUAAAGUAACUAUAAGAAUUGCUUUACUUAAGUAAUAAAUAUAUCUUGCUUUUUCAUAAAGUUUAUGACCCUAAGUGAAUAAAAUUUUUAGAGUGGGAUGAAUGCAUUUCACGUGAGUCAUGUCCUAGAUAUAUUUUUAGAAUUUUCUAGCAAGAUAUUAAGAGAAACUUUAUGGUGAGUGUUUUUUUUUCUAGUUAAGGUGGGUACAAUUCGAUGUCAUUCGUAAACAUAAUUCAAACCCAAUAUAUUUUUUAGGUGUUUGAAUUGAAUAGAUUUGUAUUUAAUUUAAAUUCAUGUGAAUAUAUAUAAUUCAUUUAAUAAAUAAAUUAUUUUUAAAUUAACUCAGAUAACCUACAUUUGACUCGAAUUAACUUAUUUAAAAAUGGUAUUGAUUAACCUAAUAAUAACUUUAAUUUAUUGAACUCAUAUUUAACUCAUUUAAGAUUUGUUUUUCAAGUAGUAUGCCAUAAUUGGGUUAUUAUAUAAUAUUAGAACAUUAAGGAUAUUAUUUCAUUCAACAUUUAACUUGAUUUGAUUAUUAAACAUUAUCUUAUUAUUAAAUUGGUUAAACAGGUUAUGAUGUAUCACCUGGUUAAUAAUUAUAUAGUGUUUGAGUUUAUAUUUUUAAUUCUGAUUGUUAUUUAUGUCAUGUUUGGAUUGAGUUGUUUCGUGGAGUAUCUAUACAAGACAAACACAAUCCACCAACAUAUUAAUAAAAAAUUACGAGAUAUUAGGAGAGUAAUUUUGGUAAAAGUUAAUAUUUAAUGAUUUAAGAUGAUUUUAAAUAAAAUUAUAUUUAAAUGGUCAAGUCAUAUCAAAUCAUUAACUUAAUUUAUCAAAAUCAUUUUUGAUUUUAUAUUAUAGUAUUAAGUUAUUUUAAUGAUCAUACUUAAUAUACUUAAGAACAUAAAUUUAGUCUUAUCAACAUUCUCUAAGGUCUUCUCAAUUUUUAAUAUUUAUUUGAUACAUAUUUAAAAGCAAACAAGUCAAAAUAUAUUAUCUCAAAAUUUCUAAUUCAUACUCGUACAAGAUUUUAAAAUUCAUUAAUUAAUUUGAAAGAAAUUUGUUUUGGAACAUGCAAGUGAUGGACAUAUCACAUAUCUUAAAUUUUUAACUAAAAAACCUCAUAACAAAAUAAUUUGAUGAAUGUUUUUAAGUUUAAAAAACUUAGAACCAUUUCACAAUGAUUUUGGGAAGUUAGAAAUGUUUCCAAAUGCUUGAAAAUGUUUUAAUAACGAAAAUUAAACAUUUGAUAAAAAUUAAAGUUCACAUUCUAAGUAAUUGAUAGUGCUUCUUAUAAUUUUUUCUUUCUUUUCAUUAUAUAUAUAUAUAUAUAUAUAUAUAUAUAUAUAUAUAUUAGACAUUGAAAAGGUUUCACCAAUUAAAUGGUGUCACAUAUACAUUUUUUGUAUAACAUGAAUUGAAAAAUUUUCAUCAAUUAGGUGGUGUCACACAUAUAUUUUUGUCUCAUAGUUAAUACCAUUGUACCUUGGCCACAUUUGUUUAUACCUUUGUUUAAUGAUUAAGAUCUCACUACAUAUAUUUAAUGGUUUACAUCUAGACUUCGUCAGGUACCACUACAAAACCUUAGUAUUAUAUAUACAUAUACAUCAUACUAACUAGUUUUUUUUUUUUUAUCAAAACACUUACAAUAGAAAUGCUACAAAUUAGAAGUGUUUUUAUCAAAAUAGUUUCCAAACCAACCAUAAUAUUUGCAUUAGCUUUAACAUAUAAUAUCUUUUACUUUAGUUGUUGAUAUAGCUACAUAUAAGACCAACCAUUCAUAUGAUAAUUAUUAUGGAUCUUAUUUUAAUUUGAUAAAAAUAUCUACCCAAGCAUUACGCAAAUAGGGAUGACAAUGGGGUGAAAUAUAGACAAGUCAUUCCUAUCCCAACCUCACUCCAUUUAUUCAAAAUAAUUCUCAUUCUCGUCUCAUUGAAGAAAUUAAAUGGAAUGAGGUAGGUAUGAGAAUUUCCUGUACCCACCCCACCUACCUCUUUUAAUUUCUUUUUGAAAAUUUUUAAUUUUUUUAAAAUUAUUUUUAAAUUUGUUUAAAUACAUUAAAAUAAAUAUAUUUUAUAAAUAAUUUAAAUUUUAAAAUUUUUUUAUAACUUAUUAUUAUUAUUUUAUUAUUAUUAUUAUUAUUAUUAUUAUUAUUAUUAUUAUUAUUAUCAUUAUCAUUAUUAAAAAUAGGAAAAUAACAAUUUAUAUCUAAUUGAGGCAGGACAAGGUAAUAUCUAAAUAUACCCCAAACUUGUCUCGAGUUUUAAAAAAAUUCUCAAAAAUGCUUUUAACUCGUUUAUUUAAAUUUCAAAUCCAUCCCAUUAGGGAUGGGGUGAAAACCCGUCUCAUUGUCAUCUCUAUAUGCAAGUCAUAAAUAUAUAAUAAGAAAAAUAAUAAUAAAAUUAGUAUCUAUUUAGAUAAACUUCUUGUUUUUUGUUUUUAAAAUCAGAAAAUAAUAAUAACUUUUAUAUAAGAUAUAAGGAUACUUAUAUUUAAAAAAAAAAUAGUUUUAAAAAUCAUUUAAAAAUUUAAGGUAUUAAAAAAAUUUUACUAAACCAAAUUUUAAAAAAUUUUAAUGUGAUUUUUAAACAUAUGACAUAAAUUUAUAUUUUUUUGUAUAACAUGUUCUACUUUCAUAUAGAAAUUCUAAUUUAAAAAAAAAAUAAUAGAUGUAUUAAAUGGACACUUUAGCUUCUUAUUUUUUUAGUGGUUCACCUUGCCCCUUAGAUAAGAAGAUUAUGAAAAUUUUCAAUAAUUAUGAAAAAGAUAAAAGUGAAAGACUUUUGACAAAAUUAUGUGUGAGAUGGUGUGCAUCAACCUUAAUUUGGACAAUUAUGUUAAUGGGAAGAUGUUAUCCUCAUCUCAAUCACUAGCUUUAAAUUGUAGUACUUAUUGUAUUUUGGAUAAUUAUGUUAACGGUCAUGUCAUCCUUGUCUCAACUCAUGUUGAUAAUUUAAGUUAUAAGUUAUAGUCACCAUGUCUUAUUUAAACUUUUAUACUAUUUUUUAUUAUUUUUAAAUAUAAAUCUUAUUAAAAUUAAUAUAAUUUAAGAGUUAAUAAAUUAAUUUUUAUGAAUUUUAUAUUAGCAUUGAUAAAAAUUAUAUUUUCAAUUUUAUUUUAAACAUGUUCAAAAGGGGGAAAACGAAAAAAGAAACUAAAUUAUUUUUAUUGAAUUUUAUAAAUAAAAAUGAUUUAAUUUUAAUUUUUAUUUAAUUUUAUAAAAAAAUUCUCAAAUAUAUCCCUAAUUUGUUUGAACUGGUCCUAAAUCCUUCAAUAGUUGUCAUCUCUAAUUUUGACCAUAUAAAAAUUAAACCAAAAUAUAAGAAGGUUGAGGAAUAUCAAAUAUAAAGAGAGGUUGAAAAAAUUUAUAAUGCUUAGAGGUUUUUUUCUUACAAAUAGAACUUGUUUGGUCAUGUGAUUUAAAAAUAGUGCAUUUUUUUUUUUUUAAAAUAAAAAACUGUUUUUAAAAUUUUCUAACAAUGUUUGACCAUUGUUAUCUGGAAGCAAUUUUUAAAAAUAAGGUGAAAUAAAGAACAAUUUUUCGAGAACAAAUAUAAAUUGUUUUUAUUGAUUUUUAAAAACAAAAGGAAAAUAUGAGCCCAUUUGACCAUAUUUUCUUAAACUUGUUUUUACACACUUUUUUUUUUUUAAAAAAAACUUUUUAGAUUAAAAACAUUUUUUAGAAUCACUACCAAAAUGAUUUUAAGUAUUAUCUCACUUCACCUCAUUUAUAUAUAAAAUUAAGUAAAAAUAAUUUAAUUUCCUUUUCCAUUUACCCUUUUUAAUCAUAUUUAAAAUAAAGUUACAAAUUUACUUUUUAUUAAGAUAGAAUAUAAAAUUUAUGAAAAAUAAUUUAUUUACUCAUAAAUUACAUUUAUUUUAAUAAAAAUUAAUAUUUUUUUUAAAAAAAAAAGCAAAAACAAAAGGUGAAUUGAAGUAGUAAAGCUCGUUCGUAAAAGAAAAUAAAGAGGAAAAUUAGAAAAUAAUAAUAAUAAUAAUAAUAAUAUAAAAUAAAUUUAAAUUCAUAAUUUAUUUUUAUAUUUUAUUUAAAUCUUAUUUUAUUUAUAAAGAUUAAAUGAAUCUAAAAAUACACAAACUUUUAAUUAAUUUUAAUUAUAUAUAACUUAAAGUAAAACUAAAUAUUUCAUUAACAUUUUUUCGUAAUACUCUUGAACAAUCAAACAUAACUUAAAGCACUAAAAAAGUAUUUAUAAAAAAUUUCAGUUUGAUUGUGAUAAAUGUUAAAUUAUUAAUUUUCUUAAAAGUUUAAACUUAUAAGAUUUGAGUUAGUCCCCUCCCUAACAUACGAUCUCAUUUCAUAGAAUUGCAAAUGACAAGACGGGAGAGAUACCAAAUAAUUGUUACAGCUUAUGAUGCAGAGCCAGGAGCCCCAGUUGGACCAGAGCAUCCAGAGAUUCCACAUCCAUAGCAUCUAAAGGAGUCACAGCUAGUUGAAAUACCUGCUGACAUGAGAGCACCUGCCUUUGAAGUGCCCUCUACAGGACUUAUGCUUGAGGUUGCACCCUCUGCUCCUCCUGCCACACCAGGGACUCCGCCAGUUGUACCAGCUACAUCAGAGCCUCCUCCUCCAUUUGAGUCUAGGAUAGCCAUAUCCAUUUCCAAGUUCAGAGGCCUAUGUCACACUUUGCAGACAUUGAUCACUUCUAGCUCAGAGCAUCCUGACUCAACAGAUGACAGCCAUACGUGCCCAUCAGGAUCAGCUUAUCGCCACCUAUACCCAGCAUACUGCCAUCCUUAGGCAGAUACAACAGCAUCUGGGAGGUACCACUUUCUCUCUAUAAUUUCAAUCGCUCUUGCCACAUUGAAGACAAUGUUUAGCUUGGUUGAGGGGAAGAGAGUUGAGGAAGGAAGUUUUUAUUUUAAAUGCUAAGUUAUUUUGGUAAUUUAGUUGUUAAUGCUUAAUUUUAAAAAAAAAUUCUAGUUUUUAUUCUACUCUCCAUGGUUAUUAAGGAAAAAUUCUCAAAAUAAAAUGAGAGAAAUUGAAUUUUUGUUUUUCACUUGACUUAGAGUUUGUAUUAUGCUUACUAAAGUUGAUAAAUUGUUGAAAUUUCUAUUGAAUUCAACCUUAGUUCUUCCACUUUAAGCUAUUCACACAUUGUGCAUAAUAGGUUCCAAGUAUAAGAUGAAAAACUAUUUCCCUCUUGACUUAGGAAAAUUUUAGACUUGGUACCUUUGACCUCAAUUAAUAGUGUUGGGACACCUUAUAAAAGGCCAAUGAGCCUUUGGAAAAAAAAGAAGAAAGAAAAAUGUUUGCUUACCUUGAAACUUGAGCAAGGUUUGAGGGAUAUAUGGUGAAAAUCUUUAAAACCUGGUGCCCUAAGCCUUAAUUGGUUGGAAGUUACCGACCUCAAUGCUCGUUACAAGGGUGAAUAGGUGGAGUUUAACAUACUGUAGGUGCUUGGGUAUUAAAAAUUCAUUCUCAAGUCUGGGGUAAAAUCCGAGGAGUUAGUGGUUGAAAGAUCCUUAAAGCUUGAUGCCCUAAACCUUAAUUGGUUGGGAGUCAUUGAUGGACCCCCAUUACAUGGAAAAUUUAGAAAAUGAUACCUUUAAGCCUUGUACUCUUACAAUGAAAAAAAUUCUGAAACAAAAGGGUGCGUUCUUAGCCUAUUGAAUUUUGUCAGUUUGCUAAGUGUUGAAAAAGAACUAGGUUGGGGGGAGAGAUUAGUUUAGCAUACUAUAUUCAGAAACUAUCAAGUAACACUUAGAUUUUUGUGGAAGAGUAAGGAUUGGACCUUUGAAAGUGGAAACAAUUUUAAAGCUUCAAUUUGCAUAAUGUCUUCUCUUUAUGAAUUGUGAUUAGGCAAGGUAUUUGAUAACUCUUGUUGAAAUUUGAGUUUUAUAUCUUUAAUGUUCCAUGUGAGAGUUAGAUCAUCAUGCCACUUAAAAUUUUUUUGAAGUGAUCAGUAUGAUUUUGUAAAUUAUAUUACUGUUUGUUUUACUUUUUCUCCCCUUCAUUGCUAAGGAACUAGCAAUAUGUCGGUUGUGGGGAGUGAUUACUACUCAAAAAGUGUUAUUUUGUAGCUUGUAAUUAACUCUUUUAAACAUCUUUGAAUAAUAGUUAUUACCUUUUAACUCAAUUGGCAUGUUAAGGACCCUUGUAAUCGUUUUUAAUCAAAUUGUGUUAAGUUUUGGUGUUUUUGAUAGUAUUUUGAUCACCAAAGCAAUCCAAGAUUGAGGAGAGUUAUAUAGAAUCCAUGUAAAAUCAAUUGAAAGCUCAUUUACAUGAAGAAUCCAAGCUUUGAAGCUUCAUAGUCAUUUGCCAAAAGCAAAUCAUGAAUACAAGGAGGGAAAGAAAAGAGAGAAAUCUAACAUGAAGAAUUCAAGAGGACAGAAACUGUUGGACAUAUUUAGAGCACUUUCUAGAGUCCAUUUCAUGCGUACUAUAUGUUGUUUCGAAGCUCAGGAAGUCAGGAAUCCAACGCUUUAAACAGUACAUGAAUUGGAGUUGAAAUGAAAAAGUUAUAGCCAUUGGAAGCCAAUCAUACCAAGCUAAAGGCCAAUUUCGCAGCUGCGAAAUCAACCUUUGGCUGCGAAAUCACAAGGUGCUCGCUGCGAAAUCAACAUUUGGCUACGAAAUGGAGACCUUCAGCUUGCGAAAUUUCACAGCCCAUCUUGCAUGCCUACGAAAUCCACCUGAGUGCUUCCAGAUAUUUGCGACCGACUCUUUUAGAUUUUUUCUUUAGAUAUUUGUUGUUUAAAUCCCCAUUUUCUCCUUGUAAUCCACCAAUCAUAGGAUUCCUUAGUUAAUAAGUAAGAAUAAAGGGUGAAUAACCUCAUAUAUAUAGUUUGUAAUUUUCUUUACAAAAUCGUCUUGGGAGCUUGUUCUCAGAGACAACCGUGUGUAUAGUUUUGAAGGAAGUAAUAUACAGAGCUUUGCUCUGCCUUACAUACUCACUUUGAUUGUAUUUUUCUUACUAGCCAAACAAGCUAUAAAGAUGUUUUCUCAGAGAAUGAGUGGCUAGACUUUUUGUCUCUUGGAGUUAAGGGAGCUGGGUAAGGUGCCGAAUGCAAGAAUUGGAAGUUUUGUUGUUUCAGCUGUUAAUGAAGAGAAAGUGUGACCCGUUAAUGGUUUUUAUCUUUUUAGUAAACUUAAAACGCCGUUAAAUCACCUAGGCCAACACUUGGUAAGACAAGUGAUCUCCGUCCAUUGAGAUACACUAGUUUAUCUCUUGCGAGCCUUUGGGAGGUGGUUUAAAGGUAGGAUUUUCUAGAAUGGCCAACACUUGGUAAACUUUUGGACUCUAAGAAGACAUCCAUUAGUUAUCUCUUGCGAGCUUGAGAAGGGAAAUCCAAGGUUAAGGAUCACCUUGAAUGACCAAUACUAGGUGAGAGGUAUGAACCAUUGCACGAUGAAUCAGUGAGAGGGAUUUAGUGUUGGAAUCCAUAAAAGGGAAACAUCUGUACCACACCGGUUAGAGAAAUAACUAUAUGUUAAUUCUCCAAUGCGAGGAAAAGAUUCAAGUGACCGAAACUCUGUUUUUGUAUUAGGAACCUAACCCCAGUGAUCCUAAAACUCCAAGAAACGCUUUUCUUUAUUAGUAAUUUUAGUUACUAUUAUUUUUUGUUAGCUUAAAACCAAUCAUUUUUCAACCAAAGAUUAUGUUUUCUUUUAAAGCUAACCUUGAAAUGAAAAAACAUCAAUUCAACUUUGAAUUAAUGUCAAUAGUAAGUUGAAAACCCUUCCCAGUGAACGAUCUUAGAGCCACUAUGCUAUACUAGCUGAGGCUAUCCUAGUACAUGGUGAUAUAGGUUAUAAAUUUUGUUGGUUACUCCUGUCUGAGGACCAAAAUCAAGGUACACCAGCUAGGCACGAAAGUCACAUGGUAUAUUGAUGCACACAGUUUGUGGCACGACAGUUUGAUGAAAUUAUAGAAGUGUAGCACUCAUGGGCAUAUCAUGUGAACCUUAUUCAAUGUGGCAUUGACAGUUGGUUUAUAUUUACAUGGGUGUAAUGUCGCACCAGUAUCCUCUAAUGAACCUUGGAUUCUUUUUUCUUUGUUUCUUCUUCUCUUGGUCAAGCCAAACAAUUUGUCUUCAUGACUUUCUCCUAUUACAAAAAAGCAGCAUCUUGUGUUCUCCAUCUCUUCAUCCCUUUGUCAAGACACAACAAUUUGAUGCAUCUUUGCAUUAGGUUGCUUUCUCUCCUUCCCCUCUUCUUUCUCUUCGUCUCAUUGCUUAGUUUUGGCUACUCUGUUUCUUUUGAUCAUUAUGGUAGAGCAUCCUUGCAAGAUGUACAAGAAAUAUGUUGUGGUGCAUUAUCCCCUUCUCUACCACUUGAAAUCUGUUUUCCAUGAUCAUUAAUACCAAGAUGUUUAAGCAUCAAGUAAGGCAUCUCUUGACAAUUAUGCGAGAAAUAAGAGACAAGCAACAUACCGGUAUUCAAGAGAAGUGAUGUUCUACAUUUACAUUUGACAACAUGCAUUUAGUUUGAACUCCAAAUUUGGGCAACUCAAAAUCUCCACCUUCAUUAGGAUUGCAGAAAGUUAGCUUCUUGGAAAAAUGUGGAAAUGAGGCAUUUAGAAAUUUGAAAGAAUCACAAUGGCUUGUUGCUACUUCUGAAUAAUUCCAAGCAGUAACAACUCCAAAGAUAUAUAUAUAUAAAUCUGUCCCUGGGAAAGAGAUCGAUGUUUCUUAGGCAUGCAACCAUCUCUCUUAACAAACUCAGGGUUCUACUAUUGUGUCACGUUUGAAAGCAAUUUAAUCUAUGUUAGAAGUUUUUUUUUAAAUUUAUUCCAUUUUUCUUUUAGUUUUGAAACUUACAAUUAUACAUUGUAAGGUUUCAAGUUUAUCUAGAGAUAUAAAAAGUUGGAGUCGAUGUCUUAGUGGUAGGUUUCAUAAGAAAUGUAGUUAUUCUAUGAAUAUAACUUUGGAUUCUAAUUUUUUAACUUUCUAAUAUUGUAGCUCUUUAGUAGGUCUCAUAGAAAAUGAAAGUUGUGGAAAAGUAUAAUAUGGACUCAAUUUUUUAUUUAUGAGGUGUUGUUACAACACCAUUAAGUAAUUACCUAAAAAUGAUAUGUCGUUGCAUUGAAAGUAAUAUUAAAUUUAAUGGAGAGAUAUCUAAAUAAAAAUAUCACCUAAUUUUUAAAACAAUAUUAUGAUCUUACUAUUAUGUCAUGCUAGAAAACAAUUUAGUUAUUUUGUGUUAGCAUUUUUUUUGUACAUUAUAUUUUUCUUUUUGUUUUGAAGCUUGCAAUUGCAAAUUGUAAGGUUUCAAGUUCUUUCGAAAAUAUGAAUAGUCGAAGUCAAUGUCUUAGUGAUAGCCAGUAGGUUUCAUAAGAAAAGGAAUUAUUCUAUGAAUAUACCUUUGAAUUCCAAUUUUUGAACUUUCUAAUAUCUUAGUUCAUAGUGGGUCCCAUAGAAAAUAAAAGUUGUGGAAAAGUAUAAUGUGGACUCAAUUUUGACUUAUGAAGUGAUGCUACAACACCUUCAAGUAAUUACAUUGAAAAUAAUAUUAAAUUUAAUGGAGAUAUAUCAAACAAAAUUANNNNNNNNNNNNNNNNNNNNNNNNNNNNNNNNNNNNNNNNNNNNNNNNNNNNNNNNNNNNNNNNNNNNNNNNNNNNNNNNNNNNNNNNNNNNNNNNNNNNNNNNNNNNNNNNNNNNNNNNNNNNNNNNNNNNNNNNNNNNNNNNNNNNNNNNNNNNNNNNNNNNNNNNNNNNNNNNNNNNNNNNNNNNNNNNNNNNNNNNNNNNNNNNNNNNNNNNNNNNNNNNNNNNNNNNNNNNNNNNNNNNNNNNNNNNNNNNNNNNNNNNNNNNNNNNNNNNNNNNNNNNNNNNNNNNNNNNNNNNNNNNNNNNNNNNNNNNNNNNNNNNNNNNNNNNNNNNNNNNNNNNNNNNNNNNNNNNNNNNNNNNNNNNNNNNNNNNNNNNNNNNNNNNNNNNNNNNNNNNNNNNNNNNNNNNNNNNNNNNNNNNNNNNNNNNNNNNNNNNNNNNNNNNNNNNNNNNNNNNNNNNNNNNNNNNNNNNNNNNNNNNNNNNNNNNNNNNNNNNNNNNNNNNNNNNNNNNNNNNNNNNNNNNNNNNNNNNNNNNNNNNNNNNNNNNNNNNNNNNNNNNNNNNNNNNNNNNNNNNNNNNNNNNNNNNNNNNNNNNNNNNNNNNNNNNNNNNNNNNNNNNNNNNNNNNNNNNNNNNNNNNNNNNNNNNNNNNNNNNNNNNNNNNNNNNNNNNNNNNNNNNNNNNNNNNNNNNNNNNNNNNNNNNNNNNNNNNNNNNNNNNNNNNNNNNNNNNNNNNNNNNNNNNNNNNNNNNNNNNNNNNNNNNNNNNNNNNNNNNNNNNNNNNNNNNNNNNNNNNNNNNNNNNNNNNNNNNNNNNNNNNNNNNNNNNNNNUCCCAAUCUUUCCCACUUCGUCCAAACUUUCCAAGAUCUAAACUUUGUACAUGUUCUCUUCUUUUCAAUUAAAAAUUUUUAAAUUUUCAAAUUCAAAUUCCAAGACAAGCUAAUAAAACCCUAAAAUUAAUAUUAAAUACUAAGUGAAUUAAGUCAAGUUGGUAGCUAAAUUGAAUCUAAUCCGAAUUACUUAACCUAAACUCAAGUCAAACUCAUUUUUAUAAGCUGAAGUUAGGUUUAAAUUAACUAGGUUAUACUUUUGGUUCAAUUGAAUUGAUUAGACUCUAUGGAUCAUAAUUAGGGUUUGCAAGGUUGAGUUAGAUUGAACCUAUUCAUAAUUUUUUUUUGUUUAACUUCUUUUAUAUCAUAAUUUAAAUAAUAAAUAUGAUAAUAUUAAUUAAAAAUAAUAACAAAAGAAAAGAAUCACCUUGGAAUCACUCUAAUUUCAAAUUGAGGUUUCCUACCUCAAAAUUUUAAAUUUAAAAAAAAAAAAAAUUUAAGUGCAUAAACUAAAUCUAUAGUUUUUUUUUCGUAGGACUUUUUAUAUUCCAUAUAAAAGUUUUUACAUAGAGACAAGUAAUAAAUAUAUCUUGUUUUUUCAAUAAGUUUAUGACCCUGAUUGGAUACAAACAUUAUAGUGGGACGAAUGCAUCUUCACUAGAGUUAUGUCUUGACUCCUAACAUAAUUUUAGAAUUUUUAAGGAAAACGACAAGGAAACCUUAUGAUAAGUGCCUUUUAUUUAGGUAUGGUGGGUAAAGUGAUACCAUUUGUUAGUUGUUUUAUUUAUUUAUUUAUUUUUUUUAUGGAUUUAAUUGAAUAUAAUUUGUGUUUGAUUCAAAUUUGAGAUGAUCUAUAUAAUUUAUUUAAUAAAUGAAUUGUCUUUUUGGUUAAUUUGCAUAAUACGACUCAAAUUGACUUAUUUAAUAAUUAUAUUGAUUGAUCAAAUUAUAUUUUUAACUUAUUUAACUCAUCUAAAAUUUGAUUUUUGAUAAGUCAUAAUUGAGUUAUAAACAUGUUAGGUUAGGACGUUAAUCAUAUAAUAUCAUACAAUAUUUAAUUUGAUUUGAUUAUUAAAUAUAAUGAAAAUUAUGAAAAUUUUCAUGGAUGAACUUCUCGUAUGAGAAAACUAUGAAAAAGAUAAAAAGUACUAGAGGUGGAAAAUAAGACUUUAGAAAAAAUUAUUAGUGUGAGAUAACAUACACCAACUUUAAAGUGUNNNNNNNNNNNNNNNNNNNNNNNNNNNNNNNNNNNNNNNNNNNNNNNNNNNNNNNNNNNNNNNNNNNNNNNNNNNNNNNNNNNNNNNNNNNNNNNNNNNNNNNNNNNNNNNNNNNNNNNNNNNNNNNNNNNNNNNNNNNNNNNNNNNNNNNNNNNNNNNNNNNNNNNNNNNNNNNNNNNNNNNNNNNNNNNNNNNNNNNNNNNNNNNNNNNNNNNNNNNNNNNNNNNNNNNNNNNNNNNNNNNNNNNNNNNNNNNNNNNNNNNNNNNNNNNNNNNNNNNNNNNNNNNNNNNNNNNNNNNNNNNNNNNNNNNNNNNNNNNNNNNNNNNNNNNNNNNNNNNNNNNNNNNNNNNNNNNNNNNNNNNNNNNNNNNNNNNNNNNNNNNNNNNNNNNNNNNNNNNNNNNNNNNNNNNNNNNNNNNNNNNUUUUCUAAAAAUUGUUAUUUAUUUAAUUUUAUUUUUAAAAAUUGUUUCAAGAGAACAACCAAAUGAGGUGUUAGAAAAUUUUUUAAACAGAUAUUUGUUUUAAAGAAACAGCUUUAUAUAAUUAUGUCUCAUCAUUAUACAUAAAUGAGGUGGAGCAGGACAAUACUCAACCUCCUACCAAAACCAAGCCGAGUUUAAAAAAGAAUACUUCAAUCCUUCCCUCAUAUUUUUUAAACCUCUCAUAAGCCCAUCCCUAGUUGUCAACUCUAACUUUUACUAUAAAAAUAAAUAAAUAAAUAAAUAAUCUUUCGUAUACCAUAAAAAAAAAAAGGAAACUGUAGUAUUAAAUAAACAUUCUUCUUUCAAGAAUCAUCUUCUUUUUUUAAUUAUAUAUCUUAUAACUACAAAUAUUUUCAAAUUACAUUUUUGGUUUGUUUCUAAACAUUUACCACUAUCAAUGGAAGCAUUACACGCUAAAAAUACAUUUAUGAGAAUUAAUUCCAUAAAUUCUAUUUAUCAAGUUUUUAUUUGCUUUUUUAUACUAUAAUCUUCAUAAUUGUGUGAUUCAUAUUUCUAAAGCAAACUAACAAACCUAUUACGUGUAAUCUAAUAAGUUACAUUUCUACAUUUUUUCAUCAUUACACACUUAUGUUCUCGAGAUAUAAUCUCUCAUUGCUAGGUUUCAUAAGAAAAUGAAUUAUUCUAUGAAAAUGACUUUGGAUUCCAAAAUUUGAACUUUGUAAUGCCUUAUCUCAGUGGUGGGUCUCAUAGAAAAUGAAAGUUGUGGAAAAAUAAAAUGUGCACAUAAUUUCUAAUAAACUUGGACUUUUGGCUUCAAGCACCCUUUAUAAUCUUCAAGAGAUACCCCACUCUUGAACAACCUCUCAAGUGAUACCCCACACUUGAGAAUCUUCCUCUCAAAGAUAUACAAAUAAUUGAUCUCACAAAAUCCUAGUACAAAAACUUUAAGCUCAAAUGAUACAAGAAAACUAGAAUUGAAAUGUACACUAAUGAUAUGCAAGUUUUAGAACAAUGGUGCACUCAAAACACUCUUCCAAGACUCAAAUAUAUUCAAGAAAGGUUUGGGAAGGUUUAGUUCCUGAACAAUGAAGAUUUGAAACCUUUUUAUAGAGGAAAAAAACCAAACAGCCAUUGGGGGUUUGACCAAUUGAGCUGGGGGUCGACCAGUUGACUAGCCGUUAGCAUUUAAUGCUUGGCAUGUGACCAUUAGACCUUAACUAGACCUUGAUCGGACCUCGACCGGUUGAGGUGUGGGUCGACUGGUUCCUCAUCCGGUUGAACAACCAUUCUAGAAGAGAGAAAAGGUUGUUUGCACCCGUCAAUCGGUUGAGCUAGCGGUUGACCGAUUAUUGUUCACACCCUUGACUAGUUGAACUGGGGGUCAACCUACUCCUAGACCGGUUGAGCUGGCGGUCGACCGGUUCCUCAUCCAGUUUAACCGAUUGAGCCGUUUUUGGCUCAAGAACCAACUUUUUCAACUUAAAACCUUUUAAACAAGUUUGAAAAACAUUUAACACAAGGUUUUAGUUGAAAACAUGAAAUCAUCCAAUUUUAAAAUAUUUAAAGCAAAACAACUCUUGGAUGAUUUUGGUGCAUAAGUAAAAAAUGUAAUACAUGAAAAUCCUAGUGCACCAACAACCUUACAAAGAGAUAUUAUAAAGCUUGAGUCUUGAAAAACACUUCUCUUUGAGGUGGUCUUCUUCUUCAUGAUUUCUUCUUGGCUUGAUUUGUCUUUGUGAUUGCCAAUUUGGAAAUCGUUUUGCCUAAUCACACUUAAAAUAUAAUUAUUAAUUCUAAACCUUUUUUUGUUAUCAUCAAAAUCGAGAUUAAUCAAAUAUUGGUUUCACAAAUAUAACAAACUAUAUAUAUAUAUCAAUUUAAAAAUAAAAAUAAAAAUAAAAUAUAUAUUUUUUACUUCUUAUAUAAUUUUUUAGAGUUUGUCUUAAUAUUUUAUUAUUUUUUACUUGAUCGAUAUUUUGUGUCAAAAUAUCCAUCAAUAUAUCUCCUAUAUAUUUGAUAUAUCCGUAAAAUCGAAGUACUGAUAUAUUUGUAAUUAUCGAUAUUUUCAUCAUUGAGUUCAUUGCAUGGUCUCUGUGUUCUAUUAUUUACUGGAAAUGCUUCUCAUUAUAUGUUUUCAAAUGUAUUGGUUUCUACUAACUAUGAUAUAUGCAAAGACGUUAGCUGAGGAGGCUUCUUGGAAGUUUGCAAAAGUGAAUGGGAUUGACAUGGUUACAAUACAUCCAAGGUGGGUGAUUGGUCGUCUCUUACAGCCUACUCUUAAUCUAAGUGUGGAGGAAGUUCUGAAGCUACUAAAAGGUACCCUUCAGCAAUUGAUGAGAAUCUCUAUUUUAUGUUGAUCUUUCUACUUCAAUAUCAAUUUAUACUCAUAAUAAGUAGAUAAAAUGCAAUUAAAAAAUCAACAUUAUUUUCUAUUUUUAAAUUAUAAAUAAAAAAAUUAUAUUAAUAAUUCAAAAACUAUUUUGGAAAAUACUUUCUAAAAAAAUGUUCAUAAAUAAAAAUUAUCUUUUACAUUUUAGAAGUAAAAAAUUUAAUGAUUAAAACACUAUUUAAAAUAAAUAUAUUCACUAUUUUCUUUUCUUUUAUACUAAAAAGUAUUUUAAUAUUUUUUUUACUAUUAUAAAAUAAAAGGUUUAAUUUUUUUUUGUUAAAUUUUCUUCCUUCCUUAUUUUAAUAACUUUUUGAAUAUGGCUUUUAGUAAUAAGUUAUAUAAAAUGUUGCUAAGGAUUUUCUUUUAAUGAUUUGAAUUAAUUGAAAAUUUAUCAAAAUAAGAAAAAGAAAAAGAAAGAAAGAUGAUGGAUGGAGAGUUUUUAUUUUAAAUAUUCAAUUAAAUUUUUUUCCUAUGACCAAAUUUUAGAAAUGAAUUAUAUUAAUACAGAGUAGAAAUUGAAAUUUUCUUAUAUAAAAUGGUUGAAAGAUAUAUUUACUCAUUUUAUAUGAAAAUAAGUAGUUAAAAAUUAUAUAGUUAUGUUUGACUUUGGUUUAAAAAUAUUUUUCUAGUUUUUAUUUUUUAAACUAAUUUUUAUUUUCUAUAUUGUCUCUUUUUAAAAAUACGUUUGAUUACAAAAUGAAAACUAUUUUUAAAAAUAAAAAUUAAAAGCCUUAUUUAGUUCUAUUGUUUUAUAAGAAAAUAAUAAAAAGAAUUAAAUUUCAUUUAUUGAUUCUUCUUUUUUAUUUUUUCUAUUAGUUGUUUUAAUAAUAAAAUAAAAAAUAUAUAAUAUGUUCAAAAUUAAACAAAGGAAUUGACCAAUUGUGUAAUUUUUUCACAAAAAUAUAAUAUAUUCACAAAAAAAAUCAAAUUUAAGUUUUUCGCAAUUUUCUCAACCAAACUACAGGAAUCAUGUUUAAUACACCUAUAGGCACGCAUUCACUACAUGAUAUGGAAUUUGCGUAAUUAUACAAGGGUAUUCACUAACUGUACAAGGGGUAUACAAGACUACCUUUUAUAAAAGAUUUCAAUUGAUUUUGAACCACCUUUUUAUUUUCCUUGUCACCCAAAGAUUGCAUACUCAUGUCAUGCACUUUAUUUAAUUUUUACAUGAAAAUUUCAAUACUUUCCCCAAUAUUGAUGUUUGGGGAAAAAAAAUUUGAUCCUGAAUGAUCUACCCUUUUCUCAAGUAAAUUAUUAGAAACAUGGUUGAUACACUUAUGUGGACACAUGACUUAGGAGGAAUAUGGAAUUUGUACCACUGUAUAAUGGUAUUACACUAACUGUACAAAGAAAAUGUACUAAGUGUACAAGGGUGCACAAGGCUACCUUUUGUGAAAGAUUUCAAUCAAUUAUGAACUAUUCCUUUAUUUUUCUUAUCACCGACGAAUUGUACACCUAUGUUAUGCACUUUAUUUAAUUCCCACAUGGAAAUUCCACUUACUUUCCCCAGUAACGAUGUUUGGGGAAAAAAAUUUGACUUAUGUCAUCCACUAUUUUCUUAACCAAACCAUUGGAAACAUGGUUAACAUACCUAUGUAAACACAUAAUUUAGGAGGGAUAUGAAAUUUGUGCCACUAUACAAAGGUGUUAUAUUAAUUGCACAAGUGAAAUGCACUAAGUGUACAAGAGUGUACAAAACUACCAUUUGUGAAAGAUUUCAAUCGAUUCUGAACCACUUCUUUAUUUUCCUUGUCACCCACGGAUUGUACACCUUAUGUCAUGCACUUUAUUUAAUUCCCACAUGAAAAUUCCAAUACUUUCCCCAGUAAUGAUGUUUGGGGAAAUUUUUUUAACCCUAAGUCAUCCAUUAUUUUCUCAAUUAAACCAUUGGAAACAUGGUUAAACACAUCUACGUGGACAUAUAACUUAGUAGAGAUAUGAAAUUUGUGUCAUUGUAUAAGAGUAUUAUACUAACUGUACAAAAGAAAUAUACUAAGUGAACAAGGGUGUACAAGAUUACCCUUUGUGAAAUAUUUCAAUUAAUUCUGAACAACUUUUUUAUUUUCCUUGUCACAUAAGGAUUGUACACUUAUGUCAGACACUUUAUUUAACUCCCAUAUCAAAAUUCCAAUACUUUCGCAAUAAUGAUGUUUAGGAAAAAAAAUUUGACCCUAAGUCAUCCACCAUUUUCUCAAUCAAACCAUUGAAAACAUGAUUAACAUACCUACAUAGACACAUAACUUAAGAGAGAUAUGUACUUUAUUUGCGUAACUGUACAAGGAUAUUAUACUAAUUGUACAAGGGAAAUGUGUCAAAUGUAUAAAACUCUUAAUAGGUUUGUAUGAUUUUUAAACAAUUUGGGCUUGACAUUAAGACGAUUAUCAAUAGUUUUUUUUUACCAAACUAUGUCAUUAAUACUUUCCCUACAAAAAUUAACACAUAGGAAAUAAAAUUAAAAUCAAUCAUGUUUGAAUUGUUCAUUAUAAGUAAACUAAAUGAAAUAUAUAUUUUUACUAUUUUGCCCUAAUAAACAUAAUUUUAUUGUUAUUAGUACAGAUUAAAAAAUCCUAUUUAAAUGGAAUUAAAAAUAAACAAAAAUGAUUUUUGUAACAUUUUUAUUUUUUAAAACCAUUAAUUUAAAUUAUGAAAUUAGUUUUAAAAUAAAUAAAGUUUAAGUGGUUAAAUCAUAUCAAAUCAUUAACUUGAUUUAUCAAAAUAAUUUUAUAUUUUAUAUUAUAAUAUUAAGUUAUUUUAUCAAAUAUACUUAAUAUACUUAACAACUUAAAUUUAUGUGGUGUUUGGUUUUUGGUUGAAUAAAAAAAAACCAAAAUAUGUGAUUUUUUUAUUUAAUUAAAAAUAAUCUAUUGAUGUCAACUGGCAUAACUAAAUUGAACAUAUUAAUUACAAGUUUACUUUAGUUAUGUUGAUUGACAUCAAUAUUAUUUUUAGCUUAAUAAAACAAAGUCAAUUUGAUUUUUUCUAUUCAACUAAAAAACAAAUACCGCCUUAAUCUUAUCAACAUCCUCUAAGUUCUUCUCAAAUUUUAAUAUUUAUUUGAUACAUAUUUAAUAAGAAACAAGUCAAAAUGUUUUAUCUCAAAAUUUCUAAUUCAAACUCCUACUAGAUUUAAAAUUCGUUAAUUAAUUUGAAACAAAUUUGUUUUGGAUAAUACAAUUGAUGGAGAUAGUACAUAUCUUAAAUUUCUAACUGAAAAAAGCCUCAUAACAAAAUAAUUUGAUGAAUAUUUUAAGUUUAAAAGAUUAGAACCAUUUCACAAUGAUUUUGGAAAGUUAGAAAUGUUUCCAAAUGCUUGAAAAUGUUUUUAUAACACAAACUAGACAUUUUAUAAAAACUAAAGUUCACAUUCUAUGUAAUUGAUAAUGCCUCACAUAAUUUUUUUUUUCUUUUGGUUAUACAUAUAUAUAGGGUGAACAUACUUUUUAAGUAGGUAUAAAAAAGUUCUACCAAUUAGGUGGGUGAGUAUAUAUUUUUAAGUUUCAUAAUUUGUGCCUUUGUACCUUCACUCUAUUUGUUUAUACCUUUGUUCAACAAUGUAAAUCACACCAUAUAUAUUCAAUGGUCAAAAUCUUAACUUCGGUUAAUAUCACUACACUAUCUUAGUAUUUUUUUUCUCUCUCUCUCUCUCUAUAUAUAACACUAACUACUUUUCUAUGAAAACAUUUACAAUAGAAAUGCUACAUAUUAGAAGUGUUUUUAUCAAAAUAAUUUCUAAACCAACCUUAAUAUUUGUAUUAGCUUUAGUUGAUAUGGCUACUUGAUAAACCCAACCAUUCAUAUGAUAAUUAUUCUAGAUCUUACUUUAAUUUGAUAAAAAUAUCCACCCAAGCAUCACACAAAUCAUAAAUAUACUCCAUGUCUAUUUGGAUAAACUUGUUGUUUUCUGUUGUUAUGUUUUUAAAAUAUGGAGGGAUAUAAGAAUUCUUAGAGAAUUAUAUUAAAAAUAAAAUAAUAGUUUUAAAAAUCAUUUAAAAAUUUAAGGUAUUAUACUAUUUUUUUAUUAUUUUUAAACUUAAAUUUUAUUCAAAUAAAUAUCAUUUAUGAGUCAAUAAAUUAGAUUUCGUAAAUUUAAUAUUUAGUAUUUAUAAAUAUAAAAUUUUCAAUUUUAUUUUAAACAUGUUCCAAAAGGGGGAAAACCAAAAAGGAAACUAAAUUAUUUUUAUUUAAUUUUAUAAAAAAAAUUCUCAAAUAUAUCCUUAAUUUGUUUAAACUUGUCCUAAAUCCAUCCAUAAUUGUCAUCUCUAAUUUUGACCAUAUAAAAAUUAAACCAAAAUAUAAAAAGGUUGAGGAACAUCAAAUAUAAAGAGAGGUUGAAAAAUUUUAUAAUGCUUGGAGGUAUUUUUCUUACAAACAGAGUCUGUUUGAUCGUAUGAUUUAAAAACGGUUUUCUGUUUUUAAAAAUAGAAAACUAUUUUUAAAAAUUUACAACACUGUUUGGCCAUUGUUAUCUGGAAGCAAUUUAUAAAAACAAAGUGAAAUAGAGAACAAUUUUUAGAGAACAAGUAUAAGUUGUUUUCAUCUGUUUUUAAAAACAAAAGGAAAAUAUGGGUCAAUUUGACCAUAUUUUCUUGAACUUGUUUUUUUUAAAAUAUUUUUUAGAUUAAAAAUGUUUUUUAAAAUCACUACCAAAAGGAUUUUAAGUAUUAUCUCAAUCCACCUCAUUUAUAUAUAAAAUUAAGUAAAAAUAAUUUACUUUCCUUUUCCAUUCCCCCUCUUUAAUCAUAUUUAAAAUAAAGUUACAAAUUUACUUUUUAUCAAGAUAGAAUAUAAAAUCUAUAAAAAUAAUUUAUUUAAUCAUAAAUUAUAUUUAUUUAAUAAAAAUUAAAUUUAAAAAUGAUAAAAAUAACAGAAAAUAUAUUUAAAUAAGAUAGGAUGACUAUAACUUCUAAAAAAAUUCCUUGACCCCAUCCUACUCUGGUACAGGUUUGGGUCGGAAUAAAAAUUUGUUGAAGUAAUCAAGAUGGGUUGGGAACUUGGGAUGAGGAUAUGACCCCUUUCACAUAAUUCGUCAAAAUUCAAUAAUUGCUAAACUUUAAAGUUGUUGCAUGCCAUCUCACAGCAAUAAUUUUGUAGGAGGUCUUUCCACCUCCACUUCUAUUUGCUUCAUUAAUUUGUUUACACAUUGCUUUGCUUUCUACCUCUCUCUCUCUCUCUCUCUCUCUCUCUCUCAACAAACCCCUCCUUACUUGUUUAAUCUCUUCCAAAAACAAAUAAAAACAAUUAAUUCUAACUAUUCAAAAGUUAAAAGUUAAUAUUAUAAAUGUAAACUUAAAUGCAAGCAUAUAAAAUAUAUAUCAUAUCAAACUCUAAAUCUAAAUCAUUAAUAUAUUUAUCAAGUCCAAAUUAUUAAAUAAAAAUAAAAAUAUAUAAAAUGGGGUAUAAAAAAAUAAAACUAAAGCAUACAACAAAAAAAUGAUAUUUAGGUACAAAUAAAUAAAAAUUGGAUAUAAAUUAAUAAAAUCUAAAUCAAAGUGUUAGAAAAUCAUGUACAUAGGAUUUCAUAAUUCUAGUUUAAUGAACCAAAAAUAGAUGUACAAAACUCAUCUUGAGAUAUUAUGAUAGAAAUCACCUUACAUAUAUUGUUUGCAACGCUGCAUCACUUUAGUAGCACCUUGUCACCUUGUAUCGGUAUUAACCCCUUGUAUCUUCCCUCUCUUUACUCUCUCAUUCUUAAUCUUUGUAUAAAUGAUAGGAAAUGAGAGAGGGACCAAGAGCUAAGGCCAUUUUCUUUAUUUGUACCUUUGUUUCCUUAGUUUCUUCCUCUCUUGGUCAAGCCAAACUGUUCGGUUUCUCCAUUUCUUCUUCACCCCACUGCAUUUUGGGUUCUCCCUAUAACGGAAGCAUCCUUAAAUCAAGAAAAUCCCUCAAAUCAAGCAACAAAAAUGACUAUAGAUUUUUAGCUUUCAUUCAAGGAUGUAACAAUCCUUAUUUUCCUUGUAAUCGAUAGCCUUAAUUCUAGGAAACUUACUUAGAAUUGCUCUUGUUAAUGUGUAUUUAUUUUUUCUCAUACAAUCUCUUGUUAUGGUGUAAUAUUUUUCAAACAGAGCAGUAAUACAUUAUUGAGAAAUUCUCAAACUCCAUCAUGGUAUUAGAGCAGCCUUCCUCUCACGAGAACUCGAUCCCCAAUUCUGAAAACACCCACCACCCGAUUUCCACUCCACCAUCCCCAACCAAUAUUCCUAUCAUUGCUCUCAACAUCUCUGCUCAAAUAAAUGAAAAACUCACACCAUCAACCUUCCCUCAAUGGCGUGCCCAGUUUGAAUCCCUCCUAAUUGGCUACAAUCUACUUGAUUAUGUCACGGGUGACAAUCCUCCUCCUCCUCCGAGUGAUUCCUCCGCUACCAAUCCAUAGAAUACCCACUGGAUAAGACAAGAUAAACUUAUCCCCAGUGCCAUUUUGGCAUCCACCACCUCCACAAUCACCCCAUUCAUUUCCGUUACACAAACAUCACAACAGGCAUGGCAAAAAUUGCAUACCAUGUAUGCGAGCAAAUCUCGUACUCGGGCCAUGCAAUUGAAGGAGGAACUCACAAUGAUUAAGAAAAGGAAUCAGACAGUUCAAGAAUACCUGCACAUUGUCAAGGCUCUUGUUGACAAAAUCUCCCUCAUCGAUCAUCUCAUUGCAGAUGAUGAUCUCACCUUGUACAUUCUCAAUGGACUGAGCAGUGAUUUUCGAGAAAUCGCGACACCUAUAUGAGAAAGGGAAAAACCACUCGCGUUUGAAGAAUUGCAUGAUCUGCUCGUAGGCCAUGAUGCCUACCUCCGACGCCUUGAAACCACCACACAACAACUGGUUGCAUCGGCCAACUACUCCAAUCGGCAUCCUGCUUCUUCAUCAGACGGCCAACACUCUAAAGCUAACUUCAAUGGGCAACACAAAUACACUCUAAAGUGCCAAAUCUAUGAUGAACUGGGCCACAUUGCAAGACAUUGUCCACGUCUGCGCUUUGUUGAGCCCACUGCCAAUUAUGUUGCCACUUCACCUGCAACAAACCCAAAAUGGCUUAUUGAUUCUGGAGCUUCACACAACAUUACUGGUGAUUUAGCCAAUUUAUCUAUUCACUUUGAGUACAACGACACUGAUGAAGUUGUCAUAGGUGACGGUUCAGGUUGCAUGUCUCACACGUUGGCUCAUUGGUUCUCAAAUCACCCACACACACUUUUCAUUUAAAUGAUACUCUUUAUGUUCCUAAUAUUCACAAAAAUCUCAUUUCUGUCCAUCACUCCACCACACAAAACAAUGUUUUUGUUGAAUUUCAUCCCUUGUUUUUCCUUGUUAAGGACAAGAUCAUGGGGGCGGUUCUACUCAAAGGUGCAUGUGAAAAUGGCGUUUACACUCUCCCAGAUUUACUGGUGCAAGAUUCUCAAAAAAUGGUUGCCAAUGUGCAUGAACGGACCUCAAUCAAUGGGUGGCACAAGCGUCUUGGACAUCCCUCUAAAAAAAUAGGUCAUCACCUUGUUAAGAAUUUUUAUCUUCCAAUAAUACAAAAAGAACAUAGUUCUCAUUUUUGUACCUCUUGUUCUAUUACUAAAGCGCACAAACAACCAUUUCGGACCAAUAGCCUUCAAAGCCAUGCACCUCUUGAUUUAAUUUAUACUGAUGUUUGGGGUCCCUCAAAUACAAUUGGUCUUGAUGGAUCACGGUAUUAUUUGAUUUUGGUUGAUCAUUUUACAAAGUAUAUUUGGUUUUAUCUAAUGGAAACCAAAUCUCAACUAAGCAUGAUAUUUCCUCAAUUUAAACAUCUCAUUGAAAAUCAAUUUCAAUCAAAAAUCAAAAGUAUCUACUCGAAUAAUGGUGGUGAAUUUGUUGCCUUAAAAAAAUAUUUUUCUAUACAUGGCAUAAGUCAUUACACCACAGCUCCUCACACACCACAACAAAAUGGUGUAUCCGAGCGUCGUCAUCAUCAUUUGGUAGAAACGGGUCUUACCCUUUUACAUGAUGCUUCUUUACCUUUAUCAUAUUGGCCUUAUGCCUUUUCAACGUCUACUUACCUCAUCAACAAACAACCAACCCCUCUCCUACAUAACAAACCCCCUUUUGAAGCAUUAUUUCAUCAGCCCCCCAACUAUCUUAAACUAAAAAAAUUUGGGCAUCUAUGUUUUCCUCUCACCAAGCCCUAUAACACACAUAAGUUGCAGCCCAAGGCAACACCAUGUUUGUUUGUGGGCUAUUCCCCAACCCAAAAUGCGUAUAAAUGUCUUGAUCCACAAGCCCAUAAACUAUAUUUAUCUAGGCACGUUCUGUUUGACGAAAGUCAAACCCAUCAUCUCCUCCGUUCAGUCGAAACACAGGUACCAUCCAUGUCCAUUUCGCUUGCCCCACCUGUGCCACUCACACUUUUGCCGCAACCACCGCCAGUGCCAACGAAAGGUAACGCCAUUUUCGCCUCAUCUCCAAGUAACUGCCUCGACUCAUCUUCUUCUCUUUUUCGAGACAUGCAAUCCCUAAAUUCAUGCCCUAAUUCCUCUCAAUCACAUGAACACUUGCAUUCUAACUCAAAUUCACACACCAAUCCACUCUCAGAACCCAUGGUUGUCCAUGAUCACCAUCACAGUGACCCUCCACUGCCUCCUUCUCACCGCAUCCACACCAUGACCACUCGGUCAAUGAAUAACAUUCAUAAGCCCAAACAGUUCAACUCUGUGACCAAACACCCACUCUCACCAAUCGUUGAACCAACAUGUGUGGGCCAAGCACUUCGUGAACCUCACUGGAGACAUUCUAUGUCAGAUGAACUUACUGCUCUCAUGCGUCAUGGCACUUGGGAUCUAGUUUCCUAGCCCAAAAAUUGUAAUCCUGUUGGGUGCAAAUGGGUAUUCCGUGUGAAAUGAAACUCGGAUGGUUCAAUUGACCGCUUCAAAGCUAGGCUUGUUGCUAAAGGAUUUAAUCAACGAGAAGGGUUAGAUUACAAAGAAACCUUCAACCCAGUUGUACAACAUGCAACAUUAGGACUGUCUUGACAGUGGCUGUAAUGCAGGGGUGGUCAUUAAGACAGUUAGAUGUUAACAACGCUUUUUUACAUGAUGACUUGACUGAGACUGUGUAUAUGACACAACCACUAGGAUUCAAAGAUGUCAACAAGCCAAAUCAUGUGUGUAGGUUAUGUAAGGCUAUCUAUGGCCUUAAACAUGCCCCAAGAGCUUGGUAUUCAACUCUUAAACUGACAAUUAUGGGUCAUGGUUUUUAAAAUUCCAAAGCUGACUCAUCUCUUUUUAUCUAUUGUUAGAACUCUGUCAUAUGCUAUAUUAUUAGUAUAUGUGGAUGAUUUGGUUAUCACCGACAAUAAUUUGUGCUUUGUGUCUGAGAUUGUUGCACAACUUGGUAAUUGGUUUUCCUUAAAGGACAUGGGACAACUCAACUUUUUCUUGGGAAUGGAGGUUAUUUCUACAAAAUCUGGGCUUUUUUUUUCUCAACAUAAAUAUAUUCGAGACCUAUUGUCCAAAACCAAUAUGAUUGGUGCUAAAGAUGUCUCAACCCCAUUGUCCACCACCACGUCCCUCAAAUUGAUUGAGGGUACUUCAUCUACCAACAGUAUAGAGUUUCGAAGUGUCAUUGGUGCUCUUCAAUACCUGUCCCUCACUAGACCGAAUAUCUCAUUCUCUGUAAAUAAACUUUCUCAGUUUAUGCAUAAGCCUACAGUGACACAUUGGACAGUUGCAAAGCAACUUCUUCGCUAUUUAAAGCACAUUAUGUUUCAUGGACUUCACAUAAAAAAAAAAAAAUCCAGCUUUGAACUCAUUACAUAUUCUGAUGCGGAUUAGGCGGGCAACUAUGAUGAUUGGACCUCCACCUCCGCAUAUAUCUCAUUUCUUGGUGUCAAUCCUAUCUGCUGGAGUUCAAAGAAGCAAAGGGCAGUGGCACGUUCAUCCACUAAAGCAGAAUAUAGAGCCCUUGCCAAUGCAGCCUCCGAGACAUCAUGGCUUCUCUCAUUAUUCAAGGAACUAGGUCUGCUUUUAUCUAGACAACCCAAGUUGCUCUGUGAUAAUUUGGGUGCAACUCACCUCAGUUUUAAUCUAGUCCAGCACUCUUGAAUGAAACACAUUCAGAUUGACCUUCAUUUUGUCUGAGAUAUGGUUCAAAGUGGCAUUCUAAAUGUUCAUCAUGUUAACACCUAGGACCAGUUGGCUGAUCUUCUCACAAAAGGCCUCUCACGCCAAAGGACAGAAAUUUCAAGGGACAAGAUUGGCUUAGCCGAUGGCAGCUCCAUCUUGCGGAGGCAUAUAAAGGAAGCAUCCUCAAAUCAAGAAAAUCCCUCAAAUCAAGCAACAAAAAUGACUGCAGAUUUUUAGCCUUCAUUCAAGGAUGUAACAGUCCUUAUUUUCCUUGUAACCGAUAACCUUAAUUCUAGGAAACUUACUUAGAAUAGCCCUUGUUAACGUGUAUUUAUUUUUUCUCAUACAAUAUCUUGUUAUGAUGUAAUAUUUUUCAAACAGAGCAGUAAUACAUUAUUGAGAAAUUCUCAAACUCCGUCACUUCCAUCUCUUUGUCCUCAAACAAUUAAGACACAAACUUUGAUGCAUCUCUGUCUUGGAUUCUUCCUGUCAAAAGGAACAGUUGAAGUACCUCCAUUGCUUCUCUAUUUCUUUGAGUCAAAGGACAAAGUCUGCCUUUCUCUGUUUCUUCUAAUCAUUUUCAAAAUGCAACAUUGUGAGAUCUACUAAUCCUAAACUUGUUUCUCAAAGAAUCAAAAUCAUAAAUACCAAGAUGUAUACACAUGCAGGUAACACGUCCUCUUGACAAUGAUGUGACAGGUGUAGUAGACAAGGAACAUACAUACCUGUAUUCCAAGGAAGUACCAGUGCAUUUGAUGACAUUGUUCUAGCCUAAAUUCUAAAUUUUAGCAAUCCGAAAUCUGUAACUUCUGCAAAAUUUACCUAGUUGUUGAGGGAACAACACAUCUUCUCUUACCAUUUUCAUCUUAUGCACUACAAAUCCCAUGUCAACUGCCACUUCCACUAGACCUGAAUGAAGUAGGAACACAAAUGAACAUUUCAAGGCAUCGGAUUGUCUGAAAAUUAAAUUGGGAGAGGUAGAACUACCGAUGCUUACAUGGAACUGAGGAAAAGACAAACAAGAUCAACAAAAAUGGAAGAGAAAAUGCAAAUCCAUAAGCCUGUAGCUGCUGUCCAAAGCAGCUUCCUUGUCAAUUGUCAACAAAAAGUCCACUAUGAAAUUCACUGGUAGAGCCACAUAUAGAAAAUUGUAAUAAAUGGUAAAGUAAGAAAUCUGCGCUGGGAAUGGGUGAAGCUUAUUGAAUGUAAGGUUCUAAACAGUCUCUGACUAAACACGGUUGAAGAAUAGGGUUUCACAGGAAUAAUUUUCUUUCAUUGAGAUUAUUCUUUUAUAGAGUUUACAACAUAUAGAAAUCCUUCAAAUUAGGAAACUAAAUCACUGAUUAAAAGGAAAGAAUAACUCCUAACAAUUACUUUCCUAAAAAUACAAAGAUUGACAACUAAUAAAUAAUUUACAGCUUUACAAAGUUAUUUAUUUCCAUAUCAGUUUCGGUUUUCCAACAAACACCAUUGGAGUAUAGAUAGUAGCUCUUAGAGAGAAGUGAGGUCUUGGUGACCCUGGAAGGUUAAGGCUUCCAGAUACUGGAAUCUUUGUGUGCAGACAUACAUGAGAGAGAUGUAGGAAGGAAGAGGCAAGCCUGUGUCAUCCGAGCAGAGGCAUCUGGAAUCUUUGUGUGCCAUUAUUCAAUCCAAAGAGAUGCUGGGAGAGAUUUGUUCAGGAUUUAUGUGAUGUACAGUCUUUUCACAAUCAUAAAUAGUAUUUAAGUAUGGAAUUUUGGAAUAAGGUGAUAUACCAGUAACAUGGAAAAUAAGGUGAUCACAAAGGACUACACAGUUAGCAUGUUUGGAAUAGUUGUGGUUGGUUAAUUUCAAGCCCAAGUUUUAGCACCUAAAAACAUGCCCAUUUUUUCCAGACCCUUUAGCAAGCCUGCACGGAAGCAUUCUCUGGUUGUUACAUACAUGGUGUCUACAUAUCAAUCAACACAUUUUGAUGUUUUUUUCUCAAAUUCCAUAUUAAAGUUAUACUGGACACUUGAAUGCGAACAUGUCUGAUUAUAUCUUUUCUUUCCAGACAUGUUUCAUCUCUCCAGUGCACUAGGUUUGGAUGAACCUUAAAGCUCAGCUACAGAAUGAAACUGGAAUAUUAGUCAUGUUUUCUGUACAUAGAUUGAUAAAAAUGUUGAGUAAGAUCAAGAAAGCUGUUAAAUGGGAAGAUGAUGAUUUUCUUACUGUCAGUUUGCAUUGAAAAAAUGGUAAUCAGAAAAGAUAUUUUGGAUAGGAUUCAGAAAGAAAAUAUAUUGAUUCAAAAGUUAGAGAUAUAGUACCCAAGGGGCUAUGAUCCUGUAUAUGGAUGUUUCAUGUUUUAAGAUUGUGCACGAAGUGCUGAUGUUAUAAGGGAUCAAGGGUGGUUUGUGGAGUAGUCCCCUCUUCAGAGUAUUGCAAGUAUAUAAUCCUACAAUUCUGGAGUAGGCUUCUUCUAAUUUGCUCUGCUCCCAAUCGUCCAGAAUAGUGGAAAGCUUCAUUCAGUUGUAAUAAUUUUAUUAUUUAGAUUGAAUCAUAUUCAUUGGGUUUGUAGAUCAAGAGAAAGUGUCAUGGCUUUGAAUGUUUGUCUCUUUGAUAAUAUCACAGUGCAUUGGUCCACAGAGAUGGAAGCAUGACAGUUGAAUGAAAUGACUGAAAUGUAGCAUUCAAGGGUAAAUUAUAUGAAAACUUUUAAAUAGAGCAACCUGUUUGACUUCACAUAGUGUGCUUGCAUCAGUUGUGGACGUCUAAUGGUUGGAAUAUCCUUGCACAUAUGUCGUCAUUUUCUUUUCUUCAGCUCUGUUUUCUUUGUUUCUCCCUUCCUCGGUCAAGCCAAACAGCUUGGUGAUUCUUCAUUUCUUCUUCAUCCCAUCAAGAGAACAGCAUCUCAUGCAUCUUUGUAUUGGGUUCCUCCCUCUUCUUCCACCCUAAGGAAAAACCGUAUCUUGCUUAGUUUGGACUUCUCUAUUUCUUUUGAUCAUUGUGAAAAGCAUCAUGAGAAGAGGUACAAUAAAUGUGUUGUGCUGAAUUAUUCAAAACAUUAUUUUCAUAAUCAUAAAUACCAAGGUGUUUAAGCAGCAGGUAAGGCAUCUCUUGACAAUGAGGUGAGAGGUAGAAACAAGCAACAUACCUGUAUUCAAGGGAAGUUCUGUUCUUCUUCUGAAAUUUGACAACAUUCAUUUAGUCUGAACUCAAUAUCUGGGCAACUCAGCAUCUCCACCUUCAUUAGGAUUGCAGGAAGCUGGCUUCUUGGAAAGACAUGAAACGGGGGCAUUUCAAAAUCUAAAAGAAUUUCAGAGACCUGUUGCAACUUUUGAAUUGCUCAAAUCAGUAACAACUCCAGAGAUAUAUACAUAUCUGCCCCUGGGAAAUUGAGGUGUCCUAGGCAUGCAACCAUGGAAUAUUAGCUCCCUAAUAGGCUCAAGGUUGUGAUCAUAAAAAAUGCACUGAGUGGGUGACUUGCAAUCGGUUCUGUGAGUCCCUCUUGGUAGCUUCUCAUUUAUUGCACCAUAUGAAUUGCAGAUUCCAACUGCCAAUUUCACCACCCCUAAAUGAACUAGGAGACAUGCUGAAAGCAAAGUUAGACAACUCAUCAUAGAGUUAAUCCUGCAGGAAUACACCAAAAAGGAAAUCUUAUAAUAUAAAUGAAUUCAUCCAAUUAAAGGAUAAGGUUGCCUGAAAAAUUAAAUUGAGAGAGAUGGAUAUAGUGAUGCUUACAUGGGAUUGUGGGAAGGAUCAACAAGAGAAACAAACAUUGAAUAGCAAAUGCAAAGCCAUAGAGCUUGCAACUGCUGUCAAAAGCUGCUCCCUAGUGAAGUCUUUUAACAAUAAAUUUCAGUGCAAAAUUCGCCUAAUUGCUCCACUUGUAGGACAUUUCAAUAGUAUGAAAACAGGAUAUGGUGAACUCCCCCUGCUUCUGCCAUUAGUGAACUAAUAUGGAUCAAAGAUGAAUCUCGUCAUCUACAUCUAUUUUUACAUAGGAGAUGUGGGCAAUCUUGGGCCAAUAUCUCAUCAUUGGAUUUAGUAGUUGUCUCUGAUUUAUGGUUCUAAAAGCAUGGCAGGAUCACUUGCCAAAUACUACUAGAGCUUAGGUGAUGUCUCAAUGUGGGGAAGCCAAGGAUACCAGAUUCUGGAAUCUUUACAUGAAAAUAUACCACCAACGAUGAAUUGUCUGAGAGUGGUGAGUCUGUGAGGGCCCCACUGGGACCUGGGGUGUUUCUCACAUUCUUUCAAUCUUCAAUUUGAAGUAGCCACUUGAGCAAUUGUACCUCCAGGAAUGAGUCAUUUUGGGGCAGAUUGUUUUCAUUUUCCUUCACACCAUUGUUUCACUAUAGGGCACUAAAUGAUAUGUAGUUGCAAGACGAAUAGAGGCAGCCAUUAAUGAAAGCUUAUGGAAAUUCAAGACAAACAGAUCUUCAUGGAGAUAUGAGGUUUUGAAAUCCAAUAAAGGUUUGAAAAUCCAAACACGAGUUAUCCAAUGUACCCAUUGGUAACAGAGUUGGGCAGUGUUGUUCCUUCUACCCUUGGAAAAGGACAUCACAUAAGAAAUUCCACUAGUAAUGGGGGGCUUAAGUGAUGUGUUGGGGCUUGGGCAAUGCUGUAUCUUAAGAUAUUCAAGAGAUGUGUGAUCAUGCAUCAACCCUAAUUCUGCUAGCAUAAUCUGGUUUUCAGUCACAAAUAUGUAGUUAAAAUGUAUGGCAGGUCAUGCAUGCAUCUCUUGAAUUGUCAUGAGAAGUGGAGAUUGAGCAACAUACAUGAUUCAAGGGAUGUGCAACUGUUCUUGUGCAUCAAACAAUCUUCAUCUGAUACAAAGCUUAGAUUUUUAGCAACUUGUGAUCUCCACAUUUUAACACAUUGGAGGAAGUUGGCCUAUUCAACAAACAAGACAGAACAUUUAGAAAAAUGCAAGAAUUCCAGACAUGUGUUGUUGUCAUGAAUUAUUCCAAUCAGUAAGGAAUCAAAGUGCUAUAAUUUUGAUUUGUGUAACUACUUAGCAUGGAUAACAGACCUAUCUUGGGGAAGUAACUCAAGUCCCAAGCACCAACUCAAUCCUGAGCUCUCUGGGAUACUUGAGGCACCAACUUAAUCAAAGCUACUUCUUGUUUCUAUGGCAGCUCAUCUUCCUCCACUGAUACUGGGGAAAAUGCAAAACAAAGGGAAAUGAAGUCAUGUUGUGAUCCUGUCUCCAAUCUCCUUGACAUAGAUAGAUGAUUUCCUUGCAACCGACAAUGUCUAAUGCUUUCACUUCAGUUCUAACAUGUGUUUUGGGAAGAGAAUUAAGCUUUCAAAUAUUGCCAAUAUGCAAGGAAUUGAGAAAGGCCAGGUGGGCAACUGCCACAGUUAGUUCACAAACCAAUGGCAACAUUGGAAGUGGAACAUGACACAAAAACUUCAAAAGACAAAACCUGUUUUUCACAAUCAUAAAUACCGAGGUGUUUAAGCACAAGGUAAUGCAUCUAUUGACAAUGAUGUGUGACGUGGAGACAAGCAACAUACCUGUAUUCAAGAUAAAUGGUAUUCUUCUUUUGCAUUGACAACAUGCAUCUAGUCUAGGCCCCAAGUUUUUAGCAACUCCAGAUCUCCACCUUCAUUAGGAUUACAGGAAGCUAACCACUUGGAAAGACAUGAGAGUAACAUUUAGAAAUCUGAAAGGAUUCUAGAGAGCUGCUGCAACUGUUGAAUCAUUCUAAUCAGUAACAACAAGGAGCCCUAUAUACAAUUUUGAACUGUCAGCCUUCAUAGCAUGAAUGAUAAACUUGUCCCUAGGAAUGAUAUGUGCCUUGGGCAUGCAACCUUCAAUUAUUAGUUAGAGUUACCCCCACCUAAUCCAUCUCAAUGUGUCUGGGAAAACGAGGUCCACCAGAUGUUGUGGCCAUUAUCUCAUGGUAGUGGAUGUUUUGAAGCAAAGUCUAAAACGAAGUCAUCACUGGAGGUUAUGUCCAUUAUCCCAUUGCAGCAGAUGUUUAGCACCAGAGUUUAAAACCAAGUCAUUGACAAAGGCCAUAGUGAUGUCAUUGAUUUUAUUCUAAACUUAUCAAAAACAAUAUGAGAUUCACUUUGAUUUCAAGUUAUGCAAGAUCUAUAUGAGCUCAAUUGUUUUGAAACUUGAUUGAUGUUUCGUUGGUCAGGUCUUCUUUAGACAUGAACCUAUUUUUUGUGCUUAACUUGAAGAAGCUGCCAAUAAGACUGAAUAGUCACAUAUCACUCAGAGAGUUGAGAAUAACACAACUCUUUCGUUUUUUUUUUAGGACUGGUUUGUCAUCAAGUAUUUUGCUCGGUUGUUGUGAUGGUUUGAAAUUUCUAUCUGAUGACUAUAACCUAUAUAAACAACAACUUGUAUUCUCUUAUCUUGAGCAUUAUUUUGCAAAAAAGAUUUUUAUGAGCACUUCUAUUUGGAUGUCUUUCUAACAGUCGUUAGUAUUCAAUAAAAAUGACCUUUACUAAACCUGCAGAUUUUUUCAGGUGAUAUUUUUUUUUUACAAUAAGGAAGGGAGGCAUUUUUAUUGGUAGCAUAUCCUGAUUCAUAGAGUAUAAACCCUUGCAAAUUGAAAGAAAGACAAUUUACAUAUCAUUAAAGGGUGAUCUGUAAGCACUCUUAUAGGCCUACAUCUUCCUCAUUUGGAUAAGCGUUUACUUGUUUUUAAUCUGUUUUUUAGGAAGACAGUUAAUGAGAUUUUGCCAACCAAAAACAGAGGUUUGUUAGCCCUCCUACCCUCUGGCUGGUUCUCUUGCAUAUGCUUGAAGAAUAUUGGAAACCAAUUAAUUAGUCAUUGCAGUUUCAUAGUCUUACAAGAAAUCUUGUUAUGGUGGCAAGAGAACAGACUGCAACAUAGUCUCAUUCCCCUUCAUGAUUUAGACAUUGUAAAGAUCAAAAACCUAUUCCUGGUAAUAUAAGAAGAAGAGCAGCCAAAGAAAAGGAACAAAAUGUAUAGGAACCUUAUGGACUUGAAUAGUUGGUAUUCAGGUGGCAAAAAUACACAAAAAUGCACUUAACAAACUACUAAUCAGCAGGCCAAGAUUCUACUUCCAAGAGACAGGUUUGUCAUCCAUGUCAAGAAGGCUCGCACUUCAUUUUUGUGGGACUUUGAUAUCAACAAAUUUAUGGAAUUCUUUCAGGUUUCUAAAUGGAAUGGUUCAAGUCAUCAACACAUUCCCAGAAUUCUUUCGUAAAUGUCAUCAUCCUGGCUAGCUUUCUUCAGUGUUGAAAGAGGGGGUGAUACCAUGUUGCUAAAAAUUGCAGUCUAUAUGUACUAGAUGGACAAGAACUACAACACUUGUAUUAGAAACAUCUCUGUUGCCUGGAUUGGUAUUACUUGCCAUAAUUAAGCACCUUUUUAUUAUUGUAGCAGAGUGUUUCAAAGUCACCCAUACUUAAUCCAUCUUCAUGUCUCUCAAACAACUAGGUCCAUUAGUAGCAAAAGAAGAGCAAUUUGAAUAGCUGGUCAUUUCCUUUUAUAAUUUAGGGAUAAAGGUCAAAAACUACAACACUUGAAUAGCUGGUAUUAAGAUGGACAAGAACUACAACACUUCUCUCAUAAACAUGUAUGUUCUUUCUUCAACUCUUACUCUAUUGCCUGGAGUUGCAUUACCUGCCAUGAUUAAUCGCCUCCUAUUUAUUCUUGUGGAGAAACAGGUUUUGGUGUAUGUAGAGACUACAGUUGCUGCACCUCUUGAUUUUCAAGACCACCCAGUCUCUCCUCAAGCAUCUGGAAUUGUCAAGCUGAUUUAUGGCUAACCUUCCAAGGACCUUAGGGGUUUCAUACAGGGUAGAUCUAGUGCAAGAGAUUCAGAAUUAUCUCUACAUAAUCCACCUCCAUUUCUUUAGAACAACUAAAUGCUAUGGCCAAAAUCUCACUUAAGGCGUCAGGUUCAUGUUGGGGCUCAUUCACAAGAUUAAGAUGAAUAUAGCAGGGGAUGUUCCUGAUCUACCACCAGCCAUGUUGUCCAGUUGUUCAAUGCCCCUGUGUUGACUAUGGCCACAGUCACAGUUGUGUCCUUUCCCCAAAGAAAUGUCAUUUUGAAAUUUUUAAUGUCAACAACAGAACUUUCAUGUUUCUACAUUCAGGUACCCACAAAAAAUUGAGUCCAUGUUAGCAUCCAAUGAUGGAAAGUAAUAAUCUAAACAAUGGAACAAGGGCUCUCCUUGCUCUUUUUUAGAAGAACACUAGUUUAUUUCCAAUCAAUUGAGGAGGAAACUAAUUCUAAACACGGAAGCCAGGUACUUGAUUUCUGUUUGAUUGGUGGAACAACUGAAACAUAUUUACAGAUUUAACAUUAGAUAAGUUUAACAAAAUCACUAAUUAACUCCCAAACCUCUCCCCCCACCCACCACAACGGAAAGAAAAAACGUUUUGGGAUCCUAGUAGCUUUAUGUUACAAGAUUCUGAUCAACAUAUGGUGCAGAGUAUUAUGUUGGUCCAGUUCCUCUACUCUGCAUUGCAACAAAGUAUAAGUGGGUUUUCUCUUUUCUUCAUCUUCAAAUGAAACAACCCUUCUCAAUAAAAGAAUACAAGAAAUUGAAAGCUAAGACCGUUUCCUUUCAUUGUACUUUGUUUCCUCUGCUCCUUCCUCUCUUGGUCAAGCCAAACAGUCCAUGGUUUGUCCAUUUCUUCUUCAUCCCACAUCAAAAAGCAGUGUGUUGGGUUAUCCCAUCUCUUUAUCCCCUUGUCAAGACACAGAAUUUAAUGCAUUGCUAUCUUUGAUUCCUCCUAGUUAAAAGGAAGCUUGAAAUAUCUCCAUUGCUUCUCUGUUUCUUUGAGCCAAAGGAUAGAAUACUGCUUUUCUCUGUUUCUUUGAGGUGCAAGAGGUUUGUACAGAACUUAGGUGAGGUAACUAUUGGUCAGGGAGGUAAGCAGAUCUGAAACAUUUUCUUGACUUCCAACGGAAUAUCCUUGCACAUAUGUUACCAUUUUCUUUUCUUCAACUCUGUUUUCUUUGUUUCUUCCUUUCUUGGUCAAGCUAAACAAUCUGGUGAUUCUUCUUUUGUUCUUCAUCCCAUCAGGAGGCAGCAUCUCAUGCAUCUUUGCCUUGGGGUCCUCCCUCUCCUUCCAGCCUACGGAAAAAUAAUACCAUUGCUAAGUUUGGACUUCUCUGUUUUUUUUUUUAUCAUUUUGAAAAGCAUCAUGGGAAGAUGUACAAAAAAUGUGUUGUGCUGAAUUAUCCCCUUCUCUACUAACCAAAACAUGUUCUUUCACAAUCAAAUAUCAACGUGUUUAAGCAGUCGGUGAGGCAUAUCUUGACAAUGAGGUGAGAGGUAGAAACAAGAAACAUACUCGUAUUCAAGAGAAGCGUUGUUUCUUCAUUUGCAUUAGACAACAUUCAUUUAGUCUCAACUUGAAAGUGGAUUGCUAGAAUCUGAGCUCUUGCAAAGACACAAAAGUACAUUUAGAAAUCUAAAAGAAGCCCAGAGACCAGUUGCUACUUGUGAAUCACUGUAAUCAGAAACAAUUCCAAAUAAUCCUGCAAAUCUAAACCUUUGAUUUGCUCCGUUCCCUUUUGCCAAGAAUAGUUCUAAAACGUUUUUCUUUAUUGAGUUGUAAUCAUUUUAUUAUUUGGAUUUAAUUGUAUUCAUUAGGUUUACAAAUCACAAAAACGGUGUCGUGCUUAUGAAUAUCUUCCUCUUUGAUCAUGUAAAAUUGGGAAACAGAUAUGGAUUACUAUUAUGAUAGCAUAGUGUAUUGAUCCACACAGUUUGUGGCAUGAUAGUUUAAGGAAAUUACAGAAGUGUAGCACUGAUGGGCAUGUCAUGUGAACAUUUUUCAAUGGAGCUACUUGUCCAAAUUUACAUGGGUGAAUUGUCACACCAAUGUCCUCUGAUGAACCUUAGGUUCUAUUUUCUAUUUCUUCCUCUCUUGGUCAAGCCAAACAAUUUGUCUUCAUGAGGACUUCAUAUUACCAAUAAGCAGCAUCUUGUGUUCUCCUUCUCUUCAUCCCCUUGUCAAGACAGCAAUUUGAUGCAUCUUUCCAUUGGAUUGCGUCCUCUCUGCUCCCUCUCCUUCCUCCUUGAGGCAAAACCAUAUCAUUGCUUAGUUUUGACUAUGUUCUUUUGAUCAUUGUGAGAGAGCAUCAUUGUAAGAUGUACAAGAAAUGUGUUGUGGUGCAUUAUCCCCUUCUCCACCACCUAAAAUAUGUUUUACAUGAUCAUAAGGACCAAGGUGUUUUAAGCAUCAGGUAAGGAAUUUGUUGACAAUGAUGUGAGAGAUAGAAACAAGCAACAUACCGAUAUUCAAAAGACAUGAUGUUCUUCUUUUGCAUUUGACAACAUUCAUUUAGUCUGAACUCCACAUUUGAGCAACUCAAAAUCUUCACCUUCAUUAGGAUUGCAGGAAGUUGGCUUCUUGGAAAGACAUGGAAAGGGAGCAUCUAGAAAUCUGAAAGAAUUCCAGAGGCUUGUUGCUACUUUUGAAUCAUUCCAAUCAAUAGUAACUCCAAAAGAUGUAUACAAAUCUAUCCCUGGAAAAGAGAUGUGUCCUGUGCAUAUGCAACCGUCUCUCUAAUAGACUCGAGAUUGUGCACCCUCAUGGUGGUUUCGUAUAGAUUGCACCAUAUGAAUUGUAGAUAUCCAACUACCAAUAUCACUACACCUGAAUGAACUAGGAGUUAUGCUGAAAGUGAAUUUGGACAACCCAUCAUCGAAAGAAUCCUGUAGGAAUACACCAAAAAGAAAAUCUUUUUAACAUAAAUGAAUUCAUCCCGUUAAAGGAUAAAGGUGCCGAAAAAAUUGAAUUGGGAGAGAUAGAAAUAUUGAUGCUUGCAUGGGACUGUGAGAGGGACCAACAAGUGGAACAAACAUUGAAUAGUAAAUGUAAAACCAUAAAGCUUGUAACUGUUGUCAAAAGUUGCUCUCUACUGAAGUUUUUUAACAAUAAAGGUAAGUGCAAAAUUCACCUAAUAGCUCCACUUGUAGAAAAUUUCAAUGGUGUGAAACUAGGAUAUGGUGAACUUGCUUCCGCUAUUGCAGUGAACCAUUAUGGAUCAAAAAUGAAUCUCACCAUCGAUUUUCACAUAGGUGGGCUAUCUUUGGCCCAUAUCUCAAUAUUGAAUUUAGGAGUUCUGUCUCUCAUAUAUGGUUCCACUUGCAAAAUACAAAUGGAGCUUAGCUGAUGACAACACAUUUAGAAAAAUGCAAGAAUUCCAAAGACAUGUUUUGUGCUAUCAUGAAUCAUUCCAAUCAAUAAGGAAUCAAAGUGCUAUAAUUUUGAAUUGUCUUAGGGAACAUACCCCAAUUCAAUCUUGCGGAAGUAAACUGUCUUGAGCACCAACUCAAUUCUGAGUUCUUUGGAAGACUUGAGACACCAAUUCAAUCAAAACUGCUAGUUGUUUUUGUGGUAGAUUGUCUUCCUCCACUGAUACUGGGGAACCCCAAAGCCCUAUAUACAAUUUUGAACUGUCAGCCUUCUUACCUUGAAUGAAAAACCUAUCCAUAGGAAAGAGGUGUCUUGGGCAUGCAACCAUCAAUUAUUAGCUAUCGAAAAGGCUUGAAGUUGUGCACCCACUUGGUAGCUUCUAAUUCAUUAAACCAUAUAACUUCUAGAUAUCCAAUUGGCACGUUACUACACCUGAAUGAAAGUGAAUAGGAAGUUAGACAACCUUUCACAAAAAGAAUCCUGUAAGAAUACACCAAACAGAACUUCUUGUUAACAUAAAUGAAUUCACUCAGUUAAAUUAUUGUGUGAAAAUUUAAAUUGGGAUAAAUAAAAAUAUCGAUGCUUACAUGGGACUGUGGGAGGACCAACAAGAGGAACAACCUUUGAAUAGCAAAUGUGAAGCCAUAAAGCUUGUAACUGCUGUCAAGACGUUGCUCCCUAGUCAAGUUUUCAACAAAAAGGUUCAAUGUAGGGAUUCUCUAGUAGUUGAACUUGUAGAAAAUUUCAACAGUAUGACUUUAUACUUGUAAUAAGAAGAUAAAAUGUAAGAAUUAUGUGUUGGGAAUAAAUGAAACUUACUAAAUAUAUGGAUAGGAUAGGGUGCACUCUCUGUGCUUCCAUUUUUGGAAUCUAAUGGAUCAAAGAUGGAUCUCUCCAUCUAUUUCCAAAUAGGAGAAGUGGGCAAUCUUGAAUUGAUGUCUCAUCAUUGGAUUUGGAACUGAUGUAUAGCUCUAAAACCAUGACAGGGUUCUCCUUCAGUUGACAAAUACAACUAGAGCUUAGGUGAGGUCUUGGUGAUAUAGAAAAGUUAGGGAUUCUGGAAUCUUUACAUGAAAAUAUACAUGAGAUACAUUGGAAGAAAGGGCAGGCCUUGGUCAUUUGAGAAGAAACACAUCUUAAAUAUACUAUCAAUCAUGAUGAGUUGUUUGAGAAUCAUGAGUCUAUGAAGGCCUCACUCAUAUAAGGGAUGUCUUUGACAUUUCUCACUCUUCAAUCUUAGGAAGGUACAUCAUCAACCAGAACAUUAUGAAUAUGAGUCAUCAUGAGGCAACUUGUUUAUGUUUUUUAUUCUUUUCUCACCAGAGGGGAUUAAAAGAUAUUUAGUUGCAAGGACAAGAGAUGUAGCUAGUACUGAGAGCAUCAAACAAUCCUUCUCUAAUGCAGACCACAAAUUUUAGCAACUCGUGAUCUCCACAAUUUAGAGCACUGAAGGAAGUUAGCCUGUUGGAAAGAUGUUCCAUGACAUUUAGAAAUAUGCAAGAAUUCCAGAGAUCAUUCCAAUCAUUAAGGAAUCCAAAGCCCUAUAAUUUGAAUAGGGCAUCCACUUGGCAUGGAUAACGCACCUAUCUUGGGAAAAAGAUUGGGCACCAAUUCAAUUAUCAACUCUCUAUGAAACUUGAGAUACAAGGUACCAAUGUUAGUUGCUUCCGUGGCAGUUCUUCUUUUACUGGUAUUGGGGCAAAGCCUUUUGAAAACCCUCAAUCUACAAAUUGCCAAGGACAUGAGAUCAUGUUGUAAUCUCAUCUCCAAUCUCCAACUGCAAACAAAUUAUUUCUUUCAAUUAACAAUCUUUAAUGCGUGCACUUCUAUCAUAUGAUAAGAAAUUUAGGAAAACAAGUAAGCUUUAUAAUAUUAGGAAUAUGCAAGGAAUUGAUAAAGGCUAUGAAUCUACUUUCAAAAAAUAAAAUAUAAAAACAAAUAUUUUUUUUCACCCAUGAAUACUGUAACCAGCUUCUAAAAAACAUUAGGUAUUGAAAUAACCCAAUGUUCCUCAGGUAUUAAAGUUGAAGUUCAAAGUUACCAAGAGUGCUUUUUUGACCCAUGCAUAAAAUAAAAAGAAAAUAAGAAAGCAUAACAUAUAACUCAUAAUUGUGUCAAGUAUGAGUUCAAUUCAUGGUCAUGCACAAUUGCAUUAAGUAUUUAAAAGCUAAAUAAGGCUAUGUGCAAUUCAAAGAAUACCAUACAACUCAUAAUAGAAUCCUCACAGCUCACCAUAGAAUGAGAACUCAAACGUCUUUCUUCCGGUCAUAAGAGUUUGUGCUCUUCGAGCCUCUGACUUGCACAACUCAAGACAGCAGGACAUGCCAAAAAGUCUCUUUCACCUCAAACAUUAUUCAAAUCUGCAGUCUAAAUCUAGAUAAGAUAAUUUUCUACAAAUAUAACAUGUUGCAAACAAAUAACAGUAUGUUGGUUUAAAAUUGAAGAGCAUUUCAAACCAAACAAAAUAGAAAAAUUUUCAGUGUACAUCACUCACCUAAAAGCUUGUAUGUUGGAUAAAAUUCUUGCUAAUGAAUCCUGACAAUUAUUUGCAAUCAAAAUUUAGUAAUGGUUUAUAACCAAAAAAAAAAUAUUACAAAAUUUUUUAGCAAUGUUCCAUGAAAAACACAUUGCAUAUUGAUUGAGAAAUUAAUAUGAAAUCCACUAAUUUGAAAGGCACUAAAUACCAUAUGUUCUCUUGAGUUCUCCAUGUAUCAAAACAGAUGCAAGUUCCUAUUCGAGCCACCACAAUCACGGAGCAAAAGACUUCUUAGCAUGGAAGGCAUACCAUAUUUUAAACAAGGUUCUUAACUUUCCAAGAGACAUAAGAACGUGGUGUGUUGUAGAAACUGUAGAAUAAAUAAAUGGAAGUUAGACAUAUGCACUUGCUACUUAGUUUUUUAAUCAUGUGUGAAAUAAAUAAAGAGGUGUUACUUGCAUUUAGGCCAAACUUGUAGUCUCCAAUGUGAAAUCCAAAUCUCAUUUUGUCAAUAGAAUAAGAGUAUUAAACAUAUAGAAAAUUGAAUCCUUCCUUUUGACAAUUUGAAAACCUUAAAGGAAUGACUUGAGAUUAUAAAUAACUAUAUGGUAAAGAAAAUUUUCAUCAUUCUUUCUAAAAGGAAAAUUUGUCAUUUCCUUGAUUACGGAAGAUUGAUAUUUUAACAUAAAGUGCACUUAUUAAGGUAAACUUUGUGCAUUAUAUAUUGAUUUAGAAAAUUGUAUUUAAACCCAGUUAGAAGGGUAUCACAAAAGAUGCUUAAUUGAAAUGAAGGCAUCCAUGCCAAUUUGUAAAUGUUGUCAAAUAACACCCUCCCUUGUCAUUUUACAUCCCAUGCUUGCAUGUCAAAUCUUUAACUAAGACUGCUCAAAGAGCACCUAAAAUAAAAUUACGAAGAUUUCAUUACAGGUAGAACUUAAGGUGCUUACAUUGACCAUGAGAGAGAUCGAUAAGAAACAAAAUACUCCCCCAUAAGUUUGUAACUAUUGUACUGAUAACUUUCUUCCUAGUCAAACUAUCAACAUAACUCCAUGGAGACUUCCACAAAUUGUUGAGCCACUGGUAAAACACAACAUCAAUAUGAGAAAUUUACAAGGUACUAUGCAGAUAAAAGAGUAAGAAAUGUGUAUUGAGAAUAAGAGUUACCUUAAUGGAUGUAAGGCUAGGAUAGGGUUGAAUUGGCUCUGCACCUAUUUUUGCAAUUUGAAUUUAUUAUGGUUCAAAAAUGAGUUUAUGAUGUAUCCUCAUUUUAGGGGAAGCAGGAAAUCUGGGGCCAAUCUCUAUCAUUCUCCUUGAAACAUCUUUGAUUUCGAAGUUUGAUAAAACUUAGAAGACAACCUUUCACUUGGCAAGGAGGACUAGAACAAGGCAUCCCUCAAUCUCUACAAGUUAAAGAAAUGAAGUUUUGAAGACCAAGGGAGGGGGCUAGGAUUCUAGAUUUGACAAUAUUUUCAUUGAAAAAUCAAUGAGAGUUGUAGCAAGAAAUCCUGUCAAAAGGAAAUUGCAUUUAACAAUGUACAAUAUAAAAUGAAUGAACUGAGUUUUUAGAGAGGUGAAUCUUUGGAGGCUCCACAAAGAUAAGGGGUUUUAAUACCCUUGCAAGUGUAUUCGUGAAAUUGUUUCCUCAAAGGAAACCUGAACUUGGACAUUGUGCAACACAAAGCUGUCAAAGAGAUGUGAGACUCUAAAUCUGAUGAGGUAGGACUUGAGAUCCACAUUUUCUUAAGUGAGGAAUUCUGAGGUUGUAGACACACUAGUAGUUUCCAGAUUUAGAUACUUCUCUUCAAAUAUUUGUAUAAUGUACAUCUUCUUUGACAUUGCUGCUCCAACAAGAUGUCAAAUAGGAGGUGCAACCUAUUUGGGCAUAGUACACGUACAACAAAAAAUUUCAUUAAAACAAAAACUUUUACUAAAACAAAAAUAUGAAGUUAAUGUAUAAGAAGAUAAGAUUUAUAUAUAGUGAAUGAGCAUGAUUGAUUUUAGCACAAAGGGAAUGAUGCCAAAAUAUUUUAAGAAUAUCAUCACCACAAGUACUUGCAUCAUUAAAAAUUCCACAAGGAUUUGAUGGUUAGGCAAUAAAAUAAUUCUAGUAAAUGAGUUAAAAGCAGCUGAGCUAAGAAAGAUUAAAUCCAAAUAAGCAUCAAUCAUUAAAGAAUUAACCAACUACGAAAGACUUCAAAUGACGUUUUCUCUAUAAUUUCUGUUCCUAAUUGGCCUCAUUUGCUUGAACCAAAAUAUUAUUAAUUUGCUUUAAAGGAAGUGGGUGACUCAUAUCUCUGAAAGGAUGUGAGAGAUGGAAAUCCCUCGAUCUGUAGUGAUUCAAGAGGAUAAUUCCUAUGGCUAUUGUUGUCAUCAUACAUCAUUCAGCUAGCUAUAGACCACAAAAUUGAACAAUCAUGAAUACGUAGAUGCUUAAAUAUGGUGUGUACUUUAUCUAGUGGAAAAGCUUAUGAGACUUGGUCAUCUCGAGAUUUCUAGGAAUUAAGAUAGAUACAAGUUGUUGCUUCCUGUUAUAAUUUAUCUGGAUCGCAAUCAUCAAGCACUAACUCCAUUCACUGCAUGUUUUGAGCCUUCAACAUAAAACCAAAAUUCCAUUCUAUCGGACAAAAAAUAAAAUAUAAAAAAAUCACUAAUAACUCAACCAUUUUAUGUUGCUCAUAUUAUAAAAUGUAGGAUUUAACUGACUUCCAUCAUUGAAAAUGAAUUAAUAUAACUUUACAAUACUAGUAUAUUCAACUUUUGACAUGGCUGAAACUGAUCUUGGAAUAAAAAAUUACAUACACAAGUAGAUAUUUAAUAGAAGAGGAUCCAAAAUCUCUUCCAUUGAUUAAUGUAUAAAUGAAUUAAUCAAAAAAAUUUGAGAUAAUUAUGGGGAGAUGAACCUUGUACCUCUGAGUUUCUUAUUCUUCUUGAACAGAGCAAUGAGCAUAAAGUGUUGAGCACCCAGGAAUCUCCCUUCCUCCACAGGCAAAGUCUAAACAAUCUAUCCUUUCUUCAUAGUCCACUUCCUUGCAAAAGUCAAAACAUGAAGAAAAUAUCAUCAAAAUUGAGAUAGAAAUAAGUGCAUCAACUAUCUCAAGAAGAGAUUUAUGCUUACUGCUUACCUUUUGAAGAAGUUCACUUGGUUAGAGCACAUUUUACAUGGACGCCCAAUCACUGCAAGCUGCUGAACCAAAGGAGAGUUCAAACAUCUAAAAAAUUUGACAAACUCAAGUAUCAUAAAAUACUUCAUAUGAAUUCUAAAUGAUCUCAUAUCUAAAAAACAUUGGCAUAAAAUUAUUGUUGUUUACCUUACAUGUUUCUUCCAUGGUCAUAAUCGAAACUUUGUUUGUCAUAAAAAAUCUUCUAUGCUCAUCUUGAUUACUUACAAUGAACACUGAAAUGAAAAGAAAAAAAACCACAAAAAAUGAUGAUUAGUUUGGUUUGAUAAAUUUAGCACACAUAAUUUCCUUUUUCUUGCAUGAGAAGGAAAGAGUAAUAUAUAUAUAUAUAUAUAUAUAUAUAUCAAUUUAAUAAUUUUUAAAAAUUAGCAAUUAUAAAACUAUUUUGGUUCUCCAAAAAUUUAUGGGAAAGUAGGGAAAAAACUAUAAACUUUUUCUCUUGUUUGAUUAUUUAUCAGAAAAUUGAGGGAAAAACAAAAAUCUAUGAGAAAUUUAUUUAACACUUUUGAGGAACCAAAAAUGUUUUAGAUGUUGUCAAAUCAAUAAUUUAAACGUGUUUAAUUCCAAUUAAAUGAGUUUAAUCAAACACAUGAAAUUGUGAAUAAAAUUAUUUAAAAGCAUUGAAAUUCAAGUCAUUAAAGUUGUCCAUAAAAUGUGGUAUAUUGAAGCAAGAAAAAAACAAAGCAAUUUGAAUGACUUGCUAAUAAAGCAGCUAACUAGAAUAUGCCCUAGAGUUGUUCAGUGCCCUCUAUAUAAGAAAUAAACAGAGAACACAAAAAAAAAAGAAAAGAAAAACCUAGAAACUACAAUAAGUGAAGUGAUAAUGUCAUCUAAUUAGUAAACCAAACCAAGUCAAUAAACUACAACUUCCUCUAGUAUAAAGGUCUUGAUACAUUAGAUAUUGAAUUUGUUGGACCUGGCAAGGUAGAAGUAGUAAUGCUCAUUUUUUAUUGUGACAGAUUAUAGAGAAGAUUAGACACUGGGAAAAUACCAAGCCAGGAGCCAUGUCAAGAGCUGCUUUCUUGUUAAAAAUUAAGUCCAAUUAGAAAAUUACAGUAGCGCGUAAGAGAAAUUGAAAGUGGUGUUGAGAAGAGAAAGAGGAAGAAUGAUGUGUUGGGAAUGAGAUGUAAUACCUUGUUUAUUACUCAGAUGGAUUAGUCAAAGUAUCUGCACACGGGGAAUGUGGGCAAUCUUGGGCCAAUCAUCUCCUUCCUCCUUCGAGUACCUUUGUGUUAGAUGUGGGCAAAGCCACACAUACAGUCGUGAAAGGGUGUCAGGCAAUAGUCCUUCCCUUGGCAAAAUUGACCGGAGCUUAGGGCAACUUUGGAUUUCUAGCUGUUCAAGAGAGGUGAGGGUUUGGAGAGACAGGGAGGCUAGGGAUUCCAGAUUCUGGAAUUGUGAAAGGGUAAGGGAGGUGAGAGUUGUAGGAAAAAGAAUCGAGUGGGGGUCAUCCGAAAAGGAAGUUGCAUCUGGAAACAUGCCACCAAUCCAGAGGAGUUUAAGAGAGGUGAGUCUGGAAAGGCCCCAUUGGGAUAGGGGGGUCUUGAUAUUCUCACAAUUACGAAUGAAAAGCGAUGUAAGACGAGUGAGCUUUUUUAUCUGAGGAAGCAACAAUUCCAGAUUUUCAAAAUCUACAAUACGUAGAUCUGUGAGGGUGUUGAGGCAAUCUGGUAGGGUUUUGAGAUUAGGAUACCUCCCGAGGAUUAAAGAUUGAAGUGAAUUAUUAGUAGAGUGAAACAUCUCCUCUGAAAUUGACUCGAGGUGUUCACAAUCCCCAAUGUGAAGUCGCUCAAGGGUGGAUGGAAACUUGCCUCUUGGGAAGGAUGUGAGAGAUGGACAUUUAAAGAUUACCAAGGCUUGGAGAGCAGCAGCAUAUGUGGAAUCGUAGUGCAUUAUUCCCUCUGGUAGAGACUCUAGCCUUCCACAACUCCAUAUUCUGAGUUCCUUGAGAGUGGCGGGUAGCCCACCUUUCGGUAAUCCAAUAAGAGACGGACACCCCCCUAUAGAUAAGUAUUCAAGGGCACACAUGCCCAUCAUUCCUUCUGGAAGAGACUUGAGAUUUUCACAACACGAUAUGCUUAGACUCUUAAGGGUGGUGGGUAAUUGCCCUUUUGGAAAGCAAAUGAGAGAUGGACACCUGUAUAUCACUAGCUCUUCAAGGAGACACAAGUUGUUGCUGUCAGUACUGUCGUUCCUCAUCUUCAACAUCAUGCCAAUUAUCAAGAAUAAGAUUUCUCAGCAUUGGCGGGAAACCUACAUCGGGAAAUGACGCUAGCUUUGGACAAUUCCUGAUUGUCAAUUCUUCAAGGCAUGUUAGACUCUGCCAUCCAUUUGGAAGCCUCUCUAGUUUAUCACAUCUAUCUAUUUGCAAAGACUGAAGAUUGCAUCCCAAGGAUACAAGUUGAUCACAAUCUCUAAUCUCAAGAGAAUGAGAGUUUUCCGAUCCAAAACCAUCCUCCCACAAAUAUUCGAGUUCUUCGCAUUCCCAUACUUUCAAAACCCGAAGCCCUUGCAAAAAUUGCACAAAUCCUUCAUGCAAUUUGAUAAGCCCUGAAAUCCCAGAAAUUGUUAACUUGGUGAGUGAGGUGAGGUCAUUUCCACUGCUCAAGACCGCCUCAUUACAUUCUCCUACAUAUAAUUCCUUCAGCAGUGGAAGUCUUGAAAGUGGAGACUCCAAUUUUGGACAAAAGUGAACAGAGAGCUCUGUAAGAGAAGGUAGGUAAGUGGGUAGUUUCAUAAUCAAUUUGGGGCAAUACUGAAUUGUAAGCUCAUGGAGACAAGGGAAUAAUGACUCUGUUGAGGAAGACCAAUCCUCCCAGUGCUCCCAUUCUGACAUGCUAUUAAAAUGUCUACUCUAGUGAUGGGAAAAACUUACCUGCAGAAACACGAGUCUCUCCAUAAAACUCUGCACCCACUUUUUUUACUCCAUCCAUUCCUUGGAUCCUCAACUGUUUGAGCGAUGGCAACUGCCCCAAGCAUGGUAAAGACGUGCACUCUCUACAAUCUAUGAGACUUAGAUCCACCAUCUUAGAGAACAAGGCAUCCCCUAUCCAACGUGGGAAUUUUGGACCACCAUACAACUGAAUGCAGAGUUUGUUCAGAUUCAAACAAGGUUGUAGAGAGUCAAGGACAUCCAUUUGAUUCCUUUCAUUCCCUGAACCAUCCAGCUCAGAACUCCACUGCAUUAUCAAGCUUUCAAGGUUACGCUUCAAUUUUAAAGCGGCAUCCCUUGCAUCUUGAAUAUUCACCACAUUUUCCAAUUUCGAAAUGCAAAGUUCUCUUCGCAGAUGUGACAUGUCCUUCAACUCCUUGAUUGUCAAACCGUUGUUUUUGUCCACAAUGAAAUUAGACAAUAUCCGCAAAUCUUUUAGUUUGCCAAUUUGUAUAGGCAUUUCUUGUAAUUUUAUUGCACCAGCAACAUCAAGAUGUCGAAGAUUGAUUAGGUUACCGAUGCUAAUAGGCAACCUGAUAAGCUCUUUACAGCAUGAUAAUUUCAAUGUCUGAAGGUAAAAAAGAUUACCAAUUGAAUCCGGUAACCAUUUUAUACUGGUGUAGGACAAAUUAAGGUAUCUCAAAUGUUUCAACUUACCAAAUGAAUCCGGUAUCUCACUUAUCAUGUAAUGAGCCAAUGAGAUCACCCUUAAGUGCCCUAACCUUGGUAUCAAUUCUUCAAGCACCUUAUUACUUAUGAAGGAAGGAAGUCCGCUAGUUGGUACAUCAAUCGGCAAAGCUAUGAAUGUGCGCAAGCGCUCUUUCUUAUGAAACCUUUCAAAAUUUUUAAAGAUAUCACAAAAAUGACGGAUGAAUGAUGAAUGACGGGUAUUUUCAGAAAUGGGGCAUUGCAAAUCAUUCCACAACUCAUCAUCCAAAUGCAAGCAUGUGUCUCCAGCAAUAGAAUUAGCUAGAUCGUUAAUAAGAUCAUGCAUAACGAAUCGUGAUUUAUUGCUGCUCGACGAUUGGAAAAAUGACCUUGACAACAGUUCACAAAAAUAAUCAUCACCAAGAUCUUCCAUUUUCUCAUCCUCAUUUGAUUGUUGAAUUAACCCCUCCGCCAUCCACAAGAGGAUUACCUCUUCCUUCUUAAACUCAUAAUCUUGGGGAAAUAAUGUGCAAUAAGCGAAACACCUUUUUAAAUGUGAAGGGAGAUGAUUGUAGCUCAAUCUCAACGCAGGAAGAAUACCACACUUAUCACUAGGUAAAUUCCAUAUUUUGCUAGCUAGUAUAAUAUUCCACUUAUCUUCUCUGUGUUCAUGGCGCAGAAGACCACCAAGUGCUUUUGCUGCCAAGGGCAGGCCUCCACACUUCUUUACAAUUUCCCUUCCUAUCAAUGCCAAGUCCGGAUGCUCCUUGGUAUUUCUGUUUUCAAAAGCAUGUUUUUUAAACAACUCCCAUCAAUCAUUGUCAGACAAAUGUUUUAGCUCAUAAAAGUUUUUAUCUCCUCCCAUCAUAGUUGCAACAUUUUUUAUUACAAGUGGUGACGAUGAUCUUGCUUCCCAGGUGCUCCCUCCUAUAGAGGGAGCGUAAGCUGUCCCAUUGAUCAUAUUUCNNNNNNNNNNNNNNNNNNNNNNNNNNNNNNNNNNNNNNNNNNNNNNNNNNNNNNNNNNNNNNNNNNNNNNNNNNNNNNNNNNNNNNNNNNNNNNNNNNNNNNNNNNNNNNNNNNNNNNNNNNNNNNNNNNNNNNNNNNNNNNNNNNNNNNNNNNNNNNNNNNNNNNNNNNNNNNNNNNGAUGAAAGUCCGGCGAAUCAUUGUUGCCUGGAGCAAUGUCCCGUAAAACUGCCCUGGUUAUGGUCUCCACAUGAAAUUGAUCAGACACACAAACCCAAGCUUUUAAAGCAAAAUGUUUGGAUGUCUCCUCAUCAUCGUACACUAGACCUGCCAGCGUAGUUUUUCCCAUCCCACCCAUGGCCACGAUCGAGACUACAGACAGAUUGCCACCGAGGGAUUCAUCAUUAAGCAUGGCUAGUAUCUUGGUUUUAUCUUCAUCCCUGCCGUAUACCCCAGGUUUGAAUACCAAAGGUGGUGGAGGGGUUGGGCUUUGAGUAGCUGCUCUGGUGCCUCCGAUCUGCACUUUGAGCUUUUCCAAACCGAGCUCAGCCUUCUGAGCUGAAAUUUCUUCUAAUCGGCGAGUGAUGUCCUCUAUCUUGGACCCCAGCUUAACAUUCCGCAUAGCCUGAAUUGGAGUGAAAGUAGUACAACAAGUAGGGAUGAAUUUGCGUACCUUGCUUGUGCUGGCCGCAUCACCCUCUGCCACCAACUUUCUUCUCAUCACUUGGUAGCCAAACUCGUCCAAGACGUCCUCCACAUCAUAAGCCAAAUCCCUGAGAUGUGCGAGCCAUGCUUUCACGUGCUGCUUAGUCAUCUGCUUGUCCUCAGCAUCGUCGAGCACUUCCCGAAUCUCCAACAGUCUUGUCUUCCAUUUCUUGAGCUCGGUGUGGACUUGCUUUUGGCGUGCGUACUUCCACAAAUCAGAGGAGGCCAGUUUGCUGAACAAGAGUUCAAGGGACACAGAAAGAACAACCUCUCCAACAACUUCCAUGGUGAUCAGUUUGCAGAGGGAGUGACUAGUGAGAGAGAGAGAAAGGGGAAGAGGAAGAUGAAAAUGGAAGCCUGAGAGCAGGCUUAGUAAGCCAUGUGCACCACACAAAAUAAACAAAUCAAAAUGUCCACUAUAUUAUUUUGCAGACAGCUGUCACAUAUUUUAAUAGAUUUUAGUCUAAGAGAAGGCAAUUUAUUAAAUUUUCAUUAUAUUUUUUUAAAAAAAAAUCAUUAGAAAUUUUCAAUAAUUUUAAUUAUUUUAUAACAGAAACCUCUAAAAUUAUUUUAAAGAAUUUAAUAAUUUUAUUAUAAAUUUUGACAUUUUUGAAAUAGAAAAGUUAUACGUCUUUAAAUUUAAAUUCGGUUGUCUUAUAACUUAAUUUCAUUUAUUUAUGUCUUAGUCUCAUUUCCUUUUUAAUAUAUAAUUUUGUUAUAAAAAUGAAAAUUUUAUUGAAAAAACAAAAGUUGUGAAGGAAGAAAAAAAGAAUGGUCUUUUAAGAAAUAUUUUUAAAAUUUUUAAGGGUGAAAACUUUAAAUAUCAUUAAUAUUUCUAGUAGUAUAAAACCAUGACACAAAUAAAUGGCAUUUAAGUAUAUAUAAAUACAUAUAAAUUAAAUUUAGAUUAAUAUUAUGUGGUGGUUUUUAGUGGACCACCAAUUAUUUUCAUAUUCCAUAGAAAAAUUACUUUCAACACCAUAGAAUCACCCUAAUUUGAUAUACUAUCUUAAAUUUUAAAAUUUUAAAAAAUAAUUUUUAAGGGCAUGAACUAAAUCUAAGAAUUUCUAUGUUUUUUUUAUGAAAGUUUUUGCCAAUUUUUGUUUUUAAAAACAAAAAAUAAGAAGUACUUAAAGUGUUUUUUUAAUGAUUUUAAAAAAUAUUUUUAGUCUUUUUAAUAUUUAAAAAAUAAAAAUUUUAUAUAUAAAAAAAAUUAAAAACACUUCUUCAAAUCAUUAUAAAGCACACUCUUAAUAUGUAAUGAUAUUAAUUUCUUCUCAUUUAAAUGGAAUGAAGAGAGAUUUAAAUGAAUAAAACAAAUACAAGGAUAAAAAAUUUACUUUUUGUGCUUUAUUAUUACAUCCUUUCGUUAGAUGCUUUAAAUAGUUUUUAAUAAAUAAAAUUAUAAUUACAUUGAUGGAGGGCUAAUUAGCUUUGCUUUAGGUGAGAAAGAUAGAGGUAAGAUUGAGGUGGGCGGACCAAAUAAAAAGUAGGAUAUGAAUUAACAAAAGCUUCUGCACUCUUCCCAAAAAGUAAAAGCAAAGCCUAUUAACAUGAAGUGAUGAAACUAGUCCUAUUCAAGGCCCUAUUUGCAUAUUUGAUAUUUCUAUGAAUUUUUAUUUAUUUAUUUUAUUAAACUAGUCUAAUGCGACGACUUUUAAGUUAAAAUUAAUUUUCAAAAAAAUAUAAUUUAAAAAAUUAUUUCAAAUCUACAUAAUUAUUAUAUCUUUUACAAAAAUGAAAUCAUAAAGUUUUGAUUUUAGACUAAAAAUCCAAAUCCAACCCACUUAUCUAUGUACUUUAUUGGCAUGGAAGGAGAAAAGUUAAAAAAGUAAUAUCAAAGAUAAAAGAAAAUUUGAUCAUAUGAUAAAUAGUGAUCUUCCAAAGUUGGAGUCAAUGUGUAGUGGGUCUAAAAGAAAAAGAAAAGAAGUGGAAGUUAAAGUGGAAUGUUGAGGUUUGAAGCAAUUACCUUGGAUGCGAGAUGACAGGCACCUUAAACUGUGUAGCAAUUAUGAGAGAGAGGGAGCGAGAGGCAUUGCUGUGGGAUGGGAUGCACCAACUUUAAACUGUAGCAAUUAUUCAAUUUUGAGAGAGUGAGAGACGUUUAAGUACAAAAUAUUCCGUUUAGAAAGAAACGGUGAAGAAUAAUACCCCUCUUAAAAUAUUUAUUAAAUUAGUCUCUUUUAUCUAUCUAAUCAUCCCAUUCAUAAUAAAAAAAAUACUAUCAAAUCAUCCACAUUUAUUUGGGUGAUUUUAAAAGUUUCAAAAUUCCCUAUUUGAUUUUCGAGAAAAUCCAUGCAAAACCCUCAAGAAAAACAAAAAAAAAUUUGCUUUUUUUUUAUUCCCUAUGUUUUCUGGAUCUAUUCUAGAGGUCUCCAUCUCGUAUUCAAUUUUUGAGAAAAUUCAUCCUCGUUUGAUUUCCGAGAAAAUCUAUGCAAAACCUUAAGAAAAACCAAAAAAAUUACUUUUUUUGCUCAUUGUGUUUUUGGGAUGAGGAAGACCAAAAGGGCAAUUUUAGAAAUAUAAAUAAAUCUCAUAUUUUAAUUAUAUGAGUUUUUAAAACUAUAUAUUUAGCCUAUUAACACAACUUUUCCAAAAAUUAUUGUUGUGGGAUGACAUUCAACACUUUAAAGUGUAGCAGUUUACAGUGUAGCAAUUAUUCGAUUUUGACAGUGAGGGAGAGAGAGAGAAUUAUUGCUGUGACAUGGCAUGCAACAACUUUAAAGUGUAGCAAUUUUGACCAAUUAUGUUAAUGGGGUUAUAUCCUCAUCCAAAGUUCUCAACCCAUCUUAGUUACUUCAACAAAUUUUUAUUCUGGCCCAAACCUGUACUAGAGUAGAACAGGGUCGUAAUUUUUUUUGAAGUUAUAGUCAUCCUAUCUUAUUUAAUAUUUUCUGUUAUUUUUAUUAUUUUAAAAUUUUAUUUUUAUUAAAAUAAAUGUAAUUUAUGAGUAAAUAAAUUAUUUUUCAUAAAUUUUACAUCCUAUCUUGAUAAAAAGUAAAUUUGUAGCUUCAAUUUAAAUACAUUUAAAGAAAAGAAAUGGAAAAAGAAAUUAAAUUAUUUUUACUUAAUUUUAUUUAAAUAAUUUUUAUUAAAUAAAAUUAUAAUUAUAUUGGUGGAGGGCUAAUUAGCUGUGUUUUUAAGUGAGAAAGACACUGAUGAGGUUGAGGUGGGUCUAAAAAAAUGAAAUAAAAGAAUGAAAAAAAGAAAAAGAAAAAGAAGAUAGAGAUAAGAUUGAGUUGGGUCCUAAUUUAAAAAAGAAAAAAAAAAGGAAUGAAGAGUAGGAGGCAAAGUGACAAAAGCUUUUGCUUUCUUCGAAAAAAGUAAAAGGCUAGUGACAUCAUGUGAUCAGACUUCUAUGAUUUGUUUAUUAAACUAGUCUUAUACAAGGACUAAGUUAAAAAUAUUUAUUUUUAAAAUAUUAUUUAAGAAAUUAUUUUCUAAUCUACAUAAUUGCUACAUCUUUUCGACUCGAUUUUAGUUCAAUUUCAUUAAAAUGAAAUCAUUUAUUUGAGCCCAAAAAUCCAAAUCCAAAUCCAAAUCCAAAUCCAACUCAUUUAUCUAUAUACUUUAUUGGCAUAGAAUGAGAAAAGUUAUAAAGUUAAAGAAAAUUUGAUCAUAUGACAGAGAUUUUCCAAAGUUGGAGCCAAUUCAAUGCCUAGUGGGUAUAACAAAAAAAAAAAAAAAAAAAAAGGAGAGAGAGAAAGAUGUGGAAAUUAAAGUAACCAAAUUUUUGAGGUUUAAGGGAUGUCAGUGCACCUUCCAAAUAACUGCUUAAGAAUGUGAGAUGUCAUAGCAUUGAAAAUUGAUAUUAAAUCUCAUUGAGUAACUAUAAGAAUUGCUUUACUUAAAGACAAGUAAUAAAUAUAUCUUGCUUUUUCAUAAGGUUUAUGACCCUAAGUGAAUAAAAUUUUUAGAGUGGGAUGAAUGCAUUUCACAUGAGUCAUGUCAUAGAUAUAUUUUUAGAAUUUUAAGGUGGGUACAGUUCGAUAUCAUUCGUAAACAUAAUUCAAACCCAAUAUAUUUUUUAGGGAUUUGAAUUGAAUAGAUUCGCAUUUAAUUUAAAUUCAUGUGAAUAUAUAUAAUUCAUUUAAUAAAUAAAUUAUUUUUAAAUUAACUUAGAUAACCCACAUUUGACUUGGAUUAACUUAUUUAAUAAUGGUAUUGAUUAACCUAAUAAUAACUUUAAUUUAUUGAACUCAUAUUUAACUCAUUUAAGAUUUGUUUUUCAAUAAGUUUGGUCAUCAUAUAAUAUUAGAACAUUAAGCAUUUUAUUUCAUUCAACAUUUAACUUGAUUUGAUUAUUAAACAAUAUCUUAUUAUUAUUUCAAACAAUCAAGACACAGACUUUGAUGCAUCUCUGCCUUGGAUUCUUCCUGGUCAAAAGGAACAGUUGAAGUAUCUCCAUUGCUUCUCUGUUUCUUUGAGUCAAAAGACACAGUCUGCCUUUCUCUAUUUCUUCUAAUCAUUUUCAAAAUGCAUCAUUAUGAGAUCUACUGACCCUAUUUUUUUUUUCUUAAUAAUAGAAAACAGAAAAUAAUUUUUUAUUUUCUUGAUAUUUUGGAGAACGAAAAACUAUUAUGGAAAAUAAUUGUUAAACAAGCAUUAGAUGUUAGAUAAAAUUUAAAAAACACUUCUAAAAAUCUAAAAAAAUUACUUAUACUAUUUUUUUAGAAAAUCACUUAUAGUGUUUUCUAAAAAAUUACUUGAUAGAUAAUUUUCUUAAAAACAUUUCAAGUAAGAAUACUAUUAAACACAUUAUUAAUAUCAUUUAACCCUUGGAGUUAAAAAAUGAUUUAUCAAAUUCAACCUCAAUCGGUUUAAACUCUCCCAAACCCAUUCCCAUUUGUAAUAUCUGGUUUUGAAAAAAUAAAAAUAAAAAUAAAAACAUAAUAGAAAGAGUAGGAGGAAUGUCAAAUAUAAAAAGAGGGUUAAAAAUGUUUUGUAAUGGUUGGAAGUGUUUUUCCUACAAAUAAUGAUGCAUUUUGAAAAUUUUUAAAAAUGAAGAGAAUCACUUUGAACUUACAUUCGAUACACACUUUAUCUAAAACCAUUUUUUAAGACACUUAUUUUGAUUUGUAUCUAAAUGCUAACCUACAUUUAUAAAAAUGUCAAAAUAAUUUUUUUUUUAAAUCUUUUAAUUUAUUGUACUUUAUGAAUACAUUUUAUUUUUUGUUUGAUGCUUUAAAUAGUUUUUAUUAAAUAAAAUUAUAAUUAUAUUGGUGGAGGGCUAAUUAACUUUGCUUUUAAGUGAGAAAGAUAGAGACAAGGUUGAGGUGGGUCUAAAAAAAUGAAAUAAAAGAAUGAAAAAAAAAAAGAAGAAAAAACGAAGAAGAUAGAGAUAAGAUUGAGGUGGGUCCUUAAUUAAAAGAAAAAAAGAAAAAGAAAUGAAGACUAGGAGACAAAGUAACAAAAGCUUUUGCUUUUUUCCAAAAAGUAAAAACAAAGGCUAAUGGCAUCAUGUGAUCAAACUCUAUACAAGACCCUACUUGAAUAUUUUUAUGAUUUGUUUAUUAAACAAGUCUUAUACAAGGACUAAGUUAAAAAUAAUUUUAAAAAAAAUAUUAUUUAAGAAAUUAUUUUCUAAUCUACAUAAUUGCUACAUCUUUUUGACUUGAUUUUAGUUCAAUUUCAUUAAAAUGAAAUCAUUUAUUUGAGCCCAAAAAUCCAAAUCCAAAUCCAACUCAUUUAUCUAUAUACUUUAUUGGUAUGGAAUGGGAAAAGUUAUAAAGUGAAAGAAAAUUUGAUCAUAUGAUAGAGAUUUUCCAAAGUUGGAGCCAAUUCAAUGCCUAGUGGGUAAAAGAAAAGAAAAAAAAAGAAGAAAAAAGGAAGAUAUGAAAAUUAAAGUCGAACAAACAAAUUUUUGAGAUUUAAGGCGAUGUCACUGGACCUUCCAAAUAACUGUCUAAGAAUGUGAGAUGUCAUUGAUGAAAAUUGAUAUUAAAUCUCAUCAAGUAACUAUAAGAAUUGCUUUACUUAAAGACAAGUAAUAAAUAUAUCUUGCUUUCUCAUAAAGUUUAUGGCUCUAAGUGAAUAAAAGUUUUAGAGUGGGAUGAAUGUAUUUCACGUGAUUCAUGUCCUAGAUAUAUUUUUAGAAUUUUCUAGCAAGAUAUCAAAGGAAACUUUAUGGUGAGUGUUUUCUUUCUAGUUAAGGUGGGUACAUGUCAUUCGUAAAUAUAAUUCAAAACCAAUAUAUUUUUUAGGGAUUUGAAUUGAAUAGAAUCUUAUUUAAUUUAAAUUCAUGUGAAUAUAUAUAAUCCAUUUAAUAAAUAAAUAAUUUUUAAAUUAACUCAGAUAACCCACAUUUGACUCGAAUUAACUUAUUUAAUAAUGGUAUUGAUUAACCUAAUAAUAACUUUAAUUUAUUGAACUCAUGUUUAACACAUUUAAGAUUUGUUUUUCAAUAAGUAUGCCAUAAUUGGGUCAUCAUAUAAUAUUAGAACAUUAAGCAUAUUAUUUCAUUCAACAUUUAACUUGAUUUGAUUAUUAAACAAUAUCUUAUUAUUAAAUUGGUUAAACAGGUUAUGAUGUAUCACCUUGUUAAUAAUUAUAUAGUGUUUGAGUUUAUGUUUUUAAUUUUGAUUAUUAUUCAUAUCAUGUUUGGGUUGAGUUGUUUCGUGGAGUAUCUAACCUUUGAUACAACACAAACACAAUCCAUCAACAUAUUAAUAAAAAAUUACAAGAUAUUAGGAGAGUAAUUUUGGUAAAAGUUAAUAUUUAAUGAUUUAAGAUGAUUUUAAAUUAAAUUAUAUUGAAAUGGUUAAGUCAUAUCAAAUCAUUAACUUAAUUUAUCAAAAUCAUUUUUGAUUUUAUAUUAUAGUAUUAAGUUAUUUUAUCGAUCAUACUUAAUAUACUUAAGAACUUAAAUUUAAUCUUAUCAACAUUCUCUAGGGUCUUCUCAUCUCAAUUUUUAAUAUUUAUUUGAUACGUAUUUAAAAAUAAACAAGUCAAAAUGUAUUAUCUCAAAAUUUCUAAUUCAAACUCCUACAAGAUUUUAAAAUUCAUUAAUUAAUUUGAAAGAAAUUUGUUUUGGAACAUGCAAGUGAUGGACAUAUCACAUAUCUUAAAUUUCUAACUAAAAAACCUCAUAACAAAAUAAUUUGAUGAAUGUUUUUAAGUUUAAAAAACUUAGAACCAUUUCACAAUGAUUUUGGGAAGUUAGAAAUGUUUCCAAAUGCUUGAAAAUGUUUUUAUAACGAAAAUUAAACAUUUGAUAAAAAUUAAAGUUCACAUUCUAAGUAAUUGAUAGUGCUUCUUAUAAUUGUUUUUUUUUUUCAUUAUAUAUAUAUAUAUAUAUAUUCGUCUGUAAUAAUAAUAUAGUCCCACUGGUUCUACAGUUGGUGGACUUAUUAUGGUCCAACUAUUAAGAUAUAAGUUAACAGAUGUUCAUAUCCGUAACCAUGACAUCUGUAUUAAGCAAACCUUUAUCCUUGUUAAGAACCUUAAGGAAAAAGCCCUCUUAGGAAUACCCUUCUUAAGCUCUAUUUAUCCCUUGUGGGUAGAUAACCAAGGUAUAAGAACUAAGCUUUUUGAUAAGGAAAUUCUUUUUGAAUUUGCUAAUCCUGUUGAAAGCAUCACUCGUUGUGAUCAAGAGAUUAAUCUUGUUAGAAUUAAUGAUCCACCUAAGAUUUUAGGUACCCAAUUCAUUCAUAAUCUCAUUAUAAAUGAUAUUUUAAGCAUUCCUUUAUGCAUUUCAAAAUUUCAAACUGAUAUUUUGAAUCAAGGAAUUUUAAAAAUUAUUUUCACAUCUGAGAAAACUAUUAAGUAUAUAGCUUUCAAGUAUAAUUUAACUGAUUGGAUUAUUUUAAAACCUAAUUUUCAAAUUAAGCUUAUUAAAGGAGAAAGUUUCAUUCCUAAUCACUCAAUUCAUGGAACUUGCAGGAUUCACAAGAACAUGGCCCCCAAGAAAGACAAACAACCUCUUAGGUCCAUUAAUUCUAAGGAUUCCCAUUCAACUCUCUCUGAGAAACUCACGCCAUUUUAUGACCAUUUUGAAAUAGCAGAUUCUUCCAGCCACUUCAAUCAUCACAUUACUUCACCAUCCACUAGUAUGGAUAUAGACUCAAGCUCGAAAUCUCUACCUUUUGUGGAAGAUUCCUUACCCACAAAUCCAUCUUUUAACAAUGCUAACACUUUGUCUGAUUAUAUCAAUUGCAUUUUUGAAUGGCAGGGAAGGUAUGAGACUCUUGAAAGGAAACUUGAAUUAGUUGACUUUCAUAAGCUCAUGUUAAAAGCUCAAGCCUCAUUUUCCCCACUGAAAAAUGGUGAGAAUAAGCAUUCUACCCCACUGGUGAAUGAUAAAUUGAGUGAGGAAGAGUUGGGUUACCGUAUGCUAAGGAUGUAUCAUCAUAAGACAGAGAAUCUAUACUCUCUUAGGCCAGAUCUACGUCUCCUAAUUUGGGAAAAGGCUAAGUCCUCAGCAGAAGAAAAACAAACUUUCAUCUCUUCAUACCUCCAGGAUCUUCAUCUCUAUCUUUCUACCAAUAUUGGUCUUAAGGUCCCAGGUUUAAGCUUGGUUACUGAUAAGGAAGUUGAUGAUUCAAAAAUUUGCAGAAUGAUUGAAGAACCUUUCCAGUACCAAAAAGGCAUCAAGAAGUUGGUUUGCAACUGCAACAGAAAUUUCACAAUCAGUCGUGUUUGCUUAGACUUGCAAUACUAUUCACCAAUCAGCAUCAAAUUCAAGGGUGAAGAUUUAUUAUUAACUCCAGAAAAGCUUCUGGACCAUGGUCUGGUCCAUCAAAUCAUCUGUUCUGAUUCCAACCAAGUUUCCCAGUUUGGAAGAAAAAUUGCUCUUGGCCUAACCCUGGGAUUUAAAAUGAAUAAGAAAUUCGCAAACGCCAUCAUCAUCAGCAAAGCUCCUGAGUGGGUUUCUAAUGGCAAGCUUAUUCCAGCUCAACACAUUGUUUCUCUUCACUAUCAGAAUAGGAGACCUACUCAGCUGUCUUACCCUCUGCUAUUUUCUGAUAUUUGUGGUGAACCUAUUAUUAAGCAAAUCAAACACUGGAGGGCCAGAAUUAUUUGCAAGGAUUUUGAGGCUUUUCCAAGAAAUAUGGGACAUCUCAUUGCUGCAGAUUCUUGCCAUCAAAUUUUCUGUGGCAAGAAGUUAAACCAUCUUCCAACUAUUUCCAUCACUGAAGAUAUCAAGCUUCUUGAAGAUCAUAAGGAUUUCUCAUGAUGGCCAGUCAACAAGAAUAUUUCAAGCUUUGCAGUUUCUGAAUCAAAAGCAGCAAGCAUGUGUCUACACAGUUUAAAGCAACCUGCCAGAAGUCUUCUCAGCCGAAAAAGGGUGUUUCGGGAAAUUUCGGUAUAAAAGUGAAUCUUACUAUUCACUAUUCACUACGCACUAUUCAAGCACGGGUCUACUGUUCAUGGCUACUAUUCAAGAUUCCUUUUUUGCCUAUUUAAGGAGGUAAGGGCCUCAUUUGUAAGGACACUUCAAUUUUUAGUUCUGUUUCUCUCUCAAGCUUAUGCUCUCCCUUCUCUCUUCUUUCUCUCUCAUUAUGUAAGCCUUUCAAGCUUUCAAGCUUUCUCCAAGCUUUCUUCAAGCUUUCCUACCUUUGUCCAUUGUAAGAUAUUUCUCGUUAUGUAUAAUAUAAGUAUGUUUUGAUUACCUCCUAUAUGGAUGGUUUUUAAUUAAGUUUUAUUUUCAUUUUGUUUUUUAUUUUAUUUUAUGUUCUUGUACCGCCUACAUGGACGGUUUUAAUUAAGCUUUGUUUUAAGUUUAUGUUUUUUAUUUUAUACCGCCUACAUGGUCGGUUUUAAGCUUAUGAUGAACUAACAAGUUUUUUGGUUCCUUCUCUUUAAAUUUCUUUGUUGGAUAUCUUUUGUAUUUUCUAACCCUCUUCUUUGUUUUGAAUCAUGGCAUAAUUCAUUUGUUCAUUUGCAUAUGACCUUGUCUUGGGUGUCUAUGGUAUCAGAGCCAUGUGGGAGGGAAGUUGGGUCUUGUUUUGGGUGUUCUUGGCCUAUCCUAGGAUAGGUAGCAGUGUGCCUGGGAGCGCGAGCCCUGCCGGUUGAGCCGUUGUUAGCCGUGGAUAGGCGUUUGUUAGGCUAUAAGAGGGUUGGGGUGACGUCUCAUAAGGUUUGUCAAUCUACUAUUAGGCUCUAGAUCAAAAACCCUAAAAUGAGUUCAAUUUUCCGAACCAUGUCUAGGAGAUCCAGUGAUUCUCAAGAUACUGUUGUAAACAGUGAAGAGAUCAAUUAUCCUAAGAUUCAAAAUGAUUUAGAUGAUUGGAAGUUACCCAAGGUGUCUAAUCAAGAAAUUUAUAAGAAAGGAACCUUUAAGUUCUUCACAGAUUAUACCAUUAAGACCUCUAAAAUGUCAGUCAGCUUAGAACAAGACGACCAAGUCAUAAGACUUCUAGAUAACAGAUCCAUUGAUAAGCAUAAGAAAGAUGGCUAUAAUUUCAUACACUUUGGUAUGAUUCAAGUAGCAGCUAAGCCUUUGACAAGAUUAGGUUUAAACACCUCUAUUGUCAUGUGUUUAAGGGAUAAUAGGCAUCUCGAAUAUCGAGAUUCUAUUAUAGGCGCAGUCCAAGCUGGACUGAAUGAUGGCCCAGUAUAUUUCCAGUGCUAUCCUAACUUUACAGUUAGAAUAAGAGAUGCAGACAUCUUAGAUUCAGUUGUCCUGCAUAUUAAGACUCAUGGCUUUAAGAUCAAACCAGGAAACAGUCCUGUUUCCAUCAUAACCAGGUUUGCCUAUAAGAGUAUGAACACAAGCGUUGGAUCUGGGGCUCUUUGCACCAGUCCUAAAGGUGAGACCACCUAUUUUCACUCUGAUAUGCUAGAUAAGUCAGAUUUCAUCAUCCCCAAGAAGAUCUUGUGGAAAGAUGUUGAUUUCCCUGAAAAUUGGCAUUUUGCUAAUGCUGUUCCAGCCAUAGCACAGCGUUCUGAAAGUAUUAAACAAAUAGUUCAAUAUCCAGAUGGAGGAGGAGAACUGGUCUUCUCCAAAUCUUUCAGACAUUCCAGUAGCCCUAGAGUGUCUGUUUAUGAACCCUCUAGAGCUUCAAGCUCUUCCAUCCCAGUUAGAACCACUAGGGAAGAAGAAGGAUCCAGCUCAGGAAAUCCUAAGAAUAUUAAGCUAACAGGUGUUAGAAGUCACACCAACGUGGCUAGACCAUUUUACAGUGAAGAAAAUGAGUCUACUCAGGAAUCCCAACAGGAUGAGUCCCCUGUUAUGUCUCCUACCUAUUCCCAGAUGAUUAACACAAUAAGCCUAAGUGAUGAGGACUUUGAGAUCAACAAGGAUCUCUUAAGAAAGGACUUCUAUUCUGAAGUCAAUAAGCAAAGAAAUGAUUGGUUCUUUAGCAUUGUCCCUAAGGUCAUUAGAACCAUUUACCAAGAAGAAUUCUAUGCCUACUUAAGACAAGAAAAGAAAAAUAUUAAGUUUUGGAUCUGGUUUGAACUCUUCAAACAAGAGGAAUAUCCAGAUUAUCCCUUUAAGCGUAUAAAGGUUACCAGUAGUAAUAAUGAAAAUAAGCCAUAUGAAUUCUCUAAGGAUUUCCAAGAAAAUCCCUAAGUCAACCAAGCUUUUGUCGAUAGGAUUAAUCAGAGGAUUAAGGAUAAUCUUGUUACUCCUUUGACUGUUCAGCCUGAUAAGAGAAUCAACAUGGUUAAAGGUGAUAUUAGUUCAGAAGAAGAAGCUGAUGAACUAAUUAAGAUGUUUAAGGAACCCCAUGAUCAAAUUAUUAACAAUUUAGAAACCUUUAAGACUAGGAAUUACAAUUCUAGACCGACUUUCCCUGACAUGCAGUUUGAGGAAAGAAAUCAGUACACUCAAGCCUCAUACACCAGUGGUACUAUCUAUGAAUGGAACAUAGACGGUAUGACCGAGUAUAACAUACUCACUAAGCUUCAAGAAAUGACCAUGGUUAGUACAACCUAUAAAUUAAACAAUAGACUGCCAGAUCAUGCUGUAGCUCAGACCAUUGUUGCUGGGUUUACAGGUCAACUUAAGGGUUGGUGGGAUAAUUAUCUCACUUUUGAUGAUAGGAAUAGUAUCCUUAAGGCCUAUAGGAUUAAUGAAAGUAAUGAAGUUGUUAAGGACGAAGAUGGCCAAGAUAUUGAGGAUGCAGUGGCUACUCUAAUCUACUCAAUAUCCAAGCACUUCAUUGGAGAUCCUGCAAAAAUUAAGGAUAAAACUGCAGAUCUCUUAACCAACCUUAAGUGUCCCAAGCUUCAUGAUUUUAGGUGGUAUAGGGAAGUCUUUAUAACCAAAGUCAUGUUAAGAUCAGAUUGUAACCAGUCUUUUUGGAAAGAAAAAUUCAUCUCAGGUUUACCCAAGCUUUUCUCCGAGAGAAUUAGGAUCAAGAUAAGGGAACAGUAUAAUGGUCAAAUCCCUUAUGAUAAGCUAACCUAUGGUGAGAUUAUAAGCAUUGUCACAGCUGAAGGGAUUAAGUUGUGCAAUGACUUCAAGCUUAAGCAACAAAUGAAGAAUGAACAAAAGAUCUACAAGAAUGAAUUUGGAUCAUUCUAUAGCUAGUUUGGUUUCAACCAAAAGGAAACUAAGCCUCCCUCUAAGCAAAAACCAAGCAGGAAACCUAGCAAAGAUAAGUUUUACCACAGUAAAAGAGGUACCUAUGACAACUAUAGGAUGAAUGAUACUAAGCAGUCAAGGCACGUCCAAAGAAGGGUCAAUAAAGAUACCCAGAAAAAGGUAGAAACUCCUUUAGACAUCAAGCCAAUUAUCUGUUUUAAAUGUGGCAAAGUUGGCCAUUAUAAGAAAGAUUGUAAAGUUAAGCAAAAGAUUAAUAACUUAAGUGUCUCAGAUGACUUAAAAAAUAUGCUUUGUAAGGUAAUGUUAAACUCAAAUUCUGAAUCAAGGACUGAUUCAGAUAAUGAAGAUGAUAUUAAUCAACUAGAUAGCAGUGGCAAUGUUUCUAGCCAAUCUUCUAGUGACCAAGAUGUUUGUAUUAAGGGUAAUUGUAAUUGUCGUCCUAAAACCAUAAAUGUCAUAAGCCAAGAUCAGGAAUUCAUCCUAGAUACUUUAAGAAAAGUUGAAGAUGAAAAGACUAAGCAAAAUCUUUAUGAAGUAUUUAAGAAAUCUGUUGUUAAGGUAGAAGCCAAAAAGACUGUUAAUCCUUACAACCUUAAUGAUAUCUUAAACAGGUUUGACCAGCAGUCUCCCAAGGAAGUCAGCAUUAAGGAACUUCAUGAAGAAGUUAAGCAACAUAAGAAGGAGAUUAAAGAGUUAAGACAAUUCAUAAGUUUAGGUCUCUCUGAUCUCCAAGAUCAAAUCAAUAGAAUUGGCAACCAAGAAAUCCAUAUGGAUAUUCCAGAAUCUUCUCAUGUUAAUGAUAAUGAGACAGAUACUUUUUUGAAUACUGUGAGUAGGGUUAUCUUCCAGAGGUGGGAAGUCUCCCUUACUAUAGUAGUCAAAGAUAAAUUUGUCUUUGAUAUUAUUGCUUUGAUUGAUUCAGGAGCAGCUGAAAAUUGCCUACAAGAAAGUCUUGUACCUAUUCCUUUAUGCGAAGAGACUAGUGAGUCUCUAUUUGGUGCCAAUGGCGAAAGACUUGUCAUUAAGUAUAAGUUAACAGACGUUCAUAUUCGUAACCAUGACAUCUGUAUUAAGCAAACCUUUAUCCUUGUUAAAAACCUUAAGGAAAAAACCCUUGUUGGAAUACCCUUCUUAAGCUCUAUUUAUCCCUUGUGGGUAGAUAACCAAGGUAUACGAACAAAGCUUUCUGAUAAGGAAAUUCUUUUUGAAUUUGCUAAUCCAACUGUAAGCAUCACUCCUUUUAACCAAGAAAUUAACCUUGUUGGGUUAGAUGUCCCAAGUAAGCUAAUAAGCAACCAGUUCAUGCAUAAUGAUAUUUUAAGCAUUUCUUUAUGCAUUUCAAAAUUUCAAAUUGGGAUUUUGAAUCAAGAAUUUUUAUUAAAAUUUAUUUUCAAAGAUUUUGAAAAAAUUAAAUAUAUAACUUUUAAGUAUGAUUUAAUUAACUGGUAUAUUAUUUUAAAAUCUAAGUUUCAAAGUUACUUUAUUAAAGGAGAUUAUUUCAACCCUAAUCAGCUAUCUCGUGAAUUUUGCAGGGUUCAUGAAAUCAUGGCCCCUAAAAAGAAUACCCAAGCUUCUGGCUCUCAAAAACCCCAAUCCAGUCAAGCUAACCAAUCUCGUUCUACCCAUAAAAUGCUUUGGAGUCAACAAGUUGAAGAAGAAGAAGCACAACUUUUGGCAAAGCUUCAUUCUUCUAAACCUAUGCAUGAAUCCAGCCAUAUGCCUAACAAAAUAUUGACCUUAUACUAUGAUCCUUCUGAUCAUUCUAAACCAGUUAAGGCAACACAAUAUCCAGCUACCUCAGGGUCUCAGACCUUUAAGCAGGUUACUAUGGCUAAUCCCUCUCAAAAGGAAUUAGCAACAAGCUCUUCUUUUUCAAGCAAACAAAUUGUGGUGGCUGCCAACCCCACACCUCUUUCAACAAAAUCAAGAUAUUGGCAAAAUGAUUUAAAUCAAUCUCUUUUAGUUAUUGAAAGAGAAUUUUUCUCUGAAAACCCCAGAGAGAUUGCUGCAAAAGCAUUUCAAGAAAAUUUUCAUUAUCCCUCUAGUGAUAUUUUAAAAACAAGAGAGUUUUAUGAAGCAGUCCUUAUAGAAACUGGUUCUGUUAAGAUUAAGCAUAACGCUGAUAAAUUCAGCAAUAUGGGCUUGGCAUUCUCUACCUGCCAUAUCUAUAAGAUCCUUACAGUCAAGCAAUGGGGUGGAAAUCCUAAUCUUUCAAGGGAAUUUUCUGAACCAUCUAAGCCAAGGUUUUUUAAUUAUUGGGAUUAUCAGAGAGCAUGGUUUAAUGCUUUUCUGAUCCAGAAUAGGGACUUCCAUCAUUCAUGGAUGUUCUAUUUUCCAUCUAAGAACCAGCUUUCCUCUUUCCCAUUUUGGUUCUACAGUUGGUGGACUUAUUAUGGUCCAACUAUUAAGAUUCUUCCUAAGCCCAUUCUGGAUGGCUUUGAGCUAUUCAGAAGUUCUUUUAAUAUUCCCAGAGAACUUUCAGCUUUUCCCCCUUUACUAUUCUUUUUCAGCAAUUUUGGCCUGGCUUGGAUAGUCCAGUGGGACUAUAUUAUUAUUACAGACGAAUCAGCAGCCUUUCCAUCUCUGGGAAGGACUUUUAAAACUAAAUGGUGGGAUGCAUUGAAAAAUGAUGCAUCUACUAAUGCAGUCAAGCAGUAUUUCCUCAAGAACCCCUCACAAGUCUCUGCUAGUGAUGAUAUGUCUCAGUUUCUCCUCAAAAAGCAACAGUUACAAGCCAUGCUCGCAGCAGCCAAGACCCCUCAAGAGUUUCAGAAAAUCCUUGAUGAAGGAAGCUCAAGCUUCUCCCAAGAAAAUUCUUAUGCAGAAUCUGACGAUUCAACAAGCUACCUUCCAGACAAUGGUGAUGACUGUGAAGGAAUCCUUCCUCUAAUAAGAAGAUCUAAGUAAUCAUCAAGCCUUUUGUCUUCCAUCAAGAGUAUUUUUCAGGCUUUGCAGCUUCUGUUCCAAAAGCAGCAAGCAUGUGUCUUCAUAGUAUAAAGCAGCUUGCCAGAUGUCUUCUCAGCCGAAAAAGGGUGUUUCGGGGAAUUCCGAUAUAAAAGUGAAUCUUACUAUUCACUAUUCACUAUUCACUACGCACUAUUCAAGCACGGGUCUACUGUUCAUGGCUACUAUUCAAGAUUCCUUUUUUGCCUAUUUAAGGAGGCAAGGGCCUCAUUUGUAAGGACACUUCAAUUUUUAGUUCUGUUUCUCUCUCAAGCUUAUGCUCUCCCUUCUCUCUUCUUUCUCUCUCAUCAUGUAAGCCUUUCAAGCUUUCAAGCUUUCUUCAAGCUUUCCUACCUUUGUCCAUUGUAAGAUAUUUCUCCUUAUGUAUAAUAUAAGUAUGUUUUGAUUACCUCCUAUAUGGAUGGUUUUUAAUUAAGUUUUAUUUUCAUUUUGUUUUUUAUUUUAUUUUAUGUUCUUGUACCGCCUACAUGGACGGUUUUAAUUAAGCUUUGUUUUAAGUUUAUGUUUUUAUUUUAUACCGCCUACAUGGUCGGUUUUAAGCUUAUGAUGAACUAACAAGUUUUUUGGUUCCUUCUCUUUAAAUUUCUUUGUUGGAUAUCUUUUGUAUUUUCUAACCCUCUUCUUUGUUUUGAAUCAUGGCAUAAUUCAUUUGUUCAUUUGCAUAUGACCUUGUCCUGGGUGUCUAUGGUAUCUAUAUAUAUAUAUAUAUAUAUAUAUAUAUAUAUAUAUAUAUAUGUAUAUAUGUAUAUAUGUAUAUAUGUAUGUAUAUUAGCAUAAAAAAGGUUUCACCAAUUAAAUGGUGUCACAUAUACAUUUUUAUAUAACAUGAAUUGAAAAGGUUUCAUCAAUUAGGUAGUGUCACACAUAUAUAUUUCAGUCUCAUAGUUUAUACCAUUGUACCUCGGCCACAUUUGUUACCUUUGUUUAAUGAUCUAGAUCUCACUACAUAUAUUUAAUGGUUCAGAUCUAGACUUCGAUAGGUACCACUACAAAACCCUAUAUACAUCAUACUAACUACUUUUUUAUCAAAACACUUACAAUAGAAAUGCUACAAAUUAGAAGUGUUUUUAUCAAAAUAAUUUCCAAACCAACCAUAAUAUUUGCAUUAGCUUUAACAUAUAAUAUCUUUUACUUUAGUUGUUGAUAUAGCUACAUAUAAGACCAACCAUUCAUAUGAUAAUUAUUAUGGAUCUUAUUUUAAUUUGAUAAAAAUAUCUACCCAAGCAUUACACAGGGAUGACAAUGGGGUGAAAUAUGGACAAGUCAUUCCUAUCCCAACCUCACCCCAUUUAUUCAAAAUAAUUCUCAUUCUCGUCUCAUUGAAGAAAUUAAAUGGAAUGGGAUAGGUAUGAGAAUUUCCUGUACCCACCCCGCUUAACUCUUUUAAUUUCUUUUUUAAAAUUUUUAAUUUUUUUUUAAAAUUUUUUUUAAAUUUGUUUAAAUGCAUUAAAAUAAAUAUAUCUUAUAAAUAAUUUAAAAUUUAAAUUUUUUUAUAACUUAUUUAUUAUUAUUAUUAUUAUUAUUAUUAUUAUUAUCAUUAUUAAAAAUAGGAAAAUAACAAUUUAUAUCUAAUUGAGGUAGGACAAGGUAAUACCUAAACCUACCCCAAACCCGUCUCGAGUUUUAAAAAAAUUCUCAAAAAUGUUUUUAACUCGUUUAUUUAAAUUUCAAAUCCAUCUCAUUAGGGAUGGGGUGAAAACCCGUCUCAUUGUCAUCCCUAUAUGCAUGUCAUAAAUAUAUAAUAAGACAAAUAAUAAUAAAUUAGUAUCUAUUUAGAUAAACUUCUUGUUUUUUGUUUUUAAAAUAAAAAAAUAAUAACUUUUAUAUAAGAUAUAAGGAUACUUAUAUACUUAUAUUUAAAAAAAAAUAAUAGCUUUAAAAAUCAUUUAAAAAAUUUAAGGUAUUAAAAAUUUUUUACUAAACCAAAUUUUAAAAAAAUUUUAAAGUGAUUUUUAAAGAUAUGACAUAAAUUUAUAUUUUUUUUUGUAUAACAUGUUCUACUUUCAUAUAGAAAUUCUAAUUUUAAAAACAAAAAAUAACAGAUGUAUUAAAUGGACACUUUAGCUUCUUAUUUUUUUAGUGGUUCACCUUGCCCCUUAGAUAAGAAGAUUAUGAAAAUUUUCAAUAAUUAUGAAAAAGAUAAAAGUACUAAAAGUGGAAAGACUUUUGACAAAAUUAUGUGUGAGAUGGUGUGCAUCAACUUUAAUUUGGACAAUUAUGUUAAUGGGAAGAUGUUAUCCUCAUCUCAAUCACUAACUUUAAAUUGUAGUCCUUACUGUAUUUUGGAUAAUUAUAUUAACGGGUCAUGUCAUCCUUGUCUCAACUCAUAUUGAUUAUUUAAGUUAUAAGUUAUAGUCACCAUAUCUUAUUUAAACUUUUAUACUAUUUUUUUAUUAUUUUUAAAUAUAAAUCUUAUUAAAAUAAAUAUAAUUUAAGAGUAAAUAAAUUAAUUUUUAUGAAUUUUAUAUUAGCAUUGAUAAAAAUUAUAUUUUCAAUUUUAUUUUAAACAUGUUCAAAAGGGGGAAAACAAAAAAAGAAACUAAAUUAUUUUUAUUGAAUUUUAUAAAUAAAAAUGAUUUAAUUUUAAAUUUUAUGUAAUUUUAUAAAAAAAUUCUCAAAUAUAUCCCUAAUUUGUUUAAAUUUGUCCUAAAUCCUUCUAUAGUUGUCAUCUCUAAUUUUGACCAUAUAAAAAUUAAACCAAAAUGUAAGAAGGUUGAGGAAUAUCAAAUAUAAAGAGAGGUUGAAAAAAUUUAUAAUGCUUAGAGGUAUUUUUCUUACAAAUAGAACUUGUUUGGUCAUGUGAUUUAAAAACAGUUUUUUUUUUUUUAAAAAUAAAAAAUAAAAAACUGUUUUUAAAAAUUUCUAACAAUGUUUGACCAUUGUUAUUUGGAAGCAAUUUUUUAAAAAUAAGGUGAAAUAAAGAACAAUUUUUAGAGAACAAAUAUAAAUUGUUUUCAUUGAUUUUUAAAAACAAAAGGAAAAUAUGAGCCCAUUUGACCAUAUUUUCUUAAACUUGUUUUUAAAAACUUUUUUUAAAAAAGCACUUUUUAGAUUAAAAACAUUUUUUAGAAUCACUACCAAAAUGAUUUUAAGUAUUAUCUCACUUCACCUCAUUUAUAUAUAAAAUUAAGUAAAAAUAAUUUAAUUUCUGUUUCCAUUUCCCCUUUUUAAUCAUAUUUAAAAUAAAGUUACAAAUUUACUUUUUAUCAAGAUAGAAUAUAAAAUUUAUGAAAAAUAAUUUAUUUACUCAUAAAUUACAUUUAUUUUAAUAAAAAUUAAUUUUAAAAAAAACAAAACAAAAGGAAAAAUUGUGCCCAUUUGAUCAUAUUUUCUAAAAACUUUUUUUGAGUUAAAAAAUAAAAAACAAUUUCUAAAAACAAGUUUCAAAAAACAUGACCAAAUGAACGACUAUAUAUAUUUGUAUCACUUUGAAAUAGCACUUAAUAGACACUUACUUGAAUAUCAAUUUUUUUUUUCUUUUCUAUCAUGUAUCUUAUCAUCAAAAACGUUUUCAAACCACUUUUUUGGGUCGUAUCUAGGCACCAAUUAAUUCUUCACAAAAGCGCUUUUUUUCUACUUAAAAGAGUUAUUGAUGUAAAUGAUAUAGGCUAAAAAAAAGCAUAUAAAGCAUUUAUAAGAAUCAAUCCCAAUGGGUUUUAUAAGUUGUGUCAUUUAUGAAGAUUUUCUUGACUUUUUAUAUUAUAAUCUUUCAUAAUUAUGUAAUUCAUAAUCAUAAAUACCAAGAUGUAUACACAUGCAGGUAACACGUCCUCUUGACAAUGAUGUGAGAGGUGUAAUAGACAAGGAACAUACAUACCUGUAUUCCAAGGAAGUACCAGUGCAUUUGAUGACAUUGUUCUAGCCUAAAUUCCAAAUUUUAGCAAUCCAAAAUCUGUAACUUCUGCAAAAGUUACCUAGUUGUUGAGGGAACAACACAUCUUCUCUUCCCAUUUUCAUCUUAUGCACUACAUAUCCCAUGUCAACUACCACUUCCACUACACCUGAAUGAAGUAGGAAUACAAACGAACAUUUCAAGGCAUCAGAUUGUCUGAAAAUUAAAUUGGGAGAGGUAGAACUACCGAUGCUUACAUGGAACUGAGGAAAAGAAAAACAAAAGCAACAAAAAUGGAAGAGAAAAUGCAAAUCCAUAAGCCUGUAGCUGCUGUCCAAAGCAGCUUCUUUGUCAAUUGUCAACAAAAAGUCCACUACGAAAUUCACUGGUAGAGCCACAUAUAGAAUAUUGCAAUAUAGAUAGUAUAUUGAAUGUAGGGUUCUAAACAGUCUCUGACUAAACACCAUUGGAGUAUAGAUAGUAGCUCUUAGAGGGAAGUGAGGUCUUGGUGACCCUGGAAGGUUAAGGCUUCCAGAUACUGGAAUCUUUGUGUGGAGAUAUGUAUGAGAGAUGUAGGAAGGAAGAGGCAAGCUUGUGUCAUCUGAGCAGAGGCAUCCGGAAUCUUUGCGUGCCAUUAUUCAAUCCAAAGAGAUGUUGGGAGAGAUUUGUUCAGGAUUUAUGUGAGGUACAGGCUUUUUCACAAUCAUAAAUAUGAAGGUAUUUAAGUAUGGCAUUUUGGAAUAAGGUGAUCUACCAGUAACAUGGAAGAUAAGGUGAUCACAAAGGACUACACAGUUAUCAUGUUUGGAAUAGUUGUGGUUAGUUAAUUUCAAGCCCAAGUUUUAGCACCUAAAAACAUGCCCAUUUUUUCCAACCCUUUAGCGAGAUUGCACGGAAGCAUUCUCUGGUUGUUAUAUACAUGGUGUCCGCAUAUCAAUCAACACAUUUAGAUGUUUUUUUCUUAAAUUCCAUAUUAAAGUUAUACUGGACACUUGAAUGUGAACAUGUCUGAUUAUAUCUUUUCUUUCCAGACAUGUUUCAUCUCUCCAGUGCACUGGGUUAGGAUGAACCUUAAAGCUCAGCUACAGAAUGAAACUGGAAUAUUAGUCAUGUUUUCUGUUCAUAGAUUUUGAUAAAAAUGUUGAGUAAGAUCAAGAAAGUUGCUAAAUGGGAAGAUGAUUUUCUUACUGUCAGUUCGCAUUGAAAAAAUGGUAAUCAGAAAAGAUAUUUUGGAUAGGAUUCAGAAAGAAAAUAUGUCGAUUCAAAAGUUAAAGAUAUAGUACCCAAGGGGCUAUGAUCCUGUGUAUGGAUGUUUCAUGUUUUAAGAUUGUGCACGAAGUGCUGAUGUUAUAAGGGAUCAAGGGUGGUUUGUGGAGGAGUCCCCUCUUCAGAGUAUUGCAAGUAUGUAGAUAAUCCUGCAAUUCUGGAGUAGGCUUCUUCUAAUUUGCUCUGCACCCAAUCGUCCAGAAUAGUGGAAAGCUUCAUUUAGUUGUAAUAAUUUUAUUAUUUAGAUUGAAUCAUAUUCAUUGGGUUUGCAGAUCAGGAGAAAGUGUCAUGGCUUUGAAUGUUUGUCUCUUUGAUAAUAUCACAGUGCAUUGGUCCACAGAGUUAGCUGUAUGACAGUUGAAUGAAAUGACUGAAAUGUAGCAGUCAAGGGUAUAUAUCAUAUGAAAAUUUUUAAAUAGAGCAACCUGUUUGGUGAUUCUUCAUUUCUUCUUCAUUCCAUCAAGAGAACAGCAUCUCAUGCAUCUUUGUAUUGGGUUCCUCGCUCUUCUUCCACCCUAAGGAAAAACGGUAUCUUGCUUAGUUUGGACUUCUCGAUUUCUUUUGAUCAUUGUGAGAAACAUCAUGAGAAGAGGUACAAUAAAUGUGUUGUGCUGAAUUAUCCAAAACAUUAUUUUCACAAUCAUAAAUACCAAGGUGUUUAAGCAGCAGGUAAGGCAUCUCUUGACAAUGAGGUGAGAGGUAGAAACAAGCAACAUACCUGUAUUCAAGAGAAGUUCUGUUCUUUUGAAAUUUGACAACAUUCAUUUAGUCUGAACUCAAUAUCUGGGCAACUCAGUAUCUCCACCUUCAUUAGGAUUGCAGGAAGCUGGCUUCUUGGAAAGACAUGAAAUGGGGGCAUUUCAAAAUCUGAAAGAAUUUCAGAGACCUGUUGCAACUUUUGAAUUGCUCAAAUCAGUAACAACUCCAGAGACAUACAUAUCUGCCCCUGGGAAAUAGAGGUGUCCUAGGCAUGCAACCAUGGAAGAUUAGCUCCCUAAUAGGCUCAAGGUUGUGGUCAUAAAAAAUGCACUGAGUGGGUGACUUGCAAUCAGUUCUGUGAGUCCCUCUUGGUAGCUUCUCAUUUAUUGCACCAUAUGAAUUACAUAUUCCAACUGCCAAUUUCACCACCCCUAAAUGAAUUAAGAGACAGGCUGAAAGCAAAGUUAGACAACUCAUCAUAGAGUUAAUCCUGCAGGAAUACACCAAAAAGGAAAUCUUAUUAAUAUAAACGAAUUCAUCCAAUUAAAGGAUAAGGUUGUCUGAAAAAUUAAAUUGAGAGAGAUGGAUAAAGUGAUGCUUACAUGGGACUGUGGGAAGGAUCAACAAGAGAAACAAACAUUGAAUAGCAAAUGCAAAGCCAUAGAGCUUGCAACUGCUGUCAAAAGCUGCUCCCUAGUGAAGUCUUUUAACAAUAAAUUUCAGUGCAAAAUUCGCCUAAUUGCUCCACUUGUAGGACAUUUCAAUAGUAUGAAAACAGGAUAUGGUGAACUCUCCCUGCUUCUGCCAUCAGUGAACUAAUAUGGAUCAAAGGUGUACUCAUUGUUGUUGAUUUAAAGGUAGCACCCAAAGGAAGCCCAAGAUACUUGGAAGGUAACAACCCCACUUCACACCCCAAAAUAUCCACCAACUCCUCCAUUAUUGGAACCCUUCCAACUAAGAUUCGCUCACUUUUUUCAAGGUUGAUCUUAAGCCCAGAAAUUGCUUCAAACCACAUCAAGACCCAAUGAAGAUGCAAUAGUUGGUCCUUAGAAGCCUCACAAAAAAUCAAUGUGUCAUCCGCAAACAAAAGAUGAGACACCUCCACUCCCUUGCCACCUCUACUUCCCACCUUAAAUCCUGAAAUAAACACCCUCCCCUAAACAAACAAAAACUCUAUGUUCUUAUCUUCAAGAGUGGAAAGUUAUAGCAUUUUAACUUACAACCAUUGCUUCAAGGUGACUGAAGAUGCAUUCCAUAAAAUGUUAGACAAGUUGCUUAUCAUUUUCCUGACCCCGAAUGCUAUAGGUAGAAGAAAUAGGUAAAUGUGCUUACUAGUAGUGGAUGCAUUCCACAAAAUGCUAGAGAAGUGGUUGUUUCCUUCUCUCUAUCUCUUUCCUUACCUCCUUCCUCACCUCCCUCACCUUCCUAAAUUCCCUUUUCCCUUAUUUUCUCAAACAACUCAAUUGCUCCACAUGAUUUUUUCAUUUUUUAUUUAAAUAGGAAUGCUUCACAAGAUUCAUAUAUUACCUCCUUGCUAAUUUUAGUUAGUUAGGCACUGCCCCUUAAAAACUCAAAUAAUUCUACAUGAUUAUACCUUUGAUGUAGUUAUGAAUACAAGGAUCAUCCAUAACUCCUUCAAUUGCAUGACAUAUUUGUUGUAUUACUGAUUAUAAACUGGCACUAUCAUAACAUGAUCAGCAAAAAAAUAAAAAUAAAAAUAAAAGUUUCUUCUAGAAUUUGAUGGAUGAACCUUAUGGCUAUGUUUGGUUCCUAGAAAAUUUGAGGCAAAAUGCAAGGGAAAGAAAAUAAAAAGGAAAAGUAGAAAGAAAGAAAAAUUGAAGGAAAAUUUAAAAUAAAUUUAAAGUCAAUAAAUUAUUUUUAUAUGUUGCUUCAAACUUAUUUCACUUACUUUAACUAUUGAAUAUAAAAUUAAAUAAUUUGAAAAUUUAUAAGUUUCUAAUUAGUUUUAAUUAUAUUUGACUUUCUUUGGUAUUUUCUAUAGAACAAUCAAACAUGAGAAAAUCAUUUUCCUUAUUAUUAUUAUUUUUUUAGUACUUUUCAAUCUAUUGAGUUUGUCUAUGAUGAUUGGCAUGGGUUAUUUUUUUUAGGCUCAUUCACCAACCAAUUGGUUUGUGGUGUACUGCUAUACUUCUUUUCCAAUUUUAUUUUAUUUUAUUUUUUUGGUUCAUUUUAUGUUUAAAGAGGUUUUAUUUGAUUUGAUUUUAUUUGAUUUUUUUUUAUUUAUCAUAAUUCAUGUGUAACCGCAAUUUCUUUGUCACCAUCACCAUGUGACUCCAUUUAGUGGUUGGGAGAGUUAGAUCUUGGAACAGUUAUGGAAUAACUCCAUCAAUGUUGUGCAUCUUUCUUUGAAAUGUAGGAAAGUGGCUUUUUUAUCUUUUUAUUUUUUGAAUAUCUCCUUCUCAUAAAUAGGUAUGGUAUGCCCAACAACAUUUUAUUUUAUCAAAAUUCUUUGAUAACAUAGCUUAUCAAUAUGAUGAAAGGAUCAUAAUGUGUCUCAUCAACCUGAUUUCAUAUUGCACAAUGGAGCCUAGAUUUUGAAGUUCACUCAGUUAGGAAGGGAAAUCUUGUGUUGAUGUAAUGGUAGAUAUUGUUUUUGUAGUUGGGAUUCUUCAAGGGUUUGGGAGGUGGGAGGAGUUCUAGAGGGAGAGCACUGUGCAGAGAGACCAACUUAGCUGGCUAAUGGAUUAUUCGGCUUCAGAGAAAUGCUUGGAUACUUGAGAACAUGAGAAAAUCUUUCAUUGACUUGUGUGCUAAUAUCUAUUAUCUCACAACUCUUUGAAUACCUGUCACUGUAGAGUUCUUUAGGUUCCCUUUAAUGUAUAUACAUCCUUUUUUGGAUCGAGGAUCAAUAUGCCUCUCCCGUCGGAGAGUGCUUUUGCGCUGGAGGACGCACUGCCUGUGCUAUUUCUAGACUCCUGACUCUGGCCAGUCCACUCUGCACUUUUUUCAGUUUCCAGACACAAUAUGUUAUACAAUUAACAUACCAGCUUCUAUGUGAUCUAAUUCAGCUCCACCUCAAUCAUUGGAAAUAGCAGCAUGCCAACAAUUAUAGUGUGGGCACCAGUUUUUAGUUAUUCACCUGCCUUGCUUUUCUGGUGAAGUCAGGCAGCAUCUUUUCAUUUCAGAAUGCAGCAUGUUGUUGUUUGUGACUUUUUGGCCAUCAGAGCAAUUGUGGAUGGCCCUUCAAUAGAAAAAACUUUGUAGGUGUGUGUUUGUGCCAAAUCAAGGCUCAAGUUAUGAAUGAAAAUAUGAAAAUGAAAAGAGAAACAAAGCAGAAAUUCAUUUUACUAUGUCUCUGUUCUUUCCAUGAGGGAUUAGGCUUAUACCUCUUUGGAAGACUCAGAAUCUCCUUUCGGUAUCUCAAUGGCUCCUUUCUCCUAUAACAUGUUCAAGAAUGCUGCUUUAUUGUGGACCUUCUAUGCCUUUAUUGAAAAAGAAAAAGUGAUAAGAUAUUUCAACCAGUUGAAAAUAGAGGACCCUGAGGCCUGAGAUAGACUGAUGCUAGAUACAAAAUACAUAUGUAUGGAUAUUCAAACUUAUCUAGAAGAAAUAGAAGCAAAUGAUACAUUAUAAGUUAGUGUCAAAAGGUGAACUAAGUCUUCCACUAGAUAGUCUACUUAGAUGUCAAAAAUGUAGUGGGCUCUUUAGCCUCAAGGUAGCCUAAAGCUCAAGUUUGGUUGAUGUUACCUAGCAAACUCAAGACAGAUGGAAAUUUCCAGCCUUUUACAGGUCCAUAGAUGUGUGAUUAUUAGGGCUUUUUAAUGUCAUUUGUGAUGGGGUUUGCUAUUGAUGUGAUGCAGAGGUCCUGAAACUAUUAGAAGGGAUGUAAAUCUGGUGAAAGAGUUGGGUGUUUAUGAUCUUAUGGGGAAGGAGAAUUGAGCAAUGGUUCUCUCUUGCAUGUCACUGGGUCAAAAAGGGUCAGUGAGAUAAAACCACCAAUCCUUUUAGAGACAUUGGCUGAUCAUUUCUUGAAAGUCUAGAUCGAGAAAUCAAGAAGAUGAGAGGUUGAUUAAGAGAGAAGUCAUGUCCUAUGCCAACUUUGUUUGAGUGAGCCAUAUCAUAUACUUCUACCUGGGGUUAAUCUUUAAGGCUGGAGGGUUCAUUGUCUCUUCAUUUUUUUCCCUUUAUUUUUUUCCCCUUAUUGAAUCAUGUUCUUGUACAUCUACUUGUUUAAAGGAUUUCUCAUCCUUCCUUGUAAAUAACUGUUUGCAUAAUAUUAUCACACAAAAACAUAGAUCAUAGACAAGCUGAGAAUUUCUUAAGGAUCCAUAAUGUGAUCUUAUGUUUGCUUCUAGAUCUAUACAUAAUUAUUAGCUUUUAAUUAGCUUAUCUUCAUUGGACUACUUAUGUGGAGAUUUGUUUUAUCUGUUUCUCCGUGUUUCAGGCACAACUAAUUGACCCAGCACUAAAAGGAUUAAUGAACAUUCUAGGAUCUUGUGCAAAAGUUCCAUCAGUCAAAAGAGUAGUUGUAACAUCAUCUAUGGCUUCAGUUGCAAUCAAUGGGAAACCUCUAGCUCCUGAUGUGCUAGUUGAUGAGAGUUGGUUUUUAGAUCCAGUUUUCUGUGAGAAAUCAAAGGUUGCUUAAAUGAGAUGAUUUCCCAUCACAUGCUAUCUCUUUUGCAUGUUCUUGUUUGUGGCUUUACAAAAUGUUUUCUUUUCAUGGCUCUUCACUUCUUUUACCCUGCAGAAGUAGCUGCCAAUUUGUCAUGCCCUCUUGUUUUUACACUUCUGCUAGCCAGCUUAGGGUUAAAUAACACGAUGGGAAUGAGAGGAUUAUCCCUUUAUUUUGCUAAGCCUGCCAUUAGAUUAAAUAAUCCUUCCAUGUAUGUCUAAUAUUUCACUAAUACGGUGUUGGUAGCUGUCUGAUCCAUAAAGUCGCAUUCCUCAAACAAGAAAUUAAAUGAGAACUCUAAUUUGGAUAUUAUAUGAAUGAAAUGGAUGUUAAUCUCUGAUUGUCUUACUGUCCAUUAAACAUGAUGGGCUCAGAAACAUGGGUUGACAAAACAGUUGUGACAUAUCUAAUUAGUUUUAAUGUGAGUGUGUAUGCCUGCACAGCCUCUAUAGAUUUUGCUUGGGUUCAUAAGUUCAUUGCUUGUUCUCUAUGUUCCAUUAUCUACUAGAAAUGCUUCUCACUAUAUAUUUUCAAACAUGUUGGUUUCUACUAGCUAUGGUAUAUGCUUUCAAAGACAUUAGAUGAGGAGGCUGCUUGGAAGUUUGCAAAAGAGAAUGGGAUUGACAUGGUUACAAUAAAUCCAAGGGGGGGUGAUUGGCCCUCUCUUACAGCCUACUCUUAAUCUAAGUGUGGAGGAAGUUCUGAAGCCACUAAAAGGUACGCUUCAACAAUUGAUGAGAAUCUCUUUUUUAUGUUUAUCUUUCUACUCCAGUAGCAAUACAUGCUUCACUUCAAUAUUGAGUCAACUCUAUCCAACAGCCCUGCAAAUGGAAACUUAGAAGUUUAAAUCGAAACUUAUCAAUAAACCGUCACAAGACUUCCACAGUUCCACAUAAAAGGACUACAUAUGCAUUUUGAUAUAUGCUGACUAAUCUUCUAACAUUAAAAAAUUGUUCUCUUCUCUGGUCAUUAUAGUUAUAUCACCAAGAUACUCAUUUGGGAGAUUUGCAUAUGAGAUUAGAUGAAGAUAUAUUUUGUUUUGGUCUCCUAAGCCAGACUGGUUUGGAAGGACCCCUGGACUGUGAAAGGACUAAAAGCAUGCGUAUGUAAUUACUAUCUUGAACUUAAGGUAUAUUUGCAUGCAAGUUCAAUCCAAGGCCAAGAACUUCUUAAAUAACCCAUUAAUCCUUUUGAUCCACCCCAUCUAAAUAUUAUUGCAGCUCAACAUAAUUAGCAUAAAGUGGGGGUUCCCCACAUCCAACUCCAUUGCAAAUGAGUUGUUCAUGUGCAACUCACUUGAUCAGUAUUUUUAAAAACUUCUACUAACUUUUUUGGACUAUUUUACAGAUCUUAACAUUCUUUAAACAUUUAGAAUCAUUUCUAGUGGCUUUAUAGGGAAAUAUCAUGUUACUUUAUUGACAACUCUUACAAUAAUCAAUACUUCCAUAACUGUAUAGCCAAUAUGGUUUGUUUACUUACUAACCAACCUCUUCUGCCUCCAACUGACCUCCCAUGUAUCUUGCUUCAAUUAUGAGGGUGUUGCCAUUAGGUUGAGAAUUGGACAUAUGAUAAACCUGUGCCUUGAUGGUUGUACUCUGAUUCAUGGAUCCAGACCAUUGUAAUUGGGAUUAGACUUGUUGGUAGUUGCUUUAGUUCAAUGCUUGCAAUGACCAAAGUAAUUUGUCGUGCUGCUUUAGAACCAUUCGAUCUUUCAUAUGAAAUAAGAAAGGUAUUUUGUACAAAAUAAUGUUUUCACUUGUAAUUUCCAACAUUACAUAAGGCGAUAAAUAGAAGUGUAUUUGCUAAGUGUGAUUGCAUCAUUUUCUAAGCGUUUCCGUUUGAGACAAACAGUCUAAGAUGAAAAUGUGUGCUUCAAAAAUUUCUAGCUGUAAUACUUUUGAGAUUGUGCCAAAAGCUGGUGGUCGUUCUUCUUCUAUGAAUCAGUUGACAAUGACUAUAAAUAAAUAAAUGGAAAAACAUCAUAUUAUCACUGAGCAGAUUGCACACUAAACUUAAAUAGGCAACAGAAACUGAUGCUUUCAGUACACUUACAUAAUACUUGUGAUGUAAGCUUCUGAGAUUUGUUUGCUGCAGGAGAUACAUUUCCCAAUAAAGCACAUUGAUGGGUUGAUGUUAGAGAUGUUGCCAUGGCACAUAUUCAAGCAUAUGAGCUUCCAAUGGCUAGAGGCAGAUACUGUUUAGUAGGGAGUGAGCUUCCAAUGGCUAGAGGCAGAUACUGUUUAGUAGGGAGCAUUUUACACUGUUCUGAGACAAUGAAGAUUUUGCAGAAGCUCUACCCUGCUUUAAACCUACCUGAGAAGUAAGAUUUUAUUAUUUGCAGGGCAUUAUUUCUAGUUUGCGUUAGUGCCCUUUGAAAUCAAUAUUGCAGCUUAGGCAAUGUUACUUUUUUUUUUGUUUAUUUUGGGUUUUUCUUUUAUUUUUUGAUAGGCUUAAUAUAUACAUAUUCUGUAAAGAAGUACCUAGAAAAAGGGGCACAACUCCGGUGCAAGUAGUAGUAUGAAAGUAGCACUAAAAUGUAAAAAUUAAAAACAAAAGGAAACAACUACAUCAGGAAGGCAACAGACACAAUAAAACAAGUAACCUGCAUUGGAUGAAUAUGUGAUACAUUGAUUUCAUCAUUUGGUUGCACAGACAACACCAAUUGACGAUAGACUAAACUAAGAAACAGUUGUUCUAAUAAGACUGAAACAACACCAUCAACAAAUUAUUGAGAUUUUCACAAAAGGCAUUGCCUUGAGAAUCAAACCUUGGAGAGGUGAAUCCUCUCCAUCUGAAUGAGCUGGGAAGCUGCAAAUUCACCUACCUUGUCGGUCUGUGUUAUCCUCUAUGAUGUGCCAGUGAAUCCAGUAGGAUGUAGCUUGCAUUUACUUGGGCCAUGGCUGGACCACUGUCUUUAAAUACUGUUGUAUGGUUGAAAUAUUUCACAUGCAUGUGUAGCCUUUCUCCAUUCACGGUGGUCAUAAUGGCACGUCUAUGCUAUUUCAACACAUCGCCUUCUUAUGAAUUGCAUCCGAUUCUUAAUAUGUUAUCAAAGUGCUAAGGAUCUAAAAGUACUUCAGUGAUCGGGGCUAAGGAAUUUUCUGAUUUAUAUUAUUUAUUAUGUUUUGGCUUAUCAUAUCCACAAAUGUGUUUUCAAACUUCUAUCAUCAAUAUUGACCUUGGUGGAGUUCCUUCAGAUUCACUGAAUACUUUCUGCCAUUUAGGUCUAGUUAAACCCAUAUUUCAUUCUUCUAGUACAAAAGAACUAAUCCCCAUUGCUUGGGGAUCUUCUCAAUUACCCAAAGAGAUGUGUUUUAAGCUUCAGGUCCGUGUCCUGAGAGUUUUCUUUUCUUCAAUACCAGUCAUUUCACUGAUUGAUUAAGAAACUGUGUUUCUGUUUUAUUUGUGGCAGAUGUGCAGACGACAAGCCUUAUGAACCAACCCAUAUGGUGUCCCAGGAGAAAACUAAAAGUUUGGGCAUCGACUUCACUCCUCUGGAGGAGAGCCUGAAGGACACUGUGGAAAGCUUGAGGGAGAGGAACUUUGUCAGUUUCUGACACAUGGUAUAGCCAUGCAAAUGAAUCAUAAACAAAAAAUGGUGUCUUCUUGGUAACUUCAUUGUUAAGUGUGUUGGAGUCAUGUAUUUUCUAAUAUGUUCAUGGUAAGCAAUUCCCAAGACAUGCUACAAGUUCUCCAAAAGAAAAACAACGACAUAUAAAAAGCGGUAACUUCUAUUUCUGCUUCUGCUCAACAACAAAAGCUAUCAACUAUCCUAAAUGGGCUCCAGGGAGAUUCGUAGACCUUAGGUCCCUUCCAAACUAGAUUUUUUGUUUGGGAAGUAACUGAGGAAGAUUUUCACUUGUCAUUAACUUAUGCAGAGGUUGGUAGCUAACGAACUAUGUAAGGGCAAUGUUCUUGAUUAUACCAUAUGUAAGGACACAGUGAGCUCUGCCUUUAGAAAUGUAGGCAGUGAGGUGGCAUGGUCCAUUAACUUCAUUCUGUGAUUGGCUGCUCAACCAUUCCAAAACAAGGGAAAAUUAUGCUUACUGAAGUUUUACUUUCUGUUGGGUUUGAUAGAAUCUCUGCUCAUUUUGUUUCUUAGAGUACUGAAAUGAUUAGAGACAAUAAGAUUGAAACCCCAAAUUUUUUUUAAUAACUGUUGAAUAUAAAUAUGUUUUAUAAAAAAUAAUUCUCACUAAUAAACCCCGGUAGUGCUUUUAUCAGAAAUGCUUAAGUUUCAAAUUUCAUUAUUUUAUUCUAAUUCUAAAAUUUUGUGCCUUAAACUUGAAUAAUGUUGAUAUGAGACUCAAUAGUAGUGAAGUAGUUUUCAAACUGCAAACUUAGAAACAAAAUUAUCAACCAAACCAAAACUUAAAAAAAUGCAAGUAUAAUUUCCAUCCUUGCAUGGUGAAAAAUUAUAGUAGCAUUUCAGUUUGUACCAAGCAGAUGAUCCAGAAUCAUGGAAUGGAGAACCAGGACUACUUCCAAAAAAAUAAAAAUAAAAAGGGAAGUCAAAGGCAAAUGGAUAUCCUUGUGGGAUGAAAACCGAGGGUAAAAGCAAGGGGAUGACGGAAGCUGACAGUGACCAAGGAGGUCAAAACGCUGACUCAUUCGCAUACGCUAGCAUUUAAAUUCACGUACGCAUUCGAAAACAGGUCACACUCUCUGUAUAUUGUCUCUAUAUACACCAAGUGUACAAGUGGAUAGCAUAGAUUUGAAGGUGAAAGUGAGUGGUCCAGGGAGAUGAAUAGUGGAGAAGGGGAGGUGGUGUGCGUGACUGGAGCUUCUGGGUUCAUAGCUUCAUGGCUGGUGAAGCUCCUACUCCAACACCGUUACACUGUCAAAGCUGUUAAAAAAUCUGGAGAAAGGAACUAAAACUUUCAGAAAAUAUUAGAGUACUGAGUUGGAGAAAGACACACACUAUAUUUCACCAAAGAGAAUGCCUAUUUAUAGGCUUACAACCAAACUGAAAAUGCUAAAAACUCUCAGCUGCUAUGACUACUUCUACUAACAGAAAAACUGAAAAUCAGAGAUAGCAAAACAGAGACUAAGUCUAACUAAGACAUUUUCAAAGGCAAACUCUCAUGAAUUCUAACACUCCUCCUUGAGAUUUGCCUUGGACAUACCAAGCUUCAACCUUAGGAACUCCAGCCUUGAUUUAGGAAGUCCUUUAGUCAUUAUGUCAGCAAGUUGCUCAUCAGUUGAGCAAUAAUGCAGCUUAACAAGUGAAUUCUUUUCAGCUUCCCUUAUGGAGUGGAAUUUUAAAUUUAUGUGCUUGGUUCUGCCAUGAUGGACAGGAUUUUGAGCAAUGGAAAUGGCUGACUUAUUGUCACAGAAAAGCUCAGUUGGUGAGCUUUGUUCUUGGCCUAAAUCAGCAAGCAAUUUUCUCAACCAUAUUGCUUGAUUUGCAGCAGCUACUAAGGAGAUAUACUCAGCUUCUGUAGUUGAUUGUGCCGCUACUUCUUGCUUUCUUGAAUUCCAGCAUAUGACACCUGAACCGAUUGUAAAUACAUAACCUAAAGUGCUCUUCAUAUCAUCAACACUUCCUGCCCAAUCACUAUCAGCAUAACCAUCUAGCUUAACUCCUCCUGUCUUUAAAUACCAAAUGCCAAGAUUUGUUGUACCUUUAACAUACUUUAGCACCCUCUUUGCAACUCCCAUGUGAACAUUGCUAGGUAAACUCAUGAACCUUGAAAGCAAACUAGCUAGAAACAUCAAGUCAGGUCUGGUUACUGUCAAGUAUAGUAGGCUGCCCACCAAGCUUCUAUAUGCAGAGGGUUCCUCAAGUUUCUCACCAUCAUUCUUUGAAAUUUUCUCAUUUUGUGCCAGCGGAGUUGCUACUUCUUUGCAUGAUUCUAGCUUGAAUUUCUUGAGAAUAUCCAUAACAUAUUUUCUUUGUGAAAUGAAGAUACCCCAGCUGCAUUGGUAUAUUUCCAUUCCAAGGAAGUAGUUCAUGAUGCCAAGGUCAGACAUCUCAAAUACAUCUUGCAUUUCCAUUUUGAAAUCAGCUAGCAAUUUUACAUUGCUUCCGGUCACUAGCAUGUCAUCAACAUAAAGUGAUACUACCAGUUGCAAACCAUCAUCAUUUUGUUUCAAAUACAAAGUAGCUUCAUUUUCACUCCUCCUAAAUCCAAGUUGGAUCAGAUGAGAAUCAAUUCUGCUAUACCAGGCCCUUGGUGCUUGCUUCAAACCAUAGAGAGCCUUAUGUAGCUUGUACACUUUGUGUUCAUGGCCAAUAACCUCAAAGCCUUCUGGUUGUUGAACAUAAAUUUCUUCAAGAAGUAUACCAUUUAGAAAAGCUGACUUGACAUCUAAAUGGUACACUUUCCAUCCCAUUUGACCAGCAAGUGCAAGUAGUAGCCUUAUAGUGUCAUGUCUGGCUACUGGUGCAAAUGUAUCACCAUAGUCCACUCCAGCAACUUGAGCAAAACCCUUCACAACCAAUCUAGCCUUGUGCCUGAAGAUUGAACCAUCUGAAUUAAAUUUAGUUCUGAAAACCCACUUUACACCAAUUGCAUUCUUAGCUUCAGGUAGUUCUGUCAACUUCCAGGUUCCAUUUCUUUCAAUAGCAUCAAUUUCAGCUUUCAUGGCCUCAAUCCAUUCUAGAAAUCUUGCAGCUUCCGUGUAACAUGUAGGCUCAACAUGUACAAGAUUGCACCUCUCGUACACAUCAGAUAAUGGCCUCAUCUUAAGCACUGGUGUGUCUGAAGUUGCUUCAACAUCAAGUGGACCUUCAAUGAUUGUACUUUCUAUUGCUGGUUCAAGAAUAGAUGGAGUGGUUUGAUCACAUUUAUGAACUUUCUUCAAGUCCCAAUUCCAAUAGGAGUUUUCAUCAAAGUGCACAUCUCUACUUAUCACGAUUUUCAUUCUACUCAAGCUAUAAAUUCUGUAACCUUUUGAUUCUGCUACAUAACCAACAAAGACACCUUUCUCAGCUCUUUCAUCAAGCUUCCCUCUCUUGACAGAUGGCACAUGAAGAUAACAAAAUGAGCCAAAAACUUUCAGGUGCUUGACAGAAGGUUUUACACCAGACCAUGCCUCUAUUGGUGUUUUGCUCUGAACAGACUUAGUUGGUAGUCUGUUAAGCAAAUACACUGAGGUGUUGACUGCUUCAGCCCAUAGAAGCUUUGGUAGCUUCUUCUCGAAUAGCAUGCACCUUGCCAUCUCCAUCACGGUUCUGUUCUUCCUCUUAGAGACUCCAUUCUGCUGUGGUGAGUAUGGAGCUGUUAGCUGGUGUACAAUUCCAGCUUCUUGACAAAAGACACUAAACUCUUUUGAGGUAUACUCACCUCCAUUAUCAGUUCUGAGCACCUUAACAUUCUGGCCACUUUGAGUUUCAACCAUUUUCUUGAAGCUUUUGAACAUAGAGAGCACUUGUGACUUGGUUUUUAGAAAAUAAACCCAAGUCAUUCUGCUGAAAUCAUCAAUAAAUAGUGCAAAAUACACAUUGUUGCUCAAUGAGGUUGUGCUCAUUGGUCCACAAAUAUCUGAAUGGAUUAAUUCCAGCUUGUGAGUAGCUCUCUUGGACAUAUUUUGAGGGAAUGGCUGUCGUUGUUGCUUCCCUAGCUCACAACUUUCACAAGUUUGAGCAUUAACUGAGAUUUCAGGCAUGUCUUCAACCAUACCAGCUUCUUGCAUGAACCUCAGUGACUUCAAGUUGAAAUGACCAUAUCUUUUGUGCCAAACAACACUCUCAUCAAUCUUGGCACUAAAGACAUGACCUUCAACUAAAUCAAGCUUCAAAUAAAAACUAUUUCCAUUCAUUUUAAUUUUUGCUAUCUUUGUUCCGUGUACAUCAGAGAUAAAACAAAAAUUUUCUUUGAAAGAGACUGCAUAUCCAUUUCUUAGCAUUUGUGCAACACUAAGAAGAUUCUGAUCUAAAUCUGGAAUAUAAAGAACAUUAGUGACAAUUUUUGUACCUCUCUUGGUGCUGAUAGCAAUUGUCCCUUUUCCUUUGGCUUGCACAACUUCACCAUUUCCCAACUUGACCUUUGGUUGAACUGAUCUAUCAAUGGAGGUAAAUAUUGACAGAUGUUUGGUCAUGUGACUCGUGCAGCCACUGUCAAUGAGCCAAGUAUUCAGUUCAUGAGAACUGAGUGCUUGUGAUGCCAUAAAUAAAUGCUCAUCAUCAUUUUUGUCUUCUUCAGUCACACUUGCAUGUUGUUCUGGUUGGUGUUGAGAUUGUUUUUUUUUGGCUCUGCAAUACUUCUCACUGUGGCCAAGUUUAUUGCAGAAGUUACAAUUAAAGAGAGGUUUACCUUUGUGCCAACAAUCUUUCUCAGCAUGGUUGGUUCUUUUACAAUGAGAGCAAGGCGAAAAUUUUCCUUUUCUUGAAGACCCUUCAGCUUUCCCUCUACUGUUCUUGAAGAACUUCUUUCCUUGCAAGUUUCCAGAAUUCUUUCCCUUGUGAUUUGCUUGAAAAGCACCUUCAGUAGCUUCAUCACCUCUCAUUAAGACCCUUUGCUCCUGUGCAUGAAGCUUGCUGGUUAACUCUACAAUUGUGAGAGUUUGCAAGUCACAAGACUCUUCAAUUACAGAAAUCUUGGCUUCAAACUUUUGAGGCACUGAAACCAUGAUCUUUUCUACCACCUUUUGAUUUGUAAAUGCCUCACCAAGAAGCCGCAUUUGGUUUACAACAUCCAUUAACCUGCCAGAAUAAUCUUUGACAGAUUCGUCGUCUUUCAUCUUCAUCAACUCAAACUCUCUCUUCAAUGUGAGGAGUCUAACAUUUUUGACUCUUUCACUGCCAUCAAAUUCACCCUGGAGCUUGUCCCAUACCUGUUUAGGUGUUUCCAAGUUCAUGAUUUUGGUGAAGAUGUGGUCUGCAAGUCCUGAAUGUAGGCAAGUGAUGACUUUGUCUUUCUUGAGUUUUUCUUCCUCAUAUGCUUUCAUCUGAGCAACUGUAGGAUUUGCUCCCAAUGGUGGUGGAUCAGCUUCUGACAUCACAACAUUCCACAAACCUUGAGACCUUAAGUAAAACCUCAUCUUGACAGCCCAAAUGUGAUAGUGUUCACCAUUAAACACUGGAAUUACAGAGGAAAUAUUGCUAGAAGGAGUCAUGUUUGCACCACAGUUGCCUGAAAAAAUAGAUCACUCAACCUCACUAGUGUUUGCACUCAACCUCACUGUGUUUAGUACUCAAAACACUCAAAAACUUUGCCUCACAGCCCGUAGGAAUUUUGCUCUGAUACCACUGUUAAAAAAUCUGGAGAAAGGAACUAAAACUUUCAGAAAAUAUUAGAGUACUGAGUUGGAGAAAGACACACACUAUAUUUCACCAAAGAGAAUGCCUAUUUAUAGGCUUACAACCAAACUGAAAAUGCUAAAAACUCUCAGCUGCUAUGACUACUUCUACUAACAGAAAAACUGAAAAUCAGAGAUAGCAAAACAGAGACUAAGUCUAACUAAGACAUUUUCAAAGGCAAACUCUCAUGAAUUCUAACAAAAGCAACCGUUCGAGAUCCAAGUCAGUUCUCUAUCUCAACCUUCGAGGGCAUAUUCACUUAUAUGUGCUUCCAUUUAACACACUAGUUGUGCUUACAUUGAUAUGUAUAUAUGCGACAGAUGAUCCAAAGAAGACACAACACUUGCUUUCACUCGAUGGAGCUCAGGAAAGACUUCAUUUAUUCAAAGCGGACUUAUUGGAAGAAGGGUCUUUUGAUUCUGCAGUUGAGGGAUGUAAUGGUGUUUUUCAUACUGCAUCCCCUGUUGCAUUGGAAGACAUUAACCCUCAGGUUCAUCCUACACUACUUUAUAUCCAUGGUUUGAGGUUGUUCAUUAAUGAUCUUGAACCUUCAUGGUCUAUAUUUCAAUCCAUACUAAUGGUGUUUUCCACCGAUGAAUCACUUGACAAUAUCCAAGAAAAUGAAUGACAGAACAUCAAAAUAUUCACAAGCAAAUUGCAUACUUUAUAUCAAGAUAUUUGAAAUUUGUUUGUUGCAGGAGCUCAAACAUUUCCCAAUAUAUCAUCCUAGUGGGUUGAUGUUAGAGAUGUUGCCAAUGCACACAUUCAAGCAUAUGAGAUCCCAAAAGCUAGUGGAAGAUACUGCUUAGUAGAGAGGGAUUUACACUAUCUUGAGACACUGAAGAUUUUGCGCAAGCUCUACACUAGAUUACCUCUACCUGAAAAGUAAGUUUCUAUUAGUUAUUUCUAGUGCUCGUUAGUGCCAUCAUUAGAAGCAAGUGAGACCAACAUGAUAUUACUUCUUAUUGUUCCAUUGGAUACAUUGAAGAGUACCUGCCAUCUUGUUUCCCCUUAAAUAUUUAUGCCUUGGUAUCAUGCAAAAAAUUCUUAGAUGGGACCCACACGUCUUUGAUAAUUGGUUGCAGAUGCGCAGAUGACAAACCUUAUGCACCAUCCUCCCAGGUAUACCAAGAGAAAGCAAAGAGUUUAGGCAUUCACUUCACUCCUCUAGAGGUGAGCCUGAAGGAUACAGUUGAAAGCUUGAAGGGGAAGAACUUUGUCAGUUUCUGACUCAUGGUAUUUAAUGCUAGACUUGCAACUAAAUCAUAAACUAAUGGUGCUUUCCUGCUAAUUUUAUUGUUAUGAACCUCACUGCACCUAUGAUUUGCUAGGUUUUGGGGCUUUUAUCUUAUAAUAUUUGAUUGUAAGCAUUUCUUAUGCUAGAAAUUGGUAUCUGUAUCAACUAUAAGUUUCCCUGUUCAAGUUUCCUAUUCGUGUUAGAAUAAGGUGAAACUAAAUCACACUUAGGAAGAGGGAAUUAGUCCAAGUGGAUUAUAAGGGUCCAAGAAUGGAAUCAGUCGAUGGAAGUGGUAGAAUAUAUUGAACAAAAUUAUAUAUACUACAGUAAGACACAAAACCGAAAAUUGCUUCAUAUUAAUAAUUAAAAGACAUAGGAAACAACAGGCUUGUGUCCUUGAGCAUCAACCCCAUUAUUCCACUAGCCAUGUGAUACGAAAUCCCUGCUCCAACUCCUAUUUGCUUGUAGAUCAUAGUUAUGUGGGCAACACCAACUCCUAUUUACUUGCAGAUCACAGUUACAUGGGCAACACCUCAACACCUGGCUUGAAUUUCGAUUUGUUGCUACUUUCCUAGUCUUAGGCCACUAUUUGUGUUUCAGUUGUCUGUGCAUCUAUAAAUGCACCUGCAUGAAGUGAAUAAAGGAAAAAACUUCUAUCUCCUAUCUCUCUUGUCCUCUCUCAAAUUAAACUCAUCAUUUGGUAUCAGAGCCAGGUUUAUUCAUGGACACACAAGGGAAAACCAAUGUUGAGUUUCGCAAUAAGGUCAACGAAGCCUUGGCCCGAUGUGAGUCAAGUUUUGAUCAGGUGAAUGCCACUCUAUAGAUGGUUUUGAUGGAGCUCCAAGCUUUGCGAGUAACUCAAAGUUCCAGCCACCCCCAAUCAGAAAUCAACCCCUUUGCACCAGAGGGAUCAACCCACCACUUGCACACCGCUAUCGUAACCACCAAUACUGACCCAUAUCUUCAACAACACCUCAAGCUAAAUUUUCCCAGAUUCAAUGGGGAAGACCCAAUCAGUUGGAUCUAUAGGGCUGAAUAAUAUUUUGAGUUUCAGAAAAUUGCAGUUGAAACCCAAGUUCAGUUUGCCUCCUUCCAUUUUGAAGGAAUCGCACUCCAAUGGCACUGCUGGUUGAUGAAGUUUCGAGGACCCCUUUCUUGGAAUGAUUUCACCAAGACCAUUCUCCUCAGGUUCGGUUCUACCAAAUAUGAAGACCCUUCUGAAGCAUUGUCCCGCCUAAAGCAGACAACUACAGUGGCUACAUACUAGGAGGCAUUUGAGAGACUCUCCCAUCAGGUCGACGGAUUACCUGAGCCAUUUCUCAUCGAUUGCUUUAUUGCAAGGCUGUGUGAUGACAUUUGCCUAGACGUCAAGAUUAAGCAACCACGCACGCUUGUAGCCGCCAUUGGAGUGGCAAGACUAAUUGAAGAGCGCAAUCUCCUUCAAAAGAAAACAACAACUCCUAGUCGUAUCCCAAUGACGACGACGCUACAAAAUGGACCCAACCCUCCAGUGGGAAUUCUUGGCCCCAAUCCAACCCAACAGUCCAACAAUAGCUCAAAUCCUUCCUUAAUGUUAGUUCUUCGAAUCACCAGUCAGGAGGCUCAUGAGCGGAGGGAGAAGAGAUUAUGCUACUAUUGCAAUGAGAAAUACUUCCAAGGACACCGAUGCGAACGACCCUAGUUUUUCAUGAUCGUAGAUACACCACUAGAGGAGGAAGAAACUCUAGACGACAACCAGUAAGGAAUAAAAGAGAUUAACACCUUACCCGAGAUAUCAUUCCAUGCCAUUACCAGGGGUGAACACCUGCAGACUCUCCGUGUUCUAGGCCGAUUGAAGAACAAGUACCUAACUGUCUUGAUCGAUGACAACAACACUCAUAAUUUCAUCGAUCAAAUAGUUGUCUCCAGAUUCGGAUUGCUAGUAGUAAGGGAGAAGAAAAUCCAGGUGGUCGUGGCGAAUCAAGAAUGGAUCGAGUGUAUGGGGCAAUUUCUAGGACUUACGCUCAUCAUCCAAGAAAUUCCUGUCACUGCAGACUACUACAUCCUACCAAUGGCAGCUUGUCAGGUGGUCUUGGGGGUCCAGUGGUUGGAGACUCUAGGUUCAAUUGAAUCAGACUAUAAGGCUCUCACUAUGUCAUUUAAAUUGGGAGGCGCUAGGCACACUUUCCAUGGGGUAAGAUGCAUUGUUGUAAUUUUUAACAUUAAGGCUUUGGAUGACAGGGAAUGUACAAAUCUACGGGGCACAUGAUUUUUUUUUUCAAAUUAUUCCUGUCCAUAACCAGUCCCCUUCACAUCGACGAUCGCCAGAAAUGGAAGAGUUGUUGAACCAAUAUGCUCGGGUUUUCGAGAAGCCAAACAACCUGCCUUCCAAACGCCAUAUGAUCAUCGAAUUCCACUACUGCCCAACAUCGAACUAGUUAGUGUGAGACCAUACUGAUAUUCCUACUACCAGAAGGUAGAAAUAGAGCGGAUGGUGGUUAAAAUCCUUUGUUCAGGACUAAUUAGACCAAGUACUAGCCCUUUCUCCUCACCAGUGUUGUUGGUCAAAAAGGUAGAUGGAUCUUGGAGGUUUUGUGUCAACUACAGGGCUUUGAAUAGUAUCACCAUCAAGGACAAGUACCCUAUUCCAAUGAUUGAUGAGUUAUUGAAUGAACUCUAUGGGGCCAAGUUCUUCUCUAAAUUGGAUUAAAGAUUAGGAUACCACCAAAUCCGAAUGCAAGCAGAAGAUAUUCUGAAGACUUCCUUUAGGACCCACAAAGGACACUAUGAAUUCGUGGUCAUGCCCUUCGGGCUAACCAAUGCCCUAACAACUUUUCAAGGCCUCACGAACGAUUUUUUUUUGUUCCCAUCUCUGGAAAUUCAUCCUCGUAUUCUUCAACGACAUAUUGGUAUACUCCAAGUCUUGGAAGGAUCAUUUAUUGCAUCUACAGAUUGUUUUUGAUAUACUGUCCAUUAACCAACUAUUUGUCAAAGAAUUAAAAUGUCAAUUUGGAGUUACACAGGUCACCUACCUAGGCCAUAUUAUUAUAGAAAAAAGAAUAUUUGUUGACCCCAAGAAAAUACAAGCAGUAGUCACUUAGCCUAAGCCCACUACAACCAAAGAAGUACGUGGGUUCUUACGCUUAGCAGGGUACUAUAAAAAAUUCAAAAGCCAUUUUGGCAGCAUGGUAGCAUCCUUAACCAAACUCCUGACCAAGGACCAAUUCGAGUGGAGCAGUGAAGCAAAAGACGCCUUCCACAAAUUAAAAGAGGCAUUGACCAAUCCACCAACCUUACGUUUUCCAAACUUCACUCAACGGUUUGUGAUCGAAUGUGAUGCAAGUAGGACCGGGAUAGGGGCAAUUCUUACUCAAUACAACGACCCUGUGGCUUAUUUCAGCGAAACUUUAAAAAGAUCUGCUUUGGCACUAUCCACCUAUGAGAAAGAAAUCACUAUAAGAAAAAACGCUAACCAUGACGCUUUUUAAGUGUCAAGAAAUACAUUCAAUGGCGCUUCCCCAAAGCAUCAUCUACUAGCCUGUCAUAAUAAGUAUUUGCCUACAAUGACGCUUCUAGAAAACGUCAUUGAAAAGAACCUUGACGCGUAAAAAAAGUGUCAUCAUUAGUCAUAUCAAACUACAUUGACACUUUUAUAAGCGUCAUUGUUGAGUAGAAGAAACCUUGACACUUUCUAUAAGUGUCAUUGUUUAGCAGUUUCAAAUAUUAAAGUAUAAGGACACUUCUAGAAAGCGCCAUUAAAGAGAACCUUGACACUAAAAAAAGUGCCAUUGUUAGUUGUUUACACUACCUUGACACAUUUAUUAGUGCCAUUAUUGGGUUGUAUAAAUGUUAUUGAUGGUUACUCUCAUUCCUUGAAACUUAGUCAAAACAUCAAGGAAGAUAAUUGUUUAAUUUUAAAUUUAGUUUUAAUUUAAUAAUUGUUGCACCUAAUUUUUCACCUGCUAUUAAAAUAAUGCAUACACAUAAGAAAAAAAGUAUGUACCAAUGAAAUUAGUUGUUGCACCUAAUUUUUCACCUGGUAAUACAUUCCAAAUUGCAGUAUUUAAUCACAAAUAGAGAACUUGUAUUUCAUAAAUAAGAAACACAAAAAAAAAAAGCUAAAAUAUAUUAAAAAAACAAAAAAAAUUCACAACUUUAAUGUUUAGUCCCUUAACAUAGUCCAUUUUUUCUUUACAUGCAACCCAAUUGUGCUUUGCUUCAACAUACUCCUUCAUACUAGCUUAUCCAACUACAAGGUUAAUUUCCCAAAAAGAUGACCUACAUGCACAAAAAACCUAAAAUCAAUUACAAUUUUAGAAAAUAUAUAUAUAUAUACAAGUGAAUACUUCUAGAAAUAGAGAGAAAGAAAUGACAAUCAAAAUAUAAUAGGAAAACAAAUGUGUAUACCAAUUGAUAUAUGUGACACUAAGAAUAAUUACAACAAAAUUACUAUCAAUAGUUAAAACACAAAGCAAGAGAUUAAUCAAAUAAGGGACAAGAGAACAUCAACAUCAAUAAUCCAUUAAAUCUUUUAGCCCAAAAGAAAAUAGAAAAACAAACCAAGUUUGGGACAAGAGAAUAUCAACAUCAAUAGUCCAUUAAAAUAUUCAAUUAGACAUCAUCUAAUAGUAAUAGGCCUCAUCGAAUGCGCAACAUUGACAAAGAAAGGUUUGGGAAUAUGGUGUAACAUGAAAUAAAUAAGGUUCACACCAUGAUACUUUAUCAACUAAGUUUUUUGUUAAGUUAAAAGAAUUAACAUUUCCCACCAUCUGAGAUGCAUUGCAACAUUGCAUCCAAAAUAGUAGCCAAUUGUAUCAUACUUAUCAUUCAUCUUAUUUAUCACUAUCAAGGCUAGCAACAACUAUAUAAAUUCCACAACCUAAUAAUAAAUAAAUUGGCCUGUAUAAAAAAUGUAGAGAAGAAUAUCUGCAACUUAAUAGAAGAUAAACAUCUUCUAAUGAUGAACACAUAGUAUUCACAAAGCCAUAGGUGUUUACACAUACACAUAAAUAAAUAAAUAAGCAAAUAGUAUUCACAUAAACAUGAAAAAAUCCAAUGAAAAGUAUAGAUGUUUCUUCAAUGGGACUUCAAAGCCAUAGGACAAAUAGUAGACUAUAUCUUCUAUGUAAUUUUAACUGAAAGAAAAAUUGCAAAUAUCCUAUAACACAGUUGAAAUUCCAAGAUUGAUCCACCUACUAAAAUUAGUUAUAUUAUUUAAUAAUAAAAUUUUUUAAAAUAUACUACAUUUAUAGAAAUAUUAAACAAUUUUCCACUUCAUAAAAGUAGUGCAUAAUAUUUAUUAUCAAAAUAAAGGAGAAUAUUUUUUUUUACUUCUAUUAUAGAAAAUAAAGAUUACAUACAAAAGACUUGUCUUCUCAUCAAGUACCAUAUUUAGAUUUGUAAAUAAUCAAUUUUUUUUUAUAUAUAAAGUACCCAAUUAUACUUCCAAAUUCAUGAACAAGUUUGAAUCAUGUUUUCAAGAAAGAAAAAACCUAAAACAAAAAAACAAAAAAAACAACAAAAUAGAAAAGGCAUUGCUUUAUGAAAUAGUUUAGAAGAGUCAAUUCUUUCAAGGAGUACAAGACUCCACUUAAAAUAGCAAUAAUUUUUAAUUUCCAAAAACCCACAUAGGUCUUGACACAGGUUCAGCCAAAUGACAUAACCCAUGGCCAAUGAGAGAGCCCAGUUCAAGCCAUAUUGCAACUUUUUUCACAUGACCACAUGAAAUUUAAAAGCACUCACCUUCCUCAAAAUAACAACAUCAAGAUCGAUUUGCUCUAUUGUUAAUUCUUCAACUUCUAAAACAGCUUUUGGAAUAACUUGGUAAAAAAUUUGACAUAAUCUCUGACUGCACAUACAAUUUUAUUAUUCACUUAUUACAUGCCCAAAUUAACAACAUUAUUUGCAACAUGAAUGAAAAAAGAGAAAGAUGGAAAGGAACAAAGCCCAAAAAGAAACAAUACUAUAAAUCUUUUAAUGUCCUUAAGAAGUGAAAUUAUAUAUUUUAUUCAACAUCCCACACACAGAAAAAAUAAAACUGAAAAUGCAUUACUAAAAUCAAUUAAUCAUGGCAUAACCAAUUUUCUAACAGCCCAAUACAUAUUUAUGAUUCUGCAUUUUUAGAGAGAGAAAACGCAUGGAGUAGAAAGAGGGAAAAGUGUGUACAUUGUCAUUUAGAGAAGAGCAACAACAAAAGAUUCAAAUUUGGAUUAAGAGUAUGUUACCUAAAAAAAUAAAUCAAAUUAAAUACAAUGAGCUAGCACCCUUGUUUUUUUUCCCUCUGCUUCUUCAUUAAUUAUCUUCCAUCAUCCUCAUUGACUAUUGUGUGUCAUUUUGUUGACCUACUUUUUUUUCUCUCAAUAUUUUAGAAUUUAAAAUAACAAAUAAUCUACCUAUAAUGAAAGAAAAAUAAAUUCAUUUUUAUUAAACAAUAUAACACCCUUUAAAUCAUUUUUAUUUCUCAAUAUUUCUAAAAGAUUGUUUCUUGUUAUAAAAGAUUAUUAUGUUUCUUGUACUAAGGAUUAUUACGAAAUUCAUAUUAAUCCAAAGUUAAGAAAAGGAGGAUAACAAUAAUAUAAUGUUUUUACUAUGAGUGUGUAUCAAAAAGUAAUUUAUUAGGAAUCAAAAAGUAGUGUAUGGAAACAAAAUCUGACUACAAGAUGAUUGAAAACUUUUGGGGCAAUAAUUUAUUAGGGAUAGUUCAAGUCCCAUCUCUUACAAAUUAGAACAUUGAAUCAAAAUAUCUUGGAGGAAAUAAAUACAAUCAAAAUUAUCAUGACACAUGAGACAACACUAACAAAAAAUAGAGAGGUUUUGUAUUCAGAGCAGUGCGACACAUUAGACCACAAAAUAAGCAAGCUUUGAAAGUACUUCUCCAUGAAGUUCGUGCUUAUGUAGCCUCCAACAGCUCUCCUCUUCCAUGCCAUUGGUUAACCACCAAACUUUGCUAAAUUCAAAAGCUAAGAUGUGAAAGAAAUUGCUAACAUUCUAAAAAUUCGCCCCAACCUUUAGGAAUUCAACAAUUGGACUUAAAGUUAAAAUUAUUCUCUACAGUGUACUAGCCCACAUCUAAUCCACAGCAAAAUCACAAGAAAUGCCUACAAUAAAUUUGUAAGUAUAAUUGUUUUUUAUUUAUUGACUUAAAUAUACUUAUCAUUUAAAAAUCUAAAAGCAACAAGGUUUCAGUGAUUUUAGAAAAAGUGAAUGUGUUACAAGAAAUAACAAUCCAAAGUUUAAUAUAUAGUAAUUAAAUUUUACUUCUAAUAAUAAUAAAAUUCAUAAUAAUUUUCAUAUUAGAAGAAUUGGAGAUAGUUAAUAAAAAAAAGAAGAAAAGAUAUAGAUUAAGUUGGAUAUAUAAUUAAUAAGAAUAAUCUAUAUAGUUAACACCUUUAAAGCAAUUUAUUUGUGCAUAUACAUUAAUUGAAAUUAAUAUACUUAUAAAAAAGUCAAAUUUAAUUAAUUUCUUGUCUUAAAUUAAGUUAGAUUAAUGAGCAUUUCUUAUGCUGUAAUUUAUCUUUGCUAUUAUUUUGUUAUAUUUGCUUCAUUAUUUUAUGAAUAAAACAUAUAUAGCAUUUUCAUAGCUAAGGUUAUUAAUGUAUAAAAAGAGAAAAAGGGAAACACUUACAUAGCAACACGCUUUCUUUUUCAGUUUCACAUUAAAAAUCUAAUUGUUCACAGUACCCAAGUUUCAUAUGUAUUCCCCCAUCCAAGUUUCAUAUGAUAAAAGAAAAAAGAAAAGAAAAUAUAAAAUUAUAAAUUAUGCAUAUAGAUAAAUACAUCUGAAAACCAUAAACUUAAUUGAAGCAUAUGAAUGUUAUGUAGUUAAUCUAGGAAACUAUAGGAUAAAACAAAAAAAAAAAAAAAAAAAAUAGUUGGAGAAUAUUCAGUCCACCAUGCAAGGCUGCUCGGCAUUCAGGUAUCGUUGGAAUUGUGCUUCAACUAGAAUUUUUAGUUACCUUAUAUUGUCUAUACCACAAAUCAAUCCAAGUCCAAAAUCACCAAUGCUAAUGCACAGAUAUCUCGAUUUUCCAUGCCAUUCGUGCAUGUGAGGAAGUAUUAUUGGUCAUGUUUUUCAUAAAAAUAAAAAAUAAAAAUUCACUUGUUACUGUUUGUCUAUGUGUUUCAAAACCUCAAUCUUUCUUAAUUUCUUUUCACUUCGAUUUAACCUUCUCCCACAUUAUUUAGAGAGGGGAAGUUCCCUAAAAUAGUCCUAUUGCAUGCAAAAAUAGACCAAAAAUGCAUCAUUGAGGAGAAAUAACCUUAUUUGAAGUUAAGUUCAUGAUUGCUAGUGAAUUAUUGGAGAAUUAGACUUAAAAGGUCUCACCUAGAAAGCCUAGUUGAGAUUUUCUGUCAUUGACAUUUUGGCCAUAGAUAACCAACACAUCUCCAAAAUGUACUAUUUCUAUUGAUUAUACACAGUUGGCAAUAGAAGUGAAUAACAAAAUGCCCAACAUGUACCGGCUAGACUACUUGGCAUUAGCAUUGGAAAUAAACAUGGAAUAUAAACAAGAAAAGAAGAAAUAAAAAUAAAUUGAAAAUAAUGAUAUAACACAUAUAGAUACAUAUUUUGGGGUUAAAUGUGACCCAUCUUCAAACAGUGGAGGAGCAGCAAGAAAAGAAAGAAAAAAAAAAAAAAGAGGAAUCUGACGACAAUCAGGAGUGUUGUUGAUCUGCAGAGACAAGUGUUUAAUCUAAUAGUCAAAAAAAUGGUUGCUCUUAAGAAUAGGCUUCUGCUUGCUCCCCAGAAAUUAUUAAAAGUCAUAACAAGAUAAAUUUCAUCUACUUCUCAACAAAACACUAAAGUUGAAUUCUUUUUUCAAAAUAAUAAUAAUAAUAGUCAUGGAGCCUCAAAUACAACCAAAACAGAGGAUUGGGGUUGAAUUGGGAAGAUUGCAAUUCCAAAUUAUAUCUUCCCGAUUUUACUUGGAUUUCUUAAUAAUAAAUGAAAACAUUGACACAAAACCACAAAAGAAUAAAGAAAUGAAAAUGAUAAAUUAAAAGAACCAAGCAAUAGAGACUUUGAUUUCUCGAGUGCGAAAUUGCGAAGGCUGUGACACCAUCAGAAAAAAAAUAAAAAAUUAUAGAAGCUUUACCUUCAGAAAAGGGAUUUACUUGUGCUGAUUAUUUGAAGGAGUUCCCAAUAUCUUGGUGGUGGCAAAUCAGUUAGGGCAUCUCACUACUGGAGAUCAUCUAUGAAAAAGGGUUAGGGCUUCUUCAUUUGAGAUUUCUCCAGUGAUGAAGGUUGUCCGUGGUAGUUGUUUUCUGGUGAAAAAUCAUCACAAUACCCAGUAAACAUAGAGAUUCAACUUACCAAUAAUAUUUAUUGAGGUUAUCGACUUAAUAGUAGAAGGAGCAUUCCAACUGGUAGUUUUUGUCCCCGAUGAGGCUACAGAUGGGUGUCUACUGGUUGCCAUUGAGUUCAUCAGUUGUCUUUGUUAUGGCUGCUGUUGGUAGAUUGCAAGGCUAGGGUUCUUAUCUAUAAUAUCGAUGGUUUGCGAGGUGGGAGAGAUUGGGAAAAUAGAAGUGUAUAUAUAGGCAUAGAGAUAAUGACAUUUAUUACAAGCGUUAAGGUUGGCAAAUUUUACUCUAGCAGACAAUGACACUCCAAAAAAAACAUCUUAUUUAAAGCGCCAAUGAAACCUUUGAAGAAGUGCCAAUAUUUAGGUAAAUUUCGUAAGCGUCAAUAUAUUUAUUCAAGAAGCGUCAUUGUUAGCCAAAUUUCUAUAAGUGCCAUGAUUAAUACAAUUCCUUGACAUUUUUUACCAGCGUCAAGAAAAUGAACGUCAUUGAAUACAUUUUUUGUAGUAGUGAAUGCUGGCAGUUGUCAAGGCAAUAAAAAAGUGAUGUUCCUACUUGUUGGGUAAACCAUUCACAGUUCGCACUAACCACCGGAGCCUUAAAUAUCUACUGGAGCAACGGAUUACCAUUCCCGUACAGACACGAUGGCUGCCCAAAAUCCUUGGGUAUGAUUAUACCAUUGAAUACAAGAAAUGGCCAAAUAAUCAAGUUGCAGACUCUUUAUCUCGUAGAGAAGAAGUCUAUUCCAUCUCAAUUUCUGUUCCAUGUGCAGAAUGGUGGCCAACACUUCAGAGAGAGGUCCUCCAGGACCAUUUUUACACCAACUUGGAGAAUAGGCGUGCUUCACAUAAACUUGUGUAGCGCAACGGGGUUUGGUUCUAUGAUGGGAAGGUUUAUCCGAGCCCUUCAUCCACCCCGCUCUUGUUGAUAUUGGAAGACAACCACUCUUCCCCAACAGGUGGUCACUUUGGGUUUCAUAAGACACUACACCGAAUUGGCAGAAGCUUUGUGUGGCCUAAUAUGUGAUUAAUGGUGAAGAAGUUUCUACAAACUUGUGAGGUGUGCCAACAAUACAAGGCCAAUUGUAUGAAACCAACAGGUCUCCUCCAACCCCUGUCGAUUCCAACUCAAAUAUGGUCAGAUAUUUUGAUGGGCUUCAUUGAAGGGUUGCCCAACUCCAAUGGUCAUUCUGUCACCAUGGUCGUUGUGGAUCGUCUAUCAAAAUAUGCCCACUUCAUCCAUCUUAAGCAUCCUUACAUGACGGUCAUAGUUGCAAAACCGUUUGUCUCUGGUUCAACUCCAUGGCAUUCCUACAUCCAUCGUCAAUAAUAGAGACAAGGUCUUCACAAGCACCUUUUGGUAGACCUUAUUCCAGUUGUAAGGGACUAAAUUGAAUAUGAGCUCCAGCUACCACCCACAAACUGAUGGCCAAAUUGAAGUUGUCAACUGCACCUUGGAGUAGUAUAUGUGGUGUUUUGCAAGACUACAACCGAAGAAAUGGAUAGAAUGGAUUCCAUGGGCAGAGUUUAGUUACAACACCUCCACCCAUUCCUCCACCAAAUUCAGCUCAUUCGAAACAGUUUAUGGGGUGCCUUCCCCAAGCUUCCUUUCUUACAUACCGGGCACAACUCGUGUUAUGGCGGUGGAUGAAUAUCUCCAAGAUCGGGAUGCAAUCUUGAAGGAGUUACGUCACAAUCUUUGGAUGGCACAAGAUAUAAUGAAAAGCCAUACAAACCAACGUGAUGAGAUAUUCAGUUCAAUGUUGGAGACUUCAUUUAUGUGAAGUUGCAGCCUUACUGCCAGACUUCAGUGGCUUUCAAGAAGUCUUUAAAACUUUCUCCUAUUUUUUUUGGCCCAUACCAAAUUAUAGAGAAGGUCGGACCAGUGGCUUAUAGACUAUUUCUUUCCGCCGGGUCCAACAUUCAUGACCUAUUUCACGUCAGCCUCUUAUGCAAGAAUUUGGGGUCAAUCACCCCCACAUCCGCUCAACUCCCACCAGUUUUGGACGCAUCCACACUAUUGCCACAACCGGAGUCCAUCCUAGCUCAGCGCGUGAUUCAUAAAGGGAAGAAUAGACCUAGCACCGAAUUUUUGGUGAAGUGGUUGGGCGCACCAAUUGAAGAUGCCACUUGGGAGAACACGUGGCGAUUCUCCAAAGCAUACUCGAAGUUCCAUCCUUAAGGACAAAGAUGCUUCGAGGAACAGGGAAAGAUAGGAAAUCCCUGCUCCAACUCCUAUUUGCUUGCAGAUCAUAGUUAUGUGGGCAACACCAACUCCUAUUUACUUGCAGAUCACAGUUACGUGGGUAACACCUCAACACCUGGCUUGAAUUUUGAUUUGUUGCUACUUCCCUAGUCUUAGGCCCUAUUUGUGUUUUAGUUGAUGUUUCAGUUGUCUGUGCAUCUAUAAAUGCACCUGCAUGAAGUCAAUAAAGGAUAACAAAAUUCAAAUCUUCUAUCUUCUAUCUCUCCUGUCCUCUCUCAAAUUAAACUCAUCAGCAUGUUGCCAUAGAAGUGGGUAUAAGGAAGCAUAUUUCGAUCAUCCAAGGACAUUGGGUUUGACUUCACCAACAAAGCUCAGAGUUGAUACAACAAACCAUGUAAACUUAAACCUGUUACUUCAUUGAAUGAGUGCCAUAAAAAAUGGUAAAUUUUUAAUGAUAGGAAAAAAAAAACUUAUUAGGCGUUUAUCAUUUCAAAAUUUUCAAAGAUAAUUAUUUUAAAAAUAUUGAGCAAUGUUUCUAAUUCUUCUAAAAUCAAAUCCCAAAUAAACUUCAAAAUUAUGAUAGCAUGUAAAUGACUGUAGAAUAACAUACCAUUAGGAUAUUCUUAAUUUGUGUGAAACAAUAAAAAAAAUAUCACCAUGCACCCAUUUUGACUCAAUUGCUUUGGACAACUCAUGAGUUUUUUUUUUUUUUUUAAAUAAAAAAAACCCUUGUCUUUUAAAAGGAAAAAGAAUCCAUAAGCCUAAGUUUGAACAUCAUAUUAAUGAGAUGAACAAGGUUUUGAAACAUUAAAAUUUUACAAAUUUGUUGAAGUGUGCCCAAACUACCUCUCAUAGGAACAACAGUAGAAUGACAUAAAGAAAACUAGGACUGUUUCACAAAAUCGAAGGAAUAUCUUUGUGGGAAGAGAAUAAAGAGAACAAAGAGGAUGCACAUAUUCAAAAUUUGUGGCUGAGCUAUUUAAACCUUUCAUUGAUACUGGUUGAGCUUCUCUCUGUAUUCGUAGGGUGUGUCCCCUCCUCUUUUGGCACUUUUUAAUGCAUGUUCUUGUUGUCUAUCAAAAAAAAAAUAUAUUGGUUGAUCUUCUUAAGAUUGACUCUUAACAGUUUUUCUCCAUUCUUAAUUUAUAAUCAAAAGACUGGCUGAGCUAUUUCUUUGUUCUUAUUGAGUUUUGAGAUGAACCCACAUGUGUUUGUCACUCAUGGAAGGUGUGCAGAUGACAAACCUUAUGUGCCAGCCUUCUAGGUGUCCUGGGAGAAAACCAAAAAGCUUAGGUAUUCACUUCACUCCGCUGGAGGUGCCUAAAGUAUACUGUAGAAAGCUUGAAGGAGAACCAGCUCAUCAGCUUAUGAGUCAAUUAUUUGGCUGUCAUUCAAACAAAUCACUAAUUAAUAAUGUACCCAAAAUACUAUCAUUGUUAUGAAAUAAAUUUGUGGCUAGGAUAGGCUGAUAGGUGCUAGAAAGAGACUGCUUGGGAAGAAUACCAAUCAGCAUUAGUAAGGCAUCUAUUGGAAAAAGACAUGACUUCAAACUCUUUUUUUAAUAAUUUCCAAUAAACAAAGAUGAGUUUUAUGUUUGUUGAAAUACUCAAACCUCCAAGCUUGUGAUAUAAAAUCAAAACACAAAUUCAAAAACUAAUUUGCAUGGGAAUUCAAGUAAUUAGAACAGAGCAUUAGCACCAGUUUGUGACAGCAAUUUUGCAUAGACUCUUUCUAAUGAGAGUUUGUAGGGGACAUGACCAUAUGUUCUUCACAAAAUUUGAUCUUAAGAUUCUUCUCCAAUCAAACUUCUCAGACAAAGGAUGGCUUUCAAUUCAUUGUUAAUCAACAUGAUCAUUUGAAGAUGUAGCAAGGUAUCUACUUACUUCAACCAAAUCACCAACUCUAAAGAAUAAAGGGAAAAGAACUUAUUUACUCUCCUUCCUUUAACCUUUUUCUUUGUCCCAUUCACAACAAUGGUAUUUUGCUUACACAAGUCACUUGAUUUUGCGCACACAACAUUUCAGUUGAAUUACCAACGAAUAAAGGAAGAUUGGAGAGGCUUUAACGCCCUUCUUUGGAAUAAAACUAUUCUUUGUUAAAUAUUCCAAUUUCUUUUCCCUGGGUUUGUGAGACCCACUUUUUGAUUUCCCCAUAAUAACUAUGAGAAUCCAAGGUCUGUAACCAGUUUCAGACCAAUUUCUUUUGUUUUUCUUGUUUCUACUUGAGAUUCUCCCUCUCUUUCCUUACAAAGAAACCAUGGAAGUUGUUGCAGAGGUUGUUCUCCUUGUUUCCCUUGAAGUGUUGUUUAGAAAAUUGGCCUCUUCUGAUGUCCUCAAGUUUGCACCCCAAGAGCAUGUCUAGACCCAACUCAAAAAAUGGGAGAAAAAAUUGUUAGAGAUUAAUGAAGUGUUGAAUGAUGCAGAGGAGAAGCAGAUCACCAAGCAGUCCGUGAAAGCAUGGUUGGGUGAUCUCAGGGAUUUGGCUUAUGAUAUGGAGAAAAUCUUGGACGAAUUCUCCUAUGAAGCUUUACGAAAAAAGUUGAUAGUUGAAGGCAAUAGGAGCAAGGUACGCAAGUUCAUCCCUAUUAAGGCUAUGCGUAAUGUUAUGAUGGGGUCCAAGAUUAAGGACAUCACUACUCGAUUAGAAGCUAUUUAUGCCCAAAAGGCUGAGCCUGGUUUGGACAAGGUGGCUGAUAUAACCCAGUCUACUUGGGAAAGGCCACUCACUACAUCACUGGUAUACGAACCUUGGGUUUAUGGCAGGGAUGUUGAUAAACAGAUUAUCAUUGAUAUGCUGCCUAGGGAUGAACCCAUUCAAACCAAUGUUUCUGUAAUUUCCAUUGUGGCCAUGGGUGGUAUGGGCAAGACCACAUUAGCAAGGUUGGUGUACGAUGAUGCUGAGACAACCAAGCAUUUUAACGUAAAAGCCUGGGCUUCUGUAUCAGAUUAGUUUGAUGUAGUGAGAAUAACCAAGACAAUCCUCAGAUCAGUCACUUGUUCAAGUGAUGAUUUGCUAGACUUCAAUCAAAUUCAAGAUAGAUUGAAAGAGGAACUGAAGGGGAAAAAAUUUCUUUUGGUUAUAGAUGAUAUAUGGAACGAGAAUUAUGAUGAUUGAAAUUGCUUGCGGUCCCCUUUAUGGUCAGAAGCACCAUGAAGCAAAAUCAUAAUUACUACACGGAGUAAAAAUGUUGCAAAUAUGAUGGGAGGAAAUAAAAACUUUUAUGAGCUAAAACAUUUGUCUGAUGAUGAUUGUUGGUUGGUGUUUCAGAAACAUGCUUUUGAAAAUAGAAAUAUCAAUGAGCAUCCAAAUUUGGCAUUGAUUGGUAGGGAAAUUGUAAAGAUGUGUGGAGGCUUGCCUUCGGCAGCAAAAGCACUUAGAGGUCUUCUACGCCAUGAAGAAAGAGAAGAUAAGUGGAAUAUUAUACUGACUAGCAAAAUAUGGAAUUUUCCAGGUGAUAAAUGUGGUAUUCUUCCAGCAUUAAGAUUAAGUUAUAAUCAUCUCCCUUAUCCUCUCAAGAGAUGUUACAAUUACUGUGCGAUAUUUCCGAAAGACUGAAUUUGACAAGAGAGAACUAAUUCACUUAUGGAUGGCAGAGAGUCUAAUUCAACAAUCAGAAUGUUAUGAGAAACAAAUUGAAAUUGAAGAUUUAGGCCAUGACUACUUUCAAGAAUUGUUAUCUCCAUCAUUUUUUCAACCAUCAAGUAGAUUUGUUGCUGGAGAAAUAUGUUUUUCUUUGGAAGAGACUUUGGAAGAAAAUCAAAACAAACUAUUUCUAAAAAGGUUUGUCAUUCAUCAUUAAUUUGUAGUGAACAUGAUGUCUUCAAAAAAUUUGAGGUCUUUCACAAGAUGGAGUAUUUACAUACAUUUAUCCCAUUACCAAUUGAUGUAUCAUGGGGUAGUUAUUGGUUAAACAAUAAGGUACUUAAGGAAGUAAUGCCCAAGCUAAGACAUCUAAGGGUGCUUUUGUUGAGAGGUUACAAAAUAAGAGAGAUACCAACUUCAAUUGGUGAUUCGAAAUAUCUUAGGUAUCUUAAUUUAUCCCGAGCCAGAGUUGAAUGGUUACCUAAAUCAAUAGGUAACUUUUAUAACUUAGAGACAUUAGUAUUAUCAAAUUGUGAGAGGCUUAUUAGAUUGCCUUUGAGCACUGAGAACCUAAAUAAUCUUCAACACCUUGAUGUAACUGAUACAUAUCUAGAAGAAAUGCCUCCACCAAUUUGCAAAUUAAAAAGCUUAGAAGUAUUGUCUAAUUUUAUUGUGGGUAAAGACAAUGGUCUGAAUGUAAAGGAGUUAAGGAAUAUGCCCCAUCUUCAAUGGGGACUUUGCAUUUCAAAGUUGGAAAAUGUAGCAAAUGUUCAAGAUGCAAGGAAUACUAGUCUAAACAAGAAGCUCAAGCUUGAAGAAUUGAUGAUAGAGUGGAAUGCUGGAUUAGAUGAUUCACACAAUGCAAGGAAUCAAAUAAAUGUACUUGACUCUUUACAACCACACUUCAAUUUGAACAAACUAAAAAUUGAGUAUUAUAGUGGUCUAGAAUUACCCUGUUGGAUAGGAGAUGUUUCAUUCUCUUAGAUGAUGGAUAUAAAUCUAGUGAAUUGCAAAAAUUGCACAUCUUUGUCGUGUUUGGGGUGGUAACCCAUGCUUAAACACUUAGGGAUUGAAGGAUUGGAUGAAAUAAAAAUGGUGGGUAGAGAGUUUUAUGGAGAAACUUGUCUUCCCAAUAAGCCAUUCCCGUCCUUGGAGUCUCUAUGUUUUUUGAAUAUGCCACAAUGAGAAGAUUGGGAAAGUCCAUUUUUAUCAGAGCCAUAUCCUCGUCUCCUUUACCUUUCAAUCCGAAACUGCCUCAAAUUAAUUAAGAAAUUACCCACUUACCUACCUUCCCUGGUACAUCUCUUUCUGAAUUAGGGAUACAAGAUUGCAAUGAGGCGGUACUAAGAAGUAGAUUGGAAUUGCCUUCACUCACCAAGUUAAGAAUUCAUUCUAUGCUAGGACACCAAAUUACAUGAUUGUCGGGGCUUCAAGUUUUAGAAAUUUAUAAGCAUGAUGAAUUGACGUGUUUGUGGGAAAAUGGAUUUGAUGGUAUUUAACCAUUGCAAACUAGCAGCUGUCUCGAGCUUGUAUCUUUGGGAGAGACAGAAAAGCACGAACUGCCUAACAAGCUUCAAUCUUUGCAAAUAGAGUGGUGUAUUAACCUAGAGAAGCUUCCAAAUGAACUGCACAGGCUAACAUGCCUUGGAGAGUUGACAAUCGGUGGUUGUCCAAAGCUAGUGUCAUUUCCAAAUUUGGGUUUCCCGCCAAUGCUUAGACAUCUUGAUAUAUUUUAUUGUGAAGGUUUAAGAUGUCUACCUGAUUAGAUGAUGCUGAUGAAGGAUGGUAGCAAUAAUAGUAGCGACAUGUGUCUCCUUGAAUACAUGAAAAUAAAAAAGUGUCUAUCUCUCAUUUGCUUUCUAGAAGGGCAGUUACCCACCACCCUUAAGCAACUACACAUAUCCGAUUGUGAGAAUCUAAAGUCUCUCACGGAAGGAAUGAUGCACCGCAAUUCCAUUGGCAUAAACAACUUGGAAUACUUAAGCAUACGAAUAUGUCCAUCUCUCAUUGGUUUUCCAGAAGGUGAGUUACCCACCACACUCAAGGAACUCAAGAUAUAGAGGUGUGAAAAACUAGGGUCUCUACCAGGGGGAAUGAUGCACCAUGAUUCCAACACCACCAUCGCCACCAGUGGUGAUGUUCAUGUCUUGAACAUUUGGGAAUGUCCAUCUCUCAUAUUCUUCCCCAUAAGCAAGUUUCCUUCCACCCUUAAGAAACUUGAGAUUAGGGAUUGUGCACGACUGGAGUCGAUUUCAGAGAAGAUGUUUCACUUCAAUAAUAGUUCACUAGAAUGUUUGGUGAUCUCGAGGUAUCCAUAUCUCAAAAUCAUACCAGAUUGCCUUCACAAACUCAGAGAAUUGGAUAUUUAUAAUUGUGAGAAUGUGGAGCUGCUACCUCAUCAGCUGCAAAACCUCACUGCUCUUACAUCACUUACUAUUUCUCAUUGUGAGAAUAUCAAGACGUCUCUAUUCCAAUGGGGCCUUGCCACACUUACCUCUCUUAAACACCUCACCAUUGCUCGCAUAUUUCCACAAGUUGCCUCCUUUUCAGAAGGUCAAAGACUACCACUUCUUCCUACAAACCUCAUUUAUAUUUCCAUUAAAGAUUUCCAGAAUCUGAAAUCCCUGUCCUCCCUAGCUCUCCAAAUCCUCACCUCACUUGAAAAGCUAUGGAUCCAAUGCUGCCCUAAGCUUCAAUCAUUUUGCCCAAGGGAAGGGCUGCCUGACACCCUUUCACAACUAUAUAUCAGAGACUGCCCACUCCUAAAACAAAGGUGCUAAAAAAGGAGAGGACAAGAUUGGCCCAAAAUCGCCCACAUCCCCUAUGUGAAAAUAGAUAAUGAAAGUCAUCUUUGAUCAAUAGCAAGUUAAGAGAUUGCAGAACAUAGCAGAACAUAGAAGCAAACACCAUUCACCCAUCUCCCAUCUUCACAUUAAACAAGGUAUGCCUAUUUUUUCUCUUUCAAUUUCUCAUAUACAUUAUACUAGUUUCCCCUAUUAAUUAUCUGUAAGUUUCUUACUCAAAUUUUUGUUGAAAAUUUACCAGGAAGUGGCUUUUGAAAUGGCUCAGGAUUGAUAUUUUCUCUUCAAUCUGCCACAAUUCUAUGUAAGCACCAAUGUUUUUGUCUCUCCAAAUUCUAUUAUCAAAAUUUUAUCCAUAAACUCCAUUCUUAUGUAGUUCUCAGUUUUCCUUUUCCUUUGUUCUUUUUAGUUCUUUGUGAGCAUUGAAGUUGAUGAUGUGAUACUUACAACUAUAAAAGGAAAAGAGAGGAUUUAUUCCAUUUAAGAACACGUGGAAUAUUUGGCAAUGGCUACUGAUUAGCAGUGUCUUCUUCAGUUCCUCGUGAGUAUCAUCAAUUGUACUAUUCAAUUACAUUUUUUUAAUAUAAUUUUCUGAUUUCCAGACUAGAGUGCAUGGUGACAUAAACAGAACUAGAAAGAAAUGCAAUUUAUCAAAAUUAAAUAGUUUUGCUAACUAAAUGACAUUAUCAAUUCCCUUGUGCAGCCAUGACGUUUAAGUUGAACAUAUUAGAUGUCAUGUUAGAUACUAUCCAAUGUUUUGUCAUCUGGAUAUCAAUUUUUUACAUUUAUGAUUUAGGUUCUCAAAGAGGAUGGAACUUGGGUAUUAUAUCAAAGACUUCAAAGUAUGGAGUGAAUGCAGCCAAUUCUAGUUGUCCCUUGUUGUUCCUUUUUUUACUAUAUUUGAGUGUGAACUGGAGACAAAGAAUAACCCAACAAGACUAUGGUGAGUGACUCUCGAUUAUGUAUUUUGUUUAUUUAUAUUUAUAUUUCUAUUUUAAUGACUAUUUUUCUCGAGUUUUCUUCUUGUCCACGGGAUGCUCAUUCCCAACAUGCAAUUUUUCCUCUUUCUCUCCUUAAUACUACUUUCUAUUUCUCACACAUAUAUUAUUGCAAUUUGUUGCCAUUUUACUUGGCUACUUGUGAACAGUAAUAAUAAGUCCUAUAGUUUUAUGUACUAAAUUGUUUACAUUGAUGAUGCAGGUGUCAAAAGGAUGGGUCCAAAGAUCACAAGAGGUAAAUGUGGUAUUUUUAUUGUGUUGGCAGACUAGAAUUUUCCUCCUAUAUCAAAGCCUUAAAAAACAUAGAGUGAAUGUUUCAAGGAUCACUGGCACUUUAUUACUAAAUUUUAGUGCAACAAAAAGAUGAUAAAGUACAACCUAGCAAGAAUGUGGUGCAUGACUUUAAUUUAUAUAGUUGAUCUAUAUAUUUUUGUAUUCUAAGGACCAUCUUCUUAAAAUUUUCUUCUUUUAUGACUUGUGAUAGAUUUUUUAGUGCUUUAGAGAGGUUCACAGAAUCAAGAUUUAAUUUGCAUCUUUAAUCAACAAAAGCUUUUUUUCCUGCCAUCUUGGGGAAGCUGCUUAUAGAAUAAGGUUGCAUGGUCUUAUGUAUCAUUCAAAAGUUGAGAACCAUCCGGUGCCUGAAACUCUUGUCUUUCACAAGAACCGGUUUCAUAAUAGCCUAAUUAAUCUCGUCUUUAUGACUGGUUGGAGAUAUCAUUUGAUUUCUGAAAAAAUGUAAGCUACUAUCAUAUUUACAUACGCCUAGUUAUACAUAUGUGAGCUAAAAAAAAAUGGCUUUGCUUGUAGUUCCUCAAGUUUUUAAUUUGAUAAAAUCGUGUCUCUUCUUUUGAAUUUUGUAGGUCUUAUAGGUGCAUGUCCCGAGUGCCAUAGUAUAAGUAUUUUUCUUCUUGUUGAAUGGAAUUUGGGUUUUAUAUUUGGAGGCUCAAAGUUUAGUGAAUGUGGCAAAUGCCUGUUGUCACUUGUUAUUUUUGUUUCUAUUGUUGAUGUUGAGAGUGUAGAAUGAGGAUAAACAACAACAUAGCAAGAUCAUGGUAUGUUACAAAUUUUAUUUUACAUUUUUAUUGGUUUUUUUAGAUUCCUAUUUUUAUUGACUUUUUUUUUUUCCUUUAAAUUUUCUAUGUUUGUGACUUGAGUUGUUCCCUAAGCACUUGCUACAAAGAGGAUUUUGGCACUGAAAUUAUCCUUAGACAUUGCUUAGUUCAACUGUCUUCAGUAGACAUGAACCUUUUUUUUGUGCUAACUUGGAAAAGUUGCUAAUAAGACUGAAAAGUCACACAUCUCUUAGAGAGUUGAGAAUCACACAUUUCUUUGGGUUCUUUCUGAGGAUUGGUUUGCCAUCCAUGACAUGAAGUCUUGUGCUCAGUUGUUGUGAUGGUUUGAAAUUGCUCUCUGAUGGAACUAUGACCUAUAUAAACAACUGCUUCUAUUUGUUUUACAUUGAUGAAUUGCUUAUCUUUGUGCAUUAUUUUGCGGAAAGGAUUUUUAUGAGCACUACCUUUUUUUUUUAUAUAUAUAUUUCGUUUUAUAUUGAUGCAUUUCAUAUUACUCCUUUUAGGUGGAUGCGCAAUGCUAAUCUAGCUUUCCCCCUUUUGGAUGUCCUUUUAACCAUGGUUAGGAUUCAUUAAAAAUGACUUUAAUCAUACCUAUAAUUUUUUUUAAGGUCAGUUAUAACUUAUACAAAUUAACCUUAUUAUGUAACUCGAAAUGCUUAUUUUUAAACCAAUAUAUUUCUACUGGCAAUUUAUGUGUUUUUCACUACAUUUUUUCCCAACAAUGAGGAAGAGAGACAAUUUUCUUGGUAGCAUACUAUGAUUCACAGAGUAUAAACUCUUGCAGAUUGAAAGAGAGACAAUUUACAUAUCAUUCAACAGUGAUCGGUAAGCAUUCUUAUAUGUUUACAACUUCUUCAUUUGUAUGGUUUGCCUUUUAUGGCAUUUACUCUCUUGUUACUCACAUAAAAAAAAAAUACCUAAUUUACCUUUCAAAUAUAAAAUGCAGUUAUGCAGGAAGGCCACAAAUUGAAUAUGAUAAAAUGGGAAAUGUGUUUCGAGACAAUUUUAUGUUCUUGCAUUAUAAGGUUUAGUAAUUGUAUUUAGUUUUAUAAUAAACAACCAUCUAUUGACUUUGGAUUUGGAAUUUAACGCUAAUGAGUGUUUACUUAUUUUUAAUACCUUUUUUAGGAAUCUAGUUAAUGAGAUUUUGCCGACAAAAAACCAGAGGUUUGUUAACUCUCCUACUAUUAGAGACUAGUUCUCUUGCAUAAAUUUCAAGCAAAAUUAUAACCCUCUUCAUUGAUAGUCUUUUAUAUUGGAAUUAAACAUAUUGGUGUCUUUGAAUUAUUUAAAUAUUGGAAACCAAUUAAGAAGUCAUGCAAUGGCAAUGUGAAUCUUGAUAUACAUACAAAUAAGAUCCAUUAUGUUAUUUUUCUUGCUAAAGAAUCAAAACAGAUGCUUUUGAUUUGGACUGUUUCAGACUUCAUAUCUUUUGUUUCACUUAUGAUACUGCCAUCAGUUUGUGAAUUGGGAAUGUCAUUAAGAACUUUGGAGCUUAACCAUCUGGCCUUUUUCAGUUCCUUAAAGAUUGGUAAUAAUGCAAGGAUCAAUUCUUUUCUCAAAGUGGCUUAUGGUCGCAUUGGCAGAUGUGAAAUUAUCAGUGACUGUUCAUUGUAAAGAAAUCUUGUUACUGUGGCAGGAGAAUAGAUUGCAACAUAAUCUCAAAAUUUUGGGGGACUUUGGUAUCAACACCUUUCUGGAACUCAGAUUUCUAAAUGAAAUAAUGCAAGACAUCAACACAUUCUCAGAACUCUUUAAGCUUUCCAAAUGUGAUGUUGGUGUCUUAAUGAGAGGCUAACUUUCUUCAAUGUUGCUAAAAUUGUUGUCCAUAUAUCCUAUAUGGGAGUCCACCCAUGGACAAGAAAUGCAUGUUGGUCUAUCUUCGACUUUCACUAUUUCACACCCUAUUGCCUGAAGUUGCAUUACCUGCCAUAAUUAAACAUUUUUUUAUUUAUCAUUAUGACAAACUCUUGAAUUACCCUCCUCAAGCAUCUGGCCUCACCUCAGGCUUUUGGAAUUAUCUAGUUGAUCACCAGACAACCUUCCAACUACCCUAAGGACUUGGUACAAAGUAGACUCAAUGCAAGUGAUUCAGAGUUACCCCUACCUAAUCCAUCUCGAUGUGUUUGGUAAAAUGAGGUCCAUCAGAUUUUAUGGCCAUUAUCUCAUGGUAGUGGAUGUUUUGAACCAGAGUCUAAAACGAAGUCAUCACUGCAGGUUAUGGCCAUUAUCCCAUUGCAACAGAUGUUUUGCACUAGAGUUUAAAACCAAGUCAUUGAUAAAGUCCAUAGUGAUGUCAUUGAUUUUAUUCUAAACCCAUCAAAAACAAUAUGAGAUUCACUUUGAUUUCAAGUUAUGCAAGAUCUAUAUGAGCUCAAAUGUUUUGAGACUUGAUUGAUGAAUAUCAUGUGUGGACUCGCAUUUUUCACAUGCAUCCCCACUCAAUCGACGAGACUCGCUUUUAUUUGUGAAAAAUUACUUUUGGAAAAGUCGAAGUCGCCACUUAUUUUAUUUUAUUUUAAAGGGAAAAUAAAACAAGAAAUAAAACCCUAAAAAAAUGACUCCAUAGUUUUUGGAAAAGAGCGUUUUUGAAAAACCCGAGUCUAGGUUCGGGGAUCAGGUUACCCAUUAGGAAAGUACCUCUAAAAGGUAGCACCCCUCUAGGCCUUAUAAAGGUCUCUACUGACUAAGUUGAGGAAGAUGAGGCAAUUAAUUGAUUAAUUGAAGAUACCUAGGUAGACUAAGGUGAUUUCAAAAAAUAGCAUGCCAAACAAGAAAGUCUGACCAUAAGAGAGAGUCAAAGUGCAUACCUGAACGGCUUCUCAAGCGCCAUAAAAAAGCAUCAAAGGUUAGUUUGAAAAUAUGACACAUAACAUACAUUUUUAUCAAAGACGAUCAAACAAUCAAAUAAAUAUCAAGACAAUCAAGCAUGACACCAAACAAAGGCAUGGUACACAGAGACAUGGAUAUUCAUGGAAUUUUGAAAAUGGGAUGAUGAAGAACGUACGUGGACAAUGAGUUGAGCGCUAAAGUGAGGAACAAGGUUAGCUCAAUAAUAGAUGUAAAAUAAUCUCAUGUACCAUAAAAAAGGAGGCACAAUCGAUCAUAUAUCAAGCAAACAAUAUCGAAGAGAAUAUCAUGAAUGUUGGGCCCCCACCAAAGCCUUAAUUAAUUUUGCAUGAAUUGGUUCAGUGAAUUCCGUUGCUUGGAAUCAUGAAGUUUCUUCAUGCUUACUUAAAAAUGAAAAUCAAGAAAAUCAUUUGAAAACAGUGAAAAUGCAUACCAGAGGAAAACUUGGCAGCAACGAGUUUGUUAAAAUCUAGAUCUUACUGCUUAAGGAAGGACUGAGGACGAUUCUUUAAAGUAAGAAUUAUUUGGAUGAAAAUGAUUUUGAGAACACAAUUUAAAAUACGUAAAAACACGAGGAUAACAAGAGGGUGCAAGAGGAAGAGGGUAAUGUGCACCAGAAUGGUCGUGCUAGAGUGGGGCUUGGGGGUCUAGCUAUGACUACGUGUCUGGUGAUUGUAGGUGCUGCUAUUAUUCUCUCUAAAUUUUUCCAUUCCUACUCUCUUGCACGCAUUCAAAUACCUUACAUCACUGCAUUUUAGAGCCUUUUCUAAUUCCUUGAAAUCUCCUACAUUCGAACUUACUUCCAAGAGCUUUGGCAUUAAUUCCUCGUAUGAAUCUCUGAAAUUUGCUGAGAAAUUUGUUCUUUUUGGACUUCCAUUUCUGAUAGUUGAAGAACUGAAGGCUGAAGAAUCAUAUCCAAUUGGAUUCAGCUUGAGAGGGUAACCAUAGGUCGUGGUCAAAAAUGAAGUUGAUUUCCUUUUCCUCAGACCUUUCUGUAUGUCCAUGUUCAUCUGUUAGCAGCAUGACUUCCUCCUUAGGCUUGUGGUGCAGGGAAUUGCCUAAGUCCUCUACAUGCAAUUGAGCCAUCAGCGAGCUGUUAAUUUUUCAGCUCAUGAUAUAAGUGAACGUUAAACUAUUGAAGAUAUACUAGUCCUUCCACGUCAACACAUCGAUCCGCUUGAAGUCGCCCAAUUUCUUUGGCAAAUCUCCAUUUUUUUUAUGUCUCAAACUAUAAUUCAGUUUCUUUACUUCUUCUACCUCAGAACAAAACUUACAAAUCAGAAUUCUCCAACUGCAAUUUUAUAUUAGGAUUCUUCAACUUUCCUACUUUGUUCUCUGAAUCAAGUUUGGACAUCACCACCUGUUUCAAUUUUUGGAGACCAAUUUCAGAUCCAAAGGUAGGGCUUUCUAUCCCUCUUGUAAUUGAGAGUGCAAAUUCUGCAGAUUCUACAAUUCUCCUAGCAUCUGCUUCUGGUUUUCCUCAAGCUCCUGGACAAGGGUUUCAUAGUAACACUCCAUCUGGUCCAUUUUUCUUGCAAGGCUUUCCCAUUCAGCUUUAGACCCAUCAAACUCUCUCUUUGAAGUUCAAAGAAUUUGUCUUUUAUUGUAUUGGUAGCAUCUAGAGAAUCAGGUACAAUAGAAACUAGGCCAGAUACACUAAACAAUGAAGAAAAUCUUUAGGUUGAUAUAAUUCAGCAUCAAACCCAAUUCCUGAUACAAAUUGUUGUCUUUCUCUCAUCUCCUUUAUGUUUGCAGUUUCUGAUGGUAAGGCAUUGAACAUAGAAAUUGCUUGUCCAAUUCUUUGUUUGAGGUCCUUAGUUUGAAACUCUCGUCUUUUCCUCCAUAUUUAAAAGUCCUUUUAGCAAUCUCAGCUGUGAAUCUUCAAAUCUAUGAUCCUAAUCUGUCCGGAUAAUUUCCUUCCUAGCGAAUUCGGGAAUUGACUUAGAAUUUCUAAGAUGUUCAAGGUCCUCCUUGAGUUUUGAACACUCUAAUUUCAGUACAGAAACCUCUUCUACAAAACCUCUCCUGAAGCAAUCUCAACAAGAAGUUGUUCAGCGAACUUUUGUGUUUCAACACCUAUUUCAUCAACAUGACUUUAUAGAGAGCUUACCUCCAGCUUAAGCUCAAUAAUAGAAGACUCUACAACUUCCGAGCUUCUUCUAAUCCUAUUAUUCUCUUCAUAAGCAAUUGCCCAGUCAUUAUUCGCAGAAUAAUCUGGACUCCAUCCAUGGACCCAAUCAUUGCUUCCCUGUGCCAAAAACCUCUGAUCUGAUGGGUCCCCUUUCUCCGUCUGAGGGCUUUGAAUGUAGGAAAGUCCAUUUAAAUCACCAGAGAUUAUGCUUUUAAGGCUAUCGAUUUCAUGUGUGCUGGAGGUAUCAUGCUGUUCAGCACAUAAACUUUCUGAUGUAUUCAAUGAGCCAUCAAAUCCAAUAGUUGAGUCAAAAUAUUCAUCAUUUAAUCCUCCAUCUUCUUCGAGUGAAGGAAGCUCCGUUAAUUCUGGUUUGAAUCUAACCCUUGCACUGAUUUUAUCCAUGUGUUCAUUGACAGUUUCUUUGGAUGAUAAUGCCUCUCCUCCAUUAGAUCCAUCACGCUUAUUUUGUCUAGUGUUCAUCUGCAACCCUCUCUCUCUCAGUUUCAUCUGCUGCUCAAACUCUCUGAACCCGUUUUUAGAAGUUAACAUCUUCACAAUAACAUGUAAUACAGAUUCAGAAUUGCAUCCAUGAAGAGGCAGUGCAACAAUAUAAGGCUUUAGAGCAAUGGAAUAAUCAGCAAGGAUGAUAUUAGCCUCACCCAGGAUAUUAGACCGUGAAGAACCUAUUGCGACAAUAACUUUAUAGAGCUUCUCAUCGUACUGAUUGGUUAGUCUUGUUUGGAAGUUGAGCGUUCACAUCAACUUUCAUACGUCAAAGGAGGUAUGGCAUACUCAAGUCACGUAGGACUACUGCACACCUGUAAACGGUGGAUACUUGUAAUGGAGAAGCAUUGCCAUAGCCACCAACAAAUAUAGGAACUGCAAAUUCUGCUUCAAAUAUAUGCAACACUCUCAACUUCCCAGGGAAUAUAAAAUCGAACAAAGACCACAGCUCAGCCAACUUAUUCUGAAUUGACGCACCAGUCGUUAUUAUACGAUGAACAGUCUGUAACUGUUUAUGGAGUAUGGUAACUUCAGCAUUUGAAUUCCGAAUUCGGUGUUCUUCAUCUAAAAUUGCAUAACCCCGUUUGAUAUCAAGUAGCUUUCCAGCUUGCAACCGGAUUGGCUCAUAAGUAGUGAUAAGUAAUCUACUCUGUGACCUCAAAACACGGUUUAUACUUGGUUUAUACAUAUUACUGAAAUGCAAUGCUCCAAGAAAAGACAAUACAUGGAUAGUCUUGCCAAGUCCCAUCUCAUCUCCAAUAAUUCCACCUACUUGUUGGCAAUGCAGUUCCCACAGCCACUGAACCUCCACCUUUUGAUAAUAAAAAAGUUUGCUGAAAAUGCUUUCAGGUAUUCUCAGACCACCUUCAAGUGUUACAUAAGGGGGGUUCAAUAUCAUCUAUAUCUUCAAUAUCUUUUUGGUUUACUUCUUCAUUAUUGGAGGUCACUAAGUUGUCAGUUGUAUCUUUCAUCAUGAUCUGUCUCCUCAAAUUCUAAGAUUAAAGCACCUGUAGAAAUAUUCUAAGCUAUGUCUAUGCUGGAAGAUAGACAAGAUUGCCUCUUAACUUCACUUCGAACAAUUGGAAUUUUUGAACCCUUACGAUUUGGAUGGCAAGGUGGCUCUGAAGGGGGCCAAUUUCUAAUCAGACUGCACAGCCUUCGAAUCGCAGUUUUUGCUUUAAGAAGUGGAACAGAUUCACCAAGAGAUGCAAGGCUUUGAUCCAGUUUUAAUGUAGAAUUUUUAGAACCAGUCAUUGUCAAACUACUCACUAUACAUUCUGAUUCAAACAAAAUCCUUUCUAUCAAAUGAGUUUCAUUCCAUCGCCUACCUCAAUCCUUUUUUAAUUUUGAACAUGAGAGAAAGAGAGCAUUAUAAAUUUUGUUUUGAUUUUCCAUUUCAAAUAGCAUUUACCUCAGCUUUUGGAGAAUAGUUUCAUCAUCUGGCCUAACCAUUUGCAAUGCUUCUGGAAAUUCUUACAGCCUGCAUUAUCUUGAUCACUUGGUUUGUUGUGAAAACUGCUUGUUUCUAUGAGAUGAGCAAAUAUUGAUUCUGCACUCUGCGUAUAGGUGGCUACCAGAAACUCCACUCUUUCAUCACAAACUGAGUCUUAAUUAUGGGCUAAGUUAUAUUGAAGCAUUAGAAAUCCUCCACUUAAAAUAUUUGAGCAUUCCAGAACCUCUUGGCAGAGUAUCAUCCAGAACUAUGGGAAACAAAGGCGAAAUGCUUGGCUGGAUUUAGGGCAAUGUAAUCCUCCAGUAGUGUAGUGAUUUCGAUGUGUUCCUGGCUGAUUUCAAAAGCAUUCUGUUAUUCUUUGAGGUUCUUAUAGCUGUUUGAACAUGAUGUGCUGUUGUUCCGACUGAAAAUCGUUAAACCUAGAUGGUUGUCUCGGACGAGGUUAUGGCAUAACUCGUUGUUGGGACUUGAUGAAAUGCUGCUGCACACCAAAGAAAGUUGAAAUUAGGAGUUUCAACAGUUUCAGACCUUUCUGAAUUUGUUGUCAGAGUAGGACUAUCCUCAGAAGCACUCUUUUGCUUGUUUGCAGAUUCUUGUGCCCAAAUAUAAGGUCAUUUGAAUUCAAUUAUUGGUAUCUACUGUAACUCUUUGAGAACUGAGGCCUCAGAAUUACAUGUGCAUGGUUUUGAUCAAAUGACACUCGCAAAGACUCACCACCAUGUCCUAUCAUAGAAUCUAAUUGUUGUACAUUGAGAUUAUUCAAAUUGAAAUUUAUAGCUUCUGCAAUCUGCCUCUAUUUUCCAACCCACUGAUUAUAAUUUAUAGGCCAACUCUCACCAACAGCUUGAGAUUGAAGGUGGCCCUGGGAAGAAUUGUCAUGCUCAAAGGAAUUGCAAAUCCUGUCUUCGACUUCGUUACUAGGCACAGAUAAUAAAGCCAAAAAAAAAUUAGCUAGUUCUUCUUUUCCGUGAAUAGGGACUGUUAAAUAAUGUAGUUAGUUAUACUCAGCUGUAGGUAAUGUUAAUUUGUGUUAGGAUCUGCCACGUGUAUGGUUGUUUUUUCCUUUCCUUCACUAUAUAAAUGUAUCCCAGGCUCAUUUUGCAUUGAGUUGGAAUUCUGUAACAUUCUCUAUUUUCCUUUUUUCUCCAGUCUCUCUUUUCUCUCUGUUUUCUCUUUUCUUCUUGCCUGCAUUUCAUCUUGGUAUCAGAGCCAAAAAUGUCCAACACUACUUCCUCUCCGACAACCCUAACUGCAAAUCCCCAAAAUAUUAACCCAACUCCAAUCUCCAGUCCGAACAUUACCCAAACCAAUUACCCAUCUCUUUCUUAGCCUCUAACUAUCAAACUAGAUGAAACGAACCUGCUUCUAUGGAAAAAUCAGCUUCUGAAUGUGAUCGUAACCAACAGGUUGGAAGAUUUCAUUGAGGGAGAAACGCCUAUACCAGCCAAAUUCUUGGAUGAUGCCCAACUGCAGAUCAACCCACUCUUCAUACAAUGGGAACGAAUGAAUAGACUUGUCAUGAGCUGGAUCUAUUCUUCCUUAACUCUUGCCAUGGUAAGAAGAAUUGUAGAAUACAAGACUGCUCGGGAAAUAUGGGGAGCUCUGAAUAGAGUCUAUUAGUCUCCUUCGAUUGCUACUGUGGUAGGGCUGAACUCUCAACUUCAGAAGAUUAAAAAGGAAGGUAUUACUAUUUCUGAGUAUCUUGCUCGUAUUAAGGAAGUCUUUGACAAGUAUUCUGCCAUGGGUGAGCCAUUAUCUUACAGAGAUAAACUGAUGUAUACCCUAAAUGGAUUGACUGAGGAAUAUGAUGGAUUUGUGACCUCCAUCUAUAAUAGAUCUGAUAAGUCUUCUUUAAAAGAGGUUCAUAGUCUUCUUUACACUUAUGCAUAUUGGUUGGAGCAAAGGAAUACUGCACAACAGCUUCAGUUUUCUCAGGUUAACCUCACUGCUUAUUCCGGCCAAAACAAAUUUCACAAAAAUCAGCAACCCAAUUUUCCAAAAUACCCACAAAAUUCAUAUUCAUCUUUUCCAAACAAGCCUAUUAAUCUCUAUCAGUCCUUUCGUCCAAACUCCCAACCUAGCAUCCUUGGAAAACCUCAAGGACAACCACAAUCAUCUUCUAAAUGGUUUCAGAAACAAGGAACAGGAAAUUUUGGACCAAGGCCACAAUGUCAAAUUUGUGGGAAGUUCGGUCAUAUGGCCUUAAAUUGUUAUCAUCGAGCAAACUUGAACUACCAACCACAGUUUCCAAAUUCUCAACCCAAGCCUCAACCUCCAAAUCCCAUAGCUGCAAUGCUCACUACUUCAACAUCUCCCACUAUGCCCUUUAAUAAUUGUGAUACUCCUUGGUAUAUGGAUUCUGGAGCAACACAUCACUUUACACCAGAGUUUGGCAACUUAACAGAUCCUUGUGUGUUAACUGGUGAUGAGCAAGCUAUGGUGGGCAAUGGUAAGUCAAUUAGAAUUUCACAUAUUGGUAAUGCUAUGAUUUCAAGCCUAUGAAACCGAUUCAUUUAAAACAUGUCUUGCACACUCCUCAAAUCUCAAAACAACUCAUCAGUGUCACUAAGCUUUGUUCUAAUAAUCAAGCUUUUGUUGAAUUCUAUUCCUCUCAUUUUCUUGUGAAGGAUCAAGCCUUGGGGAAGGUACUUCUUCAGGGAAUACUUGAAAAUGGACUCUACAAAGUUUCAUUAUCAGUCAGUACUUCACCAUCUCUUGUUGUCUCCUCUUCAUUAGCUUCACUUUUAGUUCCUGCUACUCAAUUAUCCUUCAAUCGUGCUCAAGCCUUCAUCACUCAGCAUAAUAAUAUCAUAUUGUGGCAUAAUAGACUAGGACACUGAUUCAUGCCCAGUCGGGUGUUUAUCAAAAUAUUUAUAAAAACUACAACACCUUAUACUAGGGUAGAAAGACAAAGCUACUAUAGUAUAGUGGUUCUAGGAUCGUCCACAGGGAUGGGUUUUCUUUGUACACUUGACAUUAAUGAAAUGAGAAAUGGUGAUUGCCUUUUUGAAAGUUAGUUUUUAAAUGAAAAUAAGAUUGAUUGGAAGGGUUGAUUUUAAGUUAAACAAACAUAAACAACUGAAAUUACUACAAAGAGAAAAUCUCUUGGAGCUAUAGGUUACUAGGAUCAGGUUCCUAUUGCAAAGUGGAAAAUUUCGGAUCUUCUCCUCACAUUGGGGACAAUAACAUAAAGGAUGGUUAUCUACCAAACCGGAUUUGUAUUUAACAAAUAAGUUUUGAUCCAAAGGGUUCUUGAAAAAUGGUAAUUGCUUCCCAUUAAUGGCUUCAAACACUAAAGACCCUCACCUUGAACCACCUUCCAAUGACUCGUACUUGAUAACUAAUGGACAUCCAUGGAUCUAGCAAUAAGCAUCCAUAGAAUCCUAAAAGCUUACCAAGUAUUGGCCAUUCAAGGUGAUUCUAAGGGAUUAAAGCUUAAACUUGAAAUACAAACCAUUAAUAAUACACAAGUACCUUCAUUUAAAGCAAGGAAAACUCCCACCUUUGCAUCUGGGUCCUUUACCUAGCUUCCAUCACUCAAAGAAACAUGAAACUUAGCCACUCAUCCUCUGAAAAAUCAUCAUUAGAGGGUGUUUGGCUAUAGAGAAUGUGAAGAGAAAAUGAGAAAGAAAGGUGGAGAAAAACUCCCGUAAAUUUCCUUCAAAAAUAGUCUUUACAAAAUAUCAAAAACAUCACAUCCUUUGAGAGGUUUUCCAACCCCUAUUUAUAGUUCCUAAACAAACCCUAAUGUCAUUUAUCUAUUAUAAAAGGAGAAAAAGGAAAAAUUACAAUUCUGGAGAAAAAUCUCGAAGGUCGAUGCGCACAAAGUGAUUUUCGCAAACCUUGCCAAAUUUUGGCACACCUUGUGAAAUCGAUGAUUUUGUCUUGCGAAAUGCUCUGUUUUCCUCCAUCUUACUUUUGAAAGUUUUGGUAACCCCUUGCCAAGUUUGCCAAGGGGUUUUGAAGUGCUCCAAAGCUCAAAAUUUUCAUGUGAUUGAUCUUCAACUUGCCUUGCCAUAGCUUGCAUAAAACUCUCCCUCAAUCUUGGCCUGUUUCAAUGAUCAAAAAGCUACCAAAAACAAUAAAACUUACCAAAAAUUGGUUAGUAACAAUUGCUAGGUUCUUAACAUGCCAAAUGAGAUAUAAAGGUCUAACUACUACUAAAAAGUGCUCAAUACAAUUAAGUUUAAGCUUAUAAAAAUGCACUUUUUGAGUAGUAAUCAGACACCCUACUUCUAAUGUAGUUACUCAAGUUAUGAGGAGCUAUAAUUUGAAAUUUUCUAAAUCUUUUGAUUUGUGUUCCUCUUGUCAAUUGGCUAAGAGCCAUGGAUUACCCUUUGUAAUUUCAAAAUCUAAAGCAAUGAAACCUUUUGAUUUGGUUCACUCUGAUCUUUAGGGUUCUUCUCCUGUCUUAUUUGUCACUGGUGCUCGUUACUUCCUUCUUUUUAUUGAUGAUUACUCUCGUUUUACUUGGUUUUAUUUGUUAAAAAGCAAAGAUGCAGUUUUCUCAUACUUUCUAAAAUUCAAAAAUCAAUUUAACACAACUAUUAAGGCUUUGCAAACUGACUGGGGUGGUGAAUUUCGUCCACUUAAGCCUUUUCUUGAAAAUCUUGGUAUUCAUCAUCGCCAUCCUUGUCCUUAUACUCCCCAACAAAAUGGGCGAGUUGAGCGCAAAAAUCGCCAUGUUGUUGAAGUUGUCUUGCCAUGUUAGCCCAUUCUUCUAUUCCUAUUUCCUAUUGGCCAUAUGCAUUCCAAUAUGUUGUGUAGUUAAUCAACAGAUUACCUACUACUGUCUUAAAUAACAAAACUCCUUUUGACUUGCUUUAUGAUAAAUCUCCUUCUUAUUCUUCAUUUCGAGUGUUUGGCUUCUCUUGUUUCCCAUUUUAAAGAGCUUUGAAUCAAUAUAAACUUCUUGAAUGUGUUCUUCUUGGGUUUAGUCCUCACCAUAAAGGUUAUUUGUGCUUAAAUAGACAAAUAGGUUAGAUUUAUGUUUCUUGUCAUGUUGUUUUCAAUGAGUUUUCUUUUCCAUUCUUUUUUUCUUCUUCUUCCUCUCCUCAUCUAUGCUUACUCCUAAUCUCCCCAUUUCCCUUUCCUUUCCCUCCUCAACCACUCUUCAUCCCAUAUCUAUCUCACCUUCUUCUUCUUCUUUUUCUCUUCAUCGAUCUACAUUCCCAUUGUCUUCUCAUUCUCUUUCUUCUCCUCCCACAUCUCUAUCUCAUUGUCUCUCAUAGGACAUUCAUCCCACUACUUCAGUACAUCCAAUUCCAUUGGUCGUACCUAUUGACUUACCAGAAUCUGUUCUUCAUCGCCCUCCACCUCCCACCAACACUCAUUCCAUGGUGACUAGAUCCAAGGCUGGGAUUUAUAAACCUAAAACUCUUGUGGUAGCACUUGAUAUCCCUAUUGAUCUUGCUCUUUUUUAGCCUACCUCAUUUCACCAAGCAGUCAAAUAUGAUCACUGGCAAAGGGCUUUGACUACAAAAUAUGAGGCACUUAUUAGAAAUGAUACUUGGACAUUGAUGCCUCUACCACUUGAUCACAAAGUAAUUGGAUGUAAGUGGGUCUUUAAGGUCAAGCUCAAACCGGAUGGAUCCCUUGAAAGAUAUAAAGCCUGGUUAGUUGCUAAAGGUUUUCAACAAACACUUGGCUUGGAUAUUUUGAAACCUUUAGCCCAGUUUUUAAGCCCACUACUAUACGAAUUGUUUUAAGUUUAGCUCUGUCACUUCAAUGGCACAUCAAACAGUUGGAUGUCCAUAAUGCAUUCUUAAAUGGUGACCUAUCAGAAACUGUUUUCAUGGAGCAACCCCCUGGUUUUAUCAGUACUACUAAUCCAGGCUAUGUUUGAAAGUUGAACAAGGCUUUAUACGACCUUAAACAAAGUUCUCGUGCGUGGUAUACAAAGCUCAGUACUUAUUUGCUGCAGUGUGGUUUCCAAGGCUCCAAACAUGAUACUUCAAUGUUCUUUUUCAACAAAGGCUCUUCCAUUAUUAUUUUGUUGAUUUAUGUGGAUGAUACUAUUAUCACAGGUAGUCAUUCUGCCUUGGUGAACUCCUUGAUUGACCAACUACAUAAUCAGUUUGCUCUCAAGGAUUUGGGGUCUCUCUUAUUUUUUGGGUAUUCAAGUUACUUUUACUCUAUCAUCCUUGCAUCUAUGUCAACACAAGUACAUUGUUGAUCUCCUUCAUCGGGCUUAAAUGUUUGAUUGUAAGCAUGCUUCUACUCCUAUGAGCACCUAGUUUUCCUUGUCCUUGUAUGAUGGUGAGCCUUUUUCGGAUCCAUCUUCGUAUCGCAGCAUUGUGGGGGCUCUAUAGUAUUGUACCAUCACCCGACCUGACAUCAGUUUUUCUGUCAACUAUGUCUACCAAUUCAUGCAUUCUCUGACCACUCAUUGGCAAGCUGUUAAGAGGAUUCUUCAUUAUCUCAAGAGUACAAUUUAUCAUGGUAUUUCUCUUCAACCAUCUACUGAUCUCUCUCUCAUUUGUUAUACUGAUGUUGAUUGGGCUAGCUGCCCGGAUGAUCGAAAAAGUACAAGUGGCCAUUGUUGUUUCCUUGGCCCUAUUUUGAUUUCCUGGUCUUGUACUAAACAAAAAGUUGUUUCUCGUUCAAGUGUUGAGUCCGAAUAUAGAGGCCUUGCUAAUGCCGCUUCAGAACUUAUUUAGAUUGAAACAUUUCUCACUGAACUACACAUUCCGUUCUUCACUCCACUAGUCUUUUUUUGUGAUAAUCUCAAUGCCACACAUCUUGCUGCUCAUCCCAUUUUUCAUGCUCGUACGAAGCACAUUAAAAUUGAUUAUCAUUUCAUUCAUGAUCGUGUGCUCCAUAAAUCCCUAUUGGUCAAAUUUACACUUUCUGAAGAGCAACUUGCAGACAUCCUGACCAAGCCACUGCCUGCACCUCACUUUCAAAGUCUACGAAACAAGUUGACUUUGCUUCACAGCCCUCUCAGCUUGCAGGGGGAUGUUAACUAAUGUAGUUAGUUAUACUCAACUGUAGGUAAUGUUAAUUUGUAUCAGGAUCUGCCACAUGUAUGGUUGUUUUUUCCUUUCCUUCACUAUAUAAAUGUAUCCUAGGCUCAUUUUGCAUUGAGUUGGAAUUCUAGAACAUUCUCUGUUUUCCUUUUUUCUCUAGCCUCCAUGUUCUCUCUGUUUUCUCUUUUCUUCUUACCUACACAUUUCAUCUGGGACACUCGGAGUUGAAUACUAAACUGAAGGAGACUAUUUUGCGUGAUGAAACCAUAUGCUACCCAGACACUAAUUGCCCAUGACAUCUGCCAAGCCAUGUCUAUACUAUAGGUAACAUUAAUCUGAUCCAGCCAGUCUAUGCAAUUGGUCCUAAGCAUCAAGAACCUAUUCACAUUCUGACUCUUCAACUCUAGAACAAUAAUUGACCCAAAGAAACUCUCAACAUUGACUAGGUUAGUCAAGACAUAAUUACCCCCAACCUCCUUAGUGGCAAGCGAGACAACCAAGAAUAUAACACUAUCCUUAUCCUUCCAAUUCACAUAUGGGUUUGUAGCAAAGGAGCCUAGCAUAUUUUGAAUCAAUACUAAAAUAAUAGCAGUCACCCUUUCCUUAUAAUUCAUAACAAGUACUCCUGAAACUUCCCCUCAUUUUCAUCCUUCAUGUUGAUGACUUGAAAGAUCAAAAAAAGAAAGAGUCAAUCAUUUGCACUGAUACAAUACUGCACAACUAAAUAAUCCUCACUAGUUUCAUAUACAACAUUAGGAAUUGGACAGAUGUUGGACUUUGUAUGAUUGACAUCGUAUUGAAGAUAUAUAUGCGUCUCUGAGAGAUCUUGUCAUAAAUGUUCAUGAAUAUUUUCCUCCCGUAACUAAGUCUCCUGUACUCUUUUCAAUUGCAGGUCCAUAAAUUCCCAAACUUAUAUCUGAGUUCUCUAUGGCCAUAUUGUUUGAAGCAUAUUCAGAAUGAAUUUCCACUCCCAUGUGCUUGAACUAAGCUUUAAUUUCAGACUCUUUCAUAAAUAAUCAACAAAUUUAGGAAUUUUCUAUAUUCUGUGAACCAGAACUGACGCAUGAAAGAUACAAAAUUAGAUCAAUCAUUCGUCACUGAUUUCUACAGCAGCUGAAUUUAUUAAACCAACCGAACAGCAAUGAUCAUCUUUUCUUCGUCUUUGGAAUCCAUUUCAAUCACGACAUUCCCAUUAAAUUUCCCUGUUGACCCCUUAACAUCAUCACCCUUUAUUGAAGCAAUUUAUGUCAAUAGUUUCAGUGGCCAUGUCAAGAAUGGUGCUUCUUAAUGAAGAUACAAAAUGUAAAAGGUUAUCCACAAAAAUGAUUGAGGGAGCAAUUGCUUCAUUCAUUGUUACUACAUAUUUAUUUAUGAUAGAGAUACUGAAAUUAAGGAGACGUAAAUGACAGACCCUAUUGCCUUCAAGACCUCAAAAGCCUCUUCUAUAUGUACAAUUGAUCAUCACCAUGUCCUGAGCUUCCACUCAAUGAAUAUUGAACCAUCAUUUGCUCUGGUUGAACCGAUAAUCCUAUAUGCCCCUAUAUGCAGCCUCUGUGCUUAAAAUUCUGCGUCCAUGAUUUCCGACGAAGUAAACUAUUGUACUGGAUAGUUUUGGCUGCAAUUACUUCUUCACAGCUAUCAUCCAACUCCAAAAUCCAUAAAAAAAAAAAAAAAAAUGAUCAACAAACCACCAGGCCAACCUGAACUGAAAGUAACCAAACUCCAUGGAUAUAAAAGUCUCCAAUUCUCUCCACAUCCACGUUGACUGAAUUUAUGAUUUUCUCACUAUUUGGAGCCAACAUUCUUGAUCGAUGGAGGCUUUGUGUAAACUAAUACCAUGAGAGCUACCCGCACAGAUGCCUAUUUGUUGCCCACCUAAGUACCAUUGUCUUUGUAAUAGAGACUCCACAGUCUUUGCCCUUAACAAGAUCAAUGCAAGAACCAAGGAAAUUUAGUCUAAAACACCUCCACCAUCUCUCAUUUUUCUCAAAAAACCUGCACCAAAACCUGCAUCAUAAGCGGCCAAAAGAAUGCCAGAUUAAUAAGACCCAGAGAGGAAUCCAACAGAGCUCCCCAAUGCAAAAAUCUUUAAAACGCCACCAUGUCUGCAAUCUCUAGAUAUGUUCAAGUAUGAAGAAAGCAUAUGGAUGCACCCCUUAAAAAUGUUGAUGUGGAAGGCUUUAUGCUUUACAUGAAGUGAGUCCGGGGGCUUUGAUCUCGUGGAAGGAGGCUCUAUCCUUUUGAUUGGUAUGUAUAAAUGAAAAAAACACCACACAAUGUCAUAAUCAAAAUUUCCCAAACGACUCACUGCUCAUAACCAUUAUCCAUAGAAUUUUUCCUUGCAAAUCCAAAUUCUCAACUCCCCAUUGCAUCUUCUUAUUAUUUCCCAUAUUUUUCCAUAGUCCCCAAAAUUUCCGAAUCAAUGUUGUCAAUGUUGUCCUUGAUUUCAGAUUCAUGCAUCCCUCUAAAGAACUGAUUAGAACUGUUGCUGAAGGUGAAUGGCCCAGAUUACUUUCAGAUUCUGACACAUCCUCUAUGGGAGCUCGUAAUACAUCCUUCUAAUGCAGAAUGGGAGGUUUUUUUUUUUUUUUUUUUUUUUUUACGAUUUUCUAUUUUUAAUUUCAAAACAAAGAACAAAUCUUGAAGGCUGGGAAUGGAACUUGUUGAGGUGUGGGCUAGAAAUAGAAGAAAACAAAAACAAAAACAAAAAAAAAAUCCAAAAAGAAGUGGAAAAUAACCAACAAAAGCCACAAUUUCACAUUUCAAUCCAUUGGUUUAGAAUAGGAGAGUGAUUCAAAACAAAUUUUUAAUAUAAACAGGGCAGGAUUUCUACCAUCAGAUUCAAGGAAAAAACCCAGAUGCAUACUAUUUUCAGAUGAAAUCAAUGGCAUUAACAGAAUGAAAAACAUAGCAAGCAAACAAUGAACCAAUUUCAACACAACAAUCUGUGAACCUUUCCGUCCACACUAAUCAACAAAAUAAAUGCCCAAAACCAUCAGAGAAUCAUCAAGAAUCAAACAUAAGAUAAAUCAUAGAAGAUAGUUGAAAACGUACCUGGGUAGUCUCCACCCAAUUACUUAGUUAUUUUGCUACAGUUCCUCUCCGAAAUCUCUCAAAGAAAACCUAGUGAACCGUUCUCUCUUUUCCUUGAAGAUAAUCCCUUCUCAUUCGUUCUCACUCUUAUGUGCUUUUCUACAAAGACAAUCCUAGCAUUCCCCUUUUUCAGCAUCCUUUCUUACGUAUAUAUUAGCCCCCAAAACCCAAAUUUGUUCCAAAAAGGAAAAUCUCCCAUUUCCUUUCUUUUAUUUUCUUCAUUUUUGCAAUCCUUUUUUUUUUUUUUUUUUUUGUAUGUAUUUGUAUUAGCCUCCCAAAAACUCAAUUUUUUUUUUUGAAGAAAAUCCACUUUCUUUUCUUUUAUUUCCCUUAUUUUCGAAAAUCAAAAUGUUUCUCUCUUUCCAUGUAGGAUCUCCUCUUUCCAUAUGUAUGCAGCCACAUUAAUCCUCUUUUCCCUCCAAUAUAUAUAUAUAUAUGUAUAUAUAUUUACCUUCUUUGAGUGCACAUGCCUUAGUGAGAGUUGAUCAAUAGCUCCCAAUUCUCUUGUCAAACGAUAAAAAAAUAAAAUAAAAUAAAAUAAAACCAAAAAGAGUUAGCAAUCUUGCAACACAUAAAAGAAUAAAGUAGAAUAAAAAUAAAUAAAUAAAGUAAAACAAAAUAAUUAAAUAAAAUAAAACAAAAUAGUCAAUCCUAUGCGGGCCAUGCAAGUCAUGCGACUAUGUGAGUCAUGCAAGAAACACUAAAAAUGUCUAAUAGGCUAAGUGUUCCUAAGAGGGCCUAAGUGAACCUAGAUAGACUUAAGGUAUCUACAUGACCUAAGGUGGUGCCUAAUGGGUCGGGUAUACCUAUACGGGCCUAGGGUGAGACUAAGUGGGCCUAACUAAGUCUAACCUGAAGUGCACCUAAAUGAAGCCUAAUCUAAACUUGAAGGGCAGCCAAGGUCAUAAUGUGAAGCCGGAUAAACCCCUCAACUAAAGUCUCCGAGGUGGCUCAGAAAAAGUAAGCUACAUGAGUAGUAAUGGGCCAUCAAUGAACCACUGUGGAACCCUGGAAGUGAACUUAAAGACAUGUGCUAAAGGGACAAAAUGGAGGGUCUACACCAUGCUUCGUUGGUCAGGUCUUCUUUAUACAUAAACCUAUUUUUUGUGCUUAACUUGGAGAAGCUGCCAAUAAGACUGAAUAGUCACAUAUCUCUUAGAGAAUUGAGAAUCACACAACUCUUUCAUUUUUUUUUUUAGGAUUGGCUUGUCAUCAAAUCUUUUGCUCAGUUGUUGUGAUGGUUUGAAAUUGCUAUCUGAUGGUUAUAACCUAUAUAAACAACAACUUGUAUUAACUUAUCCUGAGCAUUAUUUUGCAAACAUGAUUUUUAUGAGCACUUCUAUUUGGAUGUCUUUCUAACAGUUGUUAGUAUUCAAUAAAAAUGACCUUUACUAAACCUGCAGAUUUUUUCAGGUGAUAUUUUUUUUUUUUUUUACAACAAGGAAGGGAGGCAUUUUUCUUGGCAGUGUAUCCUAAUUCAUAGAGUAUAAACCCUUGCAAAUUGAAAGAAAGACAAUUUACAUAUCAUUAAAGGGUGAUCUAUAAGCACUCUUAUAGGCCUACAUCUUUCUCAUUUGGAUUUGGAAUUUAACCUCUAGUAAGCGUUUACUUGUUUUUAAUCUGUUUUUUAGGAAGCCAGUUGAUGAGAUUUUGCCAACCAAAAAUAGAGGUUUGUUAGCCCUCCUAUCUUCAGGCUAGUUCUCUUGCAUAUGCUUGAAAAAUAUUGGAAACCAAUUAAUUAGUCAUUGCAGUUUCAUAGUCUUACAAGAAAUCUUGUUAUGGUGGCAGGAGAACAAACUACAACAUAAUCUCAUUUCCCUUCAUGAUUUAGACAUUGUAAAGAUAAAAAAAAAUAUAUGUUCUUGGUAAUAUAAGAAGAAGAGAAGCCAAAAAACAGGAACAAAAUGUAUUGGAACCUUGUGGACUUGAAUAGCUGAUAUUCAAGUGGCAAAAAUACAUAAAAAUGCACUUAACAAACUACUAACCAGCAGGCUAAGAUUCUACUUCUAAGAGACAGGUUUGUCAUCAAUGUCAAGAAGGCUCGCACUUCAUUUUUGUGGGACUUUGGCAUCAACAAAUUUCUAUUCCCAGAAUUCUUUCGUAAAUGUCAUCAUCCUGGCCAACUUUCUUUAGUGUUGAAAAAUAGGGUGAUACCAUGUUGCUAAAAAUUGCAGUCCAUAUGUACUAGAUAGACAAGAACUAGAACACUUGUAUUAGAAACAUCUCUGUUGCCUGGAUUUGCAUUACCUGCCAUAAUUAAGCACAUUUAUAUUAUUGUAGAACUGUGUUUCAAAGUCACCCAUACCUAAUCCAUCUCCAUGUAUCUCAAACAACUAGGUUCAUUGGUAGCAGAAGAAGAGCAACUUGAAUAGCUAGUCAUUUCCUUUUAUAAUUUAGGGAUAAAGGUAAAAAAACUACAACACUUGAAUAGAUGGUAUUCAAGUGGACAAGAACUGCAACACUUUUCUCAAAAAUAUGUAUGUUCUUUCUUCAACUCUUACUCUAUUUCCUGGAGUUGCAUUAUCUUCUAUGAGUAAUCGCCUCCUAUUUAUUCUUGUGGAGAAACAAGUUUUGGUGUAUGCAGAGACUAUACUAUUGUUGCACCUCUUGAUUUUCAAGACCACCCAGCCUCACCCCAAGCAUUUGGAAUUGUCAAGCUAAUUUUUGGCUAACCUUCCAAUGACCUUAAGGGCUUCAUACAAAGUAGAUCUAGUGCAAGAGAUUUAGAAUUAUCUCUACCUAAUCCAUCUCUAUUUCUUUAGAAUAACUAGAUGCUAUGGCCAAAAUCUCACAUAAGGCGUCAAGUUCAUGUUGGGGCUUAUUCACAAGAUUAAGAUGAAUAUAGCAGGGAAUGUUCUUGAUCUACCACCAACCAUGUUGUCAAGUUGUUUAAUGCCCUUAUGUUGACUAUGGCCACAAUCACAGUUGGGUGUCGUUUCCUAAAAGAAAUGUCAUUUUGAAACUUUUAAUGUCAACAACAGAACUUUCAUGUUUCUACAUUCAGGUACCCAUAAAAAAUUGAGUCCAUGUUAGCAUCCAAUGAUGGAAGUAAUAUACCUCCUAGAAAUUGAUGUGGAAGGUGGUGACUAACAACAACAUAGAUGUAUAUAAGGGAUUUACACUUAGUCUUGUGCAUCAAACAACCCUCAUUUAGUAUAAACCAAAAAUUUUGGCAACUCAUGAUCCAUAAUUUAGAGCAUGGGAGGAAGAAGACCUGUUGGCAAGACAGGAGGAGACAGUUAAAAACAUGCAAGAAUUCCAUAGAUGAGUUGUUGUUAUGAAUUAUUCAGAAUCCAUGGGAAAAUUUAAAGCCCAUUGAUUUUGAAUGAAGGACCUACUUAGCAUGGAUCAAAAACCUAUUUUGGAGAAAGAAACCAAGUCUUGAGGACUAAUUCAAUUACCAAAUCUCUGGGAAGCACUGAGGCUUUUUUAGUAGCUUCCCAAUUAGUGCAUAAGGUGGCAAUGCUAUUUGCUUUUAUGUAAGCUCUUCUUCUUCUAGUACCAAGGAAAAUUCUAUAAUCCUAAAUCUCCAUUCUCCAUGUACAGAUGUUUUCUUCGAUGCAUGCUGUCAGAGAAGAUGAGUAAGCUUCAGAAUAUUAGUUUACUGAUUCGAGGAUGUAAAUCCAGUCGGGUCAUUUAAUCAAAAACAUUUAUAAAACCUAUGCCCUCAUACUAGUGUAGCAAAGCUACUAUAGUAUAGUGGCUCUAGGGUCAAACUCUAGGAUGGGUUUUCAUUCUACCAGUGAUAUACUCAUGAUUAGGAAUUGAAUUUAAUGAUUUCCUUUAUCAAAAACAUAGAGUUUAAAAGAAAAUAAAAUUUGUUUUGAAAGUGUUUGAAACUAAAUUAACAUAAACUAAUUAAAAAUGGAAGAAAGAAAGUCUCCCGGAGCUCAGGAUUGCUAGGAUCAAGUUUAGAAUGCAAAGUGGAAAAUUCUGGAUUUUUCUCCUCGCAUUGAGGAUUUAACCUAUAGUUAUUUCCUGAACCGGUAUAGGUUUAACAAUGAAGAUUUAAUCCAUAAAAAUCAAUAGAAAUGGUAGUCAAGGUUCAUUAAUGGCUUUAGACACUAUGGGUCUUCACCUUGAACCACUUUCCAAUGGCUCGUACAUGAUAACUAAUGGACUGAUAUGGAUCUAGUAAUAAGCAUCCACAGAGACCUGAAGCUUACCAUGUAUUGGCCAUUCAAAGUGAUUCUAAGGGAUUUAAAGCAAAACUUUGGAUUUAAAAGCCAUUUAUGAACUUCAACUACCUGUAUUUAAGGCACGAGCGUUUUCCACCUUGCAUCUGGACUUUUCACCUAACUUCCAUCACUCCAAGAAACCAAAAGUUUAGCCUCUCAUCCUCUGAGAAAACAUCCUCAGAGAAAACAUCCUCAGAGGUUGUUUGGCUUCCAAGAAAAAGAAAAUAGUAAAGAGAAAAGGGAAAACGAGAGAGCUCUGUAUAUUUUUCUAAGUGUAAAACAUAACACGCGUGAUACCUCCAAGAGGUGAUUUCCACCCCUUAUAUAGUUUUUACAAAAGCAAAGCUUGUGAUUGGCUUGUUACAAGGAGAAGAAAGGAAAUUACAUCAAAAAAUACAAAAGAAAAUAUCUAAAGUGGAAUCGGCAAAAACAGAGGAAAAUUCGCACCACGCAUGGGGUGUGCGAAUUUUCGCACACCUGAGGGGGGUGUGCGAGUUUCGCACACCAUUCGCACAGCUAAGGGGGUGUGCGAAUUUCGCACACCAUUGGCACACCAUUCGCACACCUGGAGCAGUUGUCUUCCGAAGGCCAUAUCUUCCUCGUUUCAGCUCCAAAUCGUACACGGUUUAAAGCGUUGGAUUCUUGACUUCCUGAUCUUUGAAAUGGUAUAUAGCAUGUAAAAAAUGGACUUCGGGAAGUGCUCCAAAAGUGCCAAAGAAGACUGCAGCUGAUGUCCUCUGUUUUCCUCCUUGCUUCUCUUUGCUUCUCUUUGGUUUUCUUUGCUUUUCUCCUUUGGAUGGCUUGUCUUAAUGAUCUAAAAAGAUGUCAAAAACACUAAAACUAGCCACAAAUAUGAUUAGGAGUCAUUGCUAGGUCCUUAACAUGCCAAUUGGAAUAAAGAUGAAGAAUUACUAACCAAAAGUGCUUAAAACAUAAUGACUUAAAGGUGUGAAAUAGCACUUUUUGGGUAGUAAUCACUCCCCCCAACUGACACAUUGCUAGUCCCUGAGCAAUGAAGGAGAGAAAAAGAAAGAAAAAUAGAUAAUAAAAUAAUUUACAAAAUCAUGCUGAUCACUCCAAAAAAUAAUCAAGUGGCAUGAUUGGAUCAAACUCUCACAUGGCAAGUCAAGGAUAUAAAACUCAAUCAUCAACAAGAGUUAUCAAAUAACUUACCUAUCACAACUUGCUAAGAGCGGACAUUAUGCAAAUUUGAGUAUCAAAAUAAUUUCCACUCCCAACGGAUCAAUUCUUAAUCUUCCACAAAAAUCUAAGUGUUAAGGUGCUUAGUUUCCAGUUAUAGUAUGUCAAACUAUAUUCUUCCCCCCAACUAAGGUUUUUCUCUAACUUUAGCAACACUAACUCAUAUAUAAAAGGCUAAGAACACACCUUUUUUUUUUUUUUUUUAAAGGGACUCCACCCAUCCACCCAUGUAACGAGCAGUGAGGUCGGUGACUCCCAACCAGUAAAGGCUUAGGGCACCAGGCUUUAAAGAUUUUCACCAUAUACCCCUCGGACCUUGCUCGGGUUUCAAAGCAAGUGAAGCAAAAAUUAUUCAUAAGACACAUUGGCCUUUUAUAAGGUGUCCCAACACUAAUAGAAUGAAGUCAAUGGCACCAAGUCGAAAAUUUCCUAAGUUUAGGGGGGUGAGAAAGUUUUCCAUCUUAUAACUGGAAUCUAAUGUGUUCAGUGUGUGAAAAGAUUAGAGUGGAAGACUUAAGAUUGAAAUCAAAAGGAUCUUCAACAAUUUAUCAACUUAAAUAAGCAUAAUACAAACUCUGAGACUAUGGCAAUAAGAUAAGAAUUUAAUUUCUCCCAUUUACUUUUGAGAAUUUAUCUUUGAGAAAACAAAAAGAGUUUGCAAAAAAAUUUGUUAGCAAAAUAACUUAACCAAAAAUUCAACAAAUUACUUCCUCAACUCUCCCCCCAACUAGGAUGAACAUUGUCCCCAAUGUUCCAAAAGCAAGAGAUAAUAAAAGGGAGGAAGUGAUACCUCCUGAUAGUAAGGAAGUCUCGACAUGAAAGUCUCUCGAUCGGCAAUCGGAGUUGCCCUCAAUGGGCAAGCUGGGUCUAGGGCGCCUGGCGGAAGAAGGCUGAGACUGUGAAUCCUGAGGUGCUCUAGAGGACUCUCCUGGCUCUGAAGUCUUGGCUUUCUUUGUAGGGGGGGUGUGCGAGUUUCGUAGACCUCAAGGGGGUGUGCGAAAUUUUCGCAUAGGGUACUAUUCACCCGCGCGUUUGAAAAAUUGUGGCUUGUUUGAGAUGGUGAAAAUUUGUGGCCUUUGAGGGUGGGAAAAGCUGGCUUAGGUAUGAAAAAGAUUUGUCAUGGUGAAUAGGCUUGGAAAUUGGAGCUUUUCAAGAGGAAAAUUGAAGAUUGGGAGCUCCCAUGGCCGGCGGCAAUGGGUUUCUUAUGAAGAAACCAUGGCUUGAAUGCUUAUGGUUUAGGCUUUGGUUUGGUAAGAACAAGGUUGGGAUUGGAUUGUGGAUGGAUUUAGAGGGUUGGGUGAAGAUUUGAAAGGAUUUUGAUGGUGGAAAGAGGUGAAAUUGCCGAAAAUGGGAAGUGGUGAAUAGUGAAUGCGCGGCUAUGGAAUGGAGCUAUGGAGAUGGGCUGCCAUGGUGGUGUUGAUGAUGAGGAAUGAUGAAGAAGAGAGGCUUUAUGGAUGGAAAUGGGUGAUCGGAAGAGAGGUUUUAAGAGAAUUGAAGAAGAAGUUAAGACUUUGAAGUGGAGAACAUAGCUUUUAAAGAGAAAAAUGAAUUUCGCACAGGGGAAAAUGGUGUGCGAAAUUUUCGCAUACCUGUGAUUCUCCAAGACAGAGAGCAUGGUUUUGAAAAUUGGCGCAAAAAAUGAAUUCGCACAAGGUUCGCACAAGGUUCGCAUUCCUGUGAAAUUCGCACAANNNNNNNNNNNNNNNNNNNNNNNNNNNNNNNNNNNNNNNNNNNNNNNNNNNNNNNNNNNNNNNNNNNNNNNNNNNNNNNNNNNNNNNNNNNNNNNNNNNNAAAAAAUAGAAAUCAAACCACAUUAGAAUGAAAUUAAAGUCAAAAAUAGAAAUCAAAACAUGCAUAAACACAAGAAAACAUUAGAUUAAACUAAAAUCAACUUAAAAGAGAACAAAAAGAGGAUAAACUUUUUAGUCUUUGGAGAGACUAAGUUCAACCAUGAACCAAGUGUUUUCAUGUUGGAGGUGGAUCAAGGAGGAUGAAUUCCUCCUUGUCUCGGGAAAAAGAUUCGAUAUAGGGCUUGAGACGAUGCCCAUUAACUUUGAAAGUUCGAGUGCUAUUGAAGUUGAGUAGUUCCACUACUCCAUUUGGUUGCACUUCAUGAAUUAUGAAAGGACCCGUCCAUCUUGAUUUCAAUUUUCCCGGAAAAAGAUGAAGCUUAGAGUUAUAAAGCAAGACUCUUUGCCCCUUGGCAAAAUUCUUCUGAUUUACCAAUUGAUCAUGCCAUUUCUUCAACCUCUCCUUUGCAAUUUUUGAAUUGAGGUAAGCAUCAUUCCUCAUUUCCUCCAAUUCAUUCAAAUCCAAACAUCUUUUCAACCCGGCUCUUGUCAAAUCCAUGUUGAGUUUUUUGAUUGCCCACCAUGCUUUGUAUUCAAUCUCCACUGGAAGAUGGCACGCUUUGCCAUAAACAAGGCAAUAAGGAGACAUUCCAAGAAUGGUCUUGUAAGCGGUCCUAUACGCCCAUAAGGAAUCUAGGAGCUUAAUAGACCAAUCCUUCUUAUUCACAUUCACCACCUUCAUUAAUAUAUUCUUGAUCUCCCGAUUGGCUAACUCAACUUGGCCACUUGUUUGAGGGUGAUAAGGUGUAGCUACCUUGUGCUUAACCCCAUAUUUGGCUAGAAGAGUCUCAAAAGGUUUAUUGCAAAAGUGGGUUCCUCCAUCACUUAUAAUGGCCUUAGGCACUCCAAAUCUUGCAAAGAUGUUAUCCUUGAGGAAUUUAAGAACCACCCUAUGAUCAUUGCUCCUACAUGGGAUUGAUUCAACCCACUUAGAGACAUAAUCCACUUCCACCAAAAUGAAGGAAUGUCCAAAUGACAUUGGAAAUGGUCCCAUGAAGUCUAUCCCCCAAACAUCAAAGACAUCCACUAUCAAAAUGGGGUUCAAGGGCAUCAUAUUUCGGCGUGUAAGCUUACCAAGCCUUUGACACCGAUCACAUCCCUUGCACAUAGAGUAGGCAUCCUUGAAAAGAGAGGGCCACCAAAACCCUGAUUGGAUCACUUUCAUAGCUGUUUUCUGGGAGGCAAAAUGACUUCCACAUGCACUAUCAUGGCAAUGGGAAAGAAUUCCUGAUUGCUCUUGUUCAGGAACACAUUUCCUUAUGAUUUGAUCCGCACAAUAUUUGAAGAGAAAAGGCUCCUUCCAAUAAUAGGCAUGGAUCUUAGCAAAGAAAUGCCUCUUGUCUUGGGCACUCCACUCGCUUGGAACUUCCCCAGUAACCAAGUAAUUUGCAAUGUGAGAAUACCAAGGAGCUACAUCUAUUGACAUGAGAGACUCCUCAGGGAAGUCAUCAUUGAUAGGCAGACCAUGUGAGUCAUGUGCUAUCACAAGUCUUGACAAAUGGUCAGCUACCACAUUUUCUACUCCCUUUUUAUCCCGGAUUUGGAGAUUGAAUUCUUGGAGCAAAAGGAUCCAUCUUAUCAAUCUUACCUUGGCAUCUUGCUUGGUUAGCAAGUACUUCAAAGCGGAAUGGUCAGUGAACACCACUAUAGAGGACCCUACUAAAUAGGCACGAAACUUAUCCAAGGCAAAAACUACUGCCAACAACUCCUUCUCAGUAGUUGUGUAGUUCCUUUGAGCCUCGUUCAAAGUUUUGCUCGUGUAAUAAAUCACAUAAGGCUUUCCAUCCUCUCUUUGCCCCAAAACAGCCCCCAUAGCAAGAUCACUUGCAUCACACAUUACCUCAAAAGGUAAUUUCCAAUUUGGGGCUCUCACUAUUGGUGCAGUUGUGAGGAAUUGCUUCAAUUCCUCAAAACUCUUCUGACACUUCUCAUCCCACACAAACUUGGCAUCCUUUACCAAGAGUUCACAAAGAGGCUUUGAGAUUUUUGAGAAAUCCUUAAUGAACCUCCUAUAGAACCUGGCAUGUCCUAGGAAUUGCCUAAUUCCUUUAACAUUUGUGGGAGGUGGCAACUUAACAAUUAGCUCCACCUUUGCCUUGUCUACCUCAAUGCCAUUUUUGGAGAUUACAUGUCCUAAGACAAUGCCUUGUUGUACCAUAAAAUGGCACUUCUCCCAAUUUAGCACUAGGUCUUUCUCAAUACAUCUGUGGAGAACAGCUUCUAAGUGCAACAAACACUCCUUAAAAGAACUUCCAUAUACAGUGAUGUCAUCCAUGAAGACUUUCAUGAUGCGUUCCACCAUAUCACUGAAGAUGCUUAGCAUACAUCUUUGGAAAGUUGUAGGAGCAUUACAUAAACCAAAGGGCAUUCUCCUAUACGCAAAAGUACCAAAGGGGCAUGUGAAGGUUGUUUUUUCUUGAUCUUCCAAAUAAAUCUCUAUUUGGAAGUACCCCGAGUAACCAUCUAGAAAACAGUAGAAAGGAUGUCUUGAGACUCUCUCAAGGACUUGGUCCAUGAAAGGCAAUGGGAAAUGGUCCUUCCUAGUCACUGAAUUCAACCUCCUGUAGUCUAUACACACCCUCCAUCCUGAGGUAGGACGUGUAGAGACUUCCUCCCCUUUCUCAUUCUGGAUCACAGUGAUUCCAGAUUUCUUUAGAACUACUUGGGUGGGGCUCACCCACAAGCUAUCUGAAAUGGGAUAUAUGAUCCCUGCUUGUAGUAGCUUCAGAACUUCACCCCUCACCACCUCUUGCAUGUGAGGAUUCAACCUCCUCUAGGGCUGCCUCACUGGUUUUGCAUCUUCCUCCAUGUAGAUAUGGUGGGUGCACACCAAAGGACUAAUCCCUUUAAGAUCAGAAAUUUUCCAUCCAAUGGCUUUCUUGCAUUUUCUGAGGACUCCCAAAAGACUAUCCUCUUGAUCACUUGUGAGAUUUGAAGAGACCACCACUGGACAUUUCUCAUCUUCCUCCAAGUAUGCAUACUUCAAAUUAACAGGAAGUGGCUUCAAAACAAGCUUUAGAGGGUCCUCCAUAGCUGCUCCUUGUGAGUCCUCCUUAUUGAACAGUGGUAAGAUCUCUUCCCGUCUCCUCCAAGGAGACAUGAUAGCUAGCACAUCAGAGGGUUCAGGUAACCCUUCUUCAAACACUUCAAGGUUUUCAUUCAAGCUCUCUUCUAAGCUCUUGUCACAAUGCUCUUCAACCAAGGUGUUGAUCAGGCACACCUCCUCCAAUCCUUCAUCCUCAUCUGGGUGAAGAUGCCUCUUGCAAAGAUGGAAUAUGUUUAAUUCCAAGGUCAUGUUUCCAAAUGUGAGUUGCAUCACCCCAUUUCUACAAUUGAUGAUGGCAUUGGAGGUAGCCAGGAAAGGUCUCCCAAGGAUGAUUGGCACGUAAUUGGCUUCCUUAACAGUGGGAUCAGUAUCAAGCACAACAAAAUCCACGGGAUAGUAGAAUUUGUCCACUUGAACUAGAACAUCCUCUAUCACCCCCCUUGGGAUUUUGACAGACCUAUCAGCUAAGGAGAGAGUGAUGGUUGUGGGCUUCAAUCCUCCAAGUCCCAGUUGCUUGUACACAGAGUAUGGGAGCAAAUUCACACUUGCCCCCAAGUCUAGUAAAGCUUUCUCCACAAGUGUCCCUCCAAUGUUGACUGCAAUGGUGGGGCAACCCGGAUCUUUAUACUUAACUGGAGACUUACUCUGAAUGAUAGCACUUACUUGCUCAGUGAGGAAUGCAUUCUUUGUCACAUGUAGCCCUCUCUUAACCGUGCACAAGUCCUUUAGAAACUUUGCAUAUGUGGGGACUUGCUUGAUCAUAUCAAGUAAGGGUAUAUUCACCUUCACUUGUCUCAAGACUUCAAGAAUUUCUGAUGAAUUCUUGAUUUCCUUUUUUCCAUGUAAAGCUUGAGGAAAAGGGGGAGGCAUAUGUUUCUUCAUCAUAUCUUCUUUAAUCACUAUCUCGGCUCUUCUUCAAUGCUUGAUUUGGAUGCACUUUUCUUCCCACUCUCCUCUUCUUGGUUAUUGCUCUCUUUAACCAAGGUUUUCUUUGACAAGAGUUCUUCAUCUUGCCUCACCUUAGGCAAGGGUUGAUCAACCUCCUUUCCACUCCUCAAGGUGAUCAUAGCUUUGACCUCCCUCAACUUUGAAGAAUCCCCCUCUUGGGUUUCAACUUCAUGAACACCCUUAGGAUUUUGGCUUGGUUGAGAGGGGAACUUUCCUUUCUCAUUCACUGUGUUGAGGUUGGUAAGCCUAGAGAUAGAGUAUUGAAUAUUAUCUAUCUUCUGAUAUAGAUCAUUUUGCAUCCCAUCCAUUCUCUUAUUUAGAGAACUCUCAACAUUCUCAAUCUUUUGGUGCAAUUGGGAGUUGAUUGCCCUUUGUUCACCCACAAAGUCAUUCAUGACUUUACUUAGGUUCGCAAUGGCUUGCUCCACUGAAGAGGUUUGUUGAGGUGCUUGAGUUUGGGCUUGUGGUUGGUAUAGAGGUGGUCUUGGUUUCCAAGAAAAAUUUGGAUGGUUUCUCUAGCUUGAAUUAUAGGUGUUUCCAUAAGGUGCAUUGUUGUUAGGCCUAAAUUGCCCCACAACAUUGGCUUGAUCACCUAACAUCUCCCUCACAGCUGGCAUGGUUGGGCACUCAUCUACCACAUGAUCACAUGAUUGGCAAAUGGUGCAUGGCAUGGCAUGGGCUUGAGUCUCGGAAAUGGCUUGGACUUCAUGCAUCUUUUUCAACUCAAGUUCUUCCAACCUCCUUGCUAUUGUUGCCACCUUAGCUUUCAUGUCCAUGUCUUCACUUAACAUGUACAUUCCACCCUUUGGAUUUACAGGAGCUUUCAUCCUUCCCAAUUCCUUUGAGUUGGGCUCAUCCCAUCCUCUUGUUACCUCAGAUACAUAACUUAAAAAAUCCAUGGCUUCUUCCGGAUUCUUACUCAUAAAAUCUCCCCCACACAUGGUUUCAAGAAUUUGCUUCAUGGAGGAAGACAUCCCAUCAUAGAAAUAGCUCACCAAGAGCCAUGUAUCAAAGCCAUGAUGAGGACAAGCAUUGAUGGCCUCCAUAUACCUUUCCCAACAUUCAUGGAACUUCUCAUUUUCUUUUGUAGAAAAUUUUGAGAUUUGUCUCUUCAACCCAUUGGUCCUAUGGGUGGGGAAAAAUUUCUUCAAAAACUCGGCCUGAAGAUCAACCCAAUUCCUUAUGCUCCUUGGCCUUAAAGAAUUAAGCCAUAUUUUUGCCUUGUCCUUCAAAGUGAAAGGGAAUAGCUUGAGUCUCAUCAAGUCUAUUGAAGCUCCUCCCUCUCUAAAGGUAUUGCACACCUCCUCAAACUCCUUGAUGUGGGCAUAUGGAUUCUCACUCUCCAUUCCAUGGAAAUUUGGUAGAAGGGGCACAAUAUGGGGCCUUAUAAUCAGCUGCUCAAGAGGAGGUAUGAUGCAUGAGGGUGCACUCAUCCUUGGUGGGUGCAUUCUAUCCCUCAUGGAUAGAUAUGCAUUUGGAUUACCCCCUUGACCUUGUUGAGAAUUCUGAUCCUCUUGUGGAGGGUCCAUGAUGUUUACACAGAUAUCCAACUCUGUGUCUUGAGGAUUCUCAAUCCUUACUAAUCUUCCCUCUUGGUCCUGAAUCCAAUAGGGCAUGCACAAAUCACUACUUGCCUGAAAACAAAACAAAGACAACAAAAACAAAAGAAAACUAGAAGAAAGUUAAAGUUAGAAAGAAAACAAAAGAAAUUCUACAAUAAAAAAAAAAGGAAAUAAAGUUAGUGAAAAAGGAAUUCACCAAACUUGUGAUGAAAAUCACAAGUAGCCUCUAAAAGGUUGUAUCACUGUAUCGUGGCACCAUCCCCGGCAGCGGCGCCAUUUUGAUUCGCGUAUGUAAAUCUAGUCGGGUCAUUUAAUCAAAAACAUUUAUAAAACCUAUGACCUCAUACUAGUGUAGCAAAGCUACUAUAGUAUAGUGGCUCUAGGGUCGAACUCUGGGAUGGGUUUUCAUUCUACCAGUGAUAUACUCAUGAUUAGGAAUUGAAUUUAAUGAUUUCCUUUAUAAAAAACUUAGAGUUUAAAAGAAAAUAAAAUUUGUUUUGAAAGUGUUUGAAACUAAAUUAACAUAAACUAAUUAAAAAUGGAAGAAAGAAAGUCUCCCGGAGCUCAGGAUUGCUAGGAUCAAGUUUAGAAUGCAAAGUGGAAAAUUCCAGAUUUUUCUCCUCGCAUUGGGGAUUUAAUCUAUAGUUAUUUCCCGAACCGGUAUAGGUUUAACAAUGAAGAUUUAAUCCAUAAAAAUCAAUAGAAAUGGUAGUCAAGGUCCAUUAAUGGCUUUAGACACUAUGGGUCUUCACAUUGAACCACUUUCCAAUGGCUCGUACAUGAUAACUAAUGGACUGAUAUGGAUCUAGCAAUAAGCAUCCACAGAGACCUGAAGCUUACCAUGUAUUGGCCAUUCAAAGUGAUUCUAAGGGAUUUAAAGCAAAACUUUGGAUUUAAAAGCCAUUUAUGAACUUCAACUACCUGUAUUUAAGGCACGAGCGUUUUCCACCUUGCAUCUGGACUUUUCACCUAACUUCCAUCACUCCAAGAAACCAAAAGUUUAGCCUCUCAUCCUCUGAGAAAACAUCCUCAGAGGUUGUUUGGCUUCCAAGAAAAAGAAAAUAGUAAAGAGAAAAGGGAAAACGAGAGAGCUCUGUAUAUUUUUCUAAGUGUAAAACAUAACACGCGUGAUACCUCCAAGAGGUGAUUUCCACCCCUUAUAUAGUUUUUACAAAAGCAAAGCUUGUGAUUGGCUUGUUACAAGGAGAAGAAAGGAAAUUACAUCAAAAAACACAAAAGAAAAUAUCUAAAGUGGAGUCGGCAAAAACAGAGGAAAAUUCGCACCACGCAUGGGGUGUGCGAAUUUUCGCACCACGCAUGGGGUGUGCGAAUUUUCGCACACCUGAGGGGGGUGUGUGAGUUUCGCACACCAUUCGCACACCAUUCGCACAGCUAAGGGGGUGUGCGAAUUUCGCACACCAUUCGCCCACCAUUCGCACACCUGGAGCAGUUUUCUUCCGAAGGUCAUAUCUUCCUCGUUUCAGCUCCAAAUCGUACACGGUUUGAAGCAUUGGAUUCUUGACUUCCUGAGAUUUGAAAUGGUAUAUAGAAUGUAAAAAAUAAACUUCGGGAAGUGCUCCAAAAGUGCCAAAUAAGACUGCAGCUGCUGUCCUCUAUUUUCCUCCUUGCUUCUCUUUGCUUCUCUUUGGUUUUCUUUGCUUUUCUCCUUUGGAUGGCUUGUCUUAAUGAUCUAAAAAGAUGUCAAAAACACUAAAACUAGCCACAAAUAUGAUUAGGAGUCAUUGCUAGGUCCUUAACAUGCCAAUUGGAAUAAAGAUGAAGAAUUACUAACCAAAAGUGCUUAAAACAUAAUGACUUAAAGGUGUAAAAUAGCACUUUUUGGGUAGUAAUCAUUUACAAAUUAAUUGGAGCAAUGGAAUUGGAACAGGACACAAACUUCAAAACAUUAAAAAUCAGUAAUGCAGAUAAGGGCAUUUAUAUGUACACAUAUUGAUCAGAAAAUGAACUUCAUCCUUUACCAACCUAAAAACUCAAAAGAAAGAAGUAUAAUUUCAGAUAUGCAAGAUUUUGAUCUAUUAAAGCCCAAAUCAUUUUAUGUUCAUAGAAAUGAGAAGACAAAAUGGCAGCCGACUUUUAGGAUUGAAAGAAAAAUGAAUUGAUGCUACUUCCCAAUGCUAAUGCCAUUAAUUUGUUAUUACUCUUUGUGGCCAUGUCGAGUCUGUCUAUCAAAUAAGAUAAUCCCUUCUUUUUUUCUUCUUUUUUUCUUUACAUAGUCAAUCAUCUUGUUUCAUGUUUGCCCUAUAGUUGGUCUGCUGAUGAUAGGCUUUUUUUUAGUGGAAGCAAGUACUCUAUACUGAAGGUAAAUUAUGGGAACUAUGUCUUUUUGUGGUAUCGACGGGGUUAUCAUAUAGCUGAAUGAUUCUAUACUUCCUUAUAGCUUUUCAAGGCAUUAAAAAAGAAAAGAACAAAGGUAGAACUAGGAAAAAUAUUUCUUUUUGAUUUCAAGUAUACUCUUUCCUUAUGAAGUUUUAUUUUGGUAAAUUACAGUUAGAUAUAAUCACAUGGCAAUAUUUUUUUCUUCCAAGUUUAAACAGUAAUUCAAGAGAGUGUAUUAUGAAAAUAUACUAAAAUAAAAAAAUCCCAUGAAUGCAUUCUACUUUGGAUAUUUCUUAUGAAUCUUCCCCUAUACUCCUGGCCAUCACAUACACUCCCAUCACACCAAUCCUUGUAGUUGUUCUAAAUUGUUUCAAAUCUGUCAUAAACCGAUUACUAAUAUUAAGGACUGCCAUGUCUACUAAUUUGGGGCUAGAAUUUUUAGAGCAUGUGGGAAAUUCUGGUUAUAGUGGGAAAUGUGAGUGCUACUGUUUUGCCAAAGUGGCUUUCCUUAUUCAUGCUAACAUCAACAACAUAGCAAUGAACUUGAUUUAAUAUUAUUUAUCAUAUAAGCUUGAGAUAUCUGGACACAAAAGUUAAAACAAGAUCUUCGAGGCUUUGAAGAUGAGGUAUUUUCCUCCUCUUAAGUACUAGUUAAUAUUCUUCUUUUGACAUUGUACUUGGUUUAAUUAAUGUUUUCCUUUUUUUUCGUAUUCUAGAAAGGUUUUUGUUGUUGAUUUGAGUCCAUAUGGUGAGAAGGUAGUCUCCGAUGGUACGAAACAGAGUACUCAAUUUAUGGAUGGCUUGAUGGCUGAAAAAGGAAGAGAUAUAUGAAAUGAAGAUUGACAUGAUUCUUCCACAACAUGAUGGACUUGGUAGGCACUCAAUUUUUGCCUACAGCUAAUAGUCUACCAUAUGUGUAACUUAAAGGUUGUGCACUAAGUUAUUAUGUUAUGAAGAAUCAAGGGUGGUUUGUGCACUAAGCUCUUCUAAAAUGUUUUUCUUUAUUGAGCUGUAAUGAUUGUAUUAUUUGGAUUUAAUUGUAUUCAUUAGGUUUGCACAUCACGAUAUAAUUAUUUUCCUCUUUGAUCAUGUAAAGUUGGGAAACAGUUAUGGGUUAUUGUAAUAGCGUGGUAUAUUGAUGCACACAGUUUGUGGCAUAACAGUUUGAUGAAAUAACAGAAGUGUAGCACUCAUGGGCAUAUCAUGUGAACCUUAUUCAAUGUGGCAUUGACAGUUAGCUUAAAUUUACAUGGGUGUAAUGUCGCACCAGUAUCUUCUAAUGAACCUUGGAUUCUUUUUUCUCCAUUUCUUCCUCUCUUGGUCAAACCAAACAAUUUAUCUUCAUGACUUCCUCAUGUUACCAAAAAACAACAUCUUGUGUUCUCCAUCUCUUUAUCCUCUUAUCAAGACAUAGCAAUCUAAUGCAUCUUUGCAUUGGGUUGCUUCCUCUCCUUCCCUUCUCCUUCCUCCUUAUAUCAUUGCUUAGUUUUGGCUACUCUAUUUCUUUGAUCGUUAUGGUAGAGCAUCAUUGCAAGAUGUACAAGAAAUGUGUUGUGGUGCAUUAUCCCCUUCUCUACCACCCGAAAUAUGUUUUCCAUGAUCAUUAAUACCAAGACGUUUAAGCAUCAAGUAAGGCAUCUCUUGACAAUUAUGUGAAAGAUAAGAGAUAAGCAACAUACUGGUAUUCAAGAGAAGUGAUGUUCUACAUUUGCAGUUGACAACGUGCAUUUAGUCUGAACUCCAAAUUUGGGCAACUCAGAAUCUCCACCUUCAUUAGGAUUGCAGAAAGUUGGCUUCUUGGAAAGAUGUGGAAAUGGGGCAUUUAGAAAUCAGAAAGAAUCCCAGUGGCCUGUUGCUACUUUCGAAUCAUUCCAAUCAACAACAACUCUAAAGAUAUAUAUACAAAUCUGUCCCUGGGAAAGAGAUCCAUGUUUCUUAGGCAUGCAACCAUCUCUCUUAACAGACUUAGGGUUCUACACCCUCUUGGUGUUUCUUAUAUAUUGCACCAUCUGAUUUGUAGAUAUCCAAUUGCCAAUUUCACUACACCUGAUGAACUAGAAGCUAUGCUAAAAGUGAAGUUAAACAACCCAUCGUAGAAAGAAUCCUAUAGGAAUACACUAAAAAGAAUAUCUUAUUAACAUAAAUGAACUCAUCCAAUUAAAGGAUAAAGUUGCAUGAAAAUUGAAUUGGGAGAGAUACAAAUACUGAUGCUUAUGUAGGACUAUGGAAAGGAUCAAAAAGAGGAACAAACAUUGAAUAGUAAAUGUAAAGUCAUAAAGCUUCUAACAUCUGUCAAAAGCUACUCUGUAGUGAAGUUUUUUUAACGAUAAAGGUAACUGAAAAAUUCACCAAAUAGCUCCACUUGAAGGAAAUUUCAGUGGUAUGAAACUAGGAUAUGGUGAACUCUCCUUGCUUAUACUAUUGUUGUGAGCCAUUAUAGAUCAAAGAUGAAUCUCACCAUAUGUUUUCACACAGAAGAUGUGGGCUAUCUUUGGGUCAUCUCUCAUCAUUGGAUUUAGGAGUUUGGUCUCUCAUAUAUAGUUUCACUUGCCAACUACAAAUGGAGCUUAGUAGAUGUCUCCAUGAUGUGGAGACUGAGCAACAUACAUAAUUCAAGGGAUGUGCAGUUGUUCUUGUGAAUCACCCAAUCUUCAUCUAAUAUAUAUAGACGCAUAAAUUUUAGCAACUUAUAAUCUCCAUAUUUUAGAGCACUGGAGGAAGCUAGCCUAUUCAACAAACAUAACAUAAUUAGAAAAAUGCAAGAAUUCCAGAGACAUGUUGUGCUAUCAUGUAUUCCAAUCAGUAAGGAAUCAAAGUGCUAUAAUUUUAAACUGUGCAAUAACAGACCUAUCUUAGGGAAGUAAAUUGUCUUGAGCACCAAAUCAAUUGUGAGUUCUUUGAGAGACUUGGACACCAACUCAAUCAAAGCUGCUAGUUGUUUAUGUGGCAGCUUGUAUUCGUCCACUAAUACUGGAGAAAAUGCUUUUGAAAACCCUUAAUCUUUAAAUCACAAAGGGAAAUUAAAUUAUGUUGUUAUUUGAUCUCCAAUCUCUUUGACACAAAUGGAUGAUUUCCUUGCUACAAACAAUGUCUAAUUCUAUCACUUGUACUCUAGCAUGUGAUUUAGGAGGAGAAUUAAGCUUUGGAAUAUUGCCAAUAAACAAGGAAUUGAGAAAGACCAAGUGGGCAGCCACCACAACUAGUUCACGAACAAAUGGAACCAUUGGGAGUGGAACAUGACACAAAAACAAAACAUGUUUUCCAUAUUCAUAAAUACCAAGGUGUUUAAGCAUCAGGUAAGACAUCUCUUCACAAUAAUAUGAGAGAUAGAGACAAGUAGCAUACCGUUAUUCAAGAGAAUUGGUGUUCUUCUUUUGUAUUUGACAACAUUCAUCCACUUUACACCCCUAUUUUGGCAACUUAGGAUAUCUCCACCUUCAUUAGGAAUAUUGCAGGAAGUUGACCUCUUAGAAAUACAUGAGAGGACAUUUAGAAAUCUGAAAGAAUUCUAGAGACUUGUUAUUGCUUGAAUUGUGAAUCAUUCCAAUCAGUAACAACUGGAGAGCCCCUAUACACAAUUUUUAAUUAUUAGCCUUCUUACAUUGGAUGAAAAAUCUAUCCCUAGAAAAGAGACAUGUCUUGGGCCAUGCAACCAUCAAUUACUCUCGAAGAGGCUUGAAGCUGUGCACCCUCUUGGUAGCUUAUCGUUCAUUACAACAUAUAAAUUCUAAAUAUCCAAUUGGCAUGUCACUAUAAUUGAACAUAAUAGGAAACACGGUGAAUAGGAAGUUAGAAACCCUGUCAUAAAAAGAAUCUUACAAUAAUACACCAAAUAGAACAUCUUGCUAAUUCAGUUAAACUAUUGUGUGAAAAUCUAAAUUGGGAGAGAGAAAACAUCAAUGCUUACAUGGGACUGUGGGAGGGACCAACAAGGGGAACAAACAUUGAAUAGAAAAUGUGAAGCCUUAAAGCUUGUAAUUGCUGUCAGAAGCUGCCCCCUAGUCAAGUUUUCAACAAAAAGGUUCAAUGCUAGGAUUCUCGCUCAACUUGUAGAAAAUUUCAAUAGUAUGACAAUUUAUACUCAAAAAGAAGAUAAAAUGUAAGAAUUAUGUGUUGGGAAUAGAUCACUCUUACUGAAUAUAUGGAUAGAAUAAGGUGAACUCCACCUGCUUCCAUUUUUGGAAUCCAAAUUAUUAUGGAUCAAAGAUGAAUCUCUCCAUCUAUUUACAAAUAGAACCUAUGGGCAAUCUUGAACUGAUGUCUCAUCAUUGGAUUUAGAACUGGUGUAUAGCUCUGAAACCAUGGCAUGGUUCUCCUUUAGUUGCCAAAUACCACUAGAGCUUAGGUGAGGUCUUGGUGAUGUAGGGAAGUCAUGGAUUCUUGAAUCUUUACAUGAAAAUAUACAUGAGAUACAUUGGAAGAAAGAGCAGGCCAUCUAAGAAGAAACACAUCUUAAAGUAUACCAUCAAUCAUGAGUUGUUUGAGAGUGAGGAGUCUUUGAAGGCCUCACUCAGAUAAGGGAUGUCUUUGACAUUUCUCACUCUUCAAUCUCAGGAAGGUACAUCAUCAAUUAGAACCUUAGGAAUGUGAGUCAUCAUGGGACAACUUGUUUAUGUUCUUUAUUCUUUUCUCACCAGAGGGCAUUGAAGGAUAUGUAGUUGCAAGGGCAAAAGACGUAGCCAGUAGUGAGAGCAUUGAACAAUCCUUCUCUAAUGCAGACCACCAAUUUUAGUAACUCAUGAUCUCCACAAUUUAAAGCACAAGGAAGUUGGCCUAUUGGAAAGAUGUCACAUGACAUUUAGAAAUGGGCAAGAAUUCCAUAGAUCAUUCCAAUCAUUAAGGAAUCCAAAGCCUUAUAAUUUGAAUAGGGCAUCUACUUGGCAUGGAUAAUGCACCUAUCUUGGGACAAAGACCACAUGUUGAGCACCAAUUCAAUUAUCAACUCUCUAUGAAACUAGAGAUACAAGGUAUUAAUGUUAGUACAAAUUAACUGGUAACUCUUCUUCUUUUACUGGUAUUGGAGGCAAAGCCUUGCAAAAACCCUCAAUCUACAAAUUACCAAGGACAUGAGAUCAUGUUGUAAUCUUAUCUCCAAUCUCCAACGGCAAAUAGAUUAUUUCUUUCAAUUAACAAUCUUUAAUGCUUUCGCUUCUAUCAUAGGAUAUGCAAUUUGGGAAAACAAGUAAGUUUUAUAAUAUUAAGAAUAUGCAAGGAAUUGAUGAAGGUCAUGAAUCAACUUAAAAUCAAAAAAUAAAAAAUGAAAAAACAAAGAUUUUUUCACCCAUGAAUACCGUAACCAACUUCCAAAAAGCAUUAGGUUUUGCAAUAACCAAAUGUUCCUCAGGUAUUAAAGUUAAAGUUCAAAGUUACCAAGAGUGCAUUUUUUUACCCGUGCAUAAAAUAAAAAGAAAAUAAGAACGCAUACCAUAUAACUCACAAUUGUGUCAAGUAUGAGUUCAGUUUAUGUUCAUGCAUAAUUGCAUUAAGUAUUUGAAAGCUAAAUAAGACUAUGUGUAAUUCAAAGAAUACCUACAAUGCUCACAGCUUAUCAUAGAAUGAGAACUCAAUUGUCUUUCUUCCAGUCAUAAGAGUUUGUGCUCUUUGAGCCUCUGACUUGCACAACUCAAGAUGGCAGGACGUGCCAAAAAGUCUUCUUCACCUUAAAUGUUAUUCAAAUCUGCAAUAUAAAUCUUGAUAAGAAAAUUUUCUACAAAUAUAACAUGUUACAAAAAAAAUAACAAUAUGUUAGUUUAAAAUUGAAGAGCAUUUCAAACCAAACAAAGUAGAAAAUUUUUCAAUGUUUAUCACUGACCUAAAAACUUGUAUGUUGGAUAAAAUUCAUGCUAAUGAAUCCUGACAAUUGCUUGCAAUCAAAAUUUAGUAAUGACUUAUAAAAAUAAAUUACAAAAUUCUUUAGCAAUGUUCCAUGAAAAACACAUUGUACAUUGAUUAAGAAAUUCAUAUGAAAUCCACUAAUUUGAAAGACACCAAAAACCAGAUGUUGUCUUAAGUUCUCCAUGUAUCAAAAUAGAUGCAAGUUUCUAUUCGAGCCACCACAAUCACGGAGUACGAGACUUCUUAGCAUGGAAGGCAUACUAGAUUUCAAACAAAGUUCUUAACUUUCCAAGAGACAUAAGAACAUGGUGUGUUGCAUAAACUGUAGAAUAAAUAAAUGGAAGUUAAACACACAUGCACUUGCUACUUAUUUUUUUUAAUCAUCUAUGAAAUAAAUAAAGAGGUGUUACUUGCAUUCAAUCCAAACUUGUGGUCUUCAAUGUGAAAUCCAAAUCUCAUUUUGUCAACACAAUAAGAGCAUUAAACAUACAACAAAUUGAAUCCUUCCCUUUAACAAUGUGAAAACCUGAAAGAAAUGACUUGGGAUCAUAAAUAAUUAUACGAUAAAGAAAACUUUCAUUAUUUUUUCUAAAAGAAAAAUCUGUUAUUUCCUUGAUUACGGAAGAUAGAUAUUAUUAAGGUAAACUUUGUGCAUUAUACAUUGAAAUUAGAAAAUUGUAUUUAAAUCCAGUUAGAAAGGUGCCACAAAAAAUGCAUAAUUGAAAUGAAGGCAUCCAUGCCAAUUUGUGACUGUUGUCAAAUAACAGCCUCCCUUGACAUUUUGGGUCCCAUGCCUGCAUGUCAAAUCUCCAACUAAGACUACUCAAAGAGCACCUAAAAGAAAAUUACCAAGAUUUCAUCACAUGCAGAACUCGAGAUGCUAACAUGGAACCAUGGGAGAAAUCGAAAAGAAACAAAAUACUCACCCAUAAGUUUGUAAUUUUUGUACUCAAAACCCGUUUCCUAGUCAAACUUUCAACACAACUCCAUAGAGACUUUCACAAAUAGUUAAGCCACUAGUAGAAAACAACAUCAAUAUGAGAAAUUGACAAGGUACUGUGUAGAUAAAAAAGUAUAAAUAUGUGUUGAGAAUAAGAGUUACCUUAAUGAAUGUAAGGAUAGGAUAGGGUUGAAUUAGCUCUGCACCUAUUUUUGCAAUUUGAAUUUGUGACGGUUCAAAUAUGAGAUUAUGAUCUAUCCUCACUUUAGGGGAAGCGGGCAAUCUCCUUGAAACAUCUUUGAUUUAGAGAUUCGAUAAAACUCAUCUUGAAGCACCUUAUUACUGAUGAAUUGAGCACCAAUAAAUCUUGGUGUUGAUAUAGCUAUGAAUGUGCGCAAGUGCUCCUUCUUAUAAAACCUUUCAAACUUUUUAAAUGUAUCAUAAUUAUCACAAACAAGUGAUGAAUGACGAGUACUUUUAGGAAUGAGAUAUUACAAAUUCUUUUUGAACUCAUCAUCCAAAUGCAAGCAUGUAUCUCUAGCAACAUAUUUAGCUAGAGCAUGGACAAGGUCAUGCAUCAUGAAUCGUGAUCUAUUGCUACUCGACGAUUGAAAAAAUGACCUUGACAAUAGCUCAUCAAAAUACUUAUCACCAAGAUCUUCCAUUUUCCUAUUAUCUUUUGAUUGUUAAAUUAACCCCUCCACCAUCCACAGGAGGAUUAACUCUUGCUUUGUAAACUCAUAAUCCUGUGAAAAAAUUGCACAAUAAGUAAAACACCUCUUUAAAUGUGAAGACAGAUGAUAGUAGUUCAAUCUCAAGGCAGGGAUGAUGUCAUAUUCAUUUUUCGUGAAAUCCCAUACUUUGUUGUACAAUACUCUUUCUCAUUCAUAUUCACGUAGUUCAGAGCGCAAAAGGCCACCAAAGGCUCUUGCUGCUAAGGGUGAACCUCCACACUUCUCUACAAUUCUCCUACCAAUUGAUUCCAAAUUUGGGUGCUCAUCGAUAUUCAUAUGUUCAAAAGCAUGUGUUUAAAUAUCUUCAAACAAUCAUCAUAAGGUAACUAUUUGAGCUUAUGUAAGUUCUUGCGUCCUCUCAUCUUGUUUGCAACAUUAUUAUUUCGAGUUGUGACUAGAAUUUUGCUUCCCUCUGCUCCCACCUAGAAAGUGGAGAAUAGCCUGUCCAACUCAAAGUAAUCAUCAUUCCACAAAUUAUCCAAAACUAUCAAAAAAUAUUUUCCCUUCAAUUCCUUCCUCAAAGUUUCUUGAAUUUGAUGCAGUCUUGUGAAUCACUGCUUUGAGAAUUAGUCACCAAGUUGAGAAUUGCCUUUGUUAUUCUCACUGCAUCGAACUGAUCUGAGACACAAACCCAGGCUAUUUUAUGAAAAUGCUCGGUUAUGGUCUUAUCGUCAUCGUACACUAGUCUUGCUAGUGUGGUCUUACCCAUCCCACCCAAGGCCAUGAUGGAAACUACAGAACAAUUGGUUUUAGUGGGUUCAUUCCUAAGCAGCAUAUCAAUUAUAAUAUCUUUUUCUGUCCCCCUGCCAUAAACCUGAGGUUCAUAUCCUAGAGAUAUAGUGAUUGGCCUUCCCCAAGCAAAGUUGGUUAUCGCAGCCACCUUUUCUAGAUGAAGCUUAGAUUUUUUAGCCGAAAUAUUGAUUACUACCAAAAAGUGCUAUUUUUUAGACCUAAUUAUAAUGGUUUUAAGCACCUUUGAGUAGUAAUCAUAUUCAUUUAACCCAAUUAAUUCAUUAAGGUCCUUAGUAAUUGGUUUUAACCAUUUUGUGGCAAGUUUACAUGUUUAUAUCAGCUUAUGAAUCAAUUCAAGCAUGCCAAAUGAUGGAGGAGCUACUUGGACAAGUUAAAGCAAGCUUUUAGCUACACCAAAGCAAGCCAACAAAAGGAGAAAAGCAAAGUGAAGCAAAGAGAAGCAAAAAGAAGCAAAGAGGAAAACAGAGGACAGCAGCUGCAGUCUUCUUUGGCACUUUUGGAGCACUUCCCGAAGUCCAUUUUCUACAUUCUAUAUACCAUUUCAAAUCUCAGGAAGUCAAGAAUCCAACGCUUCAAACCGUGUACGAUUUGGAGCUGAAAUGAGGAAGAUAUGGCCUUCGGAAGACAACUACUCCAGGGGUGUGCGAAAAUUUCGCACAACACCUUCCAAAUUCGCACACCCCCUUGCGUGGUGCGAAUUUUCCCCUGUUUCUGCCGACUCCAUACGAGAUCUUUUCUUUUGGAUAUUUUUGUAUAAAUUUCCAUUCUUCUCCUUGUAAUCCACCAAUCAUAAGAUUUCUUAGCUAGGAAGGUUGGAAAAACUUCUCUCUAUAUAUUCCCUUGCAUCCGGUGUAACAGAUAUCGAUCAAUAUAUAGAAUUUUUACAGAGCUCUCCCGUUUCUAUUUUCUUAGUAGCCAAACAGCCUCUGAGGGUUUUUCCUCAAAGGAUGAUUGGCUAAAACUUUUAGUUUCUCAAAGUAUGGAUGUUAUGUGAUGGCUUGGAUGCAAUCCCAUGGAAAUUUCUCGCACCCGGAAGGUAAGGUAGUCGUUUUUCAUUAAAGGUUCAUUAAUGCAAAGUUUGGUUUUUAUUUCCUUUGGACAACUUCCAACGGCCAAUACUUGAUAAGCUUUUAGAUUUCUAUCCAUUAGUUAUCUCCUACGAGCUAUUGGAAGGUGAGGUUUUCAAUUCCAAGUUUUGUAUUAAUCCGUUAGAACCAAUUUCAAUGGCCAUUGAAAGGUGAGUUUAUCACCUGGAAUGACUUUGAGUUGCCAAUAUUUGGUAAGCUUUUGGCUUUAGACCAUUAUUUAUCUCUUACGAGCCAUUCAAAGGAAGUCUAAGGUGAAUAACCAUUGAUGAAAUUCACUACCAUCUGUUUUGUCAUUUUAAAGGAUUAAAACUUGAUUUGCUAAAUCCAUACCGGUUCGGGAAGCAAGCAUCACCAUAGUUGCAACCCCAAUGCGAGGAGCCUAUCCUGAGAUUUCCAAUUUGCAUAAGAACCAGAGCAUAGCUAUCCUAUCUUUGAGAAACUUGUUUUUACACCCUUUCAUUUUAGUCUUUAAUGUUAGCUUAGAUUAGUUUAAAUCUUUCUAAAACAUUUACAUCUUCUUUUAAAGCUAACAUCCAUAAGAAAAUCACCUAUUUUCCUAAUUUGAAUAUCACUUGUGUUUGCGAAAACCCUUCCCAGUGAACGAUCCUAGAACCACUAUGCUAUAGUAGCUUGGCUACUUUAGUAAUAGUAUUCAAGGUAUAAAUUUUGUUGAUACGCCUUAAGCUAAGCUACCAUGAGUCGAAUCAAAUAUCUCGUAAGCGGCGAGUGAUUUCCAACACCUUGGACCUCAUGUUAAUAUAACGAAUAACCUCAGUAGGAUUGAAAAUGCCAAGACAAGUGGAGAUGAGCUUGCAUACCUUGCUUGGCCUGCCUUGAUGAUUAGCUUCGUUGGUCAUGAGCUCCCGUUGCAAAGCUUCCUAAGCGAACUCAUCCAAGAUGUCCUCCAUAUCAUAAGCCAAAUAUUUCAGAUUGCCCAACCACUCUUUCAUAGGGCAAUUCAUGAUCUGCUUGUCCUCCGUGUCAUUAAGCUCUUCACGAAUAUCUGACAAUUCUAUCUCUCAUUUCUUGAGAUCAGAAUACGUCCAUUGUUGGCGUGCAAAGUCAAGCAAAUCAGUGGAGGCCAACUUGUCAAACAAGAGGUCGAUGGUUGUAGAAAGAAGAGCCUUUCCCACAGCUUCCACCGCUGGUUUGUACUUUGUUUGCAGAGAGAGCAAAUCAAGCAAUGGGUAAAAAAAUAAAGCAGAAAGAAGGAGGUCUGCUCUGUGAAGGCUUUAAAUAUUAGAAACUCAUAAAACAUUUGUAAAAAAUGUUAUGCUGAUCAUAGAAGGAGACCCCUAGAGUUCCAUAUAGGAGAUCACGUGUUUUUAUCUGUAACACCUCGGAGAGGCCUAUUUCGAUUUGGUAAAAAGGGAAAGCUUACUCCAAGAUAUAUUGGGUCCUUUGAAAUCCUUCAAAAGAUUGGAGAGGUAGCAUACAAUUUAGCCUUACCACCACAGCUAUCAGGUAUACAUGAUAUGUUUCAUGUCUCCAUGUUGCGAAAGUAUGAGCCUGAUACCACACAUGUACUAGAUUGACAUGAUUUGAAUUUGCAAGAAGAUGCAACGUAUGAGGAAGGGCCGAGAGAAAUUUUAGAUAAGAAAAAGCAGGUACUACGAGCCAAAACCAUACCUCUAGUGAAAGUGUUAUGGGAUCAUCAUGUAGUGGAAGGAGUUACAUGGGAGUUGAAAUCAAAUAUGAGAAACAAGUACUCAAAACUCUUUACGGUUCGCUUUUUUAAAUUUCGAGGACGAAAUUUUUGUUAGGGGGAGUGGAUGUAAUACCUAGUACUAAUAAAUUAAAUAGGCAAUAAUGAUUAUCUUAGUACUUAACUUUAAAUGUGCUUAAUUAGAUGUUAAAACUAGUUUAGUGCUAAUCUUAUUUAAUUAUGAAUUAAACUUUGAUUAAGGUUAAGUGGGAUUAGUUAAUGACUUAAGCAUGCUUAUUAGGUUCUUAGGGGCUGAUUAGAGUUAUGAAAACCUAAAGGACUAAUGGGCAAUUGUAGGUUUAAUAUUGGCUAAUUUGGAGGACUGAAGUGCAAAAUUGGAAAGUUGGGGUUGAUGGCAGCCAUGUGGCCUGCCAUCUCCUACUUGGCUGCAUGGAGACCCCUUUAUAAGGGUUUGCAGCUCGUUUUGCAGCAUUUUACCUAUAGCAGCUUGGGUUAGAGAGAGGAUCUAGAGAGAGAAAGUGAAGAUUUGAGGUAAGCAAAUUGUUUAAUUUAGUAAUUUUGGUUUAUUUUGGUUCCUAAUAGUAUGUUGAAACAAAUUAACAAUAAAAUUUGUAUAAAACUUGAGUGUAAUUAGCUAUAAACAUAUUUUAGUUAAAAAUCACAAUUAAUUAAGGAUUAAAGUGUUUUACCUUAAGUAUUUUAUUAAUGGUGAGAUCAACAUAAAUCUUUGUUUAGUUUGGUUUGAUUGAAAAAGAGAUUGGUAAACAUGUGAUUAAUUAGGUUAUUUGGACAUCGAGACUUGUUAAUGGGUUAGGCUUUAGGAAAAAAAUCAAAACAAUUAGUGUUUGGUAAUUAUUUGGAGAAUAUGAGAAUUAAAAAUUAAUAAUAGUAAAUUGUUAAAAAUUAGUAAGAAAUGAAAAUUUCAUAAGUUUUAAUUGAAUAAAUUUUCAUGGUUAAGAAACCUAAAUUAUGUUAUUUUAUUUCAGUUCCUUGUAAUAGGUAAAGAUCACCUACAUAGAAGAAUCACAAAGGGCAAGUCAAUGUAAGGUAGGGAAGUUUAUGUUGUUCCAUGGUGUAUCUAAUUUCUUUCCUUGAAACAUUUAUUGGAAUUUCAUGUCAUUUCUAUGAUUUCAUAAAAUGUUUUAAUAUGUCAUUGCAUCUCGGUUUAUUGUAUUGAAAUGUUACAAUGAUAUUGGAACGUAUAUUGGUAUGAAGAUUCAUGGUUCUGUGUUGUGGAAAUGGUUCAUAGUGUGGCUGCAUUGCAAGAAGGAUAUGGAAUAAUCACAGAUGAUAUUCAGAGAAUUGAUUGUUGGGAAGUGUUUAUGUGAUGCUACAUGCAUUAUCCUUUGAUAUAUUGUUUAUGCGGGACCUUGGGUCCUUGGGUGAAAGUUCCUAAAGCCCUUGAGGAAGACACUCCAAUGUGGGUGUAUAGGGUUGGUCCUGCCACUAGGUUUUAGUCCCUAAAGACAUGGGGUUGGUCCUGUCCCUUUGUUUUAGUCCUUAAAGACACGGGGUUGGUCCCGCCCUUGGGCAUGAGUCCUAGAAAACACGGGGUAUGACUUACCCUUGGAUGAUGUCCUAGAAUAGUCAUUAUUAUAUUGACCGAGUAUCUUGUGGAGCAUUGAUAUCUGAUGUGUAGAUUGGUGGGGGUUAACAAUUUAUCAAUUGUGAAAGGAUAGAUAAGAAAAAGCAAAGAUGAAACUAGCAAACACAUGCAUACAUGUUUGACAUGAUUACAUAUUUGUUAAUGGUUAUGAAAUGUUUAUCAAGCAUGUUAUUAUACAUUUAAUUCAAGGUUUUUAAGGGUAUGCUUAGGAUGGUUAUAAACUUUCCUACUGAGUUGUGAACUCAUCCUAUCCCUUCCACCUUUAGAUGCAGGUCAGAAGACCUAUGCUGGAAAUAAUGUUUAAGCAUUGCUUUUAUGUUGAUUGGAUGUUGUUUGCUCGCAUUGAAAGUGUUUUGAGGCUUUGCCUUUGUAUUAAAGACUAAAUCUUUUUGAAGUAAUGAUGUAAUGUAUAUUUGUUCUGUACACUUGUAGUAUGGGCUACCCGUAGUGAACCAUGGGGUUUUGGUAUAUGUAAAUUAACGUAGUAUAAGUUUCUUUUGUGAAAAGAAUCAUAUUUUGUUAACUACUAGUUACAAAGUUUAAUACAGGAUGUACUCUUUAUAAUAGGUUUUGCAUAUUCUCUUUUUGUGCAAAAUCAAGCUGGAACUCAACAUUUAAAUUUUUCUAUCCCCAUAUUUUGUUUGAGAGCACUUAUGUUGUGAUUGAGUAUCAAUUGUUAUGUUUGAAAGAAAAAAAAUGGGGGUGUGACAUUUAUUAACUUAGGUUUACAAAUUAAAAGUAGGUUGAUCUCCUACCUAUUCUUUUUAAAUUAAUCUUAAGAUCAAUAAGAAUCAUACAGACCAUAAUCAUUAGAAGUGCCAAAACAAAAAUCGGUUUGAUAUUUAAUUAGUUCAUUUUAUUAACUAUAGAAGAUGUAAAAUUUGUUAGGAGGUGUCUUAAAUUCCAAAUUAUAAUAUAUUUUUUUCUUUUGUAAGAAGAAUAUUACAUAGAAUAUUUCCAAAGUUUAUAUGUGAUUGUAAUUAAAUUGAAGCUAAUACAAAUAUAUUAAUAAAUAUUUUAAGACAUGAAGAGAAAAAGUUAUGGAAGAUAUGAAAAAGAUAUGUGAUCAAGAGUGAGAGACGUUGAUAGAAUACGAGGGUUCACUAAGGAAGGGUGUAGAUGUGAAGAAGAAUGAGAAACACUUAGUGGAGCAAAAUGAUUCAUGGUUUAUGAUAGAGAUACAAAGAGCAGGAAAAGUGGGAUGUUUGGGCCUUUGUAGUUGUCUAACCUUUGUAUGUGGUUUGCUUUAUUAAUGUGUUCUUCCUUUAAUAUGUUUAAAUUGAGGUUUCCGCUUUCCUUUUGGUCCUAAGAUGGAUUUUUUCAUGUAAUCAAUUAUGCUCAUUUCCAAUUUCAUUAGAAACUUGUGUUCUACAAUUUGGCAAACGAAAAUAAUUAUUUUUGUAUAAUUUUGUUAGUUAAUAAAAAGUAGAAAAUAGAUAAUAUUAGUGUAGACCCCCAUUUUGGGGAGACAUCUCUACAGCCCGAUUAUGAAAAGUGUCAUCGUCUGGGAUGACCACGUGUCACUCCAGGACUGGUUGAUAAGGUAUCAAGUUAGUGGUUUUGAUGGUCAAUGGAAGCUUGACACGUGGAGAUUUCUUUCAGCAGAAAAAGCUGAAAACCGUUGAGGCUGGCAGCUGCAGGGUAGUGGGGGGCAGAGGCUCGGCCGUUAGAGGGUGAGAGAGAGGUAAGUUUUUGGGGAGUUGAGAGAGAUUCUUGGAGAAGCAAGCUGAGAGAACCAGAGUGCUGCCUGGAGAUUUUUGUCGGAGGAAAGAGGGAAAAAGAGAGAUUCUGGAGGAGCAAGCUGGAUAUUCAGAGGUGAGGGAGGCAGCUACAGGGAAGCUUAAGGGAGGAGAAAAUAGAGGUAUGACUGCCCUGUAUCCGGGGAUUUUCUUUAUCACACUAUAGUCUUAUUCCCUUUUUCUUGAUAUUUUCUGUGGAUUUGUUCGAUUAUACGUUCAGUUUUACGAUUCCUGUGUGGUCCAUGGAUUUUAUUAUGGCUAUUUCAUCUAUUUUCCUUGGGGUGAUUUGAGAAUGAUACUACUCUGUUUUAGUUUUUACUACGCAUCAUAUAGGAGUCUUAUUUUGUUCUUAUCUCCAUGGAACGUAUUCUAGAUCACUCACCUACAGCCAAGCCUGUUGAUCUAAACAUGAAACAUGGCUCUGGUUGUUUUAUUGGUUUCAUUGGUUUGUGCUCUGUUUUGUUUUGCCAUUCCCCUGUUCUUGGUAUCCUACCUUGUUGUACAUCAGGCUGUAUGUCCCUACCUGAGGGAUUCAGGUAAAGCUAUCGUAGAACUAAGCUUAUGAGGGUUAUGGAUGAAUAAAGCUCCUCCAGAUGGUUUGGGUUUGCGCAAAGAUCUCGGAUAGGAAAGAAGCAGGGUAAUGCUCAAGUUGUAUCUUGAGGAAAUACUACAGCCGUGGUUGAUCUGGAUCAGUUUGUCACUAAGGAUAUUAUACCGAUCAACGAGAAAGAAGUCGUGUUGCCAUUAACUCAAGAGUUUCCUAAUUUCUACAAUAAGGAGUACCUUGCCUUGCCUAGUGAACUAGAGCCAUUUUCAGAGAAAGCCUCCUUCAUGACUGCCAUUGACUAUGUCGUUUAUGAGAAGAGUGAUAUUUUCAUGCCAUCUCAUGCCGGAAAUCAUGUGCUCUGAGUUGUGAGUUUUAUUUCAUAUAUGAUUGAUUUUGGUUGACGAACCAGAUGCCAUUGCACCUUGCCGUGAGUGCACUCUUGCUGCUGUCUUCACCGAACUGCUCCAGUUUAGCUGACCUUGACCAUUCCGAAUGAAUAUUUGAGAAUGAUACAAGUAUUUGGAUGCCUUGUUCACUGCUGCAGGAGGAUCUCGGGUCUGGCUGAUACCAUCCGUGGCGCUAAGGAAGCUCAGAGGAGCAACAGUCGCGAGUUUCGUCUCCGGCGACGCCCACUGAAGAAGUCCAAUGUUUUUUUUCUCUUCAGAAUCACCCCGUCUGCACCACCGCUGCCGUCACCACCGCGAGCAUCAGUCGUCCAUCCACUCAUCGGACGAUCAGAAAUCUCAUGGCCUGGGACAGAGCCUCUCACCUCUGCUUGAGCGCACUCUAGUCUUUCAAACCAUCACUCCAAAGAUUGGCUGCNNNNNNNNNNNNNNNNNNNNNNNNNNNNNNNNNNNNNNNNNNNNNNNNNNNNNNNNNNNNNNNNNNNNNNNNNNNNNNNNNNNNNNNNNNNNNNNNNNNNGCUCUUUUGCUUGAACUAGAAAAUCUCUGCUCUGUAGGUUCCAAAAGUAUUUUAUUUAGCCAGUGGACUGCCUUUCUCGACCUCUUGCAGAUUCCCCUUUCUCGGAGUAACAUAUCAUUUGUUCGUCUGGAUGGAACUCUGAAUCAGCAGCAACGGGAAAAAGUGAUUAAACAAUUCUCAGAGGAAAGCCACAUCCUGGUCUUGCUAAUGUCAUUGAAGGCUGGUGGAGUUGGAAUAAACCUAAUGGCUGCGUCCCAUGCCUUUGUUUUGGAUCCAUGGUGGAAUCCAGCUGUAGAGGAACAAGCUGUUAUGCGCAUUCAUCGUAUUGGACAAACAAAAAGGGUAAUGAUCAAGCGGUUCAUUGCGAAGGGAACAAUACAGAGGAGUGCAUUGAUUGCUUCAAAGAUGCAAAGUAGAGCAACAUGAGAAAAUGCGCACUGCAUGGCCACCUUUCUGAGCCACGUGCCACCCCCCAAAAUUCUUUCCCUUUAGUUUCAAAAAUAAUUUCCUAACUCCGUUUUCAAAUGUUUUUCUAGCUUAUGUCAUUAUCAUUAUUAUUAUUAUUAUUAUUUUAUCUUUUUAUUUUUUUAAAGCGACUUCAAAUCAUCAAAUCUCUCAUCUUUAGAGUUUUAGGUAUCAAAAAUCCUAUUUUCAAUAAAAUUUGGCCGCCACUUUCUUUUUGGCGAGCCACCUUCGAAUUUUUCAUAAUUUUAAAAUAUUUUAAAAUAAACAUGAAUUUAAAUUCUGUAAUUCCGAGUGAUGGAAUUUACGGAAUUAAUUCAUGCAAAAAUAACGGGCUUUGGUGGGGGCCCUACAUAUGUGAUUUCAUGAUUGAUUUACUGAUUAGUUGAUUGGCUUUCCCGACAUGAUUGAUUUGCUCUGUUCUUGAUAUGCGCUUAAUUAUAUCUGUUCAUAAUUCACUAACCCUGUUCCAUGUUAGCGCGUUGCUGUUUGCUUCCCAGGUACGCAUCCGCUCAUAUUCUGGUUAUUUUCUAUACAUAUUCUGAUUCUCAUAUGUGCAUGAUUGAUUUGAGUAUUUAUUGAUUUCCUCAUCAUUGCCACACCAGCUUCAUUCUAUUAGUAGAGACCCGACAUUAGGGACUUAGAGGGAUGCUACGGUCCGUACCGUACCUUCCCGAUAAGUAACCUGACCCCUGAACCCGAUCCGGUUUUUCACAAACCGCCUUUUCCAAAAUAAGGAGUCACACUUAGGGUUUUUCUUUCUUAUUUUGUUUACCCUUUUAAAAAUAAAACAAAAAUAAGUGGCGACUCCAAGUCAUUUUUGAAUAAAUAAAAUUCAUUUUUCAAAUAAAAUAAAGAUCGAGCUCGUCAUCGAGUGGGAAACGCAUGAGCACGAAAUGCGGGGUCCACAAUUAGCCAUCAAAUAGAAAGAUAAAUAUGACAAUUAAUGUAUUUUCAAAUCAAAUUUGUACUUAGAUGGUUUUGCUUAUAUGAAGUAAUUUAAUGCAACUAUGAAGAUUUAUAUGUAGUAAACUUUAUAUAAUUUUAGAUUUAAUAAUCAAUUAAUUUUUAUUUGAAGAUAUAAAAACAUAAAAUAAAAGUCUUGUUUGAAAACUAUUAUUGAAAACAACAAGAAAAAUGGGGUUUUUUCACUUAGAAAUAUACAUUUGACAAACUUCUAAUAUAAAACAAUUUAUUUUUAGAAUUUAUUCUUAAAAUAAGUUAUUUUUUAGAACAAAAUUGAAAUGUUUUUAUUUUUUCACAACAAUUUAAAUAAAAAUUGAAGAUAUAGAUAAUAUAUAUUUUGGAAAAUUUUGUAUCAUAUUUAAGUGUACAAUUCCUUUGUAAAGAAUAAAUCGAAACGAAUAAUAGCUAUUUUCAAGAAUUUUGAAGAAUUAUUUUCACAAAUGUUGUGAAAUAAGCUCAAAACUUUCUACAACAUUUGUAUUAAUCUUGAAUUCGAUCAAAAUCUUGCCACAAUUGAAAAGAGAAAAAAAAUGUUAAUUAGUUGGUUAAUUUUUACAAUCCUAAUAAUAAUAAUAAUAAUAAUUCAAAAGUUUUAAAAUAAAAAUCUCACUAGCUAAAAUAAAUAUUAACUAUCAAAAUAAAAGAUUAUAUAAUAUUUUUCUAUUUUUGACUCUAUAAUCAAGAAUGUUCUUAUAAUUUCUUUUACAAUAACAAUAACAUACUAAAGUAGAAAGAGAUUAAAAUGGGAAAAAAAAUUAUUAACAAUAAAAUUCAUAAAAAGAAAUGAAAAUUAAGAAGAUUUCAAUCCACUUCAAAUGUAUUUCAAUGAAAUAGUAUUACAUUUAAAUUAUUGAAGGUCAUACCAAUUUAUUUUCUUCCUUUUUUAAUACUUAAUUUUGUUAUCAAUCAAUGAAAAUUUUAUUAAUCAAGGAAAAUGAGAAAAUAAAAUAUUUUUCUUGAAAGGUGAUGAAUUUGUUAAGAAAGGAAAACAAAAGGUCUUUUAUGGGAUACUUUAUUAAAUUAAGUUAAUAACUUAAUUUAAAUCAUUAAAUAAAUUAAGUAUGUUUAGUAAAAUAACAUAAUUGAUUUAAAUCAUUAAUAAUGUUUAUAUGAAAGCUUCUGGUAGCAUAACUUAAAGAAUGAAAGAAAUAUUUAAGUUAUGCAUACUUUCUAGAAAAUAUCAAGGAAAGAAAAAUAUUUUAAAAAAUAAUUUUUUUUAUAUUUGGGUUUAUCAUAAAAAGUAAGAAAGAAAAUCGGAUAUAGUUAAAGUUAAUUAGAGAUUAAUUUAUGCUUUUUAAAAUUAUUUAAUCUUUACACAAAAAUAUUAAAGUGUAAUGAAUUUGAAAUAACACAAAAUAAUUUAUUAACUUGAAAUCUAUUUUUUAUUUUUCUUUAUUUUUUCUUUCUUUCUAAUUUUCUCUUUGUUUUCUUUUUCUCUAACUCCCUCAAAUUUUCUAGAAACCAAAUAUAGUCUUAACAUGUGUUGGACAAUAAACUUGUUAUUUUAUGAACUUCAAAUAUUCAAAUUUCACGGAGAAGGAAUCUAAUAUCUAUCUCAAUUUAUAUGCAUCCCAUUUUUACCACUAGCAAACCUUAAUCACAACUUUGUUUAAUAAUGAAAGAACUUGUACAAGUAAAAAUAGAAUUUCUAUAAGAUGCAAAAAAAAUUUGGCUUCCACAUCUACUCAAAUAAGCAUAGAACUUUUUCUUCAACUUUUAAGUUUUUGACUUCUCAAAAAUCAAUUUAAAUUGGAUUGAUAAAUUAUAAAAGGUUACAAUAUAAUAUUACAAUGUAUAAAUAUUAUUUUUUCUACUAGAUUUUCCAUGAAAUUAUUUAUUUAUUGAAAUUGAAAUGUCCUUUGGUAUUUGUUUGUACCUAUAAAAAUUAAAGAAUUAUUUUAAAUCUUAGGUAUGGUGAUGCUUAAGUAUUUAAUAAUUUUAAUUAGAUAAUUACAUUUUACAUAUAAAAUAAUUAAUUACAUUUUUGUAGACCCUCGUUUUGAGGUCUUUGGUUUUAUUUUGAGAGCCUUUUUUGGGUGGGGCCACUUUGGAGGAUUUUUGGGCAGCACCACUUUUGAAAAAAAAAAACCGGGCAGCAGCUGGUUGUUUUUUGGGGGGAAAAAUAGAUACUUUUAGGAUAGGAGCAGCUGGGAGAUUUGAGAAAAAAAGAAGAGAAAACAGGGGCAAAAAGAAGAGAGGUUUUUUUUUGGGGGGAAAAGAAAAUCUGGAGAGAAAAACGGGCAGCCAGCAAGGGAAGUUUUUUUGGAGAAAAAAAAAAUCUGGAGAGUUGAACUGAAAACGGGCAGCAGCUGGGUGAUAUUUUGGAAGCGGAUUAGUUCAUGUUGGAAGGAGCAUUUCUGGAGGAAUCAAUCUCCGGAAGCAUUUGCCUCCAACAAAGAUCUGGUUUGUUUUUCUUCAUUUAAUCUUUUAGGGUUUUGAUAUCUUUGAGUAUCAGAGAAAUGUACUGAACAUAUGAAAACAUUUGUACUGCCUAGUUCUUAUUCGUGCUUUGCAUAGUGGUGAUUUUUCAUGAUAUUGAUGUUGGGUUUUUAUCUUGUUUCUCCAUGAAUGGUUUGGUUUGGAUUUGCUGAAUGAAAUAUUACCCUUCAGUGCAUUUACAGUGGCCACGUGUCAUUUUUUUAUUUUAUUUUUAUUAUUUUAUUAUUUUAAUGUUAAAAGUUUUGUUUAUUUGAUUAUUUUAUUUAUUCUUUUUCACGUAUAUAUUCUCCAAUAACUCUUUAAAAUUUCCUAAAAUUUCAAAGUUCCAAAUUUAUUUAUUUAUUUAUUUAUUUUAAAAAUACCAUUCUCGAAAUAGUUUUCUAAAAUUUGAUUUUAAAUUUAGUUUUCAAAACUUUAAUUCUCGACAUUCACUCUUCCAAAACUCUAUUUUUUAAAAUUUAAUCCUUUAAAAUUCAAUUCUCGAAAUAAUUUUCUAAAAUUCUAAUUUUAAAUUUAAUUUCCCAAGAUUCAAAUUUUUAAAAUUUAAUUUUCCGAAAAUUCCACAACCCCAAAUUUAAUUUUUAUUUUUAUUUUUUACUUUUUUUAUUUUAUUUUAUUUUUUUCUAUUUUUUUUAUGCCACCUUCAAAUAAAUUAUUGAAACUCCAAUUCCUUUUUAUUCAUUUACUUAUUAAUUUUUAAAAUUCCAUCUUUUAGAUAAUUCUUCAAAAUUCCGAUUUCCGAAUUUAAUUCUCAAUUUCUGAAAUUCCAAUUUUCUAAUUUCCGAAUGUAAUUUCUAAUUUUUAAAAUUCCAAAUUCUCAAAUAAUUUUCAAAGUUUCAAUUUCUUUCAAAUUUAAUUUCCGAAAUUCCAAUUUUUAAAUUUAAUUUGCGAAUCUCCAAUUCUCGAUUAAUUUUCGAAAUUCCAAUUCCUUUCAAAUUUAAUUCCCAAAAUUCCAUUUCUUAAAUUUAACUCCCAAGACUUCAAUUUUCAAAUAAUUUUCGAGACUCCAACUUUCAAAUAAACUUCAAAAAUUCAGUUUUCACCCGAACAAUUUUAAUUCUACUUUGAUUUUCAAAUAAUCUUCUUCUUCUCUUGAUUUUACAUAAGCACGAAUGCAAUUUUCAUAAUUCCUGAAUAAUGGAAUUUGUGAGACUAAUUCGUGCAAGAUAGAUCGAGCUUUGGUGAGGGCCCCACAUACGUGAUUUUAUGAUCGAUUAAUUGAUUGGUUGAUUGGAUUGUCAUGCGGAAUUGAUUUAUGCUAUUCUAUAAUAUGCACAUGAUUAUUCUAUGUUGGUUCACUAACCUUGGCUUCCCAUGAGACAAAUCUGUUCUUCACUUAGGUACGUUAUUUGUCUCUCCUAUUCAUUCAGUUAUUCUGUUUUGAAUUAUAUUUAUUGGUAUCCAUGCUUGAUUAAUCAAUUGCCAUGAUUACUUCAUUUUAUUAGUAGAGACCCAUUUUAGGGGCUUAGAGGGGUGCUACGGUCUUUACCGUACCUUCCCGAUAAGUAACCUGACUCCCGAACCCGAUCCAGUUUUUCACAGACCAUCUUUUCCGAAAUAAGGAGUCACACUUAGAGUUUUUCUUUUUUAUUUUGUUUACCCUUUAAAAAUAAAACAAAAAUAAGUGGCGACUCCAAGUCAAUUUUUUUUCGACCAAUUAAAUCAUUUUUCAAGUAAAAAUCGAGCUCACCAUUCGAGUGGGAAACGCAUGAACCAAAAUGCGGGGUUCACAAUUUUAUAUUAUAUUAUUUAAUUAAUGAUAUUUAAAUUUUAAUUAGUUUUUAAUAAUUUAAUUAAUAGUUAAAUAAUUAGAUUUAUUUAUGUUUAAAUCUAAUUAACAAUAAGUUCAAUGCAACAAGAAAAAAAAUAGCUUAUCGUUAUUAUUUUGAAGUGGAUUUUGAUUUUAAAUUUUACUAGUAGAUUUGCUUGACUAACCUUAUAAAUUAGUAGAAUUUAACAAGUUACAAAUAGUUCCCCCACCUAAUCUUUUAAAUUAAUCUUGAUGUUGACAACCAUAAUUAUAAAAAGACAAAUAAGUUGAGUUAAUUUACUAGAUUGCAAGUGGGUGCCCUUACCUAAUCUUUUAAAUUAAUCUUUAUGUUCACAAGCACUUUGCCAACCAUAAUUAUAAAGGACAGAUAAGUCAAGCUGAUUUUACUAAAUUGAGAUUAAUAAAUUGCAAGUGGGUGCCCUUUACCUAAUCUUUUAAUUUAAUCUUCAUAUUGAUAAGAACCAAAUCGGCCAUAAUUAUAAAAACAAGAAGACGACAAACUAUGAUUACUUUUAUUAACUAAAAUUUAAUAAAUCACAAAUUCUCUUACCAAACCUUUAGAUUAAUCUUGAUAACUUUGCAAUAGUAAUUAUAAAAAGAGGAAGAUGACAAACUAAUUUAAUUGCUAAUUUUAUUAACUUAGGUUUAAUAAAUUAAAAGUAGGUUGAUCUCUUACCUAUCCCUUUUAAAUUUAAUCUUGAGAUCAAUAAGAAUCAUACAGACCAUAAUCAUAAGAAUAGCCAAAACAAAAGUCGAUUUGAUAUUUAAUUAGUUAAUUUUAUUAACUAUAAGAUAUAAAAAAAAUUGUUAAGAGGUGUCUUAAAUUCUAAAUUAGAAUAUACGAUUUUUUGGUGAAAAGAAUAUUACAUAGAAUAUUUCCAAAGUUUAUAUGUGAUUGUAAUUAAAUUCAAGCUAGUACAAAUAUAUUUAUAAAUAUUUUAGGACAUGAAGAGAAAAAAUUAUGGAAGAUAUGAAAAAGAGGUGUGAUCAAGAGCGAGAGACAUUGGUAGAACAAGAGGGUUCACUAGGGAAGGGUGUAGAUGUGAAGAAGAAUGAGAAACACUUAGUGGAGCAAAAUGAUUCAUGGUUUAUGAUAGAGAUACAAAGAGCUAGAAAAGUGAGAUGUCUAGGCCUUGGUAGUUGUCUAACCUUUAUAUGUGGUUUGCUUUAUUCAUGUGUUCUUCCUUUAAUCUUUUUAAAUUGAGGUUUCCAUUUUUCUUUUGUUCCUAAGAUGGAUUUUCUCAUGUAAUCAAUUAUGCCCGUUUCCAAUUUCAUUAGAAACUUGUGUUCUACAAUUUGGGAAAUGAAAAUAAUUAUUUUUGUAUAAUUUUGUUAGUUAAUAAAAAGUAUAAUAUAGAUAAUAUUAGCCAUCAACUAUAAAGAUAAAUAUGACAAUUAAUGUGUUUUCACAUCAUAUUUGUACUUAGAUGGUUUUGCUUGUAUGCAGUAAUUUAAUGCAACUAUGAAGAUUUAUAUGAAAUAAGCUUUAUAUAAUUUUAGAUUUAAUAAUCGAUUAAUUUUUAUUUGAAGAUACAAAAACAUAAAAUAAAAGUCUUGUUCGAAAACUAUUAUUGAAAACAACAUGAAAAAUGGGGUUUCUUCACUUAGAAAUAUACAUUUGACAAACUUAUGAUAUAAAACAAUUUAUUUUUAGAAUUUAUUCUUAAAAUAAGUUAUUUUUCAUAACAAAAUUAAAAUUUUUAAAAUUUUUUCACAAUAAUUUAAAUAAAAAUUGAAGAUAUAGAUAAUAUAUAUUUUGGAAAAUUUUGUAUUGUAUUUAAGUGUACAAUUCCUUUGUAAAGAAUAAAUCGAAACGGGUAAUAACUAUUUUCAAAAAUUGUUUUGAAGAAUUAUUUUUUGAGAAUUAUUUUCACAAAUGUUAUCAAAUAAGCUCAAAACUUUCUACAUCAUUUAUAUUAGUCUUGAGUUCAAUCAAAAUCUUGCCACAAUUGAAAAGAGAAAAAAAAAAAGUUAAGUAGUUGGUUAAUUUUUACAAUCCUAAAAAAAAAAAAUAAUAAUAAUAAUAAUAAUAAUUAAAAAAAUUUUAAAUAAUAAUCUCACUAGCUAAAAUAAAAAUUCACUAUCAAAAUAAAAUAUUAUCUAUUAUUUUUCUAUUUUUGACUUAUAAUCAAGAAUGUUCAUAUAAUUUCUUUUACAAUAACAUACUAAAGUAGAAAGAUAUUAAAAUGGAAAAAGAAAAUGAUUAACAAUAAAAUUCAUGAAAAGAAAUGAAAAUUAAGAAGAUUUUAAUCCACUUGAAAUUUAUUUCAAUGAAAUAGUAUUGCUUUUAAAUUGUUUAAGGUUGUGAAAUCAAGGUUUGGUUAAUCUCGGUUUUGAUGAUAACAAAACAAGGUUUAGAACUAAUGACUAUAUUUCAAGUGUGAUUAGGCAAGACGAUUUCUAAAGUGGCAAUCACAAAGACAAUUCAAGCUAAAGAGAAAUCAUGAAGAAGAAGACCACCUCAAAGAGAAGAAUUUUUUCAAGACCAAAGCUUCAUAAGAUCUCUUUGUAAGGUUGUUGGUGCACUAGGAUUUUCAUGCAUUAUUUUCUUUACUUAUGCACCUAAAUCAUCCAAGAGUUAUUUUGUUUUAAAUAUUUUUAAAAUUGGAUGAUUUCAUGUUUUCAACUAAAACCUUGUGUCAAAUGUUGUUUCAAACUUGUUUAAAAGGUUUUAAAGUUGAAAAAAUUGGUUUUUGAGCCAAAAACGGCUCAAUCGACUAAAUCGGGUUAACCGGAUGAACAGUAACCGAUCGACCCCUAGCUCAACCGGUUGAGGUAUGAACAAUACCGGUUGACCCAUGAACAGUCUCGGUUGACCGGUACAAAAAUUUUCUCUCUCUUCCAGAAUGCUUGUUCAACCGGUCAAGGUUGAACCUCAACCGGUUGAGGUCCAGUUGAGGCCCAACGGUCACCUGCCAACAUUAAAUGCUAACGACUAGUCAACCAGUCGACCCCUAGCUCGACCGGUCGAACCUCCAACGGCUAGUUUAGUUUUUUUCUUCUAUAAAAAUGCUCUAAUCUUCAUUGUUUCAUAAGCUUAACCUUCUCAAAUUAUUCUUGAUUAUAUUUGAGUCUUGGAAGAGUAUUUUUUAGUGCACUAUUAUUCCAAAACUUGCAUAUCUUUAGUGCACCAUUCAAUCCUAGUUUUUCUUGUAUCAUUUGAGCUUAAAAGUUUUGUACUAGGAUUUUGUGAGAUAUUUAUUUGUAAACCUUUGAGAGGAAGUUUCUCAAGCGUGUGAUAUCACUUGAAGGGUUGUUCAAGAGUGGGAUAUCACUUGAGAAGUGUAAAGGGUGCUUGGAGCCAAAAGUCCAAGAGGGUGAAUUGGAACCAUAAUCCAAUUGUAUAGCUUGAAGGCUUGGUUUGGAAGCCUUGAAUUAGUGGAACCUCAAGCUCGGGAUUGAAGCUAGAGGAGAGUGGAUGUAAGUCGGGUUGCGUUGAACCACUAUAAAUCUUGUGUUUGCAUUCUCUCUUCUCUACUCUUUUAAAUUAUAUGCAAUUGUCAUUCUAUUGUUUAUUAUAUACUUGCAUAUAAUUGUUUCUUACUUUCACUUAGUUUAAAUUUGCAAAAAGAUACCAUCACCCUAUUCACACCCCCCCCCCCCCCCCCCUUUGGGGGAUUACCAUAGGGUGGAUUAACCCAAAUUUCCUAAAAAAAGGCAUACCAAAGGAUUUUCUUUCUUUUUUAAAACUUAAUUUUUUUAUCAAAAAAUGAAAAUUUUUCUAAUCAAGGGAAAUGAGAAAAAAAAAAAUUUUUUUUGAAAAUUUAUGAAUUUUUUAAAAAAAGAAAAAAAAAAGGCUUUUUUGGGAAACUUUUUUAAAUUUAAAUAAUAAACUAAUUUUAAAUUUUAAAAAAAAUAAAGAUGUUUAAAAAAAAAACAAAAAGGGAUGAUUUAAAAAAUAAAAAAAACUUUUAAAAAAAAAAAAAAAAAAAUAAAUUAUUCUUAAANNNNNNNNNNNNNNNNNNNNNNNNNNNNNNNNNNNNNNNNNNNNNNNNNNNNNNNNNNNNNNNNNNNNNNNNNNNNNNNNNNNNNNNNNNNNNNNNNNNNGUAGAAAGUUUUGAGCUUAUUUUGAUAACAUUUGUGAAAAUAAUUCUCAAAAAAUAAUUCUUCAAAACAAUUUUUGAAAAUAGUUAUUACCCGUUUCGAUUUAUUCUUUACAAAGGAAUUGUACACUUAAAUACAAUACAAAAUUUUCCAAAAUAUAUAUUAUCUAUAUCUUCAAUUUUUAUUUAAAUUAUUGUGAAAAAAUUUUAAAAAUUUUAAUUUUGUUAUGAAAAAUAACUUAUUUUAAGAAUAAAUUCUAAAAAUAAAUUGUUUUAUAUCAUAAGUUUGUCAAAUGUAUAUUUCUAAGUGAAGAAACCCCAUUUUUCAUGUUGUUUUCAAUAAUAGUUUUCGAACAAGACUUUUAUUUUAUGUUUUUGUAUCUUCAAAUAAAAAUUAAUCGAUUAUUAAAUCUAAAAUUAUAUAAAGCUUAUUUCAUAUAAAUCUUCAUAGUUGCAUUAAAUUACUGCAUACAAGCAAAACCAUCUAAGUACAAAUCCCCCCCCCCCCCCCCCUUUAGGGUGAUUACCAUAGGUUGGAUUAGCCUAAAUUUCCUAACAAAGGUCAUACCAAUGUAUUUUCUUUCUUUUUUAAUACUUAAUUUUGUUAUCAAACAAUGAAAAUUUUACUAAUCAAGGAAAAUGAGAAAAGAAAAUAUUUUUCUUGAAAGUUGAUGAAUUUGUUAAGAAAGGAAAACAAAAGGUCUUUUAUGGGAUACUUUAUUAAAUUAAAUUAAUAACUUAAUUUAAAUUAUUAAAUAAAUUAAGUAUGUUUAAUAAAAUAACAUAAUGGUAUGAUUUAAAAUAUAAAAAAAACUUUAAAUAAUAAAUAAAAAUAAUUAACUUAUUCUUAAAUUCAUAUUUUUAUUUUACCUUUUUAUCCCAAUUUGCCAUAAUUACCUUCACAAUCUCCUUUACUAUUCCACGACCUUUAUUUUUACACGACCUCAUUUACCCUAAUUAUAAUUUAUGAGGAUAAAUAUGUCAAUUUGAUCAUUUAGAAUUAAUCAUAAGUUAUUUUUAUCACACAAUCUUAAUACUUAAAAUAAGAAUUAAACAAUAAGUUUUAAGUUAACAAUUUAAGUUUAAUUUAACUAAAAGCCAACUUAAAUCAUUAAGUAAUUAGUAUUAAGUUUUAUCAAACACUUCCAUAUAAUUAGUUAAUUUUGAUUAAUCUAAUAAUAUAGAAAGUGAAAUAUACACAUUUUUUUAUUGGUAAGGUUGGUCUUGAACUUCUUUCACCAAAUCAUUUUUAUUAAUCUUAACAUCAUCAUUAGUUAAUUAUAUUUAAAGAAAAGAAAACCAAAAAAAAAAGUCAAUUUGGGUGACCAAUUUUUAUUGAAAAUUAAAACCAAACAAAAGUUGAUCAAUACAAAAGAAAAAAAAAUGAAUGGUAUGAAGUAGACAUUUUGUCUUUAUGAGAUUAUUGAUGGAAGUGUAAUAGACUAUAAACAAGUCUAUGAGAAUCAAUUCUAAUGAGUCCUAAAACAUAUCUAUAAGAAAUAAAAUAAAACCAUGAUAUAAAGAAAUGAUAUUUAAGUGUUUAUAAAUAGGAAUCGGAUACAUAUAAAUAAAAUUUAGAUUAAUUAUAAAUGAAACUAUUUUUAUUAUGUGGUUGUUUUUAAUGUACCACCAAUUUUUAUUUUUAUUUAUUUUUAUUUAUUUUUAUUUUUUUAUAUUCCAUAGAAAAAUUAAUUUCCAAUACCAUAGAAUCACCCUAAUUUCAAAUUGAGAUUUACUAUCUUAAAUUUUAAAUUUUUAAAAAAAUAAUUUUUAAGAGCAUGAACCAAAUCUAUAUUUUUUGUUAAGAAUUUCUAUUCUUUAUAUAGAAGUUUUUAUCAAUUUUUAUUUUUAAAAACAAAAAAUAAGUACUUAGAGUGCGUUUGACAAUAAUUUUAAGAAGUGUUUCUAAUAUUUUAAAUACUUGAAAAAUAAAUUUUUUUAUAUAUUGAAACAAUUGCAAAAUGCACUUUUAGUAUGUAAUGAUAUUAAUUUCUUCGAAGAGAGAGAUUUACAUUUUAGAUAAAAAUAAAUAAAUAAAACAAUACAAGGAUAAAAAAUUAUUUAAAAAAAAACUUUUAACUUCGUGUACUUUAUUAUUACACACUUUUUUCAUUAGAUGCUUUAAAUAAUUUUUUUGAAAUAAAAUUAUAAUUAUAUUGAUGGAGGGCUAAUUAACUUGGCUUUAGGUGAGAAAGAUAGAGAUAAGAUUGAAGUGGGUCCACAUCUAAAACAAAAAUGAAAUAAAAAGUAAAGAUGAAGAUAAGGUUGAGGUGGGUUCACAACUAAAAAAAGAAUGAAAUAAAAAGUAUGAGAUGAAUUGACCAAAGCUUAUGCCUUCUUCCAAAUAGUAAAAGCAAAGCCCAAUAGUAUAAAGUGAUGACACUAGUCCUAUUCAAGGCUCCACUUGCAUAAUUGCUACAUCUUUUGACUUGAUUUUAGUUCAAUUUCACUAAAAUGAAAUCAUUUAUUUGAGCCCAAAAAUUCAAAUCCAAAUCCAACCCACUUAUUUAUAUACAUUAUUGGCAUGGAAUGAGAAAAGUUAUAAAGUGAGAAAAUUUGAUCAUAUGAUAAAUAGUAAUUUUUCAAAGUUGGAGCCAAUCCAAUGCCCAAUGGGUAUAAAAGAAAAAUGAAAGAUGUGGAAAUUAUAGUGGAAUCUUGAAACAAAUUUUUGAGGUUUGAGGUGAUGUGACAACCGUUUCCAAGUAAUUGCCUAAGAAUGUGAGAUGUUAUUGCAUUGAAAAUUGAUAUUAAAUCUCAUUGGGUAACUAUAAGAAUUGCUUUACAUAAAGGCAAGUAAUAAAUAUAUCCUGCCUUUUCAAAAAGUUUAUGACCCUAACUAAGUGAAUAAAAUGGUGAAUAAAACUUUUAGAGUAGGAUGAAUGCAUUUCACGCGAGUCACGUCCUAAAUAUAUUUUUAGAAUUUUCUAGCAGGAUGUCGAGGAAAACUCUAUGAUGAGUGCUCUCUUUCUAGUUAAGGUAGGUCCAAUUUGGUGCAAUUUGCCAACAUAAUUCAAACCCAACAUAUGUUUUAGGGAUUUGAAUAGAGUAAAAUCAUAUUUAAAUUAAAUUAAUCAUAUGAAUCUACAUAACCUGUUUAAUAAAUAGAUUAUUUUUAGGUCUAUUUGGAUAACUCACAUUUGACUCAAAUUAACUUAUUUAAUAAUGGUAUUGAUUAACCUAAUAAUAACUUUAACUUAUUGAACUCAUAUUUGACUCAUGUAAAAUUUGUUUUUCAAUAAGUAUGUCAUAAUUGGGUCAUAAACAUGUCAUAUUAGAAUAUUAACCAUAUUAUUUCAUUCAACAUUUAACUUGACUUGAUUAUGAAAUAACAUCUUAUUAUUAAAUCAGUUAAACCGGUUAUAAUGUAUCACCUAGAUAAUAAUUAUAUUGUGUUUGAGUUUAUGUUUUAAAUUUUGAUUAUUAUUCAUGUCAUGUUUAGGUUGAGUUAUUUAGCGGAGGAUCUAACCUUUGAUAUAACACAAACACAACCCACUAACAUAAAUUGUCAUUCUCACUUCUACUAAUAAGUGAUUUGUUUAUUACAAUUAAGAAAAUUGAGAAGAUAUAAUUGUUUUAAAAAUCUUAAAUGCAUGAUUAAAAUUAAUUAUAACUUUUAAAAGUUUUAUAAUUCAUAUUCCAUCCAAACUAACAAAAUAUUAGAAAUCUUCAAUGGUUUUGUCUACAAUAAAUGUGUUGUGCUAAAUUAUCAACUUCUCUACUAACCAAAACAUGUUUUUUCUCAAUCAAAUAUCAACAUGUUUAAGCAGCCGGUGAGGCAUCUCUUGACAAUGAGGUGAAAGGUAGAAACAAGAAACAUACCUAUAUUCAAGAGAAGUGUUGCUUCUUCAUUUGCAUUAGACAACAUUCAUUUAGUCUAAACUUGAAGGUGGAUUGCUAGAAUCUGAGCUCUUGGAAAGACAUAAGAGAAGUACAUUUAGAAAUCUGAAAGAAGCCUAGAGACUUGUUGCUACUUAUGAAUCACUGUAAUCAGAAACAAUUCCAGAUAAUCCUGCAAUUUUGGACCUUUGAUUUGCUCUGUUCCAUUUUGCCAAGGACAGUUCUAAAAUUUUUCCUUUAUUGAGCUGUAAUGAUUUUUUUAUUAGGAUUUAAUUGUAUUCAUUAGGUUUGCAAAUCACAAAAAUGGUGUCGUGCGUAUGUAUAUUUUCCUCUUUGAUCAUGUAAAGUUGGGAAGCAAUUAUGGAAUACUAUGAUAGCACAAUAUAUUGAUCCACAGUUUGUGGCAUGACAGUUUAAUGAAAUUACAGAAGUGUAGCACUCAUGGGUAUGUCAUGUGAACCUUUUUCAAUGGAGAUACUUGUUUAAAUUUACAUGGGUGAAUUGUCACACCAAUAUCCUCUAAUGAACCUUGGGUUCUUUUUUCUGUUUCUUCAUCUCUUGGUCAAGACAAACAAUUUAUCUUCAUAAGGACUUUGUGUUACCAAUAAGCAGCAUCUUGUGUUCUCCUUCUCUUCAUCCCCUUGUCAAGACACAGCAAUCUGAUGCAUCUUUGCAUUGGGUUACUUCCUCUCCUCUCCCUUUCCUUCCUCCUUGAGGUAAAAUCGCAUCAUUGCUUAGUUUUGACUAUGUUUCUUUUGAUCAUUGUGAGAGAGCAUCAUUGUAAGAUGCACAAGAAACGUGUUGUGGUGCAUUAUCCCUUCCUCUACCACCUAAAAUCUAUUUUACACGAUCAUAAGAACCAAGGUGUUUUAAACAUCAGGUAAGGCAUUUGUUGAUAAUGAUGUGAGAGAUAGAGACAAGCAACAUACCAGUAUUCAAGAUGUGAUGUUCUUUUGCAUUUGACAACAUUCAUUUAGUUUGAACUCCACAUUUGGGCAACUCAGAAUCUCCACCUUCAUUAGGAUUGCAGGAAGUUGACUUCUUGGGAAGACAUGGAAAGAGAGCAUCUAGAAAUUUGAAAGAAUUAUAGAGGUUUAUUGCUACUUUUGAAUAAUUCCAAUUAAUAACAACUCCAAAAGAUAUAUACAAAUGUGUCCCUAGGAAAGAGAUGUGUCGUAUGCAUAUGCAACCAUCUCUCUAAUAGACUUAGGGUUAUGCACCCUCAUGGUAGUUUCUUAUAUAUUGCACCAUAUGAAUUGUAGAUAUCCAACUACCAAUAUCACUACACCUGAAUGAACUCGGAGCUAUGCUGAAAGUGAAGUUGACAACCCAUCAUCGAAAGAAUCUUGUAGGAAUACACCAAAAUGAAAAUCUUAUUAACAUAAAUGAAUUCAUCCAGUUAAAGGAUAAAGUUGCCUGAAAAAUUGAAUUGGGAGAGACAAAAAUAUUAAUGCUUUCAUAGGACUAUGGAAAUGACCAACAAGUGGAACAAACAUUGAAUAGUAAAUGUAAAGCCAUAAAGCUUGUAACUACUGUCAAAAGCUGCUCCCUAGUGAAGUUUUUUCACAAUAAAGGUAAGGGCAAAAUUCACCUAAUAGCUCCACUUAUAGAAAAUUUCAAUGGUGUGAAACUAGGAUAUGAUGAACUCGCUUCCGCUAUUGCAGUGAACCAUUAUGGAUCAAAAAUGAAUCUCACCAUCGGUUUUCACAUGGGAGAUGUGGGCUAUCUUUGGCCCAUAUCUCAAUAUUGGAUUUAGGAGUUCUGUCUCUCAUAUAUGGUUCCACUUGCAAAAUACAAAUGGAGCUUAGCUGAUGACAACAUAUUUAGAAAAAUGCAAGAAUUCCAUAGACAUUUUUUGUGCUAUCAUAAAUCAUUCCAAUCAAUAAGAAAUCAAAGUGCUAUAAUUUUGAAUUGUCUUAGGGAACAAACCCCAAUUCAAUCUUGUGGAAGUAAACUAUCUUGAGUACCAACUCAAUUCUGAGUUCUUUAGGAGACUUGAGACACCAAUUCAAUCAAAGAUGCUAGUUGUUUCUGAGGUAGAUUGUCUUCCUCCAUUGAUACUAGGGAAAAUGCUUUUGAAAACCAUUCAUCUGCAAAUUACAAAGGGGGAUGAGAUUAUGUGAUUUAGGAAGAGAAUUAAGCUUUGAAAUAUUGCCAAUAUGCAACCAACAAUUUCUAAUUCUAUCAUUUCUAUUUUAGCAUGUGAUUUGGGAAAAGGAUUAAGCUUCAAAAUAUUUCCAAUAUGCAAGGAAUUGAGAGAGGCCAAGUGGGCAACCACCAUAGCUAGUUCACAAACAAAUGACAGCAUUGGAAGUGGAACACAACACAUAAACUUCAAAAACAAAACAUGUUUGCCACAAUCAUAAAUACCAAGGUGUUUAAGCAUGAGGUAAGGCAUCUCUUGACAAUGAUGUGAGAGAGAGACAAACAACAUACCAGUAUUCAAGAGAAGUAGUAUUCUUCUUUUGCAUUUGAUAACAUUCAUCUAUUCUGCAUCCCAAAUUUUAGCAACUUAGGAUCUCCACUUUCAUUAGGAUUGCAGGAAGCUGGCCUCUUGGAAACACAUGAGAGGAUAUUUAGAAAUCUAAAAGAAUUCCAAAGACUUGCUAUUGCUUGAAUUGUGAAUCAUUCCAAUCAUAAAUACCAAGGUGUUUCAAGAUCAGGUAAGACAUUUCUUAGCAAUGAUGUGAGAGAUAGAGACAAGCAACAUACCAGCAUUUAAGAGAAGUAGUAUUCUUCUUUUGCAUUUGACAACAUUCAUCUACUCUACACCCCAAAUUUUAGCAACUCAGGAUCUCCACCUUCAUUAGGAUUGCAGGAAGUUGGCCUUUUGGAAACACGUGAGAGGACAUUUAGAAAUCUAAAAGAAUUCCAGAGACUUGUUGUUGCUUGAAUUGUGAAUCAUUCCAAUCAUAAAUACCAAGGUGUUUCAGGAUCAAGUAAGGCAUCUAUUAGCAAUGAUGUGAGAGAUAGAGACAAGCGCCAUACCAGUAUUUAAGAGAAGUAGUAUUCUUCUUUUGCAUUCGACAACAUUCAUCUACUCUACACCCCAAAUUUUAGCAAUUCGGGAUCUCCACCUUCAUUAGGAUUGCAGGAAGUUGGCCUCUUGGAGACACGUGAGAGGACAUUUAGAGAUUUGAAAUAAUUCCAAAGACUUGUUGUUGCUUGAAUUGUGAAUCAUUCCAAUCAGUAACAACCCCAAAGCCCUAUAUACAAUUUUGAACCAUCAACCUUCUUACAUUGAAUGAAAAACCUGUCCCUAGGAAAAAGGUGUCUUGGCCAUACAACCAUCAAUUAUUAGCUCUCGAGGAGGCUUAAAGUUGUGCACCUUCUUGGUAGCUUCUAAUUCGUUACAUCAUAUAACUUCCAGAUAUCUAAUUGACACGUCACUACACCUGAAUGAAGUAGAAAACAUGGUGAAUAGGAAGUUAGACAACCUUUCACAAAAAGAAUCCUGCAAUAAUACACCAAGCAAAACUUCUUGUUAACAUAAAUGAAUUCACUCAAUUAAAUUAUUGUGUUAAAAUUUAAAUUGGGAGAAAUAAAAAUACAAAUGCUUACAUGGGACUAUUGGAUAACCAACAAGAAGAACAUACUUUGAAUAGAAAAUGUGAAGCCAUAAAGCUUGUAAUUGUUGUUAGAUGUUGCUUCCUAGUAAGGUUUUCAACAAAAAGGUUCAGUGUAGGGAUUCUCUAGUAGUUGAAUUGGUAGAAAAUUUUAACAGUAUGACAAUUUAUACUUGUAACAAGAAGAUAAAAUGUAAGAAUUAUGUGUUGGGAAUAGAUGAAACUUGCUAAAUAUAUGGAUAGGAUAGGGUGAACCCUCUCUACUUCCAUUUUUGGAAUCCAAACUAUUAUGGAUCAAAGUUGGAUUUCUCCAUAUAUUAAAUACAAUUGGAGCUUAGGUGAGGUCUUGGUGAUGUAGGAAAUUCAUGGAUUCUGGAAUCUUUACAUGAAAAUAUACAUGAAUGAUACAUUGGAAGAAAGGGCAGGCCUUGGUCAUCUGAGAAGAAACAAAUCUUAAAUAUACUAUUAAUCUUGAGUUGUUUGAGAGUGAUGAGUCUGUGAAGGCCUCCCUCAGAUAAGGGAUGUCUUUGACAUUUCUCCUUCUUCAAUCUCAAGAAGGUACACCAUCAACUAGAACAUUAGGAAUGUGAGUCAUCAUGGACAACUUGUUUAAGUUUUUUAUUCUUUUUUCACUGAAGGGGAUUAAAAGAUAUGUAGUUGUAAGGACAAGAGAUGUAGCCAGUAGUGAGAGCAUCAAACAAAUCCUUCUCUAAUGCAGACCUCAAAUUUUAGCAACUCGUGAUCUCCACAAUUUAGAGCAUUGAAGGAAGUUGCCAUGUUGGAAAGAUGUGACAUGGCAUUUAGAAAUAUGCAGGAAUUCCAGAGUUCAUUCCAAUCAUUAAGGAAUCCAAAGCCCUAUAAUUUAAAUAGGGCAUCCCCUUGGCAUGGAUAACACACCUAUCUUGGGAAAAAGACUGGGCAUCAAUUCAAUGAUCAACUCUCUAUGAAACUUGAGAUACAAGGUACUAAUGUUAGUUGCUUCCAUGGCAGUUCUUUUACUGGUAUUAGGGCAAAGCCUUUUGAAAACCCUCAAUCUACAAAUUACCAAGGACAUGAGAUCAUGUUGUAAUGUCAUCUCCAAUCUCUAGCUACAAACAAAUUAUUUCUUUCAAUUAACAAUCUUUAAUGCAUUCACUUCUAUCAUACGAUAAGCAAUUUCGGAAAACAAGUAAGCUUUAUAAUAUUAGGAAUAUGCAAGAAAUUGAUAAAGGCCAUGAAUCUACCUUCAAAAAAUAAAUUAUUAAAAAAAAGAUUUUUUCACCCAUGAAUAUUGUAAUCAGCUUCCAAAAAACAUUAGGUAUUGCAAUAACCAAAUGUUCCUUAGGUUACCAAGAGUGUUUUUUUUACCCAUGCAUAAAAUAAAAAGAAAAUAAGAAAGCAUACCAUACAACUCACAACUGUGUCAAGUAUGAGUUCAAUUCAUGGUCAUGCACAAUUGCAUUAAGUAUUUGAAAGCCAAAUAAGGUUAUGUGCAAUUCAAAGAAUACCAUACAACUCACAACAGAAUCCUCACAGCUCACCAUAGAAUGAGAAUUCAAUUGUCUUUCCUCUAGUCAUAAGAGUUUGUGCUCUUCGAGCCUUUGACUUGCACAACUCAAGAUAGCAGGACAUGCCAAAAAGUCUCCUUCACCUCAAACAUUAUUCAAAUCCAUAGUAUAAAUCUAGAUAAGAUAAUUUUCUACAAAUAUAACAUGUUGCAAACAAAUAACAGUAUGUUGGUUUAAAAUUGAAAAGCAUUUCAAACCAAACAAAAUAGAAAAAAUUUCAGUGUAUAUCACUCACCUAAAAGCUUGUAUGUUGGAUAAAAUUCCUGCUAAUGAAUCCUCACAAUUAUUUGCAAUCAAAAUUUAGUAAUGAUUUAUAAACAAAAAAAAAAUCACAAAUUUUUUUAGCAAUGUUCCAUGACAAACACAUUGCAUAUUGAUUGAGAAAUUAAUAUGAAAUCCACUAAUUUGAAAGGCACUAAAUACCAUAUGUUCUCUUGAGUUCUCCAUGUAUCAAAACAGAUGCAAGUUGCUAUUUGAGCCACCACAAUCACGGAGCAAAAUACUUCUUAGCAUGGAAGGCAUACCAUAUUUUAAACAAUGUUCUUAACUUUCCAAGAGACAUAAGAACGUGGUGUGUUGUAGAAACUGUAGAAGAAAUAAAUGGAAGUUAAACAUAUGCACUUGCUACUUAGUUUUUUAAUCAUGUGUGAAAGAAAUAAAGAGGUGUUACUUGUAUUUAGGCCAAACUUGUAGUCUCCAAUGUGAAAUCCAAAUCUCAUUUUGUCAACAGAAUAAGAGCACUAAACAUAUAGCAAAUUGAAUCCUUCCUUUUGACAAUUUGAAAACCUUAAAGGAAUGACUUGAGAUCAUAAAUAACUAUACGAUAAAGAAAAUUUUCAUCAUUCUUUCUAAAAGGAAAAUUUGUCAUUUCCUUGAUUACAGAAGAUUGAUAUUUUAACAUAAAGUGCACUUAUUAAGGUAAACUUUAUGCAUUAUAUAUUGAAUUAGAAAAUUGUAUUCAAAUCCAAUUAGAAGGGUAUCACAAAAGAUGCUUAAUUGAAAUGAAGACAUCCAUGCCAAUUUGUAACUGUUAUCAAAUAACACCCUUCCUUGUCAUUUUACGUCCCAUGCUUGCAUGUCAAAUCUCUAACUAAGACCGCUCAAAGAGCACUUCAAAUAAAAUUACGAAGAUUUCAUUACAGGUAGAACUUAAGAUGCUUACAUUGACCAUGGGAGAGAUCGAUAAGAAACAAAAUACUCACCCAUAAGUUUGUAACUAUUGUACUCAAAACUUGCUUCCUAGUCAAACUUUCAACACAACUUCUUGGAAACUUCCACAAAUUGUUGAGCCACUAGUAAAACACAACAUCAAUAUGAGAAAUUUACAAGGUACUAUGCAAAUAAAAGAGUAAGAAAUGUGUAUUGAGAAUAAGAGUUACCUUAAUGAAUGUAAGGAUAGGAUAGGGUUGAAUUGGCUUUGCACCCAUUUUUGCAAUUUGAAUUUAUUAUGGUUCAAAAAUGAGUUUAUGAUGUAUCCUCAUUUUAGGGGAAGCGGGCAAUCUAGGGCCAAUCUCUAUCAUUCUCCUUGAAACAUCUUUGAUUUCGAAGUUUGAUAAAACUUAGAAGACAACCUUUCACUUGGUAAGAAGGACUAGAACAAGGCAUCCCUCAAUCUCUACAAGUUAAAGAAAUGAAGUUUUGAAGACCAAGGGAGGGGGCUAGGAUUUCAAAUUUGACAAUAUUUUCAUUGAAAGAUCAAUGAGUUGUAGCAAGAAAUCCUGUCAAAAGGAAAUUGCAUUUAACAAUGUACAAUAUAAAAUGAAUGAACUGAGUUUUUAGAGAGGUGAAUCUUUGGAGGCUCCACAAAGAUAAGGGGUUUUAAUACCCUUGCAAGUGUAUUCGUGAAAUUAUUUCCUCAAAGGAAACCUGAACCUGGACAAUGUGCAACACAAAGCUGUUAAAGAGAUGUAAGACUCUAAAUCUGAUGAGGUAGGACUUGAGAUCCACAUUUUCUUAAGUGAGGAAUUCUGAGGUUGUAAACACACCAGUAGUUUCCAGAUUUAAAUACUUCUCUUCAAAUAUUUGUAUAACGUACAUCUUCUUUGACAUUGCUGCUCCAACAGGAUGUCCAAUAGGAUGUGCAACCUAUUUGGGCAUACUACAUGUACAACAAAAAAUUUCAUUAAAACAAAAAACUUUUACUAAAACAAAAAUAUGAAGUUAAUGUAUAAGAAGAUAAGAUUUAUAUAUAGUGAAUGAGCAUGAUUGAUUUUAGCACAAAGGGAAUGACGCUAAAAUUUAUAAGAAUAUCAUCACCAUAAGUACCUAAUUUGCAUCAUUAAAAAUUCCACAAGGAUUUGAUGAUUAGGCAAUAAAAUAAUUCUAGUAAAUGAGUUAAAAUCAGCUGCGCUAAGAAAGAUUAAAUCCAAAUAAGCAUCAAUCAUUAAAGAAUUAACCAACUACAAAAGACUUCAAAUGACUUUGACUUUUUCUCCGUAAUUUCUUUUCCUAAUUGGCCUCAUUUGCUUAUACCAAAAUAUUAUUAAUUUGCUUUAAAGGAAGUGGGUGACUCAUAUCUCUGAAAGGAUGUGAGAGGUGGAAAUCCCUCGAUCUCUAGUGAUUCAAGAGGAUAAUUCAUAUGGCUAUUGUUGUCAUCAUACAUCAUUCAACUAGCUAUAGACCACAAAAUUGAACAAUCAUGAAUACGUUGAUGCUUAAAUAUGGUAUGUACUUUAACUAGUGGAAAAUCUUAUGAGACUUGGACAUCUCGAGAUUUCCAGGAAUUAAGAUAGAUACAAGUUGUUGCUUCCUGUUAUAAUUUAUCUGGAUUGCAAUCAUCAAGCACUAACUCCAUUCACUGCAUGUUUUGAGCCUUCAGCAUAAAACCCAAAUUCCAUUCUAUCAACUAAAAAUAAAAUAAAAAAAUCACUAAUAACUCCUUUGGAAACCAUUUUAUGUUGCUCAGAUUAUAAAAUGUAGGAUUUAACUGACUUCCAUCAUUGAAAAUGAAUUGAUAUAACUUUACAAUACUAGUAUAUUCAGCUUUUGACAUGGUUGAAACUGAUCCUGGAAUCAAAAAUCACAUACACAAGUAGAUAUUUAACAGAAGAGGAUCCAAAAUCUCUUCAAUUGAUUAAUGUAUAAAUGAAUUAAUAAAAAAUUUUCAAGAUAAUUAUGGGAAAAUGAACCUUGUACCUCUGAGUUUCUUAUUCUUCUUGAAUAGAGCAAUGAGCAUCAAGUGUUGAGCACCCAGGAAUCUCCCUUCCUCCACAGGCAAAGUCUGAACAAUCUAUCCUUUCUUCAUAUUCCACUUCCUUGCAAAAGUCAAAACAUGAAGAAAAUAUCAUCAAAAUUGAGACAAAAAUAAGUGCAUCAACUAUCUUAAGAAGAGAUUUAUGCCUACUGCUUACCUUUUGAAGAAGUCCACUUGGUUAGAGCACAUUUUACAUGGACGCCCAAUCACUGCAAGCUGCUGAACCAAAGGAGAGUUCAAGCAUCUAAAAAAUUUGACGAACUCAAGUAUCAUAGAAUACUUCAUAUGAAUUCUAAAUGAUCUCAUAUCUAAAAAACAUUGGCAUAAAAUUACUGUUGUUUACCUUACAUGUUUCUUCCAUGGUCAUAAUCAAAACUUUGUUUAUCAUAAGAAAUCUUCUAUGCUCAUCUUGAUUACUUACAAUGAACACUGAAAUGAAAAGAAAAAAAACACAAAAAAUGAUGAUUAGUUUGGUUUGAUAAAUUUAGCAAACAUAAUUUCCUUUUUCUUGCAUGAGAAAGGAAAGAGUAAUAUAUAUAUAUAUAUAUAUAUAUAUGAAUUUAAUAAUUUUUUAAAAUUAGCAAUUAUAAAACUAUUUUGGUUCUCAAAAAAUUUAUGGGAAAGUAGGGAAAAAAAAAUUAUAAACUUCUUUUCGUGUUUGAUUAUUUAUCGGAAAAUUAAGGGAAAAACAAAAAUCUAUGAGAAAUUUAUUUAACACUUCUGAGGAACCAAAAAUGUUUUAGAUGUUGUCAAAUCGAUAAUUUAAACGUGUUUAAUUCCAAUUAAAUGAGUUUAAUCAAACACAUGAAAUUGUGAAUAAAAUUAUUUAAAAGCAUUGAAAUUCAAGUCAUUAAAUAGAGAACACUUAUAAGUGGUUCAUUUCAUUUUUGCAAACUGCCAAAUCAAAAUAGAGCAUGAAAAUGUGUUCAAUAUUUGUUUCAGGCUUGAAGCUUCAAGAAAAAGAAAAUCUUAAAUCAAAUAAACAGGACUAGCGAAUGAAUGGGAACUUGAAAGAAAAGUUUAAGCGCAAAAGAAUUACCUGACUGUGUAUUGGCGAAGUGGCACUUUGAUUAGGAAUGAGAUCUAUAUAACGCCAUUCUUCCCCUUUCUCCAGUAAAUGACCUGAUUAGAACUACAAUAAGUGAAGUGAUAAUGUCAUCUAAUUAGUAAACCAAACCAAGUCAAUAAACUACAACUUCCUCUAGUAUAGCCUCGAUGUAAAAGAAAUUUAAAAUCUCAUUUAUUGCACUUGGCAAGGUAGAAGUAGUAAUGCUCAUUUUUUAUUGUGACAGAUUAUAGAGAAAAUUAGACACUGCGAAAAUACCAAGCCAAGAGCUGCUUUCUUGUUAAAAAUUAAGUCCAAUUAGAAAAUUACAUAGCGCGUAAGAGAAAUUCAAAGUGGUGUUGAGAAGAGAAAGAGGAAGAAUGAUGUGUUGGGAAUGAGAUGUAAUACCUUCUUUAUUACUCAGAUGGAUUAGUCAUGUAUGUCCACACAGGGGAUGUGGGCAAUCUUAAGCCAAUCAUCUCCUUCCUCCUUCGAGUACAUUUGUGUUAGAUGUGGGCAACGCCGCGCAUGCAGUCGUGAAAGGGUGUCAGGCAAUAGUCCUUCCCUUGGCAAAAUCGAUCGGAGCUUAGGGCAAUCGUAGAUUUCUAGCUCUUCAAGAGAGGUGAGGGUUUGGAGAGACAGGGAGGCUAGGGAUUCCAGAUUCUGGAAUCGUGAAAGGAUAAGGGAGGUGAGAGUUGUAGGAAAAAGAAUCGAGUGGGGGUCAUCCGAAAAGGAAGUUGCAUCUGGAAACAUGCCACUAAUCCAGAGGCGUUUAAGAGAGGUGAGUCUGGAAAGACCCCAUUGGGAUAGGGGGGUCUUGAUAUUCUCGCAAUCUUGAAUGAUAAGCGAUGUAAGACAAGUGAGGUUUUUUAUCUGAGGAAGCAACAAUUCCAGAUUUUCAGAAUCUUCAAUAACUAGAUAUGUGAGGGUGUUGAGGCAAUCUGGUAGGGUUUUGAGAUUAGGAUACCUCCCGAGGAUUAAAGAUUGAAGUGAAUUAUUAGUAGAGUGAAACAUCCCCUCUGAAAUUGACUCGAGGUGUUUACAACCCCGAAUGUGAAGUCGCUUAAGAGUAGAGGGAAACUUACCUCUUGGGAAGGAUGUGAGAGAUGGACAUGUACAGAUUUCCAAGGCUUGGAGAGCAGCAGCAUUGGUGGAAUGUUGGUGCAUUAUUCCCUCUGGUAGAGACUUUAGCCUUCUACAAUCAAAUAUAAUGAGCAUCUUGAGAGUGGCGGGUAACCCACCUUUCGGUAAUCCAAUAAGAGACGGACACCUCACUAUAGUUAACUCUUCAAGGGCACACAUGCCCAUCAUUCCUUCUGGAAGAGACUUGAGAUCGUCACAAAACUUUAUGCGUAGACUCUUAAGGGUGGUGGGUAAUUGCCCUUUUGGAAAGCAAAUGAGAGAUGGACAGUUCCAUAUACUUAAGCAUUCAAGAAGACACAAGUUGUUGCUGUCAGUACUGUCGUUCCUCAUCUUCAACAUCAUGCCAUCAGGUAGACUCUUUAGACCUUUACAAUUUCCAACAGUAAGACUUCUCAGCUUUGGUGGGAAACCUACAUCUGGAAAUGACGCUAGCUUUGGACAAUCCCUGAUUGCCAAUUUUUCAAGGCAUGUUAGACUCUGCCAUCCAUUUGGAAGCCUCUCUAGUUUAUCACAUUUAAUUAUUUCCAAAGACUGAAGAUUGCAUCCCAAGGAUACAAGUUGGUCACAAUCUCUAAUCUCAAGAGAAUGAGAGUUUUCCGAUCCAAAACCAUCCUCCCACAAAUAUACGAGUUCUUCGCAUUCCGAUACUUUCAAAACCCGAAGCCCUUGCAAAACUUGCACAAAUCCUUCAUGCAAUUUGAUAAGCCCUGAAAUCUCAGAAAUUGUUAACUUGCUCAAGACCGCCUCAUUACAUUGUCUUACUUGUAAUUUCUUCAGCAGUGGAAGUCUUGAAAGUGGAGACUCCAAUUUUGGACAGAAGUGUACAGAGAGCUUUGUAAGAGAAGGUAGGUAAGUGGGUAGUUUCAUAAUCAAUUUGGGGCAAUACUCAAUUAUAAGCUCAUGGAGACAAGGGAAUAAUGACUCUGUUGAGGAAGACCAGUCCUCCCAGUGCUCCCAUUCUGACAUGCUUUUAAAAUGUAGAGACUCUAGUGAUGGGAAAAACUUACCUCCAGAAACACGAGUCUCUCCAUAAAACUCUGCACCCACUUUUUUUACUCCAUCCAUUCUUUGGAUCCUCAACUGUUUGAGCGAUGGCAACUGCCCCAAGCACGGUAAAGACGUGCACUUUCUGCAAUCUAUGAGACUUAGAUCCACCAUCUUGGAGAACAAGGCAUCUCUUAUCCAACGUGGGAAUUCUGGACCACCAUAAAACUGAAUGCAGAGUUUAUUUAGAUUCAAACAAGGUUGUAGAGAGUCAAGGACAUCCAUUUGAUUCCGCUCAUUCCCUGAACCAUCCAGCUCAGAACUCCACUGCAUUAUCAAGCUUUCAAGGUUACGCUUCAAUUUUAAAUCGACAUCCCUUGCAUCUUGAAUAUUCACCACAUUUUCCAAUUUCGAAAUGCAAAGUUCUCCUCGCAGAUGUGACAUGUCUUUCAACCCUUUGAUUGUCAAACCGUUGUUUUUGUCCACAAUGAAAUUAGACAAUAUCCGCAAAUCUUUUAGUUUGCCAAUUUGUAUAGGCAUUUCUUGUAAUCUUAUUGCACCAGCAACAUCAAGAUGUCGAAGAUUGAUUAGGUUACCGAUGCUAAUAGGCAACCUAAUAAGCUCUUUACAGCAUGAUAAUUUCAAUGUCUGAAGGUAAAAAAGAUUACCAAUUGAAUCGGGUAACCAUUUUAUACUGGUGUAGGACAAAUUAAGGUAUCUCAAAUGUUUCAACUUACCAAAUGAAUCUGGUAUCUCACUUAUCGUGUAACGAGCCAAUGAGAGCACCCUUAAGUGCCCUAACUUUGGUAUCAAUUCUUCAAGCACCUUAUUACUUAUAUAGCAACGAUUUGGACUAGUUGGUACAUCAAUCGACAAAGCUAUGAACGUGCGCAAGCGCUCUUUCUUAUGAAACCUUUCAAAUUUUUUAAAGAUAUCACAAAAAUGACGGAUGAAUGAUGAAUGACGAGUAUUUUCAGAAAUGGGGCAUUGCAAAUCAUUCCACAACUCAUCAUCCAAAUGCAAGCAUGUGUCUCCAGCAAUAGAUUUAGCUAGAGCAUGGACAAGGUCAUGCAUCACGAAUCGUGAUCUAUUGCUGCUUGACGAUUGAAAAAAUGACCUUGACAAUAGCUCAUCAAAAUACUUAUCACCAUGAUCUUCCAUUUUCCUAUUAUCUUUUGAUUGUUCAAUUAACCCCUCCGCUAUCCACAAGAGGAUUAACUCUUGCUUUGUAAACUCAUAAUCCUGGGGAAAAUUUGCGCAAUAAGUAAAACACCUCUUUAAAUGUGAAGACAGAUGAUAGUAGCUCAAUCUCAAGGCAGGGAUGAUGUCACAUUCCUUGUCUGUUAAAUUCCAUACUUUGCUGUACAAUACUCUUUCCCAUUCACAUUCACGUAGUUCAGAGCGCAAAAGGCCACCAAGGGCUCUUGCCGCUAAGGGAGAACCUCCACACUUCUCUACAAUUCUCCUACCAAUUGAUUCCAAAUUUGGGUGCUCAUCGAUAUUCAUAUGUUCAAAAGCAUGUGUUUGAAAUAUCUUCAAACAAUCAUCAUAUGGUAACUGUUUGAGCUNNNNNNNNNNNNNNNNNNNNNNNNNNNNNNNNNNNNNNNNNNNNNNNNNNNNNNNNNNNNNNNNNNNNNNNNNNNNNNNNNNNNNNNNNNNNNNNNNNNNCCCCUAGCAGAGUNGGUUAUCGCAGCCACCUUUUUCUAGACGAAGCUCAGAUUUUGAGCCGAAAUAUCUCGUAAGCGGCGAGUGAUUUCCAACACCUUGGACCUCAUGUUAAUAUAACGCAUAACCUCAUUAGGAUUGAAAAUGCCAAGACAAGUGGAGAUGAGCUUGCGUACCUUGCUCGGCCUGCCUUGAUGAUCAGCUUCUUUGGCCGUGAGUUCCCGUUGCAAAGCUUCGUAGGCGAACUCAUCCAAGAUGUCCUCCAUAUCAUAAGCCAAAUCCUUCAGAUUGCCCAGCCACUCUUUCACAGAGUGAUCCGUGAUCUGCUUGUCCUCCGCGUCAUUAAGCUCUUCACGAAUAUUCGACAAUUCUAUCUCCCAUUUCUUGAGAUCAGAGUACACCCAUUGUUGGCGUGCAAAGUCGAGCAAAUCAGUGGAGGCCAACUUGUCAAACAAGAGGCCGAUGGCAGCAGAAAGAAGAGCGUCUCCCACAGCUUCCAUGGUUGGUUUGUACUUUGUUUGCAGAGAGAGAGAGAGCAAAUCAAGCAGUGGAUAAAAAGGUGAAGCAGAAAGAAGGGGGUCUGCUGUGUGAAGGCUUUAAAUAUUAGAAACCCAUUUUCAUUUUAAUUUAUUUGAAGGUCCUUGUAGAGACAGCUGGAUCAUAUUGGAGUUUGAGAUGGCCCGACUGCCCACCUGCAUGCCACUGUUGGUUUGUUUGUGUACUUUAAUUUAAAAAUGUCUCAAUUUUAUUAUAAAUUUUUUUUUUUAAUGUAACUAUAUAUAUAUAUAUAUAUAUAUCCCUCUUUUAUUAUUUUUUUAUUUGCAUGAUAUUUCUUUCAUACCAAUCAAAACUAUGAAGAGAUUUUUCUUAAAAUUCAUAAAAUAUCUUGUUUUUGUUGCAUCAAUAUGUUUCAUUUCAUUGUAAGAAAGCCCAGUAAAAUGUGAUAUUUUCUAAUUUCUGAUUUGUAACAUUUUUUUUUCUUAUUUAUUCCAAUCUUAUAUGCAUAUUACACUAUUAGGCAAAGUUGUCAAUGACAAUGAUUGUUAUUUAUAAUGGCUUGAACUUAGAAGCAUCCUAGCUUAUGAUACUCAAUUAUAUUCACCUCUACAACUUAAUUUCAAAAUGUUGGAAUGCAUACCAAAUUCCUAAUUAAUCAAGGUUUAUUUUUUUGUAAAAAAAUGUUGUAUAGAAUAUUUCCUAAGUUGAUACAUUAUUAUAAUAUUAAAUUUCCUUCUAGAAUAAGGAAUAUUAUUAGAAAUAUCUCUAUAAAUAUUAUAGGUAAAAGUGAACAUGAGCUUUUAGUGACUCUACGAAGUUAAUAAAGAUACUCAGUAAAGUGAGAGGGCUCGUGGUUCAAGGUAUGGAUACAAGGAGUGACACAAAAUAAUUUAUUAACUCAAAAUCUAUUUUUUAUUUUUCUUUAUUUUUUCUUUCUUUCUAAUUUUCUUUUUGUUUUCUUUUUCUCUAACUCCCUCAAAUCUUCUAGAAACCAAAUAUAGUCCUAAUGUGUUGGACGAUGAACUUGUUAUUUUAUAAACUUCAAAUAUUCAAUUUUCAUGGAGAAGGAAUCUCAUAUCUAUCUCAAGUUAAUUAUAUGCAUCCCAUUUUUACCACUAGCAAACCUUAAUCACCUUAUUAUAUGGAAAUUGGGUAUAACUAGAUGUAAUAAAAAACAAAGUUUUGUGAAUAAUGAAAGAACUUGUACAAGUAAAAAUAGAAUUUUAAUAAGAUGCAAAAAAAUUUUGGCUUCCAUAUCUAGUCAAAUAAGCAUAGAACCUUUUUCUUCAACUUUUAAGUUUUUGACUUCUCAAAAAUCAAUCUAAAUUGGAUUGAUAAAUUAUAAAAGGUUACAAUAUAAUAUUACAAUGUAUAAAUAUUAUUUUCACUUCUAUAUUUCCCAUGAAAUUAUUUAUUUAUUUAUUUAAAUUGAAAUGUCCUUUGUUAUUUGUUUCUACCUUUAAAAAGUAACAAAAAAAUUAUUUUAAAUCUUAGGUAUGGCAAUACUUAAGUAUUUAAUAAUUUUAAUUAGAUAAUUACAUUUUCUUUUACAUUUUACACAUAAAAUAAUUAAUUAUAUUUUAUAUUAUAUUAUUUAAUUAGUGAUAUUUAAAUUUUAAUUAGUUUUUAAGAAUUUAAUUAAUAGUUAAAUAAUUAGAUUUAUUUAUGUUUAAAUCUAAUUAACAAUAAGUUCAAUGCAACAAGAAAAAAAAAUAGGUUAUGGUUACUAUUUUGAAGUGGAUUUCAAUUUUAAAUUUUACAAGUAGACUUGCUUGACUAACCUUAUAAAUUAGUAGAAUUUAACAAGUUGCAAAUGGUUCCCUUACCUAAUCUUUUAAAUUAAUCUUGAUGUUGACAAGCACUUUACCAACCAUAAUUAUAAAAAGACAAAUAAGUCAAGUUGAUUUUACUAAAUUGCAAGUGGGUGCCCUUACCUAAUCUUUUAAAUUAAUCUUGAUGUUCACAAGCACUUUGCCAACCAUAAUUAUAAAAAGACAUAUAAGUCAAAUUGAUUUUACUCAAUUGAGAUUAAUAAAUUGCAAGUGGGUGCCCUUUACCUAAUCUUUUAAUUUAAUUUUCAUAUUGAUAAGAACCAAAUCAGCCAUAAUUAUAAAAACAAGAAGACGACAAGCUAUGAUUACUUUUAUUAACUAAAAUUUAAUAAAUCACAAUUUCUCUUACCUAACCUUUAGAUUAAUCUUGAUAACUUUGCCAACAGUAAUUAUAAAAAGAGAAAGACGACAAGCUAAUUUAAUUGGCUAAUUUUAUUAACUUAGGUUUAAUAAAUUUAAAGUAGGUUGAUCUCUUACCUAUCCUUUUUAAAUUAAUCUUGAGAUCAAUAAGAAUCAUACAACCAUAAUCAUAAGAAGAGCUAAAACAUAAGUCGAUUUGAUAUUUAAUUAGUUAAUUUUAUUAACUAUAAGAUAUAAAAAUUUGGUAGGAGGUGUCUUAAAUCCCAAAUUAGAAUAUACUUUUUUUUUCGUGAAAAGAAUAUUAUAUAGAAUAUUUUCAAAGUUUAUAUGUGAUUGUAAUUAAAUUCAAGUUAGUACAGAUAUAUUUAUAAAUAUUUUAAGACAUGAAGAGAAAAAGUUAUGGAAGAUAUGAAAAAGAGAUGCGAUCAAGAGCGAGAGAUGUUGAUAGAACAAGAGGGUUCACUAGGGAAGAGUAUAGAUGUGAAGAAGAAUGAGAAACACAUAGUGGAGCAAAAUGAUUCAUGGUUUAUGAUAGAGAUAUAAAGAGCAGGAAAAAUGGGAUGUUUGGGUUUUGGUAGUCGUCUAACCUUUGUAUGUGGUUUGCUUUAUUCAUGUGUUCUUCCUUUAAUAUGUUUAAAUUGAGGUUUUUGUUUUCCUUUUGGUCCUAAGAUGAGUUUUGUCAUGUAAUCAAUUAUGCCUGUUUCCAAUUUCAUUAAAAACUUGUGUUCUACGAUUUGACAAAUGAAAAUAAUUAUUUUUCUAUAAUUUUUUUUAUUAUAAUUUUGUUAGUUAAUAAAAAGUAGAAUAUAGAUAAUAUUAGCCGUCAAAUAGAAAGAUAAAUAUGACAAUUAAUGUGUUUUCACAGCAUAUUUGUACUUAGAUGGUUUUGCUUAUAUGAAGUAAUUUAAUGCAACUAUGAAGAUUUAUAUGAAGUAAACUUUAUAUAAUUUGAGAUUUAAUAAUCGGUUAAUUUUUAUUUGAAGAUACAAAAACAUAAAAUAAAAGUCUUGUUCAAAAAUUAUUAUUGAAAACAACAUGAAAAUGGGGUUUUUUCACUUAGAAAUAUACAUUUGACAAACUUCUCAUAUAAAACUUCUUAAAAUAAGUUAUUUUUUAGAACAAAUUUGAAAUGUUUUUAAUUUUUUCACAACAAUUUAAAUAAAAAUUGAAGAUAUAGAUAAUAUAUAUUUUGGGAAAUUUUGUAUUGUAUUUAAGUAUACAAUUCCUUUGUAAAGAAUAAAUCGAAACGAGUAAUAGCUAUUUUCAAGAAUUGUUUUGAAGAAUUAUUUUCACAAAUGUUGUCAAAUAUGCUCAAAACUUUCUACAUCAUUUAUAUUAAUCUUGGAUUCAAUCAAAAUCUUGCCACAAUUGAAAAGAAAAAAAAAUGUUAAUUAAUUGGUUAAUAUUUACAAUCCUAAAAAAAAUUAAAAAAAAAUAAUAAUUCAAAAUUUUUUAAAUAAAAAUCUCGCUAACUAAAAUAAAAAUUCACCAUCAAAAUAAAAGAUUAUCUAAUAGUUUUCUAUUUUUGACUCUAUAAUCAAGAAUGUUCAUAUAAUUUCUUUUACAAUAACAUACUAAAAUAGAAAGAGAUUAAAAUGGAAAAAGAAAAUGAUUAACAAUAAAAUUCAUAAAAAGAAAUGAAAAUUAAGAAGAUUUCAAUCCACUUCAAUAUUAUUUCAAUGAAAUAGUAUUGCAUUUAAAUUAUUGAAGGCCAUACCAAUUUAUUUUUCGUCCUUUUUUAAUACUUAAUUUUGUUAUCAAACAAUGAAAAUUUUACUAAUCAAGGAAAAUGAGAAAAGAAAAUAUUUUUCUUGAAAGUUAAUGAAUUUGUUAAGAAAGGAAAACAAAAGGUCUUUUAUGGGAUACUUUAUUAAAUUAAAUUAAUAACUUAAUUUAAAUCAUUAAAUAAAUUAAGUAUGUUUAACAAAAUAACAUAAUGGUAUGAUUUAAAAUAAAAAAAACUUUAAAUAAUAAAUAAAAAUAAUUAACUUAUUCUUAAAUUCACAUUUUUAUUUUACCUUUUUACCCCAAUUUGUCAUAAUUACCUCCACAAUUUCCUUUACUAUUCCACGACUUUUACUUUUACACGACCUCCUCUACUCUAGGUAUAAUUUAUGAGGAUAAAUAUGUCAAUUUGAAAAUUUAGAAUUAAUCAUAAGUUAGUUUUAUCACACAAUCGUAAUACUUAAAAUAAAAAUUAAGUAAUAAGUUUUAAGUUAACAAUUUAAGUAUAAUUUAACUAAAAGUCAACUUAAAUCAUUAAGUAAUUAGUAUUAAGUUUUAUCAAACACCUCCAUAUAAUUAGUUAAUUUUGAUUAAUCUAAAAAUAUAGAAAGUGAAAUAUACACAUUUUUUUAUUGGUUACGUUGGUCUUGAACUUCUUUCACCAAAUCAUUUUUAUUAAUCUUAACAUGCGCCAUUUGAUGCGACUGAUGGUAGCUUAGCUUUAAAGGCGUAUCAACAAAAUUUAUACCUUAAAUACUAUUAUUAAAGUAGCCAAGCUACUCUAGCAUAGUGGUUCUAGGAUCGUUCACUGGGAAGGGUUUUCGCGAACACUAGUGAUAUUCAAAUUAGGAAAAUAGGUGAUUUUCUUAUGGAUGUUAGCUUUAAAAGAAGAUGUAAAUGUUUUAGAAAGAUUUAAACUAAUCUAAGCUAACAUUAAAGACUAAAAUGAAAUGGUGUAAAAACAAGUUUCUCAAAUAUAGGAUAGCUAUGCUCUGGCUCUUAUGCAAAUUGGAAAUCUCAGGAUAGGCUCCUCGCGUCGGGGUUGCAACUAUGGUGAUGCUUGCUUCCCGAACCGGUAUGGAUUUAGCAAAUCAAGUUUUAAUCCUUUAAAAUGGCAAAACAGAUGGUAGUGAAUUUCAUCAAUGGUUAUUCACCUUAGACUUCCUUUGAAUGGCUCAUAAGAGAUAACUAAUGGUCUAAAGCCAAAAGCUUACCAAAUAUUGGCAACUCAAAGUCAUUCCAGGUGAUAAACUCACCUUUCAAUGGCCAUUGAAAUUGGUUCUAACGGAUUAAUGCAAAACUUGGAAUUGAAAACCUCACCUUCCAAUAGCUCGUAGGAGAUAACUAAUGGAUAGAAAUCCAAAAGCUUAUCAAGUAUUGGCCGUUGGAAGUUGUCCAAAGGAAAUAAAAACCAAACUUUGCAUUAAUGAACCAUUAAUGAAAAACGACUACCUUACCUUCCAGGUGCGAGAAAUUUCUAUGGGAUUGCAUCCAAGCCAUCACAUAGCAUCCAUACUUUGAGAAACUAAAAGUUUUAGCCAAUCAUCCUCUGAGGAAAAGUCCUCAGAGGCUAUUUGGCUACUAAGAAAAUAAAAAUGGGGAAGAACAGGAGAAGAGAGAAAAACAGAGCUUUAUAUAUUUCUAAGUUAAUGUACAGAGGAUCGAUCCCCCAAUAUCUUUUGGAGGCGUUGUGCACCUCUAUAUAUAGCAAAAUUACAAGAUAAAGCCUUAUGUCAGCUGAAUACAAGGUUACAAAAGGAAUUUACACGAGAAAAUAUCAAGCUAAAAAUAUCUGGGAAGUCGGUGGUGCGUGCGUGGAGAAACAGAGGAAAUUUGGCAAGGUAAAAGGUUACUUGCGAAAUUUUGGCAAGGUAAAAGGUUACUUGCGAAAUUUUGGCAAGGUAAAAGGUUACCUUGCGAAAUUUUCGCAAGGUGAAUUACUCAUGAUGCGAAGUGCCAUAUUUUCGCAUCAUGAAUAAAUUCACCUUGCCAAAUUUGGCAAGGUGCAUUUUCACCUUGCGAAAAUUGCAUUUUGGCAAGGUAUUUUGCCUUGCCUUGCGAAAUGGCUAUCCCUUUGUUUGUGCUCGUGUUUCCACUUGAAAUUCAAGCCUGUAAACUUCCAAAAUCCUUGCUUUAACUUGUCCAAGUAGCUCCUCCAUCAUUUGGCAUGCUUGAAUUGAUUCAUAAGCUGAUAAGAACAUGUAAACUUGCCACAAAAUGGUUAAAACCAAUUACUAAGGACCUUAAUGAAUUAAUUGGGUUAAAUGAAUAUGAUUACUACUCAAAGGUGCUUAAAACCAUUAUAAUUAGGUCUACAAAAUAGCACUUUUUGGUAGUAAUCACAUCAACAUUAGUUAAUUAUAAUUAAAGAAAAGAAAACCAAAAAAAUAAAAAUAAAAAAGUCAAUUUGGGUGACCAAUCUUUGUUGAAAAAUUAAAAACCAAACAAAAGUUGAUCAAUACAAAAAAAAAAAAAGAGAAAAAAAUUGUAUGAAGUAGACAUUUUGUCUUUUUGAGAUUAUUGAUGGAAGUGUAAUAGACUAUAAACAUGUCUAUGAGAAUCAAUCCCAAUGAGUCCUAAAACAUAUCUAUGAGACUAUUGUUGAAUAGAGAUUUAAAAUAAAAUAAAACCAUGUCAUAAAGAAAUGAUAUUUAAGUAUUAAUAAAUAGGAAUUGGAUACAUAUAAAUAAAAUUUAGAUUAAAGAAGAAAUGAAACUAUUUUUAUUAUGUGGUUGUUUUUAAUGGACCGCCAAUUUUUUAAAAAAUUAUAUAUAUAUAUAUAUAUAUAUAUAUAUAUAUAUAUAUAUAUAUAUAUAUAUAUAUAUAUAUAUAUAUAUAUAUUCCAUAGAAAAAUUACUUUCUAAUACCAUAGAAUCACCCUAAUUUCAAAUUGAGAUUUACUAUCUUAAAUUUUAAAUUUUUUAAAAAUAAUUUUUAAGGGCAUGAACUAAAUCUAUAUUUUUUGUGAAGAAUUUAUAUUCUUUAUAUGGAAGUUUUUAUCGAUUUUUAUUUUUAAAAACAAAAAAUAAGAAGCACUUAGAGUGUAUUUGACAAUGAUUUUAAGAAGUGAUUCUAAUCUUUCUAAUACUUGAAAAAUAAAAAUUCUUAUAUGUUGAAACAAUUGCAGAAUACACUUUUAGUAAGUAAUGAUAUUAAUUUCUUCGAAGAGAGAGAUUUACAUUUAGGAUAGAAAUAAAUAAAUAAAACAAGGAUAAAAAUUUAUUUUUUAAAAAAACUUUUAACUUCUUGUACUUUAUCAUUACACACUUUUUUCAUUAGAUGCUUUAAAUAAUUUUUAUUAAAUAAAAUUAUAUUGAUGGAGGGCUAAUUAACUUUGCUUAGGGUGAGAAAGAUAGAGAUAAAAUUGAAGUGGGUACACAUCUAAAACAAAAAUGAAAUAAAAAGUAAAGAUGAAGAUAAGAUUGAGGUGGGUUCACAACUAAAAAAAGAAUGAAAUAAAAAGUAUGAGAUGAAUUGACCAAAGCUUAUCCCUUCUUCCAAAUAGUAAAAGCAAAGCCUAGUAGUUAAAGUGAUGACAUUAGUCCUAUUCAAGGCCCCACUUGCAUAAUUGCUACAUCUUUUUGACUUGAUUUUAGUUCAAUUUCACUAAAAUGAAAUAAUUUAUUUGAGCCCAAAAAUCCAAAUCCAAAUCCAACCCACUUAUUUAUAUACAUUAUUGGCAUGGAAUGAGAAAAGUUAUAAAGUGAGAAAAUUUGAUCAUAUGAUAAAUAGUGAUUUUUCAAAGUUGGAGUCAAUCCAAUGCCCAAUGGCUAUAAAAGAAAAAGGAAAGAUGUGGAAAUUAUAGUGGAAUCUCGAAACAAAUUUUUGAGGUUUGAGGUGAUGUGACAACCGUUUCCAAGUAAUUGCCUAAGAAUGUGAGAUGUUGUUGCAUUGAAAAUUGAUAUUAAAGCUCACUGGGUAAUGGUAAGAAUUGCUUUACAUAAAGACAAAUAAUAAAUACAUCCCACUUUUUCAAAAAGUUUAUGAGUGAAUAAAACUUUUAGAGUAGGAUGAAUGCAUUUCACGUGAGUCAUGUCCUAGAUAUAUUUUUAGAAUUUUCUAGCAGGAUGUCGAGGAAAACUCUAUGAUGAGUGUUUUCUUUCUAGUUAAGGUAGGUCCAAUUUGGUGCAAUUCGUCAAUAUAAUUCAAACCCAACAUAUGUUUUAAGGAUUUGAAUUGAGUAAAAUCGUCUUUAAAUUAAAUUAAUCAUAUGAAUCAACGUAACCUGUUUAAUAAAUAGAUUAUUUUUAGGUCAAUCUAGAUAACCCACAUUUGACUUGAAUUAACUUAUUUAAUAAUGGUAUUGAUUAACCUAAUAAUAACUUUAACUUAUUGAACUUAUAUUUGACUCAUGUAAAUUUUUUUUUUUUCAAUAAUUAUGUCAUAAUUGGGCCAUAAACAUGACAUAUUAGAAUAUUAACCAUAUUAUUUCAUUCAACAUUUAAUUUGACUUGAUUAUGAAAUAACAUCUUAUUAUUAAAUCGGUUGAGCCGGUUAUAAUGUAUCACCUAGAUAAUAAUUAUAUGGUAUUUGAGUUUAUGUUUUAAAUUUUGAUUAUUAUUCAUGUCAUGUUUGGGUUGAGUUAUUUAGUGGAGGAUCUAACCUUUGAUAUAACACAAACACAACCGACUAACUUAAAUUGCCAUCAUCACUUCUACUAAUAAGUGAUUUGUUUAUUAUAAUUAAGAAAAUUGAGAAGAUAUAAUUUAUUUUUUAAUUUUAAAUGCAUGAUUAAAGUUAAUUAUAACUUUUAAAAAUUUUAUAAUUCAUAUUCCAUCCAAACUAACAAAAUAUUAGAAAUCUUCAAUGGUUUUGUCUACAAUAAAUAUGUUGUGUUAAAUUAUCCCCUUCUCUACUAACCAAAACAUGUUCUUUCACAAUCAAAUAUCAACAUGUUUGAGCAGCCGGUGAGACAUCUCUUGACAAUGAGGUGAGAGGUAGAAACAAGAAACAUACCUAUAUUCAAGAGAAGUGGUGUUUCUUCAUUUGCUUUAGACAACAUUCAUUUAGUCUAAACUUGAAGGCGGAUUGCUAGAAUUUGAGCUCUUGGAAAGACAUAAGAGAAGUACAUUUGGAAAUCUGAAAGAAGCCUAGAGACCUAUUGCUACUUGUGAAUCAUAGUAAUCAGAAACAAUUCCAUAUAAUCCUGCAAUUCUAGACCUUUGAUUUUCUCUGUUCCAUUUUGCCAAGAACAAUUCUAGAAUGUUUUUCUUUAUUGAGUCGUAAUGAUUUUAUUAUUAGGAUUUAAUUGUAUUCAUUAGGUUUGCAAAUCACAAAAACAGUAUUGUGCCUAUGAAUAUUUUCCUCUUUGAUCAUGUAAAGUUGGAAAACAGUUAUGGAAUUCUAUGAUAGCACAGUACAUUGAUCCACACGAUUUGUGGCAUGACAAUUUAAUGAAAUUACAAAAGUGUAGCACUCAUGGGUAUGUCAUGUGAACCUUUUUCAAUGGAGCUACUUGUUUAAAUUUACAUGGGUGAAUUGUCACACCAAUAUCCUCUAAUGAACCUUGGGUUCUUUUUUCUGUUUCUUCCUCUCUUGGUCAAGCCAAACAAUUUGUCUUUAUAAGGACUUCAUGUUACUAAUAAGCAGCAUCUUAUGUUCUCCUUCUCUUCAUCUCCUUGUCAAGACACAACGAUCUGAUGCAUUUUGCAUUGGGUUGCUUCCUCUCCUCUCCAUUUCCUUCCUCCUUGAGGCAAAAUUGCAUCAUUUCUUAGUUUUGAUUAUGUUUCUUUUUAUCAUUAUGAGAAAGCAUCAUUGUAAGAUGUACAAGAAACGUGUUGCGGUGCAUUAUCCCCUCCUCUACCACCUAAAAUCUGUUUUACACGAUCAUAAGGACCAAGGUGUUUUAAGCAUCAGGUAAGGCAUUUGUUGACAAUGAUGUGAGAGAUAGAGACAAGCAACAUACCAGUAUUCAAAAUACAUGAUGUUCUUCUUUUUCAUUUGACAACAUUCAUUUAGUCUGAACUCCACAUUUGGGCAACUCAGAAUCUCCACCUUCAUUAGGAUUGUUAGAAGUUGGCUUCUUAGAAAGACAUGGAAAUGGGGCAUCUAGAAAUCUGAAAGAAUUCCAAAGGCUUGUUGCUACUUUUGAAUCAUUCCAAUUAAUAACAACUUUAAAAGAUAUAUACAAAUCUGUCCCUGGGAAAGAGAUGUGUCAUGUGCAUAUGCAACCAUCUCUCUAAUAGACUCAGGGUUGUGCACCAUCAUGGUAGUUUCUUAUAUAUUACACCAUAUUAAUUGUAGAUAUCCAACUACCAAUAUCACUACACCUGAAUGAACUAGGAGCUAUGCUGAAAGUGAAGUUGGACAACCCAUCAUCGAAAGAAUCCUGUAGGAAUACCCCAAAAUGAAAAUUUUAUUAGCAUAAAUGAAUUCACCCAAAUUAAGGAUAAAGUUGCCUAAAAAGCUUGUGAGGCAUGUACCGGAUAUUCGGCUCAAUUUAAUCUCUGUUGGAAAGUUAGAUGAUGAGGGCUACAACAACAAUUUCAGUGAUGGAAAAUGGAAGCUCUCCAAAGGUUCUCUAGUGGUAGCAAAAGGAAAGAAGACUUGUUCUCUUUACACUGUGCAAGCAAAAAUCUGCAAGGGUGUUGUGAAUACCUUAGAGAAUGACUCAUCCACCGAUUUAUGGCAUAGAAGGCUUGGACAUAUGAGUGAGAAAGGAUUGCAAGUUUUAUCCAAGAAAGAGCUUCUAGCGAGGAUAAAAGGUACGCCUUUGAAAACAUGUGUUCAUUGUUUCCAUGGUAAACAAAAUAGAAUAUCAUUCCGUAGAAACAUUGCAUCUAGAAAAUCUCAUGUUCUAGAUUUGAUACAUUCUGAUGUAUGUGGUCCUUUGAAAGUUAGGACACUUGGUGGUGCUUUAUACUUUGUCACUUUUAUUGAUGAUCACUCGAGAAAAGUUUGGACUUAUACACUGAAAACUAAAGAUCAAGUUCUAGAUGUGUUUAAGCAUUUUCAGGCCAAGGUUGAAAGAGAAACUGGUAGACAGUUGAAAUGUGUCCGCUCGGAUAAUGGUGGUGAAUAUAUUGGACCAUUUGAUCAGUAUUGCAUUAAUCAUGGCAUCAGGCAUGAAAAGACAGUAAAAAAGACACCUCAACAGAACGGGGUUGCAGAGAGAAUGAAUCGCACCAUUCUUGAGAGAGUCAGAUGUUUGCUCUCACAUUCUAAAUUGCCAAGAUCUUUUUGGGGUGAGGCAAUGAGGACAGUAGUUGAUCUUAUCAAUUUAUCUCCUUGAGUUCCGUUGAAUGGUGAUGUGCCAGAGAAAGUUUGGACAAGGAAGGAAGUCUCCUAUGAUCACUUGAGGGUAUUCGGCUGCAGAGCUUUUGUUCAUAUUCCAAAAGAUGAGAGGUCCAAGCUUGAUCCAAAAGCAAAGCAGUGCAUAUUUAUUGGCUAUGGGCAUGAAGAAUUUGGCUACAGGUUGUAUGAUCCAGUUGAUAAGAAAGUUGUCAGAAGCCGAGAUGUUGUUUUCUUGGAAUAUCAUACUAUUGAAGACAUUGACAAGCUUGAGUCAGCUGAGUCUAGUACUAAUGAUCUUGUUGAUUUAGAUCCUCUUAAUCCACCUGUUAUUCAUGAUAUUGAUGAGGAAGUGCAGACACCUCAUGAUGAUGCAGCGGAAGAUGAUGUUGAGCCAGAGAUUGAGGGGGAACAGUCAGCCCAAGAGCCACUACCACAGACACCGUUGAGGAGAUCUACCAGAGAAAAACAGCCAUCCAGAAAAUAUUCUUCAAAUGAGUAUGUGAUGAUAUCAUAUCAGGGGGAGCUAGAGACUUAUCAAGAAGUCUUGAAGCAUGAGAACAAAACUGAAUGGCUCAAGGCAAUGAAAGAGGAAAUGAAGUCUUUGCAUGAGAAUCACACCUAUGAUUUGGUGAAGCCGCCUAAAGGGAAGAAAAUUUUGAAAAAUAAAUGGGUCUUCAGACGAAAGAAUGAUGGGAACAGUUCUCAACCGAGAUUCAAGGCACGACUUGUUGUGAAAGGUAUUGAUCAGAGGAAGGGAGUUGAUUUUGAUGAGAUCUUCUCACCAGUUGUGAAGAUGUCCUCCAUUCGAAUUGUGCUUGGUAUAGCUGCGAGUAUGAAUUUAGAAGUUGAGCAGCUUGAUGUGAAGACCGCAUUUUUGCAUGGUGACUUAGAAGAGGAAAUUUAUAUGGAGCAACCUGAGGGCUUCAUAGAUAAGGGUAAUGAUCAGUUAGUUUGCAAAUAGAAGAAGAGUUUGUAUGGAUUGAAGCAAGCACCGAGGCAGUGGUACAGAAAAUUCGAUUCUUUCAUGACUGAGCAUGGGUAUUCAAGAACCACUUCAGACCAUUGUGUGUUUGUGAAGAAAUAUCUAGAUGGUAAUUUUAUUAUUCUCUUGUUUUACGUUGAUGAUAUGCUUAUUGUGGGCCAAGACACGAGCAAGAUUAGCAAGUUGAAGUCAGAGUUGAGCAAGUCCUUUGCCAUGAAGGAUUUGGGUCCAGCAAAGCAAAUUCUUGGGAUAAGAAUUGUUCGCGACAGAUCACAUGGGCUGAUUUGGUUAUCUCAAGAGAAUUAUGUUAAAAAGGUUCUUGAGAGGUUCAAUAUGGACAAAACAAAGCCUGUUAAUUGUCCACUUGUAGGCCACUUCAAACUUAGCUCAAGUCAGUGUCCUACAAGUGAUGAAGAGAAAAAUGAGAUGCAGAAAAUUCCCUAUGCUUCAGCAAUUGGUUCUUUGAUGUAUGCCAUGGUUUGUACUCGACCGGAUAUUGCUCACGCAGUUGGGGUUGUUAGUCGAUUUCUGUCUAAUCCGGGAAAAGAACACUGGGCAGUAGUGAAAUGGAUUCUGAGGUAUCUUCAGGGCACUUCAAAGAUGAGUUUGUGUUUUGGUAAAGGCGAGCCUAUUCUUGAUGGGUUCAUAGAUUCUGAUAUGGGUGGUGAUGUUGAUAGUCGAAAAUCUACUUCUGGUUAUUUGAUUACUUUUGUAGGGGGGGCAGUGACAUGGCAAUCAAGAUUAUAGAAAUGUGUUGCUCUCUCCACCACAGAAGCUGAGUUCAUCGCCAUUACAGAAGCCUGCAAAGAAUUAUUAUGGUUGAAGAAAUUCUUACAAGAGUUGGGUUUGAAACAAGAAAGGUAUGUCCUUCAUUGUGAUAGUUAGAGUGCAAUCCACUUGAGUAAGAAUUCUUCAUUUCAUUCGAGGUCGAAACACAUUGAUGUUAGAUAUCAUUGGAUUCGUGAUGUCUUGAAUGAUAAGUUGUUGCAACUUGAAAAAGUUCACACUGAUGAUAACACUUCGGAUAUGUUGACUAAGGCAUUGACUAAGGACAAGCAUGAGAAGUGUCGACUAUUGGCGGGAAUGGUCGAUUCCUCCACAUAAGUCGGGAGGGGGAGAAUUGUUGGGUUUCCCUCCUUUGUGGGAUUCUUAAAUUUACUAAAUAUGGUUUUGCUAUUUUGGCCAACACCUUGGUUAGCACAUGACUCUUGGCAUAUUCAAGAUUGGUUUGAAGUCUUCAAGGAAAGAAAAAAAAAACUACAAGUCUUUUGUCUUUUCCUUUGGUUCAUCAUCUUGGUCGGCAAGAAGACUUUUGGGAUACCUUUUUGGUUCAAAACAAAAAUCAGCCUUCUUCUUCUCCAUUUUUUGGUGCUACACAAUCGGCAAGUUUGUUCUUCAAGUAGGUAACGUUUCUUCACUUGAUAUUUGGGGUUUCUUGCGGUUUGUUCUUGGAGAUUUGGUUUACUUUUGUGAGGUAUUUUCCUCUUGUGAUUUACACCUUGGUGUGUUUGUAAGGCUUAUGCCUUUUGGCCACUUUGUAAACUCUUUUGGUGAUAGUGGAAGAAACUGACCUCCCGGUCGUCGUGGACGUACCUCAAGUUAUUUGAGGGAACCACGUAAAUCUUGUGUGCUCAUUUAUUUUCUGUUAUUCUAUUUAUAUUGCUUCCAUUGAUUUACACUUGUGGGAAAGCCUAUUUUUUUUCAACAAAUUUGACCAACUAUCAUAAGGAAUUUCUUUCAAAAGAGAGAUAAGUAAUAAAUAUCUGUUAUUUAUUGGAAAAAAAAUAUUAUCAUACUAUUAAUGUGUUUAAUUUUUAUUUUUUUUUUAAAUAGAGAUUGUUAUAUCUUUUUGUAAAAAUAAGUUUCCUUAUAAAAUAAGAAAAAGUGGUAGAAGUAUUUCUAUAAAUAUUUUAUUAAGAGAAAAAACUAUAACAUGAAGAAAAACAUGUAAAGUUUAUAUUUAAAAGAUAGUGAUAUGGGAAAGAGUGGAAAACAUUCCUUGGAAUGACGACAUGUGAUUCAAAGUAAAAUCUCAUUUUUGUUUUCUAUAGUCCUUAUGACUUUUGGUUUUUCUAUUGAGUGCCAAUAAAUAAAAGAAAAAACCCUCCUUUUUUGAAAGUUCAUUUGAACAGUUGUUUGAAGAAAAAAUCUUUAUUAAUCCAAACCCUAUCAACUUAUAUAUGACCUAUUACAUGACUAUGAAGUUUUUUAAAGUAAUUUUAAAGACAACCAAAAAAAAAUUGAUAUGAUAAAUGAUUAAAACCACUUUAUAUUCUAAUAGUAUUUUCUAUCAUAUAACAUCUUAGUGAAAUGUUUCAUAACAAAAUGAAUUAUUCUAUGAAUAUGACUUUGGAUUCCAAAUUUUGAACUUUCUAAUGCCUUAACUUAGUGGUGAGUCUCAUAGAAAAUGAAAGUUAUGGAGAAGUAGAAUGUGGACGUACUUUUUGACUUAAUAAACUGAUGUUACAACACCUUCAAGUAAUUACCUUAAAAAUGAUAUGUCAUUGCAUUGAAAAUGAUAUUAAAUUUAAUGGAGAGAUAAUUUAUAAAAAUAUCACUAAUUUUUUAAAAAGAAUAAUGUGACCUUACUGUUGUGUUAGGUUGGAAAGAAAUUUAUGCUGGUGUUAAUUUAUUUAUUUAUUUUGCAUAUUGUAAGGUCUCAAACUCGUUUAGAAAUAUGAACAAUGAUGAAGAGUUAAAAAUUUAAAAACAUUAAAUGUAUGGUUAAAGGUAUGGUUAAAGCUAUGUUUAGAUAGUUGAAAUUGCAACCAAAAAAACAAGAAAAUGAAAGAAGUUCAAAUUUUAUUUGAUUAUCUUAAAAAUAUGAAAUAAAUUACAUAUAAUGAAAAUUGUUUAGAGUUUUAUAUACUUUUAAUAUUUACUCUUUACAAAAAAGAAAAAAAAGCAAGUCAAUUUUAAUGAACUUAUGGAAAAUAUUAAACUUAAGCUUAAUUUUUUAUUUUUCUUGAUUUUUCUUUCCUUCCAUAAUUUUCCUUCACAAUCUUUCCCACUUUAUUCAAACUUUCCAUGGUCUAUACUUUAUACAUGUUUUAUCUCCUUUUUAAUUAAAAAAAUUUAAAUUUUCCAAUUAAAAUUCCAAGAUAGGCUAAUAAAAACUUAAAAUUAAUAUUACAUUUUAAACAAACUAGAUUGAUUUGAUAGAUGAUUCAAAUCAAACCUAAAUUCAAACUUAACCCAUUCAAAUUUAGCCUCUAAUGUGAGGUAUUUGACCCAAACUUAGCUCAAACUCAUUUUUACCUACUAAAGUUAGGCUUAAAUUGACUCAUAGUACUUUUAGUUGAGUUGAUUAGGUUGUAUGAUCAUAACUAGGUUUGGUAAGGUUGAGUUAGUUUGAAACUAUUCAUAAUUUUUUUUCUUUUUUAUACUUCUUUUAUAUCAUAAUUUUAAAAAUUAAAUUGGAUAACUUUUCAACAUAAUAACAAAAAUAAAUCAAUUUAUGUAUCCGUCCAACAAAAAUGAAAUAAUACAAUUAAAAUUCAACAUUUUUCUUUAAAAACUAAAAAAAAUAAAAACACACACACAUACAAAAUAGGUAUCAUUAUAUAAAAUAAUAUAAAUUAUAAAUAUAUAAAAUUAGGUUUGGGCUAGCUUGGGUUGUCAAACCUUAGCCUAAGUAGUUUCACGAUUCUCUACUACUUGUAAAAGUUUUUGGUAAAUUUUAUUAAAAUUAAUAAAAAAGAAAAAAGAAAUAAAAUGUUUUUAAAAAAUAUAAAUGCAUAAUUAAAAUUAUGCUAAUGAAACAAAGGGAAGCAAACAAGAUCAAAAUUUUUCUCUCAAAAGGUGUAGUGUAAUGACUUCAAUUUUUAAGUUUUGAAGGUCAAUCUGCCUUCAAUUAUAGAGAUAAGAAGCUUGUAGAGAAUAAAAAAUAUAUAGCAAGUGGGUAUAUAUAGAUAUAAAAUAUAUAUAUAUAUAUAUAUUGUAUGCAUCCCACUUUUGUCACGAGCAAACCCACUAGUAAACCUUUAUCAUCUUAUUAUAUAACAAGUGGGUAUAACUAGAUAUAAUAAAAAUAGGUCCUUGUUUAUUAAAUUCAAAAGUUUAUGAUCAUCACUUAGCAUUUAACAAAGUGGUACAAAUGAAGGUAAAAAUAGUAGUAUAGUCAAUAUUUUCCUACAAAAAAAGUUACUUAAUUUAAAGAAUAUUAUAAUUGAUGUGUGAUUUUUAUUUUUAUUUUUAUCAAGAAGCGAUUUUAGAGAUAAGUUUUUAUCAAGAAACAAUCUUCAAUGUUAAUUUACCAUCAUUAUCUCUAAUAUUGUACCAUUGAAUGCAAUUGCAAAACAUCUAUGUAAUUGUUAGUAAAAAAAUUUUCAUGCUUAUUAUGCAAUAUUUGUUUUAAUUUUCAAGUUGCAAUUAUAUAGUCUAAAGGUUGAGGUUCUUAGAUAAUUAUUGUUUUGAUGAGAAGUCUAAUCAUGUUGUUGUUGCUCAUGUCACUUUAAUUAGACCAAGUUUAAUGAUACUUUAGACCAUAUUUAAGGAUCCUUUUCAAAUAUCUAUCUAACCUUUGGUAUGCAAUUUGAAAAGAGGAUGGAGAGAGGAUGGUUGUUCUCCAUAAUCCAUUAAUAAAUAAAUAAAAAUAAUUAUAUUUAGCAGGAAAAUGAAAAAUUAUUGAGAUCAUUAACAAGUAAUUUUGGUAAAACUUGAUAUUUAAUGAAGUAAGAUGACUUUAAGUUAAAUUAAUUGUAAUUAAGUCAUUAAGUCUUAGUUAUUAAGACGAUUUCUCAAAAUCAUUUUUAAAUUUAUUCUUAAAAUUAAGUCAUGAAAUUGAUUUAUCAUCACCCUCUAAAGUCUUUUCAAUUUUGUACAUUUUUAUGAUACAUAUUUAAUCAUGCAUAAACAAUAAAAAAAAGGUGUUACCUCAAAAUUUUUAAUUCAAACUCCUCCAAGAUUAUUCAUGACUAAAAUUCAUUAAUUAAUUUACAUUACAAGCUUUGAAAGAAACUUGUUUUAGAACAUAAAAUUGAUAGAGAUAGUACAUAUUUUAAACUUUUAAUUAAAAUAAAAAAAUCACAACAAAAUAAUUUGAUGGAUGUUUUAGUAUUCGAAAAUAUCAUAAGUCAUUUGGUCAUGAUUUUAGAAAAGUUAGAAAUGUUCUAUAAUGCUUAAAAACAUUUUUGUUACAAAAAUUAAGUAUUUGAUAAAGUUAAAAUUCAUUUUCUAGGUAAUUGGUGGUGCCUAUGAAAUAUUUUUUUUGGUUAUACAAAUUUAUUAGUGUGAGAUGAUAUGCAACAACUUUAAAGUAUAGCAAUUAUUGAAGUUUGGACCAACCAUAUAUGUUAAAGGUGCUUCACUCCACCUUCUCAUUUUGUAUAAUCUUGUACCCUAAAAGAUUUGAAAUGAGUCUUAUUUAUAAACAUUAUAAAUAAUGUUGUGGACCCCGUAUUUCAGCUCAUGCGUUUUCCACUCGAUAGCGAGCUCGAUUUUUGUUUAAAAAAAUGACUUGGAGUCGCCACUUAUUUUUGUUUUAUUUUUAAAAGGGUAAACAAAAUAAAAAAGAAAACUCUAAGUGUAACUCCUUAUUUUGGAAAAGGUGGUCUAUGGAAAACCGGAUCAGGCUUGGGGGUCAGGUACAUCAGGAAGGUACGGUAAAGAUCGUAGCCCCCCUCUAAGUCCCUAAAGUCGGGUCUCUACUAAUAAAAGGAAGCUGACGUGGCGAUCAAUAGGAAAAUCAACAUAUACUCAAAUCGAUCAUGCACACAUGAGAAUCAAAACAUGCAUAGAAAAUGACCAGAAUGGGAAUGGAUGCAUACCUGAGCCACGAACGAGCAAUGCGCUAUCAUAAAAAUGGGGUCAGUGUAUAAUAAAGAGCACAAAACUUAUCACAUGCGUCACCAAAUAGAAAUGAAAACUGUUCGAGGGAAAAUUGAAUUUUUGAAAAUUGGAGUUUUAGAGAUUAUUUGAAAAUUGGAGUUUUAGAUAUUGUUUGAAAAUUGGAUUUUUAGAAAUUAAAUAUAAGAAUGAGAAUUUUAGAAAUUAAAUUUGAAAGAAAUUGGAAUUUUGAAAAUUAUUUGAGAAUUUGAGAUUUUUUUUUUAGAAAUUAAAUUACGAAAAUUGAGACUUUAGAAAUUAAAUUUUGAAAGAAAUCAGAAUUGAAAGUUAUUUGAGAAAUAGAAACUAUGAAAAUUGAAUUAUAAAAAUUGGAAAUCUUGGAAAUCGUUCGAAGGCAGAAUUUUUAAAAAUAAAUGAAUAAAAUGAUAAUAAUAAUAAUGAUAAUAAUAAACAAGUAACGAAAUAAAUGCGAGAAUUGGAACAUUGGAAACUGAAAAAAAUUAAGUUCGGAAAUUGGAAAAUUGGAAUUUCAGAUAACUAAAUUUGGAAAUCGGAAUUUUGAAGAAUUAUUUAAAGACGAAAUUUUAAUAAACGAAUAAGUGAAUAAAUAAAUUAAUGGAAUAAUAAUAAUGACGAAAUAAUAAAGAUUAGGUAAAUAAUUGCGAAAAAUAAAAUUUUAGAUAUUGGAGAUUGAAUUUAGAGAUUGAAAAUUUUAAGAAAUUAUUUAGAGAUGAUAUUUUUAAUAAAUGAAUAAGUGAAGAAAUAAAUGAAUGGAAUAAUAAUAAUGACGAAAUAAUAAAAAUUAGAUAAAUAAUUGCGAAAAAUAGAAUUCUAGAGAUUGAAAUUUGAAUUUAGAGAUUGAAAAUUUGAGAAAUUAUUUAGAGAUGAGAUUUUAAAUAUAUGAAUAAGUGAAUAAAUAAAUGAACAAGAUAAUAAUAAUAACGAAGAUAAUCAUUUAAACAACUGAAUGUGAAUAGUGAGAUUUUUUAGAUUGGAAAUUAAAUUUGGAAAAUAGAAUUCUAAAAAAUUGAACUUUAAUUAUUGGAAUUUGUAAAAUAAAUAAAUGGAAUGAUAAUAAUAAUAAUUAAAAUAAUAUUUAAACGAAUGAACAUGAAUAGUAGAAUUUUUUAAAUUGAAGAUUAAAUUCGAAAGUCGGAUUUUUGAAUAAUUGAACUUUAAUGAUUUGAAUUUUUAAAAGAAAUAAAUAAAUAAAUAUAGAAUAAUAAUAAUAAUAACCAAAAUAAUGUUUAAACGAAUAAACAUGAAUAGUGGAAUUUUUAAGAUUGAAAAUUAAAUUUACAAAUCAGAUUUUUGAAGAAUUGAACUUUAAUGAUUAGAAUUUUUUUUUAAAAAAAAUAAAUAAAUAUAAAAUAAUAAUAAUAAUAACAAAAAUAAUGUUUAAACGAAUGAACGUGAAUAAUGGAAUUUUUUAGAUUGAAAAUUAAAUUCGAAAAUCAUAUUUUUUAAGAAUUGAACUUUAAUCAUUGGAAUUUUUAAAAGAAAUAAAUAACUAAAUAUGGAAUAAUAAUAAUGAUAAUAAAAAUAAUGUUUAACGAAUGAACGUGAAUAGUGAAAUUUUUUUGAGAAUAAAAAUUAAAUUCGAAAGUCAGAUUUUUGAAGAAUUGAACUUUAAUGAUUAGAAUUUUUAAAAUAAAUAAAUAAAAUAAUAAAAAUAAUAUUUAAACGAAUGAACGUGAAUAGUGGAAUUUUUUAUAUCGAAAAUUAAAUUCGAAAGUCAGAUUUUUGAAGAAUUGAACCUUAAUGAUUUGAAUUUUUUUAAAAUAAAUAAAUAAAUAAAUAUGGAAUAAUAAUAAUAAUAACAAAAAUAAUGUUUAAAUGAAUGAACGUGAAUAGUGGAAUUCUUGAGAUUGAAAAUUAAAUUCGAAAAUCAGAUUUUUGAAGAAUUAAACUUUAAUGAUUGAAAUUUUUAAAAGAAAUAAAUAAAUAGAAAAUAAUAAAAAUAAUGUUUAAACGAAUGAACAUGAAUAGUGGAAUUUUUUUAGAUUGAAAAUUAAACUCGAAAGUCAGAUUUUUGAAGAAUUGAACUUUAAUGAUUGGAUUUUUUUUAAAAGAAAUAAAUAAAUAAAUAUAGAAUAAUAAUAAUAACAACAGAAAUAAUAUUUAACGAAUGAACGUGAAUAGUGAAAUUUUUUAUAUUGAAAAUUAAAUUCGGAAGUCAAAUUUUUGAAGAAUUGAACUUUAAUGAUUGGAUUUUUUUUAAAAGAAAUAAAUAAAUAAAUAUGGAAUAAUAAUAAUAACAAAAAUAAUGUUUAACGAAUGAACGUGAAUAGUGAAAUUUUUUUUAAAUUGAAAAUUAAAUUCGGAAGUCAAAUUUUCGAAGAAUUGAACUUUAAUGAUUGGAAUUUUUAAAAAAAUAUAUAAGCAAAUAAAUAAAUAGAAUAAUAAUUAAAUAAAUAAACAUGAAUAUUGGAAUUUAAAAAUGUGAAUUUUAGACAGUUACAUGAUAACAGAAUUUUUUUACAAAAACUAUAUUUUUAACAUAUAAAGAAGAAGAAUCAAGAGGGCCAAACACUAGGCCAAUGGGGUCUACACCUAACAAGCAACGGACUAGGUCCAUAAAAACCAAAUAGCCUUCAGUAAAGCCCAAUCAUAGAGGGCCCAAAUGAACAUUACCAAUCAAGUUCAAGGUUCAUCAUUCAUCAUUGUGAGAAAUCAAAUGUGCCAAAGAGAGGCACACAGAAGGUUCAUUGAGUUCCAUUUCAUAAGAGUGUUUGUUCCACAUUCUAUCCCAGUCCACUAACAUGAUAAAACAACAGCAAAAACAAUAACGCAAGUCAACAAAUCUGAAUCUUCAAUCCUAAAAAAAAAACCAGACCCCUAAAAGGGGAACUAAAAUAAAGCCCCCGUUGAAAGCAGCUUGGUCCAUUCUCUGAAGACAAUAAACGAACAAACACAGAACUCAAAAUUUCAAGUUUGCUUAACGAACCUCUGUCUUCUCUCGCUGUGAUCUUCCCUUCUGGUCGUUCUCGUUCUCCUUCCUGUUAUGGAAUCUGCUUCAGCUCCAGGAAUCUUUUUUUUUUUUUCAGUUCCCUUCCCUCUCGUUUUCUGCAACCCUUCUCUUCUUGAAUCAGCCGACCCACAAUCCCUUCUCAAGAUACUCCAUUUUCAGUUCAGUUUCUCCAUAAAUAUCUCUCUAUUUCUUGCUUUCCUUUCGCUCCCCGAAAAAAAAUUCCUAUGCGCUCAACUCUCCAAAAAUUCCCUAGAACCCUCAAUCUCCGGAACUGAAAAUCUCCUCUGUUUUUCUUAUUCCUUCCUCAGCUGAAAAUCCCCCGGUCCCGAACCCAAAAAUCCUCCACCCAACUCUCCUUUUUUUUUUCUCAAUCUCCCCUUUUUCCCGCUACUUCUCGUCCUCUUCAGCCGCCCAAAUACUGCUCGCCCCGUCCCAUCUCAUGGCCGCCCAAAGCAGUCCAUUCUGUCAUCUCUGGCCGCCACCAACGGCUGACCCUCGGUGUGGUAAAAAGAGGGAAAAAAAAAAAAAAAAAAUUCUGUCUCCAAAGGGGUCUACAAAUGUAUUUAAAUAUUUGUUUGAUUCUUUAAAGAUAUUAUUUUUUAAUUAAUCAAAUAGGAAGAUUUGAAAAUUUAUAUUUUGAUAGUCUUAAUUAUUUUAAAUAUUAUUUUUUAAUUAAAAAUAAUAUUUAAAAAGAUUUAGAAGAUUAUAUUUAAAUUAUUUUUUUAUAGGACUUGAUAAUUACUUUUUUUUAGUUAUUGAAUUUAUCAAUUUUUGUUUUUUCUAACCAUUGAGUGUGUGACUCAUGUUUUAUAGAUUUUUUGUUUAAAUAUUAUUUAAAAAAAAAAAAGGGUAACCUACAAAAUAUUAAAGGUUCUACCAUAAAAUUGUCAACUAAAAUUUGUCUUUUCAAAAGAUGAGUUCAAUAUAAAAAAAUAAAUUUACAUUUUUCAUUGAACUCAUUUUUUAAGAGAUGAGCUUAAUAUAUAAAUACUAAACUCUUCUUUCCAAAAGAAAAGUUUGUUGAAAGAUACUAUACUUGUAUUUUCAUAAAACAAAUUUCAUGUAAAAAUGUUUAACUUGUUUUUUCAAAAGGCGAGGUUUAUAUGAAAAGAUAAAUCUUUUUUUUUUUCUUGAACUUAUUGUUCCUAAAAGGUGAGUUCAAUGUUGUUGUUGUUUUAAUUUAAUUUAAUUUUUUUUUACCCCACACUAUACAUGACAUUAUAGAUUUUAUUGACAAGAGAUAUAUACUAUGUGACAAUGUUCAACUUAUCAUAAUUAAAUUUAAAUAUUGAUAUUUAAUUUCUUAUUAGUUCCAUGAAUAAUUAACUUAGUUUGAAUAUACAAUGAUUUCAUUUGGAAUAACUUUCUUUUUUUCACUUUAGUGGGAAGCUGAAGUUAUAAUUUCUCAAUGAUAAUUUUGGGCAAUAUAAAAAUUUUAUUAAUCAUGAAAGAACUUAUAUUAGUCAAAAUAAAGCUUUCAUAAAAAGUAAAAAACAAACUUAGCUUCCGUAUCUUCAUUUUAAACCAUAAGCUCUCUGAAGAAAAUUUAUCAAAGAGAGAUAGAAGUCCUUGAGCUUAUGAAAGAGUUUUUGACUUCUCAAAAAUCAAUCCAAAUAGGAUUGAUAAAUUGUAGAUGGUUAUAAUAUAAUAUUGCACAAUAUAAAUGUUAUUUUCGCUUCUAUAUUUUCCAUGGAAUUAUUUAAUUAUUUGAAUAAAGAUUUUUCCUUCGUUAUUUUUUUGUGCCUUUAAAAAAUAAAAAAUUAUUUUAAAUCUUAGGCACGAUAAUGCUUAAGUAUUUAAUAAUUUUAAUUAGAUAAUUAAAUUUUAUUUUAUAUAUAAAAUAAUUAAUUAAAUUUUAUAUUAUAUUUUAUAUAUAUAUAAAUUUAAUUAAUAAUUCAAUAAUUAUAUUUAUUUAUGUUUAAAUCAAAUUAACAAUAAGUUCAAUGCAACUAGAAAAAGGUAGCAUAUAUUUAUUAUUUUAAAGUGGAUUUUGAUUUUAAAUUAUUGCAAGUGUAUUUACUUAACUAACCAAUUAGUUGAAGUUCACUCAGCUAAUCCUUCAAUUUAAUCUUGACGUUGACAAGAACCUUGCCGGCAAUAAUUAUAAAAAGAAAAAUGCAUCAAGCUAAAGCUAAUUUUAUUAAUUCGAGUUUAAUAAAUUUUAGGUGGGUGCCCUUACCUAAUCUUUAAAAUUAAUCUUCAAGUUGAUCAUAAGAACUAAGCCAACCAUAAUUAUAAAAACAAAAAAAACGACAAGCUAAUUCCAUCAAUUUUAUUCUCUCAAAUUUAAUAAAUUGUAAGUAAGUUCUCUUAUCUAAUGUUUUAAAUUAAUCUUGAUAUAGAUAAGAACCUUGCCAACCAUAAUUAUAAAGAGAGAGAAAUGACAAACUAAUUUAAUUGGCUAAUUUUAAAUAACUCAAGCUUAAUAAAUUGUAAGUAGGUUAAUCUCUUGCCUAACCUUUUAAAUUUAAUUUUGAGAUCAAUAAGAAUCAUAUAGGCCAUAAUUAUAAAAAGAGGAAGAACACAAGCUAAAGGAAUACAAUCACAAUCAAUUGUAUAUGAUGAUAGUGAUUACCUUUUAAAUCUUCACAAGGUUAGAUCUUGAACAUGAUAUGUAUUUACAUGUGGUAAUCAUAAUGAUGAUAUUAAACAAACAAUGGUAGUCAUUUUUUCAAAUCAUUAAAAAAUACAUAAUACAAUAUUAUAUAUAUAAUUGCACAUAUUAAAAGAAAAUAUAUUAAGGGUGAUAGAAGUAAGCAUAUAUCAUUCAAGUUCUUUUAUAUUCAUAAACUUCAAAAGAGUAGUAAGAUCAAUAUUCAAAAAGUAAAAUCAAAUUAUAAUUUAGUAAACUUAUUCACAAAAGCAUUGUCAACUUCAACUCUCAAGAAGCUUAUAGAUAAUAUUGGAAUGGGACAACUCAAAGAUCUUUACAUUGGGUUACUAUGAAUAUAAUCAUGUCAACAUGAGGGGAGCAGAUAAAUAAGGAUGUUUGUAACAUCCUAUGCCCCUAGGCUAGGGGCAACCUUAUCAAUUUCACAUAUCCAUAAAAAUAAUGAAAUCACAAUCACACACAAGACAAUCAAUUUUACGUGGAAAAAUCUCUUGCUAAUAUGGAGAUACAAAACUAUAGGGUCUAAGAUCUCUAAUCUAAUAAUCCACUAUAUUAGAUCAAAGUACAUAGAUUUAUCUGAUAGCUUUACCCUAAAAACUCACUCCUACCUAUAACUUGAUUCAUGUCUCAAUGCUCUAGUGAAUUCACCUCAGCCUUUAGGAAGAUGCAAGUCCUUGUAACAAACCAAAAUUCGAUUAGUGAAUUCUUUGUUGAGAGUUUGUGAAUGAUAGAGCAAGUUGGGGUUGAUUAUAUCAAAGCAUCCAACCCCAAAACAUAUUUAGGUAAAGUAUAUAUAAGCCUAAGAUCCUAGAUGGUUGGAAAUGAAAUUUUCUUAAAAAAUAAAAUAUCAAAUUUUCAAAAUUAAUUAAGAAAAGAAUUUUUGUUUAAAAAAUAAAAUAUCAACUUUCUAUAAAUUAAUUAAGAAAUUCUUAAAAAAAAUUCUCAAAAUUGCCAAAAUUUAAUUAAAAUAUUUUAACUCAAUUAAUUUUAAAAUUUCAUAUCCAACUCUACCUUAAUAUAAAAAUAACUUGCCUUUAAUAAAUAUUUUUACACUUACUUGUAACAAUAUGGUUAAAUGAGUAGUAACAUUUAAUCUUCAAUGGAGUAAAAAAAUUCCUAUACUAGAACAAAAAAGAUUUCUUACUGGAACUAAAAUCAAAUUGACAACAUCUAACAAUUAUUAUAGACUUCAAUAUAUUUUUAAAAUUAUUUUAUAAAUAUAUUCUAUUAAGUAAAAGAGCCCCAAUAAUUGCCACGUAUCCGAGCCAUCUCUUACCAAUAAUUGCAUACAAGGGCUCCGCUUGCAGACACCUAGCUAGCCUACACCCCAUGUUUUUUCCUUUUUUUAUUUCCCAUGAAAGAAAUGUAUAGAAUUAUGGUUUUAUUUUAUUCUAUGGCAUGUACCAAGAGAUGGAAAGAGAUUAUCAGGAAAUUGACUUUCCUUUAAUAUUAUAGAAAAUGUGAGAGCAAAAUUUUUUAUUUGGCAUGUCUCAAAUGGUAUCACAUGUUCACGCUCAAAUCUCAUUUGUUUACAUUAAAGUCUCAUUUAUUUGUCUUUUUAUUUCUUGAUCCAAAUUAUUUAUAUUUUUAUUCAAUAAUCUAAUUUUAUCACUUGAUGGCUUAGUAUUUUCCUUUUAUCUUUAGAGGCUACAAUAUUUUCAAUAACUCAACUUCCAUUUUCUAUUUCAUUGUCCUAUCUCAAGACCCAUUUCAAUGAUAUCUCUUUCUUUUGAAAAGAAAGUUAGUCAAUCAUUCAUCAAAUAAUUAUAAUUUUUUUAUAAUAGAUAAAAAUAUCAUUAAUAACACUUAAUUGCAAAAUAUUUUAAUAAGAAGUGAAAAGAUUAUAUCUAAUUUGUUUCUUUGUCUUAAAUUUAAAUAGAUCUUUAUUGAAUUUUAAAUAGAACUUAAACUCAUUAAGAUUAAAUUGUUUAUUUUUAUUAAUAUUUAAAUAUUCUUAAACAUUAAAUUACUUGUUCUUAUUAAUGUGUUAAUAUUGUUAUGUGUUAAACAAAUAUUUUUCUAUCCUUAAAAUAAUAAUUUGUAUCUUCUUAGUUUUUAUAAAAAGAUAAAUCUAAGGUUAUUAUAAUAUUUUUAUGUUAUACAUCUUUACGAAAGAAUUUUCAAAGUCUUGGACCUUUUUUGGAUCCUUGUCAUCUAUUUAUGCCUUCUUUGAUAAUUUUUUGGAGCAUUCAAAUAUAUGUAAAAUCCAGAUUAUUAAAUAAGAAUUUUGACCGUUCAAACAUAUAUAAAAUCUAGAUUAUUAAAUAAUGAUAAAAUAAAAAUACUUAGAACUCUUAUGGUACGUUUUAUAAAAAAUAAAAAAAAAGGAAAGAAUUUGAAUAUCUUAUGGUACGUUUAAAAGAAAAUAAAAAAUGUGGACAUUAAAGUGGAAUGUAAACACAAUUUUAAAGUAAAGUGAGAUGAUGUUAUAGCUCCUUAAUUAAUAUGGACAAAUUUUAUGGUGUAAAAAUUAGAACGACACAAUGGUGGUGGGCCUCCCACCAAAAACUAAAAAAUGUCAAAUUAAGCAUAUGAUCUGCUUGGAAGUGGAGCACUUAACCUAAAUUAUUUGUUUACAUCUUUGUAAGUUUCUCCCAUAUAUUUGUAACUUAUUUCUAUAUAUUAUUGAAGGAAAAGAUUUUGGAUCAUGCAUGUAAUCGUUAGAGAGGGUUUCCAAUCAAGAUUUAAAUUUGGUUGUUGCAUCCUUAAUGUAAGAAGUUUAAAAAACCUGGAACUAAUCUAGUUCAUUGGAUCUUAACAAUAUAUAUAUAUAUAUAUAAGAUUUUAAAAUUGUUUAGAUAAGUAUAAUAAUUUGUAAAUAAGAGUUAAGUGUAUAAAAAAACAAAUGAGCAACUACUUUGAUUACUUUAAUACAAAUUUUCCACGCAAUGACUUGUAACUUCAAGAUAAUUAAUUGAAGUUGUUGUAACAUCACAUCAAAUCUUAAUAAUUGUGUUUAUAUUUUACUUUAAUUUUCAUUUUCAUUUGGACCCAUAACUAGCAAGGAUGAAAAUUUUCAUAUAUAUCGGCAAAAUAUCUCGGAUAUAUCGUGUAUCAGGAGUGCCAAUAUAAAUUUUCACUGGCCCAAUUUUUCCAUUUUUAUUGUCGAUUCACCAAUAUAUCAAGUUGCUGCUACUAGGCCUCGGUCAAACACGGUAAAAAAUCAAGCUGUUGUUGAGGGGAUUUGAACCUGACAAUAACCGCUAGAGCAAGUUGCUCUUUGAUAAAAGUUAUACACCAAAUUGUAUAUAUAAGAACAUUAAAAAUUAUUUUAUUAAAUAAAUUAAUUUUAAUUAUUUUAUUUUUGCAUUUGAUUUAAUUUAUUACCAAAAAUGUAAAAACAUAAUUUUUUAUAUUUUUUAUGUAAUCUAUAUAUUUAUCAAAUAUAAAAAAUAUAAAUAUUAAAAAAAUUAUACAUAUUUUAUUAUUUAUUUGAUAUAAUUGAAUACAUUUAAAUUAAAAUUGAUCCUAAUUUUAAUAUUUUAAAAUUAAACAUAUUAUCAUAUUAUUGUUGUAAAAGAAUGUUGUGCAACUUAAUAAUAAAUGUAUGGUUAUAAAAUAUAUUUUUUUAUUGAUGCAUACAAUAUUAUUAUCAAAUAUGAUAAAUUAUAUAUAUAAAAAAUUUUUGAACAAAAUAAAUUUAAAAUGUCUAUUAUACUUUCAAAUUCAUUUUUAUGAAGUUUUUCUUAUAUUUUUAGGAGUUUUGAUAAUUUUAAGUCUAUUAAUAUUUUUUUCUAAAAUGUCUAUCGAUAUAUCUCUAAUAUAUCUAUAAAAUCAAUAUAUUAAUAUAUCCGUUAUUACCGAUAUUUUCAUAAUUCAUCAGUAGCAAGUUCGAAUUGACUCAAACAUUAGGAUCCAAAAGUCACCAUAGAGACAUUGCAUUGACACAACCUAGAGAAGCUUCCAAGUGGACUGCACAUGCUAACAUGUCUUGGAGGGUUGAAAAUCAAUGGUUGUCCAAAGUUGGUGUCAUUUCCAGAGUUAGGGUUCCUGCCCAUGCUUAGACAUCUUGUUAUUGUUAGUUGUGAAGGUCUACAAUGUCUAUCCAAUUAGAUGAUGGUGAUGAAGGAUGGUAGUAUUAACAGUAGCAACAUGCGUCUCUUUGAAUACUUGGAGAUAGAUACGUGCCCAUCUCUCAUUGCUUUUCCAGACGUUGAGUUACCCACCACGCUUAAGGAACUCAAGCUAUGGAGGUGUGAAAAACUGGAGUCUCUACCGAGGGGAUGAUGCACCAUGAUUCAAACACCACCACCACCACCAGUGAUGGUCUUCAUGUCUUGGUCAUUGGGGUAUGCCCAUCUCUCACAUUCCUCCCCACAGACAAGUUUCCCUCCACCAUCAAGAAACUUUAUAUUAUGAAUUGUACACAACUGGAGUCAAUUUCAGAAAAGAUAUUAUUACAAGGAAAAAUGGAGAGAAAAAUUGGCAGAUUCUCUUUUCAUUGAUUGAAAAAAUGAGCUGUAUAGAGAGCACCAAAACAGAGUAGCAAAAAUGUCUUUUAUAAUAGAAGUCACGCAUAAGGAGUUGUAGAGCUCUGUAGAGAAAAAACAACCUAACCAACUAUUGGUUAUAACAGAAAAAAUAAAAUAAAAAUAAAAAACUAAAACUAAUAUGCUAAAAUUCUCCCUCAAGAUGGAGAAUAUAGAUCAUGAAUUCCCAUCUUGCCCAAGAGACCAUGAAAUUGAUUGGGAUGGAAAGCCUUAGUAAGAAUGUCAGCAAGUUGGUUUUGUGAGGUAACAUGUAGAGUCUUGAGAAUCAUAGCUUGAAUCUUCUCUCAAAUGAUAUGACAAUCAAUCUCAAUAUGUUUGGUGCGCUCAUGGUAGACUGAGUUUGUUGCAAUGUGGAUAGCAGCUUGGUUGUCACAAUAAAGAACAGUUAGCCCAUGAUGGGCUAUCUUCAAGUCGUGAAGAAGAGACAAGAGCCACAGAAUCUCACAAGUAGUGUUGGCCAUGGAUUGGUACUCGGCUUCAACAGAUGAGCGAGAGACAAUCGGUUGUUUCUUGGACUUCCAAGAGAUGAGGGAGGUCCUAAGAAACACACAAAAACCAGAAAUAGAACGAUGAGUGUCAAGACAAAAGGCCCAAUCAGAAUCUGCGAAGGCUUUGAGUUGCACUUUGGAAUUUGAUGAAAAGAAAAGUCCUUGGUCUAGGGUUCGCUUGAUGUACUGUAAAAUGUGAAAAACAACCUGAAGAUGUGGCUUGCAAGGGGCUGCUAAGAAUUGGCUAAGACGAUUUAUAGAAUAACUAAGGUCAGGACGAGUAAUAGUAAGAUAUAGCAGCUUACCAAUGAGUUACCUAUAGUUGGUAGGAUUUUCAAUCAAGUCACCAUCAUCUUGAGAUAGUUUCAAAUUAGGAUCCAUGGGAAUGGUGGUAGGUUUGCAACCCAAAUGUUCAGUGUCUGAGAGCAAUUCCAACGCAUACUUGCAUUGACAAAUAGAGAUACCAACAAUAGAUCGAGCCACUUCCAAGCCUAGAAAAUAUCUGAGUGGCCCCAAGUUCUUCAUCUUAAACUUGUAGUUGAGGCGAUGCUUUAAAGUAUCCACAAUAAGUUGAUCAUUACUAGCAAUAAUGAUGUCAUCAACAUAGAUCAAAAGAGCUAAGAAAGAAGUACCUUGAUGUUUUGUGAACAAGGUGUGAUCACUAGUUGAUUGAACAAAACCUUCUGAUAAGAGAGCAUUGGAGAACUUGUGGAACCAUUGAUAGGAGACCUGUUUCAAACCAUAGAUAGACUUAUGCAGCCUGCACACAGCAUUAGGAGGCAAAUGUUCCCCCUCAUGGCAAGUGUAUCCAGGGGGAAGACUCAUGUAAACUUCCUCCAUAAGGUCACCAUGAAGGAAUGCAUUAGUGACAUCAAGUUAAGUGAGAGACCAACAAUGAAUUGCAGCUAAAGAAAACAACAUUUUAACAGUAACUAGCUUGGCAACAGGAGAUAAGGUAUCAAGAUAAUCAAUACCUUCUUGUUGUGCAAAUCCCUUAGACACAAGGCGUGCUUUGUAUCUAUCCACAGUGCCAUCAGCUCGAAACUUGACUUUGUACACCCAUUUACAACCAACCACUUGUUUGCUAAUGGGAAGAGAGCAAAUGGACCAAGUGUCAUUGCUUUCCAAUGCCUGCAAUUCAAUAUUCAUAGCAUCGCGCCACACUUGAGACUCAAUGGCCUGAGAGAAUGAUGUUUGGUUUUGUUUGAGAACUAAUGGUGAGAGCAAGUUCAUGGUAUGGCCUGGAAAGCUUGUGGUAACUCAAGCAAGAGGAAAUAGGAUAUAGAGAAGGCUUAGAAGAAACAUGUCCAAUGAGGUAAUAGUGAUAAUUAGACAAGUAAGUUGGUUUUGUGGUGACACGAUGUGGACAUAAGGCUGUUUGAAUUGGGGCUAGUGAGGAAAUGCACUCUGGACUAUGGGAAGAAGACAUGUUGGGCUGACUAUAAAAAGGCUCGGAGAUGGACUGAAUUGGCUUAGAAAAGACACGAUCAUUAAACAAAUCAAUUCAUGAAAAAUGACAUUCCAAGAAAUGUAGAUCUUAUUGCUUUCUAAGUCAAGUAACUUGUAACCCUUAUAACCAAAAGGAUAGCCAAGAAAAACAGAAGCUCGAGCACGAGGGACAAACUUUGUACGUUGGUUAGAAAGCGUGGAAGCAUAACAUAGACACCCAAAAAUGCGAAGAUGGUUGUAGGUGGGUUUGUUGUUAUUCAACAACUCAAAUGGGGUUUUAUUGGAUAGUAAUGGAGAGGGUGUACGAUUGAUUAAAUAAACAACAGUCAAAACACAAUCACCCUAAUAACAAGAAGGAACACAAGAUUGAAACAAUAAGGCUUGUGCCACAUUAAGUAUGUGUUGAUGUUUACGCUCUACAACUGAGUUUUGUUCAGGUGUAGCAACACAAGAAUGAUAAGGAAUAAUACCCUUGGUACGAAAAAAAAAUAAUGGAAAGCUAAUUUAGGGGCAUUAUCGAAAUGGACAUAUUUAAUUGCAGUGUUAUAUUGAGUAGAAAUCAAAUUGAAAAAUUUAGGAAAGAUAGUGAGAACAUCAGUUUUAGCACAAAGAAGAUAUACCCAAGUAGCACGUGUGCAGUCAUCAACAAUAGUGAGGAAAUAUAUGUGUCCAACUAGUGUACUAACAUUAAAUGGUCCCCAAAUGUCAAUGUGAACUAUAUCAAAAGGAUUAGUUGACAUAUUAUUAUGUGAAACAAAAGGUAAACGUUUUUGCUUGGCCAUAAGACAAAUUUUACAGUGAGAAGACAAACGGGAUAAAUAAUUGGCAAUGUGUAAUUCAUUGUGAAGAAUUUGAAUUUUUACAUGAGAUGGAUGUCCAAGGCGAAAAUGCCAAAAUAUCACUUUUCGACAUUACAGAAUUUAUAAAAAUAGAAUUACAAAAUUCAUUCCCUGAUUCUAGAAAAUAAAGGUUCUUUCGUCUUCUACCUUUCCCAAUCGUCAAGCCCCGAGUGAGGUCCUGAAUGAAACAUGAAUUUGAAAGGAAAUUAACACUACAAUUAUGGCUAAGAGUAAGAGCACUAAUGCUGAGAAGAUUGAAAGUGAACAUGGGGACAAACAAGACAUUAUCCAAGUUCAAAGUAUCAGACAACCUCACAGAACCUACACGAUUGAUUGCAACAGCAUGACCAUUAGGAAGAGUGAUUGUGGUAUUAUGAACCAGUCUGGAAUGAGAAAACAAAGAAAUAUUGCAACAGACAUGGUGGGUGGCCUCUGUGUCAAUCACCCAAGCAUGGGAAGGAACAAAAGGAUGAGAAAAAAACUGAGUAGAACAAUUGUUACCAUAGAUUUGAGAAAUUGAAGGUUCUGAUGUCGAUGGAGACUCAAGUGGGUUGAUAGUUUGUUGUUGAAGGUGCGUGCUAAGGUAGGCAAUGAGUUGUUGAACUUGAUCCGAUGAGAGAUAGACUGGUGGUGGGGAAGAUCCCACUGUAGCAACAGCAGCGGAAGGGAAAUAAUGAAUGCCCUUCAAUGGUUCAGUAAAGGAGCUUGGUGAAGUAGAUUGGGAUUGAAGGGGGCUUGUCUAGGCCAUUUAUGUUUGGGCUUUCCCUUUGGGCUUAUAACCUGGUGGAAAACUGAUUACUACUCAAAAAGUGCUCUUUGAUAGCUUGUAAUAAACUCUUUUAAACACUUUUGAGUAGUAUUUAUUGCCUUUUAACCCAAUUAACAUGUUAAGGACCCUUUAAAUCAAUUCUAAUCAAAUUGUGUUAAGUUUUAGUGUUUUGAUAGCCUUUUGAUCACCAAAGCAAUCCGAGAUUGAGGAGAGUUAUAUGGAAUCUUGGGCAAAGCAAUUGGAAGCUCAGAAACAUGAAGAACUAAAGCUUGGAAGUCCUUUGCCAUGAGUAAAUCAAGAAUGCAAGGAGAAGAAGUAAAGAGAAUCUGCCAUGAAGCAUAUUCUUGAUGACAGUCGUGUUAGCCACUUUUGGAGCACUUUUUGAAGUCCAAUUGAUGCAUGCUAUAUACCAUUUCAAAUCUCAGGAAGUCAACAAUCCAAUACUUCAAACGGUAUGCAAUUCGGAGUUGAAACGAAGAAGUUACAGCCACUACAAGUCAAUCACUCUAAGCUGAAGGAAGCAUUUUGCAAAGUGUUGCGAAAUCACCCUUUUGUUGCGAAAUGAUUUUGCAGCUUUUUUGUACAGUGUUGUGGAUUUCCACCUGAAGUUUCCCGAUAUAUGCCGCACGUUGGAAGGUGAGAACCUCAAGAUGAAAGCCAACUUCGCAGCCCUGCGAGAAUAGCCUUUUGCUGCGAAAUGAUUUCGCAGCCCUUUUUGUAUGUCUGUGAAAUCUCGCAGACAUCAUUUUCUCUUGCGAAAUGGUCCUUAGUGCUUCCCGAUAUUUGCUACCGACAUUGGGAGAUAUUUUCCAUUAGAUUUUUGUUGUCUAAAUCCCAAAAUUCUCCUUGUAAGCCACCAAUUACAAGAUUCCUUAGCUUUUAAGUUAGUAAAAAGAAUAAAUAUCCAUGUAAUAAUUAGUUUUGUAUUAUGUUCAUAUAUAUACUCCUCGAGAGCCUGUUCUCGAAGGAGGAGACUGUUUGUAAAUUUUUGGGGAAAGCAAGUAAAGUUCAGGUCCUUUGUUUAGCCUUACCUUCCCACUUUGUAUUUUUUAUUUCUUACUAAGUUAUGCACUCUCUGAGGAAUUUUCCCUAGAGAAUGAGUAACUAAACCUUUAGUUCCUUGGAGCUAAGGUUGCCGAGGAAGGUUCCAAGUGCAAGAAUGCAAAGCUUUGUGGUUUCAGCCAUUAAUGAAGAGGAAGUGAAAUCCUUUAGUGAUUUCUAUGUUUUUAGUUAACUUAAAACACCUUAGAGUCACCUGGGCCAACACUUGGUAAGGCAAGUGAUCUCCAACCAAGGAGAUGCACUAGUUUACCCCUUGCGAGCCUCUGGGAGGUGACUUUAAGGUAGGAUUUUCUGGAAUUGCCAACACUUGGUAAGCUUUUGGACUCCAAGGAGACAUCCAUUAGUUAUCUCUUGCGAGCUUGAGAAGGGAAAUCCAAGGUUAAAGAUCACCUUGAAUGGUUAAGGCUUAGUGAGAGGCUUGAACUAUUGCAAGUUGCAUCAGUGAGAGAAUUAAAGUUGAAAUCUAAUUAAAGGAUGUAUCUGUAUAACACCGGUUAGAGAAUUGACUAUAUGUUGAAUCUCUAACGCGAGGAAAUGAACCAUCUGACCGGAGCUAUGUCUUUUGCAUGAGGAACCACCUCAGUGAACCUGACCCUCCAAGGAAUGUUUUUCUUCCUAAGUUAUUCCCAUUACUUGUUUUGUAGUUAGUUUAAAUCUAAAUCUUUACCAAUUAAAGUUUGUGUUUUAUUUCUUAAGCUAACCUUGAAAUGAAACAAGACCAAUUCACUUUGAAUUGGUAUCAUUGAUAAUUUGCUAAUCCUUCCCAGUGAACGAUCCUAGAGCUGCUAUACUAUAGUAGCUUUUUCUUUGCUACCCUAGUAUAUGGUGUAAUAGGUUAAAAAUAUUGUUGAUUACUCCCUCAUCCAAGGAGCACCAACUGGACACGAAUCAUCUGAGACACCAAUUGGGCAUGAAUCAAAUGGCGCCGUUGCCGGGGAAGGUGUCAAGUCUAUAGUGAUACCAUUUUAGAGCACUUGUGAUUUUUUAUCACAAGUUUGGUAACGUUUCUUUCACUUUACUAAUUCUCAUUCUUUAUUUAUUUAUUCAUAAUCUAAGUUUAUCUUUUAAAUUUAGCCUAGUUUAAUUUUUUUGUAGCCCUGUUUUCUUUUGUUGUCCUUUAUUUUCAUUUAAGUUGCAGAUAGAUACUAGUUGUGUAUGCCAAAGUGGAUACGAGACAGUGGAGGAAGGCUUGUUAAGUGUGAUACAUCUCAUAACAAAGAAUUCGAAUUGAGCUUGAAUAUCAUGGAAGCUACACCUGAAGAUCAGCAUAGUCACCAAGGUCGUCAAGACAAUCUCAAUGAAUUCAGAUCAAUGAGGGACCGCAUGCAUCCACCUCGUAUGAGUGCACCAUCAUGUAUAGUGCCCCCUACAGAGCAGCUAGUGAUCAGACCGUAUCUUGUUCCACUUCUACCAACUUUCCAUGGGAUGGAAAGUGAGAAUCCCUAUGGACACAUCAAGGAAUUUGAAGAUGUUUGUAAUACAUUCCAAGAGGGGGGAGCUUCAAUUGAUUUGAUGAGGCUUAAGUUAUUUCCUUUUACUUUAAAGGAUAAGGCCAAAAUUUGGCUUAAUUCUUUAAGGCCAAGGAGUAUCCGCACUUGGAUUGACUUACAAGCUGAAUUCCUCAAGAAAUUUUUUCCCACUCAUAGAACAAAUGGCUUGAAAAGGCAAAUUUCGAACUUCUCAGCUAAAGAGAAUGAGAAAUUCUAUGAGUGUUGGGAAAGGUAUAUGGAAGCUAUAAAUGCUAGCCCUCACCAUGGCUUUGAUACUUGGCUAUUGGUGAGCUAUUUUUAUGAUGGGAUGUCUUUCUCAAUGAAGCAACUCCUCGAGACAAUGUGUGGAGGAGAUUUCAUGAGCAAAAAUCCGGAGGAAGCCAUGGAUUUCUUGAGCUAUGUAGCUGAAGUUUCAAGGGGAUGGGAUGAACCAACCAAAGGAGAAGUGGGUAAGAUGAAUUCUCAACUGAGUGCUUUCAAUGCUAAGGCUGGGAUGUAUACCCUGAAAGAAGAUGAUGAUAUGAAAGCAAAGUUGGCAGCUAUGACAAGAAGAUUGGAGGAGCUGGAGCUGAAAAGAAUACAUGAAGUGCAAGCUGUUGCUGAAGCACCAGUGCAAGUGAAGCUGUGUCCUAAUUGUCAAUCAUAUGAACAUUUGGUGGAGGAAUGCCCUGCAAUUUCAGCUGAAAGGGAAAUGUUUAGAGAUCAAGCAAAUGUUGUUGGACAAUUCAAGCCCAAUAACAAUGCACCUUAUGGAAAUACUUACAACUCAAGUUGGAGGAAUCAUCCAAAUUUCUCAUAGAAGGCCAGAGCAACUCAAUACCAACAGCCGGAUCCACCAUCUCAACAAUCUUCAAGUCUUGAACAAGCAAUAGCGAAUCUCAACAAGGUAGUGGGAGAUUUUGUUGGAAACCAAGAAGCCACCAAUGCUCAAAUCAAUCAAAGAAUUGACAGAGUGGAGAGUACUUUGAAUAAAAGGAUGGAUGGAAUGCAAAAUGAUAUAUCCCAAAAGUUUGAUAAUAUCCAAUACUCAAUUUCAAGGCUCACAAAUUUGAACACAGUGCAAGAAAAUGGAAGAUUUCCUUCUCAACCCCACCAAAACCCCAAAGGUGUCCAUGAAGUGGAAAGCCAAGAGGGAGAAUCAUCACAGAUGAAAGAUGUCAAAGCCUUGAUCACUCUAAGGAGUGGUAAAAAAAUUGAGAAGCCAACACCCAAGCCACAUGUUGAGAAAGAAGAAGAGAUAAAGAAAGGGGAAGAAAUGGAAGACAAAGAGAGUGAGAUCAGUGGAAAGAAGAAAGACUAUGAUUCAACAAUGAAUGAAAUUCCAGAGAAGGAACUUCUGAAGGAAGAAAUGCUGAAGAAAUCAACUUCUCCACCUUUUCCUCAAGCAUUACAUGAGAAAAAGGGGAUUAGAAAUGCAGCUGAAAUCCUUGAAGUAUUGAGACAAGUGAAAGUCAAUAUCCCACUGCUGGAUAUGAUUAAACAAGUUCCAACGUAUGCAAAAUUCCUAAACGACUUAUGUACUAUCAAAAGAGGGUUGACUGUAAACAAGAAAGCCUUCUUGACUAAGCAAGUAAGUGCAAUCCUACAAUGUAAGUCUCCAUUGAAGUACAAAGAUCCGGGAAGUCCUACCAUUUCAGUCAUGAUUGGAGGAAAGGUAGUGGAGAAAGCUUUGUUAGACUUGGGAGCAAGUGUGAAUUUGCUUCCAUAUUCCAUCUACAAGCAAUUGGGACUUGGAGAGUUGAAGCCAACGGCAAUCACUCUAUCUCUAGCAGAUAGAUCAGUAAAAAUUCCAAGGGGGGUAAUUGAGGCUGUCUUGGUUCAAGUGGAUAAUUUCUACUAUCCAGUAGAUUUUAUUGUUCUUGAUACAGAUCCUACUGUAAAGGAAGCUAAUUUAGUUCCUAUCAUCCUUGGAAGGCCAUUUCUUGCUACCUCAAAUGCAAUCAUCAACUGCAGGAAUGGGCUGAUGCAACUCACUUUUGGCAACAUGACACUUGAUCUCAAUAUUUUUUAUAUGUCUAAAAAGCAAACCACUCCGGAAGAAGAAGAGGGUUCAGAAGAGCUGUGCAUUAUUGACACUUUAGUGGAGGAGCACUGUAAUCAGAAUAUCCAAGACAAGUUGAAUGAAAGUCUUGGGGAUUUUAAGGAAGGGUUGUCUGAAUCCCCUAAUGUGCUUGCUACUCUACAAAGUUGGAGAAAGGUAGAAGAGAUUCUACCUUUGUUCAAUAAAGAAGAAGAGGCAGCUGCUGAAAAAGAAAUUCCAAAACUCAAUCUGAAGCCUCUACCUGUGGAGCUGAAAUAUAUAUAUCUUGAGGAAAAUAAUCAAUGUCCUGUUGUAAUAUCUUCAUCUCUGACCAGUCAUCAAGAGAAUUGUUUAAUAGAAGUUCUCAAGAGGUGUAAGAAGGCAAUAGGAUGACAAAUAUCUUACUUGAAAGGCAUUAGUCCUUUAGUUUGUACUCAUCAUAUAUAUAUGGAGGAGGAAGCAAAGCCAAUUCGUCAACUUCAAAGGAGAUUGAAUCCUCAUUUACAAGAGGUGGUGCGAGCUGAGGUGCUGAAGCUACUUCAAGCAUGCAUUAUUUACCCUAUAUUUGAUAGCCCUUGGGUGAGUCCUACUCAAGUGGUACCAAAGAAGUCAGGGAUUACAGUGGUUCAGAAUGAAAAAGGAGAAGAAAUUACUACACGCCUCACUUCAGGUUGGAGGGUGUGUAUUGAUUAUAGAAAGUUGAAUGCUGUAACCAGGAAAGGUCAUUUUCCAUUGCCAUUUAUUGACCAAGUGCUGGAGAGAGUCUCUGGACAUCCGUUCUAUUGCUUCUUAAACGGGUAUUCAGGGUAUUUUCAGAUUGAAAUUGAUGUGGCAGAUCAGGAAAAUACUACUUUUACAUGUCCAUUUGGAACAUAUGCUUACAGGAGAAUGCCUUUUGGUUUAUGCAAUGCACCUGCUACAUUUCAAAGAUGUAUGUUGAGUAUUUUCAGUGAUAUGGUGGAGCGAAUUAUAGAGGUUUUCAUGGAUGACAUCAUCGUAUAUGGAGGUACAUUUGAGGAAUGCUUAGUCAAUUUGGAAGCAGUUCUUCACAGAUGCAUUGAAAAAGACCUGGUGCUCAACUGGGAAAAAUGCCAUUUUAUGGUACGUCAAGGAAUUGUCCUUGGCCAUAUCAUCUCUGAAAAAGGCAUUGAAGUUGAUAAAGCAAAGGUGGAGCUUAUUGUCAAAUUACCAUCCCCAACAACUGUAAAAGGAGUAAGGCAGUUCCUUGGCCAUGCAGGGUUCUAUAGGAGGUUUAUAAAAGGUUUUUCAAGUCUUUCAAAACCUCUUUGUGAGCUGUUAGCUAAGGAUGCUAAGUUUAUAUGGGAUUAAAGAUGUCAAAAUAGCUUUGAUCAACUGAAGAAAUUUUUAACAACAACUCCAAUAUUGAGAGCCCCUAACUGGCAACUAAUUUUUGAACUGAUGUGUGAUGCCAGUGACUUUGCUAUAGGAGUUGUACUUGGCCAAAGAGAAGAUGGGAAGCCCUAUGUGAUUUACUAUGCGAGCAAAACACUGAAUGAAGCUCAAAGGAACUACACAACUACAGAGAAAGAAUUGUUAGCUGUGGUAUUUGCCUUGGACAAAUUUCGUGCUUAUUUAGUGGGGUCUUUCAUCAUUGUUUUCACUGACCAUUCAGCCUUGAAGUAUUUAUUGACAAAGCAAGAUGCAAAAUCAAGGUUGAUUAGAUGGAUUCUUUUGUUACAAGAAUUCGAUCUCCAAAUCAAAGAUAAGAAAGGAGUGGAAAAUGUGGUAGCUGACCACCUUUCAAGGUUAGUUAUAGCACAUAAUUCCCAUUCCUUACCUAUUAAUGAUGAUUUUCCUGAAAAAUCACUCAUGUUCCUAGUGAAAACUCCUUGGUAUGCUCAUAUUGCUAAUUAUUUAGUAACUGGUGAAAUUCCAAGUGAGUGGAAUGCACAGGACAGGAAGCACUUCUUUGCAAAAAUUCAUGCUUAUUAUUGGGAAGAGCCCUUUCUUUUUAAGUAUUGUGCAGAUCAGAUCAUAAGGAAGUGUGUCCUUGAAGAUGAGCAGCAAGGGAUUCUAAACCAUUGUCAUGAGAAUGCAUGUGGAGGCCACUUUGCCUCUCAGAAAACAGCCAUGAAGGUGUUGCAAUCAGGGUUUACUUGGCCAUCUCUUUUCAAAGAUGCCCACAUCAUGUGUAGGAGUUGUGAUAGAUGUCAAAGGCUUGGAAAUCUAACAAAAAGAAAUCAAAUGCCUAUGAACCCCAUUCUAAUAGUUGAGCUAUUUGAUGUAUGGGGCAUUGACUUCAUGGGGCCUUUCCCAAUGUCUUUUGGUAAUUCUUACAUCUUGGUGGGGGUGGAUUAUGUUUCUAAAUGGGUUGAGGCAAUCCCCUGUAAACAAAAUGAUCACAGGGUGGUUCUCAAGUUUCUUAAAGAGAACAUUUUCUCGAGGUUUGGGGUGCCCAAAGCCAUAAUCAGUGAUGGAGGUGCUCAUUUUUGCAACAAACCUUUUGAAGCUCUAUUAUCCAAGUAUGGAGUGAAGCAUAAGGUUGCUACACCUUAUCAUCCUCAGACUUCCGGGCAAGUUGAGCUAGCUAAUAGGGAAAUAAAGAACAUAUUGAUGAAAGUGGUGAAUUCAAGCAGAAAAGAUUGGUCUAUUAGGCUUCAUGAUUCAUUGUGGGCGUAUAGAACAGCUUAUAAGACUAUUCUUGGCAUGUCUCCCUAUCGUUUUGUAUAUGGCAAAGCAUGCCAUCUCCCUGUGGAGGUUGAAUACAAAGCUUGGUGGGCAAUUAAGAAGCUGAACAUGGACUUGAUCAGAGCCGGAGCAAAGAGAUAUCUAGACCUUAAUGAGAUGGAGGAAUUAAGAAAUGAUGCUUAUAUCAAUUCCAAAGUUGCAAAACAGAGGAUGAAGAAGUGGCAUGAUCAACUAAUCUCCAACAAGGAAUUUCAAAAAGGACAAAGGGUUUUACUGUAUGACACAAGACUCCAUAUCUUUCCUGGAAAGCUCAAGUCACGGUGGAUAGGCCCGUUCAUUAUUCACCAAGUAUAUGCCAAUGGAGUGGUGGAAUUAUUGAAUUCCAAUGGCAAAGACACCUUUAGAGUCAAUGGAUAUCGUCUCAAGCCAUUCAUGGAGCCAUUCAAACCAGAAAAUGAGGAAAUCAACCUCCUUGAGCCACAAAAAGCCUAAGCAAAUAAGGGUUUGGUGGACGUGGUUUUACCACAGUCCAAAAUUUUUGUAAAUUUUGUAAAUUUCAAAGUUUUUUCCAUACUUUUGAUCUUAGUUUUUUUUUAUCUUAAAUCAUGUUUUUAUUUGUGUUUUAAUCUUUUUGAAUGAUCUCAGGUGGAAGAAAAUGCAAAGAAAUUGAAAGGAAGAAAUCGAAGCGAAAUCGGAGCAAAAACAGAGUGAAAACAGAGCAAAAACAGGGCUCUGCGAGACUUCGCAACCUAAGGAAAUCUUCUGCGAAAUUAGCACUUUGCUGCCAAACCAUUCCGCAACUCAUUUGACUCCUUUGCGAGAAUUUUGGUAGCUGCGAAACUGAUUUUGGCACACGAGUGCCACUUCGCAACACAGGAGCCCCCAUUUCGCAUCUGCGAAAUGGAUGCGAAGCGAUAAAGCGUGAAAAUCCCUAAUUUCGCAACCAAAGUUCCAUUCUGCAGGGUAUUUCGCAAUUGCGAAAGCAAUUUUGGCACACGUGUGCCACUUCGCAGCACAAUGACACUCAAUUCGCAGCUGCGAAACGGAUUAAGAAAAUGGGCUGCGAAAAUGGCUUUUUGCUACGAAAUUAGCCUUUUUCUACGAAACUCAAAAUGACACUUAAUCUUCCGUUAUUUUUAUUUAUACCGGUCAUUUGAGCUGCGAAAGGGUUUCAAAAAUAGAGCGCGCCAUACUUGCAGACUAUUCAUUUCCUUGCUCGAGCCCGACACCGCACAAACCUCCGUUCAUCUUCUCCGGUCGUCACUUCCGGCCAAAUUUCGGAAUUCCGAAAUGGCGCGAACCAGAGGAGCUAAAUCUUCCUCUCCUUCAAGCCGCAAGAGAGACCUGCGAGGGGAGCCCAUUCUAGAUCCCACCUCUGAGCCUCUACGACCUAAAGCAGUUUCUCCUCCGGUGAAGCCCGCGCCGCAGAAGCCUCCGGCGAGGCGUUAUCUCACCAGGUCAGGGGGUCGGCCACUGCAAAAGAGAGCCAGGGUUGAAAGAUCAGAGCCCAUUGAUCUAACAGAGUAGUCCCCAGAACCCUCGCUGGUUCCAUUUCCAGUUCUAUCUUUGGUGCCAUCUCUGGCGCCGCCAAUAGAGCCUAAGGAGCCUCAGCCGCCACUUCCCAAACUCCAAAAUCCAUCUGAGAUAGCCCCUAAAGCAGUAAUCAGGCGGCCGAUGCUGACUCAACCUUCAAUUGAGGGGAAUUUGGACUGCAGAGCUCGGCCAUUCCACUCCGAGCUGUGCUUUGACACAGCCACGUUCCAAUUGCGGCCGAAGCUUGCACAAUCAUUCCACCUGCUGCGAAGAUACCACAUGGAGUAGCUGUUGGCUCCAAGAGACUUCUUCUACCCCAGGGUAGCCAUGGAUUUUUAUCAGUCCAUGACUACCAAACAGGUAAGGGAUCCUACUUUAAUCCAUUUUACCAUUGAUGGGAGGCAUGGCAUAUUGGGAGCUCGCCAUAUAGCUAAGGCCUUGCAAAUACCAUAUGAGCCAACUCAUUUUGAGGAUUUCAGAGUGUGGACCAGUCCUACUGAGCUGGAAAUGGUGCAUAUCCUAUCUAGAGGAGCUUCCACACGACCACAUCUAUUGAGGGGGGAGCUUCCUUCAAUCAUGUUUCUUAUUGAUGCAUUUUUGCAUCAUAACCUCUACCCACUGCAGCAUUGGACUCAGAGGAGAGAAGUGCUUCUAGAGGCCUUAUUCAAGAUUUCUGAGGGAUAUUUCUUCGACCCUCACCAUCUGAUUAUGGCUUCCAUUCUCUAUUUCGAAGAGAAUGUGCAUAAAAAGAAGCUGCAAAGAGCUGAUGCCAUUCCUCUUCUCUUUCCAAGGCUGCUGUGCCAAAUUCUAGAGCACCUGGGGUAUCCAUCAGAGCCUCAGUUGGAGCGCAAGCGCAUUUGCCGAGAGGUAUUUACUCUCGACAAAUGGAACAACAUGACAGUCGAUAGAGUUGAGCAGUCAGAGCACCCACAGCCAGCUACUAAGAGAGCAUCCCCACGACACAUACCUGAGGGUAUGCCUAUUGCUGCUCCUGCCAUUCCCAGAGCUCCACCAGUUACUCCAGCUUCAGCUGAGCCAUCCACUUCAGCUGAACCAAGGAUGGCCAUUCCCAUUUCUGAAUAUAGAGAGUUAUGUCGUUCAUUGCAGACCCUUACAGCAUCUCAGAGUAGCCUUGCUCAGGAGAUGGCAGCCAUUCGAGCAUGCCAAGAGCAGAUGUUGGCCACCCAGGCUCAGCACACUGCCAUCUUGAGGCAACUCCAGCAUCAUUUCGACCUGCCUUCAGCUGCUGAGCCCUCCACCUCCACCACUGCAGUGCCACACUCUCAUCCCACAGAGCCUCAAGCCCAUUCUGGAGCAGCUACUGAAGAGGCAGACCCAUCUGCCUAGCCCCAACACCACCCACUCAUCAGAUCAUUAUAUAUAUCUACUGCAUAUGUCUUUUAUGUAUUUCGUUUUUAGUUUUUUUUUAAAAAAUCCCAUUAUUUUGGUACCAUAUAUGGGAUUGCUUGUAUUGUCUUCUUUUUCAUUGUACUCAAAUGGAUUCAAAGUAAUACAAGUCUAAUAUUUUUUUUUGUUAACCUUUAGCAUUAAUUUAUUCUUAUUUCCUUUUCUCACAGCUUUUAUUCUUUUUGAAACAUGUGGUUUCUCCAAUUAGUAUUCGAAAUUGAUAUCACUCAGGAGGUACCACUUCCUCCCUUUAAUUGCAAUCACCCAUAUCACAUUGAGGACAAUGCUCAGUUUGGUUGGGGGGGAGAAAUGAGAAAGGAAUGAAGUAUGAUAAGUUAAAGGCAGUAUGCUAAAUCUUUUUGGUAAUGCAAUUAGGUUGGUAAUCAGUUGUAGUUUUUGCUUUUUACCCUUUUUAUUCUAUUCUCCAUGGAUUUUGAGGAAAAAUUUUCAAAUUAAAAUAAGAGAAAUUGAACUGUUGCUUUUCACUUGACUUAGAGUAUGGAUUAUGCUUACUAAAGUGGUUCAAUUGUUGAAGCUUCUAUUGAAAUCAAAUUUAGUUCUUCCACUUUAAGCUAUUCACACACUGUGCACAAUAGGUUCCGAGUAUAAGAUGAAAAACUAUUUCCCUCUUGACUUAGGAAAAUUGUGGGACUUGGUACCUUUGACCUCAUUUGAUAAAGUUGAGACACCUUGUGAAAGGCCAAUGAGCUUUUGAAAUAAAGAAAGAAAGUGUUUGCUUGCCUUGAAACCCGAGCAAGGUCUGAGGGGUAUAUGGUGAAAAUCCUUAAAGCCUGGUGCCCUAAGCCUUAAUUGGUUGGGAGUCACCGACCUCAAUGCUCGUUACAAGGGUGGAUAGGUGGAGUUAGCAUAUGGUAGGUGCAUGGGUAUUAAAAAUUCAUUCUCAAAAGUCCGGGGAAAAAUCCGAGGAGUUAGUGGUUGAAAGAUCCUUAAAGCUUGAUGCCCUAAACCUUAAUUGGUUGGGAGUCAUCGAUGGACCCCCGUUAUAUGGACAAUUCAGAAAGAAUACCCCUUUAAGCCUCCUUAAAAAAAAAAAAAAAAAAAAAAAAGUGUGUUCUUUUCUUAUUGAUUUUGGUCAGUUUGCUAAGUGUUAAAGAGAGAUAGGUUGGGGGGGGGGGGGGGAGAUUAGUUUAGCAUAUUAUAUUCGGAAGCUAAGGAACCAAUACACAUAGAUUUUUGUGGAAUAAUAAAGUUUGGUUCUUUGGAAGUGGAAAUGAUUUUAAAACUUCAGUUUGUAUAAUGCAUUCCCUUGAUUGACAGUGUUUAGCAUAGCUUGUUAUAACUCUUGUUGAAAUUUGGGUUUGUAUUUCUUUGAUGUCUCAUGUGAGAAUUAGAUUAUCAUGCCAUUUGAAAAUUGUUUUUCAGCAUGAUGUUGUAAAUUAUAGUUUAGUUUGCUUGUUUUAUCUCUCCUUUAUUGCUAAGGGACUAGCAAUAUGUCGGUUGGGGGGAGUGAUUACUACUCAAAAAGUGCUCUUUGAUAGCUUGUAAUAAACUCUUUUAAACACUUUUGAGUAGUAGUUAUUGCCUUUUAACCCAAUUAACAUGUUAAGGACCCUUUAAAUCAAUUCUAAUCAAAUUGUGUUAAGUUUUGGUGUUUUGAUAGCCUUUUGAUCACCAAAGCAAUCUGAGAUUGAGGAGAGUUAUAUGGAAUCUUGGGCAAAGCAAUUGGAAGCUCAGAAACAUGAAGAACUAAAGCUUGGAAGUCCUUUGCCAUGAGUAAAUCAGGAAUGCAAGGAGAAGAAGUAAAGAGAAUCUGCCAUGAAGCAUAUUCUUGAUGACAGUCGUGUCAGCCACUUUUGGAGCACUUUCUGAAGUCCAAUUGAUGCAUGCUAUAUACCAUUUCAAAGCUCAGGAAGUCAACCAUCCAAUUCUUCAAACGGUGUGCAAGUCGGAGCUAAAACGAAGAAGUUACAGCCACUGCAAGUCAAUCACUCUAAGCUAAAGGAAGCAUUUUGCAAAGUGUUGCGAAAUCACCCUUUUGUUGCGAAAUGAUUUCGCAGCUUUUUUGAACAGUGUUGUGGAUUUCCUCCUGAAGUUGCCCAAUAUAUGCCGCACGUUGGAAGGUGAGAACCUCAAGAUGAAAGCCAACUUCGCAGCCCUGCGAGAAUAGCCUUUUGCUGCGAAAUGAUUUCGCAACCCUUUUUGUAUGUCUGCGAAAUCUCGCAGACAUCAUUUUCUCUUGCGAAAUGGUCCUUAGUGCUUCCCGAUAUUUGCUACCGACAUUGGGAGAUAUUUUCCAUCAGAUUAUUGUUGUCUAAAUCCCAAAAUUCUCCUUGUAAGCCACCAAUUACAAGAUUCCUUAGCUUUUAAGUUAGUAAAAAGAAUAAAUAUCCAUGUAAUAAUUAGUUUUGUAUUAUGUUCAUAUAUAUACUCCUCGAGAGCCUGUUCUCGAAGGAGAAGACCUUUUGUAAAGUUUUGGGGAAAGCAAGUAAAGUUCAAGUCCUUUGAUUAGCCUUACCUUCUCACUUUGUAUUUUUUAUUUCUUACUAAGUUAUGCACUCUCUGAGGAAUUUUCCCCAGAGAAUGAGUAACUAAACCUUUAGUUCCUUGGAGCUAAGGUUGCCGGGGAAGGUUCCAAGUGCAAGAAUGCAAAGCUUUGUGGUUUCAGCCAUUAAUGAAGAGGAAGUGAAAUCCUUUAGUGAUUUCUAUGUUUUUAGUUAACUUAAAACACCUUAGAGUCACCUGGGCCAACACUUGGUAAGGCAAGUGAUCUCCAACCAAGGAGAUGCACUAGUUUACCCCUUGCGAGCCUCUGGGAGGUGACUUUAAGGUAGGAUUUUCUGGAAUUGCCAACACUUGGUAAGCUUUUGGACUCCAAGGAGACAUCCAUUAGUUAUCUCUUGCGAGCUUGAGAAAGGAAGUCCAAGGUUAAAGAUCACCUUGAAUGGUUAAGGCUUAGUGAGAGGCUUGAACUAUUGCAAGUUGCAUCAGUGAGAGAAUUAAAGUUGAAAUCUAAUUAAAGGAUGUAUCUGUAUAACACCGGUUAGAGAAUUGACUAUAUGUUGAAUCUCUAACGCGAGGAAAUGAACCAUCUGACUGGAGCUAUGUCUUUUGCAUGAGGAACCACCCCAGUGAACUUGACCCUCCAAGGAAUGUUUUUCUUCCUAAGUUAUUCCCAUUACUUGUUUUGUAGUUAGUUUAAAUCUAAAUCUUUACCAAUUAAAGUUUGUGUUUUAUUUCUUAAGCUAACCUUGAAAUGAAACAAGACCAAUUCACUUUGAAUUGGUAUCAUUGAUAAUUUGCUAAUCCUUCCCAGUGAACGAUCCUAGAGCCGCUAUACUAUAGUAGCUUUUUCUUUGCUACCCUAGUAUAUGGUGUAAUAGGUUAAAAAUAUUGUUGAUUACUCCCUCAUCCAAGGAGCACCAGCUGGACACGAAUCAGCUGAGACACCAAUUGGGCAUGAAUAAAAAACCAUGCAAUUUAUAACACCUAUCUACUGUAUGCCCUGUGAGCCCACAAUGGGUGCAAAUUGGGCAUUCACGUCUAGGCUUUUUGUGAGAUGAUGCACUAGCUACAGAAGGAGUGGAGAAGAGGCAUUGAACACCAUGGAAUUCGAUGGAGCGGAGGACCUAGAUCCAAUAAACCGUUGGCAUUCUUCUUGAACAACAAGAUUGAAUACUUUCGCCACAAGAGGGAGCGGAUCAAGCAUUAGAAUUUGCCCUCUUGUGCUAGCAUAAGAUUCGUUCAAACCCAUUAAAAAUUGCAUCACAUACUCCUGCUAUUGAUAAUCCAUCUAAGUUUUCGUACCUCCACAAUGGCAGACGGGAACUGGUUGAUAGUUUUUGAGUUCAUCCUAGAGAAUCUUCAAUCGAGUAUAAUAGGUAUUAACAUCGAGCGAGCCUUGUGAAAGACCAUGUAGUCGUUGCUUGAUUUGGAAAAUUUGUGGAGCAUUGCUCUGAUGGAAGCGUUUGUGCAGAUCUGCCCAAAUAGCAUGGGCACUCUUGAGAUAGAGAAGACUAUCAACUAUCUCUUUUGAGACAGCAUUGAGGAGCCAAGAUGUGACCAUGUUGUUGCAUCGGGACCAGAUUCCGGUUGUAGGGUCAUCGGUCAUGGGCUACAAAAGAGUGCCAUCAAACAAAUCCGAGCUUAUUCUUUGCAUUGAGAGCCAUCAGCAUAGCCCAACUCCAUGUAUUAUAGCUUGAACCAGUGAGGAGAUGCGAAAUGAGCACCAAGCCUGGAUGAUCACCACUAUGUAAGAAAAAUGGGUUAUUAGUGUUCUCCAUGAGAGAUUGAUCUGAUUGUGUUAUCGUGCUACUAGAGGUAGGAAUGUCAGGGGCUAAAAUCUAUUAUCAUUGUUAUGCUAACCACCAUGAGCCAUUUCAGUGAGCGGCAGAGGUAAGAAGCUCUGAUAUCAUAUUACAAGGGAAAAUGGAGAGAAAAAUUGACAGAUUCUCCUUUCAUUGAUUGAAAAAAUGAGUUGUACAGAGAGCCCCAAAACAGAGUAGCAAAAAUGCUUUUUAUAAUAGAAGUCACGCAUAAGGAGCUGUAGAGCUCUACAAAGAAAAAACAACCUAACCAACUAUUGGUUAUAACAUAAAAAAUAAAAUAAAAUAAAAAACUAAAACUAAUAUGUUAAAAGAUGUUUCACUCCAAUAAUAGUUUACUUUAAUAUUUGAGUAUUGGAGGUAUCCUUGUCUCAAAAUCAUACCAAGUUGCCUCUACAAACUCAGAGAAUUGGAUAUUGAUAAUUGUGAGAAUAUGGAGCUGCUACCUCAUCAGCUGCAAAACCUCACUACUCUUACAUCACUUACUAUCUCUUAUUGUGAGAAUAUCAAGACGCCCCUAUCCCGAUGGGGCCUUGCCACACUUACCUCUCUUAAAAAACUCACCAUUGCUAGCAUAUUUCCACAAGUUUCAAAUGCUCAAAGACUACCGCGUCUUCCGAAAACCCUCACCUUUCUUUGCAUUAAAGAUUUCUAGAAUCUGAAAUCUUUGUCCUCACUGGCUCUCCAAACCCUCACCUCACUUGAAGAGUUAUGGAUCCUAUGUUGCCCUAAGCUUCAGUUGUUUUGCCCAAGGGAAGGGCUGCUUGCCACUCUUUCACUACUAUAUAUCACAGACUGCCCACUCCUCAAACAAAGGUGCUCAAAGGGGAAAGGACAAGAUUAGCCCAACAUCGCCCACAUUCCCUGUGUGGAAAUGGAUAAUGAAAAUGUCUUUGAGCAAUAAUAAGAUGAGGGAUUGCAGAACAUAGAAGCAAACACCAUUCAACCCUCACCCAUCUUUUAUUUAAAUAAGGUACGCCUGUUCUUUCUUUUUCACUCCUUAAUACUGCAUUCAAUUUCUCAUAUACGUUAUAGCAGUUUCCCCUAUUAAUUACUUGUAAGUUUCUUACUGGAAUUUUUGUUGAAAAUUUGCCUAGGAAGUGACUUUUGAAAUGGCUUGUAGCUUGGUUUUCUCUUCAAUCUGCCAUAAUUCGAGGUAUCACUGUCUCUGCUUCUCCAAUUCUAUUUAUGAAAUCUUGUCCAUAAUCUCCAUGGGGUACUCAUUUUUCCUUUUUCCUUUGUUCUUUUUAGUUCUCAGUGACCAUUGAAGUUGAAGAGGUGAUAUGUGAUUCUUACGACUAUAAAAAGGAUAAGAGAUAAUCCAUUUAUUCCAUUCAAGGACAGGUGAAACAUUUAGCAAUAGCCACUAGUUAGUAAUGUCUUAUUCUAAUUUUUAUUCCAUCAAUUGUACUAUUCAAUUGCAUUUUUAAAUAUAAUAUUCUAAUUUCUAGAAUAUUGUUCAGGCUGACAUACAGAGGAGGCUAUACUAGAAGCAAAUGUAGUUUAUUAAUAUUCAAUUAUUGUGGUAAUUAGAUAGCCUUAUCAAUUCCUUUGUGCUGCCAUGAUUUUUUUAGUUCAACUUAUUAGAUGUCAUCAUAACUACUAUACAAUGUCUUGUCAUCUUGUUAUCAAAUUUUUACAUUUGUGAUGCAGGUUCUCAAAAAGGAUGGAACUCUGAUGAUUAUAUCAAAGACUUCAAAGUAUGGAAUGAAUGCAGCUAGUUCCGGUUGUCCCAUGUUGCUUUUUUUUUUUCUUUUUCUUUUUUUCUUUUUUUGUUUUUGAGUGUCAACAUGGGACAAAGAAUAACCCAGCAAGACUAUAGUGAGUGACCGUUAUCUAUAUAUUUUGUUUAUUUAUUUUUCUAUUUUAAUGACUAAUUUUCUUGAAUUUUCUUCUUGUCCACUGGAUGUUCAUUCCCAACAUGCAGUUCUUCCUCUUUCUCUCCUUAAUACCACUUUUUAUUUCCCAUACACAUGUUAUUUCAAUUAGUUGCCAUUUAGCUUGGCUACCUCUUAACAGUAAUAAUAAGUCUUAUAGUUUUUAUGUACCAAAUUGUUUACAUUGAUGAUGCAGGUGUCAAAAGGAUGGGUUCAAAGUAUCAUAGGAGGUACAUGUGGUCUUUUUAUUGUGUUGACUGAUUGGAAUUUUCCUCCUAUAUCAAAGGCUUGUUGGCACUUUAUUACCAUUUUUUAGUAUGACAAAAAGAGGAUAAAAUACAAUCUAGCAAAAUUGUGGUCCAUGACUUUCAUUUAUAUAGUUGAUUUUAUAUAUUAUUGUGUUCUAAAGACUAUCUUUGUAAAAUUUUAUUCCUUUUAUGACUUAUGAUGGAUUCUACAAUGCUUUAUAAAGGUCCUUUGAAUGAAUAUUUCAUCUGCAUCUUUAAUAAAUAAGAACCUUUUUUCUUUCCCUCCUAGGGAAGCUGCUCAUAAGGUUGUAUGAUCUUUAUAUAUCCUUCGAAAUUUGAGGACCAUCCAGUGCAUGAAACUCGUCUUUCACAAGAAACAAAGUGGUCUUUUCUUUGUGACUGUGAUAGCCCAAAACUACGUAAUGGAAUUAUGACAUAGCAACAACAGCAACUUGUAUUUGUUCUAAUGUAUCUAACUUGUUUCCAAAAUGUGAGCUACCAUCAUAUUUACAUACGCCUAGUAGUACAGAUUUGAGCAAAAAUAAAAUGGUUUUGCGUCCAAUUUCUAAAGUUUUUAAUUUGAUGAAACCAUAUCUCUUCUUUUAGAGUUUGUAGGCUUUAAAGGUGCAUGUCCUAGGUGCCAGAGUAUAAGUAUUUUUCUUCUUAUUGAAGGGAAUUUGGGUUUUACAUUUAGAGGCUCCAAGUCUAUAGUGAUUGUGGCAAAUGCCUAUUGCACUUGUUAUUUUUGUUUCUAUUGUUGAUGUUGAGGGUGUAGAAAGGGGAUAAACAAAAGCAUAACAAGAUCAUGGUGUGUUACAAUUUUAUUGGUCUUUUUAGAUUCGUAUUUUUACUGACUUUUUUUUUUUUCUAAAUUUUCUAUGUUUAUGACUUGAGGUGUUCCCUAAACACUUGCUACAGAGAGGAUUUUGGCACCAGAAUUAUCCUUGGACAUUGCUUAGUUCACCUGUCUUCCAUAGAUAUGAACCUAUUUUUGUGCCAUUUUGAAGAAGCUACUAGUAAGACUGAAUAGUCACACAUCUCUUGGAGAGUUGAGAAUCACACAUUUCUUUAGGUCUUUCUGAGGAUUGGUUUGUCAUCCAUGCUAUGAAGUCUUAUGCUCAGUUGUUGUGAUGGUUUGAAAUUACUCUCUGAUGAAACUAUGACCUAUAUAAACAACUGCUUGCAUUUGUUUUACACAGAUGAAUUGCUUGUCUUUUUGCAUUAUUUUGCAGAAAGGAUUUUUAUGAGCACUACUAUUUUUUUUUUCAUAUCCUUUUAUAUUGAUGCAUUUCCUAUUACUCCUUUUAGGUGGAUGCACAAUGCUGAUCAACUCUCCUCCUUUUGGAUGUCUUUCUAACCAUUGUUAGGAUUCAUUAAAAAUAACCUUUAUCAAACCUACAGAUUUUUUCAAGUCAGUUAUAACCAAUGUUUUAAAAACCGGACCGGUGAUCGAACCGGAAAAGUUACCGGUUCACGGUUCACUGGUCGGACCGGCGGUCGAACCGCUAUUGAACCGGUGAUGUAAUAAAAAAUUAAAAAUAUAUAAAAUUACAAAUUUUAAUAAUGUUUGAUUUUUAUAUUUGGUAUAUUAAAUUAAAUUAAAUGAUAAAGUUUAAUAUUUUAAAUUUGAUUAAAUAGAAAUAUGUAAUAUUUAAGAAAGAAUAUAUAUUUAAGAUAAAAAAAUUUAUAAUAUUUAAUUUUAUCUUUUUGUCUUUGUAUUUUAUUGUUUUAAAAUUAUUAUAUUAAUUAAUUUAUAUUAUUUUUUAUAAUUAUUAUUAUAAAAAUAAACAUGAAUUUAAAUAUUUACAUUUUUUUUAAAAGAUUUUAUAGGAUAAAAAUUUGAAAUAAAAUCAAAUUUCGUGCGUCCAACCCUCAAGAGGCAAUGUUUUCCUCUAAUGAGUCUCAUUCCCAAUCCCACAUUGGAAGCACAUGAAUUUUAUGUGCUCCAUGUGCUCUAUAAAUAGCUUCCCACUUGCCUUCUAUCCCAACUAGCCAGCAAGCUGGGCCUGGAAGCAUGGCCCAAGUUGAAGUGUUAUUUUAAAAUAAAAAAUGGCAGCAAAUUGGGCUUCUGUGGGGCAUGGCCCAUAUAAAGUGUUAAUUUUAUCUUUGGAUAAGGUCUAGGGACCUGGAAAAAGGAAGACCUUAGAUUGGGCCUGGAAUGGGCCUUUUACAUGGUAAACAAAAAAUUGUUUCUAAGGUGUAACCGGUUUGCAGAAAAUUGGACGAUUUGUCCGGUUCGACGGUUCAACCGUCGGUUUGACCGGUUCAAUGCCGGUUCGACCACAAACGGUUCAUUGAAACGGACCGAACCGGAAAGUUCACUGGUCGACAGUUCAACCGGUUGGACCGGCCGGUCCGGUCCUGUUUUUAAAACCAUGGUUAUAACUUGUACAAACCUUAUGUAACUCGAAACACUUUAUUUUUAAAACAAUCCAUGACUACUGGCAACUUACAUGUUUUUCACUACAUUUUUUUUCAAUGAGGAAAUGAGGCAUUUUUCUUUAGUAGUAUAUUGUGAUUCACAAAGUAUAAACUCUUGCAGAUUGAAAGAAAGACAAUUUACAUAUCAUUCAACAGUAAUCAGUAAGCACUUUUAUAUGUUUAUAGCUUCUUUUUAUAUGGUUUAUCUUUUAUGGCAUUUACUCUUUUGUUAUUCACAUAAAAAAAAACACUUGAUUUACCCUUCAAAUAUAAAAUUCAGUUAUGCAGGAAGGACAUAAAUUGAUUAUGAUAAGAUGGGAAAUGUGUUUCAGGACAACUUUGUGUUCUUGCAUUAUAAGGUUUAGUAAUUUUGUGUAGUUCUACAAUAAACAACAUUCUAUUGACUUUGGAUUUGGAAUUUAACUCUAAUGAGCAUUUACUUAUUUUUCAUACAUUUUUCAAGAAUCCGGUUAAUGAGAUUUUCCUUACAAAAAACUAGAGGUUUGUUAACUCUCCUAUAAUCAGAGCCUAGUUCUCUUGCAUAAAUUUCAAGCAAAUUUAUAACCCUCUUCUUUGACAGUCUUUUAUAUUGGAAUUAAACAUCUUGGUGUCUUUGAAUUAUUUAAAUAUUGGAAGCCAAUUAAGGAGUCAUGCAAUGGCAUAUUGUGAAACUUGAUACACAUAAAAAUAAGAUCUAUUAUGUUAUUUUUCUCGCUAAAGAACCAAAACAUAUGCUUUUGAUUUUGAAUGUUUCAGACUUCAUGUCUUCUCUUUCAUUUAUGAUAUUGUCGUUGGUGAAUUGGGAAUGUUGUUAAGAAUUUUGGAGCUUGACCAUCUGGCCUUUUCCAAUUCCUUAGAGAUUGGUAAUAAUCCAACGAUCAAUUGUUUUCCCAAAGUGGCUUACGCUAGCAUUAGCAGAUGUGAAAUUAUCAGUGACCGUUCAUUGUAAAGAAAUCUUGUUAUUAUGGCAGGAUAAUAGACUGUAAUUCAGUCACAAAAUUUUGGGACUUCGACAUCAACACCUUUUUAGGACUCAGAUUUCUAAAUGGAAUGAUGCAAGGCAUCAACACAUUCAUAGAAUUCUUUAAGAAUUCUAAAUAUGAUCUUGGUAUCUUAAUGACAGGCCAACUUUCUUUAAUGUUGCUAAAUAUACUAGAUGGGAAUCCACCCAUGGACAAGAAAUGUAUGUUGCUCUAUCCUCACCUCUCACUGUCUCACUCCCUAUUGCCUCAAGUUGCAUUACCUGCCAUAAUUAAACACCUCUUUUAUCAUUGUGACAAAACAAGUUUUGCCAAAACGAUAUGAGAUUCCCUUUGAUUUCAAGUUAUGCAAGAUCUAUAAGAGCUCAAUUGUUUUGAAAACAUGAUUCAUAAAUACUAUGCUAACAUUCAGUUCAUGAAUACCAUGUACCAGAAGAAGGCUCUAAGAAAUUUAUGUCAUUUACUUUCAGGAUUCUAUCUUCAACUCUAGUUCAUGCUCAAUUGUUUUAUUAACUACAGUUUCUUUGAAUGAACAUGUCGAAGUACAAGUACUAAACUAGUUCAUUUCCAGUCAAAUUACUAUCCCUAAUUUACAGAGUAUAAACCCUUGCAAAUUAAAAUAAAGAAAAUUUACAUAUCAUUCAAUAGUGAUCUGUAAGCACUCUUAUGUGUCUACAUCUUCCUCAUUUGGAUUUGGAAUUUAACUUCUGAUAAGCGUUUACUUGUUUUUAAUUUUUUUUUAGGAAUCCAGUUAAUGAGAUUUUUCCAACCAAAAAUAGGGGUUUGUUAGCCCUCCUACCCUCAUGCUGGUUCUCUUACAUAUGCUUGAAGAAUAUUGGAAGCCAAUUAAUUAGUCAUUGCAGUUUCAUAGUCUUACAAGAAAUCUUGUUAUCGUGGCAGGAAAACAGACUGCAACAUAGUCUCAUUUCCCUUCAUGAUUUAGACAUUGUGAAGAUUAAAAACUUGUUACCUGAUAAUAGAAGAAGAAAAGCAGCCAAAGAACAUCAACAAAAUGUAUUGGCACCUUGUGGACUUGAAUUGAUGGUAUUCAGGUGGCAUAAAUAUACAAAAAUACACUUAACAAACUACUAAUCAGCAGGCCAAGAUUCUACUUCCAAGAGACAGGGUUGUCAUCCAUGUCAAGAAGGCCCAAACUUUAUUGUUGUGGAACUUUGGCAUCAACAAAUCUCUGGAAUUAUUUCAGGUUUCUAAAUGGAAUGGUUCAAGUCAUCAACACAUUCCCAUAAUUCUUUUGUAAAUGUCAUCAUCAUGGCUAGCUUUCUUUAGUCCAUAUGUACUAGAUGGACAAUAACCACAGCACUUGUAUUAGAAACAUGUCUGUUGCCUGGAUUUGCAUUACCUGCCAUAAUUAAGAACCUUUUUAUUAUUGUAGUAGAGUGUUUCAGAGUCACCCAUACCUAGUCUAUCUCCAUGUCUCUCAAACAGCUAGGCCCAUUGGUAGCAAAAGAAGAGCAACUUGAAUAGUUGGUCAUUUCCUUUUCAGGAAUUAAUUGUACCGCAUUCCUAUACAUAGUGACUUUACCCUUUCUCUUCUUUGUUUUUUUCAAUCUAAAUUGGAGUGGUGUGACUGUGUCACUAUUGCCAAAUUUAAAUGUUAAUGUCAUAGAAUGCAUUAAUAGUUUUCUAUUAGAAUAAUAGAAUGCAAUUCGACUAGAUACUAGACAUAAGUAAGCGUAGAAUAUAGAGCAAAUGAUAAAUGAAAUGAGGGAAACAAAUGAUUCUAAGAAGGGUUAUUCAUCUUCCUAGUCUUCUACAUAAGAAAGGAAUUUUCUACAUCCCUUUCUUGUGUAUAAAUAAUAAUGAUCCUCAACACCUUUGUCAAAAAUUCCUAUUCUUAGCUUAGAUUUUUUUCUAGGUUUAUCAUAAUUUUAUAUUUAUUAUGUAUAAGAAGUAGUGGACAAACAAAAAAAAAAAAAAGGAAAUUUAUUGAACAAAUAGAACUUCUUCAAUGAAGUUAUAAAAAAAAAUUUCAACUUUGAUUAGAUACUAAAAUAAAUAAAGUAAGAAUCUAUUAGUAUAGAAAGGAUUUGUAUGAUAUCCGAUAUAGGGAAAUAUAUAUAUAUAUUAUACUGUGUCAUCACAAAAAUUGAGUGAUUCCUUAUUUCUUCUAACUUUGAAAGGAUCGAUAGAUACUAUCAAGGAGCAAAUGUUCUCAAUCAAUCAAUCAAGUUCGUUUUUCAAAAACAUCAUCAGAAAAAACAAUGAAAUGGAGUUUUUUUAAACAUUGUAAAAGAAGAUUUGUUUUAUCUGGCAUUUAUACGAAUAAAAUCUUAUGAUUAUUAAGAACUCAAUAGGACCUUCCCUCUCGAAUCAGAGCCAAAGAGGGGGUGGGUCCCAUUGAGUUCUUACGUUUUCAUGUCGACAACUCAAUUCAUCCAAUUACUAUAGGGAACCAUAAAAGAAAAAGCCUAUUAAACCAAUCACAGGAAUUUCAGUUAUAGUACCUAUUAGCCAAAGAGGAAUCCUUCCAGUAGUAUCGGCCAUUUACCCCACUUUCCUCCACAUUUCAUCAAGUGGUCAUACUAAAGACAUAAAUAGUCAUGGAUAAUUAUGAAAUGAGAUCCUUUCGAAUAAGAUAAGAGAAUUCUUACUAUUAUUAUUUAUUUUAUUAGUCUCUUUCGUUCUCUUAAUUCUUAAUUGAAAAAAUAAUUGGAAAAUAAAACAACAAGUACAAAAAUGAGUAAUAACCCCCAGCAAAGACCGGUACGAUUCAAUUCAACAUUUUGUUCGUUCGGGUUUAAUUGUGUCAUAGCUCUAUAAUUUGGAUUAGGUUUAUUGUUCGAUGAACUGCAUUGUUGAUAUUGACCCUAAAAAAGAAACGGUAGGUAUAGCUAGUCCGUGAACAGCCAAUCAUCGCACUGUAAAAAUUGGAUAGGUUCGAUCUAUGGUCAUUGGGGCCUCCUAAAAAGAUCUACUAAAUUCAUCGAAUUGUUCCAAAGGACCAAAAUGACUGGUUAUUAAUGGAAUUCCUUGUUGGCUCUCUAUAAAAUACUCGUUCGACUGAGGACUUCCAAACACAUCGUAAGCUAAACCUGUGCUGAUGAAUAACCAACCUGCAAUGAAUAGGGGAGGUAUAGUAAUGCUAUGAAUGACCCAGUAUCUAAUACUGGUAAUAAUACAGACUACCCAUUUCAAUUGUUGUGCUUUCUUAAAUUGCAUACCUAUACAAGGGUUCAAGUUUCGAUUGAUAUUUGGGGAGUUGAUCAUCCCUCUCGAAAACGAAGAUUUGAAGUGGUCUAUAAUUUAUUGAGUACUCAAUAUAACUCACGCAUUCGUGUACAAACCAGUGCAGAUGAAGUAACACGAAUAUCUUCGGUAGUAAGUCUAUUUCCAUCAUCCGUCCGGUGGGAGCGAGAAGUUUGGGAUAUGUUUGGUGUUUCUUCCAUCAAUCAUCUGGAUCUACACCGUUUAUCAACAGAUUAUGGUUUCGAGGGUCAUCCAUUACGAAAAGACCUUCCUCUGAGUGGAUAUGUGGAAGUACGCUAUGAUGAUCUAGAGAAACGUGUGGUUUCUGAACCCAUUGAGAUGACCCAAGAAUUUCGUUAUUUCGAUUCUGCUAGUCCUUGGGAACAGCGUAGCGACGGAUAAUUAAGAAUUUAAAUAGGUCCAGUCCAGGGGACAAAGAAAUAGGAAAUGUUAUUUGCUUCGUCAGAAUAAGUUCUAUGAAAUGAAAGAGUUUCAUGGGAAUUGUCUUGAUCGUUAGAUAUCAUUGAGAAAUAGUUAUCGAACAAUUUCCUGUAAUUCUUCCCAGUAUGGAAUGAGUAAAGAAUCAAGCUGUAAGUCUCGAUCUAUAUGAAACGCACUGGGUUUUUUUUUUGUCUUUCUUUAGGUUUCAUUGAUAGUGGAAGAGCCUUGUCUUACUCUAUAGGGGUGCUAGCACUUUACUUUAUAUUAAAAGUAAAGGGGCCUAAAAAAACGUAAUAGGCUGCUACUCUAGGCUCGCUUCGCUUCUUCAAGCUCCGCCCCUUAUUUCAAACUAAAGCACUAACGCGCCUUCUAUUAUUUAGUAAAGCAACCUUUAGCGCUAGGCACUCCUUUUUUUUUCUGGGUGGAAGCUAGCGAUAGGGCUGCAGAACAUGCAAGGCGAUAGAUUCUAUGAGACUCUUCUUGAAUGGGAACCUGUGAAGGAAAACCGUGAAGCUCCGCCGCUAUCGGAGAACCCUCAACCAUCAACCUCUCCAAAGAAAUGGCAACUCUUAAGAUCUACGACCACCAUCUCCUCUUCUUCAAAAAACAACGAAGGUAUCCAAGAUCAGAUGACAAAUUCGAUCGACGUUCCUAAUCAGCAACACGAGGACUUUCUUCAGAUUGAAGGAGAGGAAUGUGCUUCUAGACAUGCCAAGCUCCACAUAUUCUUGUACAGUCAAAGGACGAUCGAUUUCGUAAAAAAUGAGAUCAAUAAAUAGAAAUUCACUGAAAAUGGAUAUUUGUGAGAUCGUCAAUAUUGUACCGAGGAUGUCUUUAGAGUAUACUCAAUCAGUAUAGCUAUCCUUCUUCUACCAUAGCAACACAAUUUCAAAAACUACAGCAUUUGAAUAGCUUGUAUUCAGGUGGACAAGAACUACAACACUUCUCUUAAAAAACAUGUAUGUUCUUUCUUCAACUCUUACUCUAUUGCCUAGAGUUGCAAUACCUGCCAUGAUUAGUCAUCUCUUAUUUAUUCUCAUGGAGAAACAGGUUUUGGUGUAUGCAAAGACAAUAUACAAUUGUCGCACCUCUUGAUUUUUAAUCGUGUCAAACAUUUGGAAUUGUCAAGCUGAUUUAUGGCUAACCUUGCAAGGACAUCUAGUGCAAGAGAUUCAGAAUUAUACCUAUCGAAUCCAUCUCCAUUUCUUUAGAACAACUAGAUACUAUGGCUGAAAUCUCAUGUAAGGUGUCAGGUUCAUGUUGGGGCUCAUUCACGAGAUUAAAAUGAAUAUAGCAAGAGAUGUUCUUGAUCUACCACCACCCAUGUUGUCAAGUUGUUUAAUGCUCUCGUGUUGACCAUGGCCACAGUCACAGUUGUGUGUCCUUUCUCGAAAGAAAUAAUCAUUUUGAAACUUUUGUCAACAACAUAACUUUCAUGUAUCUACUUUCAAGUACCCACAAAAAAUUGAGUCCAGCUUAGCAUUUAAUAAAGAAAAAGUAAUAAUCUGAACAAGGGAACAAAUGUUUUCCUUACUCUUUUUCAGUAGGAACCUAGUUUAUUUCUAAAAAAUUGAAGAAAAAACUAAUUCUAAACAUGGAAGCCAGGUACUUGAUUUCUGUUUAACUAGUGGAACAAUUCGAACGUAUUUAUAGCUUUAGCAUUAGAAAAGUUUAACAAAAUCACUAAUUAACCCCCAAACCCCCACCCACCAUAGAGAUAUGUUACAAAGAUUCCUCUACUCUGCAUUGAAACAAAGUGUAAGGGGUUUUUUCCUUUCUUCAUCGUCAAAUGAAACAGCCAUUUUCAAUAAAAUAAUAUGAGAAAUUGAGAGUUAAAACCAUUUUAUUUCAUUGUACUCUCUAUUCCUCUGCUUCUUCCUAUCUUAGUCAAGCCAAAUAGUCUGUGGUUUCUCCGUUUCUUCUUCACUCCACAUCAAAAAGUAGCAUCUUGGGUUCUCCCAUCUCUCUAUCCCCUUGUCAAAACACGUAAUUUAAUGUAUUGUUGUCUUGGAUUCCUCCUAGUUAAAAGGAAGCUUGAAAUAUCUCCACUGCUUCUAUGUUUCUUUGAGUCAAGGGAUAGAGUCUUGCUUUUCUUUGUUUAUUUGAGAUGCUAGAAGAGGUUUGUAUAGAACUAAUGUGAUGUCAGAGAGGUAGGUAGUAUCUGAAUUCCCUCUAGUCAUGCAAAGUAGCCUUAGAGAUUUUUGGAGGCUUGGGUAUUAUAGUAUAUUAAGAUAUUCAAAAUGCAUUAUUGCACAUCUUCUUGACUUGUAACUGAACUUGUUUUUCACAAUCAUAAAUAUGGAGGUAUUUAAUUAUGGCAGGUGAUAUACCUCUUAGAAAUUGAUGUGAAAAGGUGGAGAUUAAGGGAUGUGCACUUGGUUUUGCGAAUCAAACAACCCUCAUUUAGUAUAAACCACAAAUUUUGGCAACUCAUGAUCCACAAUUUAGAGCAUGGGAGGAAGCAAGCCUGUUGGAAAGAUAGGAGGAGACAGUUAAAAACAUGCGAGAAUUCCAUGGAUGAGUUGCUCUUAUGAAUUAUUCAGAAUCCAUGAGAAAAUUCAAAGCUUUUUUUUUUUUUUUUUUCCUUUACAUAGUUAAUGAUCUUGUUUGAUGUUGGCCCUAUAGUUGGUCUACUGAUGGUAGGCUUCCUUUGAGUGGAAGCAAGGACUCUACACUAAAGGUAAAUUGUGGGAACUAUGUCUUUUUGUGGUAUUGAUGGGGUUAUCAUAUAGUUGAUUGAUUCUAUUGCUUCCUUAUAGCUUUUCAAGGCUCUAAAAAAGAAAAGAACAAAGGUAGACCUAGGAAAAAUAUUCUUCCUAAUUUCAGUUACUCUUUCUAUAUGAACUCUUUAUUUUGGUAAAUUACAGUUAGAGAUGAUCAUGUAGUUGAACUAGGUUUGCUUCCUCUCCUUUCCCUCUCCUUCCCCCUUGAGGAAAAUUUUUAUCAUUGCUUAGUUUUGACUACUCUAUUUCUUUUGAUCAUUAUGGAAGAGCAUCACUAUAAGAUGUGCAAGAAACGUGUUGUGGUGCAUUAUUCCUUUCUCUACCACCCAAAAUCUACUUUCCACAAUCAUAAAUAUCAAAUUGUUUAAGCAUUAGGUAAGACAUCUCUUGAUUACUACUCAAAAAGUGCUAUUUGAUAGCUUGUAAUUAACUCUUUUAAAAACUUUUGAGUAGUAGUUAUUGCCUAUUAACCCAAUUAACAUGUUAAGGACCCUUGCAAUCAAUUCUAAUCAAAUUGUGUUAAGUUUUGGUGUUUUGAUAGCUUUUUGAUCACCAAAGCAAUCUAAGAAUGAGGGAGAGCUGUAUAUAGUUCAUGGCAAAGCUUUUGGAAGCUCAAAUUCAUGAAGAACCAAGCUUUGGAGCCUCACAGUCCUUUGCCUUAGUCGUUCAAAGUAUGCAAGGAAAGAACAAUAGAGAGAGGAAAAACAAAGUGAAGAAAAUAGAGGACAGCAGCUACAGUCUUCUUUCAUACUUUUGGAGUACUUCCCAAAGUCCAUUUUCUACAUGCUAUAUACCAUUUCAAAGCUCAGGAAGUCAAAAAUCCAAUGCUUCAAACGGUGCGCAAUUUGGAGUUGAAAUGAAGGAGUUACAGCCAUUGCAAGCCGAUCACUCCAAGCUGAAGGAAGAAUUUUGCACAGCACUGCGAAAUCACCCUUUUGUUGCGAGAUGAUUUCGCAGCCUUUUUGUACAGUGCUGUGUUUCCCCCCUGAAUUUUCCCGUCACGAUGGAAGCCGAAUACCACAAGUUGAAAGACCACUUCGCAGCGUUGCGAAAUUAGCCUUUUGCUGCGAAGUGAUUUCGCAGCCCUUUUUGUGUGUCUACGAAAUCUCGCAGACCUCGUUUUCACCUGCGAAAUGGUCCUUAGUGCUUCCCGAUAUUUGUGCACCGACUCUUUUAGAUCUUUUCUUCAGAUAUUUUUGUAUAAAUUUCCAUUCUUCUCCUUGUAAUCCACCAACCAUAAGAUUUCUUAGUUAGGAAUGUUGGAAAAACAUCUCUAUAUAUAUUCCCUUGCAUCCAUUGUAAAAAGGAUCGAUCAAUAUAUAGAUAUAUCAUAUAUAGAAUCAAAGAACAGAGCACUUGCUCUGUUUUUCUUGUUUUCUCGUUAGUUUUCUUUCUAGCCAACCAAACUUUGAGGAUUUUUCCUCAGAGGAUGAGAGGCUAAGCUCUUUGUCUCUUGGAGUGAAGAAAGCCGGGUAAGUUUCCACAUGCAUAAAUUGGAAGUUUUGUUGUUUUAGUUUUUAAUGAAGAGAAAGUGUGACCCGUUAAUGGUUUUUAUCUUUUUAGUUAACUUAAAACGCCUUUAAAUCACUUGGGCCAACACUUGGUAAGGCAAGUGAUCUCUGUCCAUGGAGAUGCACUAGUUUACCCCUUGCGAGCCUUUGGGAGGUGGUUUGAAGGUAGGAUUUUCUAGAAUAGCCAACACUUGGUAAGCUUUUGGACUCUAAGGAGACAUCCAUUAGUUAUCUCUUGCGAGCUUUUGACGGGUAAUCCAAGGUUAAAGAUCACCUUGAAUGGCAAGUGUUAGGUGAGAGGUAUGAGUCAUUGCAAGGUGCAUCAAUGAGAGGGAUUUAGUGUUUGAACCCAUUAAUGGGAAGCAUCUGUAUAACACCGGUUGGAGAAGGAACUAUAUGUUAAUUCUCUAAUGCGAGGAAAAGAAACAAGUGACCGGAACUCCCUUUUUGUAUGAGGAAUCUGAGCCUAGUGAUCUGAAACUCCAAGAAACAACUUUUCUUUGUAAGUAAAAUCAGUUACUAUUUUUGGUUAGUUUAAAACCGAACCUUUUUCAUUCGAACAUCUUUAUGUUUUCUUUUAAAGCUAACCUUGAAAUGAAAAGGCACCAAUUCAGCUUUGAAUUAAUAUCAUUUGCAAAGUGAAAACCCAUCCCAGUGAACGAUCCUAGAGCCACUAUGCUAUAGUAGCUUUGUCUUUGCUACCCUAGUAUAUGGUGUAAUAGGUUAUAAAUUUUGUUGAUUACUCCCUCAAUCAAGGAGCACCAGCUGGACACGAAUCAGCUGAGACACCAAUUGGGCACGAAUCAAAUGGCGUCGUUGCCGAGGAUCGAACCCUGAAUCAAAUGGUGUCAUUGCCACUGCCGCUGUUAGGGACGAAUCAUCUCUUGAUAAUGAUGUGAGAGAUAUAGACAAGUAAUGUUACUAAAUAACAAGAAUAUGCAUAAAAAAAAAACAAGAAUACACAUAUUUAUGUGGAAAACCUUAGAUGGGAAAAACCAUGGGUAGAGGAGAAGAAAAUUCACUAUAUUAAAAAAUUGAUACAAAAUGGGAGAGAUGCGAGCGACUACUUUAUAAGCAUAGACAUCAUAGUCCUAAUCUUAUACAUAAUUGCAAAUAUAUAUAUAUAUAUAUAUAUAUAUAUAUGUGUGUGUGUGUGUGUGUGUGUGUGUGUGUGUGUGUGUGUGUGUGUGUGUGUGUGUGUGUGUGUGUGUGUGUGUGUGUGUGGGAGAGUAAUAAACAUCAUAACCCUAAAUUCUAUUAGCCCGAUCCCUCCGCUACCACCACAGACUCUCCAAAAAUCUCACAAAUUUUUCUUCACCACAUAUGUCGCAUCACGAGCUUUUUGGGUAAAACUAAAUAGAAUUCGAGUUACCAAACUCUAACAAACAACAUACCAGUAUUCACAAGAAGUGAUGUUAUGCUUUUUCACUUUACAAUAUUCAUUUAGUUUGAACUCCAGAUUCAGGCAACUCAAAAUCUCCGCCCUCAUUAGGAUUGUAGGAAGCUAGCUUCUUGGAAAGACAUGAAAAUGGGGCAUUUAUAAAUAUGGAAGAAUCGCAAAGGCCUGUUGCUACUUUUGAAUCAUUCCAAUCAAUAACAACUCCAAAGAUAUAUACAAAUUUGUCCCUGGGAAAGAGAUGUUUCCUGGGCAUCUAACCAUCUCUUUAAUAUACUCAGGGUUGUGCACCCUCUUGGUGAUUUUUAUAUAUUGUAGUGAACCUAUCACACCCCAAACCCACUCCAAGGGCAUUACGGUCAUUUCACACCUCAAGCCCAAAGGUUCAAAAUGGAAACAAUACAAACAUUCGUAUUGUAACUGAAAAUUUCCCAAUUACCAAAUUCCUAUUCAGAGUAGUAGGACAAAAUUCUAAAACCUCUAAGUAUCAACUUUUUUUUUUUUUUUUUAAAAAAAAAGAACUAAUAUAUCAACCAAAGUGUUAUUGUCCAAAUAACUCCAAACUUAAAAUAAUUCAAAUGAGAAUUAAAUUUUUAACAUUUAAACAAUGUCCAAAAUAAAAAGAGUUUAAACAAAUAUCCUAUUAAAGCCAAAUUUCCCUCCUAACGAUCACUCAUCGCUCGAACUGAGGUUACAUGAAAGAUUAUCAACAAAGGGGGAUGAGCUCAAAACCUAAUAAGAAACAUUAAUAUAGUUUCAUGGAUCAAACAUUUUCAAUCAUCCUUGCAAAUAGGAGAUAUAACAUAUACUUAUUUUCAUAAAAAAAAAAAUUUUGAGUUCAAAAUGUUAAUACAUUCAAACUUUUCAACAAAACUUUCUCAUAUUCAUUUCAAAACCAAAUCAAAUACAUUCAAAAUAUCUUUACUCAAGUUAUCAAAUGACAAAUGGUACCCAAUUAGGUGGUACUUCACAAUUGAGCAACUAGUUUCAAAUUUGUUCCAUUUAAGGUGAACGAAACCAAAUGUCAACAAUUACAACUUGUUGACUAGGGUCAUAUAAUCCAAAGUCAAACACUUUAUUUCAUUAAUUCAAACUUACAAAACAAAAUAUCGUAUCUCCUCAAUAUUACUGUUGUUACUGUUGCUCCUCUUCAGCAUCAGCAAGUACAAAUUUGAAGCAGGACAGUGUGUCCUUAUGCUUCAUAAACUCCUCUUGAACCAUACAUCUCUACGAAAACAAAAUACCCUAACUUCAUCAAAAGAUUGUCAACAAUAUUACUGAAUGAAAUUUGUUCAGCCAUCUUUCAAAGGUCUAAGGGAAAAUGAAAGGAGUUUUAGCAACAGAAAAAAUGAGAAAAGCCAAGUGAGGACUGAAGGGUCUGAAUAAACUUGGGUGUGUUUGCUCUGUUCAAUUCAAGUGGGAUUAAUUACUUGACCCUCAUGAUUGACCUACCCACCAUAUUUUUCAUUUUUUUUUCUUAUUAAAAUUUUCAGACAAAUAAAAUUACUUGAAAAUUAUUGGAUAUUACUUAUUAUUUAAAAAUUAAAAUAAAAAUUGCUAACCUUCUUGUAAUAUAAUUAGUAAACAUAUUUUCAUUUUAUAAGCUAUAAUCAAACUGGUUUAUAUAUCCUAUUUUUAAAAAUAACAAAGACAGAAAAUUGUCCAUUGAGCACCUAAAUAUUUUAAACUCAUUAUAAUGAAAAAAAAAUGUCCAAAAUAUUUAUUAAAAAAACUAGUUUAAUUUUAUAAUCAUUUUUCAACCCAUAAAUUAUCCAAAAAUAAACUAAAAUCUUUAUCAAGGUUUUUCUAAGUAGAAUUUAAAAAAUGAGAAAUUAAUAUUUGAAACUCCUAAAAAUCAUUAAAUUAAAAUUUAAAAAAAUAAAAUUUGUUUGAUUGUAUUAGAAUCGACAAUAGAAAUGCAAACAUGAGUUUAUAGCUCUUAACAGAUUAGAUUAUGAAACUAAAUGUAUUUUAGAUAGUGGAGUUAGUUCAUACAACAGAAAGGAUGAGGUAUCCAAGAUGUCAAAUAAGGUUGGGGUUGAAGGAAGUGAAGGGAAAUUACCAUAGAUGUGAAAUCGAAAAGGUUGUGAUCCCAUAAGACAUCACUUGACAAUAUCCAAGAAAAUGAAUGACAAAACAUCAGAAUAUCAACAAGCAGAUUGCAUACUUUAUAUCAAGGUAUUUAAUCGUUCUGAUGCAAGCAUUUGAAAUUUUUUUGUUGCAGAAGCUCAAACAUUUCCUAAUAGAUCAUAUCGGUGGGUUGAUGCUAGAGAUGUUGUCAAUGCACACAUUCAAGCAUAUGAGAUCCCAAAGCCAGUGGAAGAUACUGCUUAGUAGAGAGGGAUUUACACUAUUCUGAGACACUGAAGAUUUUGCACAAGCUCUACCCUAAUUUACCCCUGCCCAAAAAGUAAGUUUCUAUUAGUUAUUGCUAGUACUCGUUUGUGCCAUCAUUAGAGUACUUGCCAUUUAAUCUUCUUUUUUUAAUCUUUUGUAAUAUUGUUUGUUGUAAUAGUAGAAUGAUUGUUUCUAUCCAUUAGAUGUAAAUAUGGUGAGACAAACCAUAUUUAAAACCCUACAUGCGUCAUAUUAAUAAUUUAUUUUUAAUCUUUAUAUUAAUGCAUCAAUAAAUGGUAUUGAAGAAAUUACUAGUACAACAAAGGUUACAAGAUUAUAAGUGGGAUCACUCUGAUACAAUGAUGGGAUAAAAGAAAUAGAUGGGGUUAUUGAAUGCAAACCUCCAUACAUAAAUGAUAGAGACUUAACUUGUUCAAUAUAAGUUCCUUGAUGUAAAAUAUCAAUUUUGUUUUCCAAAGUCUUUAUGGCUAUUGGCUUUUCCAUGGAAUACCAAAGAAAGAAAAAAAAAAACAAACCCUCCUUACCUGAGAGUUCAUUUGAACCUUGUUUUUAUUAAUCCAAACCCUAUUGAUUUAUAUAUGACCUAUCAUGGGACUAUGAAGAGUUUUAAAACAACUCAAAGAUAACAAAAAAAAAAAAAUUGAGGUUAAAUAGUGAAAACUACAUUAGAUUCCAAUAAUAGUUUUUACGAUAUAAUGUUGCAUUGGCAGGUUUCAUAAAAAAAUGAAUUAUUCUAUGAAUACUAUUUUUGAUUCCAAAUUUUGAAUUUUCUAAUUCCUUAGUUUAGUGGUGGGUCCCAUAGAAAUUGAAAGUUGUGGAAAAGUAGAAUAUGGACACAAUUUUUUACUUAAUGAGUAGAUUUUACAACACCUUCAAGUAAUUACCCUAAAAAUGAUAGGUCAUUGCAUUGUAAAUAUAUUAAAUUUAAUUGAGAGAUUAUUUAUAAAAAAUAUCAUCAUUUUUUUAAAAGAAUAAUAUGAUCUUACCAUCGUCUCGGGUAGGAAAGCAAUUUAUGGUGGUGUUAGAUUUUUCUUAAUAUAUUCUUGUUCCUUUUUCUUUUUUUCUUUUUGGUGCAUAUUGUAAGUGUGGACCCCGCCCUUUCGAUUGCUCGAAUGCGUUUCCCACUCGAUGGCUAGCUCGAUUUAUUAUUUUAUUUCAAAAAUUGAUUUUUAUUGAUUAUUUGAAAAUGACUUGGAGUCGCCACUUAUUUUUGUUUUAUUUUUAAAGGGUAAACAAAAUAAGAAAGAAAAACCCUAAGUGUGACUCCUUAUUUUGGAAAAUGUGAUCUACGAAAAACCGGAUCAGGUUCGGGGGUCAGGUUACUUAUCGGGAAGGUACGGUAAAGACCGUAGCACCCCUCUAAGUCCCUAAAGUCGGGUCUCUACUAAUAAGAUGAAGCUGACGUGGCAGUCAAUAAGAAAAUCGAUGAAUACUCAAAUCGAUCAUGCACAAUACGAGAAGCAAAACAUGUAUAAAGAACGAACAAAAUAUGAAUAGAUGCGUACCUGGGCGGCAAUCACGAAUGCGCUAUCAUGAAACAUGGUGAGUGAACAAUGAACAUAUAUAAUUAAGCGCAUAUCAAGGAAUAGAGUAGAUCAACCAUGCAUGACAAAUAAAUAAAUCAAUCAGUCAAUCAAUCAUGAAGUCAAGUAUGUGGGGCCCCCACCAAAGCCCGAUUUAUCUUUGUAUGAAUUAGUUCCAUAAAUUCCACUAUUUGGAAUAACAGAAUUAAAUUCGUACUUAUUUUAAAACAUUUUAAAAGUCCAAGAAGGAUUUAAAAAUUGCUUACCGAAUAGAAAAUGGAAGCAAAUUUGAUUAGAAAGGGAUUUAUUGUCUUUAAGAUUACUAAGGAAAAAAAUAAAAUAAAAUGGAAAAUAAAUAAAUAAAUAAAUGAGAAAAUGAAAUAAUAAAAUGAAAAUAAUAGAAUAGAGUGAAAUAACGGAAAUAUUAAGGAGUAGAGAAAACUGUUUGAAAAACGAGUUUUUGAAAUCAAUUUUUGGAAGUAAAGAUGGAGAAAUUAAAAAAAAUGAAAUCCACUUGUUUUAAUAAUGGCUCACCCAAGGAGGCCAUGCGCGCCAUGCAUAAGUGGGUCUUAGGGAUUUGCGUGGCAGUGGGAAAUAAGAGAUUUUCAAUGCGUCAAACUGAUAACUUCCACAAUGGUUGAAAUGUCAUUCGUUCAUGCUACCCGCCAUCUAUAGAAGGAUGAUCCCGGCCGUUCGUUUUGACUCAAAUGCUUUCUUGUAGAUUCUGUUAGAUUAAUUUUUGUAAUUAAUCUAUAAUUUGGGCCACACAUGUAAAUAAUUAAAAUGUGUGUGCUAUCAUUUAAUUAAGCCUAAAUAUAGUGAUCUAAUUAAUAAUUGAUUAAUUGGCUUAAGGGUAUAAUUGUCAUGAGAUUAUUGUGUAGAUACCAUUAGACAAUUAUUAUUUCUAUGAGGGGCAGAAAUAUAAUUGUGAUAAAAUUAAAACUGCCCUAGCAGUUUAUAAAUAGGGUUAUGGUCCCCAUUCUACGACUACGCAUUCCAAUUUCUGAAAAUCCUCUCAGAGAGAAAUUGACACAGAAUCUAGUGGCUAGAAUUGGAAGACCAUCUCAAAGGGUUUUUUUUUCUAUAAGGUUUCUCCUUCAAUGGAUUCAGGUAUGCUUCCGCUAUUAUUUUUCUACUCAUUGUUUUUAAUCAGGAGAUUCCAGUGUAUAUAUAAAUUAAGGUAUUCACCUUGUUAAAUAUUUCAGUACAUAUGUAGUUAGGGUAUUCACCCUAUUAAAUAUUCCAGUACAUAUGUAGUUAGGGUAUUCACCCAGUUAACUAUUCCAGUAUAUAUGAAAUCAGGGUAUUCAUCUUGGUUGAAUACUAACAAGUGGUAUCAGAGCCUACUCCUUGAUUAAUUCUUUGAGUUAUUAUUUUAAUAUAUAUAUGUCAAUGGAUUAAGAUUUAUGAAAUAUUGAGUUGAUAAAUUUUUAUUUUAUUAUUAUUAUUAUUAUUAUUAUUAUUAUUAUUAUUUAAUAGCAUUUUAUGAUAUUAAUAUUUAAGUUAUUGAUCUAGCAUUUUAAAUAGGCUAAUUAAAGCGGAAAAUCACCAAAGUGACAUCUUCCGUGUAGAUUAGUCUGUUCGGGGUGUUAGAUAUUUGUGUGUAUGUGAUUCAUGCGGGUAUUGACUGGCCCAAAGGAAAGUUAAUAUUUGGUUAAAUUGCAUACAUACUUGUGGUGAUAAAUAUGUGAUGAUUAUAAAGGUAACUUAAUGUGAAUAAUAAAUCAAUCCAAAGAUAGAUUUAUUAUUUGACAUAACUUAUCAUCAAUGUUUGAUCACUACAACAAGAGUACCACUUACAGUUAAUAUUACUGUCCAAAGACUUAAUAUUAAUGUUGUGCUAGGUAUCUUGAAAUGUCAUAAUUUGCUUUUAAAUUUAAAGAUUAUGUGUUUAAUUGCUUAUUUUAUGUGAGCAUGAUGGUUUAUUUGAUUCAUUUNNNNNNNNNNNNNNNNNNNNNNNNNNNNNNNNNNNNNNNNNNNNNNNNNNNNNNNNNNNNNNNNNNNNNNNNNNNNNNNNNNNNNNNNNNNNNNNNNNNNNNNNNNNNNNNNNNNNNNNNNNNNNNNNNNNNNNNNNNNNNNNNNNNNNNNNNNNNNNNNNNNNNNNNNNNNNNNNNNNNNNNNNNNNNNNNNNNNNNNNNNNNNNNNNNNNNNNNNNNNNNNNNNNNNNNNNNNNNNNNNNNNNNNNNNNNNNNNNNNNNNNNNNNNNNNNNNNNNNNNNNNNNNNNNNNNNNNNNNNNNNNNNNNNNNNNNNNNNNNNNNNNNNNNNNNNNNNNNNNNNNNNNNNNNNNNNNNNNNNNNNNNNNNNNNNNNNNNNNNNNNNNNNNNNNNNNNNNNNNNNNNNNNNNNNNNNNNNNNNNNNNNNNNNNNNNNNNNNNNNNNNNNNNNNNNNNNNNNNNNNNNNNNNNNNNNNNNNNNNNNNNNNNNNNNNNNNNNNNNNNNNNNNNNNNNNNNNNNNNNNNNNNNNNNNNNNNNNNNNNNNNNNNNNNNNNNNNNNNNNNNNNNNNNNNNNNNNNNNNNNNNNNNNNNNNNNNNNNNNNNNNNNNNNNNNNNNNNNNNNNNNNNNNNNNNNNNNNNNNNNNNNNNNNNNNNNNNNNNNNNNNNNNNNNNNNNNNNNNNNNNNNNNNNNNNNNNNNNNNNNNNNNNNNNNNNNNNNNNNNNNNNNNNNNNNNNNNNNNNNNNNNNNNNNNNNNNNNNNNNNNNNNNNNNNNNNNNNNNNNNNNNNNNNNNNNNNNNNNNNNNNNNNNNNNNNNNNNNNNNNNNNNNNNNNNNNNNNNNNNNNNNNNNNNNNNNNNNNNNNNNNNNNNNNNNNNNNNNNNNNNNNNNNNNNNNNNNNNNNNNNNNNNNNNNNNNNNNNNNNNNNNNNNNNNNNNNNNNNNNNNNNNNNNNNNNNNNNNNNNNNNNNNNNNNNNNNNNNNNNNNNNNNNNNNNNNNNNNNNNNNNNNNNNNNNNNNNNNNNNNNNNNNNNNNNNNNNNNNNNNNNNNNNNNNNNNNNNNNNNNNNNNNNNNNNNNNNNNNNNNNNNNNNNNNNNNNNNNNNNNNNNNNNNNNNNNNNNNNNNNNNNNNNNNNNNNNNNNNNNNNNNNNNNNNNNNNNNNNNNNNNNNNNNNNNNNNNNNNNNNNNNNNNNNNNNNNNNNNNNNNNNNNNNNNNNNNNNNNNNNNNNNNNNNNNNNNNNNNNNNNNNNNNNNNNNNNNNNNNNNNNNNNNNNNNNNNNNNNNNNNNNNNNNNNNNNNNNNNNNNNNNNNNNNNNNNNNNNNNNNNNNNNNNNNNNNNNNNNNNNNNNNNNNNNNNNNNNNNNNNNNNNNNNNNNNNNNNNNNNNNNNNNNNNNNNNNNNNNNNNNNNNNNNNNNNNNNNNNNNNNNNNNNNNNNNNNNNNNNNNNNNNNNNNNNNNNNNNNNNNNNNNNNNNNNNNNNNNNNNNNNNNNNNNNNNNNNNNNNNNNNNNNNNNNNNNNNNNNNNNNNNNNNNNNNNNNNNNNNNNNNNNNNNNNNNNNNNNNNNNNNNNNNNNNNNNNNNNNNNNNNNNNNNNNNNNNNNNNNNNNNNNNNNNNNNNNNNNNNNNNNNNNNNNNNNNNNNNNNNNNNNNNNNNNNNNNNNNNNNNNNNNNNNNNNNNNNNNNNNNNNNNNNNNNNNNNNNNNNNNNNNNNNNNNNNNNNNNNNNNNNNNNNNNNNNNNNNNNNNNNNNNNNNNNNNNNNNNNNNNNNNNNNNNNNNNNNNNNNNNNNNNNNNNNNNNNNNNNNNNNNNNNNNNNNNNNNNNNNNNNNNNNNNNNNNNNNNNNNNNNNNNNNNNNNNNNNNNNNNNNNNNNNNNNNNNNNNNNNNNNNNNNNNNNNNNNNNNNNNNNNNNNNNNNNNNNNNNNNNNNNNNNNNNNNNNNNNNNNNNNNNNNNNNNNNNNNNNNNNNNNNNNNNNNNNNNNNNNNNNNNNNNNNNNNNNNNNNNNNNNNNNNNNNNNNNNNNNNNNNNNNNNNNNNNNNNNNNNNNNNNNNNNNNNNNNNNNNNNNNNNNNNNNNNNNNNNNNNNNNNNNNNNNNNNNNNNNNNNNNNNNNNNNNNNNNNNNNNNNNNNNNNNNNNNNNNNNNNNNNNNNNNNNNNNNNNNNNNNNNNNNNNNNNNNNNNNNNNNNNNNNNNNNNNNNNNNNNNNNNNNNNNNNNNNNNNNNNNNNNNNNNNNNNNNNNNNNNNNNNNNNNNNNNNNNNNNNNNNNNNNNNNNNNNNNNNNNNNNNNNNNNNNNNNNNNNNNNNNNNNNNNNNNNNNNNNNNNNNNNNNNNNNNNNNNNNNNNNNNNNNNNNNNNNNNNNNNNNNNNNNNNNNNNNNNNNNNNNNNNNNNNNNNNNNNNNNNNNNNNNNNNNNNNNNNNNNNNNNNNNNNNNNNNNNNNNNNNNNNNNNNNNNNNNNNNNNNNNNNNNNNNNNNNNNNNNNNNNNNNNNNNNNNNNNNNNNNNNNNNNNNNNNNNNNNNNNNNNNNNNNNNNNNNNNNNNNNNNNNNNNNNNNNNNNNNNNNNNNNNNNNNNNNNNNNNNNNNNNNNNNNNNNNNNNNNNNNNNNNNNNNNNNNNNNNNNNNNNNNNNNNNNNNNNNNNNNNNNNNNNNNNNNNNNNNNNNNNNNNNNNNNNNNNNNNNNNNNNNNNNNNNNNNNNNNNNNNNNNNNNNNNNNNNNNNNNNNNNNNNNNNNNNNNNNNNNNNNNNNNNNNNNNNNNNNNNNNNNNNNNNNNNNNNNNNNNNNNNNNNNNNNNNNNNNNNNNNNNNNNNNNNNNNNNNNNNNNNNNNNNNNNNNNNNNNNNNNNNNNNNNNNNNNNNNNNNNNNNNNNNNNNNNNNNNNNNNNNNNNNNNNNNNNNNNNNNNNNNNNNNNNNNNNNNNNNNNNNNNNNNNNNNNNNNNNNNNNNNNNNNNNNNNNNNNNNNNNNNNNNNNNNNNNNNNNNNNNNNNNNNNNNNNNNNNNNNNNNNNNNNNNNNNNNNNNNNNNNNNNNNNNNNNNNNNNNNNNNNNNNNNNNNNNNNNNNNNNNNNNNNNNNNNNNNNNNNNNNNNNNNNNNNNNNNNNNNNNNNNNNNNNNNNNNNNNNNNNNNNNNNNNNNNNNNNNNNNNNNNNNNNNNNNNNNNNNNNNNNNNNNNNNNNNNNNNNNNNNNNNNNNNNNNNNNNNNNNNNNNNNNNNNNNNNNNNNNNNNNNNNNNNNNNNNNNNNNNNNNNNNNNNNNNNNNNNNNNNNNNNNNNNNNNNNNNNNNNNNNNNNNNNNNNNNNNNNNNNNNNNNNNNNNNNNNNNNNNNNNNNNNNNNNNNNNNNNNNNNNNNNNNNNNNNNNNNNNNNNNNNNNNNNNNNNNNNNNNNNNNNNNNNNNNNNNNNNNNNNNNNNNNNNNNNNNNNNNNNNNNNNNNNNNNNNNNNNNNNNNNNNNNNNNNNNNNNNNNNNNNNNNNNNNNNNNNNNNNNNNNNNNNNNNNNNNNNNNNNNNNNNNNNNNNNNNNNNNNNNNNNNNNNNNNNNNNNNNNNNNNNNNNNNNNNNNNNNNNNNNNNNNNNNNNNNNNNNNNNNNNNNNNNNNNNNNNNNNNNNNNNNNNNNNNNNNNNNNNNNNNNNNNNNNNNNGAGCAAAUUUUGAGCUCAUAAGGUUAAACACAUUUAUUUGAUUACAUAUGCAUGUGGCCCAGUGGGAGAUUGUUAGAUUAAUUUUUGUAAUUAAUCUAUAAUUUGGGCCACACAUGUAAAUAAUUAAAAUGUGUGUGCUAUCAUUUAAUUAAGCCUAAAUAUAGUGAUCUAAUUAAUAAUUGAUUAAUUGGCUUAAGGGUAUAAUUGUCAUGAGAUUAUUGUGUAGAUACCAUUAGACAAUUAUUAUUUCUAUGAGGGGCAGAAAUAUAAUUGUGAUAAAAUUAAAACUGCCCUAGCAGUUUAUAAAUAGGGUUAUGGUCCCCAUUCUACGACUACGCAUUCCAAUUUCUGAAAAUCCUCUCAGAGAGAAAUUGACACAGAAUCUAGUGGCUAGAAUUGGAAGACCAUCUCAAAGGGUUUUUUUUUCUAUAAGGUUUCUCCUUCAAUGGAUUCAGGUAUGCUUCCGCUAUUAUUUUUCUACUCAUUGUUUUUAAUCAGGAGAUUCCAGUGUAUAUAUAAAUUAAGGUAUUCACCUUGUUAAAUAUUUCAGUACAUAUGUAGUUAGGGUAUUCACCUUAUUAAAUAUUCCAGUACAUAUGUAGUUAGGGUAUUCACCCAGUUAACUAUUCCAGUAUAUAUGAAAUCAGGGUAUUCAUCUUGGUUGAAUACUAACAGAUUCUUGAGCUACUCCUCUCGUGUCCUCUCAAACGCAUCGUAAUCCCCCAGGUAAGACUUCAGUCAUAAAACAUCAUGAAGGUCAAGAAGAUUCAUGGGUACAUCAAGUCGUAAUGAAUCAGGUUCUAUACACGGUGCACGAGCAAGAGCAAUUCGCGUUUGCCAACUUUCAGAAAAGGUUUUCUUGUUGCUCUAUGCCGCAUUCUAGGAGUGAAACCGAGAUCCACAAGAACGGAGCCUGCACGGGACUUAGCGGAGUAUGCAUCAAUGAACUCAAUCCUUUUGUAUGUCUCUUCAAGCCUUUGUCCAACAACAUCUUUGUCAAUAUCCCCAUUCAGUUUCUCUUGGCUCUCUAGUCUGCUACUCUCUGGAUCUUGGCGAAGGCUGUAAACGAUUCUACUGCUCAGCGUUCCAACUGAACCUCCUUUCCAUAGCAGCCAUUUUGAGUGGAUUCUCCUUUCUGCUUAGGUCCAUUAGCAUCAUGAAAGGCGUGACUUUUGCUGAAGGUGAUAGAAGCCAAUGUCGGGAAUCUUCUCUAACCGGACCCCAUCAAUACUUAAUAGCCCGAUUCCAAUAAGCCUUGAGUUCCGAGGACUGGGCGCGCUUUAAACAGAUUGAAAAUUCCCCGACUCUGUGAUUAUGAGGAUUGCCCUGUAAACUUGGAAAAAAUAACAUAGUUGAUGACAGAUUCUAAGUCUAGUCCCAGAAUAGAAUCUUUCUUGAAGAAGGUCAUGCCACCCUAAGGCCUUUAAGCAACUUGUGUGCUGUUGUCAUUACAAUAUCACAGGGCUUAAAGGGGUCAGCAACCACGGAAGCAGCAACAAGUCCAUUAAUGGGAGCCAUAUCCACCAUGAGAAAAAUCAUCAACGCCACCUGUAGAUUCAUCAAUUCGAUAAGGCAUAGACUCAAAAUGAAUUGAUGUGUCUGAUGCCCGUCUUUUAAGAGUCAUGAGACCAUGAGACAAGUGGCUCUAUGAGGUGAAUUUAAACCCAAGGCUCUGUCAUGUAGAUUAAGAAGGGCAGUAUACGCUUCAAAGUUAGCUGGAGAGCCAGAUAAUGCUUGAACAUUGAUACCCCACUUCCUAUCGUCUAAGUGAAAUGCUGCCAAAACCCUCUUCUGUCAGAGUGUUCCCAGCUCAUCAAUGAGCUCGUUAUCACCAUAAUACUUUUUACCAAGCAAUCCCUCAGAACAUUUGUUUGGUGAGGCAAGGAUCAAUGGCUUCCAUCAUUGUCCGGGAUGUAAAAUCCUCUGAAGCAAUAAACUCUAAACUCUUCAUUUGUUGUUUUUUCCCUCAGGAAAUCCCCUUCAUGAAACCGUCUUCUGGUCCCGAGCUUUGGAAACCGUGCCCAUAUGAAAACCCGAGGCUCAUGCUGGACCAAAACCCUUCUCCUUGAGGGUAUGAAUGGCCAUCGAGAACAGAGUAUAAACAGCAAGGGAGCAAAUACAAAAACAGAGUAUCAACUGAACCAAAGAAAACACUAACCCGAGCUCCAUUUCAUAUUGGAGCCAGUGGGCUUAUGCAUGGGUGGGAAAAACCAGGGGAAACUAAGAUCUCAAAGAUAUGACUCAAAUAUUCAAAUGAGAGUUAUAAAGGAAUCAGAUUAUACUAAAACAAUUUUUCAAUGAAGAGCAAAGCACGGAUACAUUAUCACAAAGUAACAGCAACCCAAAUGACAUCAAUGGAAAUCCAAAAUGUGGUCUAGCAAACGUACCUGAGGAUGUUCCUUUUCUUCCCUUUAUUUUCUUUUAAUUUCUCUCUGGUUUUCCUCUCGAACUCACCCACAAAACCAGUCUGCUCCUCUCUGUUUUCUCUCCAGUGUUUUUCCCCUCAAACGCUUUCUCUCAUCCUAAAAGCACUCUGGUUCUCUCAGCCUCCUUCUCCAGAAUCUCCCUUCUCUCACCUUAGCAGCCUGCUCACUGCAAAAUCCGCCACCAAAAGCCCCCACCACUACUCUGCAGCCUUCUCCUCUCUUUCAGCUCCCUGCUCCUCUCCAGCUUGCUCCUCCUUUUUCUCUCACUCUCCCUGCAGCUGCAUCCUCCCUCUCUACCCAAAGUAACCCAACCAAAAACUCCUGCCCCCACUCUAAUGGAAAAGCAUCUCCCUCUCUCAUCCGCUCCUCCCUGCAGCUGGCAAAACGGUUUGCAACUUUUGCAGAUUCCCUCACACCCCGUGUCACCUUCUCAUUGGCUCUUAAAACCACUAUUUUGAUUCCACAACAGCCAAUCUCAGGACAGCAUGUGGACUCCUAGGAUGGUGACAUCUGGCCAUAGCUAGCUGCAAGAAAGGAAACGUGAGAAAAAUCACAGCUCCCCAAAAUGGGGGUCUACAGUAAGGUUUCAAGUUCCUUUAGAAAUAUGAACAACGAUGAAGAGUUAGAAAUUUUGGAACAUUAAGUACAUAGUUAAAGCCAUGUUUAGAUAGUUGAAAUUCCUAUAAAAAAAAAAUACAAAAAUGAAAAAAUGAAAGAAGUUCAAAUUUUAUUUGAUUAUCUUAAAAAAUAAAAGAAAUUACAAAUAAUGAAAAUUGUUUAGAUUUUAUAUACUUUCUAAUGUUUACUCUUUAUAGACAAAAAAAACAAAUAAUUUUUUUUGAGGUUCUGAAAAUAAUUAAACUUAAGCUUAAUUUUUGUUUUUCUUGAUUUUUAAUGCCUUUCAUAAUUUUCCUUUACAAUUUUUCCCACUUAAUCCAAAACUUUCCAAGGUCUAAAUUUCAUAGGUGUUUCAUCUUCUUUUUAAUUAAGAAGUUUUGAAUGUUUCAAUUCAAAUUCCACAAUAAGGUAAUAAAACCUUAAAAUUAAUAUUACAUCUAGGUUGACUUGGUAAUCAACUUGAACCAAACCUAAAUUAAGAAACAUUCAGUCCUAACCUAACCAAAUAUAGCCUCAAAUAUGAGGUGUAUAGUUAAAACUCAACUUAUUUCUAUAUAUUAAAGUGAGGCUUAAAUUGACUCUGGUAUACUUGUAGUCGAGUUGAGUUGUUUAAGUUGUAUAAUCAGAGCUAAGUUUUGUAAGAUUGAAUUGGGGUGAACUCAUUCAUAAUGUUUAUUUUUUUUAACUUCUUUUAUAUCAUAAUUUAAAUAGCAAAUAGGACAACAUUUAAACAUAAUAAAAAAAAUGAGAAUGAAUUUAUGUAUCUUUCUUACAAAAAUGAAAUAAUAUAAUUAAAAUUUAAUAUUUUUUUAAAUACUAAAAAACAUAAAAUAGAUAUUAUUAUAUAAAAUACAAUAAAUUACAAAUAUUAUAAAAAUAUAAAAAUUAGGUUAUAUAUGUAUGUAUGUAUGAAUGUAUGUAUAAAAUAGUAGUGUGAUAGGUGUUUGCUACUUGUAAAAAGUAUUUUUGCUCAUUUUUAAAUUGAAAUUAAUAAAAAGAAAAAGAAAUAAAAUGUUUUCAAAAAUAUUAAAUGCAUAACUAAUAUUAUGCUAAUGAAGUUUUUUGUUCUUUGUAAUUUAGAGUUGUCUCAUUCAUAUUUUAAGGUAAACUAAUAGAACAUUAAACUCCCCAAUAUUGUAUCCAUCUAGAAUUUAUCACCAUUUUAUUUUAUAUCAUAUCACAAUUAUAUUAAUUAGUGGCUUCAAGAAAAAAAAAAAUUAUUUAUAUGUUAGACAACAUGGAAAAGAUAUAUUUUUUAAUGCUUAUUAAUAAUUUUUAUUUCAAAUUUUAAAACAUGAAUAUAUAAAUUUUAACAAUUAUGAAAUAUUAGUCUAAAUAUCUUUUAAUAUUUGGUUAUGUUUGCAAAGCAUUUUUAAUAAAAAUUAUGAAAAACAAUUUUUGAGAGUAAUUUACAAAAACAUUUUUUAUUUAUUUUUAAAUAUAUUUUAAAAAUAACUUUAUCUCAUAUAUAGUACUUUAUUUUAAUCGUUCUCUAUUUAAAAUAACUCUAUGAAAAGAAACGAAAAUAAUUAAAAGAUUUAUCUUAAAACAUUUUAUUUUUUUAUUUUUAUGAAUAGAAAACUUUUUUUUUUUGUCAAAUGUGUCUUCUUGUUUUUGUUUUUGUUUUUUUAAAAAACAAAAAACUGUUUUAAAAAAUAAUUACCAACCAUGCUUGAACACAAAGCCCGAAGCUCCCGUGGGGCUGGUUUUGGGCCUUUUAGGUUUGGGAAAAACAGUCGGGCCUGGCUGAGCACAAAUUCUUCUCUUUUAAAUCCAAAAAGCCCGUCUCAAGCCCAAACUUCAGGUUGGGCCGGGAAGCUCCUGGCUUAACACAAAUUAUUCUCUUUUAAGUCCAAAAAUACAGUCUGAAGCCCAAAAUUUCGGGUUGGUCCGGCCGGGCGGGCGGAUAUGAAAUAUAAGAAAAUAAAUAGGGAAAACUGUGUUUUGGUCCGCCCAUUUGGGCCUAAUAGCUUUUUGGUAACCCAACUUUCCAUAACCCAAAAAAUGUCCACUGUUGCCCAAAAAAAUAUCCCUUUCAUGCACUAUCCACUGUUUUAUAAUUUCAUUUCCAAAAUUACCCCUCCAGCCUUCCAUAUCAGCAGCCAUCUCCCUCUCCAUGUCACGGGUUGUGCUUUCAAAUAAACACAAAAAUCUUAAACAAGUUAGCAAAACCCACGCAAGACCUGACUCUGAAAUUUGGGAAACCAGGUUAGGGCAAAAGGAGAGAAAGUCACAGAGAGUCCUUAGCUUCUUUCUCUUCUCUCUCUUUUCUCUCUGUUGUGUGAAUUUCUCAGUGAAAAAUCGAAAGCUUGUAAGCUGUAAUCGAAAGUUAGGUUCAGUGCUUUUUUGGUACUUUGUCGGAUGGCCCAAGCAGCCAGUAGCAGAUACUCAAAUUUUAUGCUUGGGUUUUACUUGAAUGCUCAUACAUUAGCUGUCAUCUUCAAGGUCCAUUUGGUUUUAAUGCAUCUGGAUCACGCAGCUGAGCAGAGGAAAGAGGAAAUGAAUCUGUUACUGGUUUGAUAUUUUUGGGGCUUAGGUGCUUACGAGCUGUACGGUGUAAGCAAAAUCCUCGUUAAAAGUCUAACUUAAGACAACUGGCUCUAAAUAGCAUAUGGCCCGGCGUUGAAAGUGGCUGUAGCCUACAAUCUCAAAUCAAGGGGUAAGUCCCAUACCAUUUAAAAGAAUUGUGACCUUCAGUGUCAGAAAUUUUCAGUUAAAUACAAAUGAAUUGCAUCUUCUUCACUGAAUUUUCAGCCUCCGGUUUCAUCUUUGCGAGGUGAGAUUCACAUUCAUUUUCCAUUGAUCGAAUUCCCCCUCCUCUGCCACAGCCUGGCUAGGGACUCGGUUAAGUUAAGAUGCUAACACUGAAUGAAAAUUGAUUCCAACAAUUUUCAUCAAUCAAUUCCUCAAGUACAAAAGCAGAUGGUGUAUGGUGGAUUGCAGUAAUAGAUGAAGUUGGUUUAGUUUAUCCCUCCUUUGAUGGGCACAAGGAUAAAACCAUCUAUUGCUGGGCAAGGUAGCUAGAUGCAGCUUUCCCCAGAAGGCUCGAGGUAGCAGAAUGUCCAUUUUGGUCUCAAGUCGUUCAACAUUGCUGAAGUUCCUUUGCAAUCCUAAUGGAGACUGCCAUUGGGCAGUUUGUCUUAAUUGCGUUGGAGGCAAUGUGUGACCUGCUAACAGCAUAUCCCUCCUGCAACAACCAAAUCCAACAUAUGGACUGCAUCAGUUUCUGUAAACCAUUUGUUGGAGCUCCAGACCAUAGCAAAUAUCUCCAACUUCAAUUGGGAGUGAUCAGCUUCUAUAGAACAAUAAAAUGCCAUACCAUAUUAUAAUUUCCCCUUAUAUUUUUCCCAUUCUCCUAAGCUGGGGCUUGAUGAGUUUUUAGACCAAAAGACUUGUGCAAGUAAACAUCAUCUGGAUUAGGCAACAAAAAAAAAAAUACCUGACUCUGUUUCUUGGCUAAUGACAAUUGAAAAGCCUCUAAAAGAGAACACUAGGAGGAUACCUUGUUCAGGGCGCUCAUCAUGGUCAUGAGGGGAGGAGAGUUUAUUUUUGCACGGCUUGCUACCUAGGAACAUAAGAGGAAAAUCAAUAAUGAAAUUGCAUUCAAUUUCCAAGCCAUGCAACAGAGCCUGAGAAUUAAUUCACAACCAAAUCAAGAAUCUAAAACACAAAAUUAUGUUAUUUGCAAGUAAACCUCAUCCAAUUUGAUGUAUCCAAAUGGUAAUUUAGGGUCACUCUCAUCGAUCAUUUGCUUCAGAAGUUUUCCCAGAUGAGUUUCAGUGUCAUUGCCAGUCCAUCCCCAUUGCUCAGCUAAAUUUAGCAUUUCUGUAAGGUAGGAAGCAUUAUGGCAGAGAUUAUCAAAUACAGUGGUUUUGCUUUUAAGUUGCUUAGGUAUUACCUUAAUGACCUUUAGGUACUACCUUAGUGGCCUUCAGGUACUACCUUAAGGGCCCCUAGGUACUACCUUACCAAAACUUCAACUCAACCUCUCCUAAGCCUCGGGUUUUCCUUUGUGACCCUUAGACCAUGCCAUUAUAUGCUUCUCUUGAGUCCUCAAGUGGUCCACCAAUGGUUUUAUGCUACUGUUCCUUAGGUACUACCUUAGUGCCCUUAAGGUACUACCUUAGUGGCCUUCAGGUACUACCUUAAGGGACACUAGGUACUACCUUAGCAAACUUCAACUCAACAUCUCCCAAGCCUCGGGUCUUCCUUUGUCACCCUUAGACCAUGCCAUUAUAUGCUUCUCUUGAGUCCUCAAAUGGUCCACCAAUGGUUUUUUGCUACUGUUCCUUAGGUACUACCUUAGUGGCCUUAAGGUACUACCUUAGUGGCCUUCAGGUACUACCUUAGUGGCCUUCAGGUACUACCUUAAGGGACCCUAGGUACUACCUUCGCUAAACUUCAACUCAACAUCUCCCAAGCCUCGGGUCUUCCUUUGUCACCCUUAGACCAUGCCAUUAUAUGCUUCUCUUGAGUCCUCAAAUGGUCCACCAAUGGUUUUUUGCUACUGUUCCUUAGGUACUACCUUAGUGGCCUUAAGGUACUACCUUAGUGGCCUUCAGGUACUACCUUAGUGGNNNNNNNNNNNNNNNNNNNNNNNNNNNNNNNNNNNNNNNNNNNNNNNNNNNNNNNNNNNNNNNNNNNNNNNNNNNNNNNNNNNNNNNNNNNNNNNNNNNNNNNNNNNNNNNNNNNNNNNNNNNNNNNNNNNNNNNNNNNNNNNNNNNNNNNNNNNNNNNNNNNNNNNNNNNNNNNNNNNNNNNNNNNNNNNNNNNNNNNNNNNNNNNNNNNNNNNNNNNNNNNNNNNNNNNNNNNNNNNNNNNNNNNNNNNNNNNNNNNNNNNNNNNNNNNNNNNNNNNNNNNNNNNNNNNNNNNNNNNNNNNNNNNNNNNNNNNNNNNNNNNNNNNNNNNNNNNNNNNNNNNNNNNNNNNNNNNNNNNNNNNNNNNNNNNNNNNNNNNNNNNNNNNNNNNNNNNNNNNNNNNNNNNNNNNNNNNNNNNNNNNNNNNNNNNNNNNNNNNNNNNNNNNNNNNNNNNNNNNNNNNNNNNNNNNNNNNNNNNNNNNNNNNNNNNNNNNNNNNNNNNNNNNNNNNNNNNNNNNNNNNNNNNNNNNNNNNNNNNNNNNNNNNNNNNNNNNNNNNNNNNNNNNNNNNNNNNNNNNNNNNNNNNNNNNNNNNNNNNNNNNNNNNNNNNNNNNNNNNNNNNNNNNNNNNNNNNNNNNNNNNNNNNNNNNNNNNNNNNNNNNNNNNNNNNNNNNNNNNNNNNNNNNNNNNNNNNNNNNNNNNNNNNNNNNNNNNNNNNNNNNNNNNNNNNNNNNNNNNNNNNNNNNNNNNNNNNNNNNNNNNNNNNNNNNNNNNNNNNNNNNNNNNNNNNNNNNNNNNNNNNNNNNNNNNNNNNNNNNNNNNNNNNNNNNNNNNNNNNNNNNNNNNNNNNNNNNNNNNNNNNNNNNNNNNNNNNNNNNNNNNNNNNNNNNNNNNNNNNNNNNNNNNNNNNNNNNNNNNNNNNNNNNNNNNNNNNNNNNNNNNNNNNNNNNNNNNNNNNNNNNNNNNNNNNNNNNNNNNNNNNNNNNNNNNNNNNNNNNNNNNNNNNNNNNNNNNNNNNNNNNNNNNNNNNNNNNNNNNNNNNNNNNNNNNNNNNNNNNNNNNNNNNNNNNNNNNNNNNNNNNNNNNNNNNNNNNNNNNNNNNNNNNNNNNNNNNNNNNNNNNNNNNNNNNNNNNNNNNNNNNNNNNNNNNNNNNNNNNNNNNNNNNNNNNNNNNNNNNNNNNNNNNNNNNNNNNNNNNNNNNNNNNNNNNNNNNNNNNNNNNNNNNNNNNNNNNNNNNNNNNNNNNNNNNNNNNNNNNNNNNNNNNNNNNNNNNNNNNNNNNNNNNNNUUACUUUUCUUUAUGGCUUUAUUGUGGUGAAUAUUGGAAACAGCUUGGAUUUGUUUAAUUUCCAUGGAAGGUCCAAAUAGUCCAUGAGACAUGUCUUUGUAAUAUGAGUUAAGAGAAUGUUGACUUGUUAGUGUUAGUGUUGGACGGCCCAUCCAAAUGGCAUGUAUUUAAACUUGCCAUACAGGAAUCAUAGAGACAUGUCUUUAUUUUCCCUAUAAAGUCCCAUGUCUGUUCUGAUUAACUUUCCAUGGUUUAUAAUCAAUGAAGGUGUUCACUACUCACCAUUGGAUGGUUCGGAUAUACAAAUUAAAACCUCCGAAGAACAGGAUCCGUGUAAAAACAAAGAAAUCAAAAUCGGUAUGCAUGAUAAACACCUGUAGAUUGUAUUCGUUUCUGAUUCAGUGCAAAAUUACCCACUGACCUUUUGUUGCCUCCUCCCUUUGCAGAAAGCAAGCUCCACAACCAGCUCAAAAAAAUAAGUGGAAAAAAAAAAGAAGAAUCCCUGGCAAUGAAAGGCACUUUCAGAAGAUGUUGUCUCCAAUCAGUUACUUGUAACCCACAUAUUUAAUAUCCAAAACACUAAUUUGUUCUCUUAAAAGUAAUUUCUACAGCAAUUUUAUCGUGGUCAAUCCCAAACAGGCCUUUAUUAUGAUUUCUAUAUCCAUAUCCUCUCUUUUCAAUUUCUUCCUUUCAUUUUCCCUCUCAUGUGGGAUGGGUAAACUUUGCACUUUCUAAAGUCAUCUUUAAUGUUCUAACUGAGUGGUAUCCUACAUAAAUAUUUUCUACAAACUCAGAAUGACCUCAGCGACAAAAGCCAACCCCUUGAAGUAGAGGUAUAGAAGUAAAUUGCAUUCACAGCUAAUUUUGUCCCCUAUUUUCAAUCAAGUCACAGCUAACAAUUUUAUAUAUAGCAUUCAAAUUGCAUUCCACUCCACAGACUAUACAACAUUCAGAUGCAAAAUUGUCUUCUUACCCUUCCAGAAAGCCUAUAUCUCAACCAAUCAUUCAAAACUAGGACAUAGAAAUGCCAAAAGUGCAUAAACAGAAUGCCACCUUAUGAAUCUCCACAGUAAAAUUAUCAAUCUUUUCUCAUGUCAUUCAACAUUGUUUUCAUAAUUUUCUCACUUUCAUACAAGGAGUAUAUAUUCAAAAAACAAAGAAACAGAAAAAUCAAUUAAAUAGGCAAGAUUAAUUGGACAGAGUUUCUACUGGAUAUGAGGUAGUUGGCUGAAGAAGAGAAAAAUUGAUCACUGAUAUCUGCACACUUUCUUUGAGCAUAGAAACUCCCAAGCUUAAUUAAUCUUCCAAACCAUCGAUCAAAUACACUAUUCUGAGUGAGACCGUGGAAAGGGCAUCUCAGCGAAAAAAAUCCAACAACAAAUUUUACUAUACAGGAGCUAUAUUUUAUUCCAAAAGGAGACGGUCUUUGAUCUUGAAGCCCAAAUCAAUAUAUAUAUAUAUACUAGGAGCUUCUGACUUCUCCCUGGUGUAAUAAAAAGUGAGCUACAAAAUGACCCAGAGCAGGUCCCACCUCAGAAUUACCUUCAUCUGGUCAUUUUCUUGACACCUCAUAAUUGUUACAGUUUCUUAGGCAGGUUGUAAUUUUUAUUGAGAAUGCACAUACCAUUACUGUAAUAUAUAUUACAGUCCUCAAGCUUCCUCUAUAUUCAAUGGAAUGUGUCUUAAAAUAUAGAGGGAACUAAAGCCUAACUACCCUUAUCCAAAUAACAAAAUAAACCAAGGAGCCUAUUGUGAAGUCUUCAUCUUUGAUAUCUCCUCCAACAGUAAUCUGGAUUUAGCUGCAAAAUCAACUGCCACAACAGCCUUGGCUGUUAUCCACUGCCUUUUCUCAUUCAUGUAUUCAUGUUGUGCAACACUAAUCCGGAAAAGAUGAGGGACCCAAAUAGCUUCCUUCAAUUUCUGCUGGAAUCGGUUCUCCUCUCCCUCCUGCAGAGAAAAUUGGGUUUUUAAAACAUCAGAUUUUGAAUGCCAGAAGUUCAUCAUUUUUUUCUUCCAUAGAACCCAACUAGGCUACCAAAUAAGUAACCAACUACAUAUGAAUUAAUGCAUCAAUGAGCAACUCUUUCAAGUUAACUAAGAUUUGGACAAACUCCUAGAUAUUUCAAUAUUGCCAAGAGUUUACCUGUGAUUUAAGCUUAUCAAGCUCAUCAGCAGAGCACCCAAAUAUUCUCUCUGCUUGUUCAUUAAACAGAGCAAGGCAAGCUUCACCACUAUCAUCUGAAACUUUCACUACCAUUAUGUACCUGGAAAACAUAACAGAAUGUAACAAAGAAACAUCAUUCAUAGGACAACUUUUCCUAUUUUAAAUACUAUCACUGAAUUCUUAUUGAUUCAAAUUCCAUGAAUCCCUCACCUUCAACUGCACUCAUCAUCAUUCUUUUCACAUCCUUCACACCAAUACCCAGAUUCAAUAGCAUCUGUGACUUUCUUGUUGCAUGUCUUACAAGCCUGGUACCACAUUGUUUGCUCAGGCUUGAUGAAGCUUAUGUAUGCUCUGAUGCUAAAAAAUGAAGGCUAUACAGAGACAAGCCCACAUUAUCAAAACUUAAAAUGAUUUUAACUUAAAACUUUGGCUAAGACCAGUUUGAUCAUGUUAGGUUAUUUUAAUGACAGUAAUUAUUACCUUGUCUUCACCCAAAGAUGGGUUGCUGGUUACAUGAGAAAGGGAAACCCUGUCAUAGUACAUGGACCUCACUCCACCCUUAGAUGAAGGACUGAUAUCAGACCCAAUAGAAGCUAAUCAUGAUACCUGUGAACAAGAACAUGUGGUCAGAAACUCUUACUAGAAGAACUAACAAGGUAAUAGGUCACUGGAUGAUUCCUUACCAGGAUCUCAACUUUUUUUAUUCCGGUGUAUCUGGAUUUACCAGUGCAAUACUUUUACUCAAUGUUGACAGUGACACACCUAAAACAAGAUAUGAAGAGAACAUUACAAAGAGGACUUCUUAUCAUUCUCAAGUUUUUGAGAAUGUGCUUAAUUGCCAUAAUAAUACCAAACUUCAAGAAAACAAGGGGAAUUACCUUGGAAGUCUCCAACUUUGAGAGAUUUAAUUGCAAUAAUUGGAAAUUUAUCAGCAUUAUCCAACAAUUCCUACCCUACAUUAGUAGCAUGAUCAUUCCACAAAGAGACCACAACACUUUUCUUCCUACAAUUGAAACGUCCAUAAGUUCAAUAUGAAGCAACAUUAGACCAAAGUGACCAGUGCAAAAAAUAAAAUAUACACUCACGUCUUGUCCGCAAUAGUAAUAUCACGCUUAGGAACAAUCUCAUUGUUAUUCUUCCUUCGUAUCCUCAUUGUAGGAGAGACACUUUGAACAACUCCACUAACAUCUGGAAUUAAUAAUGAUAUGGGUCAUAUUACACAAAAGCACCUAAUGAAAUUCACAUCACAACAAAAAAAGGAAGUCAAUAGUAUAAUGAUAGCUCUUUCACAUGAUACUAACAACUUUAACAUACAGAUCCAAACCAUCCAAGAAAUGAGAACUUACAACUGGCAUGUGCAAGUGAGAUCGCAUUAAUGAGGAGAACCUUGGUAUUUUCUUGUUCUUCUUUUCUCAGUGCUUUCCCAGCUUACGAACCACCUCCAGAUUCUGCACCAUUAAAUUUCCACUGAUAAAGCCUACAUGCUCGAAUAUACAAACAAUAAGCCUCUAUAUUUUUCAGCAUAUAUAAUUCUAGUAUAAAGUUUUUAGUAAUAACUAUCAAAAUCACUUGACAAGGUACUUAUCACACAAAACAUAAAUUAAUAAAUAAAAUACUUCACGGGAUAUUCAUUCUAAUGUGCGUCUUCUCUUAUCAAAACUCGCAAGAACACUAAUAAAUGGGAGCUUGAUAUUUACAAUAUACCUUAAAUUGGAUUAAAAAAGUACACCACUAUAUGGUUUUCAACAAGAUUAGCCUACUAAGAAAUGAAGCAAAAGGAAUUAUGAUAAAAUUCUUGAUGUAAUAUUACCCAUUACAACACACCAAUGAUAAGUGUUACAUAUGUGUUCUUGGUUGGUAACAACCUUUAGAAGAGUGUUCAAAACAUGUAAUGGAUAUACAAAAAACACAUAGUUUCAGUCAUGGAAGAAUGUGACAGCAUUGCACUUAAGCCAAAGGGUUGUUGCACGUUUUCCUAUUGUGCCCGGAAGUAUGACAUCUUGAGCAAGAGACAGUCCGUUUAUCUUGCAAUUGGGACUCAAUGCGCUUCUUUCUUGGUCUGCCGGGAGGCCGCUUGGUAUGGGGUGGGUUAAGAGAGAAGAAAACUUCACCGGUGAUAGAUCGAACCAAACCAUCAUUAGCGACCAUUGGCAUGUCAUGGGUCUCUAUACCGGAGAAGGAGCCCGAGUAAAUCAGCUCUUGCAUUGGGAAUUUGUACCAAUCUUGAACAAAAUCAACAACAUUCUGACCGAUGGAAAGAAUAACGGCUGCCGCAUGUUCACAAGGGAUGCCCAACAUUUCCCAACCCCUACAUGUGCAAGUACGCUUUAUAAUGUCCACAUUCAAGAAGGUGGUUCCAAUAGAAACCCCAAAUAUUCCGUUCAUGAAAGGAGUGACCGGAUACACCUCACCCUUGGCAAUUUUCUGCUGAACUUUUUCUUCAAUUUUUGGCCCUAUGCAUCCUUUCCAAUUGUUUGAUUCCUCUUUAUGUUUGACAAGCAUAGAACCUAACUUAGCCAUAUGCUCCAUUAGAAAUGUACAAAUGGAGUGAUGUCUUUCAUUCCUUAGCCAAGCAUUAAACGACUCGGCAAGGUUUGUGGUCAUUUUAUCCCAUCUUUGUUUUGGGAAUUUGGACAUAGCCCAAUGUUCGGGUUCAUUUUCUUCAACCCAUUUGGCCAAAGCGUCAUUGUAUUGUCGUAGUUCAAACAUGGAAACAUUGUAAUCGUGCUCUAACCUUGCAUAGGCUAUACUAUCAAGGAAUUGGAGUGCAUUUUCUUUACCUUUGUUCCCUCUUGUGUUAUGUUUGCUCAAGAAAGAGCUGAAAUUUUCCUUCAAGUGACAGUAACAGUAGGCAUGGUUUUCAAGCCCAAACACUUUAGGAACACUACGAAGGAGGGCGGGAUGUCUAUCCGAGAUAAUAACGACUUCCUUAUCUCCAACAAGCUUCUUCAAAUUUUGCAAAAACCAAGACCAAUCGUCAUAAUUUUUUGAGCUCAUCACGCCAAAGGCUAAGGGGAACAUGGCAUCAUUAGCAUCGUAUGCGGUCGCCGAAAAUAACGCACCCCUAUAUGGCCCACUCAUAUGGGCGGAGUCAAUAGCUAUGAUUGGCCGACACCCCAUUGCAAACCAUUGGAUAGAUACCGAAUGAGCAACAAAGAGUUGCUCAAAAUGUCCAUCACUUGAAUGUCCCAACUCAACAAUGCUUCCCGGAUUUGUUGCAACCAUUUUCUCACACAUCCAAGGCAACAAUUUGUAAUAAUAUUUGGGUUCUCCAUAAAUGCGCUCAUUUGCCUUCUCCUUGAUAUUCCAUGCUUGAAGAUACGUCAAUUGCAUCCCAUGUUGCCUUUGAAAGUCCUUACAAAUUUGGCAGGGUUGGUAAUUGGGAGUGGACCGGAUGACAUCAUCAAUAAGCAAUGAUGCCCGAUUAGAUCUCACUAAAGGUUGGCAUGCAGCAACAUCUUCCAAACUAUGAUUAUGAUGGUUAUGAAAAGUGUGAACCUGGAUGAUGUUCGAAUCCCCAAUUGCACGAGCUGUGACUUUCCAAGGACAUUGAGUAACUGUGCAAACAACUGUCAUGUGUUUCAUAGUAUUCCUCUUGAAGCGAUAACGGAAUCUACCAGCAAUUGACAUCAAAUAAACGGCAUCACGGAACUUGGCAGCAUUGGAGAAGGUAUGUCCACUACCCAUAAUGGAAUUUUCAAACCGCCUUGAGUCACGUUCGAGUAUAUUUGCUUCCGCACAUCUAUGGGAAAACCCAUAUGACUCAAUUGUAAGAGAGUCAUUACAAAUAUUAAUUGGCAGAUCGCCACCGGAUGGAAGUAAGUGUGCAGAAUUCGAACCAACAAUAGGAGAAGGGGCACUACAAAGGAAGAAAAAAAAAAUCAUCCAUCUACAUAUAUUUGAAGAAAAGUUAAUAGACAUAGUGGAUGAGAUGUUGGGAAGGCUAUCAAUACCUAGUCGGUGCUAUAUAGCCUUCAACAACUUCACUUGAUGAUGAGACAUAGACGUGACAAAACAUUUCGUUGAAUCGAAACAUCUUAAGUAGGGCUGCAUCAUCAUGCAACGGUAGUAGACAUGAUGGCUCAAACUUGACCGUGAAUUCCAAUUUGAUAGAAUUCUGGUCAAAGUGCAAUGCAUCACACAGUUUUGAAACAAAAUCACUAUGUGACAUAUGUCGACUAACAACCAUCGAUUCGCUACGACCACCUUGAUAUUGAACAGACCCUCCAACACAUUUAACUAGCUGACCGCCUUCAUGAAUGUAACAGAACAUGUCCUCUUCCAUCACCUUAAUUAAAUAAAAACUUGUUACAAAAAAAAUGACAACAAAAGUAAAUAGGGAUUAUGUAUGAAUAUAAUGAUGAAGGAAAGAGGAGAAGAGAGGGUGGAGAGAAAGGCCAUAAAGGGGUCAUCGUCGGGCCAUGUGAUGGUAAUCGAACGUCUAAGAUUUUUUUCUUAGUGACACAUAAGAUGAAGAGGAAACGAGGGAGCAUGGAUUGAAGGGCCCCUUUCUAUAUUCAAAUCCUUAGUAUAUACAUGUAUCCAUAAUCUAAUGCCAUGAAGUUGCUUAAGGAAUAUGAAUGUUGGCUUCCUCCCUACCCACAUUUCCCAUGUCCUCAUCUACAACCGAUAUUCUAUGUUUCUUUCCACUUCCAUUCCUCAUCAUCCUAAAAACAUAAUUACAUCUUAUAACAGUUAUCGAAAAAAACCUUUUACAAGGGACAAGACAUUAAUAGUUAAAUGAUCGCACAUAUCGAAGAUGGACAUUAUUUUGAUGCAAGUAGUUUAUGACUCUCACUCUCACUCUCAUGUACAUAACUUUCUAUCUUAACUUUGUAGGUGUAUACCUAGGCCUAAUGUGUUUAUACAUGGACCUUGAUUCGAAAGUGAAAAGUCCAUCGUAUCUUCACAAAGAUCUCAAUAAAUCCCAUAUUAUAGUUUUGUUCGAAAUCAAUUUGUAUAAUGCAUCAAAUUCGUUCAUAGAGUUAAUAUUCAAUCACCUCAUCCUUUGAAGGUAAGAAAUUGAAAGCAAUUUUGGUAAACAAAGACAAAGCAAAAAUAUGUUGUAAACAAUGAGUGAUUAAUGGGGCUGACUAUAAACAAAUAAGUUACUGUCUUAGUGAACUUAAGAAAUGAUAAUAGUUGCACAGUUUGGAAGAAAAGUUGAUUGCAGAAACAUCACAAUAAUUAUGGGUUUUCCUUACAUUUGCAUGAUGUUCUCGCAAGAAAAUGAGGGAGAGACGGAGACAGACACACAGAGAAGAAAGAAGAAGGAGCAUAGGAAAAAGAGAAUACCUCAAAAACAGUUCCCAAGUAAUCUAUGAAUGCUACAAAGUUGGUUUCUUCAAAAAGUCCGUAUAUAUAUGUAGUCCAACAAGGAGAAGCUGAGAAUGGGAAGAGAAAAAGGGACAUUAGAGGAAUGGAAAAGCUUAGAUAUAGUACAUAAUGAAUAAACUAAGAAGGAUUAAUGUUUAUUGUAAAUAACAUAGGGCUUUUCUGGUAUGUUUGAACAAGAAGAAGUUAAAGUCACUUAUGUUUGGAAAUAAAUAUGACAACAAAACAAACAUUUUAUAUAGGUAACAUUUUUGCCCUCUCCUAAAAAUUAAAAUGGAAACCUACAACGAUCCCACCCCAACACUUUGCUACGCCAACCAGGUUUCAAGGGCUAUGAAAAGGGAGGCCAAAAUAAGCAUUGAAGACAACUUUUAAGAAGCAAGAACCAGCAAGAAAGAAUCUGGAAGCUAAUAUAUCACAAUAAUUAUUGUUUUACCGUAGAUGCGCUUGAUGUUCUACCAAGAAAAAGAUAGAUAGAGACAUAGACACACAUACAGAGAACAAAUAAGCAGCAACAUAGGAAAAAGCAAAUACCUCAACAACAAUUCCCAAGUAAUCUAUGAAUGUUGGAAUCUUGACUUUUGCAAACAGUCUAUAUAUAUCUGUAAUCCAACAAUGAGAAGUUGAGAAUGGGAAAAGAAAAAGGGACAGGGCAGAAAUUUCAAAGCUGACAUACAAUACAUAAUGAAAAAGCUAAAAAUCAUUAAUGCUUAUUGUAAAUAACAUAGGUUUCUUCUUGUAUGUUUUAACAGGAAGAAGUUAAAGUCACUUAUGUUUGUAAAUAAGUAUCACAACAAAAUAAACAUUUUAUAUAGGUAACAAUUUUUUCCUCCCCUGAAAAUGAAAUUGGAAACCUACCAGCAUCCCACCCCAACACUUUGCUACUUGAACCAAGUAUCAAGGGUUAUAACAAGUGGCAACAUAAUAAGCAUUUAAGACAACUUUUGAGAAGCAAGAACCAGCAAGAAACAAUCUCGUAGCUAAUAUAAACAAAUCUGAAUAAAAUUACAGCAUAUAAUUUCAAAUUAAAUAAUUAAAAUUGUAUUUUUGUAAUGAUGAACCUUAACAAAUUUAAAAUAAAUAUAUCUUAUCAAAGAGUAUCAUAGUCCAAUGGUAGCAGUGAUUGAACCCAACCCAUGGUUUUCAUUUAAUAAAAAUUAAGAUGGAUAAGAACCCAAGCUUUCGAUUUUUCACUGAGAAAUUCACACAACAGAGAGAAAAGAGAGAGAAGAGAGAGAAGCUAAGGACCCUCCAUUUGGCACAAAGUAAGAAAACCUUAUUUGCUGUUUGAUGUGAAGCUCUAUGCAUUAAAAAAAGGAAAAACAAAUUAUAAACUUAAUUUUAAAAUAUAUCAUAAAAAACAGCUCUCUAGGUGGCAGGAGAGGUGGGUUUUGGUUCAAAUAGCUUAUACUGCCUCUGGCAUCUGUUCUUGAAUUCUCCAACUUUGUCUCCCAAACAUGUCCUAAUUCCCAAGAGCUCAUAUUGCCACACCUACUCAUUAGGGUUUGCAUCAGUUUCCAUUAACAUUUAACUAAAAAGAGUUUAAAAAUUCAAUCAAGGUCAAACAAAAUCAACCAUCCCACAGAGCAGAAGUUACAUAGAUAUUCGAGAAAAUAAGUCAUGUCACAAACUAAGCAUCUAAUCACACAGCAGAAGUUCAGAAGUUCAGCUUUCCUCAAUCCAACCAGCUUUGAAUACAUGCUUAUAGGCUUAUAUAAUCUGCUCCUUACCACCUUUAAACAAAACCCUUGAACGAAUUAAACCAAAAAACCCAGAAAAAAAGAAAAGAAAAAAAAAAGCACAGAAAAUUAGGAUUACAAUCAAUCAAUCCACACAAAGUGCUAAAAAACAUUAAUAAACAAACACCCAACAUAAAAACAGCAAGCUUUUAUUAAAAGAACACAAAAACAAAUAAAAUAAAAACAUACCCACAACUUUAUCUUACCUCAAGAACCAAAUCCAAGAGCAAAAAAAGAGUUUAAAAAUUCAAUCAAGGUCAAACAAAAUCAACCAUCCCACAGAGCAGAAAUUACAUAGGUAUUCGAGAAAAUCAGUCAUGUCACAAACUAAGCAUCUAAUCACAGAACAGAAGUUUAGAAAUUCAGCUUUCCUCGGGUGCUAAAUUGCAAUUAAAAAUAAAAACACUAAUUAAUUGUCAAUCUCAAGAGAACCUAAAUCCCAAAAAUUAGGCCAGAAACCUAAAUUACGUGCACUGAAUAGUUCCAGAUGCAUGAAAUCAAUGAAAAAAAUUACCAAACAAAAAUAGUAAUCAGGAAAGACCAAGUAAAGAAUACACAAAAAUGUACAUAUUUAUCGUUCGUUCGUGUGGUCGCCGGAAGAAAAAAAACGGGAAUAAAGAACAAAGCUCAAGAUUUACAGCUGCGCCUAAACAUUUGCUCUCUUUCAUUGCAAAGAAACCAACAACAAUAGAAAAAAAAAUAAUCAUAUAAGUUUCGCCUCAUAUUUUCCUCAUUUACCUCAGUUUUCUGAGCAACCAAACAGAAGCUAAAAGAUGGACUAGAAAGCGAAUCUAACUUGAAUAGUGUAAGAGAGCUCAUAACAGAGUGGAAAUCUCUAAAUGAAGGCGAGAACCUGGAGAUGAAAUCGCUUUAUCUGAAGAAAUUUGCGGAUCAGUAGUACGGCGACACGCGUGAAUCGAUUACAGCUUACAAGCUUUCGAUUUUUCAUUGAGAAAUUCACACAACAGAGAGAGAAGAGAGAGAAGAGAGCGAAGCUAAGGACUCUCUGUGACUUUCUCUCCUUUUGCCCUAACUUGGGUUCCCCAAAUUUCAGAGUCGAGUGUCGCGUGGGCUUUAUUUGAAGAAAUUUGCGGAUCAGUAGUAUGGAGACACGCAUGAAUCGAUUACAGCUUACAAGCUUUCGAUUUUUCACUGAGAAAUUCACCCAACAGAGAGAAAAGAGAGAGAAGAGAAAGAAGCUAAGGACUCUCUCUGACUUUCUCUCCUUUUGCCCUAACCUGGUUUCCCCAAAUUUCACAGUCGGGUGUUGCGUGGGUUUUGCUAACUUGUUUAAGAUUUUUGUGUUUAUUUAUUAAAAGCACAACCCGUGACAUGGAGAGGGAGAUGGCUGCUAACAUGGAUGUGGAGGGGUAAUUUUGGAAAUGAAAUUAUAAAACAGUACAUAGUGCAUGAAAAGGAUAAUUUUUUGGGCAACAGUAGACAUAUUUUGGGUUAUGGAAAGUUGGGUUAUGAAAAAGCUAUUAGGCCCAAAUGGGCGGCCCAAAACACAGUUUUCCCUAUAUUGUAUCAUAAGAAAAAGAAAAGAAAAAAAAAGAGUGGAGGGGGAGGGGGAGAGGUGGGGGGCUAUGUUGUAAACAACAGGGUAGCCUGUGUAAAGCCCCCAGUUUUUACUUAGAGACCUCAUUACCCAUUAGGAAAAGGGUCAAUGACCUAUUAUUAAUAAUGCAAAAUUACCCAAAGAUGGAUAUUUGAAUUUUUUUUUUUUUUUGGAGAAUUUAAGAAUUGUUGACACAAUAUAGUGAAACUGCAUAUACAAAUAUUGGGGUCAUUAGUUCACUUGACUUAAGCGAUUAAGAACAUUGAAGAGGAGACAUGUUGCUUGAUAAGCCCACCUGUCUACAUCUUGAGCAGCCACAGUUUGUUGCUCAUGAGACUUUUUGGAAGACACCUCCAGGGAUAAGAUUGAGUAAUUUAAAUUCCAUUAACAGAGUUCCUCUCUUUCAUUAGCCUUUAGGCCCUUAGGAAUCAAGCUUAAACUCGAAAGAUUCUAAAAUCUUACUCCCUUCUAACCUCAGGAAAGUUUUGAGAGCUCAGGUAUCCACAAAUAUCUUGGUACAUUCUAACAAGUCCUAUACCACUUUCCACCAUUCAAUUUAUCCCAAAAUAGCAUAAAUGUCAAGGGGAUACAGGAGACCAGAACUAAUAAAGGCAAUGACAUUAAACGGGAGAAAAAAAUAUCAAAGCAUGAUAGAAGAGUUAAAUACUUAAACAAGUUAGUGUUGGUAUUUUAAUUAUAGUAUUCCAUUAAUACAGUACCAAAAUACUGGAUGCCAUAUACUUUUGUCUAACAAUGGAUGGAAUAAUAGAUAUACAAGCACAAGAAAUAUGUUUCACUAACAUGAAAAUGAAAUUUAUGAAAGGCGGCUAGAUUCGAGAAAUACAAACAGGAUAGAACACCUAUGAAGCAUGAAAUAUUUUUGAACACAAACUUUAACAAAUCCAUAACAUGAAUAAAUGUUUGGAACCACCACACUAGAUCAGCAAUCUGUAGCUUCUCAAUAUCAUAACUGUUACAGCUAUAUUCGACUUCUAACCAUAUAAGCUAAGCCUAUGUUUUGUUUCUAGAAAGUUUUAAGGAAAAAAAAAUAGAGCAGAGAAAUAUAAGAAAAAAUUAUAAAAGUUUUCUUUUAUUUGAUUGUCCAUUGAAAAGUUGAAGGAAAGAAAAUUAAAUUGCUAAAGAAUGUAAUUUCCACUAACUUUCCUCAUUUUUUGUUAAGGAAAAUGGACACCACCACCACCCCAACCCUUUUCUUUCGUUUUUUUUUUCUUCAUCUUUCGCAUGGUACCCAAACAUGAGAAAACCAUUUUCACUAGCAUUUUUUCCUUUCCUUUUCUUAUUACUUUCCAAGAACCAAACAUAAGGUAAGUUUAUGACACCCUUUCUAACACAACCAUUAAUAGACGGCUCAAGGUACUUCUAACAGUGAAAGAAGAAUUUCACAAAUACUUAUUGUAAAUUACAGAAUAAGCCAAAAGUGAAGAUAACAUCUAUUAAUACCUGCCUUUUUCAUCUUCCAAAUUCUGAAGAUGUUUUUCAUCUUCACUUAAGUCCAAUGCAACUUGGACGUAGGAAAAAUUAGAACAAAAAAAUAAUCAAGCAUUCUUUUCUCAGCAUCAUCAUGCAAAAUUUUCCACCAUAGCAUAAAAGGAAAUCAUGAAGAAAAAUAAAAAAUUAAAAAAUAAUACGCAUGCUCUCUACAAUAAUCACAAUAAAGGCAAACUACUCCAACAAAUUAUUAGAAAAAAUUGGAAAAAAUAAAAUUCAGAGAAUGGAAAUCCAUUUUCACCUCCAUAUAAAAUACACCAUGAAAAACAUUGGAAUCUAGUAAAGCUCUAGGUAAAAGAGGUAUUUCAGGCCAAUUUAAGAGCUCUAUCAGAAAUUCAAAUGUCCAUUCUGAAAUAGAAAAUUUAAAACCUAAUUGAAACUUAACUAUGUAAUCCGAGUACCAUAAAAACAUUGAAAAAGUCACACAAAUACUCGCAUAAUCUUAUCAAUCGAAAGGUUAUAAUACAAGGUGCAAAACACCAGAAUCAGAAAUAAGUUUCACAUUCUACAAAACUUACACUAAAAAGAGAAAGUUAAAAGGUCACAGACAGUCGAAAAUAACCAGAAAAUAAAGGAAAAUAAAAGAAAAGGGACCUGUUUGGCGAUAAGUUCUCUCUUAGAGUGGGAUGGGAGUUGGGAGACACUCAUCUAAUAUAUAGGGAAAGUUGUGUUUUUUUUCCCUCCCUCUGUUUUCUGGAUCUAGGGGUCUCUUUGCUUUUGUGCCAUUUGAAUUAAAUUUCACAAACCCUAAACCCACGAUUUUUUAGCCAGGCUGAAAAAUACCACCUUUGCCUGCAAAUCGUGAUCAGAUUACCAAAUAGCAUCUUAUUGUGCCAUUGGAAUUAAAUUUCACAAACCCUAACCCACGAUUUUUGAACCAGGCUCAAAAAUACCACAUUUGCCUGGAAAUCGUGGUCAGAUUACCAAAUAGCAUCUUAUUGUGCCAUUGGAAUUAAAUUUCAAAAACCCUAAACCCACGAUUUUUGAGCCAGCCAGAAAAAUACUACCUUUGCUUGCAAAUCGUAAUCAGAUCACGAAAUAGCAUCUUAUGUUUUUUUAAAAAAUAAAAAUCAAAAAGCUUGGACAGCUCGUGAACAAUGCAAAACAACAUUUAGCCCAAAUUUUUUCUCAACAGCCAAACAAAUUGUUAAAUGGAAACUCACCUGCGAUUACUCCAAAAGGAAGACGAAGCUCCACCGCCGAUUCCAGAAACCACCCAUGAAAAUGCAGGCAAAAGGAGAGAAUAGGGCAAAAAGCGAGGAAGUCAGAGCGUUUCCCCAAAUUUUUGAGUCGGGUCGUGGGUUUUGCAAAUCCUAACUCUAAAGCUUAAUAUUUUUGUGUUCAAUUAUUAAAAACACAACUUCCCGUGCUGACACGGAUAAGGAGAUGGCUGCUGACAUGGAAGGCUGGAGGGGUAAUUUUGGAAAUUAAAUUAUAAACAGUGGAUAGUGCAUGAAAGGGAUAUUUUUUUGGGCAACAGUGGACAUUUUUUGGGUUAUGGAAAGUUGGGUUACCAAAAAGCUAUUAGGCCCAAAUGGGCGAGCAAAACACAGUUUUCCCCAACUUUAAAGUGUAGCAAUUAUUCAAUUAUGAGAGAGAGAGAACAACUUUACAGUGGAGCAAUUAUGAGAGAGGGAGAGAGAACGACUUCACAGUGUAGCAAUUAUGAGAGAGAGGGAGCGAGAGUUAUUGCUAUGGGAUGGGAUGCACCAACUUUAAACUGUAGCAAUUAUUCAAUUUUGAAGUGUAGCAAUUAUUGAAUUUUUGACCAAGAGAGAGAGAGAGAAAAUUAUUGUUGUGGGUGGCAUGCAACAUCUUUAAAGUGUAGCAGUUUACAGUGUAGCAAUUAUUCAAUUUUGACAGUGAGAGGGAAUUAUUGCUGUGAGCUGGCAUGCAACAACUUUAAAGUUAGCAGUUAUUGAAUUUUGACCAAUUAUGUUAAUGGGGUUAUAUCCUCAUCCAAAGUUCCCAACCCAUCUUGGUUACUUCAACAAAUUUUUAUCCCGUACUAGAGUAAAUAAAUUAUUUUUCAUAAAUUUUACAUCCUAUCUUGAUAAAAAGUAAAUUGGCAGCUUCAAUUUAAAUACGUUUAAAGAGGAAGAAUGGAAAAAGAAAUUAAAUUAUUUUUACUUAAUUUUAUUUAUAAAUGAGAUGGAUUGAGAUAAUACUUUAAAGUUUGUUUGACAAUUAUUUUAAAAAAAUGUUUUUAAUUUAAAAAAUAUUUUUUUUUAAAAUAAAUUAAGGGUAUAUGUGACUACUUUCGAAAAUAGUUUUUGAGAAUAGUUGUUUUUUAAUAUUUUGUAUAAUAAAAGUUUGUUUGAAAACUUAAAAUAUUUUUGACCAAUUUUUAAUAUUUUUAAAUAUAUUUUAAAAAUAAUUUUUAUAUCUAAUAUUUUAUUUUUAAUCAUUCUAUAUUUAUAUAAUUAUUUUUAAAAACAAUCAUUAAAAAAUAAAUUAAAAAAGUAAAAAAUAACUAAAAGAUGUUAUUUAAAAGUACCCUAUUUUUUGUUCUUAAUAAUAGAAAAUGGAAAACAAUUUUUUAUUAUCAAAUGUGUUUUCUUGAUUUUUUGUUCUGGGGAACAAAAAACUAUUCUAAAAAAUAGUUGCUAAACAAGCAUUAGGUGUUAGACAAAAUUUUAAAAAAACUUCUACAAAUCUAAAAAAUCAUUUAUACUAUUUUUUUUAGAAAAUCACUUAUAGUGUUUUCUAAAAAAUUAUUUGAUAGAUAAUUUUCUUAAAAACACUUCAAGUAAAAAUACCGUCAAACACAUUAUUAAUAUUAUUUAAUCCAACCUUGGAGUUAAAAAAUAAUUUAUCAAAUCCAACCUCGAUCGGUUUAAACUCUCCCAAACCCAUUACCAUUUGUAAUACCUGGUUUUGAAAAAAUAAAAAUAAAAACAUAAUAUAAAGAGUAGGAGGAAUGUCAAAUAUAAAAAGAGGGUUAAAAAUGUUUUGUAAUGGUUGGAAGUGUUUUUCCUACAAAUAAUGAUGCAUUUUGAAAAUUUUUAAAAAUUAAGAGAAUCACUUUGAACUUACAUUCGAUACACACUUUAUCUAAAACCAUUUUUUAAAUUAUAUUUCUUAUGAUCAAAAACAUUUUUAAGACACUUCUUUUGAUUUGUAUCUUAAUGCUAACCUACAUUUAAAAAAAUGUCAAGAUAAUUUUUUUAUAAAAAAAAUCUUUUAAUUUAUUGUACUUUUGUGGACCCCGUAUUUCGGCUCAUGCGUUUUCCACUCAAUGGCGAGUUCGAUUUUUAUUUGAAAAUGAUUUCAUUUAUUAAAAAAAAAUGACUUGGAGUCGUCACUUAUUUUUGUUUUAUUUUUAAAAGGGUAAACAAAAUGAGAAAGAAAACCCUAAGUGUAACUCUUUAUUUUGGAAAAUGUGGUCUAUAAAAAAUCGGAUCAGACUCGAGGGUCAGGUUACUUAUCGGGAAGGUACGGUAAAGACCGUAGCACCCCUCUAAGUCCCUAAGUCGGGUAUCUACUUAUAAAAUGAAGUUGACGUGGCAAUCAAUAGGAAAAUUAAUGGAUACUCAAAUCGAUCAUGCACAUAUGAGAAUCAAAAUAUGCAUAGAGAAUGACCAAAAUGGGAGUGGAUGCGUACAUGGGCCACGAACGAGCAAUGCGCUAUCAUAAAAAUGAGGUCAGUGUACAAUAAAGAGCACAAAACAUAUCACAUGCAUCACCAAACAGAAAUUAAAAUUGUUUGAGGGAAAUCUGGAUUUUUUGAAAUUUAUUUGAAAAUUGGAGUCUUAGAGAUUAUUUGAAAAUUGGAGUUUUAGAGAUUUGAAAAUUGGAUUUUUAGAAAUUAAAUGUAAGAAUGAGAAUUUAGAAAUUAAAUUUGAAAGAAAUUGGGAUUUUGAAAAUUAUUUGAGAGUUUGAGAUUUGAAAAAAUUAAAUUACGAAAAUUGGGACCUUGGAAAUUAAAUUUUGAAAGAAAUCAGAAUUGAAAAUUAUUUGAGAAGUAGAAACUAUGAAAAUUAAAUUAUAAAAAUUGGAAAUCUUGGAAAUCAUUCGAAGGCAGAAUUUUUAGAAAUAAAUGAAUAAAAUGAUAAUAAUAAUGAUAAUAAUAAGUAAGUAACGAAAUAAAUGUGAGAAUUGGAAUAUUGGAAAUUGAAAAUUAAGUUCGGAAAUUGGAAAAUUGGAAUUUCAGAAAACUAAAUUUGGAAAUCGGAAUUUUGAAGAAUUAUUUAAAGACAGAAUAUUUUAAAUAAAUGAAUAAGUGAAUAAAUAAAUGAAUGGAAUAACGAAAAUAAUAAUGAUUGGAUAAAUAACUACGAAGAUAGGAAUUUUGAAAAUUGGAAAUUGAACUUAGGGAUUGGAAAUUUAAAAAAUUAUUUAGGGAUGAAAUUUUAAAUAAAUGAAAAAGUGAAUGAAUAAAUGAAUAGAAAAACAAAAAUAAUAAAGAUUGGAUAAAUAAGUGGGAAAAGUAGAAUUUUGGAAAUUGGAAAUUGAAUUUAAGGAUUGGAAAUUUAAAGAAUUAUUAAGGGAUUAAAUUUUAAAUAAAUGAAUAAGUGAAUAAAUAAAUGAAUGGAAUAAUAAUAAUGAUGAAAUAACAAAGAUUAGGUAAAUAAUUGCGAAAAAUAGAAUUUUAGAGAUUGGAGAUUGAAUUUAGAGAUUGAAAAUUUGAGAAAUUAUUUAAAGAUGAGAUUUUAAAUAUAUGAAUAAGUGAAUAAAUAAAUGAAUGGGAUAAUAAUAAUAACAAAAAUAAUCAUUAAAUAACUGAAUGUGAAUAGUGGAAUUUUUUAAAUUGGAAAUUAAAUUUGGAAAAAGGAAUUUUAAAAAAUUGAACUUUAAUGAUUGGAAUUUUAAAAAUAAAUAAAUAAAUGAAAUAAUAAUAAUAACAAUGAAAGUAAUAUUUAAACGAAUGAAUGUAAAUAGUGGAAUUUUUGGAAAUUUGAAAAAUUGUUUAAAGAUAGAAUUUUUAGUUAAAAUAAAUAAACAAAUAAAUGAAAUAAUGAUAAUAAUAACGAAAAUAAUACUUAAAUGAAUGAACGUGAAUAGUGGAAUUUUCGAAAUUGGAAAUUAAAUUUGGAGGACGGAAUUUUGAAAAAUUGUUUAAAGAUGGAAUUUUUAAAAUAAAUAAAUAAAUGGAAUAAUAGUAAUAAUGAAAAUAAUAAUGAUUAGAUAAAUAAUUGUGAAAAUUGGAAAGUGAAUUUAGAAAUUGGAAAAUUGAAGAAUUAUUUAGAGAUGGAAUGUCGGAAAAUUAAAUUUCAAAAGUUGGAAACCCGAAAAAUUAUUUUAAGGAUGAAAUGUCGGAAAAUUAAAUUUCGAAAACUGGAAACCGAAAAAAUUAUUUUGAGGAUGGAAUUUCGGAAAAUUAAAUUUCAAAAAUUGGAAACCCGAAAAAUUAAUUUUAAGGAUGGAAUGUCGGAAAAUUAAAUUUUGAAAACUGGAAACCCAAAAAGUUAUUUUGAAGAUGGAAUGUCGGAAAUUAAAUUUCGAAAACUGGAAACCCAAAAAAUUAAUUUUAAGGAUGGAAUGUCGGAAAAUAAAAUUUCGAAAACUGGAAACCCAAAAAAUUAUUUUAAGGAUGGAAUGUUGAAAAAUUAAAUUUCGAAAAUUGGAAACCUAAAAAAUUAAUUUUAAGGAUGGAAUGUCGGAAAAUUAAAUUUUGAAAAUUGGAAACCCGAAAAAUUAUUUUAAGAAUGAAAUGUCAGAAAAUUAAAUUUCGAAAAUUGGAAUCUAAAAAAAAAAGUGUUUUGAUAUCAAAAUGUGAAGAAAUAAUAAAAAGAAUUAUGGAUUGUGGUGAUCAUCAUGUGCACGUCUCCAGUAUAAUGGCUAUAAACCCAUUUUAUAUAUUCUUUUCCACCACCACCACCACCACCACCAUAACCAUUAAGAGCCAUGCAUGGAUAUCUAUCAUUCCCACCACAAACCCAUUUUUAUUUUGCAUAUUCACCAUGACUUCUAGCUCAUAACCUAGCCGACGCUGUAGAGACUUCUCAUUGCUCUGCCCAUUUGUUUCAUUUCCAUUGGUAAUACUUGAGUU